rnacentral:lncRNA from 1 species
UAGACGCCGCCCCGGGGGCUUCAACAUCUACGGCGAUGGAGCCGAAUACCAAUCUUGUCCCCCGCGAAACUCAUGAUCCCGAGGCGCCGGACUCCUUGCCGGACUCCGAGCCUCCCGCGCCCCUGCCAAUUAAGCCAGAUUGGGCGCCGGUUAUGGAAUUCACCGCCGCGGACAUCUUUCAACACUCGCCUUUUGGCGAUAUCUUGAAUUCUCUGAAGCAUCUCUCGCUAUCAGGAGAAUCCUGGCCGGACUAUGGCCAGGACGGUUGGAGUUCGGACGACGAAGAAAUUCGGAGCCCACCCACCACCCACUUUGUAGCCACUGUCGAGGAUCUAAUCGACAUGCUAGACUACGACUCCGAGGACAUCGACGCUAUGGACGAUGAUGCCGGAGACGAUCAGGACCCAGCGCCCACGGGACACUGGAAGGCCACCUCGUCAUACGAUGUCUACAUGGUGGAUACCCCAAAAGAAGGGGAUGGCGAGAAAGCAGCGGAGGAAGAUUCUCUAAAGAAGCAACCCAAGCGCCGACGGCGCCGCUCUAAAUCCCGCCACAACAAGAAUGGAGAAUCCGGCACGGGAGAUAAUAACACUCCGGAGAGUGCCGAAGACAAACCCCUCCAGCAAGACUCAGCGAAGGAGGAUGUAGAAGCAAGCCCUUACGAAAGGGCGGCAGAAGAAAAGGUUGAGGAUCACAACUAUGUACCUCCCUCCGAGGACGAAUCAAGCCCCGAUGACGACGAACUCGAAAAGCCCGUCGAACAAGAUCUUUGCAAACGCAGGCUCAUCGCUACAGCAAGAAGCCUGAAGGAGGAAAAGCGGAAGCUCAACACAGCGGAAGACGCGCUCCGGAUAAAAUGGAGCAAAGUGCUCAAAACAACAGACAAACAAGGCAACAGCCACCAACCGAAGAGCUACCCGAAGCGCAAGCUGCUCCCAGAAUUCAACGAAGAGGCCAUAAAGCCCCCACCGUCCAAUGGCCCAGCCAGGUCCAUCUAUGGGCCCAAAAGGAAAGCCCCAAUAAGCAAAGGAACACGUCAAGUGUCCGACGAUAGCGGCACGUACAAGUACAGGGGCGCCGCACACCCACUAUGCUUCACAGACGAAGUGCUGGAACAUGAAUUCCCAGUAGGGUUUAAACCCAUCAACAUAGAAGCCUACGAUGGAACAACAGACCCUGGAGUCUGGAUAGAAGACUAUAUAUUACAUAUACAUAUGGCCAGAGGAGAUGAUCUCCACGCCAUAAAAUAUCUACCCCUCAAACUCAAAGGGCCAGCUCGUCAUUGGCUCAAAAGCCUCCCAGAAAACACUGUUGGAAGUUGGGAAGAGCUCGAGGAAGCGUUUAGAGCAAACUUUCAAGGGACUUAUGUCCGGCCUCCGGACGCAGACGACCUAAGUCACAUAACUCAACAGCACGGAGAGUCAGCGCGGAAAUUCUGGAACAGGUUCCUUACCAAAAAGAACCAAAUAGUCGACUGUCCGGACGCCGAAGCCUUAGCAGCUUUUAAGCACACUGUCCGAGACGAAUGGCUCGCCAGACACCUCGGUCAAGAGAAACCGAGGACAAUGACCGCAUUAACAAGCCUCAUGACCCGCUUUUGCGCAGGAGAGGACAGCUGGUUGGCAAGAAGCAGCACCAGCGACCCAAGUACAUCCGAGAUAAGAGAUGGAAACGGAAAAUCACGACGCAGAGAAGAUCAGCGCCGGAACAAAGAGAAAAGCCCAAAGAGCACGGCAGUCAACGCCGGAUUUAAAAGCUCACGGCCGAAUAAUAAAUCUCAACCCAUCAAGGACGACAGCGACGAACUGUCUAACCUACACAAAAUCCUGGGUCGGAUCUGUCAAAUCCACAGUACCCCCGGAAGGCCUGCAAAUCACACCCACAGGGAUUGUUGGGUUUUCAAACAGUCCGGCCGACUAAACGCCGAACGCAAGGGGCUCGACGCGUCAAGCGAAGAAGAUAAACCCCGCCAGCAGGGCACCAGAAAACAAAAGACUUUCCCACAAGGGGUCAAAGCAGUAAACUCACUUCAUGUGAAGAUACGGAAAAACAGUGCGGCACUUUCUAAAAAGAGCUUCGCACGGUCCGGCCCCGCAAACCAUAGAGAUUCGAUAUCAAAACCAAUCACUUUCGACCACCAGGAUUAUUCCAAAAGUGUUCGAACCGCGGGACGAACUCCCCUGAUAUUGAAUCCGAUAAUAGACGGACUACAAUUCACAAACAUCCUAAUGGACGAAGGCAGUGACUUAAACCUGCUAUAUUCAAAUACAAUCCGUCGGAUGGGGAUAGACCCUACCAAAAUUCGACACAGCCGCACUUCCUUCAAAGGAGUUACGCCCGGCCCUUACGCCAAGUGCACAGGCUCGAUAUUACUCGAAGUCGUGUUCGGAUCACCGAACAAUUUCCGACGAGAAAAGUUAAUUUUCCAUAUCGUCCCAUUUAAAAGUGAACAUCAAGCACUAUUAGGACGAAAGGCUUUUGUCCGCUUCAAUGCCAUACCGCAUUACGCAUCUCUUACACUUAAGAUGCCCGGUCCACAUGGCACUAUUUCAGUGCGAGGGUCACUUCAAGCCCCCGGACUCGGAUAGACGAAUCCGGACUCAGCAGGCUAGGGGCUCCCUAGCCGCAUACCCUUUCACAAGGGGCUGCGCGCACAAUUAACAUCGGUUUCAUAUAAACCUAGCCUUAAUUAUUUACGCUUAUUCUUUUGCAUUAUUUUCGCAAGAACUGUUUUUGAAAUGUUCCUCUCUUUUCUACAGAUGAGCAACGUGCGUACCCGUCCAGGAUAACGGCACAACGGAGACACAGGCACAGACGUGCAGUAGGGACCCGUCGCAAGGAUUCUUUUCAGAUUAAGACCCUACGUAGACCUUUUUAUUACUGUCUCUUGUUGCUAAAUCGGCCUCGGCUUCUUCCUAUAGCCGAGGCGGAGCCUGACAAUUUGGCAUUGGCCGCUUCAGAAGACAAUGCCCGUACCUGGACACAAGGGGCUUACGAUAUAAUUCUGCCCGUUAUCAUAAAGUCCGAACACCUCAGGGAGUGUUCGGCGUCUCAAGUUGGGCACUAUAUGCAUCAGCUCCGAAUCAUGUCUUUGGUCAAAUGUUGGGUUUGCCCGGCUCCUAUGUUUUGCUGCCUUACGUUCCGUAUCACCCGGCUAACGCGGCACCAGGAGAACUACUGCGAUUGUGCCCCAGUUCGGCUGGGUGAGCACCUCAGUAGAGAAAGCCGAAAACUGACUGUCAUGAUAUAGCGAGAGUCUGGUCAGCCACUUGAUCGACUACGGAAUGUUUAGAAUUCCCCGCUUUGACGAAGGGCCGCUUCCCGGUCAGGCACAUACGCACCCCGAAUCCGGAGAUGUGCGGUGCCAUUAGGGGCUAUGUCGUAGCCCCACCCUCGAGCUCCAUUGGCUAAGUGAAAGAGAUAAAGCAUUAUAGUCCGGAUUGCCUCGUUCGCUACGCUACCACGUCCUUAUAACAGGACCGAGACGUCGGAUUAAAGUGUGAAAAAGCGCUAUUUUGCGAACACCCCAGCACCUUGUUCAAGGGGGCUGAAGCCGAAGACUGCAUCUUUCAGGUUAUACACAAGUAUACUUAAAACGGCCGCAAUGAGAAGUACUACUACUUGGAAGCACAAGUAUAAAAAGCAUUCACACUAUAAUCAUUCAUAAACAAGUUAAUGCGUUCAAUUGAACGUUACAUUCUUCGAGCACUGCGACUCUAUUAUACGAGCGCCGCGCAUAACUUCCCCGAAAUAAUGUUUGGCAGGAAGCCGGUUCCCAUCCGAACCCUGGGCAGCAACAGCGGUGGCAUCCAUCUCCAGACACUGCGCCUUUACACGGGCCAGAGCCAUCCGCGCGCCCUCUAUGCAGGCCGACCGCUUCAUCUCCUUGAUAUGCGGCACCGCCCCAAGGAACUGCUGCAGUAGGCCAAAAUAGAUUGUCGCCUUGGACCUCUCUGGCCACACAUGGGCCACGAUGUCAGUCAUAGCCAGCCCGGACAGUCUAUUCAGUUCGGCCCAUUCGGCCAACCUGUCCGACAGCGGAAGAGGGCGAUCCGGACUGUGGAAUUGAGUCCAAUAUAACUCUUCCACCUCAUGAUCCCCCUGGCUUCGGAAGUGCUUAACGGCGUCAGCCGCACUCACAGCCAAGUCCAUGUAAGGAUCCUCCGAACUCCACUGCUUUUCAAAUUGGGCAUACCUGGCAUCCAUAAACCGGCGACGCAUAAGAAACGGCCUGCCAGCCGUGAUUUCUCCGGCUUGGCGCAGCUCCUCCUUCAUAGCCCGCAUUGCAGAGCGGGCAUCCUUGGUCUCGGCGGUGGCCUUCCUCAGGUCUUCCCGCUCCAAUAGGCGCUCCUUUUCAAGAGCCUCGCUACGGUUGGUAGCAUCCUUUAACUUUUUGGCCAAUCCGGCCACCUCCGCCCUGCUUAGGCAGUGCGCAGCCUUUUCGGCCUUCAACUCCUCGGCCGCCCUCGCGGCAGCCGCAUCACUCCUUCGGGCUUGCUCCUUGGCUUGUGCAAGCUCGGCCCGAAGUCUCUCCACAGCAGCAGCACUGUCUGUAUAAACAGCAUAUCACUUAUCAGAGGAGGGCUUUAACCCACUCAAUAAAGCGGCUAUGGAGAAUUUAUUUACCUUACGACUCGUCAAGUUGCUGAUUGACAAGUGCUAUGUUAACAUCUGCCAUGUCCAGUUGCCGACUAAGUUCGGCAAACUGAUUAGUCCGGCUGGCCCCCGGACUAUCCGCCACCUGUAUCAGCACGGCGAUAUUUAUUACCUAAGAUAUUUAGAUUUUCGAUCCUCGGCACGCUGUCGUCUUCGACAACCUACCGAGUCUCAGGGGCUACUAUCUAUACAGGGCGCAUCUUUUAUAUGCACAACUGUUAAAAAGCAAAGGGGUACGCUAUUUUCGCAUACCUCAAAUCCCGCCAGCAAGCUCAUGGCAGCAUCACGCAAUCCGCUUUCAGCGGACGAAAUCCUUCCAACAACCGUACGCAUUAACGCGCGGUGAUCUUCUGAAAUGGACGCCCUCUCAAGCAAACUAUUUAGUUCUCCCGGCCGGGCUCUGGUGGGUGUUGAACUCUUCGACCCCUCCGGACUCGGGGACACCCUCCGUGACGACACUUCGGGCUCGCCUGCCUCAUCUGGCGGCGCGUCGGACGGAGGCGUAUCGCUCUCCAUCAUCUCCGGAAGAAGAUCCCCCGAGGACGAACUCAUUUGAGACGGCUGCAGAUCCGAACUGCGAUAUAAAUAUUUCGGUUACCUACAGAAGCAUAAACGAAGGUACCUUUUUAUUAAACUUCCUCUUUCAUACUCACGGCUCGUUGGAGGGCUGGUCCUUGGGCGAUGACUGCGCGUCCGGAUUCUCUCCGGACGCCGGCCACCCCGGUGAGGAUUUCUUCCCACGCUUGGGGGCUUUGACCUCCGGAUCUUCGGGGGCGGCCCUCUUUUCCCUCUUAAGGGAGGGAUCCUUGGUCCUCUCCUCUUCGGUCGCCUCUUUGGACGAAGUAUUAGCUCCUUUAUCUCCCCCAUCGCCCCCUUCUGUGGGUGCGGCCUCCAACAUUCUGACCAGCACGGGCUCCAGUGCGGUCUCUGGGAGGGGGGCCGGACACCUUAUCAGCCUUGAUCGCGCCACCCAUUCCUGUAAAGAAUAAAAAGGGUUAAGAGAUGAUCUUUUGAAAGGCAUACAAGCAGGAUGUCCGGGCUUUGAGCUAUUUACCUGAGUAUCCGGACGAUCGCGGCUUAGUCCCGCAUCCUCGGCCGAAUCCGGACAUGCCACUUGCGGUCCGAAGAACAGCUCGUACAUCUCCAAGGGUGUCGCGCCCAUGAAAUGCUGGAGGAUACGAGGUCCCUCCGGAUUGAACUCCCAUAAACGGAGAGGACGACGUUUGCAGGGUAGGAGGUGCCUAGUUAGCAUGACCUGCAUCACCUUGACCAGAUCGAUCUCCCUUGUUUGGAGGUCCCGAAUCCGGCCCUGCAGUUCGGGCACGUCCUUGGACGGCCCCCAGUUGAGCCCUUGGUUGACCCACGACAUCAGUUGCUGUGGAGGUCCCGGGCGGAAGGAGGGCGGCGGCUUUUGCUUGCUGCCCCUUGGAGCGGUGAUGUAGAACCACUCCUGCUGCCACAAUCCCUGUUCCUCUUGGAAGGAACCUUCGAGCCACGGGGCAUCGACCAUCUUGCUUAUGGUCGCCCCGCCACACUCCGCUCGACGCCCCCCGAUCAUCUUCGGCUCAACCUUGAAUGUUUUCAGCCACAGGCCGAAGUGGGGGAUGACGCAGAGGAAGGCUUCGCAGACAAUAAUGAAUGCGGAGAUAUGGAGGAUGGACUCCGGAGCCAAGUCGUGAAAGUCCAGCCCGUAGAAGAACAGAAGCCCCCUCACGAAAGGAUCGGUCGGGAAGCCUAAUCCCCGACGGAGGUGAGAUGCGAAAACGACACAUUCGCCGGGCUCGGGGGCUGGCACGGCCUGCCCAGGGGCAGGUAACCUGUGCGAGACAUCGUAGGCCAGGUACUUGGCCUCACGCAACUUCAAUAUGUCCUCCUCCGUGACGGAGGAGGGCACCCACCGGCCCUGGAGGUUGGAGCCGGACAUUGCUGUGGAUCCGAAGCGCUCGAGUCUGAAGCUCUUGGUGUUGGAACUAGGAGCAGAGGAAAGAUUCGAUGCGAGGUUAAAAGACAAGGACAGACCUUGGUCCUCUUAUAAAGGGAAAUAAUACCAAGGGCCGUCUCCGUGACCAUUUGAGAUUCCCCUUCGAUAGAGGAGGCGUGGCGAUGGGAACGGUUGGGUUACCCACGCACGUAUUGAUGAGGAUCCCGGAAUAAAAGGGAACACGAUCUCUGCUUCGACAGGACGUGCCAAGAAAGCCGCUUCGCUAAACGUGCUGAGGUGGAAUAGUAAAAACAAUUAAAACGAGGGCUUGGCUGCGGCGUGAUGUCAUGCCGCAUAAUACGUCAGCAGAUUGGAUCGGUGUAUAUGUUUUAUUCUCUCUAUGUUGGAAUGUGGAAAUUAUUUUGCAGAGUCGGACACUAUCCUGGUGUUCAUUAUCUUCUCUGGAUUAUUCAAGGGAGGAACCCGCCUUGCAAUGCCGAACAUUAUGCACGCCGAACUUAUCGUCAUUGAAGACUGGUUCAGGGGCUACUGAGGGAGUCCUGGACUAGGGGGUGUCCGGACAGCCAGACUAUCAAUAUCCGCCAGACUCCCAGACUACGAAGAUAGAAGAUUGAAGGCUCCGGCUCGUGUCCGAAGGUACUUUACUUGGCGUGGAAGGCAAGCUUGGCAAUACGGAUAUGUAGAUCUCCUACCAUUGUAACCGACUCUGUGUAACCCUAGCCUCUCCGGUGUCUAUAUAAACCGGAGGGCUGUAGUCCGUAGGACACAACAUUACACCUCAACAAUCAUACCAUAGGCUAGCUUCUAGGGUUUAGCCUCAUUGAUCUCGUGGUAGAUCUACUCUUGUACUACCCAUAUCAUCAAUAUUAAUCAAGCAGGACGUAGGGUAUUACCUCCAUCGAGAGGGCCUGAACCUGGGUAAAAACCUCGUGUCCCUCGUCUCCUGUUACCAUCCGCCUAGACGCACAGUUUGGGACCCCCUACCCGAGAUCCGCCGGUUUUGACACCGACAAGCUCCCACACAUUGUUGAGCUCGAAUUGAUGCAAUUCAUCUUGCAUGGCUUGAAUCCACUCAAAUUCCAUGAAUGCUUCAUCUACUUUAGUGGGCUCUGUGAUAGAGACAAAUGCAAAAUGCCCACAAAAGUCAGAUAAAUGUGAAGCUUUUGAGCGCGUGAGGGGACCUGGUGCACGAAUGUCAUCAUUGAUCUUCUUGAUCUGCACUUCAUUUGCUAUGCGAGGAUGUGCGGGUUGACGACUUUGCUUAGGCCCAGCAGUUUCUUCAGGACCAGUUUCUUCAGUAGCACCAACAUGAUUUUCUUCACGAUCAGGAAUGACUUCUUCUGCAGAUUUUUUGGUAGGGAUGACAUCCUCAGUAGCUUUGAACCUGAUGGAUUCCUCAGGUGACAUUUCAUCUAGCACAGGAGGUAGAUGCUCUCUUUGCGAGCCAUUAGUUUCACCAAACUGCACAUCUACAGUUUCAACAACCUUGUGAUGAUUGACGUUGAAGACUCUGUAGGUGUGCGAGUCCUUUCCGUAACCAAGCAUAAAACCCUCAUGUGCUUUCGGUGCAAAUUUAGAGUGAUGGUGAGGAUCUCUAAUCCAACAUUUAGCACCGAAGACUUUGAAAUAACUUACAUUGGGUUUCUAGUCAGUGAGGAGUUCAUAUGAGGUCUUUUUGAAGAAUUUGUGAAGGUAUACUCUGUUGAUGAUGUGGCACGCAGUAUCAAUUGCUUCAGACUAGAAAUGCUGAGGCAUCUUGUAUUCAUCAAGCAUAGUGCGGGCCAUCUCAACAAGAGUCCUAUUCUUGCGCUCCACAAUGCCAUUCCGCUGAGGAGUAUAAGGAGCAGACAAUUCGUGAGUAAUACCAAGCAUAUCGAGAUAUUCAUGGAGGCCAGUGUUCUUGAACUUAGUUCCAUUAUCACUCCUGAUAUGCUUGAUCUUCACACCGAAGUUAGUGGAAGCCCUUCAGGAAAAUUGUCUGAAGACUUCAUGCACUUCAUUUUUGUAAGUGAUGAUAUGCACCCAUGUGUAAGGAGAAUAGUCAUCAACUAUGACAAAGCCAUAUAAUGAUGCAGAACUAGUGAACGUGGCAAAAUGAGUAGGGCCAAAUAGAUCCAUAUGAAGUAAUUCAAAGGGACGAGAAGUGGUCAUGAUAGUCUUCAAGGGAUGCUUGGCUCUGGUGAUCUUUCCAGCCUCACAAGCCCCACAAAGAUGAUCUUUGAGGAAUUUGACACCUUCGAUGCCAAUGACGUGUUUCUUCUUCGCGAGUGUAUGCAAGUUCCUCAUCCCAGCAUGACCAAGUCGUCGAUGCCAUAACCAGCAUUCUGAAUCUUUUGCAAGUAGACAUGUGGCAGGUUGUGGUCCUGCAGAGAAAUCAACAAUAUACAAGUCUCCUUUCCUAAAGCCUUCAAAGACUUUGGAGUUGUCUGAUUCCAUUAGCAUAAGGCAACGAAAUUUGCCAAAGACAACAACCAUAUCAAGAUCACAAAGCAUUGAGACAGACAUAAGAUUGAAUCCUAAGGACUCAACAAGCAUGACCUUGUCCAUGUGUUUAUCCUUUGAGAUUGCAACCUUACCUAGACCCAAUACCUUGCUUUUGCCUUUGUCAGCGUAGGUGAUAUGCUUCAGAUGAGAUGGUGACAAAUCAGUGUCCAUCAACAAGCUCCCGUCACCAGUCAUGUGAUUUGUACAUCCACUGUCGAGGACCCCCUCAGUAGCUUUGGGUUGUUCAUCCUGCAGAUGAAUUAGUGCAACUUACGAACCCAUAUACUUCAUCAGUGAAGAAUAUGAUAUCAAUUUCAUCAACAAUAACAGAUAUAGCAAUAUGAGGAUGUGAGAAAUGAAUGAUUCAUUUCUUCAUGAUUAGCUUGCGUCCUUUCAAGCGCAUUCAGGUCUCCAGCAAAUUCUUUAGACGAGUAUGUUCGUUUGGACACCUAACCCUGCAUAAGAGAUUAGUUCUUUUUCUUCACCACCCACAUCUGGAGGGGUGGCAAAGAGUUCAUCCUUCUGCGAGAUCCAUGAGAAAACGAUGGCAUUAAAGCCAGUGCACUUCGUUUCAUAGAAGAGUGGUUAGGACAAGCAUAUGCAUAAGAAGAAAAAUUCUUCGAGGACAUAUGAACAUAAUGGUCCGAAGAAUAAUGCACAUAAUCAUAGCCUUUAGAAUUUCCCUGCGAAACAGAAGUGUUAGCAAGAUGAUGUUCAUAUGAGGAUUUUGAUCCACAUGAGGAAUUUGAUCUGGGGUUCCUAUCCUUCAUGGGUGGUGUCAUGAUGACAUUCACCUGAAGAUUUUCAAGGCACCUUUUAGGAACCCAGAUUUUCUUCAUAGGGGGACCGUUCCUACAGUUAGUUCCAACGUAUCUAGCAAAUACUUCACCAUUCUAAUUCUUAAACAACUUAUAGUUGGAGUCAAAUGACUCAUCAGAGGAAUAUGAAGAAUCAUAGGUAAAGCCAGAUAAAGUGCAUGGAUCUACUGGAGGUCCUUUCGCAGCAACCCAUGAAGUUUUGGGAUACUGCUCAGGUUUCCAGUAGGUCCCAUCAGCAUUGAGUUUCCUCUCAAAGGCAAUACCCUCUUUCCUAGGGUUCCUGUUCAAGAUCUGCUUUUUGAGCACAUCACAUAGAGUCUGAUGCCCUUUGAGGCUUUUGUAAAUCAUGUCACAUACAAUUCCUUCAGCCCUGCAUUAUCGUCGAUGAUACAUGUGGUAUCCUCAGAUGAGGAAUUUGUAACCACAAAGAAAGUUGAAGAAUUUGCAGCAAUAGAAGCAUUUGAACAUUCAGGUGAUGAAUUAGCAGAUUCACGCACAAUGCAUUUCAGACAUGGUGGAAUAAAUUCUUCCUGAGCGGAACUGAUUUGUUGAGCAAGCAAUGAAUCAUUUUCCUUCUGAAGAUCUUCAUAACUCGCUUUUAAGUUCUCAAGAUCUUGCUUUCUCUGAAGAAAUUCGUAAGAAAGCUUCUCAUGAUCAGUUAAGAGAGUGUUAUGAUGAUUUUGAAGGUUGUCAAACCGAGUUUUAAGUCUCUGAAGAUUAUCUGUCAGAGUCUUAGUUCGAUUCAAUUCCUCACCCAAUAGGUCAUCGCUUUUGUCUAGUUGAUUUUAAAUCUUUUCUAAAGCCUUCUGUUGUUUAACAAUAAUUUUUGCAAGUUUUGAAUAGCUACGCUUAAGAUUGUCAUCAGAUUCAUCCUCACUAGAGUCAGCGGGGGGAUGUUUGAGUACCUUGGAACCUUUUGCCAUGAAGCAAUAAGUGGGAGCAUAGUCAUCGUUGCCCUUGUCAGCAGAGGCGGGGAAGUUAUUUUCUUCAAUGCUGAAGAUGGACUUGCUGACGUAAGCAGUAGCAAGGGCUAGGCUAGCCACACCAGAGGCAGAUUCCUCAGAUUCCUCCUCUUCCACAUUAUCCCUAGAUUCCGCUUCAGAGUCCAUUUCCUUGCCAUUAAAUGCCCGGGCCUUCUUGGAACUUCUCUUCUAGUGAGAUGAAGACUUUGAGGAUUUUGAUGAUGAAGACUUUGAAGAUUUCUUCUUCUUCUUUGAGUCAUCAGAAUCGUCAUCUUUGUACUUCUUCUUCUGUGAUUCCUUCUCCCAUAGAGGACAAUCAGACAUGUAGUGACCAGGUUUCUUGCAUUUGUGGAAAGUUCUCUUUUUGUAGUCACGUGACGAGGAAUCAUCAUUUCUUGAAGACUUUCUAAAACGGCCGCGGCGAGAGAACUUCUAGAAUUCCCUCACAAGCAUUGCUAGCUCCUGGCUCAAUUCUUCAGGAUCACCAAGGCUGCUACCAGAAUCCUCAGCUUCGGACUCAGAUACUGCCUUGGCCUUCAGUGCACGUGAUCUUUCGUAGCUAGGUCCAUAGAGAUCUCUCUUCUCAGCAAGCUGGAACUCGUGAGUGUUUAGCCUCUCAAGGAUAUCAGCGGGAUCAAGUGACUUGUAAUCAGCUCGUUCUUGAAUCAUCAGUGUGAGGGUAUCAAAUGAGGUGUCAAAUGAUCUCAGCAAUUUCUUCAUCACCUCAUGAUCGAUGAUAUCAGUGGCACCAAGUGCUUGAAGCUCAUUUGAGAUGUCAGUGAGGUGAUCGAAGGUUUGCUGAACAUUUUCUUUGUCGAGUCUUUUGAAGCGGUUGAAGAGAUUGCGAAGAACAUCAACUCGGGAGUCACGUUGGGUUGAGACUCCUUCGUUAACCUUGGACAGCCUGUCCCAAAUCAGCUUAGCAGUUUCUAGUGCACUCACUUUGCCGUACUGACCUUUGCUCAGAUGGCCACAUAUGAUAUUCUUCGCUUGAGAAUCGAGUUGCUUGAAUCUCUUCACAUCAGUAGCAUUCAGAGACGGAGUGACUGAGGGAACGCCAUUUUCCACAAUGUACCAGAGAUCGUUAUCAAUUGCCUCAAGAUGCAUACGCAUCUUAUUCUUCUAGUAGGGGUAGUCCGUCCCGUCAAAGGCAGGACACCCAGCUGAGACCUUGAUCAUACCUGCAGUCGACAUAACUAAAACUCUAGGUGGUUAAACCAAAAUCACACGGAACAAGGGAGUACCUUGCUCUGAUACCAAUUAAAAGUGUGUUACAUCGACUAGAGGGGGGUGAAUAGGCGAUUUUUAUGAAUUCUUCACUAAGGAAUUUCAGGGUGAGGAAAUUCCUAAGCGAAGAACUACUUGCAGCGGAAUAAGUACUCAGGUAUAAGCAUAACAAAGUAACAGCAUAGUCAUCAUGAUGAAAUGAAAGACAAACACUGAGUACAGAAAGCGUAAACACAUGAUAAGCAGGAUGAAGACAAAACAGACUGAAGAAAUAGGAUUGAGGAAUUAGAGAAAGUCUUCAGUCAAAGUCUUCAAACAGUAAUGAUCGGGUUCAUCAACACAUAACUGAGGAAAUGAAAGAGUUGAGGAAAUAGAACCAGUUAGCUUGGUGAAGACAAUGAUUUGGUAGACCAGUUCCAACUAUUGUGACAGUUGUACAUCUGGUUGGAGCGGCUGAGUAUUUAAACUAGAGGACACACAGUCCUCACCGUAUUCUCCUUGAGCUAAGAUCACAUAGACCUCACCUAAUAGUAGUGGUAAGUCUUCACAGGUGACUUCCAAACCUUCACAGACUUGGUCACUUGGCAAUCCACAAUUCCUCUUUGAUGCUCAGACCAUGACGCCUAACCAACUGGAGGAUACACAGUCCUCAAAGGUAACAAGCGUCGGUUCCACACAGGAACAAUCUCUUCAGUAUUGCUCAAUCACUUUGUGGUUUGUAGGUUUGGGUUUGGGAUUUGGGUUUUCCUCACUUGAUGUUUUUCGCUCAAAGUCCUCGGAGGAUGGGAUGCUCUCAAAUGACAAGUGUCAGUUUCUCCUGGAGCAGCCAACCAGCUAGUGGUUGUAGGGGGCAGCUAUUUAUAGCCUAGGGAGCAGCCCGGCAUGAUAAGACAUAAAUGCCCUUGGCUGAUAUGACCGUUAGGCUCAGCAACGGUCGGAUAUUUGAGGUUUGAAUUCCUCAAGGAUAUCAUGUUCCUCACUGUGUAGGCAAUCUGCACUGGCGAAUUCUUAACUCCUCUGUCAGAACAAAUUCCUCAGAGACCAGAAGAUCUUCGUCUCUGUCACUAAAGAAAUUGACUGAACUGAUAUGAGAUUUCCAAUGGCUUCACUCGAAGGAUUGGGUUAGGAUUUUGAGAUGAGCAUCACUUGGAAAUUAGUUUCCUUAGUAUUACCUCGACCCCCUUUAACAGUAUGGUGUUUCCUAUGACUCAAGAAAGAGAAAAUGAAACUACGAAAACAAAAGUCUUCACGCUUCAGAUUCCUCGCAUGAAUAUCAAAGUCUUGAAGGUCACACCAAUUUCUUCACUUUCAAAGUCUUCAGGAGAACCAAAGUCUUCAGCCGAAGACAUUCAUUUUUAUGGGUCGACUUUCACUGUUAAUAUCAAACUCCUCAUUGACUUAUAGAGCCUGUGUACACUCACAAACAUAUCAGUCCCUUAACCUAUAAGUCUUCAAUACACCAAAAUCACUAAGGGACACUAGAUGCACUUACACUCUCGUACACGCACGCACGUGGGUGUGACGCGUUGGGCUCUAAUUGAACCCGAGCGAGGCCUUCGCCUACUGAACCCGAGCGAUUGCACUGCAGGCUACGCAUUACUGAAGCGAUUGAUCGAUGGCUAUUAACUGAACCUGAUCGAGCGAUUCCUUCCCUAUUGCUGCUAACUGAAGCCGAUCGAUGUUGCCUCUGGAUGAACAGUGAGCGUUNNNNNNNNNNNNNNNNNNNNNNNNNNNNNNNNNNNNNNNNNNNNNNNNNNNNNNNNNNNNNNNNNNNNNNNNNNNNNNNNNNNNNNNNNNNNNNNNNNNNNNNNNNNNNNNNNNNNNNNNNNNNNNNNNNNNNNNNNNNNNNNNNNNNNNNNNNNNNNNNNNNNNNNNNNNNNNNNNNNNNNNNNNNNNNNNNNNNNNNNNNNNNNNNNNNNNNNNNNNNNNNNNNNNNNNNNNNNNNNNNNNNNNNNNNNNNNNNNNNNNNNNNNNNNNNNNNNNNNNNNNNNNNNNNNNNNNNNNNNNNNNNNNNNNAGCCGGUUGGGGUGGAUGAACAGGACCCCAUGGAGGGCUGGAUGAACAGGACGACCCUGUGGAGGGCUGGUUGAACAGUAGCUAGUGGAGGGCUAGAUGAACAAUAGCCCAUGGAGGGGUGGUCGAGCAGGACCCCGUGGAGAGGGCUGGUUGAACAGUAGCCGGAGGAGGAGCGCACGGUGGAGGCUGGAUGAACAAGAGCCCGUGGACGAAUAGUCGCAGGUGGAGGCUGGAGGAGGUCGACGGUGGAUGAACAGUAGCCCAUGGAGGCUGGAGGAGGUCGAUGGUGGAGAUGAACAGUAUCCCGUGGAGUCCCGUUUUGGGGUACGCCACACCCCUCCCGAUGAACAGGACCCCCGUUUCGACCGUAGCGCUCCAACACAAGUCUGUUUCCUCCAUUUUGCGGUACGCCACACCCCUCCCGAUCAACAUGACCCCGUUUCGACCGUAGGAGGUCCAACAAAAGUACGUUUCCUCCGUUUUGCGGUACGCCAGACCCCUCCCGAUGAAUAGAAUCCCGUUUCGAUCGUGGCCGGUCGAACACAAGGUCGUUUCCUCUAUUUUGCAGUACGCCAGGCCUCGUUUCCAUCGGUUGUUUUGUCCAAGCCCUCCCGAUGAACACGACAACGCAUUUCGUUCCGACCCAGUCGGUUGGCUCCCCAUGAACACGACGAUGACGCAACUUCUCCGUUCUGACCCAGCCAUGUACACAAGCUCUGGCCGUACGUAUGCGUGAGUAGGCAUUCGAGACCCCACCCGUAUGUACGUACGUGACUGUAUUUUCUUUCUUGCACCUCGGCCGCUGUACAUACGUGUACAUGCUACGUGCGUGCCUAACUACAACACGUGUGCGCCUCUACUACGACACGUGCGCGCCUCUACAUCGACCAGUAUGUAUGUACACGUUCGCGACCAGAAUGACAACGGCACGUACGCUUCGACCAGGUGGGUCUCGACUGUCGGGCACUUCCUUGCGUGCAAAGAUGUAGCUGGUGGGUCCCAGCAGUCAGGGGGCGAAUCGUUUUUUUGCCCGUAAUAUGGACGCACUUCCUCACGUGCGAAGAUGUAGCUGGUGGGUCCCAGAAGACAGGGGGGAAAUGUUUUUUCGCGAAGUACGGUGGACCAUCCGGUGGGUCCCUGCUGUCAGUUGGAGGAAUCAUUAUUUUGCAUGUAAUAAGGAGGCACUUCCUUGCUGCGGCCGUGGACCCCAUUGUCAGCCUCUCCACGUACAGUACUCUUCCGAUGGAAGUCGUUCCUUGACCACAUUGACCAUGCCGCGCUGAGAGCACCAGGGCGGUGGACGACGGUGAGGCAUAUGAAGGGGACGACGCGGAGCUGGGGAAGAUGCGACAGUGGAAGCCCGCAUGGAGAGGUGUACGAGGGUUCACUGGUUUGGCUGUGGUGUGAGGCUGCCGUCUCCGCAGAAUAACAGGGGGUGUGGGUGAGUAGAGGGAUGCCCUGACCAGCGGUGGGAGUAGAAGCGGGCGGUGAGGCCUGCGCGGCACCGCAGCCGGCGCUGGAUUUGGUGGCUGGAGCAAGAAGAUCAGAGACUGAAGAAACACGACGGUCGUUGGAUUGGCAUCCAACGGUUACGUCUGCUAGAAUCAUUUGUUGAUGUAUAUAAUAACUAAAAAAAUCUUGCAUACGCGUCAACUUAAUAGGCCCACAAGUCAGACCAUUCCCUAUUUUUUAAUAAUUUAUAUAUAGAUCAUUGCAACUUCUUAUGCAAUUUAUUGUAGUCAGUUUUUUUGUUGGCCAGGGCCGAUGUUAAAAAUUUAAACAAAAUUUUGUAUACUUCUGUGGGUUCCAAACUAUUUUUAGUACCGAAAUGUCGAGCCAGAUUUAAAGUACUUUGAAGAUAUAUUUAAAUUAGGUUAAAGCCGAGUGAAAUAGGAAUCUGAAAAUGUGAAAAAAUUCAGAAAUUAUAAAGUAAUUACCAAUUUGUCUUAUGUUUUUAUAUUUACAACCCAUUUCAUAUUACUUUCAAGAUUUGCAGGCGUCUUGAAAGAGUUGCAACCCAUCAGGGUGUAGAAAAAUAAGUAGGCCUGGAUUGGAUAUUCUUCAGAAUAAAUAAACUGGGUUCAUUUUCACAAAGAAAAAAUAGCUGGGCUGGUCAUAUGGUGAACAUAAAAUAGAAACCUCGGCUAGACGGGCCACAGCCCAGUUGAAACCCUGCUCCAUCUCAACAAUAACAAAAAAAUACUGCUCGAGCAGCUACGUCCUAGGUGUCAGCCGAUCUUGUGCUAUUCUCUUGUCUAUUGACUAUAUACGUUCACAAUUUCAUGGGUCCCAGAUGUCAGGAAACCACUAGGAGGAAGCAUUUUCUUUUUCCAUACGCUGACAUGGUGGGCCCCUACUGUCAUCCUCUCCACGUACUUUUGUCGAUUCCUGUUGUUUAUUGACCAUGUUGACAACGCGAUAGGGCGGCGCCGCGGCAAGCGCACCAAAGCGUGCGGAGGACGACGGCGAGGCCUCGGAUGUCGGCGUUAAUGAUUUAGGAGACGGUGGGAUGGCGAUGCGUGCGCUGAGGCACAGCCAGCCGUGGGAGGCGAAAGCAGGCGGCUCCGCCGGCACUGGUUUGGUUUUGGCGGCUGGAGGAAGACAGGACUGAGGAAACACAAUAGACUGUAAAAGCAGCAGGACUACUUAACAACCUUAACUGAAACCAACAGGGGCACUUAACAACCAUAGCUGAAAGCAGUAUGAGUACUUAUACAGGUUCAACCGUACAAAUCAUGCCUCGAACAGUGCUACUUUGCCUAUAGUUAACCAAGGGUGAGGCCGCCAAGCCCCAGUACAUGGCCCAGGCGCCACCCCAUGCAUCCACAACCUUCUGAAAGCGGCUUCAUCUCGCAAUGUGGUCAAUAAACAGGAUAUUUUCUUUAGAGCCAUGGAAAAGCAGGAACAUAAUCUUCUGUCCUAUUCUCCAAGAUGGACGAGCCUUCAUUAUUUGAGACGACCCAUGAAUAAGUAUCUUUUCACCUCCAAGGGGAAUGGAGUAGGUCGACAUAAACAUCAUGUUGUGACCAAGCGCAAGUCUAACCCGACCAUGGUCAGGCAUCUGUAUAGGAACAGUAGAACUGGGCAGUUUCUAUUUCAAGAAGAUCACAACUGUAAAACUAUGUAUAAGCAAUAGUUUAUGAACAACAUAUAUAACAGAAAACAGCUCGUACCAUAAGUUGCUCAACAUAGUUGGACCUGUUCAAUGAGUGCAGCAGUGGCACACAUAUCCCACGUGGCCUUCCACCAUUGAAACGCCCCACAAGGACCUCAAGACGAACAAUAAAGUGUAGGAACUUGUGGAUGUCGUCCCAGUCAACUCCAGUGCCAUCAGUAACAGCCGAGUUCUUAUAGAAUAACAAACGAGCAGCCUGCUUAACUCUGAAAAAAUCUACACGUGCCACCAAUUAUAAGAAAAUAUUAGUUAGAAGUAGCAUCUUCGUGAGAGAUUCGUUACUACUUCUAAAGUUAAAUUGUGAUUAGUUAGACAUAAUAGGUGGAUUAAGAAGUAAUCGAGGCAACAAGCAAGAACUAGAUACAAAACUAACAUGGAUGAACAAUUGGAAUGACGUCGGGGUGGAAGAUCGCAGUGAAGAUGAGACCAGGUUCUGCUAUGUCCAUCAACAUUCGUGCACCAACUUUCAGUUUGUAACACUUGAGAAAGUUUAUCCAAGUCCUGCCAAAAAAACCCAGCGAUCUUCUUGGUUCAUGAACCCAACUCAGAACUUAUAUCCAUGGCUUGUCUUCACUAUGACCAUUAAAAUGGUGUAUUCAGUUAUGGCAAGGCCGAGCAUCUUGAGUACAUGUGUUCUGGCAGAGCAAAUAAUGCACUGCAGGAAAAAUAAUAUGAGAACACAAUGUAUUCCCUAUCCAAAUCUAGAAAUAAUUUCCUCCUUCACGUCAGUGUUGACCAUCGUACUAGUACCUUUUAUGCAAAUAUAACAAUCCAAAUUUCCAAAUUAUUGACAGCAUGUUCAAAAAACCCCAUCCUCCCGGAGAGAAAAGAGGAUUCUAGGAACAUACUGUGCGCUUUUAAAAUCCCGUGUCAGGAUGAGAAGGAACAAGUGUGGCGUCUCGCCGAGGGUGCAGAAACCUGUAGGGUCCUCGCACUUUGGGCACUGCAAAUGAAACACACUAGAUUCAGUAGGAAGAAAAAUGCAUCAACGGCGGCAGCUGCCAUCCUAGGAUAACCCAGGACCAAGGGACUUGGAUUUAUCGGGGAUGGAUGAAGAAUUCAUACCUGGUUCUCCAUGAGAAAACCCUAUGCAAUCGUCGAGAGGGGGUUUUCUCUAAAAAAGCGGACGAGGGAGAAGGGGAUUCAGGGCCAGUGAAAUAUUGCCGCUUCAUCCGUCCAGCUUACUGCUAAAGCUGGAAAGGUGGGGGGUUUUGUGAUUUGACGGCUCAUUGGGCAUUACUGCGGCGCUACGACCGGGGUGUGUCUACCAUGCAGUUGUGCACUCUAAUUUGGUGCAUAUGGCACGUUGACCCCGUUGCCGGAUGCCCCACAUAUCAGCGAAAGGAAGUAGAAAGACAGGAGUAACUAGUUACACAUAAAUAUAUUUUUGACAGAGAGAUACUCCCUGUGUAAGGAAAUAUAAAAAUCUUUUAUAUCACAAGUUUAUACAUAAGAAAAAUCAAGGGGAAUAUAUAUGACAUAUAUAAUUAUAAAAACAGAGUUUUUUUAACACAAUAUAGAAGAUUUAUAUCUGACGGAUAGGAAGAAAACUAUGACAAUUUUGCAAAAAGGUACCCACACACCUCCCCACAUUUGCAAAUAAGGCCUUCCCUCGUUCAUCCAUUUCUCUCACAAGAUAAAAUACUCAUGCAAAUGCAUCUUGAUGUUAUGUGCAAUGCACGGGCCUUAUGGGGGUUCAGCUGAGAAUAUAAUACUCAGGCAGGCUCACGGUUCUGGACUUUGGGCCAUAGUCUAGUGGGCCUGCAUGUUUGGGGGCCCAUGUGUUCUACCUCAGCGCUUUUCAUAUUGCAAGCGAUCAGUACGGCGCUGGUUUUAUAUGCUGUCGCAAGGCGAAUACACAAAAUUGAAUAAAGUAUGAUAGCUGUUGGAAUGAAAUCGAACGACAGUUCCUAACCAGCAAUCAGAGUUGCAAUUCUAUCAACGAUAUACCAUGUGAUAAAUAAUACUGUCGUACUACUUAUACACACAUGACACUUGUUACACCAUGCCAGAUUAUUAAAUCAAAAUCUCUCAGAGAAUAGAUCAGUUCGGCAGUUGCGUGCUACCACUGAAGAAAGUUCGAUUUUGACACCAUCCCCUACCACAAGAUAUGAUUUAGAUUUGAACCUUGACCAUCCUUUAGCAUCAAUCAUCAUGUGACCAUCCUUUGUACUUAUAGUAUAUUGAGCAGGUUCAUUCACACCAAGACUGCGCAUGGUAAGAGAAACUUGGCCACGGUCACCCGGAUUGUUGAACGACCCCCUUGUUGCUCUAGGAAUUCUCUGUUGCAAACAAGAAGGCAUACACAAACAGUUAGAUCAACACCGUGAAUCAUGUGAAACAACAUGGAAAGAAAAAAGAACGAAGCACUUGGGCGGCCAAUGCUUACCAAGAAGGUGGACAUGUCGGUUUUUGUAAGGACUUUGGUAUAUGAAGUGUGAACUGCAUCCCAGUCUAUUGCCGAUGCAACUGCUCGUUCGGUUGCCGCUGCACGGGCCGGAGGAGAUGCAAGUGCAAGUGUUGGUGCAGGUGCCGAAGUCGUUGCUAGUGCCCGUGCCGGUGCGACUAGUAGUGCUGCUGCUGGGUGCUCCUUGUAGAGCUAGUGCCAGUGUCUGAGCAGGUGCCGGUGUCGAUGCCCGGUCCUCCGGUAGAUCAGCCUGAUCCGCUGAUGCGGUCGGUGCCCAAUCGUCAGCUUGAUCAGACUGAGCUACUUCCGCUGUUAGUGCUAGAGCAACUGCCCGUGCUCGAUCCGUUGCUGAAGGUGGUACCGAUGUGCGAGACAGUGGCGAUCGUGUCUGGUCUGCCAUGAUCAGCUUUCUAACUUGACUAGGCUCCAUGACCGUGAUCCAGUUUUUUUCCUUCAUUUCUUUUAAACGCGAGAAGGACUAAUUGUGGCAUUUUUGUUAAACCAAAUUACAGUUCAUCGUAGGCAUUCAGCUUGUACUCAGACAACAGACUGAUUCAAUUUUUUCUAGUAAUAUAAGUGAUGGAUAGCGCCUUCAUUACUGACACGACAUAAGAAGUAAAACCUGCAAAAAUAGCCAUCAUAUAGCAAACCAAACGGGUUAUUCUGUGAUGAAUGUCACAUGGCAAAACCUACAUCGUAAAAUUGCAGGAAAAUAAUGAAAACAUGACAUUAAAUCAAAGAUAUUUAGAUAGUAAAUCAAUAAGAUUUACUUGAUGUGACACGAGUGAAUCCUUACUAGGAAAUCACUAUGUUGAAGUACUAAACAGAAGAUUGAUCGUCCAACUACGGGUGGCAUGCAAGGCCCCCGCCUACUCCCACAAGUAGGACAAUCCAUAGGUCAUGACAAAUCGUAUGGACCGAAAAUCCAUGGGACUGGAAAUCCUUGUGGGUGCAAUGAACCCUGCAAUGCAUACAGAUAUUGGAGUACAACCAUAAUUGAUAAACCCUUCUCACAAAAAAGAUGAUCUGGAUACUUCAAAAUAUACAGACUGAACUGAGUGGACAGACAUUAACAUGGACUAUUCUCAAGACUCACCACACACCAAAAGCGGCAUUACUAAACAAUACAGGGUUCACUAACACAAAUCAAGUACUGAACAAAAGUACUUACUACAGACAAGCAAAGUUGCACGAAUUAAACUCUGCAGACUAUGUCUUGCCACCGACCUACGGGAUGAACCCUCUCAUAAUUGACUAGGCCAUGGACUUCGUGAGAGAUGUCUACCUGCACCAUCACCAUCUCAUGAACCUUGGAGAACCUAACAGAGUGGUCUUUCCGAACAUGAUGAUGAAGACAGGCCGCAUCAGAUUUUUCGGGAAGCUUUACAAGAACCACACCCUUCGUAAUCAAAGGCACAACCAGGAAAUUGUUGUGGUCAAGUACAGCCUCGAGAACAUGCCUAGCGACAAUGCUACAGGAAAACACUAGUCAGGGCACAUGGCGACAAGGACACAGCAGCUAUAUAGUUUAGCAGUAGAACUCGUCCUCAGGUCUACCAGUUCACACGGCAUGACUUUGAGAACUUCAUCUCCACCGCAGACCUGGUUCUAAUUCAAACAGAAACCAUAUUCUUUUACUACCUCCGUUCAGAAAUAUAAGAUGAUUUUGGAUAUUAUACUCCACAUAUGACUACAUAUACGCACAAAAAUGAGUGAACAAAGACACUGGAACAUGUCUUCAAAGGCAUGAGAGCAGAGGGAUUACUUGCAAUAUCCAUAACACAAGUUACUAAGGCAAAUAUACCCUCUUCAAAGGUAGCAUUGAUGUUCAUAAAGUACUCCCUUCGUCCCAAAAUUCUUGUCUUAGAUUUGUCUAGAUAUGGAUGUAUCAAGUCACAUUUUAGUAUUAGAUAGAUCCGUAUCUAGACAAAUCUAAGACAAGAAUUUUGGGACAGAGCGAGUAGUUGAAAGUCAUCUAUAGGAAAUCAGUAUCAACCUCUCGCAUGUUUUGGUCAAAAGAGGAAUUUAGAACCGUCAUUUGGCACACAACAAUCACAUGCAAGAUCACCCAGAAAGUUGUACUACUAGUACUAGUACUGCGUGCUAGAUGAAAAAACACGAUCAAGAUCGAGAAAAAGAUCGUCAAGAAGAGAUAGUACCUGGACUUGCUUAAUGAGGGAUCCCAGAGAGGGGGGCUUGGACAUGGCGAUGGCUUUGAGCUUGUCCGCGGUAGUCCCGGUAGGGGUGCUUGCGCUUGUUCGUAGCCUCGACGGUUUUGUCUAGAGCCAUAGACUUCACGUCAGCCGGUGCUCCAGCGUCCAUCCAAGAGAGGAAGCUGAGAGAGAAGAGUGAAAUGAGGAACGAGAUGAUGGAGAAGCGAAGCGAGUGGGGGUUUUCUUCAAGAGAGGAAGCUGAGAGAGAAGAGUGAAAUGAUGGUUGCUUCGUCCGUCCAACUUACUGCUGGAAAGGAGGGGGUUUUGUGAUUUGACAGCUCAUUGGGUAUUACCAUGGUGCUUCGAUCGGGGUAGUCUACCGUCACUCUACAACGAAGUAAUUUAGUGCAUGGCUGGUGGACCCCGAUGUUGGCUGUCCCACACGUCGGCGAAAGUGAGUAAUUUAGUGCAUGGCUGGAGGAGGAUCCGCACGGUAGAGCGUGUCCACUAUUUUUCUGAAGAAAAAAAAUGAUUACAACAAGCGUUUCCACUCUUACGACGAAGGAGUGCGAAACACGGCAGCCACUUGAACAUACACAAUGCUCCUACUACUAGGCAUGUGCAGUGGUUCAUACGUCAGUACUACAUAAUCUUGUUACUAGUGUAGUAAGCUAUUACAAUAACAAAUGAUGUUGUGCGCAUGUCAGCUGUAUGAACAGUAGUGUAGUAACAUAGUACCGCUUUUUCGACUGUUCGGUCGAGAAUGAACUGUGAGAUCAAUGUUAACAGAACUAGGUCUACAACGCACGGAGAGUGCGGUGCUACAGUACUCUAGAAAACAUGAACCAUAUGAAGCACGAAUCAGUGUUAGGCAGGGUGUAUGAAUGGUGCACGGGAUGGGAGCAAAAGUUCCCUUCUUGACCCACUUUUGGGUGUUUGGCAGAGUGCAUGAAGGGUGCAUGAGUCCACACUAGUAGGUUAACACGAAUAAAUGAAGAGGGAACGACUAUAUUGAGAUGAGAAUGCAACCAAACAUACCCACACGCUUUGUGCUACAGUGACUGAUCUACACCGUCUGAGUUUGAUCCAACGGUCAUGUUGUGCCGAGACAUGGGCAUGCCCAUGCAGAGGGAGCCUAAACACCACCGAAGUCCCUCUGCCUCUUGAGGCGCAUGACAUUGGUGAUGCAUGGUGCAAUCGCCCGCAGAGCCCGCUCCCGGUCGACGGGAGCCCGCUCGUCAAAGAUGGUGUCCAAUGGCACGAAUGGAUUCCGGUAACGGAGCCCUGAGAGGAUUCGCCCGGCAACGGCGACGGCAGCCUGCAACCCCUCCUUGUCCAGCUCCGCCUCCACCAUCACGUGGAGAUGGCUCAGCUCCUCGGAGAUAUAGGUGAAGAAGGAGACCAGGUCAGGAAGCCGCAGCUUGUUGAAGUCGAAGGGGUGGUCGAACGGGUUUAGCCUGACAGCCGGCAUGGUCGCGCUGGCACGAUGGUAGGCAUUGCGCAGCCGCAACACAUGCAUGGCAACUUGGUCCACCAAGUGGCUGAGGCGAUCCUGGACCUCGUGACGAUCAGCCCGCUCGCGCUCCAUCCGGCUCCCCUGACGGCCUAUCGUAUCUCCCGCUUUAUGCAGCAACGCCGCCGACGCCUCGAGCAUCUUUAUGGUGGACACCUACCGCUUUUGAAGCUCCAUGAACUCCCGCACAUAACGGAGGAGCAUGGCACUGCUCUCCUCCUUGAGCUCACAGAGCUCCACGUCCUUGGCCCAGAGCUCCGCAUCGUUGGCCCGGAGCUCCUGUGUCAGGCGCCUCACCUCGGACUCCAUGAUCUGCUGCGCCGCCGUGGCACCAGGUAGAAGCAAUGGGGAGAGGAAGCAAAUGGGGCGAAAUGGCUGAUAGGCAAUGCAAUCUACGGGAAGGCGGAGGGAGCCAGCCGAGGAGCGUGGAAUCUUUUGGUUUUCACCAUGGGAAAACACCAGUCGACAACUUCUUACAUCAGGGAGCAGUGGGUUUUACAGGUAGAGUCAUCGUGACUAAUUGCUGCCGCGCCUGCUGCCGUCAAUCAAAAAAUUAAAAAUCCUACCGCGCCUGCUCCCGUCAAUCAAAAAAUAAAAAAUCCUGUCACACCCAAACACCAGAGCAACGCCGCGGUGGAUAUUUAAAUUUACCUGCCAGCAAGGAGAUAAAAAAGUGGGUGAAAAAACAAAUGUGGCGGCGACCUAGCUAAUCGGUCGCACUAGCCCAACUAGCUCGCCACCGUGCUUCACUGAUGUACUUGGCGGAAAGGUGGUCUUUCGUGAUUUGAUGACUCAUUUACUUGCUUCAGCGCUAUGACCGAGGAGGACCCAGAAAACGCACGGUAGGGCGUCCCACGUCUCGGCAAGGAAGAAUAUAUGUGUGCACCACCUGGGAGGACCCCUAAAUUGCGCAGUAGGGUGUGCCACGUCUCGGCACGGAGGAAAAAUGUGCAUGUAAAAAUAUACUAUAUCAGACAUAGUACCUAUGGUUCGACCUUGGGACCCAGCCAGUUGGUCGAAAACACCCCACUAGCCACACAACUUCAUCAUGCUAACAUGGCACGGAGGAUAGGUGUGGUUAGCUCCGUCUCGACCAACCACAACGUCUCUUGUUCUAGGCGAUUCUUCUAUUUUCCAAGCUUUUUUAGUUAUAAUAACCCCACGGCAAGCUAGCACCGCUCUUCAUGUGUGCCCGUGCAAAGGUUAGAUGAUGAAGAUGAGAGAGAGAUCGAAGACCUGGGACCCACCAGUAAGUGAAUCAACGGUCAUGGUCAUGCACGUGUUGACGAGGCACUCCCUCUACUCUACUCAACGUAAUACUGUAUAAAAUCAAGUUAUGAAACAAAGCCAACAACCAUUUGUUGUUUCAGGCUAUCGACUUACGCUUUGUAGUCCAGGCUGCCAGUUCAAAUCUCGUCUUUCAGAAUUGUCAGUUUUAGGUCCAAAUUUGAUUAAUGACAAGUGGGACUGAGGGAGUCCUGGAUUAGGGGGUAUCCGGACAGCCGGACUAUGUACUUUGGCUGGACUGUUGGACCGUGAAGAUACAAGACUCAAGACUUCAUCCCGUAUCCGGAUGGGACUCUCCUUUGCGUGGAAGACAAUCUUGGCGAUCCGGAUAAUAGAUUUCCUUCUUUGUAACCGACUAUGUGUAAACCCUAGCCCUCUCAGGUGUCUAUAUAAACCAGAGGGUUUAGUCCCUAUUGGACAAUCAUAAUCAUCAUAGGCUAGCUCCCAGGGUUUAGCCUCUACGAUCUCGUGGUAGAUCAACUCUUGUAAUACUUAUAUCGUCAAUAUCAAUCAAGCAGGAAGUAGGGUUUUACCUCCAUCAAGAGGGCCCGAACCUGGGUAAAACAUCGUGUCCCUUUGCUCUUGUUACCAUUAGCCUUAGACGCAUAGAUCGGGACCCCCUACCCGAGAUCCGCGGGUUUUGACACCGACAUUGGUGCUUUCAUUGAGAGUUCCUCUGUGUCGUGGCUACAAGGCUUGAUGGCUCCUUCAAUCAACAACAACACGGUCCAGGGUGAGACUUUUCUCCCCGGACAUAUCUUCGUGUUCGGCGGCUUCGCACUGCGGGCCAAUUCGCUUGGCCAUCUGGAGCAAAUCGACAGCUACGCCCCUGGCCAUCAGGUCAGAUUUGGAAACUUGAACUACACGGCUAUCACACCCUGAUUUUCAUGCCACAACACUUAAGUCAAUAAAUCAUGCUAAAAUGUGGUUUGACAAAAACUUUUGAGUGUUUUGUCUUUGCUUUGAUUGAAUGUGUGUCUGCUGUUUGCAAGUGCUCUAAAAAUCAAAUAAAUCCUCCAACUACUAUACUUCAUUUCCUUGCCCCAAACUUCUGCCCAAUGAUCAUGCCAUGUGUAUAGAGCAAUAUAGUAUUUUCUUACAAAAAUAAUUUGGCCAAAAAGUAUUUUCAAAAAUUAGUUUUCAAAAACCCCCUGAAUUGAGGCUUGCACUGCAAAUACUUAAUUAAGGGCAGUAAAAAUAUUUAUAAAAAUAUAUUUGACUCCUAUUAGAUAUAGAAUACCCAGAAACCACAAAAAUAUAAUUUUAAAAGUUAUUUUCCUAUUUUAUUUAAAGGCUUUUUCUUAAGGCCAGAAAUGGUCUUUAAUAGGGAAAAAUUACUUUAGUGCUUUAAAAAUAUUUUGGAAAAACCUAGGGAAACUCAGUGGACAUAUAUUGUCCAUAUAUAAGAGUUUCAACACAUGGUCAUGUUCAAAAUAUUGGUCAAAUCCCUCAAAAACCCUUUCUGGAUAUUUCAAGCUUUUGAAAUAUUUACAAAGGAAAUAUUCCCCAAAAAUUCCAAGAAAAUUCUAUCAUGUCACAUAUGACAUAUUUGGUGAUCUUGCCAAGUAUCAUGUCUUGGAGAACAAGAUAACAUCAUCAAAUCCUCUCAAAACCAUUUCUGUCCAUUUUAAAGUUUGAGAAACUUUACAUUGCCAAACGUGUCCAAAUAUUCUCAAACCUUGUGAACAUUCUCCAAUGGUCUAAUUAUUCAUCUUGACCAAGUGGCACAAGUUGGAGAACAAGUUAUAUUGAUCAAAGUGCCCCAAAACCCUCUCUGACCAGAACCAAAUUUGAACAACUCUACAUUGGCAACCUUCUCCUUUUGAUCUCAACUUUUGUGGACAUGUUCAAAUCCUCAAAUGAUGACACUAAACCAAGUGGUGCAUCAAGGAGAAUAGAUUUGCAUGACUAAAUCUUGGCAAAGUCAUUUCUGCUGAUUUCUAGGGUUCACCAAAGUUACAUUGGCUACUUUGCCCAAGUGAGCUCAAACUUGGUGGAACACCCUAAUUCUAUGUUCCAUUCCAUCCUGUUAGUUCUCAUGGCAAGUGGAAUUAAUUUUCUUGCCCAAACCAUUAUCAAACACCUUGUGACACUUUACCAAAAUGCCAUUUUUGAUCUCUUCCACUCUUCUCCAUGGCCUCUAAUUUUUACCACAGCUCCUACUAGCCCCCUUUCACCUCCAGUAACAAUGGCUGUACCUCAGCUCAAUGAUUGAGGGGUGAAACCACCUCAUUUACCCCACUGGACAGCCCCUUUCCCUCGCUUCCUCACCUCCCUCCUCCCUCCAGGGGCCAUCCAGGGCAUCCAAUGCCCCUCCCCAUUUGUUUACUCCCCCCUAGAGCCCCCAGACACUAGAGGACAAGCCUAGAGCGCUGGAAAAAUGGCCAUGCCGGCCAUAUGCACGCUCUGGAGCGCGCUACAGUGCGCUCCCGCACUGUAGCCGCCCCCUGCCAAGCACUCCCGGCCACCUCGGGCCUCCCCAGCGCGCCCGACGAGGUGCCUCGACGUCCGCAACACGCCACGCCCCUGGCCCCCACCUCCUUCUCCCUCCUCUCGCCCCAGCUCGCACGCGCGGCGACCGCCCGAGCGCACCAGUGAACAUGCUCACACGCGCGGUGCCUCAGGCCCCCUGCUCCCUCUCUCUCUUCUUCCCCUGGGCGUAGUCGACCCCCAUGAACACCCCAGACACAACCAAACAGGCCCCCGUGACCCGUGGCGACGGCAACGAGCUUGCUGGCGCACAGGUCCACGGUGGACCACCGUGCGGCUAUUUAAGCCCGCCCCAGGUCUCUCUCGUGCCAUCCAACUCCUUCUCACACCCCCAAGCACGCGCCCGCACCACCCAAUCAGUCUCGGAGAGCUUCUAUGCUCGGGAUCGAUCGGAGCUCCGCCGCCUCGGUCGGCCGUUGAUCUCGUGGUACAAGCCUUCUUUGCCCUCUCUCUCUCUCGAUCUGGAACCGCCUCAUCUCUCUGACCAUUUCCCCUCUCUCCCCCGCGUCGUUUGCAGCCGAAAUCAACCGGGGCGAACUCCUCCCGAAGCUUUGCCGCCGUCCUCCUCGUCGCCGGCGAACCCCUGCGCUCCGGCGACCGCCUCCAGCUCCACCCGAACGGCGACUCCUCCCUGAGCACGCCGGUGCCCUCGGAUCGCCUCGCCGUCGACCACAGUGACGCCGGUGAGCUCGCCUUCCUCUCUGGACGGAGGUUGACGACGACGGCCGUGGGGCCCGUCGGUCAGCCUCACAUCCUAACAGGGGGCCCUGCCUGUCAGGUUUAAAACUCCACCGCGUGCCUGCUCGCUCGCGUAAGUGGAGGCGGGCCGCGCUACUCCCGCGUUUCCACGGUGAAAGCGCCCUCCCGUGAAGCCGCCUUCGACGUGGCCCCUGUCGCCCGCGUGGCCGAGCAGCUGGGCCGGCCCAAUGCGCUGUGGCGCUAUGCUGCGCUCGGUGCGCAGUAUAGGUAUAACCCCUUCCUUUGUCUUUUCUUUAUUCCAGUCAACUUCAAAAUUCCAUAAACAAUUCAAAUUAACUCCAAAUUUGAUGAUUCAAAUUUCUAGUGACUCUAUAAAUCAUGAUCUACCUGUUGGUGCAACAUGCACAUUUUUCCGGAGACUUUUUCUUCACAAAUAUUUAUCAAAUCCCCAUUUUCCUAUUUCUGUGAUGAACUUUAGAAAAUCACAGAAGGCUCAAAAUUGAUCCAAAUUCCAUGAUUCAAGUUCCUAGGUGUUCCUAAGUUCAUAACUUAGUCUAUGAACAUUUUUAUUAAUACUUUCUGUACCACAUAAAUUAUUGAGCCAUUUCUUCAUAUUUAUCAACCUUGCAAAUUCAUAGGAAAUUCAUUUGAACUCCAAAUCCAGUGAAACCAUUCCUAGAUGCUUCUAAAAUCAUCCUUUGUUAAAUGGGUGCCUUUGCUCAUUUUUCAAAAUAAUUCUUCUGUACACAUCUUGAAAUUCCAUAAACUCCUUGAUUCCAUCAUAUCGAAAUGUUUAGAAAUAUCCAUAGAUCCACUUCCAUUGAAAUCACUUUGGUCAUUCCUCAUAUGACCAGAGGUAUCCUAGAAAAGUCCAACUCUCAUUUUUAGAGCACUUUUUUUUUCAGUCUUGCUGUGUUGCUUAUUAUGGUUGCUUUCAACGAUAGUUGACGAAGUAGACGAAAUGCUUGGAGUUGGACCAGAGAUAUUUGAAGACCUCGAAGACUUUGUUAAAACAGGCAAGCAGCCCAUUGACCAUGUCUAUGAAACCUUUUUAUGCAUGUCAUAUAGUACCUUAUCAUUGUUGCAACGGAAUCAUGAUGGGGUGAUAACCACUUCGAUGGUUGCCACCAUACUUCCUCGUUGAUACUUGCAUUGUGCAUGACCCUAGCUUCCUAUGAGGGUUAUGCCGGUGGGAGUAGAUAGGAUGCUAAGGUAGUGCUACGCAAAAAGGGACGGGUAUAUGCAUGGUGAAGGAGGCAAAGUAUUUUCAAAAGACUUUUUCGAAAACCCCGUCGUGUGCCCCUUAUGCCCGAGGGAGAUGAUGAAAUGGGUAACCACUUGAUGACGAAGUGGUGUACCGAGGCAAGUGUGUGUUGUUUUCGAAAACGGAUUAGAUUUAAGAUUUGUUGACUGUCCCAACCUUACAUGCGCAACCACUCUACCCUUAUAUGGGAAAGGGCAUUAUUGAUUACCUAGGCCGAUACUAGCUUGGAGCCCGCAUUACUAGUGACGGGGGAGAGUUGGUGCUCUCUCUCGGGACGGGGUCGUGCCAGGUAGGGCGGCCAUGACUGUUUUCACAGGGCACCGAACACACCGUUGGUACCCCGUGCUUGUGGUAUGUGAUGAAUAUCGGAGCGAUGCUCCACAAUUUUAAGAUGUGAAAUGUUGGGUACGGGGGUUACUACCAAUCGAGUGGACUCCAUGUUAGUGUCGUCUAGGGAAAGGUAGUGAUCGGGUGCUUACCCCAGGUACUUGAGGUACCGCGGGUCGUGGAUGACACGGAAGUUCCCCGGAUCUUGUGGGUAUAGUGUGCAACCUCUGCAGAGUGUAAAACUAUUCGAAUAGCCGUGUCCACGGUCAAGGACAGUUGGGCGGUGCUGCUUAAACUACGUCCAGAGUUUUCAACCGUGUGUGUGUGUGUUGAUGAAACUACUUGGGUCAAGUCAAGGGACUUGACAUGAUUGAGAUGGGUUGGUGCCCACUCUAUUUAUGUUAGAUGGGUUGGUGCCCACUCUAUUUAUGUUGAUAUCUAUAACCUGUCCUCAUGGUUACUUGAAUUCUCUUGAUGCAUGCCUUACAAAGUUGUUGAACAUGACAUUGCACUCAAAACUAGCUUUCUGCAAAAAUUUACCUAUAUCAAACAUUGUUGUAUCUUGAACCAAAACAUGGGUUGCUUGCGAGUACAUUCAAACGUACUCACUGGCUUGUCCCUGGCUAUUUACUUGGCCAGGCUUGAAAGAACAGGAUAUGAUGAAGAAUACUUCGGCGACGAGCAUGCGAACUAGGACGUUUCCCAGUCAGAAUGCCUGUAGGGUUAAGGUAGAUGGCAUGGGUUCUACUUAUCGACGAAGAUUUCCGCUGCGAUGAUACACUCAAGACUUGACCAUAAUGGUCCUACUUGUGUAAAACGGUAUGUAUGGAUGUAAGACUCUUGUUAUUCAGCUUCUGUGUGUUCAGUGAGCAUUGAUCUUUGGGAUCACUGUACACAUGCAUUCGGUGAUCACGACUUAUGAGUCGGGGUCCCCACAGAGCUGGUAUCAGAGCCAUCCUGACUGUAGGAAGCCUUAGUUAGCAUGGUCAUUGGUUAGGGUAAAACUAUUUCCAAAACUACUACUAGUUUUCAAAACUAUCUAUACUUCUCUUCCCUUCUCAGUUUUUCGAAAACUAAGGUAUACUUUCCUUAUUGAUCUCUUCCCCUUCAAAACCUUUGGUCGCUAGAACCCUUAUGCCCCUGACCACUGGAUUCCUUGUAAUCCUCGUGGAUAAUCUAGAAGGAAGAUGCCUUGCCAGACGUUCACCCACAUCUCCUGAACACAAGAUUGGCGACAACACAACAAGACAAUACCAACAGAAGAUACAUCCUCAAGGAACGAGGACCUGAAGACCCAGGAGAUGGUGACACCCUUGACACUGCCCCGAGAUGAUGCAACAUUAGCCUACGAUGAUCAGGGCAUAGGAUAUGCAAGAUCAUGAUAUACAUUGCUAAUAGAGUAACCCUGUCACUACCGUUGAUGUAUCGGCAACCACCGAUGGAUGAGAACCUAGCCAUUUGGUCCGCCUCACCAUAGUGAGCAGGAAAACGGUUCUCCUCAUCCCCCGCUCUUGGUGUCGAUGUUGUCAUCAACGUAACCGACAUGAUGGACCUCUAUUAUGCCUUGAUACUGUCAUUGCAUAAGGGAUUACCUACCUGGUACCAUCGACGGCUUAGAAGACAAAAAGGGAUCGUCGUGAUUAAGAAGACAAUAGAAGACCCAGUCAAUGCCAGUUACGAGGAGCCACCUUCACCCCAUCACUUCAACAGGCGAGAAGUUGUCGAAGAUUCUUCAGGCUCAACCCAGAUCGUUCCAUCAAACAAGAGACGUAGCAACACCUGAGGAAAACUCAGAAGACUGCAUGAGGCACAAGGCACGACUACUGAGUCCGAGAACCCCUAGGGUAGGAUGAGUCGUGUACCCCCUAUGCGCAGUCGAGUCCGUAUGAUAGUUCGAAUAGAACCAUGAUUGUGUGUUGCUUGUUUUUUUAUUUGUCUGUGUUUUGAUAUAGGUCGCACUUUUGCCCUAGGCAACAAGUACGCGCAUAUAUCACCUGCCUUAUUUGUUGUUUGUGUUUGGCCUUUUUGGCACUUGUUUGUUGCACCUGCACUAUAGAACCCCCUUUAGGCAUCCCACCUCCUCUAUGCUACUUUUCACUCUCGUCUCUCUCUCCUCAACUGAAGACCAGCAAGAGAAGAUGCACCAAGGAUUCCACCUCGGCGACCAACAAGCACUGAAGACUUUUGCUACAACCUCCUCGACCAAAUGCAACCCCGUAGAAUUAUGUUUUCCCCUCAAGAUUAGAGACCCUUUCCAAGACCCUUCGAGGCUUCACGAGAUACCCCAGCUCGAAACCUUAACCAUGAGCUUAACCUACGGAAUUGCAAGAGAACCUGUUAAGCCGACGUAACCUUGCUUAUCACUGGGUUCAUUAUGGAACUAGUGGACAUAGUGAAUGAGCACAUUAUCAUCCUAAGAUGCCACCAAAACUGGCGAUGCCAUAGGGAAGACCAAUUUAAGGAUAUAGGAACAGAGGACAAAUGACUUGAUGAGUUUAUAUCAAUGACUUGAGGAAUUAUAUGAGACUAUUUGGUGGAUUAUGAGGCUUUGUUGUUGGUAGAUGAACUUGGUGGGAUCAUGAGUAUAGAUUAGCAUAGCUUUCAUUACCCCUGAGUAAAUCAGAUUUAGUAGGAUAAUUGUGUUCGCAAGCUGAAAUUUUGGAAGUAUUUGGAUUUGUCUUAGGCAGGGGAUAUUGAUAGGUGAUAGUUGAUAUGACGAUAAUGACUUGGGGGAAAGUGAAGAAAUUCUCGUUGGACACAAGAUUUGGAUUUAAAUAGGUGAUCCUAGUUGAAUAUAGAUGUUGAGUAAGUCUACAUGGUUCAGAGUAAAUUGGAUUUAGACUGAUGAUCUCCAUCAUGAUACCAUGUUUCCUGGAGGACAAUAAACUAGGAGAUUGGAUUAAUUGUCGGAGUUGAUUUAGAGUUCUAUAUAAGCUUGACCUUGGAGUUUACAUGACCAUGAUAAUGGAAAUUGGUGGACUGACUAUAGUAAGGUAGCCUUCCCAGUAUUUAUGGAUUAUAGGGUAUUAGAAGAUCGUGUGGAACACCAUAGAGAUUGGAUUUGAAGGACUACUAGGUCAUGUAAUGAUUGGUGUAGUUAAUGGGUUGUUGGAGUUGAUUCAUAGGAAGGAAACAAGAUUUUGGAGUGGCAUACAACGUGUUUCCUUAAGAUAGAUGCACUAGCAUGGACCUUGGAGGAAUAGGAUGAGCACUUGGAUUGUCCUGUUUUAUUCCAGCUUAGCAGCUUAUAUGUUCUACCCAUGGAUUUUUAGGGGUAGACAUACAUAUGAUUUUUGGGGAUUGUAGACAUAUAUGAUUUUGUUAGACCUCCUCUCGAGAGCCAUGAGGAUAUGAAUCACAUGAGUGAUGAUUGGAGUUGACCUAUACAAGAUGAUUCUUUUGGUAAUAUGAGGCGAAGACUAGGUAGAACAAUUGGCAUCUCAGGAACCGUGCUUAAGGAUAAAGGUGACAAACGUUCGCUCGCACACUAGAAUCCUUGAAACCCUUAAGCCCUACCAAGCUACAACAUGGUCGGACCAUGACCGUGGGUCUCGACUCUAGAUCAAGAAAACCUUGGACCAUACUCAACCCUGACCACCACUAAUUCCCCAGCCUACUUUAUGUACCCCAUGAACAAAGUCUUCAUGGAGUGCUUAGACAAGACAGUUGUCAUCAUCAUUUGGUGACCUACCUGUCCACCCAAAGAUGGAAGAAGGACCGUUCAGCUAGAUAGAAGACGAUUGAAGGCCGCGAUGUCAAGAAGGAAGAACUACACCUACCACCAUCAUCAAGAAGUAAAUCUCUGCAUCGAAGACCAGGCUUAUCUGCAAGCCACUUCUCUCAAGGGAACCAAGCAUUUCCAUGUCAAAGGAAAGCUCGCCCCAAGAUUCAUUGGCCCCCUUCGAGAUCACUCCAAGAUGUAACAACCCCCUCCGAGAUCACUUCAAGACGAAGAGUAGACAGAUACCAACUAGAUUUACCACCUGACUCACCCACUGUGCACAGCGUUUUUCCACACGACACCACUCCGGAAACAUUUUCAACUUCCUAACUAGCCCGGUCUCUACAAGGACCUUGACCACCGAGCCAUUGACCCCUAGCCCAAUUUAACCUACCACGAGCUACCCAUUAGUAACCUAGAUCAAGAAGAGCAUCAUACACGAAGCCACACCAUCAAGUACCUCAAUCUCAAUGGAGCACUACACGGAAGCGGGAGCAACAUGAGAACGUGAAGACUACCCCAAAUCCAAGAUUCCAUACUCCUUUCCGCGCCUAGUCUGGGAAUUUCGGGGACGAGAUUCUUGUAAGGGGGGUAGGUCUGUCACAUCCUGAUUUUCAUGCCACAACACUUAAGUCAAUAAAUCAUGCUAAAAUGUGGUUUGACAAAAACUUUUGAGUGUUUUGUCUUUUCUUUGAUUGAAUGUGUGUCUGCUGUUUGCAAGUGCUCUAAAAAUCAAAUAAAUCCUCCAACUCCUAUACUUCAUUUCCUUGCCCCAAACUUCUGCCCCAUGAUCAUGCCAUGUGUAUAGAGCAAUAUAGUAUUUUCUUACAAAAAUAAUUUGGCCAAAAAGUAUUUUCAAAAAUUAGUUUUCCAAAAACCCCCUGAAUUGAGGCUUGCACUGCAAGUACUUAAUUAAGGGCAGUAAAAAUAUUUAUAAAAAUAUAUUUGACUCCUAUUAGAUAUAGGAUACCCAGAAACCACAAAAAUAUAAUUUUAAAAGUUAUUUUCCUAUUUUAUUUAAAGGCUUUUUCUUAAGGCCAGAAAUGGUCUUUAAAAGGGAAAAAUUAUUUUAGUGCUUUAAAAAUAUUUUGGAAAAACCUAGGGAAACUCAGUGGACAUAUAUUGUCCAUAUAUAAGAGUUUCAACACAUGGUCAUGUUCAAAAUAUUGGUCAAAUCCCACAAAAACCCUUUCUGGAUAUUUCAAGCUUUUGAAAUAUUUACAAAGGAAAUAUUCCCCAAAAAUUCCAAGAAAAUUCUAUCAUGUCACAUAUGACAUAUUUGGUGAUCUUGCCAAGUAUCAUGUCUUGGAGAACAAGAUAACAUCAUCAAAUCCUCUCAAAACCAUUUCUGUCCAUUUUAAAGUUUGAGAAACUUUACAUUGCCAAACGUGUCCAAAUAUUCUCAAACCUUGUGAACAUUCUCCAAUGGUCUAAUUAUUCAUCUUGACCAAGUGGCACAAGUUGGAGAACAAGUUAUAUUGAUCAAAGUGCCCCAAAACCCUCUCUGACCAGAACCAAAUUUGAACAACUCUACAUUGGCAACCUUCUCCUUUUGAUCUCAACUUUUGUGGACAUGUUCAAAUCCUCAAAUGAUGACACUAAACCAAGUGGUGCAUCAAGGAGAAUAGAUUUGCAUGACUAAAUCUUGGCAAAGUCAUUUCUGCUGAUUUCUAGGGUUCACCAAAGUUACAUUGGCUACUUUGCCCAAGUGAGCUCAAACUUGGUGGAACACCCUAAUUCUAUGUUCCAUUCCAUCCUGUUAGUUCUCAUGGCAAGUGGAAUUAAUUUUCUUGCCCAAACCAUUAUCAAACACCUUCUGACACUUUACCAAAAUGCCAUUUUUGAUCUCUUCCACUCUUCUCCAUGGCCUCUACUUUUUACCACAGCUCCUCCUAGCCCCCUUUCACCUCCAGAAACAAUGGUUGUACCUCAGCUCAAUGAUUGAGGGGUGAAACCACCUCAUUUAUCCCACUGGACAGCCCCUUUCCCUCUCUUCCACACCUCCCUCCUCCCUCCAGUGGCCAUCCAGGGCAUCCAAUGCCCCUCCCCAUUUGUUUACUUCCCCCUAGAGCCCCCAGACACUAGAGGCCAAGCCAGAGCGCUGGAAAAAUGGCCAUGCCGGCCAUAUGCACGCUCUGGAGCGCGCUACAGUGCGCUCCCGCACUGUAGCCGCCCCCUGCCAAGCACUCCCGGCCACCUCGGGCCUCCCCAGCGCGCCCGACGAGGUGCCUCGACGUCCGCAGCACGCCACGCCCCUGGCCCCCACCUCCUUCUCCCUCCUCUCGCCCCAGCUUGCUCGCGCGGCGACCGCCCGAGCGCACCAGUGAACAUGCUCACACGUGCGGUGCCUCUGGCCCCCUGCUCCCUCUCUCUCUUCUUCCCCUGGGCGUAGUCGACCCCCAUGAACACCCCAGACACAACCAAACAGGCCCCGGUGACCCGUGGCGACGGCAACGAGCUAGCCGGCGCACAGGUCCAUGGUGGACCACCAUGCGGCUAUUUAAGCCCGCCCCAGGUCUCUCUCGUGCCAUCCAACUCCUUCUCACACCCCCAAGCACGCGCCCGCACCACCCAAUCAGUCUCGGAGAGCUUCUAUGCUCGGGAUCGACCGGAGCUCCGCCGCCUCGGUCGGCCGUUGAUCUCGUGGUACAGGCCUUCUUUGCCCUCUCUCUCUCUCUCGAUCUGGAACCGCCUCACCUCUCUGACCAUUUCCCCUCUCUCCCCCGCGUCGUUUGCAGCCGAAAUCAACCGGGGCGAACUCCUCCCGAAGCUUUGCCGUCGUCCUCCUCGUCGCCGGUGAACCCCUGCGCUCCGGCGACCGCCUCCACCUCCACCCGAAUGGCGACUCCUCCCUGAGCACGCCGGUGCCCUCGGAUCGCCUCGCCGUCGACCACAGCGACGCCGGUGAGCUCGCCGUCCUCUCUGGACGGAGGUUGACGACGACGGCCGUGGGGCCCGUCGGUCAGCCUCACAUCCUGACAGGGGGCCUUGCCUGUCAGGUUUAAAACUCCACCGCGCGCCUGCUCGCUCGCGUAAGUGGAGGCGGGCCGCGCUACUUCCGCGUUUCCAUGGUGAAAGCGCCCUCCCAUGAAGCCGCCUUCGACGUGGCCCCUGUCGCCCGCGUGGCCGAGCAGUUGGGCCGGCCCAAUGCGCUGUGGCGCUAUACUGCGCUCGGUGCACAGUAUAGGUAUAACCCCUUCCUUUGUCUUUUCUUUAUUCCAGUCAACUUCAAAAUUCCAUAAACAAUUCAAAUUAACUCCAAAUUUGAUGAUUCAAAUUUCUAGUGACUCUAUAAAUCAUGAUCUACCUGUUGGUGCAACAUGCACAUUUUUCCAGAGACUUUUUCUUCACAAAUAUUUAUCAAAUCCCCAUUUUCCUAUUUCUGUGAUGAACUUUAGAAAAUCACAGAAGGCUCAAAAUUGAUCCAAAUUCCAUGAUUCAAGUUCCUAGGUGUUCCUAAGUUCAUAACUUAGUUUAUGAACAUUUUUAUUAAUACUUUCUAUACCACAUAAAUUAUUGAGCCAUUUCUUCAUAUUUAUCAACAUUGCAAAUUCAUAGGAAAUUCAUUUGAACUCCAGAUCCAGUGAAACCAAUUCCUAGAUGCUUCUAAAAUCAUCCUUUGUUAAAUGGGUGCCUUUGCUAAUUUUUCAAAAUAAUUGUUCUGUACACAUCUUGAAAUUCCAUAAACUCCUUGAUUCCAUCAUAUCGAAAAUGUUUAGAAAUAUCCAUAGAUCCACUUCCAUUGAAAUCACUUUGGUCAUUCCUCAUAUGACCAGAGGUAUCCUAGAAAAGUCCAACUCUCAUUUUUAGAGCACUUUUAUUUUCAGUCUUGCUGUGUUGCUUAUUAUGGCUGCUUUCAACGAUAGUUGACGAAGUAGACGAAAUGCUUGGAGUUGGACCAGAGAUAUUUGAAGACCUCGAAGACUUUGUUAAAACAGGCAAGCAGCCCUUUGACCAUGUCUAUGAAACCUUUUUAUGCAUGUCAUAUAGUACCUUAUCAUUGUUGCAACGGAAUCAUGAUGGGGUGAUAACCACUUCGAUGGUUGCCACCAUACUUCCUCGUUGAUACUUGCAUUGUGCAUGACCCUAGCUUCCUAUGAGGGUUAUGCCGGUGGGAGUAGAUAGGAUGCUAAGGUAGUGCUACGCAAAAAGGGACGGGUAUAUGCAUGGUGAAGGAGGCAAAGUAUUUUCAAAAGACUUUUUCGAAAACCCCGUCGGGUGCCACUUAUGCCCGAGGGAGAUGAUGAAAUGGGUAACCACUUGAUGACGAAGUGGUGUACCGAGGCAAGUGUGUGUUGUUUUCAAAAACGGAUUAGAUUUAAGAUUUGUCGACUGUCCCAACCUUACAUGCGCAACCACUCUACCCUUAUAUGGGAAAGGGCAUUAUUGAUUACUUAGGCCGAUACUAGCUUGGAGCCCACAUUACUAGUGACGGGGGAGAGUUGGUGCUCUCUCUCGGGACGGGGUCGUGCCAGGUAGGGAGGCCAUGACUGUUUUCACAGGGCACCGAACACACCAUUGGUACCCCGUGCUUGUGGUAUGUGAUGAAUAUCGGAGCGAUGCUCCACAAUUUUAAGAUGUGAAAUGUUGGGUACGGGGGUUACUACCAAUCGAGUGGACUCCAUGUUAGUGUCGUCUAGGGAAAGGUAGUGAUCGGGUGCUUACCCCGGGUACUUGAGGUACCGCGGGUCGUGGAUGACACGGAAGUUCCCCGGAUCUUGUGGGUACAGUGUGCAACCUCUGCAGAGUGUAAAACUAUUCGAAUAGUCGUGUCCACGAUCAAGGACAGUUGGGCGGUGCUGCUUAAACUACGUCCAGAGUUUUCAACAGUGUGUGUGUGUGUUGAUGAAACUACUUGGGUCAAGUCAAGGGACUUGACAUGAUUGAGAUGGGUUGGUGCCCACUCUAUUUAUGUUAGAUGGGUCCCACUCUAUUUAUGUUGAUAUCUGUAACCUGUCCUCAUGGUUACUUGAAUUCUCUUGAUGCAUGCCUUACAAAGUUGUUGAACAUGACAUUGCACUCAAAACUAGCUUUCUGCAAAAAUUUACCUAUAUCAAGCAUUGUUGUAUCUUGAACCAAAACAUGGGUUGCUUGCGAGUACAUUCAAACGUACUCACUGGCUUGUCCCUGGCUAUUUACUUGGCCAGGCUUGAAACAACAGGAUAUGAUGAAGAAUACUUCGGCGACGAGCAUGCGAACUAGGACGUUUCCCAGUCAGAAUGCCUGUAGGGUUAAGGCAGAUGGCAUGGGUUCUACUUAUCAACGAAGAUUUCCGCUGCGAUGAUACACUCAAGACUUGACCAUAAUGGUCCUACUUGUGUAAAAUGGUAUGUAUGGAUGUAAGACUCUUGUUAUUCAGCUUCUGUGUGUUUAGUGAGCAUUGAUCUCUGGGAUCACUGUACACGUGCAUUCGGUGAUCAUGACUUAUGAGUCGGGGUCCCCACAACGGCCAAUAUCCGCGGGGACUUAAUCUUCAAUGGAUUCGGGCCUGCGCCAGGAGCGCCGGACAGUCACGAUGAGCAUGGCUUAGACCUGCUAUCAGACAAUGCUCGGGAUAUCGCCCCUGCAGGAGCCCCGGACCUAAAUCCAGGGCAGAUUGCGUUGCCCGAAGAUGGGUGGAUGGACCCCACCCCCGAGGUCGCACACUCAUCGGCAGUAGAGCCGAACACAGACUUCACCCCCAAGGAAGCCUGUGACACCGGACAGCUGGAUUCGUAUCCGGCUGUAGGUUCCGUUCCGCGCACCCCCGAGCCCGCCGAAUAUGGUUGGGCUCCGGUAAUGGAGUUCACCGCUGCGGAUAUCUUCCAGCACUCGCCCUUUGGCGACAUGUUGAACUCAUUAAAAACUCUCUCUUUGUCAGGAGACUCUUGGUCGAACUAUGUCUGGCUCGAGUGGCAAGCAGGCGACGAAGGAAUUCGUCGCCCACCCCCACCCACUUCAUUGCCACCGAUGAUUUAACCGACGUGCUUGAUUUCUACUCUGAAGACAUCGACGGUAUGGACAAUGAUGUAGGAGCAGAACAGGAACCACCGCCUACGAGGCGGUGGACAGCCACCUCCUCAUAUGAUAUAUAUAUGGUGGACACUCCGAAAGAAACCAAUGGAGAUGAGUCAAUGGAGGAUAACCCCUCAAGGAAGAAAGCAAAGCAUGGGCGUCGUCGGCGCUGCUCCAAGCCCCUCCACAGCAAUACCGGCACAGGAGACGAAAACCCGGAGGGUGCCGAAGAUGAAUACAACCCCGAUCAGCCUGCCUUCGAGGAGGUCGAACAGGAAGACAGGCAGGUCAGCACGGACGAACAGGCGACGGAUGGAUAUCCGGAGGAGGAUAAUUACAUGCCCCCUCCGAAGACGAGAUUUGCCUCGGCGACGAUGAGCUUGGCGUGCCUGAGGACCCCGUGGAGCAGGAGCGCUUCAAGCGCCAGCUUAUGGCCACUGCGAGAAGCCUGAAAAAGAAGCAGCAGCAGAUCCAAGCUGAUCAAGACCUGCUCACAGACAGAUAGACUGAAGUCCUGGCAUCUAAGGAAUAUGGACUCGAGAGCCACACAGCUGACCGGCCACCUCGUGGCCAGGAUAAAAUGGCGUAUCAGCCCGAACACCAGCCCGCACCCCCACGCCAAUACACUACGGCCUGGGGCAAUUGGCAGGACCUGCAAGAUAUACUGGAAAACAAGGUAGGACAGCCAAGAUCGAUCUACGGAUCGCGGGGGCGUGCCCCAGCACGUAACGAUGAUCGUUACGCCGGAUACACUGUCGACAAGUCCGGAUGGGCCGAAUACAGCCAACCGGACUCAGUCGAACUGCAUAGCCACAUAGCCCGGCAUAGAGGCGCCGCACACCCCCUCUGCUUCACUGACGAAGUGAUGGAUCAUGAAUUCCCAGAAGGGUUUAAACCCGUAAACAUCGAAUCAUACGAUGGCACAAUAGACCCCACAGUAUGGAUCGAAGAUUUCCUUCUCCAUAUUCACAUGGCCCGCGGUGACGAUCUACACGCCAUCAAGUAUCUCCCCCUUAAGCUCAAAGGACCAACCCGGCACUGGCUAAACAGCCUGCCGGCAAAUUCCAUUGGCAGUUGGGAGAACCUGGAGGACGCAUUCCUCGACAACUUCCAGGGCACGUACGUGCGACCACCGGAUGCCGAUGACUUGAGCCACAUUACCCAACAGCCCGGAGAGUCAGCCAGGAAAUUCUAGACUCGGUUCCUAACCAAAAAGAACCAAAUAGUCGACUGUCCAGACGCCGAAGCCCUGGCGGCCUUCAAGCAUAAUAUCCGUGAUGAGUGGCUCGCCCGACACCUCGGCCAGGAAAAACCAAAGUCCAUGGUGGCCCUCACGACACUCGUAACCCGCUUUUGCGCGGGCGAGGACAUCUGGUUGGCUCGCAGUAGCACCAUGCCAAUAAAUUCCGGCGCCUUAGAUGUCCGCGACAAUAAUGGCAAGCCAUGGCGCAACAGACGUAAGCGACAGAACAACGGCGACAACACUGGAGACACGGCAGUCAACGCCGGAUUCAGUGGCUCGAAAUCCGGUCAGCGGAAAAAGGCGUUCAAAAUAAAUAAUCAAGGACCGUACAGUCUGGACCGCAUACUUGACCACUCGUGCCAAAUUCUUGGCACCCAGGAUAAGCCAACAAACCACACUAAUAGAGACUGCUGGGUGUUCAAACAGGCCAGUAAAAUAAACGGCAAAAACAAGGACAAGGGGCUGCACAGCGACGAUGACGAGGAGCCCCGGCGUCCGAACACGGGGGGACAGAAGAAAUUUCCUCCCCAGGUGAAAACAGUCAACAUGAUCUACGCCACCCACAUUCCCAAACGGGAACUGAAGCAAGCUCUACGGGACGUCUAUGCGAUGGAGCCAGUCGCCCCAAAAUUCAACCCAUGGUCAGCCUGUCCGAUCUCCUUUGAUCAUGGGGAUCACCCUACCAGCAUCCGUCACGGUGGUUCAGCCGCACUGGUCCUAGACCCUAUCAUCGAUGGAUUCCACCUCACGCGAGUCCUUAUGGAUAGCGGCAGCAGCCUGAACCUGCUCUAUCAGGACACAGUGCGCAAAAUGGGCAUCGACCCUUCGAGGAUCAAGCCCACCAAAACCACCUUCAAAGGUUUAAUUCGAAGAGUAGAGGCCCGUUGCAUGGGCUCCAUAACACUGGAAGUGGUCUUCGGAUCUCCGGAUAACUUCCGAAGCGAGGAGUUAAUCUUCGACAUCGUCCCCUUCCGUAGUGGUUAUCACGCACUGCUUGGAAGAACAACAUUUGCUCGAUUCAAUGCGGUACCACACUAUGCAUACCUCAAGCUCAAGAUGCCAGGACCUCACGGGAUCAUAACAGUGAACGGAAACAUGGACCGCUCUCUCCGUACAGAAGAGCAUACUGCAGCCCUCACAGUAGAAGUACAAGGCAGCCUCCUCUGGCAAACCACCAAUCCGUCGACAACAGCCCCGAACACCGUCAAGCGAGUCCGGAGUACCCCACAACAGGAUCGCCAGGCACGCCAAGAGUGCGACUAGCAGUCCGGCCUCCGCUCCAGCACCAUCAAGGCAGCAUUCGUGUCGCGCGUACACAAUUAUGCACUCAAAAUAGCAUGGGCAUAGGCGGAGGCGCAAUAGUGACUCAGUCAACAGUGCGGUACAGCCGCAACAUACUUUAAUAACCCCCUUUUAUAUUUCAGGACACUGCUUUCGGGCAGCUCUUCAGAAGAGCCGAAUUGUCGGACUUGCACAGGAGAGAAAAACCAAGGAAGCAAAAGGUUUUGCGCACAAAGGGAAUACCCAGGUGGAAUCUAUUACUAGUUUUAUAUACCUACAUGCGGCCCGCCCUUGGAUAGGACAUGUUAAAUAGUCCUAUUUACUUCUGCUUAACGCAUUCAUUGUAAACAUACACUUAGAUGUAUUAUUCAUCAAUGGGAGAUAAUAUAUAGAGUCAGCUUAUUAUUCCUAUUUUCACAUUUUUCCUAUAAAUGUUAAUUUAAUAUUGCAUCCGUACACCUUGGUACAUUUAGUUUGCCAGGGGCUUCUUAUGGCGCCCCAUAAUACGGCAAGACAAGUCCGAACACUUUCAACAGUGCGGCACCCCGAACUUAUAGCAUUAUAUGCAUCAGCUCCGAAUCAUGUCUUGGGUCAAUAGUUGGGUGUGCCCGGCUCCCUUAUUUUGGUACCUUACGUUCCGUUAUAUCGGCUAAGGUAGUGCAGGGAGAACUAUUGUGAUUGUGUCCCGGUUCUUGUGGACAAGCACCUCAGUAGAGAAAGCCGAAAACUGACCGGCGUGAUGCAGCGAGAGCUGGUCGCUGUUCGAGAGGUCUUAAAAUCCUUAAAGAUUUUUCCACUUUAGGCGAGGAAUCGGCCUCGUUCGAUUUAGGCGUAUAUAGCGCCCCAAUUCGGCUCUCUGAAUUCCUAGGGGCUUCGCCAAAAUUUAUAAUUGUAGACUUCUAUGGCUAAGUGAAAGUUAUAAAGCCGCAUAGUACGAUUACCUUGUUCGCUGCGCCAAACACCUCCUUCAGGGACCAAAUAUUUGGAUAAAGAGUGUCUGGGUUUUUUCCAGGAACACCCCGGUACUAGUUAUGUGGGAGCGGAAGCCGACGACUGGCCUACUUUCAGAAUUUUAUAAACAGCCGCACAGAAGGUAAUAUUUUAAAUCAAAAAAGCGCUAUAUAGCGCAAAUAACUUCGUCUUUAUAUUACAACAACGACAGAAGUACAUUCACUCAAAGAUCGUGUCCUUGGUACAUUCAUCGGCCACGAGACGAGCGCCUUUCAUAACACCAUCAUAAUAUUUUUCAGGAUAGCGAUGCGCCUUGCCCUCCAGCGGUCCAUCCUUCACCAGCUUCUCCGCUUCCAGCUUGCCCCAAUGCACCUUCGCACGGGCAAAGGCUCGGCGGGCACCCUCAAUGCAAAUGGAUCGCUUGAUCACUUCAAGCCACGGACAGGCAUUUACCAUCCACUUUGUCAGGCCAAAGUAGCUGGCGGGUAGGGGCUCACCAGGCCACAUCCGGACUAUGAAAUUUUUCAUAGCCACUUUGGCCGCCCUGUGGAGUUCAACCAAUUGCUUCAAUUGGUCACUCAGAGGCAUCGGGUGUUCGGCUCCGGCAUACUGGGACCAGAACAGCUUCUUCGUUGAGCUCCCCUCCUCGGCACGGUAGAACUCCGCGGCAUCUGAUACGCUGCACGACAGGUCUGCGAAUGCCCCUAGAGAGCUCUGAAUUCGGUAAGUAAAAGAAACGUCUCCUCCACAUGCUUGCUUUGCAUAAAUAAUGUCUUACCCGCCGCUAUCUUCUUGGCCGCCUGGAUUUCCUGCUGGGCCUUUUCGGCUUCGGCCUUGGCGUCUUUCAUGCUCAACAGGGCCUUCGCAAGUUCAGACUCCUUCAUCUUGAAGUCAUGCUCCAAGGACUCGAAUUUCUUGCCGAGCUCCUGGAGCUCUUGCUGUACCUCGCCCACCCUAGCAUUUUGCUUUUCACGCUCAAUGCACUCCGUGGCCGCCUUGUUUUCGGCCUCGGAUAACGCUUUCUUCGGGGACGCCACUUCAGUCGUGGCCCCUAUUACACAAUCAUGACCCUUUUUCGUUAGCAUCGCCAAUUUUGUCUAUUCUUUGUGAUAUGUGAAUGGGGUAUCACUCACCUUUGUUCUCUUCGAGCUGCCUCUUCGUGAGGCUGAGCUCUCCUUGGGCCUGCUCCAGGUCCUAUUUGACUCCGGAGACCUCCGCUGUGCGGGCAGCAGCAGUAAGCAGCACCGCCUGCUUAUUCACGUAGACACCUACUAUUAGACUCCUGUGGAUUUUAAUUGACCCUCCGUUUGGCUUUUCUUUCCGAACACCAAACAGAGUAUCAGGGGCUACUGUCUAUCGGGUGCUAAUUUCCCAAACUUUUAAUUACUUACCUCAAAGCCUGUUAGGAGGCUGGUGCAGGCUUCAGUCAAUCGGCUUUUGGCAGACUGAACCCUCUGAUCCACCACACUCAUAAGAGUACGGUGCUCUUCAUCCAUGGAAGCGCCGCGAAGCAAUUCCAGCAGACUAUCCGACGCCUCUGGCAUAACAGAAGUUAUCAGCAUGGAUGGCUCACCUUCCUUGGCAAGGGGCUGCCUGCCCGAAUCCGGAACCUUUGGGGAUUCCAGUAUAGUGUCCGGCUGGGAGUCCAGCGUGCUGCGGCUCCCGUCGGCACAAUCCGCGGGAAUCUUACGCCCCGUGUGCCCGGCGUCUGGAAUUUCACCUCGGGGCGUCUCCAGAGUCGCCUCCCCCUGCUCCGGGAGCCUUUGGGACAACAUCUCCGUGUCAUCCACAAGCCGAGGGGAAGUGGCCAUUGGGAGCGAGUUCAUCGCUGAAUCGGUCAAGGACCUAUGCGAAGAGGAUACCUCGGGAUGGACCCUGGCCGGACUGCAUAUACGUGUUCAGCAUUAUAAUAGACUAUGACGUGAAAUCGCACUAAAGUACAACAGAGUGCAGAUACUUACGAUCUUACUAGGGGCUUCCCCCUGGGAAGCCACUCCUCCUCGCUGUAGGCGGCCGUGGUGGAGUAAUCCGGAAGGGACGCCUUUCCCUUCUUGGGCGUCCUAGCUCCCCCUCUGGGGCGGCUUUCCUUUUCUUCUCCUCCCCAGUGCGGGGAGCCGGAGUUUCCUCGUGUUUCCCCCCGCCUCCGCGGGAGGAAUCUGCCUCGUCGUCUUCAAACAACGAGUUUAUGAUGGCCUUGUGCCGGGGACCCUUACUAGUCCCCUGGGUCGCCCUCUUAGGCCCUUCGGCCCCCUCCGGUGGGGCGGCCCCCUCCUUUUCCUCCUCCCCUUCGGGGGAGGAGUGUGCCUUGUCAUCUUUGGACAAGGCAUCCAGUACGACCUUACACCAGAGACCCUUCUUGGUCCCCUGGGACUUCUUUUCGGCCUUCUUUUCUGACGCCUUGUAGGGCGCCGGGACUAGCAUCUCUGUCAGGAGAGCAUCUGCUGGACCCUCCGCCAUCUCCAUGUACUCCUGAUUAAAUAUACACGAUGACUUAAGAUCCUCCCAUGAGUACGCUGGAAAAAACUACAUAUGGUGAUAGUCAGAAAACUCACCGGACGGGGGAGCCGCGUGGCGUGAAGUCCGCGGUCCUCGGACGUGGGAGGAGGUAUUUCGGAGGCCUUGAAUAGUGCCUUCCAUGCGUCCUUGUGUGUCGUGCCGUAGAGCUCUUGAAGUGUCUGGUGUUCGGCUGGGACGAACUCCCACAGAUUAAAUGCCUGUCUUUUGCACGAAAGAAUUCGGCAGACGAGCAUGACAUGGACCAUGUUGACAAGCUUGAUUUUCUUGUCCAUCAUGUUCUUGAUGCAGUUUUGAAGUCCGGUCAGCUCCACAGGCUCACCCCAGGCCAGAGCCUUCUUUUCCCAAGAGGUGAGCCGCAUGGGAAUUGUGGAUCAGAAUUCGGGGGCCGCUGCCCAGUUGGCGUCGUGUGGCUCGGUGAUGUAGAACCACCCUGAUUGCCACCCUUUCACGUUCUCCGCGAAGGAGCCGUCGAGCCAGGUAACAUUGGGCAUCUUGCCCACCAUGGCGCCUCCGCACUACACUUGCUGGCCGCUCACGAUCUUCGGCUUCACGCAGAAGAUUCGUAGCCACAAGCCGAAGUGAGGCUUGAUGCGGAGGAAGGCCUCGCACACAACGAUAAACGCCGAGAUGUUGAGGACGAAGUUUGGGGCCAGAUCGUGGAAGUCUAGCCCAUAGUAAAACAUGAGCCCGCAGACAAAGGGAUGAAGUGGAAAUCCCAGUCCAUGGACGAAGUGGGCAAGGAACAUGACCCUCUCGUGGGGUCCCGGAGUCGGAAUGAUCUGCCUAGCGUCCGGCAGAUGGUGCGCAAUAUCUGCGGCCAAGUAUCCGGCCGCCCGGAGCUUCGUGAUAUGCUCCUCCUUGACGGUGGUGGCCACCCACUUGCCUCAUGCUCCGGACAUGUUUGGCUGUGCGGAGGAGGUGUGAACUAGGGCGUUGGAGCUCGAGGGGGCAAGAAUGGGUAAGCGAUAGAGGAAGAAGGCGUGGGUGAAAAUGGGCAAUCCUUAUCCCUUUAUAGAGGCGAUGAAAAUGGUGCACCUCCCCACUUGCCCGUUGAGGAUCACUUAAUUCCCAAGCGCCACGAUUGAUGGCGCAGUUGGGUUACCCAUACCCGUAUUGAUGGGAAUCCCGUGAUAAGGGGACAUGAUCUCUUCUUCGACAAGACGUGUCGAGGAAACCGCCUCGCAAUAUGCGCUGUGGCUAGUUAUGGAAAAAUGGUUCGAAUAAAUGACCCGACCGUAGUGUCAUGUCACGUUGUCUAAAGUUGUCAACAGAUUACAUUUGUGGAAUAUCAUUAUCUCUACGGUGGUAUGUGAAGAUCAUCUUGCAGAAUCCGGACAUGAUUUUAGUGUUCGAUAAUUACUUUGGGGUAUUCGGAGAUGGAACCCGCCUUGCAAUGCCGAAGACAAUCUACGUGCCGGACUCAUCUUCAUUGAAGCCUGGUUGAGGGGCUACUGAGGGAGUCCUGGAUUAGGGGGUAUCCAGACAGCCGGACUAUGUACUUUGGCCAGACUGUUGGACCGUGAAGAUACAAGACUCAAGACUUCGUCCCGUAUCCGGAUGGGACUCUCCUUUGCGUGGACGACAAGCUUGGCGAUCUGGAUAAUAGAUUUCCUUCUUUGUAAUCGACUUUGUGUAAACCCUAGCCCUCUCCGGUGUCUAUAUAAACCAGAGGGUUUAGUCCCUAUUGGACAAUCAUAAUCAUCAUAGGCUAGCUCCUAGGGUUUAGCCUCUACGAUCUCGUGGUAGAUCAACUCUUGUAAUACUCAUAUCGUCAAUAACAAUCAAGUAGGAAGUAGGGUUUUACCUACAUCAAGAGGGCCCGAACCUGGGUAACACAUCGUGUCCCUUGCCUCAUGUUACCAUUAGCCUUAGACGCACAGAUCGGGACCCCCUACUCGAGAUCCGCCGGUUUUGACACCGACAGGGACCCCCGUGUUUUGUUUCGAUAUUUCAGUGUAGGAUGGUCUUUUUGAACAAACACUUUCUGCGGUUAGACAAAUAACGCCACGAGUUACACGUAUUUUGCAAGUUUACGAACAAAAAUGACAGUGGCAUAGAAUAUCACAUCCACCCCGUAGCUUAGAUGCUAUGGUGAUACGAGUUUUUACGUUGUUGGAAAUGAGAUCCAAUGGCUUGGGAAUAGUCUUUGUAAUUAUGCGCAAUUUCCAAACUCACCAAAGGUUUUUUUUGCAAAUAUAACAUUUAGGCCUCGUGUGUGUCGCUGCAUCUUGGAUCCAACGGCUCCCCGUUGCUCAUAUUAGGUGCUCUCCGAAGCUUAAUUAGUCGCUACGGUGAUAUGAGCAUCUAGGUCGUAUGAUCAGUGAUCAGAUAGCACAUGCGUAGUACUUGUACUUUCUGCGCAAUUCCCAAACUCUCCCAGCCAUAUAUUGCAAAAACAUUGAAACCUCCUAUUGUGGGCCAUUAUAUCUAUAUGAACUCGUAUCACCAUAGAAUCUAUAGUGCGGGAGCACCUCAUAUUCUCCCGUGUGAGAAAACAUAAGGUGCUCUCGCAGCUUGGAUGCUAUGAUGAUACGAGCUUCGAGGUUGUUUGAUCUGAGAUCCAAUGCCAUCUGAGCAGUCUUUGUGCUUGUAAGUAGUGGCCAAACUCUUUGGAGGCUUUUCGGCAAAAAAACAUUCGAACCACCGAGGAGUUGUUGGGUCACAAAUCCAACGGCUCCGAAGAGCUUGUAUCACCAAAGCAUCUGAGGUGUGGUAGCUCAUGAUAUUCUAACGUACAUGAGAAUAUGAUGUCCUCCUUCAUCUUAGUUGCUACGGUGAUACGAGAUUCGAGGUUGUUGGAUAUGGGAUCCAAGGGCAUCUGAGUAGUUUUUUUAUACAAAUUGUGUGUAAUUCUCAAACUCAUCAAGGUUUCCUUUAAAAAUAUUAAGACAUCCUGUGAGCUGCUAUAUCUCAGAUCUAGAAGCUCCAAGCAACUCGUAUCGGCAUAUAGCAUCUAAGGUAUGGGGGCACAUGAUAUUCUCCCGGGGAGGGGGGGGUGCACUACCAAUCGAUGUUUGGGAGGGUGGGGACAAAUAUAAUCUAAACAAUCCUAAAUAGAGAUUCACAAUUUUAUCUAAGGUCGAGGGGUUAAUCCCGGACAAUCUACAUGGUUCUGCCUAAACACAACAUUUGCAUGUACUGUAGUACUAGACUUAAUAUUCAUGUUUCAGUUUCCUGUUCAUUUUUAAUAUUGAAUUGAGGACCAUGCUUGUCUUACAUUUUACCCCCUUCGUUCCUAAAUAUUAGUCUUUUUAGAGAUUUUGAAUGGACUGGCAUCUCCGUGAUGUAUAUAGACAUAUUUUAGAUUGUAGAUUCACUCAUUUUGCUCCGUAUGUAGUCACUUGUUGAAAUCUCUAAAAGACUAAUAUUUAGGAACAGAAGGAGUAUUUGUGAAUUCGUGUCAUACAUGCAGGGUUUGGAAAAAUAGAUGCACUAUACUUAUUGGAUUGUUGUUGUGUUCGUGUGUGUGUGUGUGUGUGUGUGGUCAUAUGCUUGAUACAUACAAAGUUUUCUCACCACCAUAUUGUUCAUCUUUAAAUUUGAAUUUGCAAUGAAAAACUUACUAGGGAUACCAUGAAAUGUGAAAUCCAUGUUGAGAUCACUAUAUCACAAACUCACUCUAAUUCAAGAACUCGUCAUAAAUCAAUUACCACGUUGAGAUUACUAUUUGCAAGGAAAAUACGGGCAUUGUAAUACACAUAGAUUCGUUUGGCAAUUUAAAAGAUUCCUUUUGUAUUCUCAAAUGGUAGGACCCAACGGCGUACCAACUAGACCCUGGCUCGUGUUGAUCCGAAAAUACACCAGGCUCAUGUCCUUCUGGUGGCGUGCGUGGUACGCACAUUAGGCAACCCCAACCCAUCGAGCCUCCGCGUUUUGAUUUGAAAUAUUUGGCGGCCAGAAUUCCAGCCCUAGGAAAUUCCCCUCAUGUCCCCGGUCCAUAAUGACUACCGAUGAACAAUAGAGGGAUGCUUUAGUAACUAGACAACGUUACCUACCGUGCCGAGCCCGGUUCAAUUCCCUUGGUCGCCGCUCCCCAAGGUCACCCGUCGUCUGCAUUACCUAGUACUACCACUACUACACCAGGAUGAGCACAGAUUUGAGCCCGUUUGUUCGUGCCUAGUACUUGAGUUAAUAUAUAAGGCAACGCACUGGUACGGAGGGAUUAUCCUUUUACUCUGCAUAUAUAACUUGUCUGAAGUUUAACUAAGCAAAAUGUUUGACCAAAUCCUUUCUUAAGAAAUACAACAGGACAGAUGUAUGGCUUGAAAAUUUAUUGCAUGAUGCAGGUUAUGAUAUUUUUUCGAAUCCUGGAUUUUAAAUUUCAAAAAAUCCAAAAGUGACCAGAAAUUAAUGAAACUGAGCAUGGUCAUGUAAUAUGGCAAAAAUAUUCCUUCGUAAUUUUUUCUUCAAUUUCAGACAAGCUGCUUAUGACAAGUUGCACAAAUGAAGAGCCAAGGUAUUUUGGAACAAAGACCUAUCACGUUAAGGCGAACACUUUCACUAUUGAAAUCGUGGGCAUUUACGUGCCGCCACGAGUCCUGCUUCUCAUCAGCAGGUGCCGUUCGAGCAAGCAUGUCAGUCGACGGGAGGCGUGCGAGCAGACCACUGCACCGGCUGACAAUGAGGCAUGUGAGCAGACCGCUGUGCAGGCUCACCGGGAGGCAAGCCCUUUGACCAAGCUCCGCCGCCCACCUUCGUCCCAAGUGCUCCCACUUUUAAUGUCACUGGUGCCGCAGUUUAAAAUCAACCCCGCACUACCCGGUAUCGCUACAAUCUUCUCUCUUCCUCUCCGAUUCUCCUGUCGUCUACCUCCAACCAGCCUGACCUAAACAUACGCCAUGCCGCAUCACGAUGGUCUGCCCUUAGUCUUCCAGUUUCCUGAGGAAGACACCCAGCCGGAGUCCCAAGAACAUAAGGCGCUUUGGGACGAGCUUCAACCGGCCUUGCGGGAAGACGUCGCGCCUGUUCCCGCUUCCGUUUCGGCUCCCGUCACCCCGACUGCACCAGCGCCUAUUUUCGUGGCAUUGAUGGGCUGGGAGCCGCACAUUGUCGCCGAGCUUGAUGCCACGGGGUUCCACGAGGUCCUCGCCGACUUUCACGCGCCCGUGCACCUGCCAGCACAUGUGUCUGCGUGUGCACUGACGCGCACGCCCAUGCCGGUGCCCCUGCACUUGCCAGCGCAUGCACUUGCACGUGCACUAACGUGCGCGCCUGUGACGAUGCCCUGCACAUGAAUGUCUCUGCCACGCCGUUGCCAGCGCAUGUCCCCGCACGGGUGCUAGUGCCCCCCUCAGCGGCAUUGAUGGCCGCCGUCGACCGCUUCCUUGCACCAACACUAGUCGCCUCCUCCCGCCAGUUGACUCGCUCCUGGAGACCGAAGUCCAGAACAUUGUGGCCUUUCUUGAAGCUAGGGCCAACGUCCAGGAGUACCCCAACAACGGCGCAAGAUGCUGCCGUGCCGUCGCCGUCGGUCAGUGGACCGACAACACAUAGAGCACGGCAGAGGAGCCGCUUCCCACCGCAAGACGCCCCCGCCACCGCCGUGUAAUCUAAAUUUGUCAUGAAAAACGUUCGGAUUUCCAUGCUUAAAAUCUGAAUGUUUAUCAUUUCCAUUUAUUUUAGAUCGAUCGUCGUAUGAAUGUAAAGUCGGAGUCAGACUGAAUGAAAUCUACGGUUCGAUCAAUUGAAUGUUCUGCUAGAGCCGUAUCAAAUUAAAUAUAAAACAUCAUCAAGCCACAUGCAUUCCUUCUCAUCCAGCGACCUAGACUGCUUCAAUGUCGAGCGCUCAACACAUUUAGCGUGCAGUUAAUUUCAUGCCAAAAAUAGUGCUAAUCACAUAAUAACACGCAAAUAAUAUCCUACUUAAUAUCCGUAUGCACUUAAGAUACUUCCAAAUUAACGUGCAUUGCAUGUACACAUUGACUAGUGCUACUAGUAUGUGAAACUGGUGUUGUAACUUGUGAACGCGUCCAGAUAUGGUCAACGGCAACAUCGCCCGCGAGUUCUUCAUCUUUGCCCGUGCGUCUAAACGCAGAAGGGGAGGAGAGAGAGAGAGCACACAUGGAACCCACCAGUAAGUGAAGGCGAAUAGUACAUGCUAACGAGCCGGUCCCACUAAUGUACUAAAAAUAAUAUUACAUGUUAUAUAUUAAAUAGAGUGUGGUAAUAUAAAAACAUUAUAUGAACAAAGGGGGGUACAACAAACAUUGAUGUUCUACGUAUGUUGCCUAUUGACAUGCGACUUGAAGGCCCUGGUCGCAUGUUCGAUCCUCGUCCUUUAUUUUUAAAUUUGUAUAUGGGUCCAAAUUUGUUUCAUGACAGGUGGGCCCCUUAGUGUGUAGUUUGUAGCACUUUAAUUUGUGGGUCAAAAUUUGUUCCAUUCCAAGUGGACUAUUGUUGUGUAGUUUUGUAGCUUAUUUGUAAUAAUUAAAGAGAACAACAGAGUUUUUGUAAUAAUACCAUGGUGCGACGUUGAAGGUGAGAAAGGACGUGCGAGAGAGCGAUGACCGAGCCAGAGGGAAAUCAACUGGGGAGGUGCGGGGAUUGCGACGGUGUUUGGAGUAGUUGUGGGCCGAAUGCUAUGAAAAUAUAAUCUAAACCCACCGGAAUAAAUGCCUACACAAAUUAAUCCAAGGUUGGAGUCCCCCUCCUAAUGUAAAUAGCUCCGGCUUUGCGAGGGAUGGAGAUGCAGCUUCAAUGUGUGGAAGAUACAGUGUGAGAAAGCGAGGUCAAUCAAGAGACAUAUAGAUAGAGAGACAAAGUGAGUGUGUUCCGACAUUCAUUGAAAAGAUACAUAUGCUCUGGAGAGAUAUUGUCCGAUUGGGCUUUCGGGAAGGGUGAGGGCUGUAAGAUAGAGCUUGAGAGAUGAUCCACUCACAGACAUGUAGAUAUAUUUUGUGCGUGGGAGGAGGCAAGGUCAAUCGAUUACAUAUAUAAAGGGAGAGAGAUUGAGUGAGUGUGGGUCGUCAUGCGAUCGAAUGAGUGAGACGGGUUGGAGAGAGUGACCUAGAUAGACAAGGUGCAUGAGAGAGUAUACAAUAUGAAUAUGUCAAAUUGGGCUCAGGCAUGGAGAUAUAUCGUUUGUGUCCGAGAAAGAGCAAGGUCAAUCGAGACAUACACACACACACACACACACACACACAGAGAGAGAGAGAGAGAGAGAGAGAGAGAGGAGGGAGGGAGGGAGGGAGAGAGAGAGAUUGAGCGAGUGUGGCCCGCCAUGAGGUCGAAAGAGUGGGGGCGACUUGGAUGGACUGACCUAGAUAGACAAUCUGUGUGAGAGAGUAUAGAGUGUGUCGAUCGAGGCCCGAAUAGGGAGAUAUAUCAUUUGUGUGUGAAAGAAAACGAGGUUAAUCGAGACUCAGAUAAAGAGAGAGAUAUUGAGCAAGUGUGGCCCGCCGUGUGGAAGAAAGAGUGAGACAAUCUCGAGGGAGUGGCCUAGAUAGAGAACGUGCAUGUGUGCGCAUGAGAGGUUGGGGGGCUAGAUAGGCAAUGCAUGUAUCUAGCGCGAGAGGGUGGGAGGGAGGGAGAGAGAGAGAGAGAGAGCUCGGCAUGGGGUGCAAUGGCGGGUGUGUGAGGUAAAUACAUUUGGUAACAGAGUGGAAAAGGGGGGUUGUGUAGUUAAAAGAGUUAGAGAUCGAAACAUGGAGAGAGUUAGAGAUCAAAACAUGGAGAGAAAGAAUGAACAUGUGUCGGAAACUGAUAGCUUCCUAAGGUGGUUAGGAGAGGAAGAUUGACCGAUACAGGAAGUAUGUAGCGUGUGUGCCGGGGGGUGGGGCUAAAAACAACAUUUGAAUGUAGAUAGUACGAGACUUAAUAUCGAUGUUUCAAUUCGGUGUACAUUGUAAGAUUUGCACUGAGGACCAUGCAUAUGGGUAAUUAUUUCGAAUUCAUGCCAUACUAGGUUUGGAAAAGUUGACAUUGACUCGAUUGUUGUGCUAUUUUGUAGGUCAUAUGUUUGAAUCCAUCCAAAAGUUUUCUCACUACCAUGGUGUUCCUCAUAUAGAUAUGAAUUUGUAUUAAAAAAGUAGCUCGAUACAGUGAAAUGCGAAAUCCAUGUUAGAAUUGGAGAUCGUUAUGUGACACACACUCUAAUUCAAAUAACUACUUAUGUGACACACACUCUAAUCCACGUUAGCGUGGAUACCGUGGAUACCGUUUCGAUUUUUUUCAAAUAACUCCUCAUUAAUUAAUUUAUAGUAUUCUCGUUUCGAAUGACUAAAUUAUUUGCAAGGAAUACAGAGGCAUGGUAAUACAUAUACAUUCGUUUGCAAAUGAAAGAAGAUCUGUUUGCAUUCUCAAAUGUAGGCGUACCAGGCAGACUAGGGCCGUGUCGUGGUGGUCGUGUGUGUCGGACGGACGCUUAGCACCCAGCCACCCACCCCCUCCCUCCCUCCCCCUCCCUCCCAAAAAAAGGACGACGACAAAAUAAAUUCGCGCUUCCACGUUUUGGAUUGAAAUAUUUGGCUGCCCCAAUUCCAGCCCUACAAAAUCUCUUUCUCCACCACCCACUUCCGCGCCCAGAUUGCUUAAAUCCCUAAUUCACUGCCAACCCAAGCAAAGUUUGAAUCGCCCCUUGUCUCGUCUCUUUCUCCACCUCUGUGCCGAACGACGACGACGAAGACGACGGUCGCGCUUCACCACCGCAUUGGAGCUACCUAGUCUACGCCCUAUUCUACCGCACCGGGUGGUCCACCGACAACGUUGGCCGCUGCAACCGACGUGCCUUAACACACCGACUUCCACCGCAUCAGGUGCGCUUCACCGACGCCGUCUCCCACCUCACCGAGGCUACUUCACCGAGCACAUCGUCGCACCUCCGCCCCCCCCCUAGGCCGUUGGGGCUUCACCAACGGUAUCGUCCACCUCAUCAUAGUGCUCCACUACCACUCAAGAUCUGCACCCAUGCGUGGCCAGCCAACGCAAGCGCAUCACCCUCAACGGCUCUGAAGUGACCCGCACUCUAGCUAAGUGAGCAUGCCCAAACGCCGGCCCGAACUAGAUGUCCACACAUCACUCCCUUGUGCACUUUUUCGAUGAUGUUUGGAUAUCCUUUCAUUGCUCUCUUAGCUUACACGCCUAUGCAACUCUGACUUUAACUCUUAUUUCUUUUGGAGAUAUCAUCUAAAACAAGCAAAAUCAAUUUUUAGCGAAGCAUGAUGGUGCUACGUGAUCUGGUACAGAUCCUGCACACCUGUAUAACCUUGGAAGUAUCUGUCCUCCGGUACAACAACAAGGUCGAUUCCUCUUAUUUGAUCAACCAUUCGCCAAGUCAAAAAUGCAGAGGGGGAUGCAAGGAGCACAAGGCCUGCACAUCCAAGCAAGUGGAAACAAGGACUUGUAUAUGGAACAUCCCAAGCACAAGUAGAGCUGCAGUGAGCCUGUACAACAAGCUAGCGUAAGUCCCUACAUUUCAUUUAAUUCAUACUGGCAUGCGUGUAUGAUUUGUGUGUAGUGGCGGAUCCACGAAUUCAAGUUACUAGGGGAGAACAUAUAACUUAAAAAAUACGAAGGCACUUGCACUCCGAAAAUCAACAUAACUUGAGAAAUGUCAAGCUACAUGCACUUCGAAAACCAGCUAAUGAUCCGAAGUAGUUCAGAUUAUAAAACACUAAAUGAUGCAAGCACCUAAAAACACAAAAUGCAACAUGGUGUACACGGACUACAAAUAUGGUAUGUACCUACUUGAAUUAUUCGUUCUCUGGCUGAAAAUAUCAAAGUGUAAUUGCACCUAUAACCAAUGUGCAAACUGCAUAUCAAUAGAUCUAUCCUGCACAAGUAUGCCAAUAGUUUCAAACAAUAGACUAGAAAAGUAUUUAUGCUAUGUUGUCAUGAUACGGGGACUUUCUGGUAGAUGGCCUCGACGUUUCCUCAAGCCAUGAAAAUGUACUAUAAUUUGCUUAUCAUCAAUGCCUGCAAAUCUCUAUGUCUCUCUCAACAUAGCAGAUCAUCAUUAGACACUGAAUCCUUCAAUGGGAGCUUGCAAAAUGCUUGCAUUAGAUCCCUCAUUAGACACUAUAUGUUCAUCACCAGGAGCAUGUAAAAUGUUUGCAUCAAGUCAUUCAUUAGCAUUCUGUUCAUUAGACACUUCGGGCUCAAGAACAACAUGAGCUUGUAUGUUUGCACUGGAAACUUGAUUAGAUACAUCAGAUUCAGUCAGUUCAGUAUUGGUUGGGGGAGUUAUAAAAUAAGCAGAAAUUGGUUUCAUUUUCUCAUAGAUUCCCUACACACAAGCAGUUUUACAACACCAUCAGGUUUAACUAUUGGCAAUAAAUUGAACAGUUGAAUUAGAUAUAAUCAGGGAUGUUAUGUACCUGCUUGUUGCGCAUGCUACUCUUGCAAGCUGUGACUGUCCGUUUGCACAAGCUCGAUGCCAUGCCCGUGCUGCCACUGCUGCCUCCCACGCAGGCUACACCUAGGGUUGGAUCUUCAUCUUCUUGUCCUUCCGUUCGCUUGAAGCCUGGCGACCGCCCUCCAAUGAGGGCGCGAGGAAGUGCUGUGUCGGUCUGUCCAGCGGCGGCUAGGUUAGGAGCAAACCAGACUGGAGGCUGGAGCGAACGAAUUGGGAUUUUUCCUGCUAUCGAUCGAUAUGGGAGGCGCUUGUUUGGGCCGCGUGCCUGCUAUAGGGCCUUCCUUGCACUUAUGUUAUUGGCCCAUCCGAAUUUAAACAUUUUUCUUCAUUUUUUACAUUGCCUGCUCAUGUGUUGGGACGCAAAACUAGCCUGGGCCAACCUGGAUGACUCAAACUAGGUGCACACUUUCCAGCCACCCGAGGCGGUUGCCCAUACCAGCCCCUAUGGUGGCGUCGCCUCUUUUUGCGUGUAUGAUUGGGGUAGUGAAAAAUAUUCCAGUGGCGCUUUUGAUUUACCAACAGAAUGGUUGAAUUGCUUGUUUCUAUGAACUGAGUUCGCUAAUAAUGUGAAGGAUGCCAGUCUUUUCAUCCUAUUGUAGAUUGCUUAGAUCUCGAUAUGCCAAAUGUAAUCGCAUGAAAUAUACAGUAAAAGCUAGUGUGAUGUGUGUGGCUACAACUAUUCUGACUACACGUCCUCAUAUAAUAUAUCAAGGACGCACUAUCUUACCAGAUUAACCAUUCAACUUACCAAUGCAGUGUGGGAAGAAAGAAGUAUUGGGACGGCGUAUCCAAGCUAUUGAUGCCAUGGACUCCUUCGCAUAACCUCGUAAGCGAAAAAGAAGUUGCAGUGUGCCUGUACAAAGAUCUAGCAUAAGUUAAGUUACCUGCUUCUCGGAAUUUUAGUUGGUCACUUAUUGCAAAAUUGUCCAAUUACGUUGCUUGGUUAAUUUAGUUUACUACUGAUUACAUAAUGCCAUAGCCUGUUAAUCCUAUUAUAGACUGCGCCUAUCUAUGUGUUUGAUACUUACUGUUAAGAAUUACAUGUUUGCCUGAACUUAAAUAGCUAGUUGUUUGUUUAACUGCUUUGCUGCUGCAACAACCGGUUACAAUGAUGUUAAUAACUACUUUUCAGCAUCCAAUUGAAACUCUUUAAUUCCUUGUUCGUUUAACUGGAUUGCUGUUAUAACUCCCAAUUGAGAUGUUUUGCUAACUUCAACUUUUCUGAAUCCAACCGGAACUUUAAUGACAAAGCAGGUUAGCCCAAGAUCAAAGAGUGAGGUCCCCAUGGACGUUGUAUCAUCCCACAGCAGUAGCACUGGCCCAAUCAUGCAUUAUGAAUUGCCAACUGCUGAUGCUCUAGAGGCUAAACUAGUGGUAGAAAGAGAUUAUGCUUCUACACUUAGAGAUGAAGUUGACAUGUUGAGGAAGCAAACAACACAAUCACAAGCAGUACUCAAUACAACCAUUAAAUAUUUGGUGGAUUUCAAAACGAAGCAAGCUGAGACAGACCGCAUUGUUAAGGUCAUGAAGAAAAAAAGGAAAUUAAAUUCCCACUUGGUAAAUCAUACACGAAAUGUUCUUUCCAUCGUUGAAUAACCUUUGUGCUGUUUGUUCCUGUAAUCAAUCAAACCAUUUGUUUUAGAGAUCAUGUAAUAAUUGUUUUUUGUUUUUUGGUUUGUAAUUUUAUUUGAGCACAAGUCUGCAUUAAUUGAUAAGACUCAGAGACAUUUCAUUUUGAUUCUUGUGUCAGACCUACAAAUAUGCCAAUCGGGUUGAAUGUGCAUUCAGCAAUAAUAGUAGUAUAGAUGGACCAUAAGUCGCAUGCAUCGGAGAGGGCCAACAUGUUGUAGUAGCUUGGCUGAAAAAAGGAUGUUGUUCUUGCAAAAAAAAGUACAGCAGCCUGGCUUAUGUAUGUUAGUUGAUAUUAUUGAUCCAUAUACUCUAUAAGUGCUUAUAUGUCUGUUAGUUAUGUACAUUCUUGGUUGAUUGACUCGGUAUUUGAAUCUUGAUACAUCGCUUGUGUACAUAUCUAAAUGGGAGUACACAUUAUGUUGUGUGUGACAUUUGAGUUGGACAUACAGUGUUCCAAAUAUUCGAAUUCACCUUAAACUGGAUUCUAGCUUCUGAAUUUGAGUAUCGGCAUUUUUAAAUCAUAUUUAUAUAUGAUAGUGGAAUACAUCUUUGUCGUGCUUUUGAAGAUAUAUAAAACCACAUAUAUUGAUUUAUAAAGAUUCAUAGAGGAAUACAAAAUGGAUUUGAAUUUAGUUGCCAGGGUAAACGUUGAUGCUUAUUGUCCCAAAAUUCGAAAGAAGCGGCAAAAUGUCCACUCCCACGUCGGCAGCCCGAAGCCAAGUGUUUGGGAGAUGGAAAUUACUGUCUACCCAUUACAGUUACAAUCCAUCAGCCCAAUUUCCACUGCUCUCAAUAGGGGUAGGUUAGUAACUUUAAUUAGACAUGACACAACCGCCUCUGAGCUCAUUCGGACACGGUGGGAGCCAAACAUGGGCGGCAAAACACAUUUGAUUCAAGCUCAUCCGAAAGACGUCUGUUUGUCCCUCCAUUUCUCCAUUCAUACACGAUGGGCGGCAAAACAAACUCGACUCAGCCGAAAUCGAUGUAGGCAAAUAUUUUUAAUAGGGGCAGGUUUGUAACUUGACUCAGACGUGACACAACCGUGCUACCUGUCAGCCCCGUUCAUACACCGUGGGCGCCAACCAUGGGCUCCAACCACCCUCUCCUCGCCCGAAAUCGCUCUAGGCAAAUAUUGGCGAGAUGCGAUAUUACCGUCCUAGCCCCAACGGACGAGACGUCCAAAUUUUACAAGGGGGCUAAGUUCGUAACUUUCCCACAUUUCAGACAGGUGCGUCCCAAAAACAUGGUUCCCCGUACCUCUCCCUCCAUUUUCCCAUUCAUACAUCGUACACGCUAGAACACCAUCCCCACACGAGCCUCCUCCGUCCGCCACCCCAUCCAUCGCCGCCGUCCUCUGCCCCAUCCAUCACCACCGUCCUUCACCAUGCCGGAGCGCCUACCAAGACCACGUCGUCCACUGCUAGAGAUGGACGUUUCUCAUCCACGGCAACAGACCAAGAGCCUUGCAUCGCGUCCUCUUGCUUCAUCGGCGCUGUCGUCCUCUUUGUCGUGGCCGCUCACACAACCUUCUCUUCCACCAGAACGGGACUUAUCCCUCGAUGCACCCAUCUACCGUUGCAGAUCUGCUUCAACGCCACCGACAGCCAUCGCACCCUCGAUGCCUACACGACGUCGCAAGAGAGGUGGUACUUCAUAUCUCUUGAACUUUUUGAUCUCAACCAGAAAAUAGAUCGUAACUUGGUUACUCCACAUUCUUUUCAGCUCUUAGAAUUUAGUUCCUAGUUCGAAGCAAACAAUGGAAGCUAAAUGUCAUUUCUCUGGUGUGCAACUUCAAAUCCACCAUGGCACAGUCAUAAUAUGGUUUAAUUGAUCAUGCAUAGGGUUUAAUUGAUCAUGUUGGUUUCGUGGUGGUUUCUUUAAUAGAAAUCGGAGGGGAAACCCUCUUUUGCUAAAAAAAAUAUGCUUAGGGUUUCCCCCUUUUAUGAUCACUAUACAAUCAGAAUACGUGCUUCGUGUCAUAAUAGCACUGCUCCACCCAUCAAGCUAAACAAGCUUAGUUGUUCAAGUACGAAUAUGAUAUUAUUAAAAUAGACUCAUUUAAUUGGUCAGCUAAAUGUUCCUAAUAUAGUUUCUAAAAUGCCUGUGCACCGCUCUGGUGUGUAUCUCUACAGGGUGCGCACGGUGGGCCACGGCCCACCCUGGGAUUUUGGGUUGUCCCAGGCCCCGAUUCCCGUCUGUUCUGCUGCGCGCUUUCGAUCUCUAGUCGCCCCUAGCCGCCUACCAUGUCGGCGACUUUCCGUCCCCGAACGGUGAUGUCUACUGCACAACCUUCGUCUUGUAGACAUUGUUGGGCCUCCAAGUGCAGAGCUUUUUAGGACAAUAGCAAAUUUCACCUUAAGUGGAUGACCUAAGGUUUAUCAAUCUGUGGGAGGCGUAGGAUGAAGAUGGUCUCUCUCAAACAACCCCGCAACCAAAUAACAAAGAGUCUCUUGUGUCCCCAACACACCCAAUACAAUGGCAAAUUGUAUAGGUGCACUAGUUUGGCGAAGAGAUGGUGAUACAAGUGCGAUAUGGAUGGUAGAUAUAGAUUUUUGUAAUCUGAAAAUAUAAAAAUAGUAAGGUAACUAAUGAUAAAAGUGAGCGUAAAUGGUAUUGCAAUGCUAGGAAACAAGGCCUAAGGUUCAUACUUUCACUAGUGCAAGUUCCCUCAACAAUAAUAACAUAACUAGAUCAUAUAACAAUCCCUCAACAUGCAACAAAGAGUCACUCCAAAGUCACUAAUAGCAGAGAACAAACGGAGAGAUUAUUGUAGGGCAUGAAACCACCUCAAAGUUAUUCUUUCUGAUCGAUCUAUUCAAGAGUCCGUAGUAAAAUAACACAAAGCUAUUCCUUCCGUUUGAUCUAUCCUAGAGUUCAUACCAGAAUAACACCUUAAGACACACGUCAACCAAAACCCCAGUGUCACCUAGAUACUCUAAUGUCACCUCAAGUAUAUCUGUGGGUAUGAUUAUACGAUAUGCAUCACACAAUCUCAGAUUCAUCUAUUCAACCAACACAAAGAACUUCAAAGAGUGCCCCAAAGUUUCUACCGGAGAGUCAAGACGAAAACGUGUGCCAACCCCUAUGCAUAAGUUCACAAGGUCACUGAACCCGCAAGUUGAUCACCAAAACAUACAUCAAGUGGAUCACGUGAAUAUCUCAUUGUCACCACAGAUAAGCAUAUGCAAGACAUACAUCAAGUGUUCUCAAAUCCUUAAAGAUUCAAUCCGAUAAGAUAACUUCAAAGGGAAAACUCAAUCCAUUACAAGAGAGUAGAGGGGGAGAAACAUCAUAAGAUCCAACUAUAAUAGCAAAGCUCGCGGUACAUCAAGAUCGUGCCGAAUCAAGAAAACGAGAGAGAGAGAGAGAUCAAACACAUAGCUACUGGUACAUACCCUCAGCCCCGAGGGUGAACUACUCCCUCCUCGUCAUGCAGAGCACCGGGAUGAUGAAGAUGGCCACCGGUGAAGGAUCCCCCCUCGGGAAGGGUGCCGGAACAGGGUCCCGAUUGGUUUUUGGUGGCUAUAGAGGCUUGCGGUGGCAGAACUCCGGAUCUAGGUUUCUUUCUGGAGGUUUGGGUAUUUAUAGGAGGGUUUGGCGUCGAGAACAAGUCAGGAGGACCCACGGGGUGUCCACGAGGCAAGGGGGCGCGCCAUAGGGGGGUGUGCGUGCCCUCCACCCUAGUGGGCCCCACAAGCCUCCUCUCCGGUAACUCUUUAUUCCAGUAUUUUUUAUAUUUUCCGGAAAAAAUCUCUGUUGAUUUUCAGCGCAUUCCGAGAACUUUUAUUUCUGCACAAAACAACACCACGGUAGUUCUACUAAAAACAGCGUCAGUCCAGGUUAGUUCUAAUCAAAUCAUACCAAAAUCAUGUAGAAAUAUUAUAAACAUGGCAUGAAUACAUCAAAAAUUAUAGAUAUGUUGGAGACGUAUCAGCAUCCCCAAGCUUAAAUCCUGCUCGUCCUCGAGUAGGUAAAUGAUAAACACAGAACUUUUGAUGUGGAAUGGUACCUAACAUAUUUAUCAAUGUAAUAUUCUCUAUUGUGGCAAGAAUAUUCACAUCCAUAAGAUUCAAAACAAAAGUUUAAUAUUUACAUAAAAACGAUAAUACUUCAAGCAUACUAACAAAAUAAUUAUGUCCUUUCAAAAUAACAUGGCCAAAGAAAGCUUCUCCCUACAAAAACAUAUAGUUUGGCCAUGCUUCAUUUUCGUCACACAAAAUGCUCCCAUCAUGCACAACCUCAGUUUCAGCCAAGCAAUUGGUUCAUACUUUUUAGCACGCUUCAUCCUUUUCAAUCCUCACGCAAUACAUGAGCGUAAUCCAUGGACAUAGCACUAUGGGUGGAGUAGAGUAUGAUGAUAGGGAUUAUGUGAGAAAACAAAAAAGGAGAAAGUCUUAAUAUUGACAUGGCUAAUCAACGGGCUAUGGAGAUGCCCAUGAAUUGAUGUCAAUACGAGGAGUAGGGAUUGCCAUGCAACAGAUGCACUAGAGCUAUAAAUGUAUGAAAGCUCAUCAAAAAGAAACUAAGUGGGUGUGCAUCCAACUUGCCUGCUCACGAAGACCUAGGGCAUUUUGAGGAAGCCCAUCAUUGGAAUAUACAAUCCAAGUUCUAUAAUGAAAAAUUCCCACUAGUAUAUGAAGGUGACAACAUAGGAGACUCUCUAUCAUGAAGAUCAUGGUGCUACUUUGAAGCACAAGUGUGGUAAAAGGAUAGUAACAUUGUCCCCUCUCUCUUUUUCUCUCAUUUUUUGGUGGGCUUCUUUGGCCUCUUUUAUUUUUAUUUGGGCUUCUUUGGCCUCUUUUAUUUUUCAUAAAGUCUGGAGACUCAUCCCAAAUUGGGAGGGAAUCAUUGCUUCCAUCAUCCUUUCCUCACAUGGGACAAUGCUCUAAUAAUGAAGAUCAUCACACUUUUAUCUACUUACAACUCAAGAAUCUUAGAACAAAAUAUGACUCUAUGUGGAUGCCUAUGACAGUGUACUGGGAUAUGCAAUGAAUCAAGAGCGACAUGUAUGAAAGAAUUAUAAGGGUGGCUUUGCCACAAAUAUGAUGUCAACUACAUGAAUAUGCAAAGCAAUAUGACAAUGAUGGAGUGCGUCAUAAUAAAUGGAACAGUGGAAAGUUGCAUGGCAAUAUAUCUCGAAAUGGCUAUGGAAAUGCCAUAAUAGGUAGGUAUGGUGGCUGUUUUGAGGAAGAUAUAAGGAGGUUUAUGUGUGAUAGAGCGUAUCGUAUCACGGGGUUUGAAUGCAUCUACGAAGUUUGCACCAACUCUCAAGGUGAGAAAGGGCAAUGCACGGUACCGUAAAGGCUAGCAAAUUGUGGAAGGGUAAGAGUGCUUAUAAUCCAUGGACUCACAUUAGUCAUAAAGAACUCAUAUACUUAUUGAAAAGUUUAUUAUCCCUCGAAGCAAAGUACUACUACGCAUGCUCCUAGGGGAAGGGUUGGUAGGAGUUAACCAUCGCGCGAUCCCGACCUCCACUCAUAAGGAAGGCAAUCAAAGAACACUCCAUGCUUCAAAUUUGUCACGCAACGUUCACCAUACGUGCAUGCUACGGGACUUGCCAACUUUAACACAAGUAUUUCUCAAUUUGAUAAUUGCCCAACUAGCAUGACUCUAAUAUUACCAUCCUCAUAUCUCAAAACAAUCAUCAAGAAUCAAACUUCUCGCAGUAUUCAAUGCACUUUAUAUGAAAGUUUUUAUUAUAUCCCUCUUGGAUGCCCAUCAUAUUAGGACUAAUUUUAUAACCAAAGCAAAUUACCAUGCUGUUUAAGACUACCAAAAUAAUAUAAGUGAAGCAUGCGAGUUCAUCUAUUUCUUCAAAAUAAAACCACCGUCGUGCUCUAAAAAGAUAUGAGUGAAGCACUAGAGCAAAUGACAAACUACUCCAAAAGAUAUAAGUGAAGAUCAAUGAGUAGUCGAAUAAUUAUGCAACUAUGUGAAGACUCUCUAACAUUUAAGAAUUUCAGAUCUUGGUAUUUUAUUCAAACAGCAAGCAAAACAAAACAAAAUGACAUUUCAAGGAUAGCACACAUCAUGUGAAGAAGCAAAAACUUAGGUUCAACCGAUACUAACCGAUAAUUGUUGAAGAAGAAAGGUGGGAUGCCUACCGGGGCAUCCCCAAGCUUAGAUGCUUGAGACUUCUUGGAAUAUUAUCUUGGGGUGCCUUGGGCAUCCCGAAGCUAGAGAUUUUGUGUCUCCUUAAUUCCUUUUAUAUCUCGGUUUCCUAAACCUCGAAAGCUUCAUCCACACCAAACUCAACAAGAACUCGUGAGAUAAGUUAGUGUAAACCAAUGAAAAAACCUUAUCAUUUUCUACUGUAACAAAUCACAAAAAUUAUUAUUCAACAUUGCAUACUAAAUUUCUCUGUGUAUUUAAUACUCCUAUCCUCAAAUAGAAUCAUUAAACAAGCAAACAUAUGCAAACAAUGCAAACAUAACAGCAAUCUGCCAAAACAGUACAGUCUGUAAAGAAUGCAAGAUUCAUCAUACUUCCCUAACUCCAAAAAUUAUGAAAGUUCUACCACACUGUAGAAUAUUUAUCAGAUCUCAAUAUGCAAGAAGUUUCAACAUUUUAUCAUUUUCUGUCUUUUCUAGGGAAUUUUUGCAACAGCGGUAAACUUUCUGUUUUGAAGCAGCAACAUGUACACUUGCAAAAUAAGCAUGGUGAAGACUAUCCUUGAAAUUUUUAUUGAAAAUAUAGAUGCAAAAAAUUUAAAUAACAGAAAGCAAAUACUAAAAAAAUAAAAUGACGCUCCAAGAAAAACACAUAUCAUGUGGUGAAUAAGAAUAUAGCUCCAAGUAAAGUUACCGAUGAACGAAGACGAAAGAGGGGAUGCCAUCCGGGGCAUCCCCAAGCUUAGGCUCUUGGUUGUCCUUGAAUAUUACCUUGGGGUGCCUUGGGCAUCCCCAAGCUUAGGCUCUUGCCACUUCUUAUUCCAUAGUCCAUCGAAUCUUUACCCAAAACUUGAAAACUUCACAACACAAAACUCAACAGAAAACUCAUAAGCUCCGUUAGUAUAAGAAAAUAAACCACCACUUAGGUACUGUUGUGAACUCAUUCUAAAUUCAUAUUGGUGUAAUAUCUACUGUAUUCCAACUUCUCUAUGGUUCAUACCCUCCGAUACUACUCAUAGAUUCAUCAAAAUAAGCAAACAACACAUAGAAAACAGAAUCUGUCAAAAACAGAACCGUCUGUGGUAAUCGGUAACUCUCGAAUACUUCUGUAACACAAAACAUUCUACAAAAUUAGUAAAAUCUGAGAAAUUUGUGUACCAAUCCAGAGCAAAAAUAAUCAGAUCAAAAUCACGUUUCUCUGAAUUAUCAAAACUAAUUUACUGGGCGCAAAAGUUUCUGAUUUUCAGCAGGAUCAACACAACUAUCACCGUAAGCUAUCCUAAAGGUCUUACUUGGUACUUUAUUGAAACAAAACCUAUAAAACAUGAUUACUAAAGUAGCAUAAUCAUGUGAAUACACAAAAACAGUAAAGGUAAAUAUUGGGUUGUCUCCCAACAAGCACUUUUCUUUAAUGACUUUUAGCUAGGCAUGAUGAUGACAAUGAUGCUCACAUAAAAGAUAAAAAUUGAAACACAAUGGGCGCGUCAUGAAGCAUAUGACUAACACAUUUAAGUGUAACCCACUUCCUAUGCAUAGGGAUUUUGUGAUCAAACAAUUUAUGAGAACAAGAAUCAACUAGCAUAGGAAAGCAAAACAAGCAUAACUUCAAGAUUUUAAGCACAUAGAGAGGAAAGUUAAUAUUAUUGCAAUUACUACAAGCAUAUAUUCGUCCCUCAUAACAAUUUUCAGUAGAAUGAUGAAUGAAUUCAACAAUAUAAUUAUCACAUAAAGCAUUCUUUUCAUGAGCCACAAGAAUAUAAUUUUUAUUACUCUCCACAUAAGCAAAUUUCUUCUCAUGAAUAGUAGUGGGAGAAAACUCAACAAAAUAACUAUCAUGUGAAGCAUAAUCCAAUUGAAAAUUAAAAUCAUGAUGACAAGUUUCAUGGUUAUCAUCGGAUUUCGGGUUCCGGCAUACCCUUGAGGUUCGAACACUGGGGUGCGCGCGGAGAUUCAACCCUCUAUCGGCUCGCUCCUCGCCGAAUAGCUAGGACCUAAACUACCAAACUGAACAGCACAAGAGACACAAGAUUUAUACUGGUGCAGGCCACCAUUGUGGUGUAAUACCCUACUCCAGUGUGUGGUGUGGUGGAUUGCCUCUUGAGCUUGAUGAUGAACAAUACAAGGCAGAACAGCCUCGCGAGGGUCUGUUCUUGGCUGGUGUGACGAACUGCUGGGAGGAGUUCAAUCGUUCUAUCUACUGGUUCCUUGGUGAGGAUCCCGAUUGCUAGGUCAGGUCCAGAUGCCUCUACCCUGGGGGUGGCUAGUCCUAUUUAUAGGCAAAGGCCCUGGGCCUCUUCCCAAAUAUUGAGCGGGAAGGGUGCCAACAAUUGGCCAUUUUGAAGGGCAACAAUGGGUACACUUAUCCUGACUAAAGAUGGUCCUCGCCUGUCAAAGGCUCUAGUGGUGACUUCCUUCCGGCCGUUGGGCUGGUCUUGGUCUUGUUGCACCGAAAUGGGUGCCUUUGCUUGAUGCUCUCGCCUGCGCUUGCUCCCUUUGCACCAAAGAGGAAAGGAGGACACUACGCGGGCUGGCGCCCGACUGGCGCCCCUGGUCAUCAUGGCUUGCGUCAUGGGCACCUCGCGAGGUACCCCGCCUUGAACUCUCCGCCUCCUCAUGAGCCAGCCUGACGAGACCGUGCCUGAGGAAGCUCCUUGUCGUCCGCCCCGCGAGGCUUGGCCCCUCGCGAGGGUCUUGAGCUUGUGCUAGUGAAGAUGGGCUGUGCUGGGCCUCCUUUGAGCCACCCCGCAGGCCGAAGGCAGGCAAGUCUGGGGACCCCCGUUCCCAGAACGCCGACAGUAGCCCCCGGGCCCACGGCACGCCCGAACUUGGCCGAGCAGAGAGGCAAAAGGGCAAGUGCGAAGCAUCGCGGGCCCUAACAGCCUGCGGCCUUGGGCACCGCGUGGCGGUUGAUUGGACGUGGGCGCCUCUGCUUCCCACGACGCCUUGGUAACCGCACGGAUUCGACAAGUCCCUGCAUGCAAAGCGGGUCAUGAUUACCUGUGAUCGUGGAGGUCGAUGGUUCGCCUUCGCUGGUUAUAAGUACGGAACGGCGCGCGCCCUUCCGGUCUAUCCCUCUGCUUUUCCUCCUUCCUGGGCCUUGCUCCGUCUUGCUGCAAUGGCUCCGAUCCGCCGGUUCUCCGCGGAAGAGAAGGGAAAAGGUCCCCAAGAGGAUCCUGACCCGCUUCCCCCGAUGAAGCAGCUGGCCCUCUGGUGUCAGGGCGAGGGCACUCGCCAGGAAGCGUCAAGACCCUGGUGUGAGCGGCCACCACCAGGGUUCCCUCUUCCCUUGUACGCGCACAUUGGCGGCUCUGAAGGAGUCGACGCCGAACGCUACGAGCGGCACCGCCGACGAUGCCGGCGGGUCAUGAAGGUGUGCGUCUUCCCCCCUGGAGUUCAAGCCGAGGGCUCCUGCCGAGAGUUCGUGCUUCAUGCCGCCACGCCUCCUAAGUCUUGGAUUCGUCUCCCCUCUUUCUUCGCCUCCGUCGUCCGGCGGGGGGUACCCCUCGGGCUUUGGCUGCAACACGCCGGCUGCGGCACCCUCGCGACCGGGGCAGAGGUCGCGGUCGUUGCCCCGGGCGAGGUCUUCAUUACUCGAGUUUGGGGCGAGGUCGCCCAGGUCUGCAAGACGAGGGGCGCCCUCACGAUCCAUCUGGAGUACGAUGGUGCUUCGGUGAUGUCCUUCAAGGUCUUCGAUGCGGAGGGUCGCCGGCUGGAGUGUUUCCACGAGAGAGGCGGUCGGGAUCCUGCCGCGGCGAGACAGAGGCCGGCCGACCGCUCCCUUGGCUGCUCCUCAGGCGACGGAGGCACAGGAGGAUCCAGUGACUCCGCCGAGCUCUUCGCGACCCCGGAGAUGAGCGACGACAGCUACGAGCCCCCGAGCAUGCGCCGUUCCCGGAAGAGGGCGGGCUCGUCAGGCCGUCGCCGCCUCUGAUCUGGAUGGGGUUGGCGUUGGUGCUGGGCGGCCCACUGUUGAUGAUGGCGUCUGCCGCGAUGCCCCCUGUAGUUAGGACUCCUUAGGAUUUGCGCCUUUUGUUCCUGCGAGGGGCCAAGAAUAUACCCCACGGGGGCUUGUAAGAUGUUUGUAGCUUCGUCUGUCAAUAUGAUCCUUAUUGUGAAGUGGUGCGAGAUGCUUAUUCCGUUUUAGCUUAGUUUCCUCCUUUCAGACCUCGCGAGGGCUUGAUGCUCUGCGCCGAUAGGUCCCAGUCCUAAGGCGGCUUCAGCCGUCGCUGGUAUGCCAGGUCACGAUGCCGUGGUCAAGGCCAGGAGGUGAGUGGCCCGAGGUCCGGUAAGAGCCCCUGAGUCGCGAUGCUCAAGAGGUCCCCCUUAGCGCUCAAGCAGCCAUCAUUCAGUGAGAAAGGAGAGCGACGUUGCUAACACGGGAUUGCACUUGGUGCGGGAGCGGUGCUGCGAUAACCAAUGCUUCCGGAGAGUGACUUAUCUCGAGGGUCAGAAUAAUGCUUCCUGGUGCGGCGAUAGAUCCGUGCCUUCGCCGAUGUGAGGUCGCUUGGCGGCGCUCCUUGGAGGGACCCUGCAGGUUCAUCACAAAAGGAACAAGGGUUUGUCGCGACAAUUGACAGUCAGCCGUUAGUUGCUGCGGAGGGGCAUGAAAGGCCCUGCGAGGUGUAUUGGGGUACCCGUGAGCCAGCGUGGGACUCACGGGGCCCUACUUCAAGGCGGGUUGCGCCUGGCUCUGGGCCUUAUCUUCAAGUGUGUUCCUGCAAAUUUGGCCAGAUGCAGGUGCUCUACGUCUUCGGGUCCCGGCUCUCGGGCUGGUAUCAGCCGUCACUGGCAUGCCAGGUCGCGAUGCCAUGGACAAGACCAGAGAGUGAGGGCCGGAGAGCCGGUAGGAGCCCUGAGUCGCGCUGAUCAGGCACCCCCCCUUUAACGCGCAAGCUGGGUUAGAUGUCGAAACUCUACGUCCUCGGGUCCCGGCUCUCGGGCUGGUCUCAGCCGUCACUGGCAUGCCAGGUCGCGAUGCCAUGGACAAGACCAGAGGGUGAGGGCCGGAGAGCCGGUUGGAGCCCUGAGUCGCGAUGCUCAGGCACCCCCCCUUUAACGCGCAAUCAUGGCAAAAAUGAUAAAUGAGCAAGUUAUAACAGUUUCAGCAGAUUAACAUCAACAUGCACUCUUCCAACAGCAUUUCGGGCAUCAAGAUGAGCUCAAAUGAAAAUGAUGCAAUGGAAUGAAAUGAUCUACUCGUCGAGACGAACAAUUUGACAUAUUAUACGCACGAAGCGGAGCUACAGAUGCAGAGAUGUGAUGGCAUGAACAUGGCAUGAUUAUGUUAACAUAACAGGGACAGACGUUUUCAGAGGGGGAAGUCAACCUUGCACGGAUAUUGAUGCACGACGUGAGCUCACCGGAGAACGGGCGGGCGCGGCCGGAGCAAGUGCCGGCGAGGUCGGGGCGGGGCGGGGGCGGCGAAUCCGGCCGGAUCCUCGNNNNNNNNNNNNNNNNNNNNNNNNNNNNNNNNNNNNNNNNNNNNNNNNNNNNNNNNNNNNNNNNNNNNNNNNNNNNNNNNNNNNNNNNNNNNNNNNNNNNNNNNNNNNNNNNNNNNNNNNNNNNNNNNNNNNNNNNNNNNNNNNNNNNNNNNNNNNNNNNNNNNNNNNNNNNNNNNNNNNNNNNNNNNNNNNNNNNNNNNNNNNNNNNNNNNNNNNNNNNNNNNNNNNNNNNNNNNNNNNNNNNNNNNNNNNNNNNNNNNNNNNNNNNNNNNNNNNNNNNNNNNNNNNNNNNNNNNNNNNNNNNNNNNNNNNNNNNNNNNNNNNNNNNNNNNNNNNNNNNNNNNNNNNNNNNNNNNNNNNNNNNNNNNNNNNNNNNNNNNNNNNNNNNNNNNNNNNNNNNNNNNNNNNNNNNNNNNNNNNNNNNNNNNNNNNNNNNNNNNNNNNNNNNNNNNNNNNNNNNNNNNNNNNNNNNNNNNNNNNNNNNNNNNNNNNNNNNNNNNNNNNNNNNNNNNNNNNNNNNNNNNNNNNNNNNNNNNNNNNNNNNNNNNNNNNNNNNNNNNNNNNNNNNNNNNNNNNNNNNNNNNNNNNNNNNNNNNNNNNNNNNNNNNNNNNNNNNNNNNNNNNNNNNNNNNNNNNNNNNNNNNNNNNNNNNNNNNNNNNNNNNNNNNNNNNNNNNNNNNNNNNNNNNNNNNNNNNNNNNNNNNNNNNNNNNNNNNNNNNNNNNNNNNNNNNNNNNNNNNNNNNNNNNNNNNNNNNNNNNNNNNNNNNNNNNNNNNNNNNNNNNNNNNNNNNNNNNNNNNNNNNNNNNNNNNNNNNNNNNNNNNNNNNNNNNNNNNNNNNNNAACCGCCGGCGACGAGAGGCUGCGGUCCGGGCGCGGAGGCGCGGGCCGAACGGCGGCGGCAGCGCGGGCUCGCGCGGUCCUGAUUCAGGUCCCGCGGGCCGCGCGGAGGAGAGAGAUGGCGGCGGGCCACGUGGCAGCGCGCCACUGGCCGAGGGAUUGGCCCGGGCGACGUGGAGGCUGGACAUGUCCGGCGGGGUUGGACAUGUCCGGUGCGCGAGGGGAGCGGGGCUAGGGUUUCGUCCGCGAAAAUGGAAGGGGAGGACGUUUAUAUAGGCAUAGGGAGCUAGGAGAGUCCAAAUGAGGAGCGGUUUUCGGCCACGCGAUCGUGAUCGAACGACCGAGAGCAUGGAGGGGAGUUAGAUGGGUUUUGGGCCACUUUGGAAGGGGUGUUGGGCUGCAACAAAAGAGGCCUCUGCGGUUUCCCGGUUAACCGUUGGAGUACCAAACGACCUACAAAUGGCACGGAACUUGACAGGCGGUCUACCGGUGCUAAACCAAGGCCGCUUGGCAAACCUCGAGCCAUUCCGAGAAAGUUUAACACCCGCACACAAAAGGAGACAAGAAGGGGACGCCGGGUGAGAUAGGAGCACCGGAUUGCAAAACGGACAACGGGGAAAAUGCUCGGAUGCAUGAGACGAAGACAUAUGCAAAAUGAAAUGCACAUGAUGACAUGAUAUGAAAUGCAUAUGAUGAGAUGGCAAAGUGCAACACUGUAACGCCCUCGAUGCGGCUAUAUCUCCCACGUGUCGAAGCACGACUUAGAGGCAUAACCGCAUUGAAAGCAAUGUCGCAAGUGAGGUAAUCUUCACACAACCCAUGUAAUACAUAAGGGAAAGAGAUACAUAGUUGGCUUACAAUCGCCACUUCACACAAUUACAUGAAUAAAGCAUUACAUCAUCUAGAUACAAUCAAGGUCCGACUACGGAACCAAAAUAAAAGAAGAACCCCAAUUGCGACAAAGGUCCCCAAUCGACCCCAACUGGGCUCCACUACUGAUCAACUGAAACGAAACAACACAAUGAACAAGAUCUUCAUCGAGCUCCUCCUUGAGCUUGGUUGCGUCACCUGCUCGGUAACAUAGGCACCUGCAAACUGGUUUUGGAAGUAUCUGUGAGCCACGGGGACUCAGCAAUCUCGCACCCGCGAGAUCAAGACUAUUUAAGCUUAUGGGUAAGGUAAAGGCAUGAGGUGGAGCUGCAGCAAGCGACUAGCAUAUAUGGUGGUUAACAUACGCAAAUGAGAGCGAGAAGAGAAGGCAAAGCACGGUCGAUAAAAGUAUGAUCAAGAAGUGAUCCUGUAGCAACCUACGUCAAGAAUAACUCCAACACCGUGUUCACUUCCCGGACUCCGCCGGAAAGAGACCAUCAUGGUUACACACACGGUUGAUGUAUUUUAAUUAAGGUCAACUUCGGGUUUUCUACAACCGGACAUUAACAAAUUCCCAUCUGCCACAUAACCGUGGGCACGGCUCUCGAAAGUUUAUACCCUGCAGGGGUGUCCCAACUUAGCCCAUGACAAGCUCUCGCGAUCAACGAAGGAAUAGACCUUCUCCCAGGAAGACCCGAUCAGGCUCGGAAUCUCGGUACAUCAAGACAUUUCGACAAUGGUAAAACAAGACCAGCAAGACCUCCCGCUGUGCCGACAAAUCCCGAUAGGAGCUGCACAUAUCUCGUUCUCAGGGCACACCGGAUGAGCCAGACGUCGGGUUGGCAUAGACCCUGGUUGCCCAGGGGGCGCCGGACAUCGCUCAGGUUGGACCAACACNNNNNNNNNNNNNNNNNNNNNNNNNNNNNNNNNNNNNNNNNNNNNNNNNNNNNNNNNNNNNNNNNNNNNNNNNNNNNNNNNNNNNNNNNNNNNNNNNNNNNNNNNNNNNNNNNNNNNNNNNNNNNNNNNNNNNNNNNNNNNNNNNNNNNNNNNNNNNNNNNNNNNNNNNNNNNNNNNNNNNNNNNNNNNNNNNNNNNNNNNNNNNNNNNNNNNNNNNNNNNNNNNNNNNNNNNNUAAAAUAAAGAUGACCCUUGGGCUCCGGAAACCCAAGGGAAAAAAAGGGGCUAGGUGAGACAAAUGGUAAAAUGAAGGUUGGGCCUUGCUGGACAAGUUUUAUUCAAAGCGAACUGUCAGGGGGGUCCCAUAAAUCACCCGACCGCGUAAGGAACGCAAAAUCAGGGAACAUAACACCGGUAUGAUGAAAACUAGGGCAGCAAGAGUGGAACAAAACACCAGGCAUAAGGCCGAGCCUUCCACCCUUUACCAAAUAUAUAGAUGCAUUAAUAAUAUAAGAGAUAUUGUGAUAUCCCAACAAGUAAACAUGUUCCAACAAGGAACAACAUCUCCAUGUUCCAACAAGGAACAAACUUUAAUCUUCACCUGCAACUAACAACACUAUAAGAGAGGCUGAGCAAAGCGGUAACAUAGCCAAACAACGGUUUGCUAGGAAUGGUGUCAAAGGUUAGAGGUUUGACAUGGCAAUUUGGGAGGCUGACAAGCAAAUGGUAGGCAUCGUAGCAUUGGCAUAGCAAAAGAGCGAGCAAACUAGCAUAGCAAAGAUAGUAGUGAUUUCGACGGUAUGCUCAUCUUGCCUGAGAUCCCGCAAGGAAGAAGAACGAUUCCAAGAAGAAGACAAACCGUCGUAGACGAACGAACCCUCACAACUUCGGAACGAAACCGAAGCUAACGAGAGAAGCAAACCGGAAAGAAGCAAACAAUAUGGUAAACACACAAGCAUAAACAUGUCAUGAUGCACAAACAAGUAUGAUGCAUGUCCGGUUUAAUGAGGCAUGGCAUGGCAAAGUGCACAAACAACACUACAAGUUAAGUGGAGCUCAAUAUGCAACGAGUUGCAUAUUGACGAAACACCACAUCAAUUAUUUAGUUCUCUCUCGGUUAUGAACACAACAAUAUUAAAUGUUUGUUAACAUGCAAGUGGUGAAGCAUAACAAAAACUAUACCAUCUAAACAAUUUAAAUGGGGCCGGAUAUAAAAACAACAAAUCCGAUAAAUCCCCAUAUGCAUUUAGCAAUUUAAUGCAACAACAAGUUUAAACAUUUUAAUUGUUGCUAUCAUGAUGCGGAUGACAUAUACAAGUUUUAUGCAGUUUUAUGAAUACGUUGACAUGAGCAUGUUAUGAAGCAUUUGUCGCCAUGGCGGAACAAAAGGGGUGCCACGGCGGCGAAACGAAAAGGGUGCCACGGCGACGAAACGAAAAGGGUGCCACGGCAACAUAUCCGAAAAUGAUGCCACGGCAACAUAUUGGUUCCGGUAGCUCACGGAGAUACCGGUGCGAAAGGAGGCGUGACGUGAGCGAGUCAUGCAAGAUGGUGGGGUGAUCCCGGCUACCGGGUUCCCACGUGACAGUGGCAUGGCAAAAGAGCAAGGAGCUUGCAAUGACAAUUCGGACACGGUGCACACACAAGCAUUCGUCCACGGUCGUCGUCUUGGCGGUUAUACCUUUGAAUCGUGCAUUAACGAAGCGGAUCAAGUUCGGCGAAGGAAGUAGUCGUUCUCGCGGCGGCGGUAGUGGAAGUAGUUGUACUCGGCCGUAGCGGAAGUAGACGUUCUCGCGACGGUAGUGGAAGUAGUGGUACACGGUGACGGUAGUUGUACACGUGUUGUAGUCGAACUUGACGGAGCCAACGUCCUCAAGGGUAGUCAUGGUACUUGGGGUCUUCGGACUUGCCGGUCUCGGUUUUUGCGACGGUAGUGGUACAUGGCAAUGUUGGGGUACUUGUCGGUCCGGUUUUUGCGGUGUAGAUGUACACAUUGUCGGGGUACUUGUCACAUCACCGGGUGUAAUCGUACACGGGUCCUCGUCUUCAUGGUUCUUGGCGUCCUCACGGCCUUGACAGUGAAGAAACGGAACGCGGCGACAAAACGAGGGUGAGGCAGCAGAGGGCCACGGCUGCUGGUCAACGAAAGUUGCCGGAAGAGGAAGCAAACAAGGCGGCGCGAUCUCUGGCGAAUGGCAAUGCGGCGGCCUGAGGGGUCACCAGCACAAGCGAAAUGGUAGCGGGCAACGCUGCUGUCGAGAGAUGGAGGUCGGGGCCGGAGCUGAGCAACGCCAGCAGGGGCGGAUGGGCGCGAAGAGGCCGGGAGGAGCAGCGCUCGGCACCGGUUGACGCGGAGCAGGGGAGGCGGAGCUCCUGCUCGAAGAGGUGCGACGAGGAGAACCACGGGCACGAAGGAUGGCGGCGAGGACGAUGGAUCCGGGCGGCGGCCGCGGCUCGAGAGCCUCUCCCGAUCGGGACGAGGACGGCGAGGGCCGAGCGAGUAGGCGGCGUCAUGAGGGACACUGACGGCAGGGUCGCGCGCGAGGAAGGAGAGGCCGGGGCGGCGGCCAUGGCCUCGGCGAAGGGGUCGGGUGCGGGACUCCUGUGGGGCGGCGAUGCAACAGAGCGGCAGCUCGGGAGAAGACGAGAGGGAGAGGAUGAGGGGAUCGGGAUGAGUGGCCACGGGAGCGAGGGUAGGUAACAGCGCGAGGGGAGAAGUGGGGAUCGAGGGAGAGAGAUGCGAGCGCAAAGGAGGGAGAUGGAGGCGCUGCGGGAGGGAGAUGGGAUCGAGAGGAGGGUUCGCUAGGGGGUCGACUAGGGUUAGCAGGGGGAUCGGUGGGCCUCGGUGAUGGAUGGGCCGGCGAGAGGCCCAGCUGGGCUGGACUCUCUUCUCCCUCUCCCCUAUUUCCUUCUCUCUAAAUAACAGAGAAAUAAAGAGAAAGAAAAGAGAGAAGAGAAGGUUAGAGGAAGAAUUUGGGCAGGAGGACAACUUUUCCAGAGUCAUAAAAAUAUGAGGAAUUUGACAAAAAUGGCCUGACAAUUUUUGGAGGAAGUAAAAUCCACACACGUUGGAUUUAACUCGGUAAGUUCGAAUUUCGAAACUCAUUCAAACGAACUCCAAAUGGGUUGAAAUUAUAGGAGGUGACCCUACACAAUAUAUGUGAUUUAUGGGCAGAUUUGGGACAUUUAUGGGUAAAGUAAAAUUGCCACUCAAUUUUACUAAAAGGCCCCAAAGGAAGAAGGGGAAGUUGAGAAGGAUAAAAGGAAAUUUGAAGAACAGUGCAUAUGUGUUAUGGGUGAUUCCAAAAAUGGAAUAUUUAUAAUAUCUCUCUAAAUAUCGAGAGGAUAUGUUUCAAAGAGAAUCACCAUGUGAAUUCCCUCGAUUUAAAUGGACCGAAGAUCCAUACGGUUUAUUUAGAUGAGUUAUAAAAAGGGUUGGAUGAUGACAUGAUGCAAUGCAAAUGAUGCAAUGAUGAAUGCAUGACAUGAACAAAAAGCAAAACGAAGACAAAAACCCAACCACAAGGAAAUAACAUAUCACAUCUCUGGAAAAGGCAAGAGUUGGAGUUACGGAUAUGGAAAGUUGCAUCCGGGGCGUUACAACACUCCACUACUACGAGAGGAUCUCGUCCCGAGAUCUAGAAUGGCACCGGAGGGAAAACAGAAUUGAAAAAGAAAGGUAAAACUAAGUUGCUUCUUUGACAAACGAGUGAAACCACAAACCUUGAGAGGUUGAGCAAUUUAAAAGAAAGAGUACAAUAGAGAUGAACGAGAUUGCAAACAAUCCAUUAGAAAAGAGGAACAAGGAGUAUUACGAGAAUUUGAAGGUUGCAAAGACAUGAAUCAAGAGUUUAAUGGACAAUGUAGAAUUCGAAACCACUCCGGUUAAAACAAGAUGAGAGAGGAAGAAUUCGGGCAGCACUCUGGUUCAACAUGGAAGGAAUAGAACAUGAACUUGAGAAGAUGGGAUGAUACUUGAUGAAAUCAACAACACACUAUCUCUGGAACUAUUGAAAGAAUGACACAAGGGGUAAGAAAGAUUUUAGACAGCUCUCCAGUAGAGGAAGGAGGGAAAACUUGAUAAAAAUUAGAGAACUCGAAUGAAAACACGACACUCCAGUUAAAUGGAUAAGCACGAAAAAGAACGUGAUCUUGACAAAGUGAUCUGAUGGGUGAAGAGAGCAACAUCACAAAGCCUCCGGGAGAAAGAAUAGAAGAUCGGUCAUUGGAAUAACAGAAUGGUGGGGGAAAUGGCAACUUCUGCCACAAUUGAGCUUGGAAAGCAUCCUUGCAAGAAGGUUAGAAUAGAGUUGUUGGAAGACCAACAACGAAAAGAAUAAGUUUUUAGUGGGCUUAUGGAAACAUCUCAACAUUAUGAGGUGACAACCGGCCACUAACGGAAACAAUUGCUUGCUUGAGAUCGACGAAGAGAUGAACACUUCUUCCAUCAAGAUGGAAAAGAGAUAACUUGGGUCAUUAAUAAGCACCAAAAUAGCAACAUUCCUUAGGGAAGGCUUUAGGUGAAAUCUAUACCAAGAUAACUCCAAAGAAGAGAUUGGUGGAUUUAAAAUACCUCAUUCUUGACAACAUGAAACAUGAAACAUGAAUGAAACUGUCAAAAUGACAUAACACCACCUGAAAAGAUAAUGUCGAAAGAAUUGCACUUCGGAAUGCAAGAUGAAGAAUGCUUGAACUCCUCAAAACAAAACAUGUGUUGAGCACCAUGUUUAUUUUACAGUAAAGCUUGGCGGAUCUUAACUUCGAGAGAAAUCUUGAAGAACAAUUGAAGAAUGAAAGGAAUCCUUGAUGAACCACCAUGUAGAGCCUCAAAGAAGAACUCCGGUAAUAAAAGGAUGAUAAAAAGAAAGAGAAGUUGAAAACACAAGGUGAAUCCUUGCCAUGAUUUAGAUGGAUCUCCGUGAUAAUUAGAGCUUGGAACUCCGGGAAAAAAGAGAAGAUGAAACAAAUGAAACCGAGAAUUUAUUCAUCAUGAACAAACUCCGAAAGAAGGAAUUAAUCACUUGGAUGAAACAAGAAUAAGAAUUAUGUUAUGCGUAUCCUUCACCAAUUUAAAUUGAUGACAAGCAACGGAUUUGGCAUACUACUUAUUCUCGUAGAAAGGAUUAAAGAGAGAUAUAGCGCCAACUUGAGAAGGUCUUCAACGAACCACCGGUAGGAUUGGAACAACAAUUGAAUUGAUAUGAUGAACAAAGAAAGAGAACUCUUGAAUGAACCACCGUAAGAAUUGAAAAUGAACGUAGCAAAGGCACAAUGCACCGGGAAGAAUUGGAAAACGAAUGAAGAUACUUGAGGGUAUUUAGAUACAAAUGAACGAAUAGAUCACGAGCUGAUUAGAUAAUACUUGAAUGAUGCACCGGUAUGAUUUGGAGAACGAGAGCUGAAAGCUUGAAUGAAUAAUACUUAUGAUGGGCUCCGGAUGACAAACUGAGAAGACUCUUGAAUAUCUCCUGAUGGGUGAAAAAGAUUCUCACAAUCGAAAACAAUUAUGAGAGGAUGGCAACAAGCUAGCACCAUGAAUCUUGAAGAGAAUAGAGCAAGAUUAAAGAGAAACUCUUCUUCGGUCUUCAAAUGAUGAGAAUGACAACGAGAAGCACCACCAAGAAUUAUUGAGACACACCGGAAGAAUCAAAAGCGAAGAGGUUGAGCCAACUAUGAAAAGAAUUUGAAAGAUCUUGGAGAAAAGCAUUUGACUGAUGAUAACUCAUUCUUACGUCAAACUUGGAGAAGAAUUUAGGAUAGCUCUGGGAAAAUAGAAGAGUCAGGUAAGAUCCUGGGAAAAGACCUGUGGGUUAGGGCCCACUCAAAAGAAAACAUCGUUGAAAUGAUUUAAAAGAGAUGUUGCACCGGUUGAAUUAAAUGACUUGAAUGAGAUACCAAUCUCGAAAGAACUAGAACGAAUGCAGAGUGGAAACACGAAUCUUCGAGAUAUCUUGAGCACUCCGGAAUAACAAAUAGCGAGAAGUAGAAUGAUAAUGAGGUGCACUGGUAUGAGAAGACAUAGAAAUGAGGAAAAAGGUAUGACCAACAAAACUUGACUUGAAUCCACCGGAGAAGAGAAAGGAAUGAGGAAUGACGAACUAGAAGAACAUCUUCUUGAGAACCACCGGGUAAGAACAUUGACGGAAAAGAAUGGAGAAACUUCACAAAAUAAAAGGAUACUUGGUAAAGAAAUCUUAGUCCUUGAAGAAAAAGGGUGGGAGGGCGGGAAAACAAAGGCAACUUGGAGACGGAUGAAACAAACACCGUUGAGAAGAAAUGAUAAUUGGUCUUGCUGAUGUUGAAGUGAUCGGAUCCACUUGAAGAGAAACACGCCGGUUGAAAAGGAUUGACAUGACAAUCUCGAUUGUCGAGAAGGAUUGGUAUUCACAUUGGAGUAUGAGAACACCAUUUCGGAAAGGUAUGGAAUCAACACUCGACAUUGAAGCAACUCGAAUACCACAACUCAAAACAAAAACAAAGGACUGGCUUGCAGAAUAAGCCGGAACAAAUACAUAUGAUAGAGAUUUACCCAAUCCCAUAUCAUGCAUCUGUCGGAAAGAUAUUCUAGGAGCUACUUGAAUUCCCACCUAUGAAACUCCCGAAAUUUUCCGGUUAUGCAAUCAGGUGUUGGGGAUACAGGGGAAGCAUAAUAUAUCUCACCCAAACUAACAAUCCCUACAUCCAAGCUGUAUCCAUCCGUCGACACAUAACCAAGAAACCUUCGGAAAUCGUGUACCUCAACCUUCGAAAAGCAUCCGUUAUACGAGUCAUGGCAAUACUCCCAUACUCACCUCAGUACUGGGUUAUCGGGGUUAUCUCACCAACAACUGCAUAAAAGAGAUUUUCGAUGUCGGCGCACUAAACUCAGGUGUUCCAGAACUGCAACGAUAAAAUUAUGAUGACAACACCUCAGAGCUCAACUCCCCGGGACACCUCCACUAAAAAAAACCCUGCUGACGGGAGGCACCAAGACAAUGUUGUCAUCAUAAAACCAUCGGAACGAUUCUAAGAUACCCGCGUGAUCCUAAAUUUUUUUUAGUGAAAUUUGAGAAGAGAAGAGUCAAAACUUCUACGUCAGGAGACCUCACCAGAGCGACGAAGGGACUGAGGAGUAAAAAGAAUUCCUAACUCUCUGAUAUAUAUAAUCCUAAAUGACUCAAAACAUUUUUCUAGACACAACUCGGCCGCUAAAAACGAUCAAGCAGUGGGGCUCCUAAGGUCGGGGAUGGCUCUGAUUACCAACUUGUAACGCCCUCGAUGCGGCUAUAUCUCCCACGUGUCGAAGCACGACUUAGAGGCAUAACCGCAUUGAAAGCAAUGUCGCAAGUGAGGUAAUCUUCACACAACCCAUGUAAUACAUAAGGGAAAGAGAUACAUAGUUGGCUUACAAUCGCCACUUCACACAAUUACAUGAAUAAAGCAUUACAUCAUCCAGAUACAAUCAAGGUCCGACUACGGAACCAAAAUAAAAGAAGAACCCCAAUUGCCACAAAGGUCCCCGAUCGACCCCAACUGGGCUCCACUACUGAUCAACUGAAACGAAACAACACAAUGAACAAGAUCUUCAUCGAGCUCCUCCUUGAGCUUGGUUGCGUCACCUGCUCGGUAACAUAGGCACCUGCAAACUGGUUUUGGAAGUAUCUGUGAGCCAUGGGGACUCAGCAAUCUCGCACCCGCGAGAUCAAGACUAUUUAAGCUUAUGGGUAAGGUAAAGGCAUGAGGUGGAGCUGCAGCAAGCGACUAGCAUAUAUGGUGGUUAACAUACGCAAAUAUGAGAGAGAAGAGAAGGCAAAGCACGGUCGAUAAAAGUAUGAUCAAGAAGUGAUCCUAUAGCAACCUACGUCAAGCUUAACUCCAACACCGUGUUCACUUCCCGGACUCCGUCGGAAAGAGACCAUCACGGUUACACACACGGUUGAUGUAUUUUAAUUAAGGUCAACUUCGGGUUUUCUACAACCGGACAUUAACAAAUUCCCAUCUGCCACAUAACGGCGGGCACGGCUCUCGAAAGUUUAUACCCUGCAGGGGUGUCCCAACUUAGCCCAUGACAAGCUCUCGCGAUCAACGAAGGAAUAGACCUUCUCCCAGGAAGACCCGAUCAGGCUCGGAAUCCCGGUACAUCAAGACAUUUCGACAAUGGUAAAACAAGACCAGCAAGACCUCCCGCUGUGCCGACAAAUCCCGAUAGGAGCUGCACAUAUCUCGUUCUCAGGGCACACCGGAUGAGCUAGACGUCGGGUUGGCAUAGACCCUGGUUGCCCAGGGGGCGCCGGACAUCGCUCAGGUUGGACCAACACUCGAAGGAGCACUGGCUCGGGGGGCUAAAAUAAAGAUGACCCUUGGGCUCCGGAAACCCAAGGGAACAAAAAGGGGCUAGGUGAGGCAAAUGGUAAAACCAAGGUUGGGCCUUGCUGGACAAGUUUUAUUCAAAGCGAACUGUCAGGGGGGUCCCAUAAAUCACCCGACCGCGUAAGGAACGCAAAAUCCGGGAACAUAACACCGGUAUGACGAAAACUAGGGCGGCAAGAGUGGAACAAAACACCAGGCAUAAGGCCGAGCCUUCCACCCUUUUCCAAAUAUAUAGAUGCAUUAAUAAUAUAAGAGAUAUUGUGAUAUCCCAACAAGUAAACAUGUUCCAACAAGGAACAACAUCUCCAUGUUCCAACAAGGAACAAACUUCAAUCUUCACCUGCAACUAACAAUGCUAUAAGAGGGGCUGAGCAAAGUGGUAACAUAGCCAAACAACGGUUUGCUAGGAAUGGUGUCGAAGGUUAGAGGUUUGACAUGGCAAUUUGGGAGGCUGACAAGCAAAUGGUAGGCAUCGUAGCAUUGGCAUAGCAAAAGAGCGAGCAAACUAGCAUAGCGAAGAUAGUAGUGAUUUCGAGGGUAUGGUCAUCUUGCCUGAGAUCCCGCAAGGAAGAAGAACGAUUCCAAGAAGAAGACAAACGGUCGUAGACGAACGAACACUCACAACUUCGGAACGAAACCGAAGCUAACGAGAGAAGCAAACCGGAAAGAAGCAAACAAUAUGGUAUACACACAAGCAUAAACAUGUCAUGAUGCACAAACAAGUAUGAUGCAUGUCCGGUUUAAUGAGGCAUGGCAUGGCAAAGUGCACAAACAACACUACAAGUUAAGUGGAGCUCAAUAUGCAACGAGUUGCAUAUUGACGAAACACCACAUCAAUUAUUUAGUUCUCUCUCGGUUAUGAACACAACAAUAUUAAAUGUUGGUUAACAUGGCAAGUGGUGAAGCAUAACAAAAACUAUACCAUCUAAACAAUUUAAAUGGGGCCGGAUAUAAAAACAACAAAUCCGAUAAAUCCCCAUAUGCAUUUAGCAAUUUAAUGCAACAACAAGUUUAAACAUUUUAAUUGUUGUUAUCAUGAUGCGGAUGACAUAUACAAGUUUUAUGCAGUUUUAUGAAAACGUUGACAUGAGCAUGUUAUGAAGCAUUUGUCGCCAUGGCGGAACAAAAGGGGUGCCACGGCGGUGAAACGAAAAGGGUGCCACGGCGGCGAAACAAAAAGGGUGACACGGCAACAUAUCCGAAAAUGAUGCCACGGCAACAUAUCGGUUCCGGUAGCUCACGGAGAUAUCGGUGCAAAAGGAGGCGUGACGUGAGCGAGUCAUGCAAGAUGGUGGGGUGAUCCCGGCUACCGGGUUCCCACGUGACAGUGGCAUGGCAAAAGAGCGAGGAGCUUGCAAUGACAAUUCGGACACGGUGCACACACAAGCAUUCGUCCACGGUCGUCGUCUUGGCGGUUAUACCUUUGAAUCGUGCAUUAACGAAGCGGAUCAAGUUCGGCGAAGGAAGUAGUCGUUCUCGCGGCGGCGGUAGUGGAAGUAGUUGUACUCGGCCGUAGCGGAAGUAGACGUUCUCGCGACGGUAGUGGAAGUAGUGGUACACGGCGACGGUAGUUGUACACGUGUUGUAGUCGAACUUGACGGAGCCAACGUCCUCAAGGGUAGUCGUGGUACUUGGGGUCUUCGGACUUGCCGGUCUCGGUUCUUGCGAUGGUAGUGGUACAUGGCAACGUUGGGGUACUUGUCGGUCCGGUUUUUGCGGUGUAGAUGUACACAUUGUCGGGGUACUUGUCACAUCACCGGGUGUAAUCGUACACGGGUCCUCGUCUUCAUGGUUCUUGGCGUCCUCACGGCCUUGACAGUGAAGAAACGGAACGCGGCGACAAAACGAGGGUGAGGCAGCAGAGGGCCACGGCUGCUGGUCAACGAAAGUUGCCGGAAGAGGAAGCAAACAAGGCGGCGCGAUCUCUGGCGAAUGGCAACGCGGCGGCCUGAGGGGUCACCAGCACAAGCGAAAUGGCAGCGGGCAACGCUGCUGUCAAGAGAUGGAGGUCGGGGCCGGAGCUGAGCAACGCCAGCAGGGGCGGAUGAGCGCGAGGAGGCCGGGAGGAGCAGCGCUCGGCACCGGUUGACGCGGAGCAGGGGAGGCGGAGCUCCUGCUCGAAGAGGUGCGACGAGGGGAACCACGGGCACGAAGGAUGGCGGCGAGGACGAUGGAUCCGGGCGGCGGCCGCGGCUCGAGAGCCUCUCCCGAUCGGGACGAGGACGGCGAGGGCCGAGCGAGUAGGCGGCGUCACGAGGGACACUGACGGCAGGGUCGCGCGCGAGGAAGGAGAGGCCGGGGCGGCGGCCAUGGCCUCGGCGAAGGGGUCGGGUGCGGGACUCCUGUGGGGCGGCGAUGCAACAGAGCGGCAGCUCGAGAGAAGACGAGAGGGAGAGGAUGAGGGGAUUGGGAGGAGUGGCCAUGGGAGCGAGGGUAGGUAACGGCGCGAGGGGAGAAGUGGGGAUCGAGGGAGAGAGAUGCGAGCGCAAAGGAGGGAGAUGGAGGCGCUGCGGGAGGGAGAUGGGAUCGAGAGGAGGGUUCGCUAGGGGAUCGGCUAGGGUUAGCAGCGGGAUCGGUGGGCCUCGGUGAUGGAUGGGCCGGCGAGAGGCCCAGCUGGGCUGGACUCUCUUCUCCCUCUCCCCUAUUUCCUUCUCUCUAAAUAACAGAGAAAUAAAGAGAAAGAAAAGAGAGAAGAGAAGGUUAGAGGAAGAAUUUGGGCAGGAGGACAACUUUUCCAGAGUCAUAAAAAUAUGAGGAAUUUGACAAAAAUGGCCUGACAAUUUUUGGAGGAAGUAAAAUCCACACACGUUGGAUUUAACUCGGUAAGUUCGAAUUUCGAAACUCAUUCAAACGAACUCCAAAUGGGUUGAAAUUAUAGGAGGUGACCCUACACAAUAUAUGUGAUUUAUGGGCAGAUUUGGGACAUUUAUGGGUAAAGUAAAAUUGGCACUCAAUUUUACUAAAAGGCCCCAAAGGAAGAAGGGGAAGUUGAGAAGGAUAAAAGGAAAUUUGAAGAACAGUGCAUAUGUGUUAUGGGUGAUUCCGAAAAUGGAAUAUUUAUAAUAUCUCUCUAAAUAUCGAGACGAUAUGUUUCAAAGAGAAUCACCAUGUGAAUUCCCUCGAUUUAAAUGGACCGAAGAUCCAUACGGUUUAUUUAGAUGAGUUUUAAAAAGGGUUGGAUGAUGACAUGAUGCAAUGCAAAUGAUGCAAUGAUGAAUGCAUGACAUGAACAAAAAGCAAAACGAAGACAAAAACCCAACCACAAGGAAAUAACAUAUCACAUCUCCGGAAAAGGCAAGAGUUGGAGUUACGGAUAUGGAAAGUUGCAUCUGGGGCGUUACAAACACGCAAGCAAAUGACUUGGCAAUGACGGCGAAUAACUGGCGGACACCUGGCGCAUCGAAUCCGGGGCGUUACAUCCUGAGGCGGAACCAGCUGUGCCAUGAUGGCUGUGGAGGCAGCAUCAGGCACGGGCACCUCGGGAAUCGCCUGGGCCAUGGGGGCUGAGCUCGCCCCAGCAGGCUCAGCCAGGCCUCGCGAGGACGCCCGGGCAGGAGAGGCCAGUGUGUCGCAGUCACCUCCUUUCUCUGGCAGAGGCGCUGCCGCAGAGGGGGCCUCAGGAGCUCCCUUCGACUUCUUCACCGCGGGCGCCAGCCUAGCCGGAAGACACGGACAUCAAGCCUCAGCAACAGAACAAUAAUCAAGACAGGAAUCAAGCACUUACAGGUCGUCGCUUGCGGGCUCAAGCAGCCUCAGGCCAUACUUGAAGCCCGAGAGCCGGCUACUAGGAUCAGCUUCAAGGAGCGCAGGAGCAGGAGGUGCGCCCGUGGAUCGCCUCGGGGCUGGGGCAGACCCGCGGGGGAUCAUUCCGGUCCGGUCCUUCUUCGGGAUCGGAGGCAGGCUCCCGCCGCCAUGCUCAUCACCGUCCUCGUCAUCAUCACUCGGAGCAAGGCGGAGAGCGCGGGAGCUGCGCCGAAGGGGGGAGCCCUUGACUCCGCCUCAGAAUCAGCCCCCUCUUCCCACUCCUCUUCUUCUUCCUCUUCGCUGGAGUCACCGGAGGACACGUUCACCAGGUCCUAUGGAGCCUCCACGGGCACGGGCCCAUCCCCGUUGAAGACGGGCAUGGACCCCACUACCUGCUCCCAGUCCUCGCGGAGGAACAGGGGCGUAGGAGCGCCCUCUAGCCUCGCCACGUCGCCCCCAACCAAGGACUCGAGGACCGCACCUAGAUCCUCAUCGGCCAAGACCGCGGGGCUCGGGUGAGGCCUCCACAUCGGAAGUGAGUACUGACGAAGCAGAGCCAGCUGGUGCUCCAGGAAUUCCCUCAGCAGCGAUGCGCCGGUUAGCUUCGCCACUGCCACGCUGGCCGGCCUCAGAUCUGCGUCCAUCUUCUCCAGCACCGGCUUCGCGUGGGGAUCCAGAAGCUCCACUCGGGACUAGUCGUCGGAGCUCGUGGGGUGCUCCGUGGGCAGGAUCAGCCGAGGGUGGAUGCGCCCAGCAUCCGCCAAGAUCCACUUUCUCCUGAAGCCCUUAAUCCGUUUCCCGGGGUUCGAAAUGGCGAUAGAGCCGCCGUACGUGACAAAGCUCGCGCACGCGGAGGCGGAACCACGGGAGGUCCGGAGGGAGAAGUAGUGGCGCAACAAGGCCACCGAGGGUUUCACCCCUACGUGAGCCUCACAAUAGUAGGCAAAGAUCGCCAAAAGAAGGACGGAGUUGGAAUGGAGGUGCAGAGCUUGAAUAUUGUAGUGGUGGAGGACAGAGAAGAAGAACUCAGAAAAGGGAGGCACCAGACCGGCGAUAAUGGCGCUCACGAAGAGCGGAUAGAAGGUGCUCCCUUAGCCUUCAGGGAUGGCAGAGCCGUCCUUGAACACCUUCGCCCCGUCGAUGCCCUGCGCCCCCGCCAUAUGACGCAGCCGAGCAAGGCUCGCCUCCGACACGCUCGGCGAGUCCAAGGCAGACGAGUACCAAGCUCCGACCGGGGCUUGGCGAGGCGCCAUGUCUGGCUAGGGCACGCACGCAGGAGGAGAGGUGCAAGAAAGGGGAUCUGAGCAGCAACUGGAGAGAGCAAGGGAGGCAAGGGGCAGGUGCCGCUCCUUUACCAACUCGCGCAGUUGUGGAGGCGCACACGUCUAGUCAGCCGCCACACGGCGCCCAAGGCCGCAGGCUGUUAGGGCCCACGACGCUUUGCACUUGCCCUUUCGCCUCUCUGCCCGGCCAAGUUCGAGCGCGCCGUGGGCCCGGGGGCUACUGUCGGUGUUCUAGGAACGGGGGUCCCCAGACUUGCCUGCCUACAGCCUGCGGCGUGGCUCAAAGGGGCCCCAGCACAGCCCAUCUUCAUAAACACAAGCUCAAGACCCUCGCGAGGGGCCAAGCCUUGCAGGGCGGACAACAAGGAGCUUCCUCAGGCACGGCCUCGUCAGGAGGCGGAGAGUUCAAGGCGGGGUACCUCGCGAGGUGCCCAUGACGCAAGCCAUGACGACCAAGGGCGCCAGUCGGGCGCCAGCGUGCACAGUGUCCUCCCUUUCCUCUUUGGUGCAAAGGGAGCAAGCACAGGUGAGGGGAUCAAGCAAAGGCAUCCGUUUCGAUGCAACAAGACCAAGACCAGCCCAACGGCCGGAAGGAAGUCAUUGUGGAGCCCAAACAGGUGUCACCACCAGAGCCUUUGACAGGCGAGGACAAACUUUAGUCAGGAUAAGUGUACCCGCUGUUCCCCUUCAAAAUGGCCAAUUGUUGGCGCCCUUCCCUCUCAAUAUUUGGGAAGAGGCCCAGGGCCUUUGCCUAUAAAUAGGACUAGCCACCCCUGGGUAGAGGCAUCUGAUAUCGAGAGACCGGAUCAAGAAUCCAAGAGCCAGAACCAAGUAGCACCAGCCAAGAACAAACCCUCGCGAGGCUGUUCUUCCUUGUAUUGUGCAUCAUCAGCCCUAGAGGCAAUCCACCACAGCACACACUGGAGUAGGGUAUUACACCACAAUGGUGGUCUGAACCAGUAUAAAUCUUGUGUCUCUUGUGUCGUUCUGUUCAGUAGUUUAGGUCCUAGUGAUUAGGCGAAGAGCAAGUAGGCAGAGGGUUAAAUCUCCGCGCGCACCCCAGCGUUCGAACCUCAAGGGUCUGCCGGAACCCGAAAUCCGACACUAGUAAGCUCACAAGCAAAUGAAUGAUUCACUACAUCUAUGCUUGCCUUUUCAUACUUUUUGUCAAUAUUCUUUUAGGGUGGACCGCCCUGUUUCAAAAAUACUGGAACCGUAGACAUGAGUGAAUAGUAUUUCUCUGUGUGAUAUCUUCCAUCAUGUAUGGGCAACAAAUACUUCAUUAUAUAGAAAUAAAGUGUCAUUUCCAGCUUUUACAUAGGCUUCGAUAUUUUACAUGGAAUAUAGUCUGCCUACGUGCUUCGUGUCGCACUACCAACACUCCACCCUUGAAGCUAAACAUUAUGCCACUCAUAAUUCCUUAGUUUAUUUGUUCAAAUAUGAAUUUGAUAUGAUUCUAAUGUUCCUACUUCAAUUUUGAAAUGUGUUUCUGCCUGUUAUAGAGACAUACACUACAAAAAAAAGACACAUCCAUGACAUUUUCGGUCGAACGAAUUUUUUCCUGUCAUACUUAUGACACUUCUAUGACGAUAAUUGUGACAAAACCCGGUAUCAUAAUAGAUGUGGUGGGCUCCUACUUCUAUGAAAAAAAUCAUGGCAGAAAAUGAGCUUUUCGUCCUGGGCGGGCCGGAGACGCAGCUGCAUGACAUUCUUUGGGUCGUCCAUGAUGAAAAAAACCGUGGUAGAAGCGAGGGCGAGGAAAAUAUCGGGGUGUUUCCGGUUACGAUGGGUCGUCGGGGCCGAGCGAUGCACGGAGGUUUGCGUGUUUCUCUCGUACACGCACACGCGCGUGGGUGCGAGGCGUUGGGCUCUAACAGAACUUGAGCGAGGCAUUCGCCUACUUAACCUGAGCGAUUGCGCUAUAGGCUACACGUUACUGAACCCGCGCGAUCGAUCAAUGGCUGUUAACUAAACUCAAUCGAGCGAUUCCUUUGCUACUGCUACUAACUGAAGCUAAUCGAUGCUGUCUCUGGAUGAAUAGUGAGCAUUGUUGGGGGGUUUGGAUGAAUAGUUCCCGGUGGGGGUUGGAUGAACAGGACGCCAUGGUGUUGCCGCUGGAUGAACAUGACCCCGAUCGAUCGAGCCGGUUGGGCGUGGAUGAACAGGAACCCAUGGAGGGGUGGAUGAACAGGACCCUGUGGAGGGAAGGUUGAACAGUAGCUAGUGGAGGGCUGGUUGAACAGUAGCCGGUGGAGGGCUAGAUGAACAGUAGUCUGUGGAGGGGUGGUUGAAUAGGACCCCGUGGCGAGUGUUGGUUGAACAUUAGCCGGUGGAGGAGCGCGCGGUGGACGCUGGAUGAACAGGAGCCCGUGGAUGAACAGUCGCAGGUGGAGGUUGGAGGAGGUCAACGGUGGAUGAACAGUAGCCCAUGGAGGGAGGCUGCAGGAGGUCGACGGUGGAGAUGAACAGUACCCCGUGGAGUCCCGUUUUGCGGUACGCCACACCCCACCCGAUAAACAGGACCCCCGUUUAGACCGUAGCGCUCCAACACAAGUCUGUUUCCUCCGUUUUGCGGUACGCCACACCCCUGCUGAUCAACAGGACCCCGUUUCAACUGUAGGAGGUCCAACAGAAGUCCGUUUCCUCAAUUUUUCGGUACACCAGACCCCUCCCGAUGAAUAGGAUCCCAUUUCGACCGUGGCCGGUCAAACACAAGGUCGUUUCCUCUGUUUUGCGGUAUGCCAGGCCUCAUUCCAUUGGAUGUUCCAUCCUAGCCCUCCCGAGGAACAUGACGACGCAUUCCGUUCCGACCCAGCCGGUUGGCUCCCCAUGAACAAGACAACGACGCAGUUUCUCCGUUCCGACCCAGCCAUCUACACGAGCCCUGGCCGUACGUAUGCGCGAGUAGGCGUUCGAGACCCCACCCGUAUGUAUGUACGUGGCCAUAUUUUCUUUCUUGCACCCUGGCCGCUCUACGUAUGUGUACAUGCUACGUGCGCGCCUCUACUAUGACACGUGCCCUUACACGGCCACGGUUCAACGCUGCAGCCUGCAGACAGACCGAUCAUAUGUACGUACAUGUUCGCGACCAGAAUGACAACGCUACAUACGCUUCGACCAGGUGGGUCCCGACUGUCCGACACUUCCUUGCGUGCGAAGAUGUAGCUGGUGGGUCCCAGCAGUCUGGGGGCGAAUAAUUUUUUUACCGUAAUAUGGACGCACAUCCUUGCGUGAGAAGAUGUAGCUGGUGGGUCCCAGCAGUCAGGGGGGAAACGGUUUUUUCGCGAAUACAGUAGCCCGUCUGGUGGGUCCCUGCUAUCAGGUGGAGGAAUAAUUGUUUUGGGUGUAAUAAGGAGCCAAUUCCUUGCGGCUGCCGUGGACCCAGCUGUCAGCCUAUCAAUGUACAGUACUCUUCUGAUGGAAGUCAUUCCUUGACCACGUUGACCACCCUGCGCCGAGAGCACCAGGGCGGUGGACGACGGUGAGGCCUAGGAAGGGGACAAGGCAGAGCCGGGGAAGACGCGGCAGUGGAUGCCCACGCGUAGAGGAGUACGAGGGUUCACAGGUUCGGCUGCGGUGUGAGGCUGUCGUCGCCACAGAAUAAUAGGGGGUGAGGGUGAGUAGAGGGAUGGCCUGGCGAGCGGUGGGAGUAGUAGGGGGCGGUGAGGCCUCCGCGGCAUGACAGCCGGCCACGGGAGGCAGGAGCAUGCGGCACGACCGGCACUGGUUUGGGCUACUGGAGCAAGAAGACCAGAGGUUGAAGAAGCACUACGGCCGUUGGAUGGACAUCGUACGGUCACUGGAGCUAGAAUCGUUCAUAUUGACUAAGUUAACCAAGCUCUAUGCCUGUCAACUUAGUAGGCCCGCAAGUCAGCCUCCCACUAUGGUGGGUCCCAGCUAGCAGGGGGGUAUUCAUUUUUUUGUGCGUAAUAAGGAGGCACUUCCUUGCGUGCGAAGAUAUAGCUGGUGGGUCCGACCUGUCAGCGGGGGGAACAUUUUUUCGCAAAAUACAAAGGCCCUUCCGGUGGGUCCUAGCUGUCAGGUGGAGGAAUCAUUAUUUUGCGCGUAAUAAGGAGGCAUUUCCUUGCGUGCGGCUGUGGACCCAGCUUUGAGCCUCUCCACAUACAGUCCACUUCUGAUGGAUGUCGUUCAUUGAUCAUGUUGACCAGGCCGCGCCGAGAGCACCAGGUAUGUGGACGACAGCGAGGCCUAGGAAGGGAACGACACGGAGCCAGGGAAGACUCGACAGUUGUUUCCCACACGGAGGAGAGGACAAGGGUUUACUGGUUCAUCUGCCGUCCCCGGAGAAUAACAACAUGUGUGGGUGAGUAGAGGAAUGGCUAGGCCAGCGAUGGGAGUACGGUGGGGCGGUGAGGCCUGCGCGGCAGCAUAGCCAGCCGCGGGAGGAGGGAGCAGGCAAGAGCAAAGAUUGAAGAAGCACGACGGUCAUUGGAUGGACAUCCAACAAUCACUGCUCUCGUGUGUUGACUAAGUUGACACGGUGUUGCAUGUGCGUCAACCUUUUUUUAGGAAAGCAUACGCGUCAACCUGUAGUAGGCGCACAAGUCAGCCUCAAAUCUAUGGAAAACAUCAUACAACCCAUCUGCCAUUAUUUCUAAUAAUGUACAACCCAUUUGCUAAUUCUUAAGAUUUUUUUGGAUCCCAUCUUCUUUUUGUUAGCAUCACACCCCAUAUUAUGGCCACGGUUAAAAGUUAUACUAAAUGGUGCAUAUUUCGAUGCGGUCAACUGUUUUUAAUCCCGAAAUAUCGAUUCACAUUCGAACUAUUUUGAAAAAUAAAUUAUAUAAAUAUAAAAUCCAAAUAAUUGUCCACGCAUAAAAAUCAAUGGAUUUUACAAUCUUGUAAUAAAAAAAUUGAAACUAAUUCCUGGUUUGAUGUGUUUUAAAAAUGUAUAGCCAUUUCUGGGCAAACCGAAUGAAACUCUCCUCAUCUUGAAAGAUUUGUAGCCCAGCAGGGCUGAUAAAGCAAGUAGGCCUCGUUUGGGUAUUUCUUUAAAAAAUAGAACUGGGCUAGCCAUUUUCAGCAAGAAAAAAACACAACUGGGCUCAUGAUGUGGUAAACAUAAAUAAAACCCUGGCUAGAUGGGCCACAUCCCCCGCACAGCCCCGUUGUUACCCUGUUCCGUUGCUAAAACUGGUAUAAAUAACAACUGGUUGUUCCUCAAAAAAAAACUGCGCGACCUGCUGGGUCCCUGAUGUCAGCCGCUCGUAGUGUAAUUCUCUCGUUUAUUGACUACGUUGACAAUGGCGUGAGCCCCAGAUGUCCAACCAUUAGGAGGAACCAAUAUUUUGGGCUUGUAAUAGCGAGGCACUUGCUUGCGUAUUGCCAUGACGCUGGUGGGUCCCUACUAUCAUUCUCUCCACGUACAAUCAUCUCCUUGUUCCUCUCGGUUGUUGACGAUGUUGACAACACAAGAGGGUGGUGCACCGCUCACGGUGAGCGAACCAAGGCGGAGGACGACGGCGAGGCCUCGGAUGGAACGAACAGGAGCCGUGGAAGAUGCGCCAGUCGAGUCGCAGGCGGAGGGGAGUACGAGGGUUGACUGGUUCGGGUGCGGGUGCGUGUUGGGGCUGAUGUCGCCCGAGAAUAAUAGGACAUGUGGGGGAAUAGAGGGAGGGACUAGCCAACGUUGGAGGGUACGGUAGGGCGGAGGAGGCGCAACCAGCCAUGGGAGGCGGGAACAGGCCGAGCCAACGUGGUGGUUUGGUUUGGGCGGCUGGAGGAAGAAGAAGACAAGAGAUAAAAGAUACACGAUAGAUGUUGGAUGUCAAUCCAAUGGCUGAUAGGCAGAAUUGUUUGUUGACUGGCUAGUAAGUCGACACCACCUUGGAUAGGCUAUUUCCUCACGGGUCCCAAAUGUCAGAAUCCAAAUCUGUCACGGUCAUGCAACCUUUCCUAUGAAAUUUUACAGCCCAUUUGAUGUGCUAGUUCGAAAUAAGUUUGUGGGUGCUGGUGGGGUCUAAUCACUUGGCUUGUGUAAUGCACAGUGAGCUCAACUAGCCGGCGAGAGUGAUGUUAUUUCACUUGGUUGGGAUUUGUUACACUAUGUCACUCUAAAUUAAACGAAAGACAAGCGAUGGGCCUUGUUUCAAAGAAAAUAUGAUAGUCACAGCCGAGUUGAAAAGGGCAAGAACAUCUAACUCCUGCUUACAAACUGUACAAAAGCACGAGGGUUAAUUUAUCAUCAGGUUUACACGAAACCCAGGUUGAAAAGGGCAACAACAUCUAACUCCAGCACUGUUUUUGGCAGUCACAGUCAAAUGGAUCGGUCAGGUCCAUAGAAUGAACAUCCUGGGUCGUAAAAUUUACUAGAUUAUGACCACAAUAUGUUGUAAAUAGAAGCCCGACACGUUCAGAAGCUCUUUUGCCCACCUGAAACUCCUUUUUUUGCUCUUAGACAUACCCAUCCGUCAAAACCAUGUUGCUGAUAAACUUAAGCCUGAUGGACAAUAGUAACCACGCAUUCAGCAGGAAGAAUGUGACAAAUCUAGUGUUUGCACGAUUGGCUACAUAUCAUUCUAGCAUUAUUGUCUUCAAUCGAAUCUCAUGAGAAGUGAGAAAAUCCCGGUGCUUACGAAUCCACCGAUUGGUUAUAACUUUCUUACCCCGUCCUGUUGCCUAAAUAGGCAUGAAGAUUGAAAAUAUUUAAGGUCUAAAAAAAGAGUGUCGAAAGAGCAACAACUGAACGGAUAAUUCUAGUACACUAUAUGCGGUCUUCCAAUGUGCGUGAAAUUAUCACCUUUAUAUACAACUUCUCCAGACAUGGAAAGCAUUGCAGCAAGCCAAUAAUCUUGUUCAGAUCAAAACUAUUCAGUUGUAUAUAUAAGAUCUUUACAGAAUCCAACACCAUUGAUAGGCCAUCCAUGGAGAAACUCUUCAUUGAUCAUAGAACAUAAUAUUAGUACAAAAUGUGUACUCCAAGAUGAUAUAUAUAACUUAUGCGCAGAAAUUUAAAAUGCAGCUUAUGGUUACAAGUGUAGAUGAUAAUAUAAAGUACCUGAAGAAUUGUGGAGCCAAACACCAUAUUGAAAUGAGCACAGAGAUCAUGUAUUACACCCAGGGUCUCUAGUUUAGGCGCAGAGAGGACGGUUAUUUGCAAUGGUGAAUAACUAGAAUCAAGGAUCAACCUUUGAAGUGAAGGGGCAUCUUGGAUAAUGAGCUGCCUUCCGUCAAAAGAUAUUCCAAUUCUUACAAGGUUAGGCGACUUUAUUUGGAGACAACCGAUUCUAACUGUGAAAACAAGCACCAAGCACUCCAGGGCAGGGCAACUGGAGUGGAUGAUGCUGUGCAAUGAGGCCUCCGAUAUACGAGCCCGCACAAGUGAAAGUUUCUUGACAAAUGGGAGUCGAAGGUUUAGUACCAGAUUGUCUGGUAGGUAGCACAGUGCAAAGGUGGCAGUGUGGAGAGAGGAGGAAAACCGCGAGAUGGACAUCGGUGCUGAGGGCACAAGUACAUGGAGUUCGGUAUGUGGUAGGUGAUUUCCAGGGGAAUAGUAGAACUCAAGCAGUUGUAGUUUUGUGAAUUCAGGGGAUUUCAGCCAGGCGACCACCAUGCGGGGCAUGGUAUGCUUGCUCAGGUAGCAUGACGGGAUGCAGCGGCUUUGAACGGAGCCCUGGUGGGAGGAGAUGAUGGCUCUGUGGAUUUUGUAAUCAUUGAAGAGAGAUAGCUGACGACAGUCAAGAUUAAGGGGCAUAGCGCGCCAUAGAGGGCGCCACCGAAGUGAGAGGACUUCAGUGCGACAGCAUUCCUUGGUGGGGAGAAACGAGAUGAUCUGCCCUAGGACGGCAUCCGGGAGAUCCCUGAUGCGGUCAACCCGAGAUUCUACGGGUUCCUGGGAUCCGGUGGGGGCGGGGUUGCCGCUUCUCCCCGCGCUGCCGGGUGCGGGAUCUACAACAAGCGUCGCCGCUGGCGGGAGCCUCAUCUUCUUGGCGUUAGGGUCAGCCGACUCCAUUUUCCUCGAGGGCGUCGUGUCACGCUCACGGAUUUGAGCAGAGUAACGAAUGACGAGCCUAGUUGUAGUGCCAGUGAAGAAGAAGGGGAGCUGGGGGUUUUCUAUAGUAGUGAGGAAGAAGGGGAGCUGGGGUUUUCUGUAGGAGUGAGGUGAGGAAUUUGGGGGUACGAGUGGAGCGAGCUGACGUGUGGUGGGUGGGAGUGAGGAGGAAGAAGAGCACCCAGGUUUUUUGGGGGGCGGUGUGCUGGGUGUGCGUAGCGCCUCCCAUUCAGUAAAUAUAUGGUCUUUUGAAUUGAUUUUACUUUUUACUAGGGUGGAUGGGCUGUUUUGUCUUGGGCCCAGAGAAACAAUUACUACUAGUACAAUGGAGACAAUCUACAUCUACCCAGAAAAACAAUUACUACUAGUACAGUGGAUACAAUACCGUUUUUGGCUCCUCAUAGGUUAUCGAAACGUCUCCCUCUACUGAAUGCCAUUUUACUUUUGUUCACCGACAUGCGGGCCAUGCAGCGUGUGGACCCAAAUGCCAUCCACCAAAUUAGAAGGCAGUAUGCAGGUGGAGAGUUACCCCGGUCGUAGGUGGCAGUAACGAGCCGUCGUAUCACAAAACCCCACCUCCACUACAAACAAAAUACACUUUCGUGAUGAUACGUGUUUGUCAUAGUAGGUCGCGUUACUUGUCAUGCAUGUACAUCCAUGACGAUUUUAUGACAGAAUCAAGAUAGUCAUACCUGUGCUGUCGUAGAAGUGUUCCAUGACAUUACCAAAAUUAUCAUCACGGAAGUGUCUAGUUCCAUGACGAUAAAUCGCGUGUCACAGAAGUGCUUUCGUCAAGGGUGACCAACACGUGACAUCCACUGUAAAAGAACGCCGUUAAGCUAUCGGGUCCGGUUUUGGAUCCGAUAACCCAUUAACAGCCCCGACCAAUGGGGAUUUUCCACGUGUAAAAUCAUCAAUGGCUGGAGGAAACACGUGUCUGCUCACCGUUGGGACAGAUGUCAUCCACUCAUUGGACCGAAGGCGCCUAUGAUAUGUCAACACGUGGCACGGCCCAACAGAGGCCCAUUCCUAUGAAAAGGCCGGCCCGUUUCACUUGGUCAAAAGGUGGCGGGCCGGCCCACGGAAAGCCUGGCAUGUUUGCAUAUCGCCCAUUUACAGCCCGCUAACCCAGGGCCCGUUACGACUAAUUCAAAUUAGGCCCAGUAGCAUCAUCUGGACCGUCCAAUAUGAUUCCAGCCCAUUUUAAGUUCCGGACCAUGUAUGGCCCAUGACAUCUUUCGGCCCAUAUGAGGCCCUUUGUAAAUGUUGGCCCAUUAAAGGCCCAUGGUGAAACUGGCCCGUAAUGAACAGUGUAUCACUUUAUAGCAAUUAACAGCCCAUUAAUCCAUUGGGCCGUUUGCAGCCCAUGUUAUCUUUUGGCCUUCUCAGGGCCCAUUUAUUCAUGGGCUCGUUUCUAACAUUCGGUUACUUACGACCCGUUACUGUCAUUUUCUGCUUGUGGGCCAAAUUCAGCCUGUGGUUACAGUCAGCCCGUUUGUUGGCCAUUAAUACGUUGGGCCAUUUUCAUAGCAUCAUCAAAUAUGGCCUAUUAAUGAUGGCCCAUUAUGGUCGGCCGAUGAAUGGACGAUUCCAACUCUAGCCCGUUUACGACCAUGAUGCAGUCUGUUAUUGGCCCAUGUUUGGCCAAUCGAUCAUACGGCCCGUAUAAGGCCCAUUGAUGAUAUGACCCAUAGAAGGCCCAUUGUUUCUACGACCCGUAGGAGGCCCAGUGUCACUACAGUAAAUAUGUAGCCCAUGGUUAUUUUGGCCUAGUUUUAAAAAAUAGGUUAUUGCAGCCACUAGCGAACUGCGGAAAAAGAACUGCACUGACUACAAGCAAACAAAUAAUCAAGACAACAAGGAAAUAAAUAAGCAAGCAACUUACCCUAGGCUAUCACGGCUAUUACACAUAUUACAUCCACUGGGCAUCAAAGUUCGCCACCAGUGCAAAUAAACGCGCCGUCAAAACAAUAUACAAAACUGAGAGCACUUCAGAAGGCACUUGACCUGGCCAGGUCGGGCCCCCCAAACAGCUGAAGAAGCUGAGUAGACCUCAGUUGUGUCAACGAUAGAUGCAUCACCCAUAGAUGUAUGGCAUGAUGGUGCGCGAGGCAGUCCUGUGACAUCUUCAUUGCAUCUUUGACUUCAAGUCGGAGCUGAGCUGAAGCAAGCCUUUCCGCUUUAAGUUGAGACUGAAGAAGUCGAACUGAUUGAGGCAGCGACUGCACAGAGGUUGUCUCACACCUUCUAGUGAGUAGCUUCAACUCACUGUCUUCAUCAAGAGAGGACCUUGGGGCCAUCUCGCUGUCCUCAAGAUGGCUUGGCUCACUAUCUUCCCUAAAGUUCUGCCUGGCAUAAGAGAUACGACUCUGAAAGAGAAACAAGGAGACACGUAACAUGUUUCACAAUUAUAUAAGCAAAUAAAUGGAUCUGUUCUGCAUAAUGAACAUGUUUUUACAACUACAAAUUGAAACUGGUAGUUGUUGCAAACAUCCAAUCAGAUGUAAACAGCAAAGCAAACAGCAGUGGAGGAAAUGAUGCCUAUCCAAAUCUAUACCAGAACAAAGUUUGGAGGCUUGAGAAGGAUGAACUUACAUUACAUGUUAACUUGGGCUGGACAAAGCCCUUCUCCAUGUUGAUGGAAGGAUAAUUCAAUAAAUUCCCCAAAGAAAAUUCUUUACAAGCGUUGCCAUUAUUCUACAUUUUGCAAAGAGUAAAUAUAGCUAAAAUAAUAUUGGAAGAAACAGAGGAUAAUGAAGCUCAGGUGCAGACUGAUGAUACAUAAUCAAAUAGCAAUUAAUUAAGUACAGUGUUACAAGGCAAAAGGGAGAGAGGUACUGACAAGAGCAAUGUAGAGCCCAGUAUUGUUGUGAGAUCGUAUGAUCCUUUGAGCAAGGAGAUUCACCUGAAAUUAGUUUUCAUACAAGAGAGAAGGUAAGGCACAUGCAGAAAUUUAGGACUUCAAAUUUGAAUUGAUAUCAUAGACAGUACCUGACGCUGGGCUCUCAGCAGUUCUAAUAGGGGUUUGGCCAAUGGAGUAGGGGUAAAGUGUGGUACAGUUGGGCCUGUGUUUUCUAUGGCUGCUGAUCUAUCUGAUUUAACAAGUAUCACUAGCUUUUCCAAAUACCUAGUUUGUACUCCUUGAGGAUCUGCACUCACCCUCUUCCUUUUGGACAUCUAUUACGAAAGAACAACAUUUCACUGGAAAAACAUAGUGUGAUGACACAUGGAAUAGGUACAUAAAAUGGAUAGGUAUGGCAUAUACUCAUAUAUGAUGCUUAAACUAAGAAGAUGGUGUAACAAAGUAGAAGUAAUGCAAGAGGUCAGAUGCAAAAUAUGUGCGACCAAUACAACCUUGCCAAGUUAGAGCAAGCACCUUGAUGGGUGAAUAAGAUAGGCCAUCCUCCACCAUGCCAAGUUUGUUAGCCAGUGGAUUGUUCCGCAAUAUUCCUCUCGUGCACCCAUUCUCAUAUUCAUUUUGAUAAUGUUCAAUAUCUGACAUGCAUGAAAACAUAAAACCAAGUGAGAUUUUCUUUGUAAUGCAGAAGUGAUUCCAAUCCAAUACUGCCUCCCUGUAAACCCCUUUGUGCUAUCUCUGCAAUUCUUUUAAGAGAUGCCAUGCAUGCCGUAAUUUGGUGUGUGCAUUAAUAUAAUGUGGCCUACUACUCAAAAUAUGAGAGCUCCAGAAGUGAUGACACUUUGCAGAUGACAGCUUCAACAUAUAGUAAAGAAGAACAAGUCGACCUGACCGGACAGAUUCAAAAUAUACUAAGGGAGAACAACUCGACCUGAGCAGUCGACCACAAGAGAAGAGGAUCAUCUUAAAGAAGAGCAUAAGAGCAAGCAGAUUGAAGAUAUUACAAGUCUUUCAAUACAAUGUCGGUUGGCCACCCAUGAUGAACCAGAGCGCACAGAUAAAUACUAUUCUUUCCGGUCUCUCCAUAUGUGGCUCACAUGCAUUUCGAAACUAAAGUAGGAACAUUUAGCUAACCAAUUAAACAUCUCUCAGUUUUAUAAUAUCAGCAUAAUAUCAUAUAUGAAUUUGUACAACUAAGCUUGUUUAGCUCGAUGGGUGGAGCAGUGCUAUUACGACACGAACCACGUAGGCCGAUUGUGGUCAUCAUAAAAUGGGGAAAUCAUAAGCAUGAUGAGUACAGUGUUGACCGUGGCAGUGGGAUGGCAGAUAUGAAGCUGCAAACGGCGCAAAGGGUAGUUAGCAACCGAUGUUUGCUUUGAAAUAACAACUAAGAUUUGGUAUGGACAAGAAAGUACAGUCAACAAGUGACAAAGAAAUGCAAUUAUGAUGUCUCUCUAUAUGUCGCGACAUGCAUUUGGAAACUCAAGUGGGACCUUUAGCUAACCAAUUAAAUGUGUUGUUAACUAAUAUCAGUAUCAUAUGACAAUCAUAUUUGAACAACUAAGCUUUCGAAUUCUGAGAGUUGUGUUGUUUAGCUUGAAGGGUGGAGUAAUGCUAGUACGAUAGAAAGCACCUACGCAUAUCAUAGUAGAGUAGAUAAAAGGGGAAAAUCCUAAGCAUCAAGAGAAAAAUCAAGAAAGUGGAACUAGCUGGACCAGUGGGUGGCACACAUGAUUUUCAAAAUGAAUAUAGGAACAUUAGGUGACCAAUUAAAUGUUCUCUAUUUUAGUGAUAUGAGCAUCAUAUGAGAUUCGUAUUUCAACACGUAAGCUUUGUGUUGAGGUCUUGAGUAGCAGUGCUAGCACGACACAAAGCACCUACGAUGAUGGUAGUGAAUAUAAAGGGGGAAACAAUAAGCUUUACGAGUAUAGUGCCCGUGCCAUGGCAGAUCUGAAGGUGCAAACCGGACAAAGCUACUUCGCAAACAAUGCUUGCUUUCAACUAGCCACUACGAUUUGGUACGGACAAGAGAAGUACAAUAAACAAAUUACGAUAUAUUUUCCGGGUGAGAUCAAUAACUUAAGCACAUAUGGAAGAGUACCACCUCUCUUGCGACACCGUGUAGGCCUCUGCUCAUACGUUGAGGGUGCUGCGGGUGCGAUGGCUAUCAGCGGCGGGGAAGAAGACUUUAGAUGGCAGACGGCCGGGUCGUGGGAUAAAUCCUGUUGCCGUGGACGAGGAGGUCAUAGGAGCGACAACGACAAGGUGGACGACGACACCGAUGAAGCGAGAGGACGCGAUGAAAGAAUCCUGGUCCAGCGCCGUGGAUGAGAGACGUCCAUCUCUUGCAGUGGACGACAGGGUAGGGGUAGCGGCUCCGACAAGGUGGAGGAUGGGGUGGCAGACAGAGGAGGCUAGCCGCAGUGGGGAGGUUGUUGUGCCGCCGAUAGUGUAUGAAUGGGGAAAUGGAGGGGAGGGGGGAUCUCAAACUUUGCGACGUGCUUCUUUGAAAUGUGGGAAAGUUACGAACUUUUCCCCCGUUUAACAUUUCGGAUAUCGCGUCGGUUGGGGAUAGGACGGUAAUCUCACAUCUCCCAAAUAUUUGCGAGUAACUAUUUUGGGCGAGGAGAGGGUGUUUUGCCGCCCACGGUUGGCGCCCAUGGCGUAUGAACGGGGCUGACAGGUAGGGCGGUUGUGUCACGUCUGAGGGAAGUUACACAUCUGCCCCUAUUUAAAAUAUUAGCUGAUACGUCUCCAAUGUAUCUAUAAUUUUUUAUUGUUCCAUGCUAUUAUAUUACCCCUUUUGGAUGUUUAUGGGCUUUAUUUUACACAUUUAUAUCAGGACUAACCUAGUAACCAGAGGCCCAGCCCGUAUUGCUGUUUUUUUGCCUAUUUCAGUAUUUCGAAGAAAAGGAAUAUCAAACGGAGUCCAAACGGAAUGAAACUUUCGGGAGCGUGAUUUUUGGAACGAAUGUGAUCCAGAGGAUUUGGAGUGCAAGUCAAGAAGCAAUCAAGGCGGCCAGGAGAUAGGAGGGCACCCACCCACUCUAGGUGCACCCUAUCUCCUGGGCCCCACAGGCGGCCACCGAUGUACUUCUCCCUCCUAUAUACCCACGUACCCCGAAAACAUCCAGGAAGCCAAUGAAAAACAAUUUCCACCGCCGUAACCUUCUGUAUCCGCAAGAUCCCAUCUUGGAGCCUUUGUCGGCGCUCCGCCGGAGGGGGAAUCGACCACGAAGGGCUUCUACAUCAACACCAUAGCCCCUCCGAUGAGUUGUGAGUAGUUUACCAUAGACCUUCGGGUCCAUAGUUAUUAGCUAGAUGGCUUCUUCUCUCUUUUUGGAUCUCAAUACAAAGUUCUCCCCCUCUCUUAUGGAGAUCUAUUCCAUGUAAACUCUUUUUGCAGUGUAUUUGUCGAGAUCCGAUGAAUUGUGGGUUUAUGAUCAAGUUUAUCUAUGAGAAAUAUUUGAAUCUUCUCUGAAUUCUUUUAUGUAUGAUUGAGUUAUCUUUGCAAAUCUCUUUGAAUUAUCAGUUUGGUUUGGCCUACUAGAUUGAUGUUUCUUGCCAUGGGAGAAGUGCUUAGCUUUGGGUUCAAUCUUGCAGUGUCCUUACCCAGUGACAGCAGGGGUUGCAAGGCACGUAUUGUAUUGUUGCCAUUGAGGAUAAAAAGAGGGGGUUUAUAUCAUAUUGCUUGAGUUUAUCCCUCUACAUCAUGUCAUCUUUUUUAAUGCAUUACUCUGUUCCUAUUAACUUAAUACUCUAGAUGCAUGCUGGAUACGGGUCGAUGUGUGGAGCAAUAGUAGUAGAUGCAGGCAGGAGUCGGUCUAGUUGUCACGGACGUGAUUCCUAUAUACAUGAUCAUGCCUAGAUAAUCUCAUAAUUAUUCGCUUUUCUAUCAAUUGCUCGAUAGUAAUUUGUUCACCCACCGUAAUACUUAUGCUAUCUUGAGAGAAGCCUCUAGUGAAACCUAUGGCCCCCGGGUUUAUCUUUUAUCAUAUAAGCUUUCAAUCUAUUUUUAUUUGCAUCUUUACUUUUUGCAUCUAUAUUAUAAAAUACCAAAAAUAUAUUUAUCUUAUCAUACUAUCUCUAUCAGAUCUCAGUUUCGCAAGUGGCCGUGAAGGGAUUGACAAACCCUUUAUUGCGUUGGUUGCGAGUUCUUUGUUUGUUUGUGUAGGUGCGUGGGACUUUUGAGGAGCCUCCUACUGGAUUGAUACCUUGGUUCUCAAAAACCGAGGGAAAUACUUACACUACUAUUGCUGCAUCACCUUUUCCUAUUCAAGGAAAACCAACGCAAGCUCAAGACGUAGCAAGAAGGAUUUCUGGCGCCGUUGCCGGGGAGGUCUUCGCUCAAGUCAAGACAUACCAAGUACCUAUCACAAACUCAUCUCCCUCGCAUUUACAUUAUUUUCCAUUUGCCUCUAGUUUUCCUCUCCCCCACUUCACCCUUGCCGUUUUAUUCGCCCUCUCUUUCCCAAUCUUCUCCUCUCUCUUUCGCUUGCUUUUUUCAUUUUGCUUGUGUGUUGGAUUACUUGUUGCCAUGGCGCAAGAUAAUACCAAAUUGUGUGAUUUCUCCAAUACCAAUAAUAAUGAUUUCCUUAGUACUCCGAUUGCUCCUCUUAAUGAUGUUGAGUCUUGUGAAAUCAAUACUGCUUUGCUGAAUCUUGUUAUGAAAGAUCAAUUCGCCGGCCUUCCUAGCGAAGAUGCCGCUACUCAUCUAAACAACUUUGUUGAUUUGUGUGAUAUGCAAAAGAAGAAAGAUACGGAUAACAAUGUUGUUAAAUUGAAGUUAUUUCCAUUUUCACUUAGAGAUCGUGCUAAAGUUUGGUUUUCGUCUUUGCCUAAAAAUAGUAUUGAUUCUUGGAACAAGUGCAAAGAUGCUUUUAUCUCUAAAUAUUUUCCUCCCGCUAAGAUCAUCACUCUUAGGAACGAGAUUAUGAAUUUUAAACAACUUGAUCAUGAGCAUGUUGCCCAAUCUUGGGAAAGAAUGAAAUUGACGAUUCACAAUUGCCCUACUCAUGGUUUGAAUUUAUGGAUGAUCAUACAAAAAUUUAUGUCGGUGUGAACUUUGCUUCUAGAAAUGUUUUAGGUUCGGCCGCGGGAGGCACAUUUAUGGAAAUCACGUUAGGAGAUGCUACAAGACUUCUUGAUAAUAUUAUGGCUAAUUAUUCUCAAUGGCACACCGAAAGAUCUUCUAGUAAAAAAGUGCAUGCUAUAGAAGAAAUCAAUGUUUUGAGUGGAAAGAUGGAUGAACUUAUGAAGUUGUUUGCUACUAAAAAUACUCCUCUUGAUCCCAAUGAUAUGCCUUUGUCUACUUUGAUUGAGAAUAAUAAUGAAUCUAUGGAUGUGAAUUUUGUUGGUAGGAAUAGUUUUGGAAACAAUGCUUAUAGAGGAAACUUUAAUUCUAGACCGUUCCCUAGUAAUUCCUCUAAUAAUUAUGGAAAUUCCUACAAUAAUUCCUAUGGUAGUUUUAAUAAGAUGCCCUCUGAUUUUGAGAAUAGUGUGAAAGAAUUUAUGAUUUCUCAAAAGAAUUUUAAUGCUUUGCUUGAAGUAAAAUUGCUCAAAGUUGAUAAUUUGGCUAGGAACUUUGAUAGAUUUUCGCUUGAUGUUGAUUCUCUUAAACUUAGAUAUACUCCUCCUAAGCAUGAUAUCAAUGAGUCUCUCAAAGCCAUGAGAAUUUCCAUUGAUGAGUGCAAGGAAAGAACCGCUAGAUUGCGUGCUAAGAAAGAUUGCUUUGUAAAGGCGUGUUCUUCUAGUUUCAAUGAACAUAAUGAUGAAGAUCUUAAAGUUAUUGAUGUGUCUCCUAUUAGAUCUUUGUUUUGCAAUAUGAAGCUUAAUAAUGGGACUGGAGAUGAGUCAACUUUAGUUAGAAGGCAUCCCAAUAAUUUGGAGUUUUUAGAUCUUGAUGCUAAAUUUGGUAAAAGUGGGAUUGGAGAGGUCAUGACUUUAAAUAGCAUUGAACCCACUAUCUCGGAUUUCAAGGAAUUUGAUUAUGAUAAUUGUUCUUUAGAAGGUUGUAUUUCCUUGUUACAAUCCGUUGUUAAUUCUCCUCAUGCUUAUAGUCAAAAUAAAGCUUUUACCAAACAUAUCGUUGAUGCCUUGAUGCAAUCUUAUGAUGAAAAACUUAAUUUGGAGGUUUCUAUACCUAGAAAACUUAAUGAUGAGUGGGAACCUACUAUAAAGAUUAAAAUUAAAGAUCAUGAGUGUUUUGCUUUGUGUGAUUUGGGCGCUAGUGUUUCCACGAUUCCAAAAACUUUAUGUGAUAUUCUAGGUUUCCAUGAUCUUGAUGAUUGCUCUUUAAAUUUGCACCUUGCGGAUUCCACCAUUAAAAAGCCAAUGGGAAGGAUCAAUGAUUUUCUCAUUGUUGCAAAUAGAAAUUUGGUGCCCGUAGAUUUUAUCGUUCUUGAUAUAGAUUGCAAUCUUUCUUGUCCUAUUAUUCUUGGUAGACCUUUCCUUAGAACGAUUGGUGCGAUUAUGUAUAUGAAGGAAGGGAAUAUUAGAUUCCAAUUUCGAUUAAAGAAAGGCAUGGAGAACUUUCCAAAAAGAAAGUCAAAUUACCUUAUGAAUCUAUCAUGCGAGCUACUUAUGAAUCGAGUGCCAAAGAUGGCACUACUUAGAUCUAUCUUCGCUUUUAUGCCUCGCUAGGGGCGUUAAAUGAUAGCGCUAGUUGGGAGGCAACCCAAUUUUAUUUGUGUUUUUUGUUUCUGUUUCUGUUUAGUAAUAAAUUUUGCAUCUACCUUCUGUUUAGAUGUGUUGUAAUGUUUUAAUUAGUGUCUUUGCCAAGUAGAACCUAUAGGAUAACCUAUGGUGAUCGUUAAUUUGAUUCUCCUGAAAAACAAAAACUUUGCACGAACGAAAUUAGUUUUGUUAAAUCACAGAAACGUGAUUUAGCGUUGAUUAUUUUUGCUUCUGAACAAUAUUCAAAUUUUCCGGGACUUCCUAUUUUGGUAGGAUUUUUAGAGUUCCAGAAGUUUGCGUUAGUUACAGAUUGCUACAGACUGUUCUGUUUUUGACAGAUUCUGUUUUUCGUGUGUUGUUUGCUUAUUUUGAUGCAUCUACGGCUAGUAAAAUAGUUUGUAAACCAUAGAGAAGUUGGAAUACAGUAGGUUUAACACCAAAAUAAAUAAAUAAUGAGUUCAUUACAGUACCUUAUGUGGUGGUUUCGUUUUCUUUCACUAACGGAGCUUAUAAGAUUUCCUGUUGAGUUUUGUGUUGUGAAGUUUUCAAGUUUUGGGUAAAGAUUUGAUGGACUAUGGAAUAAGGAGUGGCAAAAGCCUAAGCUUGGGGAUGGCCAUGGCACCCCAUGAUAUUCAAGAGUAGCCAAGAGCCUAAGCUUGGGGAUGCCCCGGGAAGGCGUCCCCUCUUUCGUCUUCGUUCAUUGGUAACUUUACUUGAGCUAUACUUUUAUUCGCCACAUGAUAUGUGUUUUGCUUGGAGAAUCGUGUAUGAUAUUAGUCUUUGCUUUUUAGUUUUCCACAAUCAUCCUUGCUGUACACACCUUUUUUGAGAAUCCCACUUGGUUAGAACUUAUUAGAAUACUCUAUGUGCUUCACUUAUAUCUUUUGAGCCUGAUAGUUUUUGCUCUAGUGCUUCACUUAUAUCUUUUAGAGCAUGGCGGUGGCUUAAUUUUGUUGAAAUUGCUAGUCUCUCAUGCUUCACUUAUAUUAUUUUGAGAGUCUUUUAGAACAGCACGGUAUUUGCUAUGGUUAUAAAAUUGGUCCUAGAAUGGUAGGCAUCCAAGUUGGGUAUAAUAAAAACUAUCAUAGGAAGUGAAUUGGAUGCUAUGAUCAAUUUGAUACUUGAUAGUUGUUUUGAGAUAUGGAGGUAGUGAUAUUAAAGUCAUGCUAGUUGGGUGAUUAUGAAUUUAAGGAAUUCUUGUGUUGAAGUUAGCAAGUCCCGUAGCAUGCACGUAUGGUUAAAGUUGUGUAACAAAUUUGAAACAUGAAGUGUAUUUGGAUUGUGCAUCCUUAUGAGUGGCGGUCAGGGACGAGCGAUGGUCUUUUCCUACCAAUCUAUCCCUCUAGGAGCAUGCGCAUAGUGCUUGAUUUUUGAUGACUUCUAAAUUUUUGCAAUAAGUAUAUGAGUUCUUUUGACUAAUGUUGAGUCCAUGGAUUAUACGCACUUUUACCUUUCCACCAUUGCUAGCCUCUUCAAUACCGUGCAUUGCCCUUUCUCACCUUGAGAGUUGGUGCAAACUUCGCCGGUGCAUCCAAACCCCGUGAUAUGAUACGUUCUAUCACACAUAAACUUCCUUAUAUCUUCCUCAAAAAAGCCACCAUACCUACCUAUUAUGGCAUUUCCAUAGCCAUUCUGAGAUAUAUUGCUAUGCAACUUUCCACCGCUCCGUUCAUCAUCAUGACAUACAUUACUUUUGUCAUAUUGCCAUUGCAUGAUCAUGUAGUUGACAUCGUAUUUGUGGUAAAGCCACCGUGCAUAAUUUUUCAUACAUGUCACUCUUGAUUCAUUGCACCAUCCCGGUAUACCGCCGGAGGCAUUCAUAUAGAGUCAUAUCUUGUUCUAGUUUCGAGUUGUAAUUCAUGUAUUGUAAUCAAUAAAAGUGUGAUGAUCAUCAUUAUUAGAGCAUUGUCCCAAAGAAAAAAAGAAAAAUAAAAAAAGGCCAAAAAAAGGAAAAAAAGAAAAAGAAAAAGAAACAAAAAAAGAAAAUAAAUAAAAAGGGGCAAUGUUACUAUCUCUUUUUCCACACUUGUGCUUCAAAGUAGCACCAUGUCCUUCAUAUAGCGAGUCUCAUAUAUUGUGCUUCAAAAUAGCACCAUGUUUUUCAUAUAGUGAGUCUCAUAUGUUGUCACUUUCAUAUACUAGUGGGAAUUUUUCAUUAUAUAACUUGGCUUGUAUAUUCCUAUGAUGGGCUUCCUCAAAUGACCUAGGUCUUCGUGAGCAAGCAAGUUGGAUGCACACCCACUAGUUUUCUUUUGUUGAGCUUUCAUUCAUUUAUAGCUCUAGUGCAUCCGUUGCAUGGAAAUCCCUACUCCUCAUGUUGACAUCAAUUGAUGGGCAUCUCCAUAGCCCGUUGAUUAUCCUCGUCAAUGUGAGACUUUCUCCUUUUUUUUCUCCACACAAUCUCCAUCAUCAUAUUCUAUUCCACCCAUAGUGCUAUAUCCAUGGAUCACGCUCAUGUAUUGCGUGAAGGUUGAAAAAGUUUGAAAUUAUUUAAGUACGAAACAAUUGCUUGCCUUGUCAUCGGGGGUGUAGAAUUUGGGAACAUUUUUGUGUGAUGAAAAUGAAGCAUAGCCUAACUAUAUGAUUUUGUAGGGAUGAACUUUCUUUAGCCAUGUUCUUUUGAGAAGACAUGAUUGCUUUGAUUAGUAUGCUUGAAGUGUUACUAUUUCUUUUAUCAAUAUGAACUUUUAUUUUGAAUCAUUUGGAUCUGAACAUUCAUGCCACAAUAAAGAAAAUUACAUUGAGAAUUAUGCUAGGUAGCAUUCCACAUCAAAAAUUACAUUGAGGACGAGCAGGAAUUAAGCUUGGGGAUGCUUGAUACGUCUCCAACGUAUCUAUAAUUUUUAUUGUUCCAUGCUAUUAUAUUAGCCCUUUUGGAUGUGUAUGGGCUUUAUUUUACACAUUUAUAUAAUUUUUGGGACUAACCUACUAACCGGAGGCCCAGCCCGUAUUGCUGUUUUUUUGCCUAUUUCAGUAUUUCGAGUAAAAGGAAUAUCAAACGGAGUCCAAACGGAAUGAAACCUUCGGGAGUGUGAUUUUUGGAAAGAACGUGAUCCAGAGGACUUGGAGUGCAAGUCAAGAAGCAAUCGAGGCGGCCAGGAGAUAGGAGGGCGCGCCUUGUCUCCUGGGCCCCACAGGCGGUCACCGACGUACUUCUUCCUCCUAUAUAUACCCACGUACCCCGAAAACAUCCAGGAAGCCAACGAAAAACAAUUUCCACCACCGUAACCUUCUGUAACCGUGAGAUCCCAUCUUGGAGCCUUCGCCGGCGCUCCGCCGGAGGGGAAUCGACCAUGGAGGGCUUCUACAUCAACACCAUAGCCCCUCCAAUGAGUUGUGAGUAGUUUACCACAGACCUUCGGGUCCAUAGUUAUUAGCUAGACGGCUUCUUCUCUCUUUUUGGAUCUCAAUACAAUGUUCUCCCCCUCUCUUAUGGAGAUCUAUUCGAUGUAAACUCUUUUUGCGGUGUGUUUGUCGAGAUCCGAUGAAUUGUGGGUUUAUGAUCAAGUUUAUCUAUGAGAAAUAUUUGAAUCUCCUCUGAAUUCUUUUAUGUAUGAUUGAGUUAUCUUUGCAAGUCUCUUCGAAUUAUAAGUUUGGUUUAGCCUACUAGAUUGAUGUUUCUUGCCACGGGAGAAGUGCUUAGUGUCGGUGUCAAAAUCAGCGGAUCUCGGGUAGGGGGUCCCGAUCUGUGCGUCUAGGGCUAAUGGUAGCAGGAGGCAGGGGACACUAUGUUUUACCUAGGUUCGGGCCCUCUUGAUGGAGGUAAAACCCUACUUCCUGCUUGAUUGAUAUUGAUGCUAUGAGUAUUACAAGAGUUGAUCUACCACGAGAUCGUAGAGGCUAAACCCUAGAAGCUAGCCUAUGAUGAUUAUGAUUCUGUCCUUAAGGACUAAACCCUCCGGUUUAUAUAGACACCGGAGGGAGCUAGGGUUUACACAGAGUCGGUUACAAAGAAGCAAAUAUAAUAUACGGAUUGCCAAGCUUGUCUUCCAUGCAAACGGUCCAACAGUCCGGCCCAAGUAUAUAGUCCGGCUGUCCGGAUGCCCCCUAAUCCAGGACUCCCUUAGUAUCCCCUGAACCAGGCUUCAAUGACGAUGAGUCCGGCGCGCAGUUUGUCUUCCGCAUUGCAAGGCGGGUUCCAUCUCCGAAUACUCCAAAGUAAUUCGAACACUUGAAUCGUGUCCGGAUCCACAAGAUGAUCUUCACAUGCCAUCAUGAAGAGAACGAUAUUCCAUAAACAUAAUCUACUAACAUCUUUGGUUAGCAUGACAUAGCACCAUGGACAAGUCAUUAUCGAACCGUCUCUACUACCAAACACUGCACAUACUGCGAGGCGGUCUCGUCGAAGCAGCGAUCGUGCUCCCCUUAUCGCUGGGCUUUCAUCAAUACGAGCACGGGUAGCCCAACCGCUCUGCUAAUUGCGGCGAGUGGGGAACAAGUGGGUUCCACCAGGCAAGUGGGGAGGCGAAAAAGCUUUUACCGCCUCUAUAAAGAGAUAAGGUCUCUUCCUCUUUACUCACGCCUUUCCCUUCCGCUAGUCCAUUCCCCUUUACUCGAGCCCUAGCGCUCAAGCACUCUUCUUCUCCACCGAAGAGAGGUCCUCCGAAGAUGUCUGGAUCUGGAGCAAGAAGCAAAUGGAUGGCCUCUACCGUCCGGGAGAGGGAUAUCAAAAAGCUCCGAGAGGCCGAGUACCUGGCCAAGAAAAUCGGCCACCGUCUUCCGCCGGCGGGACAGAUCGUCCCUACUCCGGAGCCCCAUGAGAGGGUCGUGUUUCUCCCUCAUUUUGUCCGUGGGCUCGGGUUUCCCCUUCACCCAUUCGUUCGCGGCGCCAUGUAUUAUUACGAGAUUGAUUUUCAUGAUCUGUCCACCAAUUCUUUCCUUAACAUCUCAACGUUCAUCGUCAUGUGUGAGGCUUUUCUCCGUAUUUCGCCCCACUUCGGCUUAUGGCUGAAGAUCUUGAAUGUGAAGCCCAAGGUGGUGAAUGGCGAGCACGCCGAAUGCGGCGGCGCCAUGGUGAGCAAGAUGCCCAAGGUCGUAUGGCCGACGGGUGCCUUCAAUGAUUCCGUCAAGGAGUGGCAGCAGUAGUGGUUUUAUAUCACCGAACCGCGCGGAAAAAAGUGGGCCGCUACUCCUGAGUUCAGAUCCGGAGCCCCACUGCGGCUCAAGUCCUGGCCCGAGAAGGGCCUGAACUGGUCCUCAUCCGACAAGCUGUCGGUGCUCCAAACGCGCGUUUAGAGCGUGGUCGACAAGGAUGUCAAACUCGUCAACGUAGUCCAGGUGAUGUUGGUUCGCCUGGUUCUCCCUUGCCAGCGUCAAGCCUGCAAUUUGUGGGAAUAUGACCCGGCCGAACACCAAACCCUACGGGAGCUCUAUGGCUCCUCCCACAAGGACAUCUGGAAGGUGCUCUUCAAGUCCGGCAAACCAUGGCCGGGCUCCACCGAGGACCGUGGGUAUCAACUAUGCCACUCUGCAAGUCCGGUAAGUCAUUGAUGUGCUCUAUCCAUCCAUGUUUUAGAUGGCAUGUCCUAAGGGAGACGCUUUUAUCAUGCUUUCUACAAUAAUCCCAGGAAUGGACGAAAAAGGUGGAGCGGAUACACUGUCCAGCCCCGCAGCUGGAGGAACCGGCCGGACCUCUUCUAACGAAGAUGCUGGUCCCAGCGCCUUAUGAGGCGCCGAAGAAAGAGGCCUCCACCCGGAGCGGCCUCCGUCGUCGCGAUGCUUCGGACACAAAAUCCAAAGACUCCAGCGACCAUCCCACCUCCGAAGAUGAAGAGGACGAGGAAGAAGACGAGUCCCCUGCAGGGGGAGGGAAGAAAAGGACGGCUUCCUCAUCCCUGGAGGCCGAAUCGCCAAAGAGGGGGAAAGGUUCCCUUCCAGAGGCAUCCACCACGGCUGCUAAUAGCAGCCCGGAGUGGGAUCCCAGGGCCCGACCCCUGGUAAAGUUGUAAGUAUACGAAAUCCGAACACGCCUACGUGCCCGAGGUCAUUAGGAUGUAGUAGUUUAAUUGUCACAAUACUUUGUGCAGCCCGGCAAGGUCCCACGCUGGACAAUCCUCAUCGGAGGAUUCGCUGAGCUCAGAUGCCGUGGAGAGCGAGACACCUCCAAAGGCCCCUUCCCCGAAGCCUAGGCACGAUACCGAGGUGUCGUCUCAGCGGGGUCCGGACCAGGGAGGACAUAUCUAUGGGGCCGGAUAUACGGGAGCAGCGGCUCCCCUGCGUGUCGAUGGCGGGGGCGAUCUUAGGUUUGGCCUGCCACUGGACACGGUCCUGGAAACCUUUAAAGUUCCAGGAUCGGGCGAGCAGCCACCUUUGAUGGGGGGAGGCUCGCCCACUCCGCCAACAACCUUUGUCCAAGCAGAGUUGUCGGGCGGCUUAUUGACAGCGCUAAAGAGCGCGUCCAUCGUUGAUGAACAUCGUGCCUCAUGGGUGUGGUGAUUGAAAGGAUUCAGUCCGCUGAGAGCGGACUAAAUGAAUCCUGCCUUAGCCUUAUAAAAGGUUUUGAGGUAUGUUUUUAGAAACCUUUGGGAGAUUUUCAUAGUAUGAGUAGUAGCCACUGAUGCACUGUCCGGUGAAAGAAACAAAAAGCCGGAUAGGGGAUCAAGUUUCUGCUUUGCAGGAGACUCAGUUAAUGACGUGUAUCCCUUUGUUUGAAAACAGGCGUCUGUAGAGACGACCGCCUCCCAUAAUGCAGAGGUGUCCGGACUGAAGCAGAGUCUAGAACGGGCCGAAGAGGAACUUGGCCGCAUGAAGGAGCAGUUGGAGGACAAGCAAGGUAUGUCGAAGCCUUUUGCUAAGUUGAGCACGAAUUAGAAGUUGUGCCUGAUAAAAAUAUCUGUAUCGUAUGCUCUAGGAGCGAGUGCCGAAAUUGAGGCACUGAAGAAGGUUGUGGCUGAAGCCGACAAUAAGGCCGCCGCCGAGCAGGUUCUUCGUGAGAAGCACGAGGCCAGGGUCAUUGAAGCCGAGCGAGAGCUCCAGGAGGCCGUGAAGAAAAGCGAGACCUUGGAGCAGAGUCUAGCAGGGAAAGAAUCCGAACUCGCCUAAGCUCUCCAAGCCACAGAGGAUGCUCGGGAAGAAGCCCGAGGUGCUCUGAAGGACAUUCAGGAGGCAUGGAAGGUUGCGGCUGGUAAGGCCUUUUGUACCCAAGGCCAUUUUUACAUAGUAAUGAGAGGAACUCUGCGACAAGCUGAAUUCUUGUUUCUCCAGGGGCGUUUGCAGACCUGCCACGCAGCAUAUCAGAUGCUGCCCAAUUCUACCUGACUGAGGAGAAGAAGUCUGCGGAGAAGCAUUUCUGGUCGCAGUAUUUGGCGCCGAAUUAUCCGGUGCCCUUUAUCGAUCAGCUGAAGCAGCUGGUCGAACUGCACCAGGCGGCCGAACUAGCCAUGAAGGACUUGGUUGUCCGGCUGUGGCCGGCGGAGCCAAUUCCAAGCAGUUACUUCGGACUUGUGAAGCAGAUUGUUGGUGCUUGCCCUCGGCUCGAUGUCAUUAAGCGAUCGGUUUGCAUAGAGGGUGCACGCAUGGCGUUUGCCCAUGCGAAGGUGCACUGGGGGAAGCUUGAUGCUGAGAAGCUGAUGACUGAUGGACCACCGGAGGGUAAGGAGCAUCGCAAGCCCGAGUUAUACUAUGAAGGUGUCCUGAAAGGAGCCUGCCUUGUGGCGGAUCAGUGUACCAAAGACACUAUAUUUCCCUGAAGGCAGUUAUGCCGUCCUUUGUAAUGAGGGAUAAUGGCACUGUUAUUAUUUAUUGCAUGUUUAUGUGAAUGUUUGUUCUUCAUGUGCGGCUAUUUAGUGUAUAUAAAUCCUGAGAGUUGGCCAGUCGUCGGCUUCUGCCCCCACGUAAAAAGUACAGGGGUGUUCAGGACAUACCUGAACACUCUUUAUCCCAUUGUUGGGUCCUUUUAAGGAGGUGUUCCUCAGCACGAACCAGGUAAUCAGACUAUAGGGCUUUAUCACUCUCACUUAGCCAUAGGAAUUCGAGUAUGGUAGGCGCAGCCCCUGGUAUUCGGAAGACCGUACUAGGGGCUCUAACGGCGCCUGAUCAGAAAACCGAUCCAUCGCACUCUGCAUUUAUUAUGGCAUUGUGCGGAAUAAAUCUUUAAAGAUUUUACAACCUCUCGAACAGCUGACCAGCUCUCGCCAUAUCAUGACAGUCAGUUUUCGGCUUUCUCUACUGAGGUGCUCGUUCAGAAGAUCCGGGACACAACCGCAGUAGUUCUUCCAGCGCUACCUUAGCCGAUAGAGCAGAACAUAAGGUACCAAAACAUGGGAGCCGGGCAAACCCAACUAAUGACCCAAGACAUGAUUCAGAGCUGAUGCAUAUAGUGUUAUAAGUUCGGGGUGCCGAGCGUCCGAAAAGGUGGCCGGACUUUGUUGCCAUAUUAUGAGUAUUAUGAAGCCCUUGGCAUAGUGGGGCAUAACACGAUGUACGGGUGCCGUUUAUGACAAAAAGGGCAUCAAUGAGGAAUGACAGCCGGUAAGUGUUAUUUAAGUCAAUGCAUUGUAGUAGAGUGACAUGUCUAUGCAUAUGAGUAUGGUUUAUGCUUAUGAAAAGAGGUGUUUUGGCGGAACCUGUCGUGGCCGGACUGGAAGAGGUUGUGUGUGGAUCCGAAGUGUAUCCGGACUGUCUCCUUUGGGGGGGGGGAUUUACUUAUGCGUUCCCGCCUUGUGCAAAUGAGCUGAUUCCGUGUCGCCAGUCCUGUUCUGCGCCAAAGUCAGUCUGUAAAGACAAAUGCUUAAAGGCAGCUGCAUGUCAUGUUGUGGUUGAACCGCGGGUGCCUGAUCGGAGACUGGCUGAACCAGGCUAUCAUGCCAUAAAGUAACUUGGACUCCUCAGUUGGUGUCCGGGUAGUUGGCUGCCAAAUCAAAAUUUGAUAAAUGGGCACAACUCGCUAUUCCAGCAACGGUAUGAUUUCCACUCUGAGGGUUGGGUUCGGCCUUGCCCAUAAUUGUGACUAUGUCACGCGGGACUGGCCUAAUGUUGUACCCCGUUGAAUCUAGCCAACAUGGUUUGUCUCGAUAGUAUAUGGUAGUUACUGUAUAAGGGGACAAUGCCGAAGACUUAUUCUUUGGCGUGGUAUUUGUUUGGUGAUCCGAACACAACCACUAGUGUGGUGGGCCUUUAAAACUUGGCCUUUGUGCCUGGCAUCUUUUAAAAGAUGUUAUUGAUAGUUUUAUGCCCAUGGGGGCUCGUGUGAGAUGGGGCCCACAAACUGUUGGGUCGAUAAUGAGUGCAAUUUAAAUUGCUAUGGUUGAUGUUGUCCGGAUGGUCGAUGUGAUCGGAGAUGAUCAGCCGUAUUUUUGUACUGUGGAGGAUCUUCCUUUGACCUCGCCAGGUUUGAUCGGUCUCUAGUUGUUUGAAACCUCCCUUCAUUGUUUCCGGUGCGACCGGCCGUUUUGUUUUGAGGAUCCUACAUCCUCUAUUGGUAUGAUUGGCCACCCGUCUAGGGGUACCAUGAAUUUCACAUGGUUGAUCGCGUAUGCUGCUCGGGCCGGAUGGGCUUGAGCUGUUCUUUUUCCGCUAACCGGACUGGGGGCCGCUGAGUUCGGCACCAACUUCCUUGACUUGACGCUUAUGACGAUUGUGUCGAGGUUUGUGGAUGCUGCCUCGCGUUUCCUGCGUAUUGUCCCGGACCAUGGUAUAUUGGCGUCGGCGUGUGGGCUUUAGGUUCUCCUUCUUAGGUUGAGGUAGCGAAUUGUGCCAUGUGUACCCUUUGGCGGGGCGGCCGAGUCCAUAUUCCUCAGUGGCCAGGACCUUGGUCCAUCUAUCUAUGAGCAAAUCUUGGUCAGCUUUGAGCUGCUGUUGAUUCUUUUGCAGGCUUUUUGCCAUGGCCAUAAGCCCUCGCUUAAAGACAACUUGUUCCGCGGGAUCCUCAGGCACACCAAUUCAUCGUCGCCGAGGCUCACCUCGUAUUCGGAAGGGGGCAUGUAGUUGUCCCUUUCCAAGUAUUCGUCCGUCUCCUGUCCGGCCUGCUCGAAGGCAGGCUGAUCGGGAUUGUAUUCAUCUUCGGCACCGUCUGGAUUGUUUUUGACUGCUGUGCCGGUAAUUUUGUGGUGGGGCUUGGGGUGGCGCUGAUGAUGUUCAUACUUUGCCUUCUUCCUUGAGGGGUUAUCCUCUAUUGCCUCAUCGCCAUUGGUUUUUUUUGGGGUGUCCACCAUAUAUAUAUAUAUAUAUAUAUAUAUAUAUAUAUCAUAUGAGGAGGUGGCUGUCCACCGCCCCGUGGGGUUCCUGUUCUUCUCCUACACCGUCGUCCAUACCGUCGAUGUCUUCAGAGUCGAAGUCAAGCACGUCGGUUAAAUCAUCGACCAUAGCAAUGAAGUGGGUGGUGGGUGGGCAACGAAUUCCUUCUUCGCCUGCUUCCCACUCGAGCCAGACAUAGUUCCGCCAAGAGUCUUCUGACAAAGAGAGAGACUUUAACGAGUCCAGCAUGUUGCCAAAGGGAGAGUGCUGGAAGAUAUCCGCAGCGGUGAACUCCAUUACUGGAGCCCAACCAGAUUCGGCGGGCUCGAGGGUGCGUGGACUGGAACCUACAGCCGGGUACGAGUCUGGGGGUCCGGUGUCACAGGCUUCCUUGGGGGUGAAGUCUGUGUUCGGCUCUACCGCCGAUGAGUGUGCGGCCUCCGGGGCGGGGUCCAUCCACCCGUCCUCGGGCGACGCAAUCUGCCCUGGAUUUAGGUCCGGGGCUCCUACAGGACGAUAUCCCGAGCAUUGUCCGACGGCAGGUCUAAGCCGUGCUCAUCGUGACUGUCCGGUGCUCCUGGUGCAGGCCCGGAUCUGUUGAAGAUCAAGUCUCCGCGGAUAUCGGCCGUGUAGUUCAAGUUUCCGAACCUGACCUAAUGGCCCGGGGCAUAGCUGUCGAUCUGCUCCAGAUGGCCAAGCGAAUUGGCCCGUAGAGCGAAGCUGCCGAACACGAAGAUCUGUCCGGGAGAAAAGUCUCACCCUGGACCAUGUUGUUGUUGACGAUUGAAGGAGCCAUCAGGCCUUGCAGCGACGACACAGAGGAACUCUCAAUGAAAGCACCAAUGUCGGUGUCAAAACCGGUGGAUCUUGGGUAGGGGGUCCCGAUCUGUGCGUUUAAGGCUAAUGGUAACAGGAGGCAGGGGACACGAUGUUUUACCCAGGUUCGGGCCCUCUUGAUGGAGGUAAAACCCUACUUCCUACUUGAUUGAUAUUGAUGAUAUGAGUAUUACAAGAUUUGAUCUACGACGAGAUCGUAGAGACUAAACCCUAGAAGCUAGCCUAUGAUGAUUAUGAUUCUGUCCUUAAGGACUAAACCUCCGGUUUAUAUAGACACCGGAGGGAGCUAGGGUUUACACAGAGUCGGUUACAAAGAAGGAAAUAUAAUAUCCGGAUCGCCAAGCUUGUCUUCCAUGCAAAGGAGAGCCCAUCCGGACACGGGACGAAGUCUUGAGUCUUGUAUCUUCACGGUCCAACAGUCCGGCCAAAGUAUAUAGUCCGGCUGUCCGGAUACCCCCUAAUCCAGGACUCCCUCACUUAGCUUUGGGUUCAAUCUUGCGGUGUCCUUACCCAGUGACAGCAGGGGUUGCAAGGCACGUAUUGUAUUGUUGCCAUUGAGGAUAAAAAGAUGGGGUUUAUAUCAUAUUGCUUGAUUUAUCCCUCUACAUCAUGUCAUCUUUCUUAAUGCGUUACUCUGUUCUUAUGAACUUAAUACUCUAGACGCAUGCUGGAUAGCGGUCGAUGUGUGGAGUAAUAGUAGUAGAUGCAGGCAGGAGUCGGUCUACUUGUCACGAACGUGAUGCCUAUAUACAUGAUCAUGCCUAGAUAAUCUCAUAAUUAUUUGCUUUUCUAUCAAUUGCUCGAUAGUAAUUUGUUCACCCACCGUUAUACUUAUGCUAUCUUGAGAGAAGCCUCUAGUGAAACCUAUGGCCCCCGGGUUUAUCUUUUAUCAUAUAAGCUUUCAAUCUACGUUUAUUUGCAUCUUUACUUUUUGCGUCUAUAUUAUAAAAUACCAAAAAUAUAUUUAUCUUAUCAUACUAUCUCUAUCAGAUCUCACUUUCGCAAGUGGCCGUGAAAGGAUUGACAACCCCUUUAUCGCGUUGGUUGCGAGUUCUUUGUUUGUUUGUGUAGGUGCGUGGGACUUUUGAGGAGCCUCCUACUAGAUUGAUACCUUGGUUCUCAAAAACUGAGGGAAAUACUUACGCUACUAUUGCUUCAUCACCCUUUCCUCUUCAAGGAAAACCAACGCAAGCUCAAGACGUAGCAUUAGCCUAUAUCGAUUUCGGACGAGGAGAGUUUGUUUUACCGCCCACCAUGUAUGAAUAGGGAAAUGGAGGAAGAGACACAUGUCUUUCGGAUGAGCUUGAAACAAAUGUGUUUUGCCGCCCACGUUUGGCGCCCGCCGUAUCUGAAUGGGAUUAGAGGCCGUUGUGUCAUGUCUGAUUGAAGUUACUAGUCUACCCCUAUGGACAACAGUGUAAAUCUGGUUGAUAAGGAUGUCAAGUGUCACGGGUAGACAGUAAUUUCCAUCUCGCAAACACUUGCUUCGGGCAACCCACAAAUUAUAGUGGGUGUUUAGCUGCUUCGUUCAAAACUUGGGAGAAUUAGCAUUCACGUUUGCCCUGGGCCCUGGCAAACUAAAUUCAAAUCCAAUUUGUAUUCGAUUACGAAUAUCCACAGAUAAUUCUAUGUUUUGUUAUUUAUUUCUUCAAAACCACAACAAAGAUUUAUUCCACCUUUAUAUAUGAUUAUGAUUUAGAAAUGUCGUGAUCUUCGAAAUCAGUAGGUUGGAUACACUCUGAGUCAAACAGUUAUUUCAUCCAAUACAAUAUGCUCACACAAAAAACAGUUCACCUUAUGUCAAUCAUACAAGUACUGAUGAUUACCUCGCCUAAAAAAUUCGGAUCAUUACAACAAAUGGACAUCAUAGGGGGUCUUGCAACAUAAUCCAUUCAGAGACAUGAGACAACAUGCAAGUACAAUAAUCUAAUGACAAUUUCAACUAGUAUCUAAAGAAGAACCAGGAUUACACUGGGCUUCAGAUAGCAGAAACAGCAGGACCUCCUCCGUCUUCAAAUGCAACAUUCUUACUUCUUCCAGUUCUUGGGUUGCUUGCAUAAUGUGUGCUGCUAAUUCCAUAAUUUCCAGCCUCAAGAUAAAGAUUACCUCAUUCAUGGCAGCCAGACCAUCUCUUUCUGCCUCUAGUAGAGCCUCAAGCACUAUAAUAUCUGUGCUCAAACUGCUCUCCGGCGGUGUUGCCUCUGAACUGCUACCAUCUGGUAACAUGGAUGGCACACUGCUUUCACAAAUAGAUUCUGGGGUUGUACAUUGUGUCCUAGUGUGUCGGGAAGGACAAGACCCCGGCAAGAUCGACAACGCCAUGGUGCUCCUAGCACCAUACUCGCGUUGGAACAAGGCCAAGCCGGUGGAUCGCGGGACACUCAAGGCCAACAUGCACGUCAACACGCUGGUACGAGCGCAGUACGGUCGCCUGGGCGAGAUGUUGCUCCUUCUAACACUGUUAGAAGUUUGAGCAUAUCCCGCACCUCGUGCCGCUCGCCACCGCCGCCCAAGACUCCAAAGGAAGCACUGGUCCGAGCCCACAAAGAUAUCGUGGGAAACGAACACCUAUGGGGCAGGGCCCCUUUCGGUCCGGCAAGGGAGCGGAUGGCGCAUGAAGAGAAGAUCGAGGCGAAGCACGCGAGGGAUUUUACCCAGCUUCGGAGCUCUCCGGAGAGAUAAAACUCCUACUGCUGCUUUGUGUUUCUAUUCUGUUCUUGCUCGAGAGCGUAGGUGUGUUGUAGUUUCGAAUGAGUCGAACCCUUUCUACGUGCGCAUGGGCCUCCUUUUUAUAGUCUAAAGGGGUCACCGACUAGGUGGCAGCGUAGAGAGAGGGGUAAAAAAGUAAAAAUGGGGGUUGGUACAACCGCUAUCAACAGUGCCCCCUACCUAACUCUGACGGCAGGGGACAAGGGCAUUUAAUGCCCGUCCGGUCGCCCAAACAGUGCAAGAAACGACCGUUAGGGGCGCCACCGAUCGCCACAUUGGCCUUCUAGUCAUCUUCACUUGCCACCUCGCACCGCUUGGCUGCACAGCUACCCGCCACGUGCACCAGGAGCGAUCCUGCAGCGACACGUCGUCGGAUGUGCUGGAGCGUGGGCGCAGAGUGGUGGCUUUGCCGCGGCAAGCGCCUUGCCGCGGUCGCUGUCUUGUCACACCCGCCAGCUUGCCACUCGCCGGGUCUUGCCGGGACACGCGGUGCGUCGCGGCAAGUCUCUUGAAACGCCUUGGUUGGUCUUCCCGGCAUAGUGUGAACGGUGUCCUAAAAUGUUUCCGCUGGACAUAAGUAAGAGAUAAUUAUCGUAUGAUCCAGGCAGUAAGCUUACAUGGUAAACGACAUACGAAUUAUUGACGAGCAUGGCAAGCUAUAUUUAAAUGGUUCAAAGCAGCAUCAGUCGGAAAGAAAUUAAAAUGGUAAGAUGAAACUAGGGAUGUAAGUGGUAGAUAAACAACAUCCGCUAGUCCCAUCUACUUAGUUUUUGCUAGCUCCCUAGUUCAUUUUCCUCAGAAGACAAAAACUCUUUUGAACUUUCAUACCACUAGUGGACUUCAAUCGGGAUUCAACGGGACCCAGUUGACAUCCCUAGUUGAAAGGGAGUGUACCACCGCUAUAUUUAAGUUGCCAAGGCAUCUAAGUAGUUGAAAUAAUGUGAGAAAGCACUUAACAGUGUGGCCUCAUAUAAACUACGAAGACAGUCUUGUGAUGAAGUUGAGAGGAAAAGUUAAGGACUCAAAUGAACUAGGCAUGCAUUUCUUUAUGAUAGUACAACGGGCACUGCUGACAUAUUAGCCAACUCGGGUAUAGCGUAACAACAAACAAGCAUUCGAAUCAAGCAAUACAGCAAGGCAGACAACUGAACUAUUUGCAAUUCGGUAGGAUUACCGGUUGAGGGCACAAGCCAAGAAAGCAGCCGACUCGCAUUACAUUUCACAUGUACUAAAACACACUGGCUUACCAUAUGUUGCUGUGAAGCCUCGCUGCUAUUGCAAUGUUCUUUGAAGAUAUCGUCAUCAUCCCGUGGUUGCAAAUCUAGUUGUUGUAGUUUAUUCUUCACCCUCUAUUUAGGUUCAUCUAAACUAAUGAAAGAAGGGUGUGUGCAUACACGAGAAUAUAUCUGCUUCCUUCUAUGUAGAAGCUCCAUAAUUAAUAGAAGCAUCAAAUUGGUCAUGCAACUUGGGAAGAUCAAGAACACACAAUCAAGUAAUGAACAGAGGCUCGGAGCAGUGAUGUAAUAGCUAGCAUUAGAAAAUGUAGGGUAAAACGAACAAAAAGCAGCAGAACCACAUGCUAGUUUGCUGAUGUGUAAUUAAGCAUAGAGAACAUUAAGUAGUCUGAUGGAACCAACAGGUGGCAUCAGAACAACACCAUUAUCAUAAAUAUAGCAUUCAAGAAGUAAAAAGUAGGCAGUGAUAUCUAGGAAGUACAGUAAUACUUAGGACAAAACUAAAGCAUAUUAACUAUAUGUGCACUGGUAUGUAAUUUAUCACAUGUAACAUGUUCACUGCCAGGAGUAUGGCCCUAUAGGUGCGAGCAGAAUAACGCGUCUCAUGAAAAACUGAAUGAUGCCCUGAAGAAAUUCAAAGGUGCGAUGCUUAUGCUAGGAAAGUGAACGUAGGCGCCGGUUGUUGGAUAAUAAUACCUGAUUCUCGGCGGCGUAUGGGUAUCAUUGUCAUAUUUGAUAGCUAAGGAUCAUCGAUGGUUCUCGUCUUGCGGUUGAGUCUGGGUCGGCUAUCGUCGUCGCUGAAGUGGCUCCGGUGCUACGGUUGCAGCACCUAUCGACAUACAAGAAAGCACAUUUGUGGUAAGUGAAUAGUUGCAUGAUAAAGAGAAAAACCGAAGGAGUACAAACCAAAAUAACCUGAUGAGGCUGCGGCAUCGGUAAAGUAGGGCCGGUGGAGUUGAAUAUGGCGUCCGUGGAGCGGGUCUGGUGCAAUGAACGAAGGCUUCGGCGGGCGCAUUGUACAGUGCUUUCGGUGAGGCGGAUCUGUUCCGGCGGACGAGGGCUUGUAUGAAAGGCCAGCGAAGGGGCGGACGAGGUAGCCAGUGAAGGGCCUACACUAUGGUGGACAAGGGCGCCGGUUAAGCAGGUCCGGUGCGGUGGACCAUGAUGGCGGUCAAGGAGAUUUGGGGCGGUGGACAAGCCAGUCGCUGAAGCGGCUCCGGUGAAGUGGUGAGUUAGCAGUUGGGGGUUCCAUGGUGCAGAAGGUAGAUCCGGUGGGGUGUGAGGUGCACCGCUGCGGCAGAGGACUAGAUUUGGCGGCUUGCGGUGGUUGGGGGGGGUCGGGGAGGGGAAGGGAAAGGGGAGGGGCUCUGGGGAAGAAUGUUUGGGGCAAAGAGGGGAAAACAAUGGAGUUACCAAACCAGCCCUUUCCCGUUCAUGUGGCAGGGGUAAAACAGGAAUAUUGCAGGACUAAACUUUCGGGCGUGAGAUAUUUCGAUGUGAGCGGGAAGUUUGAAAGCUUUUGGCACCUGAAAUUAUAUUCUGCUCUUGUAUGGCCGACUAUGAUAUCAUGGCCGACAAUUUGUUUGUUUUGCACGCAAAAGAAAGUGCAAGUUUUGAAAAUCAAUGUCUCCAACUCGAAACUUAGAUUGUCCAUUCAAUUCAAAUAUGGAUCAUUGAGCCACUACAAGCAAAUACCAUCAUAUGGUCCAAUUAAAAUGAAAAUACAAAUGUGUUUAUCCUAAAUAUGAUGACAAAAGCAAAAAUAUGUAUGUGUAUGAAUAAAGUGGAUGAUUAUAAUGUUUGAACAUGCUCGUAUGUGUAUAUCUCUAGGUUUGAUAUAUGAAUUUGAAAUCAUGAAAUCCCGGCUUAAAAAAUGUACCUCCAUUUAAAUGAAUUACAAAAGCUAAUGAUGGAGUCGAAUUCCAAAAUUCCAAUCUUAGGUUUGUAAUUCUGGUACAUCAAGGUAUAUCACGCAUGUUCAAAAGUAUCGUUAUCUCAUAGUCCAAACUGUGAAACAAAUUGAUCAACCAUGAGUGCACAAUAUCUCAAUUACGCUAAAGUCCCUCAAAUACAGACACCUCACUCUUUAUCUAAAGCCACCCCCCCCUCGUUGCCCCCCCACACACACACAUAGAGAAGUCAUUCUCUCCCCCAAACACCAACACACGAGCACAUUAACACCCCUCUCUCUUCUAAAGUCGGACCCCAAUAUAGGUCUCCAUCACUUUGUCUCUCGGGCAUGCACACAUCUCUUCCCCCACUCUCUAGGUCUCCCGACAUCUCUCUUUCCCAAGCACACGCACUAUGUAGAGUGUAUCUUUCCCAUACACACAAAAGGUCGCCCCCAAACGUCUAUCUCCCUAGUUAUGUGGUUCUCCCGUACUCACCUCACACACCACCCCCACUGCAAACAAGCACACUUUGUCUCCUUGCGCACCACUCUCCUAUUUCCAUCUCUCCCACAUGCGGACCCGCCCCAGCUCCUUCCCUGUAUACAUAUAUGUCGUGAAUCUUUCCAUAGCUCCCUAAUGUAUCAUCGUUCUCAAUCUCGCACAUUGUUCUCUACACCAUCUAUUCUAGAUCUCUCAUGAAGUCCCUAUCACACACAUGAUGACUCACUUCCCUUGCGUCUCCGUACAUCGGCCAAUUUCAAACAACAUCAACAUUGUCUCCCUAUCUAUACACCAUUUAUGGACACAAAUAACCCCUCUCGCCCCCUCUCUUCCUCUCUCUCUCUCUCUCUCUCCGUCGCUAGCUCUCUCUCGCUCUCACACCCCUCUCCCACACACACACACACUCGGUGUCUCUUCCAAAUAGUAUGCUCCCCCCGCCUGCACCCAUACUAUCCCGCUACUACACAUGUCACACCAUUCCCCCUUCCCUUAUACUAGGUUUACAUUAGUAGUGGUCUCUCUACUCCACAUACACACACUCCCUCUCACACACAAAUGCAUGCACAAACACACACAGCCACGCACAAACACCCAUUUAUCUGGAUCCUCAUCUCUCCCCAUGUGCGCAUGUGUUUCUCACACACUCACUCUCUAAUUAUGUAUAUGUGUCUCCAUGUUACACAACACAAAGCCCCAUGUACAUGUCUCUAUCUAUCCUCCACACACAUAGACACAAAGAAUCUAUUAUCAUUGCCUCAGUCUCUAGACAUAUCACACACGAACACUGUCUCUCUCUCUCUCUCGCAAACACGCUCAACAAGGGUUUCCCCGUGAAUAACUUAUCGUCUAUUCAUCAAAAGUCGUGGCAGUACGGGAAAACCUAGUAUGACUACUAGGACUAGAGCAAGCCAAAAAGCGCGCCGCCGUCACCCCCUCCUUAUCAGCGAUGGGAAAACCUUUGUUUUACACAGUCGAAAAGUCAUUGUGCUAAGGCCCCACAUGCUGAGGCAUUGAAUAGAAUGUAGAUGCUAGUUUACAGAAACAAGUAUCAAUAAUACAUUUGUAUCUCCAUACUUAUAUUUCUUCUCUUAUAAAAACCGAGUUGGUGAUGAUGGUACGCAUGCCAUCUUGCAAUAUAGACCGUCCGAUCUAUAUCUGACGGAUGGAAAUUAAACUAAAAGAUACCCGCACGCCUCUCCACAUUUGCAGACAAGGCAUUCCCUCGUUCAUCCUUAUCUCCAACAACCUCAUUGUUGAGCAAUUAAGAAAGGAAGCCUCUGGAACAAACUGGCCUGGUGGCCGUUGCCGGCGUCGUCAAUCCCCAUGCCUCCGCUCAGUCCGACCACCAAUCACUACCACAUCCCACUCCUCUUCACCUUAUCUCAUAUUUCUCGAGAUAUCAUUAGUAUUUACACAUGGGAUUACUCCCGCAUGGGUCAACCACAACAAGUGUUUUAUAAAAAAAAUGCAUCUUGUUGUUCCGUGCAAUGCACGGAUCUUGCUAGUACUCCUACAGAAGACUAAGUUGGUGAUGAUGGUGUGUCUGCCAUCCGUCGUUUCUGACCAUUAGAUCUACAUCUAACGACUGUGAGGUAAGUUUUUGCCUUUUUCUCACCAACAUCCCACUUGUCUACCAAUUUGCAGAAAAACCCAUAAUUAGUAUCUUAAAACCAACCAAAUCCCUCCCUGACCUCACCAAAACAUACCCAAAAUUUCUUAAUCCAUGACAAAAACUACUACCUAGUACUCCUACCGAUUAGGUUCAUUCAAACCCAUUUAUGACAGGGUUGGCCACACGUCCAUGCCGUUCAUUUAAACCAACACAUUUUGUUUGACCGUUAACACGAGGGACCCACAUCUGACCUUCUAUCCUGUUAUUCCCCCUCAAAUCAUUAUUUUUCCUGAACAUUACUUCAAACAGUACUGAUGUGUGUUCGUCGGUGGUGCCGGUGAUGAGCGAUUUGGCCGCCGCUCUGUCGGACGGGCCGGACGCCGCGCUGGCCUCCGCACGGGUUGGCAAGCUGGCCCGAGCGUGACUCACGAGCGAGCAAGCCGCUGCGCUGGCCUUCGCUCGAGCCAGAUGGCUGGCCUUAGCAUAGCACGCGCGAGCAAGCCGCCGCGCUGCCGUGCAAAUCUAGCUAGCAAACCUUGCAUACAAGCAGAUGGACGGAGCUAUCUUGGCUAGCACCGGACGGAGUUGGCAUCCGGGCUGCCGCAACAUGGGCUCCGCACCGCCGGCGGUUUUGACCUCGCCUUGUGCCGGCGGUGGUAGCUGCGUCCCAUGGCUGAGGAUGACUAGGUGGACGGGCUGGAGGUAGGAGGUCACUUGGGGAUUUUUGUGCAGACUGACAUGUAAGCCCCACAAGUCAUAACGCCCGGUCGAAUAGAAGGCAUUGACUUAAUGGGCGACAUGGGCCCUGUCAGAGGUUAGAGUUAGAUUCCAACCCUGAACUAACUCUAACCAAAGUGGUGUUUGGAUGGUAGGGUUAGAUUGACAACAAAUGUAUCCAAACAGGGCCAUGGGUUGAAACGUGCCUACAACGACACUUUGUAGAGUAGUCGUUUCUUGGUAGGGCUGGUUGGUAAGAGCAUGUACAAUGGUUGAUAAGGUAGCCUUAUCUUAAGUGUGCCACAUAUGCAAGUGGUAGUAGUUUCUUGGCAUUUUAGCUGUUUCUUGCAUUAUUAGGGGUUUCUUGUAAGGAACAAUGUACAUACUACUAGCGACAAAAGGCGAUUCUAGGUUGCGUUGUACUCCAACGAGUACUACUAGUGGUCGCGGGAGUGUAUACCUCAUUUUGUGGGUUCGAUCCUGGCCGAACGCACGGUGGCCUUUUUUUAAAAUAGUAACUUCGCUGCAAGCCAAUAUUUUACAAGGGUUCUUUUAGUUUUGAAGUCAAACGGACGCGCGGCACCACAAUCUGGGUGUACUGGAUAGCCUAGCCACGUGAACGGGUUUUCCUUGCCAGCAUCCCGUGGCUCGCAUGCUCGCCCUAGCCGCACCUCACUUUCAGCUUCGUCAGCUAGUAGCAUAUUUAAACUAGCGCCUCCCAAUUAAGCCUGAGGAGCCAGAAAAGCCUGGUGGGGCAUUGGGAACUGUGCAAUAUGGCUCUGUACGUAAAGUGCCCUACUACUACUACUUUGUAGCUUGUGGCGUUGCACGCAUGGACUUCACUCCAUUAUCGGCUCUACUAUAAAAGAAAUUCCUCUUGACAUGUUUUUUUAAAUGGAGGCAAAAGCUUUGCUUCAUCUUAUUCAUAAAGAAGGAACUACUAACAAAGUUCGACGAGAUCCAUUACACCUCCACAAAUGGAAGCGAAAAGCCUAGUCUCGCUGUAUCAAAUAACUCAAAUGUUCUGCCCCCGCAGUAACCAUCGUUGAUAAACAGGCUGCUAGUGUGUGCGUGAGAGGAGCGGUUGAGUAGGCCAGCUACGUGAGAGGAGCAGUUGAAUAGAGCACCGAGAGUACCCACUAGGCCACUACGCAGGUGUACUUUCCCUGCAUUGAUAGUACAGCGAUGGUUCUAGAGAACAGUAGUACCCUCCACUUCCAAUUGUAGCUCCUUGGCCCUGAGAUUCAAGAGUUCAAAACUGGUGCACUAUACUAGACUAGACUAGAAGCACAGUACAUCACACUACUAGUUGAGAAAAAGUAGUACUAGUACUGCUACAGUACGAGUACGUACUCCUCCAUCAACAUAAUGUAAGACGUUUUUUGACACUAGUUGGCGUGUACAAAAAAUAGCAAAAACAUACCCAAAAUUUCUUAAUCCACGCCAAAAACUAGUACCUAGUGCCAAAAAUUUCUUAUUAGUGCUAUUAUUUACAGUAUAAUGCAAUCCCAUAAUGUUCCAUAAUGCUAGUACUAGUAGUAAAUAAUAGCCUCACCCCUUCGCUAAGGAACGAUCUACAGUUCGAAGGAACGAGGCCCUACGGUUACUACGCUCUUAUCUCCUCCUCGCCAGUUCCCCUCCCCCCGAAGAGAAGGUAGUUCGUCGCUGCUCCCAUAGAUUCGCCUGGCGGUUCUCCUCCUCGUCGGGGCUGGGAGACCUUCGAGGAUGAUCCUUUGGGAUAAAUCGGACGCCGCUCCGAAGUCCUCACCGCCACAAGACUUGGUGCUUCCUGCACCAAAUUUUUCAAGAUGGUGCUUAAACAGGCUUGGGAAAAGGCCAUGCUUGUUGGUCUUCCAUGCGUACUCGAGGAUAAGGUUCUUCUAUGGGACAAUCCUUCGAACAGUUCACCGCUCCCUGGCCAUGGUUGCACGUUGACUCCGCUAGAGUUGCCGACGUUGAGAGGUAGUCAGUUUUUGUCUGAUGAGCAGGUCAGUAAUGGUGUUUGAUCAUGUAGUACUUAGUUAUUCCAUUUCCAUCCUGUAAUUUCUCCGCCGCCCACUAUCUUAUAUAUAGGUCUGGGUCGGUGCCAACGAAGAUUGGCUUGCAUACCUCCGGCCGGAUACCACCAUCAUUUUUCACAACAUCCACAGUAGUGCGGCCGUUCCGGUAGACCCCUUCUCCACCAUUGGGAUUAGCCUUCCGGACUGGCUGGGAUCGAAUAUGUAUGAUGAUGCCUACAUGAGAUUGAAGAAGAUAGCAAUUGCGGACCCACCGACCAAGCAAUGCGACUACGACGAUUACUAUCUCAUAGUGGUGUUCGACAUAUGGAUUGCCAUCAAUGCAAGAGGUAGUAACGGCAGAGGCUGGCGCAUGUUGGCGGCGGAAGAUUUGUACCCCUACACGUUCGAAGAUGCCGUGCACCAUCUAGGCCGCAUCUUCGCGGUGACAAGCCAGGGGACUUGUUUCAUCUGGUUUCCAUCCUACACUACGGGAGAUUACAAACGGAAUGCACAAACCAUCAUUUGCAUCCCUAACGAUACUCCAUUAUUUUGCAAGGACCAGUCAUCUCCCGAUCAAAACAAGAUCGCCGAUCCUGGAUGUGCAUUUGCAUCUGUGAUUCGGUCUAACCUGGAACCUUGUAGCUGACUUUGGCAUAUUGGGAUGAACUAUCUUAGCAGUCCUUACCCAUGGUACCACUGAUGUGCAACAUGGUCACACAAUCUACCAUGACCGGACCGUCACCAUCUACCCAGGUAUUCCAUUUUUUUUAACCCUCUCGCCUUCUCUUUCAUUGUUGUACUAGUACUUACUAGUACUAGUAGGAGUACUUUUUACCUUGGAGGACGCGUAUAGCUAGCUAGGCCCUUGAAGACUUGAACCCACUAGCUGCCACCAUUUUUGUUUUUCCAUGUCUUACUAUCUCAUCCAUGUAGCCAAGAGUGGCUAUAUAUAAUAAGUCAGUUAUUUUACUUCCUCCAUUCUGGAGUAGUACUAUUUGCUGCACAGUAUUACUGACCGCCAUAUUUGAGCACAACAUUAUUAUGCAUGUACCUUGACUAUUUACAUCACCAUGUGUCCAGAUCUGAGAUGCCGCGUGUACCAGAUAAACGAUGCCGAGUUUGAGCCCUGUGAUGCUACGUGGGUGCUGAGGAACACUGUUGGAGAGUACUCGCUUUUCAUUGGGGACAGCUACCCCAUUGUGAAGCGGAUGCCACCUUCCAUGCACGACACGGAAGGCCUGCCGUUCAUGAAGCAUGGUUGUGUCUUCAUUGCGCACCGUAAAAGUGCGUUAUAUCGACUAGAGGGGGGUGAAUAGGCGAUUUUUAUGAAUUCUUCACUGAGGAAUUUGCCGGUGAGGAAAUUCCUUAGCGAAGAACUACUUGCAGCGGAAUAACUACUCAGAAGUAAGCAUGACAGAAUACACACAUAGUCAUCAUGAUGAAAUGAACACAAACACAGAGUACAGAAAGCGUAAACACAGGAUAACACAAGAUGAAGACAAACAGACUGAAGAAAUUGAACUGAGGAAAUUGAGAAAGUCUUCAGUCAAAGUCUUCAAACACAGAUAUGAACAAUCACUCAACACAGUAAUGAGGAAAUGAAAGAGUUGAAGAAAUAGAACCAGUAAGGUUGGUGAAGACAAUGAUUUGGUAGACCAGUUCCAACUGCUGUCUCAGUUGUACGUCUGGUUGGAGCGGCUGAGUAUUUAAACUCGAGGACACACAGUCCCGGACACCCAGUCGCUGAGCACGCAGCUCAGGACACCAAGUCCUCACCAUAUUCUCCUUGAACUAAGGUCAGACAGACCUCGUCCAAUCACUCGUGGUAAGUCUUCAAGAGACUUCCAAACCUUCGCAGACUUCGGUCACUCGGUGAUCCACAAUUCCUCUUGGAUGCUCUAGACCAUGACGCCUAACCGUCUGGAAGAAGCACAGUCUUCAAAGGUAACAAGCAUCGGAUCCACGCAGGAUCAAUCUCUUUAGUGAUGCUCAAUCACUUUGGGUUUGUAGGUGUUUUGGGUUUGGGUUUUUCCUCACUCGAUGAUUUUUGCUCAAAGUCCUCGGAGGAUGGGUUGCUCUCAAAAGUGUUAGUUUCUCUCGGAGCAGCCAACCAGCUAGUGGUUGUAGGGGGCGGCUAUUUAUAGCCUAGGGAGCAUCCCGACAUGAUAAGACAUAAAUGCCCUUCAAUGAUACGACCAUUGUGUGGAUAAGAUAUUUUGGGACAGCUGGCGCGUAGCACAGCAACGGUCGGAAAUUUGACUCUCAAAUUCCUCAGGGCUAUCAUGUUCCUCACUGUGUAGGCAAUCCGCACUGGCGAAUUCCUAACACUUUAGUCAGAGCAAAUUCCUCAGCGACCAGAAGAACUUCGUCUCUGUCACUGAAGAAAUUGACUGAACUGUAUGAGAUUUCCAAUGGCUUGACUCGAAGGGAUUGGUAGGUGUAGGAUUUUGAGUUGAGCAUCACAUGGAAAUUUUUCCUUGGUAUUUCCUCGACCCCCUUUAAUAGUACGGUGUUUCCUAUGACUCAAGAAAGAGAAAAACAGAACUAUGAAAACGAAAGUCUUCAAGCUUCAUAUGCCUUGCAUGAAUAUCAAGUCUUCACGGACACACCAAUUUCUUCACUUUCAAAGUCUUCAUGAAAGUCUUCAGGAAUACCAAAAUCUUCAGUCGAAGAUAUUCAUUUUUAGGGGUCGACUUUCUCUGUAAAUAUAAAACUUCUCAUAGACUUAUAGACCUGUGUACACUUAGAAACACAUUACUCCCUUAACCUAUAAGUCUUCAAUACACCAAAAUCACUAAGGGGCACUAGAUGCACUUACAAUCUCCCCCUUUUUGCUUAUUGAUGACAAUAUAGGUUAAGUUUUCAACGGGGAUAAUCAUAUGGAGUGUAAGUACUGAUAUUGAGGAAUUUGAUUGCAAGAUAUAAAAGAACUCCCCCUGAAGAUGUGCAUAGUGAGAAAUUUGCUUUUGAAGCAAUGCACACUUGAAGAGUUGAAUCAUGGAGAUCUCCCCCUAUAUCUUGUAAUUCAUACAUGUAUUUGACAUAUAAUAUGAAGAAUUUGAAAUGUAUGAUGAAAUAUGGUGCCUGAAGGAAUUCAGCAUGCGUGCAAUAAUAUUAACGAGGAAAACAAGCAUGCAGAAUUAGAGCACAGUGCAUCAAAAGUAUCAGAGCACCAUCGGUUUUAAGAUUACAACUCGGUCCAAUAAAAGUUUCAGAAGAGCGAGAGUUGUAACUUAGCAAAAAAAAUGCCCAUAUAAUAGACCAGCUUGAAGACUAACUCAGAUUUCUCCCUCUUUGUCAUCGAAUGACCAAAAGGAUCCAAACUGAGGACUAACGCCCCUGAAGAAUAUCAAGUUGAUGGAGGAGCGUCAGUGUUGUCGGGGUCGAUUGUCGUAAUAGGGCCUGCCGCAGUGUCGUCCAAGUCUUCAUUUUCAUCAGUGUCGCGCGAUGAAGAAUAGGACCUGGCCACCAAGGAAGGAACCUUGACCUUCUUGAAUAUCUUCGGUGGAGGUGCAGACCAGUCAAAUUCUUCCUUGAGACCCAUUCUCUUCAGAUCUUUUGCGCUGUAGACAUGAGAUAGAACAGCCCAGGUAUGGUUGAAAGUUUCAUGGAGGUAGUACUGGUUUUUCGUCACUGCAUUGUGUGUGUGGAGGUCAUGUUGUGAACAAUUAAACCAAACUGACGCUUGACCCAUUUAUGAUUGCGAUCAACUUUCUGAUGAAGACUGAGGAGUAACUCACGAUCAGUCAUCACCCUAGGUGCUGUGGCUUGAGGAAUUUGCUUGGCAGAGGUGUUGGCGCCAGUGUCAUGUGUGGCAGAGUCAUCAUUGGUGGAGUAGGAUGCAGCUUUACUAAAUUGACCAUCCAAUGGACGAAUGCCUUCAUUUAUCACAGCAGUUGCCUUGCCUUUGUCAUCAGCUGAGGAAAAUGUCCGUUUGAGGACUUCAAUUGGAGGCAAGUAGCUGCCGUGGUUCAGAGUAUCAUCCUUGUAAUUGAGUGAAGACCUUGUCCUGAUGAACCUCAUAAUCCAUGGUGCAUAAGGCUACAGCUCAAAUGGUGACAUAGCAAUAUUUGCCAGAGUCCUCAUGAAGAAAUCAUGGAAGUUGAUGGGAACGCCAUGAAUGAUAUUGAAACGCAUAUUCUUCAUGAUGCCAACGACUUCUUCAUCAUUUGAGUCGUGGCCUUUGAUAGGACUCGUUGUCUUCGACAGAAUGCGAUAGACAGUCCAUGGCACAUACAGUAAUUCCUUGACGAGGAAUUUGGUUCGAGGGGCCUGCCCUGGCUUCAAAGGCUUCAUCAGCACUUGCAUGUAAUGAUUUGUAAGCUCAGGUUCAUUGUAGAUGCAACAAGCACCUUCAAGGGGAGGGCUGAGUGGGAAAGCACGAAGCAGUUCAGUUGCUGGUGCCUUGUAGUGAGUAUUUUCUGACAUCCAGUCCAGCACCCAUGAGUUCACAUCUUCAGAAUUUCCUGUGAUGUGCAGCAUUGCAUAGAAUUGAAGAAUGAGUUCUUGAUUCCAAUCACAGAUAUCAGUGCAGAAAUUCAGCAAUCCAGCAUCGUGAAGAACACUAAGGACUGGCUCGAAGCCUGGCAGAGAUUCCAUGUCCACGUGAGGAAUGUGUGCAUGAUCGAAGACUUUGUCUUUGUCGAAUAGCAUAGAGGAAUAAAAGUUGGCUUCACUAGCAGUCCAGAAACGCCUCUUCCUUAUGCGAGCAGAAUCAUAGGGAUUGUAGGCUGUGAAGAACACAUGCUCGUUAAAGAAAUUGGCAGCCUUGAACUUUUGCUUCUUUGAGAAUGGAUCCUUUGGCUUGGGCAGAGGAGUGUCAGUGAGUUGCAUCACAACCUCAGGAAUCGCAAUCUCCGGUUCUUCAGGCUGAGGAAGUUAUGGUUCCUCUUCAAUGGCAGUGUGCGUGUUCAAAGGAUCAGCAGCAGCAGUUUCUUCAGCACUAGUGGCUGGACUUUCUUCAUGCACAGACGAGGUAGGAUGAGUUUCUUCAGAGCCCAUUUGAACGGUUUGUGCAGGGGACUGAGGUAUUUGUUGUAUUGGGGUGAAGCGUGGGGAAUUGGGAUGCUGACUUUCCCAAAAGUCAUCAUUCAUCACAGGCGUAGUGCAUCCAAUAUCGACAUCUUCAUCUUCAAUUUCUUCAACGCCAGCCUCUUCAGCUGUGAACUGAGGCAUUGGCGAGGAAGCAACAGGCAUUGAAGGGAUCGCAUCCACUUCAAUUUCUUCAUCAAUCUGCUCUGACGAAGCAGCAGACUGAUUUUCUUCAUCAGAUCUGCUAGGGAUCACAUAUUCUUCACCAAAAGGAACAAGGUCCUUUGAUGGCAGGGUGGAAAUCGGAACAACAUCAAUUGGACUUUCACGUGAGCUGGUCAUAGGCUUCAUUUUCUUCGGAGUUGAAGAAUCUGAAGCAGAUGAUGCAUUCCUUUUCUUCACUGCAGCUCUCUCUGCAGCCUUGGUCUUCCUCACAUCUGAUGUAGAUGGAAGGGUAGGAGUUGGUGUAGGCGCAGGAGGAGCUGAGGAAUCUGUUUGAAUUUCCUCAGGCGCAACUGAUGCAGUUGCCCCGACUUCUUCAUUUUCUUCAGGCACACCACUAGUGGAUGCCCUGGCAAUGUCUUCAGCGGCUGGAAUGGAGUCAUCAGCCCUGGAACUAGCAUUUUCUUCAGCAGCCUGAAAGUCAUCAGCGGUGCUAGCAUGUUCUUCAGUUUGUUGAGUAGAGGCUUCAGCUUGAGGAAUUUCUUGUUGCGAUGGGGCUGCAACAUUGGUGAACUUCUCAGUCAGUUUAACGAACCUGACUUUGGCUCCUUGCCAAUCAGCAUAAUAAGCAUUGAAAUCAUCGCUGAGGGCUUUGAUUUCAGACUGGAUCUUGAGGAGUUCACCAGUUGUCAUUUUGACAACGUUUUUCCUCAGGAACUUCUCUUUCCUGAACGGAGCCUUCUUGACCUGCCUAGACUUCUCAAAUUUCCAUUUCUCUUCAGUGAUGAAAUGGGUCAGCAUGUGACUUUGGCCAGGAGUCAAAUGCAAAUCAGGCAUAGGAGUGUUUGGGUCCUUGUGCCAGAGAUCAAUGUAGUCGAGGAUCGCCUUUGGAUCCAAAAGCAGUGGCACAUUUGUGCCUUUGGCUCUAGCGGCCCUUUCUUGCCUGUCUCUGAUGAUUUCUGCAAGUUCAUCAUCAUCAGCUUUAUCAUCAUAUGGCACUUGGAAGGCAACCUGUUUCUUCUUUAGAUUUGGCUGAGGACCUCGACGAGCUGUUGCCUUUGUCUUUAGCAGAGUGGGGCCUGAUGAAGAGUUUGGUGCAGUUGAGGAACUCGCUGAGACACCAGAGGCAAUAGAGAUGCCUGCAGUCCUUUGGCACAUGGCCAGAUGUACACGUGUUGACGACUUUGCCGGAGCAACUGAGGACUUUGGGGGAGGAGCUGAGGACUUUGGAGGAGCAGGAGCAGCAUGAGGAACUGGCCGUGAGGGCUUUGAAGAAUCUGGCCGUGAGGGCAUUGCUGCGGAACUUGGCCGUGAGGGCACAGUUGGUGAAGCACUUGGCUUGUGAGAGGGCUUCUUUGCCAUUGAUUUUCUAGGCCUAACAGAGGCCUCAGUGGCAGCAGUGGUAGCAGAGUCUUCAUUGAAUUUCUUCAUUGCUUCUUUGGCUUGUCUUGCCAACUUGGCUUGGCAUUUGGCCCAUUCUUCAGGGAAAUCCUCACCACGCUUGAUGCUGGUGGGGUCAGCUUCUUGGCCAGGUGCCAAUGGAGCUCUUGGGCAUGGAGGAUUUAGUGCGAAUUUCUGAAGGAAAUAUGCCCUAGAGGCAAUAAUAAAGUUAUUAUUUAUUUCCUCAUAUCAUGAUAAAUGUUUAUUAUUCAUGCUAGAAUUGUAUUAACCGGAAACAUGAUACAUGUGUGAAUACAUAGACAAACAUAUAGUCACUAGUAUGCCUCUACUUGACUAGCUCAUUAAUCAAAGAUGGUUAUGUUUCCUAACCAUAGACAUGUGUUGUCAUUUGUUUAAUGAGAUCACAUCAUUAGGAGAAUGAUGUGAUUGACAUGACCCAUCCCGUUAGCUUAGCACUUGAUUGUUUAGUAUUCUGCUAUUGCUUCCUUCAUGACUUAUACAUGUUCCUGUAACUAUGAGGAUUGUGUAACUCCCGUUUACCGGAAGAACACUUUGGGUACUACCAAACGUCACAACAUAACUGGGUGAUUAUAAAGGAGUACUACAGGUGUUUCCGAAGGUACAUGUUGGGUUAGCAUAAUUCGGGAUUAGGUUUUGUCACUCCGAUUGUCGAAGAGGUAUCUCUGGGCCCUCUCGGUAAUACUCAUCACCCAAGCCUUGCAAGCAUGUAACUAAUGAGUUAGUUAUGAGAUGAUGUAUUACAGAACGAGUAAAGAGACUUGCCGGUAAUGAGAUUGAACUAGGUAUUGGAUACCGACGAUCAAAUCUCGGGCAAGUAACAUACCGAUGACAAAGGGAAUAACAUAUGUUGUUAUGCGGUUUGACCGAUAAAGAUCUUCGUAGAAUAUGUAGGAACCAAUAUGGGCAUCCAGGUCCCGCUAUUGGUUAUUGACCAGAGACGUGUCUCGGUCAUGUCUACAUUGUUCUCGAACCAUAGGGUCCACACGCUUAAGGUUUCGAUGACAGUUAUAUUAUGAGUUUAUGUAUUUUGAUGUACCGAAGUUUGUUCGGAGUCCCGGAUGUGAUCAUGGACAUGACGAGGAGUCUCGAAAUGGUCGAGACAUAAAGAUUAAUAUAUUGGACGGAUAUAUUUGGACACCGGAAAGGUUCCGGAGAAGUUUGGAGCUACCGGGAGAUUACCGGAACCCCCCGGGAGGUAUAUGGGCCUUAUUGCGCCCAUAUAGGAAGAAGGGAGAAGGAACAAGGGAGGGGGGCGCGCCCCCCAGCCCAAUCCGAAUUGGGGAGGGGGGCCGGCCCCCCCUUUCCUUUCUCCUUUCCCCCUCUUCCUAUUACUACUACUAGUACUUAUUCCUAAUAGUAGUACUCUUUCCUUCCCCCUUCAAAUAAGAUAAGGAAAAGGGGGGGAAACCUACUUGGAGUAGGUUUCCCCCUCCUCUAUGGCGCGCCCCCCUUGGGCCGGCCUCCUCCUCCCUCCCUCCUUUAUAUACGGGGGUAGGGGGGCACCCUAGGACACACAAGUUGAUCAUUGAGAUCGUUCCUUAGCCGUGUGCGGUGCCCCCCUCCACAAUAUUACACCUCGGUCAUAUUGUAGCGGUGCUUAGGCGAAGCCCUGCGACAGGAGAACAUCAAGAUCGUCACCACACCGUCGUGCUGACGGAACUCCCCCUCGGCGCCUCUGCUGGAUCGGAGAACGAGGGUGCGUCAUCGAGCUGUACGCGUGUCAAGAACUCGGAGGUGCCGGAGUAACGGUGCCUGGAUCGGUUGAACCGGGAAGACGUACGACUACUUCCACUACGUUGUGUCAACGCUUCCGCUUCGGUCUACGAGGGUACGUAGACAACACUCUCCCCUCGUUGCUAUAUCAUCACCAUGAUCUUGCGUGUGCGUAGGAAAUUUUUUGAAAUUACUACGUUACCCAACAGUGGUAUCAGAGCCUAGGUUUUUAUGGUUUGAUGUUAUUUGCACGAGUAGAACACAAGUGAGUUGUGGGCGAUAUAAGUCAUACUGUUUACCAGCAUGUCAUACUUUGGUUCAGCGGUAUUGUUGGAUGAAGCGGCCCGGACCGACAUUACGCGUACGCUUACGCGAGACUGGUUUUACCGCCGUGCUUUGCACACAGGUGACUAGCGGGUGUCUGUUUCUCCAACUUUAGUUGAACCGAGUGUGGCUACGCCCGGUCCUUGCAAAGGUUAAAACAGCAUCAACUUGACAAACUAUCGUUGUGGUUUUGAUGCGUAGGUGAGAUUGGUUCUUGCUUAAGCCCGUAGCAACCACGUAAAAUUUGCAACAACAAAGUAGAGGACGUCUAACUUGUUUUUGCAGGGCAUGUUGUGAUGUGAUAUGGCCAAGACGUGAUGCUAUAUUUUAUUGUAUGAGAUGAUCAUGUUUUGUAACCGAAGUUACUGGCAACUGGCAGGAGCCAUAUGGUUGUCGCUUUAUUGUAUGAAAUGCAAACGCCCUGUAAUUGCUUUACUUUAUCACUAAGCGGUAGCGAUAGUCGUAGAAGCAAUAGAUGGCGUAACGACAACGAUGCUACGAGAGAUCAAGGUGUCGCGCCGGUGACGAUGGUGAUCACGACGGUGCUUCGAAGAUGGAGAUGACAAGCACAAGAUGAUGAUGGCCAUAUCAUAUCACUUAUAUUGAUUGCAUGUGAUGUUUAUCCUUUAUGCAUCUUAUCUUGCUUUGAUUGACGGUAGCAUUUUAAGAUGAUCUCUCACUAAUUAUCAAGAAGUGUUCUCCCUGAGUAUGCACCGUUGUGAAAGUUCUUCGUGCUGAGACACCACGUGAUGAUCGGGUGUGAUAGGCUCUACGUUCAAAUACAACGGGUGCAAAACAGUUGCACACGCGGAAUACUCAGGUUAUACUUGACGAGCCUAGCAUAUACAGAUAUGGCCUCAGAACACGGAGACCGAAAGGUCGAGCAUGAAUCAUAUAGUAGAUAUGAUCAACAUAGAGAUGUUCACCAUUGAAACUACUCCAUCUCACGUGAUGAUCGGACAUGGUUUAGUUGAUUUGGAUCAUGUGAUCACUUAGAUGUCUAGAGAGAUGUCUGUUUAAGUGGGAGUUCUUAAGUAAUAUGAUUAAUUGAACUUAAAUUUAUCAUGAACUUAGUACCUGAUAGUAUUUUGCUUGUCUAUGUUUGUUUGUAGAUAGAUGGCUCGUGCUGUUGUUCCGUUGAAUUUUAAUGCGUUCCUUGAGAAAGCAAAGUUGAAAGAUGAUGGUAGCAAUUACACGGACUGGGUCCGUAACCUGAGGAUUAUCCUCAUUGCUGCACAGAAGAGUUACGUCCUGGAAGCACCGCUAGGUGACAGGCCUGCUGCUGAUGCAACUGACGACGUUAAGAACGUCUGGCAGAGCAAAGCUGAUGACUACUCCAUAGUUCAGUGUGCCAUGCUUUACGGCUUAGAACCGGGUCUUCAACGACAUUUUGAACGUCAUGGAGCAUAUGAGAUGUUCCAGGAGUUGAAGUUAAUAUUUCAAGCAAAUGCCCGGAUUGAGAGAUAUGAAGUCUCCAAUAAGUUCUACAGCUGCAAGAUGGAGGAGAACAGUUCUAUCAGUGAGCAUAUACUCAAAAUGUCUGGGUAUAAUAAUCACUUGAUUCAACUUGGAGUUAAUCUUCUGGAUGAUAGCGUCAUUGACAGAAUUCUCCAAUCACUGCCACCAAGCUACAAGAGCUUUGUGAUGAACUAUAAUAUGCAAGGGAUGAACAAGACUAUUCCCGAGCUCUUCGCGAUGCUGAAAGCCGCGGAGGUAGAAAUCAAAAAGGAGCAUCAAGUGUUGAUGGUCAACAAGACCACUGGUUUCAAGAAAAGGGGCAAAGGGAAGAAGAAGGGGAACUUCAAAAAGAAUGGCAAACAAGUUGCUGCUUAAGAGAAGAAACCCAAGUCUGGACCUAAGCCUGAAACUGAGUGCUUCUACUGCAAGCAGACUGGACACUGGAAGCGGAACUGCCCCAAGUAUUUGGCGGAUAAGAAGGAUGGCAAAGUGAACAAAGGUAUAUGUGAUAUACAUGUUAUUGAUGUGUACCUUACUAAUGCUCGCAGUAGCACCUGGGUAUUUGAUACUGGUUCUGUUGCUAACAUUUGCAACUCGAAACAGGGACUACGGAUUAAGCGAAGAUUAGCUAAGGACGAGGUGACGAUGCACGUGGGAAAUGGUUCCAAAGUCGAUGUGACCGCGGUCGGCACGCUACCUCUACAUCUACCAUCGGGAUUAGUUUUAGACCUGAAUAAUUGUUAUUUGGUGCCAGCGUUGAGCAUGAACAUUAUAUCUGGAUCUUGUUUGAUGCGAGACGGUUAUUCAUUUAAAUCAGAGAAUAAUGGUUGUUCUAUUUAUAUGAGCAAUAUCUUUUAUGGUCAUGCACCCUUAAAGAGUGGUCUAUUUUUAUUGAAUCUCGAUAGUAGUGAUACACAUAUUCAUAAUGUUGAAGCCAAAAGAUGUAGAGUUGAUAAUGAUAGUGCAACAUAUUUGUGGCACUGCCAUUUGGGUCAUAUUGGUGUAAAACGCAUGAAGAAACUCCAUACUGAUGGACUUCUGGAAUCACUUGAUUAUGAAUCACUUGGUACUUGCGAACCGUGCCUCAUGGGCAAGAUGACCAAAACACCGUUCUUCGAUACUAUGGAGAGAGUAACAGAUUUGUUGGAAAUCAUACAUACAGAUGUAUGUGGCCCGAUGAAUGUUGAGGCUCGUGGCGGAUAUCGUUAUUUUCUCACCUUCACAGAUGAUUUGAGCAGAUAUGGGUAUAUCUACUUGAUGAAGCACAAGUCUGAAACAUUUGAAAAGUUCAAAGAAUUUCAGAGUGAAGUAGAAAAUCAUCGUAACAAGAAAAUAAAGUUUCUACGAUCUGAUCGUGGAGGAGAAUAUUUGAGUUACGAGUUUGGUUUACAUUUGAAACAAUGUGGAAUAGUUUCGCAACUCACGCCACCAGGAACACCACAACGAAAUGGUGUGUCCGAACGUCGUAAUCGUACUUUACUUGAUAUGGUGCGAUCUAUGAUGUCUCUUACCGAUUUACCGCUAUCGUUUUGGGGUUAUGCUUUAGAGACGGCCGCAUUCACGUUAAAUAGGGCACCAUCAAAAUCCGUUGAGACGACGCCUUAUGAACUAUGGUUUGGCAAGAAACCAAAGUUGUCGUUUCUCAAAGUUUGGGGCUGCGAUGCUUAUGUGAAGAAACUUCAACCAGAUAAGCUCGAACCCAAAUCAGAGAAAUGUGUCUCCAUAGGAUACCCAAAGGAGACUAUUGGGUACACCUUCUAUCACAGAUCUGAGGGCAAGAUUUUCGUUGCUAAAUUCGGAUCCUUUCUAGAGAAGGAGUUUCUCUCGAAAGAAGUGAGUGGGAGGAAAGUAGAACUUGAUGAGAUAACUGUAUCUACUCCCUUAUUGGAAAGUAGUUCAUCACAAGAACCGGUUCCUGUGAUGACUACACCAAUUAGUGAGGAAGAUAAUGAUAUUGAUCAUGAAACUUCAGAUCAAGUUUCUACUGAACCUCGUAGGUCUACCAGAAUAAGAUCCGCACCAGAGUGGUACGGAAAUCCUAUUCUGGAAGUCAUGUUACUUGACCAUGAUGAACCUACGAACUAUGAGGAAGCAAUGAUGAGCCCAGAUUCCGCAAAAUGGCUAGAGGCCAUGAAAUCUGAGAUAGGAUCCAUGUAUGAAAACAAAGUAUGGACUUUGGUUGACUUGCCCGAUGAUCGGCAAGCCAUUGAGAAUAAAUGGGUCUUUAAGAAGAAGACUGACGCUGAUGGUAAUGUUACUGUCUACAAAGCUCGACUUGUUGCGAAAGGUUUUCGACAAGUUCAAGGGGUUGACUACGAUGAGACUUUCUCACCUAUAGCGAUGCUUAAGUCUGUCCGAAUCAUGUUGGCUAUUGCUGCAUUUCAGGAUUAUGAAAUUUGGCAAAUGGAUGUCAAGACUGCAUUCUUGAAUGGAUUUCUAGAAGAAGAGUUGUAUAUGAUGCAGCCUGAAGGUUUUGUUGAUCCAAAAGGUGCUGACAAAGUGUGCAAACUCCAGCGUUCCAUUUAUGGACUGGUGCAAGCAUCUCGGAGUUGGAAUAAACGCUUUGACAGUGUGAUCAAAGCAUAUGGUUUUAUAUAGACUUUUGGAGAAGCCUGUAUUUACAAGAAAGUGAGUGGGAGCUCUGUAGCAUUUCUAGUUUUAUAUGUUGAUGACAUAUUAUUAAUUGGAAAUGAUAUAGAAUUUCUAGAUAGCAUAAAGGGAUACUUGAAUAAAAGUUUUUCGAUGAAAGACCUCGGUGAAGCUGCUUACAUAUUGGGCAUCAAGAUCUAUAGAGAUAGAUCAAGACGCUUAAUAGGACUUUCACAAAGCACAUACCUUGACAAAAUUUUGAAAAAGUUCAAAAUGGAUCAGGCAAAGAAAGGAUUCUUGCCUGUGCUACAAGGUGUGAAGUUGAGUCAAACUCAAUGCCCGACCACAGCAGAAGAUAGAGAGAAAAUGAAAGAUGUUCCCUAUGCUUCAGCCAUAGGCUCUAUCAUGUAUGCAAUGCUGUGUACCAGACCUGACGUAUGCUUAGCAAUAAGCUUGGCAGGUAGGUACCGAAGUAAUCCAGGAGUGGAUCACUGGACAACGGUCAAGAACAUCCUGAAAUACCUGAAAAGGACUAAGGAUAUGUUUCUCGUAUAUGGAGGUGACAAAGAGCUAGCCGUAAAUGGUUACAUCGAUGCAAGCUUUGACACUGAUCCGGACGAUUCUAAAUCGCAGACCGGAUACGUGUUUAUAUUAAACGGUGGAGCUGUAAGUUGGUGCAGUUCUAAACAAAGCAUCGUAGCGGGAUCUACAUGUGAAAAGGAGUACAUAGCUGCUUCUGAAGCAGCAAAUGAAGGAGUCUGGAUGAAGGAAUUCAUUUCCGAUCUAGGUGUCAUACCUAGUGCAUCGGGACCAAUGAAGAUCUUCUGUGACAAUACUGGUGCAAUUGCCCUGGCAAAGGAAGCCAGAUUUAACAAGAGGACCAAGCACAUCAAGAGACGCUUCAAUUCCAUUCGGGACCAAGUCCAAGUGGGAGACAUAGAGAUUUGCAAGAUACAUACGGAUCUGAAUGUUGUAGACCCAUUGACUAAGCCUCUCUCACGAGCAAAACAUGAUCAGCACCAAGACUCCAUGGGUGUUAGAAUCAUUACUAUGUAAUCUAGAUUAUUGACUCUAGUGCAAGUGGGAGACUGAAGGAAAUAUGCCCUAGAGGCAAUAAUAAAGUUAUUAUUUAUUUCCUCAUAUCAUGAUAAAUGUUUAUUAUUCAUGCUAGAAUUGUAUUAACCGGAAACAUGAUACAUGUGUGAAUACAUAGACAAACAUAUAGUCACUAGUAUGCCUCUACUUGACUAGCUCAUUAAUCAAAGAUGGUUAUGUUUCCUAACCAUAGACAUGUGUUGUCAUUUGUUUAAUGAGAUCACAUCAUUAGGAGAAUGAUGUGAUUGACAUGACCCAUCCCGUUAGCUUAGCACUUGAUCGUUUAGUAUUCUGCUAUUGCUUCCUUCAUGACUUAUACAUGUUCCUGUAACUAUGAGGUUUGUGUAACUCCCGUUUAUCGGAAGAACACUUUGGGUACUACCAAACGUCACAACAUAACUGGGUGAUUAUAAAGGAGUACUACAGGUGUUUCCGAAGGUACAUGUUGAGUUAGCAUAAUUCGGGAUUAGGUUUUGUCACUCCGAUUGUCGGAGAGGUAUCUCUGGGCCCUCUCGGUAAUACUCAUCACCCAAGCCUUGCAAGCAUGUAACUAAUGAGUUAGUUAUGAGAUGACGUAUUACAGAACGAGUAAAGAGACUUGCCGGUAAUGAGAUUGAACUAGGUAUUGGAUACCGACGAUCAAAUCUCGGGCAAGUAACAUACCGAUGACAAAGGGAAUAACGUAUGUUGUUAUGCGGUUUGACCGAUAAAGAUCUUCGUAGAAUAUGUAGGAACCAAUAUGGGCAUCCAGGUCCCGCUAUUGGUUAUUGACCAUAGACGUGUCUCGGUCAUGUCUACAUUGUUCUCGAACCGUAGGGUCCGCAUGCUUAAGGUUUCGAUGACAGUUAUAUUAUGAGUUUAUGUAUUUUGAUGUACCGAAGUUUGUUCGGAGUCCCGGAUGUGAUCACGGACAUGACGAGGAGUCUCGAAAUGGUCGAGACAUAAAGAUUAAUAUAUUGGACAGAUAUAUUUGGACACCGGAAAGGUUCCGGAGAAGUUUGGAGCUACCGGGAGAUUACCGGAACCCCCCGGGAGGUAUAUGGGCCUUAUUGGGCCCAUAUAGGAAGAAGGGAGAAGGAACAAGGGAGGGGGGCGCGCCCCCCCAGCCCAAUCCGAAUUGGGGAGGGGGGCCAGCCCCCCCUUUCCUUUCUCCUUUCCCCCUCUUCCUAUUACUACUACUAGUACUUAUUCCUAAUACUAGUACUCUUUCCUUCCCCCUUCAAAUAAGAUAAGGAAAAGGGGGGGGGGAAACCUACUUGGAGUAGGUUUCCCCCUCCUCUAUGGCGUGCCCCCCUUGGGCCGGCCUCCUCCUCCCUCCCUCUUUUAUAUACGGGGGUAGGGGGGCACCCUAGGACACACAAGUUGAUCAUUGAGAUCGUUCCUUAGCCGUGUGCGGUGCCCCCCUCCAUGAUAUUACACCUCGGUCAUAUUGUAGCGGUGCUUAGGCGAAGCCCUGCGACAGGAGAACAUCAAGAUCGUCACCACGCCGUCGUGCUGACGGAACUCCCCCUCGGCGCCUCUGCUGGAUCGGAGAACGAGGGUGCGUCAUCGAGCUGUACGCGUGUCAAGAACUCGGAGGUGCCGGAGUAACGGUGCCUGGAUCAGUUGAACCGGGAAGACGUACGACUACUUCCACUACGCUGUGUCAACGCUUCCGCUUCGGUCUAUGAGGGUACGUAGACAACACUCUCCCCUCGUUGCUAUAUCAUCACCAUGAUCUUGCGUGUGCGUAGGAAAUUUUUUGAAAUUACUACGUUACCCAACAAUUUCUUCAUAUACUUUGGAGUUACGUAUCUGUACUCCCUCCAUUCUCUUGCCCAUCUCCUUUCAAUCCUCUGUAUGCGCACCUUGCGCUGAUUUUUGUUCUCCUUUCCGAACUUAGCCUCAUCAGGUGUGCAAUAGUCAGCAUAGAUGUUCUCAGGUAUUUCAAACGCAGUCAUGACCUCAGGCCUCUUUCCUCCUUUCUGUGGUUUCUUACUAUCUGCCAUAUUCUUCAGUUGAGGGAUUUGAACAAUCGAAUUCUCUGAAGAAAUAUACAACUUUUCUUCGAGGAACGCUGCAAAUGAGUUAAGUUGAUGAGAACCUAGUGAUUCAGCAGUGGACAUGAGUACCUGUGAACAGAGUAUAGUUGCAAGGAAUUUGAAGAGGUCAUAUACGUUCUCAGAAGGUUUUCAAAAAGAACAAGUUUGAGAAAUUUGACCAGAUGAGUCUUGAAGAAUUUCACUAAGCGUUUUGUGUCUUAGGUUCCAGAGUUGUAUAGAUUGAGGAUCCACACAAUUGAGGAAUCUUGAAGAUAAAUGAUGCUUAGAGAAACGAAUCAAGAGCAGAUGACUAGGGAGGUGUUUUGUGUGUGAGGAUUUGAAGAAUAAAACACCUUUGAAGAUUUUGUAGAGAAAAUUUGAAUCAAAGAGGGCAGUAAAAGUAACUUUUAAUUACCCUAAUGAAGAACACGACGAACUGAGGAGUGUAGAUUUGAAGCUCGUUAGUUCAGAUCUUCCACGCCCUAACUUAGCGGAGGAAGACAGCUACGGCGAUGGCGGAGUGAAGAUUUCCGUGGCCGGCGUGAGUACAUCGGUGACGAGGUCGAGGCAGUGAAGCUCUUCCUCACCGGUGACGAUGGAGUAGCGGCGGCGCUAGGGUUUGAGAAGCUCGAGCGAGAGAGAGAGAGAGAGCAGUCGAGCGGAGUAAAGGAAGUGAGGAAGGGGUGAGGGGGUAUUUAUAGUCGCAGUGAAAAACUGUUCACCCGAAGAUUUAGGACAAACAUGCCCCUGACCCUUCUCAUCCGCUUGACAUGUGUCACCCACGUACUGAAAGGUGGAGAUCGUUUUAGAUCGUGGGUGAAUAGAUAAGUCUAUCGUGGGAUACGGGACGGUUUGAGCGGCAAAACCGAAAAUUUGGAUAAGAUUAGUAUUAAAGUUCCGUUUGCAAUUUCUUCAGCUGACAAGGACACAGUGAAGAUUUUGAACGAGUUUCAAAUAGAACGCACAUGAAGAAUUUGUGAAUAGAUUGGGUUGAGUAUAGCAUAGAGGGGGAAGGGUCCGAUCACAUUCACUUAGUAGAAAAUGCAACUUGAAGAAAAACGACGAAAAUAGUGAAGAUUUUGCAAAGUUGAAGAAUUUGAAAAACUGAAGAAUUUCAAAAACUGAGGAAAAACUCAAAUUGAAGAUUUUCAACUUUGGUGGUGGCGUGACCCACCGUAUAAGAAUGAUGAUUUCAGACACCGCGUACAAUUGUCGUAGGGUUCUGAGAAUCAAAUUCUUCAUUAAUUUCUUCACAUUUAGAGUGUUGUUCUUCAUUGAUUGAAGAAAAACGUUUCUUCAUGUGUUGCACAUCUAAGUCAUUAAUUUUGCAUAAGUGUUAGGAUGAGUGUCCUUUUUCAAAGAACAUUCGAAGACUCUAAGAUAUUUAGCUCACACCGCAACUUGCUAAAUCUCUUCUCAUCCAAGGGCUUUGUGAAGAUAUCGGCUAGCUGUUCUUGAGUCUUCACAUGCUCAAUAGAAAUGUCGUCCUUCAACACAUGAUCACAAAGAAAAUGAUGACGAAUCUGAAUGUGCUUUGUCUUCGAGUGCUGAACUGGGUUGUGAGCAAUCUUGAUGGCACUCUCAUUGUCACAGUAGAGGGGCACAUUCUUCAUGUUGAUGCCGUAGUCCUUGAGAAUUUGCUUCAUCCACAACAAUUGAGCACAGCAAGAACCAACAGCAAUGUACUGAGCUUCCGCAGUAGACAGUGAUACGCAUUUCUGUUUCUUCGAGGACCAACAGACCAAAGAUUGUCCGAGGAAAUGACAAGUACCAGAUGUUGACUUGUGGUCCACACGAUCACCAGCAUAGUCAGAGUCAGAAUAUCCAAUGAGAUCAAAAGUAGAGACCUUGGGGUACCAUAGUCCUAGUGUUGGUGUUUGAGCUAGAUAUCGAAGAAUAUGCUUCACAGCCUUAAGGUGUGAUUCCUUCGGUGUAGCUUGAAAUCGGGCACACAUGCAAACACUAAGCAUUAUAUCUGGCCUAGAUGCACAUAAGUACAAUAAAGAACCAAUCAUGGAGCGGUAUACCUUGUGAUCGAAGUCAAUACCAUUUUCAUCAGUGCAUAGAUGGCCAUUUGUGGGCAUAGGAAUUUUGACUCCUUUGCAAUCUUGCAUGCUGAAUUUCCUCAGAACAUCCUUGAAGUAUUUCUCCUGAGAUAUGAAUAUGCCAUUGUGCUGUUGACGAAUUUGAAGACCUAAGAAGAAUUUCAACUCUCCCAUCAUAGACAUUUGAUAUUCUUCACUCAUCAUAUAGGCAAAUUCAUCACUAUAACGUUGGUCAGUACAGCCAAAGAUAAUAUCAUCAACGUAUAUUUGGCACACAAACAGUUCACCAUCAUAAGAUUUAGUAAAGAUAGUAGGGUCGAGUGAACCGGGUGUGAAGCCAUUCUUCACGAAGAAUUCCUUCAAAGCAUCAUACCACGCCCGACGGGCCUACUUGAGGCCAUAGAGGGCCUUGUUGAGUCUGAAAACUUUGUCAGGAUUCUUUGGAUCUUCAAAACUUGGGGGUUGAGCAACAUAUACUUCUUCCUCAAGCUUACCAUUGAGGAAUGCACUUUUCACAUCCAUUUGAUAUAAAGUGAUAUUAUGAUGGUUAGCAUAAGCAAGUAAUGCGAAUAGCCUCAAGUCUAGCAACAGGUGCAAAAGUUUCAUCUAAAUCAAUUCCUUAGCCUUGAGCUAAAAGUCGUGCCUUAUUCCUCACCACAAGGCCAUUUUCAUCUUGCUUGUUGCGGUACAUCCACUUUGUGCCAAUGAUAUUAUGCUUGCGAGAAUCUGGACGUUUGACCAGUUCUCAGACAUUGUUGAGCUCGAACUGAUGUAAUUUUCUUGCAUGGCCUGAAUCCACUCAGGCUCCAGAAAUUCUUCAUCUACCUUAGUGGGCUCUGUGAUAGAGACAAAAGCAUAGUGCCCACAAAAUUUAGAUAAAUGUGAAGCUUUUGAGUGGGUGAGAGACCUGGUGCUUCAAUGUCAUCGAUGAUCUUUUCAACUUGCACUUCUUUUGCAACGCGAGGAUGAGCUGGUUGUCGUCGAGGAACUUGAUCAGCAUUUUCUUCAGCACCAUUUUCUUCAGCAUUUUCCUCAGGUGCAUUAGCUCGACGAUCUUCGCGUUCUGGAAUGAAUUCUUCAGUAGAUUCUUCGGUAGGAAUGACAUUCUCAGUAGCCCUGAACUUGAUAGAAUCCUCACGUGCUGGUUCAUCUAUCACAGAAGGUAGGUCCUCUCUUUGCGAGCCAUUAGUUUCAUUGAACCGCACAUCUACAGUUUCAACAAUAUUGUGAGGAGUGAUGUUGAAGACUCUGUAGGUGUGCGAGUCCUUUCUGUAACCAAGCAUAAAACCUUCAUGUGCUUUCGGUGCGAAUUUAGCAUUAUGAUGAGGAUCCCUAAUCCAACAUUUAGCACCAAAGACUUUGAAAUAACUCACAUUGGGUUUCUUGUCAGUGAGGAGUUCAUAGGCAGUUUUCUUGAAGAAUUUGUGAAGAUAUACUCUGUUGAUGAUGUGGCACGCGGUAUCAAUUGCAUCAAUCCAAAACCGAUGAGGCGUUUUGUAUUCAUCAAGCAUAGUGCGAGCCAUCUCAACAAGAGUUCUGUUCUUGCGCUCCACGACGUCAUUUUGCUAAGGAGUAUAAGGAGCAGAUAACUCAUGAGUAAUACCAAGUUCAUCAAGAUAGUCAUUAAGACCGGAAUUCUUGAACUCCAUUGUCACUCCUGAUGUGCUUGAUCCUCACACCAAAGUUGGUUGAAGAGAUUGCGAAGAACGUCAACACGAGAGUCACUUUGAGUUGAGACUCCUUCUUUUACUUUGGAGAGCCUAUCCCAGAUAAGCUUAGCAGUUUCCAAAGCACUCACUCUACCAUACUGCAUUUACUCAGAUGACCACAUAUGAUAUUCUUCGCUUGAGAAUUUAGUUGCUUGAAUCUCUUCACAUCAGCAGCAUUCAGGGAAGGUGUGACUGAGGGAACACCAUUUUCCACAACGUACCAGAGAUCGUUGUCAAUUGCUUCAAGAUGCAUUCGCAUCUUAUUCUUCCAGUAGGGGUAGUCCGUGCCAUCGAAGGUAGGACACCCAGCAGAGACCUUGAUCAUACCUGCGGUUGACAUAACUAGAACUCCAGGUGGUUAAACCAAAGUCACACAGAACAAGGGAGUACCUUGCUCUGAUACCAAUUGAAAGUGCGUUAUAUCGACUAGAGGGGGGGUGAAUAGGCGAUUUUUAUGAAUUCCUCACUAAGUAAUUUGCCGGUGAGGAAAUUCCUUAGCGAAGAACUACUUGCAGCAGAAUAAGUACUCAGAAGUAAGCAUGACAGAAUACACACAUAGUCAUCAUGAUGAAAUGAAGACAAACACAGAGUACAAAAAGCAUAAACACAGGAUAACACAAGAUGAAGACAAACAGACUGAAGAAAUUGAACUGAGGAAAUUGAGAAAGUCUUCAUUCAAAGUCUUCAAACACAGAUAUGAACAAUCACUCAACACAGUAAUGAGGAAAUGAAAGAGUUGAGGAAAUAGAACCAGUAAGGUUGGUGAAGACAAUGAUUUGGUAGACCAGUUCCAACUGCUGUCUCAGUUGUACGUCUGGUUGGAGCGGCUGAGUAUUUAAACUCGAGGAAACACAGUCCCGGACACCCAUUCGCUGAGCACGCAGCUCAGGACACCAAGUCCUCACCGUAUUCUCCUUGAACUAAGGUCACAUAGACCUCGUCCAAUCACUCAUGGUAAGUCUUCAGGCGACUUCCAAACCUUCACAGACUUCGGUCACUCGGCGAUCCACAAUUCCUCUUGGAUGCUCUAGACCAUGACGCCUAACCGUCUGGAAGAAGCACAGUCUUCAAAGGUAACAAGCGUCAGAUCCAUGCAUGAUCAAUCUCUUCAGUGAUGCUCAAUCACUUUGGGUUUGUAGGUGUUUUGGGUUUGGGUUUUUCCACACUCAAUGAUUUUCGCUCAAAGUCCUCGGAGGAUGGGUUGCUCCCAAAUGACAAGUGUCAGUUUCUCUUGGAGCACCCAACCAGCUAGUGGUUGUAGGGGGCGGCUAUUUAUAGCCUAGGGAGCAGCCCGACAUGAUAAGACAUAAAUGCCCUUCAAUGAUAUGACCGUUAUGUGGAUAAGAUAUUUUGGGACAUCUGGCGCGUAGCACAACAACGGUCAGAAAUUUGACUCUCAAAUUCCUCAGGGAUAUCAUGUUCCUCACUGUGUAGGCAAUCCGCACUGGCGAAUUCCUAACUCCUUAGUCAGAACAAAUUCCUCAGUGACCAGAAGAACUUCGUCUCUAUCACUGAAGAAAUUGACUGAACUGUAUGAGAUUUCCAAUGGCUUCACUCGAAGGGAUUGGUAGGUGUAGGAUUUUUAGUUGAGCAUCACAUGGAAAUUUUUCCUUAGUAUUUCCUCGACCCCCUUUAACAGUACGGUGUUUCAUAUGACUCAAGAAAGAGAAAAACAAAACUAUGAAAACGAAAUUCUUCAAGCUUCAUAUUCCUUGCAUGAAUAUCAAGUCUUCACGGACACACCAAUUUCUUCACUUUCAAAGUCUUCAUGAAAGUCUUCAAGAAUACCAAAAUCUUCAGUCGAAGAUAUUCAUUUUUAGGGGUCGACUUUCUGUGUAAAUAUCAAACUCCUCAUAGACUUAUAGACCUAUGUACACUCAUAAACACAUUAGUCCCUUAACCUAUGAGUCUUCAAUACACCAAAAUCACUAAGGGGCACCAGAUGCACUUACACACCGUCGGAUGAAUGACAUGCUGGGACACGCUAUCCCUGAUUUAUGCCGCUUCAGCUUGGAUGAGUCUCCAUCGUGUGGAACCGUACUAGAAAUCUGCGACAAUGAUUCUCGUUGCCCACCGCUAUGGAUCCUGCCAUCCAUGAAGAACACCUGGGACCGGAACCUGGAGGAGGACAUGUAGCCCAUUUAUAACGUGUAAGUGGAGUAUGGUAAAUUGAGAACGGUAGCGCUGUGAAUAUAUGUAGACUAGUCGUGCACAAAUUUAUCACAUGAAUUGGAGAUGAACUUGUGUGGCAUACUAGCAUUUGUCCUUUUGAAUUUAUUACUAGUAAAUGUGUUAUGUGUACGUGCAACUUGUGUGCUUGUUGCACGGGCUCCAACACGCUCUUUGAGAAAAAAGGUGGCACAACUUUGGAUAUACGUGACGUGGCGGCAUCAUAUAGUAGCAUCGUUCGCUAUAGUUGUAGUAAAAUCCUACUAGGAUGACAACUCCUAUAAAACCUUGCGCUUGGCUCUUUGCCUCUUCAGGAGGUUCAAUAGUUCAUACUCGUGUGAACCUUGCACUUGGCUCAUCACCUCUUCGGAAGGUCCAACAAUGAUGAUACUACAGUACAAUAUGCUUCUGGCAAUCUGACACUGACUGAACUGUUGCAUGUCCACCGCGAGGGCGAGGGCGAGGGAGUGGGAGAGGGAGAGGGCACUGUAGUCAAAACCCUCUCCUCGUUCUGCGAACCACCGCGCGCAUGGGCGAGGGAGAGGCGUAGUAAGGAAGCGUCUCCUCGUUCGGCGAGUUGACGGGACAUAUCAAAGCAAUACUAGUACUAGUCCAUACUGUGUCCUUUCCGGUUAAUAUGGCUUAAUUUGAAACGAGAAAAAUACACUGGCGGUCAACGUAUGUAACUAUACGCUCUUUACGGUCACUAUAUAUAGUUUUGCGGUGAUUAUAUGAUCACUAGCUCAUCAUAGAGCACCGUAUUGCACCCUACUCACCGGCAACAUAGUCGACGUGGCACUUUGUUGACUGGUUAAAUCGUCACCUAGUUUCUGGGUCCCAUUUGUCAGUUGGCAGAGCAAAGAAAUCAGUUAAAAAAUCUUUACGUAGGCGCGAUAGGAGUCCAACCCUUGCGUGCGAACCACCCUGGCUGUGUAUGUGAGUGCAUGCAAGUAUACUCCCUUGGUCUUCCAACAAAGAGUGUACAUCAGCUAAAAAACAAAGAGUGUAGUACAUGAUGUACAUCUACACUUCCAAUGCAUUUAGCCUUUAAUCUAAACCGAUAUUGAUUAACUAAUGCACCAACUUGUGCUCUAGGUAUAGGCUACAUGUCUAUCCUUAAUUACAGCAUGCAACGGCCUUCAUUUAAUCUUCUUCUCUCAAUGGUCGCAUGCACACAUAAGUCUGCUACUUUUGGGCAUUAAUUAUGCCUGGUCAAUGUGUAAAUCUCUAAAUGUACAGUCUUUCACGGACGUAGAGAGUAGGUUGAGCACUUGAGCGUGAGCGUGUGUGUUGCGUCGUGUGAUGUGUGCCGCAUGGGUGCAUGAGUGUUGCGUGCGUCCAUGUGUGAGCGUGUGUGUUGCGUCUUGUGCUGUGUGCCGCAUUAGGAGCUGAUCGAGCACCUUGAGGCCAAAGUGAGUGCUAACAGCACAAGAUCUCACCCUCUCGUUGAUUUGUUCAUACCAAACAUCGACAGCGAGCACGGCAUAUGCUACACCCAACCUGAGAAACUUCCAGGUAAGACACCGAUCGGACGUCUACUUGCACAAACAUAUUCCUUUGUUUAUAGCUCUAUUUUCCUUUUUAGACGCAGACCUAGUGAAGCAAUUGCAAUUUGACAGUUAAUAAAAAGUGAAACAAGUGACUGGAACAUGCCAAAGAUGUAAUGAAAAUGCCAACUACGUACACUAAAACAUGUAUUCGACAAUACUGCAGGUAUCACACUGAGUGGCCUAAGGAAGCAUUUCUUCCAAUGCAAUUCUAGGGCGUUCAAAAGGGGCACGUGGACGCGUCGCAAGAUACAGUCGGAGUGCGACAUGCACGCCAUGUAGCACAAGACCGGCAAUACCUUGCCGGUGAUGGUCAACGGCCAGCAGACGGGCCGCAAAAAGGUUAUGGUGCUGCACACCAACAAGAACUUCGACCAGUAGAGGACCAACUGGGUGAUGCACCAGUACCACCUUAGGGACCUAGAGCAAGAGAAGGAGUGGGAGCUGGUCCUCUACAAGAUUUUCUACCAGACGAACACUAGGGCCAGGAGUAAAAAGAUUAUAAGUUAGUUUGGUAUUGGUACUUGUACUACCUUGUCGUCCGCAAGUUGGUAUUGUUGUUAACGAUCUUUUGGUAUGAACUUGCAUUUGCUUCCAACCAUCAUGCCGAGGGUCGACGUGGAUAUAAAGCUGAAUCAUUUGUUUCAAAACGAAUUUUCAGGCACCUGAUUUUUAUUUGAUGGGUAGCAUAAGCACCUACUGUUCGAAUUCCCAGUUCUCCAAAUUUUUUGAAACAAGUGCAUGCACUUAUUAUCACGAUGAAAAAACAAUAUCCCUGCUGCAUCCCAGUUACCAGUCUGUACUUGCAGAGUUCUCUUUAUUAUUGAGCACGUAUAUUGUAUUUUCAGGUCGAGCAAGUUUCAACUGGGUUGUAGACUGCCCAGGCUUGGUUUAGUUUUUAACAGGCCCAGCCCAUGACGACAACGGGGCACAAAGAUACAGUAGGUAUCUACUGGCCUGUGGCCCGCCAUCGUUAGUUAUAUUUUUUCUUACAACAUCCGCAUGCAGUUUUUUACUGAAUCAAACACACAGCCCAGUUCUAUUUUCCUCUUGAAACGCAUGUCCUACAUCCGUUUUCUACUCUCCCCCUAUAGUUUUACUAGUUCAUAUACACGUAUCAUUAUAUUGAAAAUACAUAAAAUUCCCUUUUCAUAUUUACAUCCUUAUAUUUGUUGUUUUUUCUCUCCCAGCGCUGAUUUUUUACCACUGGCUUUCCCUUAAACCAACUCAAUUUUCCCACGUCUUAUUUGCUAACAAAAACAAAACGAUUUUUUUGGCAAAUCAACAAGUUCUUAAAAAAUUGUUUAUCAUUUCGGGAUUACAACAGUUCGAACUCCACCGAAAUAUGCAAAAUAAGGUUGAACUUUUUUGACCGUGGUCCGGGGCAGAAAAUGGGCUGUAAUAAAUUACUUCAGAAUUAGCAAAUGGGCUGCAAAUUAUUAAAAAUAGCAAAUGGGCUCUAUGUUGUCUGCCACAGAUUUGGAGGCUGUCUCAUGGGCCUACUAAGUUCAUGCGUACACAAGGUUUCUCAAAAAAGAAACUUAGUCAACAAUCGACUCUACCAGCGUUAGACCGUUAGAUGUCAAUCUAACGGCAAUCGUGCUUCUUUAGUCCCUAAUCUUCCUGCCCCAGCCGCCCAAACCAGCACCGUCGGAACCGCCUGCUCCCGCCUCCCAUGGCCAGCUGUGCUGCCAGGCAGGCCUCACAGCCCCAUCAUACUCGCAUCCCAGGCAUGUCUAUCCGUCUACUCACCCACACCUCCUGUUAUUUUCCGGCAACGGUAGCCGAACCAGUCAACCCUCGUACUCUCCACCACGUGGGCAGCCAUUGUCGUGUCUUCCCCGGCUCCGUGUCAUUCCCUUCGUAGGCCUCACUAUAGUCCACUGCCCUGGUGCUCUCGACGCGGCGUGGUCAACGUGGUCAACGGACGACAUCCAUCGGAAGUGGACUGUAUGUGGAGAGGCUGACAGCUCGGUCCACUGCCGCACACAAGUAAAUGCCUCCUUAUUACGCAGAAAAUAAUGAUUCCUCCACCUGACAUCUGGGACCCGCCGGAAGGGCCUCUGUAUUUCGCAAAAAAAAGUUCCCUUCGCUGACAGGUCGGACCCACUAAUACGUCUCCAACGUAUAUAUAACUUUUGAUUGUUCCAUGCUAUUAUAUUACCCGUUUUGGAUGUUUAUGGGCUUUACUUUACACUUUUAUAUAAUUUUUGGGACUAACCUACUAACUGGAGGCCUUGCCCGAAUUGCUGUUUUUUGCCUAUUUCAGUGUUUCGAAGAAAAGGAAUAUCAAACGGAGUUCAAACAGAAUGAAACCUUCGGAACCGAUCUUUUUGGAACAAACGUGAACCAGAGGACUUGGAGUGGAAGUCAAGAAAUAAGCGAGGCGGCCACAAGGGUGCCCGACGCGCCCCAUACAGGUGGGCACGCUCCCCACCCUCAUGGGCCCCUCGAGCGUCCACCGACAUACUUCUUCCUCCUAUAUAUACCCACGCACCCUGAAAACAUAAGAGGGGAUCACAAAAAACUAUUUCCACCGUUGUAACCUUCUGUAUCUGCGAGAUCCCAUCUUGGAGCCUUCGCCGGUGCUUCGCCAGAGAGGGAAUCGAUCACGGAGGGCCUCUACAUCAUCUACAAGGCCCUUCCAAUGAGUUGUGAGUAGUUUACCACAGACCUUCGGGUCCAUAGUUAUUAGCUAGAUGACUUCUUCUCUCUCUUUGAAUCUCAAUAGAAAGUUCUCCUGGAUCUUCUUGGAGAUCUAUUCGAUGUAACUCUUUUUGUGGUGUGUUUGUCGAGAUCCGAUGAAUUGUGGGUUUAUGAUCAAGUUUAUCUAUGAGAAAUAUUUGAAUCUCGUCUGAAUUCUUUUAUGUGUGAUUAAGUUAUCUUUGCAAGUCCCUUCGAAUUAUCAGUUUGGUUUGGCCUACUAGAUUGAUCUUUCUUGCAAUGGGAGAAGUGCUUAGCUGUGGGUUCAAUUUUGUAGUGUCCUUUCCCAGUAACAGCAUGGGCAGCAAGGCACGUAUUGUAUUGUUGCCAUCGAGGAUAAAAAGAAGGGGCUUAUAUCAUAUUGCAUGAGUUUAUCCCUCUAAAUCAUGUCAUCUUUCUUAAUGUGUUACUCUGUUCUUUAAGAACUUAAUACUCUAGAUGCAUGCUGGAUAGCGGUCGAUGUGUGGAGUAAUAUUAGUAGAUGUAGAAUCGUUUCGGUCUACUUGUCACGGACGUGAUGCCUAUAUACAUGAUCAUGCCUAGAUAAUCUCAUAAUUAUUCACUUUUCUAUCAAUUGCUCGACAGUAAUUUGUUCACCCACCGUAAUACUUAUGCUAUCUUGAGAGAAGCCACUGGUGAAACCUAUGGCCCCCGGGUCUAUCUCUUAUCAUAUAAGCUUUCAAUCUACUUUGAUUUGCAUUUUUACUUUUCCAAUCUAUAUCAUAAAAAUACCAAAAAUAUUUAUCUUAUCAUAUUAUCUCUAUCAAAUCUCACUUUCGCAAGUGGCCGUGAAGGGAUUGACAACCCCUUUAUUGCGUUGGUUGCGAGUUCUUGUUUGUUUGUUUAGGUGCGUGGAACUUUUGAGGAGCCUCCUACUGUGUUGAUACCUUGGUUCUCAAAAACUGAGGGAAAUACUUAUGCUACUAUUCCUGCACCACCGUUUCCUAUUCAAGGAAAACCAACGCAAGCUCAACACGUAGCAAGAAGGAUUUCUGGCGCUGUUGCCGGGGAGGUCUUCGCUCAAGUCAAGACAUACCAAGUACCCAUCACAAACUCAUCUUCCUCGCAUUACAUUAUUUUCCAUUUGCCUCUCAUUUUCCUCUCCCCCACUACACCCUUUCCGUUUUAUUCGCCCUCUCUUUCCCAAUCUCCUCUCUCUUUUGCUUGCCUUUUUGUUUGCCUGUGUGUUGGAUUACUUGUCGCGAUGGUGCAAGAUAAUACCAAAUUGUGUGACUUUUCCAAUACCAAUAAUAAUGAUUUCGUUAGUACUCCGAUUGCUCCUAUUAAUGAUGUUGAGUCUUGUGAAAUCAAUGCAGCUUUGUUGAAUCUUGUUAUGAAAGAUCAAUUCUCCGGCCUUCCUAGUGAAGAUGCCGCUACCCAUCUAAACAACUUUGUUGAUUUGUGUGAGAGGCAAAAGAAGAAAGAUAUGGAUAUUGAUAUUGUUAAAUUGAAGUUAUUUCCGUUUUCACUUAGAGAUCGUGCUAAAGUUUGGUUUUCGUCUUUGCCUAAGAAUAGUAUUGAUUCAUGGAAUAAGUGCAAAGAUGCUUUUAUCUCUAAGUAUUUUCCUCCCGCUAAGAUCAUCUCUCUUAGGAACGAUAUUAUGAAUUUUAAACAACUAGAUCAUGAGCAUGUUGUCCAAUCUUGGGAAAGAAUGAAAUUGAUGAUUCGCAAUUGCCCUACUCAUGGUUUGAAUUUAUGGAUGAUCAUACAAAAAUUUUAUACCGGAUUGAAUUUUGCUUCUAGAAAUCUUUUAGAUUCGGCCGCGGGAGGCACUUUUAUGGAAAUCACCUUAGGAGAAGCUACUGAACUCCUUGAUAACAUUAUGGCUAAUUAUUCUCAAUGGCACACCGAAAGAUCUACUAGUAAAAAAGUGCAUGCUAUAGAAGAAAUUAAUGUUUUGAGUGAAAAGAUGGAUGAAGUUAUGAAAUUGUUUGCUACUAAGAGUGCUUCUAUUGAUCCCAAUGAUAUGCCUUUGUCUACUUUGAUUGAGAAUGAUAAUGAAUCUAUGGAUGUGAAUUUUGUUGGUAGGAAUAAUUUUGGUGACAAUGCUUAUAGAGGAAACUUUAAUCCUAGACCGUUCCCUCGUAAUUCCUCUAUUAAUUAUGGAAAUUCCUACAACAAUUCUUAUGGUAAUUUUAAUAAGAUUCCCUCUGAUUUUGAAAAUAGUGUUAAAGAAUUUAUGAUCUCUCAAAAGAAUUUUCAUACCUUACUUGAAGAAAAAUUGCUUAAAGUUGAUGAUUUGGCUAGGAACGUCGAUAGACUUUUGCUUGAUGUUGAUUUUGAAACUUAGAUCUACUCCUCCUAAGCAUGAUAUCAAUGAGUCCCUCAAAGCUAUGAGAAUUUCCAUUGAUGAGUGCAAAGAAAGAACCGCUAGAUUGCGUGCUAAGAAAGAUUGCUUUGUAAAAGCGUGUUCUUCUAGUUUCCAUGAAAAUAAUGAUGAAGAUCUAAAAGUUAUUGAUGUGUCCCUUAUUAAAUCUUUGUUUUGCAAUAUGAAUCUUAAUAAUGAUGGGACUGGAGAUGAGUCAACUUUAGUUAAUAGGCGUCCCAAUGAUUCGGAGCUUUUAGAUCUUGAUGCUAAAUUUGGUAAAAGUGGGAUUGGGGAGGUCAAGACUUUAAAUAGCAUUGAACCCACUAUCUUGGAUUUCAAGGAAUUUAAUUAUGAUAAUUGUUCUUUAGUAGAUUGUAUUUCCUUGUUGCAAUCCGUGUUGAAUUCUUUGCAUGCUUAUAGUCAAAAUAAAGCUUUUACCAAACAUAUUGUUGAUGCCUUGAUGCAAUCUUAUGAUGAAAAACUUAAUUUGGAAGUUUCUAUACCUAGAAAACUUAAUGAUGAGUGGGAACCUACUAUAAAGAUUAAAAUUAAAGAUCAUGAGUGUUAUGCUUUAUGUGAUUUGGGUGCUAGUGUUUCCACGAUUCCGAAAACUUUAUGUGAUAUUCUAGGUUUCCAUGAUCUUGAUGAUUGCUCUUUAAAUUUGCACCUUGCGGAUUCCACCAUUAAAAAGCCUAUGGGAAGGAUCAAUGAUGUUCUUAUUGUUGCAAAUAGGAAUUUGGUCCCCAUAGAUUUUAUCGUUCUUGAUAUAGAUUGCAAUCUUUCAUGUCCUAUUAUUCUUGGUAGACCUUUCCUUAGAACGAUUGGUGUGAUUAUUGAUAUGAAGGAAGGGAAUAUUAGAUUCCAAUUUCCAUUAAGGAAAGGCAUGGAGCACUUUCCAAGAAAUAAAGUUAAAUUACCUUAUGAAUCUAUCAUGCGAGCUACUUAUGAAUUGAGUGCCAAAGAUGGCACUACUUAGAUCUAUCCUCGCUUUUAUGCCUAGCUUGGGGCGUUAAACAAUAGCGCUAGUUGGGAGGCAACCCAAUUUUAUUUUUGUUUUUGCUUUUUGCUUCUGUUUAGUUAUAAAUAUUUCAUCUACCUUCUGUUUAGAUGUGUUUUAGUUAGUGUUUGUGCCAAGUAGAACCUAUAGGAUAACCUAUGGUGAUAGUUAAUUUGAUUCUGCUGAAAAAUAGAAACUUUGCACGCACGAAAAUAAUUUUAGUAAUUCACAGGAACGUGCUUUUGCGUUGAUUCGUUUUGCUGUAGAUCAAUAUACAAAUUUCCCAGGACUUCCAGAAGUAUUCGAGAGUUACAGAUUGCUACAGACUGUUCUGUUUUUGACAGAUUCUGUUUUUCGUGUGUUGUUUGCUUAUUUUGAUGCAUCUAUGGCUUGUGUUAAGUGGUAUGAACCAUAGAGAACUUGGAAUACAGUAGGUUUAACACCAAUAUAAAUAAAGAAUGAUUUCAUUACAGUACCUUAUGUGGUGGUUUUUCUUUCUUGCACUAAUGGAGCUUAUGAGAUUUCCUGUUGAGUUUUGUGUUGUGAAGUUUUCAAGUUUUGGGUAAAGAUUUGAUGGACUAUGGAAUAAGGAGUGGCAAGAGCCUAAGCUUGGGGAUGCCCAUGGCACCCCAAGAUAUUCCAGGAUAACCAAAAGCUCAAGCUUGGGGAUGCCCCGGAAGGCAUCCCCUAUUUCGUCUUCGUCUAUCGGUAACUUUACUUGGAGCUAUAUUUUUAUUUGCCACAUGAUAUGUGUUUUGCUUGGAGCAUCUGGUAUGAUUUAGUCUUUGUUUUUUAGUUUAACACAAUCAUCCUUGCUGUACACACCUUUUGGGAGAAAUCUAGUUGAUUGGAAUUUAUUAGAACACUCUAUGUGCUUCACUUAUAUCUUUUGAGCUAGAUAAAUUUUGCUCUAGUGCUUUACUUAUAUCUUUUAGAGCAUGGCGGUGGCUUUAUUUUGUAGAAAUUAUUAAUCUCUCAUGCUUCACUUUUAUUAUUUUGAGAGUCUCUUAGAACAGCAUGUUAUUUGCUAUGGUUAUAAAAUUGGUCCUAGAAUGAUGAGCAUCCAAGUUGGGUAUAAUAAAAACGAUCAUAGGAAGUGAAUUGGAUGCUAUGAUCAAUUUGAUACUUGAUAAUUGUUUUGAGACAUGGAGGUCGUGAUAUUAGAGUCAUGCUAGUUGGGUGAUUAUGAAUUUAAAGAAUGCUUGUGUUGAAGUCGGCAAGUCCCAUAGUAUGCCGUAUAGUGAAAGUUGUGUAACAAAUUUGAAACAUGAGGUGUUCUUAGAUUGUGCAUCCUUAUGAGUGGCGGUCGGGGACGAGCGAUGGUCUUUUCCUAACAAUAUAUCCCCCUAGGAGCAUGCACGUAGUGCUUGGUUUUUGAUGACUUGUAGUUUUUUGCAAUAAGUAUAUGAGUUCUUUAUGACUAAUGUUGAGUCCAUGGAUUAUACGCACUCUCACCCUUCCAUCAUUGCUAGCCUCUUCAGUACCGUGCAUUGCCCUUUCUCACCUUGAGAGUUGGUGCAAACUUCGCCGGUGCAUCCAAACCCCGGGAUAUGAUACACUCUAUCACACAUAAACCUCCUUAUAUCUUCCUCAAAACAGCCACCAUACCUACCUAUUAUGGCAUUUCCAUAGCCAUUCCGAGAUAUAUUGCCAUGCAACUUUCCACGUUCCAUUCAUCAUCGUGACACACAUUAUCAUUGUCAUAUUGCCUUGCAUGAUCAUGUAGUUGACAUCGUAUUUGUGGCAAAUCCACCAUGCAUAAUUUUUCAUACAUGUCACUCUUGAUUCAUUGCCCAUCCCGGUACACCGCCGGAGGCAUUCAUAUAGAGUCAUAUCUUGUUCUAGUAUUGAGUUGUAAAUAAAUAGAAGUGUGAUGAUCAUCAUUAUUAGAGCAUUGUCCCCAAAUAAAAAAAAGGGCAAUGUUACUAUCUUUUUCCACACUUGUGCUUCAAACUAGCACCAUGUUCUUCAUAUAGAGAGUCUCAUAUGUUGUCACUUUCAUAUACUAGUGGGAAUUUUUCGUUAUAGAACUUGGCUUGUAUAUUCCUACGAUGGGCUUCCUCAAAAUGCCCUAGGUCUUCGUGAGCAAGCAAUUUGGAUGCACACCCACUAGUUUCUUUUGUUUAGCUUUCAUAUAUUUAUAGCUCUAGUGCAUCCGUUGCAUGGCAAUCCCUACUCCUCAUGUCGACAUCAAUUGAUGGGCAUCUCCAUAGCCCGCUGAUUAUCCUCGUCAAUGUGAGACUUUCUCCUUUUUUUGUCUUCUCCACACAACCUCCAUCAUCAUAUUCUAUUCCACCCAUAGUGCUAUAUCCAUGGCUCAUGCUCAUAUAUUGCGUGAAAGUUGAAAAAGUUUGAGAUUAUUUAAGUACAAAACAAUUGCUUGGCUUGUCAUCGGGGGUGUGCAAGAUGGGAGCAUUUUUGUGUGACGAAAAUGAAGCAUAGCCUAACUAUAUGAUUUUGUAGGGAUGAAUUUUCUUUAGACAUGUUAUUUUCAGACGACAUGAUUACUUGAUUUGUAUGCUUGAAGUAUUAUUAUUUCUUAUGUCAAUAUGAACUUUUAUUUUGAAUCAUUUGGAUCUGAACAUUCAUGCCACAAUAAAGAAAAUUACAUUGAGAAUUGUGCUAGGUAUCAUUCCACAUCAAAAAUUCUGUUUUUAUCAUUUACCUACUCGAGGACAAGCAGGAAUUAAGCUUGGGGAUGCUUGAUACGUCUCCAACACAUCUAUAAUUUUUGAUUGUUCCAUGCUAUUAUAUUACCCGUUUUGGACGUUUAUGGGCUUUACUUUACACUUUUAUAUCAUUUUUGGGACUAACAUACUAACCGGAGGCCCAACCCGAAUUGCUGUUUUUUUGUGCCUAUUUCAGUGUUUCGAAGAAAAGUAAUAUCAAACGGAGUCCAAACGGAAUGAAACCUUUGGAAGCGAUCUUUUUGGAACAAACCUGAUCCAGAGGACUUGGAGUGGAAGUCAAGAAACAAGUGAGGCGGCCACGACGGUGCCCGACGCGCACCCUACAGGUGGGCACGCCCCCACUCUCGUGGGCCCCUCGAGCAUCCACCAACCUACUUCUUCCUCCUAUAUAUACCCACGUACCCUGAAAACAUCAGAGGGGAGCAUGAAAAACUAUUUCCACCGCCGUAACCUUCUGCAUCCGCGAGAUCCCAUCUUGGAUCCUUCGUCGGCGCUCCACCGGAGGGGGAAUCGAUCAUGGAGGGCCUCUACAUCAUCUCCAAGGCCCUUCCGAUGAGUUGUGAGUAGUUUACCACAAACCUUCGGGUCCAUAGUUAUUAUCUAGAUGGCUUCUUCUCUCUUUGGAUCUCAAUACCAUGUUCUCCUCGAUCUUUUUGGAGAUAUAUUCGAUGUAACUCUUUUUGCGGUGUGUCUGUCGAGAUCCGAUGACUUGUGGGUUUAUGAUCAAUUUUAUCUAUGAGAAAUAUUUGAAUCUCCUCUGAAUUCUUUUAUGUGUGAUUAAGUUAUCUUUGCAAGUCUCUUCGAAUUAUCAGUUUGAUUUGGCCUACCAGAUUGAUCUUUCUUGUAAUGGGAGAAGUGCUUAGCUUUGGGUUCAAUCUUGCCGUGUCCUUUCCCAGUGACAGCAGGGGCAGCACACGUAUUUUAUUGUUGCCAUCGAGGAUAAAGAAAUGGGGUUUAUAUCGUAUUGCAUGAGUUUAUCCAUCUACAUCAUGUCAUCUUUCUUAAUGCAUUACUCUGUUCUUUAUGAACUCAAUACUCUAGAUGCAUGCUGGAUAGCGGUCGAUGUGUGGAGUAAUAGUAGUAGAUGCAGAAUCGUUUCGGUCUACUUGUCACGGACGUGAUGCUUAUAUACAUGAUCAUGCCUAGAUAAUCUCAUAAUUAUUCGCUGUUCUACCAAUUGCUCGACAAUAACUUGUUCACCCACCGUAAUCCUUAUGCUAUCUUGAGAGAAGCCACUAGUGAAACCUAUGGCCCCCGAGUCUAUCUCUUAUCAUAUAAGCUUUCAAUCUACUUUGAUUUGCAUUUUUACUUUUCCAAUCUAUAUCAUAAAACACCAAAAAUAUUGAUCUUAUCAUAUUAUCUCUAUCAGAUCUCACUUUUGCAAGUGGCGGUGAAGGGAUUGACAACCCGUUUAUUGUGUUAGUUGCGAGUUCUUGUUUGUUUGUGUAGGUGCGUGGGACUUUUGAGGAGCUUCCUACUGGAUUGAUACGUUGGUUCUCAAAAACUGAGGGAAAUACUUACGCUACUAUUGCUGCAUCACCCUUUCUUCUUCAAGGAAAACCAACGCAAGCUCAAGACGUAGCACCCACCAACUAUAUCUUCGCACGCAAGGAAGUGCCUUCUUAUUGCGCACACAAAAAUAAAUACCCCAAUGCCAGCUGGGACCCAUCAUAGUGGGAGGCUGACUUGUGGGCCUACUAAGUUGACGGGGACAGAGGGCUUUGUCAACUUAGUCAAUAUAUGAACGAUUCUAGCUCCAGUGACCGUAUGAUGUCCAUCCAAUGGUCGUAGUGCUUCUUCAACCUCUGGUCUUCUUGCUCCAGCCGCCCAAAGCAGCGCCGGUCAUGCCGCAUGCUCCUGCCUCCCAUGGCCGGCUUGCUGCCGCGGAGUCCUCACCGCCCCCAUACUACUCCCACUGCUGGCCAAGCCAUCCCUCCACUCACCCACACCCCCUGUUAUUCUGCGGCGACGACAACGUCACACCGCAGCCGAACUAGUGAAACCUCGUACUCCUCUCCGCGUGGGCACCCACUGCCGCGUCUUCCCCGACUCCGCAUCCUCCCCUUCCUAGGCCUCGCCGUCCCCUUCCUAGUCCUCGCCAUCGUCCACCACCAUGGUGCUCUCGGUGUGGCAUGGUCAAUGUGGUCAACAACUGACUUCCUUCGGAAGAGUACUGUACGUGGAGAGGCUGACAGCUGGGUCGACGACAGCCGCAAGGAAGUGCCUCCUUAUUACGCGCAAAAUAAUUAUUCCUCCACCUGACAGCAGGGACCCACCGUACGGGCCACCGUAUUUCAUGAAAAAAAUUGUUUCCCCCCUGACUGCUAGGACCCACCGGAUGGGCCACCGUAUUUCGCGAAAAAAAGUUCCCCCCACUGUCAGCUCGGACCCACCGGAAGUGCCUCCUUAUUAUGCACACAAAAAUGAAUACUCCCCCUGCUAGCUGGGACCCACCUUGGUGGGAGGAUGACUUGUGGCCUUACUAAGUUAACGAGGACUGAGAGCUUUGUCAACUUAGUCAAUAUGAACGAUUCUAGCUCCAGUGACCGUACGAUGUCCAUCCAACGGUCGUAGUGCUUCUUCAACCUCUGGUCUUCUUGCUCCAGCCGCCCAAAGCAGCGCCAGUCGUGCCACAUGCUGCUACCUCCCAUGGCCGGCUAUGCUACCACGGAGGCCUCACCGCCCCUACUAUUCCCACCGCUGGCCAGGCCCUGCGGCGACGGCAGCCUCACACCGUAGCCGAACUAGUGAACCCUCGUACUCCUCUCUGCGUGGGCUUCCACGGCCGCGUCUUCCCCGGCUCUGCGUCGUCCCCUUCCUAGGCCUCAUCGUCGUCCACCGCCCUGGUGCUCUCAGCGCGGCGUGGUCAACAUGGUCAAGGAACGACUUCCAUCAGACGUGUGGACUAUGCGUGGAGAGGCUGACAGCUGGGUCCACGGCCACAGCAAGGAAGUGCCUCCUUAUUACGCGGAAAAUAAUGAUUCCUCCACAUGACAGCAGGGACCCACCGGACGGACCAUCGUACUUUGUGAAAAAAAUGUUUGCCCCUGAAUGCUGGAACCCACCAGCUACAUCUUCGCACGCAAGUAAGUGUGUCCGGGCAAAAAAAAUGAUUCGCUCCCUGACUACUGGGACCCACCAGCUACAUCUUCGCAUGCAAGGAAGUGCCUGACAGUCGGGACCCACCUGGUCGAAGCGUACGUAGCGUUGUCAUUCUGGUCGCGAACGUGUACGUACAUACUGGUCGAUGUAGAGGUGCGCACGUGUCGUAGUAGAGGCGUGCACGUGUCGUAGUAGAGGCGCACACGUAGCAUGUACACGUACGUACAACGGACAGGGUGCAAGAAAGUAAAUACGGCCACGUACGUACAUACGGGCGGUGUCUCGAAUGCCUACUCGCGCAUUCGUAUUGCCAGGGCUGGUGUACAUGGCUGGGUUGGAACGGAGAAACUACGUCAUCGUCGUGUUCAUCGGGAGGGCUUGGACGGAACAACCGAUGGAAAUGAGGCCCGGUGUACCGCACAACGGAGGAAACGACCUUGUGUUUGACCGGCCACGUUCGAAAUGGGAUCCUGUUCAUCGGGAGGGGUCUGGCGUACCGCAAAACGAAGGAAACGGGCUUGUCUUGGACAUCCUACGGUCAAAACGGGGUCCUGUUGAUCGGGAGGGGUGUGGCAUACCACAAAACAAAGGAAACGGACUUGUUUUGGAGCGCUAUGGUCGAAAAGGGGGUCUUGUUCAUCAGGAGGGGAGUGGCGUACCACAAAACGGGACUCCACGAGAUACUGUUCAUCGCCACUGUCGACCUCCUCCAGCCUCCACGGGAUAUUGUUCAUCCACCGUCGACCUCCUCCAGCCUCCACCUACGACUGUUCAUCCACGGGCUCCUGUUCAUCCAGCCUCCACCGCGCGCUACUCCACCGGCUACUGUUCAACCAGUCCUCGCCACGGGGUCCUGUUCAACCACCCCUCCACGGGAUACUGUUCAUCCACCACUCCACCAUCUACUGUUCAUCCGGCCCUCCACGGGGUCGUCCUGUUCAUCCAGCCCUCCAUGGGGUCCUGUUCAUCCAGCCCCAACCGGCUCGAUCGAUCGGGGUCCUGUUCAUCUAGAGGCAACACCACGGGGUCCUGUUCCUCCACCCCCACCACUCAUUGUUCAUCCAACCCCCCUCCCCCGCAACGCUCACUGUUCAUCUAGAGGCAGCAUCGAUUGGCUUCAGUUAGCAGCAGUAGCGAAGGAAUCGCUCGAUCGGGUUCAGUUAACAGCCAUCGGUCGAUCGCUCGGGUUCAGUAAUGCGUAGCGUGCAGUGCAAUCGCUCGGGUUAAGUUAGAGCCCAACGCCUCGCUCGGGUUCAGUUAGAGCCCAACGCCUCUCACACACGCGCGUACGUGUACGAGAGAAACGUGCAUCGCUCGACCUCCGACCACCCACCGUAACCGGGAACUCGCCGAAAUUUUCCUCGCCCUCGCUUCUACCACGGUUUUGUCCGUCAUGGACGGCCCAAAGAAUGUCAUGCAGCUGCGUCUCCGGCCCGCCCAGGAUGAAAAGCCCAUUUUCUGUCAUGAUUUUUCGUCAUAGAAGUAGGAGCCCACCACAUCUAUGAUGAUACCGGGUUUUGUCACAAUUAUCGUCCUAGAAGUGUCAUAAGUAUGAGAUAAUUUUUUUUGUUCAGCCCAAAAUGUCACGAAUGUGUCUUUUUUUUGUAGUGCUCCCUGCAGUCUGAGUUUGACGGAUGAAGCAACCAUCAUUUCACUCUUCGCUGAAUCCCCUUCUCCCUCACUGUUUUCAAGAAAGGCAACACUCGCAUCUGCCACUAUUCUUCUCUCCCAAUGAAGGGAAGGUAAGCAGAUCUGUGAUGUUGGUAUAUUUUCGUUCAUGAAGGUUCACAUGAUUGAGCUGUUGUCGUACAUCCUCGAUGAUGUUCAUGGCAAGGUCCGUCUUGUGUCCAGCCCAAAUUAGAUUGAGGCAUGAAAUAGUUGCCCCAGCUAGUGUAUAGAAAUGAUACAGAGACAGACAUCCCGAAACGAAAUGGAUACAGACAUCCCAGUUUGCACAAAUAUGAAAUACGGUUAUUUAAACAGUGACAGAUAUUUGCAGUGGCAUAUGAUUAACAGUAGCAUCUAUUGUGUUAUAUUUGGCACUAGAUUGAAAGUAUGAAAGUGCCCUUAAGUAAGUAGCAUCACAUCACAUCAACACUGCCACUAGAUUAACAUGUAGAACAAUAGCAUUAGUAUUACUGUCAUGAGAGUAGCACAUGGUCAGUAAAUGUGCAAUCAAAUUUGUGCAGUUCCACUGGGAUGAAGCAAUGUUAGUGGUGUGAGAUUUAAGUGUAACUGCAAAAACACAAUUCAAGGGAAAUAAAGCAUGACGGAAGGAAUUCAUAAAAUGGUGGUGGCAUUGCUUCAAUUUAUCGAUGACACUAGACCAUUACUUAUAGUGACAUUAGGUGGCAUUGCUUAAUGCUUCAUGUGAUAUUACAUUAACGGUAGCAAUAUGGGUGUAGGGACAGCAGGGGCAUAAAGUAGUGAGGUAGAUGUGGUUGCCGAGAGCGGCAAACACUCAGGAAGCAUGUCCGCAUUUGUCCCAUUUUUUAUCUCCUCGGCGACAUUUUCCUAUCUGAGCACAGGAAAUCUAGACCUGCUCAUUCUCAUUUGCGUUGUCCCCCAACACCCGUCACUUUCUUUCCUUUUUCAACCAAGAGACAGGUCCACUUCCCCCCACCCUUCGCCAUCCAUCGUGCUUUCUUCGUAUUUUCAAUCAAGAGACCGGUUGGGUAGCCAGUAUGUACUGCUUUCCCCCGUUUCCGCUUAGAACCAAGCCCUAGAUUCAUGCUACAGCUUUCCCACUAUAUGAACUAGCUUUACCUCUAAUAAUAGUAAAAGUCUAGGUGGCUUUGGAACAGCAGACGGAAGUAGAAAAAGAUCCACAUGAAUCCAAGUGGGGAGCUGGGGCAGUAGAGCAAGGCAGGUUUUGAAGGAAUAUAUACCUGAGGGUCGUCGGCAUGUGGAAAAGACGGUGUCGGGAGGCCGUAUCUUGGCCACAAUACCACAGGGAGGAAGAAGGGGUCGGAGGCCCUCCCGAGCCAGCGCUCUCUCGGAGAGAACGACACAGCCGCCGAUCGGGAUGCGCGGGCAGCCGUUGGUCUCCUCCCUUGCUGCUGAUGACAGCGCGAAUGACGCACCUAUACCCCUGCCCCGGUCGAGGUUGUCCGACCGGAUUUGUGACUAGCCGUGAGCAGAGAGAGAGAGAGAGAGUGGACACCUAUGUCUGGCUUAGAUCUAGAGAGCAUGAGAGAGUGAACAAAAGGAACCCUAGCAAAGCAAACUCUAAGGCUCCUGCUUAUAUAUAUAGUGGAGUGAUUUUGCUGUACCAGCUUCAAAAAAUGUGCUCUUACGUGUACCUGCGAUUGGGUGUGAGAGAACUUGUGCGUGCGUGCACCGCUUCUCUUCGUGAGAGUACAACAUACUAUGCCCAAAGAACAUUCGCCACAAGAGUAAUAGUAUAAGUGUGUGACGUGUGAGCUAAAAUAAAAUGUGCGCGACGUCUUUUGUUUUUUAGAAGUUCUGAGGGUAGGGUAUGAAGAGCACAUAUGUGUGUGAUGUCUACCUGCAGCUAGACGGUGGGUGCGAGAGGACUCGUGAGAGUCGUGACUCGUGAGGGUGCGUGUGCGUGAGAGAGAGGGGGGCACGUAUCAAUGCAAUGCAUGUGUCCGUAAAUCAUUAUCCAACAAACGUUCACCACAAGCCUUUUCCUGAUGAACGCCGUAAGAACCGUUAGAUCGGCAUUCAACAAUGUCAGUUUUGCCAUGUCAUUUAACAGAACAGCCACUACUCCUACACACAAAUCUUCCACAUGAGUGUUAGCAACUGUCGUGUGCUCCCUCUGUUCCAAAAUGCAGUGCAUAUAGCUUUAUUGAAAAUUCGAACCUCGCAAACUUUUACUGAGUUUUCGUGUACCAAGUUGCACAUGUAGAAUACCCAGUAUAUAUCAUUUCAUUCAUCUUCGAGAGGUAACUAUAAAGAUGGGGGAGGAGUCUACAAAGAAACACCAUCGUAUCACCUACAACAAUUUCAACCAUCCUUUGGUGUGGAGGAAUAUCAUAGGAAAUCUAUAUGAUAUGAUUUUUAUAGGACUUUUGCCUUUAGAGCCAAUUGGUUCAUAGGAAUAGAUUCAUAUACUCCACAUUUCAAAGGAAGUAAACAUGAUAUCAUUUUUAUAGCUUUAGAGCCACUUGGUUCAUAUGAAUGGAUUCCAAUACUCCCAUAAUUUCAAAGGAAAAGAAACAUUAGCGUAUAUUCAAUAGAAAAGUUCCUAUGGUAUGAACCAAAUUACAUCUCUUUUCUAAUCCCUCCUCAUAGGAAUUGAGAUACAUGUCAUCUCUAGAUUCAAUAGAAAAGUUCCUAUGGUGUGAACCAAAUGACAUCACUUUUCCAAUCACUACUCAUAGGAAUUGAGAUACUUCAUGUCAUCUAUUUCCCUAAAACUUCCAUGUAUAUCUUCUAUUCCUAAAUAGCUAGUACAACCCACUAGUAGCUUUUUUCCAGGACAUGCAACUAUGGCACAAGAACUAUAUAUUGUGCAAAUAACUUUGAAAGAUGGUCGCUGGAUGAAGCUAAUCCGACAGUGCAGAGAUGGCAAAUCCGAGCACUAUUGGCUGUUGGAUAUCAUCAACAUUCCACCAGAUCCAGCACAUGUACAAUUUAGAAGACUCCAUGGUUGAACUUAAGCAUAAUGCACAAACCUCAAAACACAAGCACUUCUCCUUUGUUCUAGAAUCUUCAUUGUCAUAAUUGCCCAAUUUGUUUUCUAAAUGAAUUGCCAUUAUUUGUUUUUUACUUUAUGCUUUACAAUGCACAACCCCAUGAAUCUUAACAUUUUUUAUAAAACUAAUUGAUUUUGAAUGAGAUGAACUAUAAGAACUAAAUGAACAUCUACAUCAUGCAUAUAUGACUCAAAGAUUUACAUGCUAUAGUGUGUAUUUAUUCAUAAUUUGGUUUCCAAAUCUCAUGCGUUCAAUGCAUGUGUACCUUACUAGUUUUCAGUAGAGUAGCAAAUUUCACGCGGCCCCGGGUAUAUCAAAAUGCAGGGCCCGUGCAUCAUUGCCUUUCGGUCGAACCUAUCUCCACUGGUCCCCGAACCCAAAGUGUUGCCUCGUUCCCAUAAAACCAAGCGGCCCACACAUAUUUAAGGCGUCGACUCGAACUUAAUCCCUCUCCCAUUUACUACAACGUGGCCCCGCACGCCGUAGUACUCCUACAAAUCCUACCGCCGCACGCAUCAUCAGUUUUCUUCAAGAGGACGAGGGAGAGGCCGAUUUGUAGUGGAGGCGCUUUCGAAAAAAAGGAUCUUUAGUGGAGACCCCUACCCUAGGGUGCCCUAUGUAGCUGCCACACACAUCAUUGGUUUUCUAUUUUCUUUAUGCCCUUGCGCCCUAGAGUGAAAUGAUGGUUGCUCCGUCCGUCCAGCUUAAUGUGGGAAAGGUGGGGCUUUGUGAUUUGACCCCUCAUCGCUCAUUUUCUACUACUGCGGCGCUACGACCGGGGUACCUCCAAUUCCAACCGCUGCUCUGAACUGUAAUUUGGUGCAUCGCCCAUGGAACAACAUGGUGGAUGAGCCACAUGUUGGCCAAAGGGGUCAUGUUAAGUGUGUCACCAUUUCAUGUGCGGACUGACCCUGCUUGAGUUGCUACACCAACACGACGGGAGCAGCCUACCACUUGGUUUUGCUCCUUGGUGAAUGCCGACUAUAUUGAUCUAAAAAGAUACAUACUAUACUACCCUCUCCGUCUUGUUUUUUAGGCGUCUCGGUUCAUAGGGUGUGCACGUAGUUCUAGGUCACCCAUUUGACUAACUAAAUAUGAGUUACUAUGUCACAAAAAGUAUAUCAUUGGAUUCUUAAGCGGAUGUAGUUUCUAAACAUAUAAUGUUCAUCACAUAUAUAGCCAGUUAAAUUCUCAACCUAGAACGACGUGCAUGCCAUGUAAACCGAUACGGAGGAAGUAGUAAAAAUGAGGUGAUUUUAUCGAGCGAUCGGCGGGGGAGAAUGGCCUGUCAUGUGGUCCCACGUGUCAUGAUGUAUCAAGGCGAUGCAUGUGUCCCUCUUGAGGAAGAAGCAAUACUACGUGGUUUGACAUGAUGGCGAACCGAAGUGUGAAAUAAUGGUUGCUUCGUCCAUAUGGGAAGGUGCGACAUUGUGAUUUGACAUCUCAUUACUACUACUGGGGUGGUACGACUAGGGUGUGUCCCCCCUGCUGUUAUGCACUGUUAUUUGGUGCUUGACAUGUCGACCCGGUUGCUAUAUGUCCCACAUGUCAGCGAGACGAAGUACAGAAUUCAUGAAAGCGAGCGUCGACGGAGGAGUACAAGACACGGCUUGGUUUUUGCUGCUUCAUUUGAUACAUCGAUAAAAACCCGGACUAAAAAAAGGCGAGGGCGGGUCUUUUCCCGUGUGGCAGGCAGGGGAGUUUGGCAUGGUCUAUUCGAGGCAAGGAGGCAGGAAGGGAAACAAGCAAAUAAAGGUUGAGCGACUUAGUUUUGGGAAAAUCUGAUUUUACGGAGUACGUACCCACUAGGGUUUAUAGGGCUCAUCUAAAAAAAAUUCGUUUUUCCGUUUUAUAAGUCUCAAUUCUACUACUAGUAGUAGUACCAUCACAUGCUGGAUUUCGAGGUGCGUUAAAUCACCCGAUGCAAGCAGUGUCAAGAGAAAACUCACCAAUGCAUGUAGAAGUUCACGGAAAUUUAGUGGUCAUUCAUGCAUUCAUUCUAAUUAAUGCCUCGGUAAACAUAACUUCGUGAGAAAAACGAGCGUACUAAUUACUUGUGCAAACUACGAAAUUAAUUCCACCACUCACCGUCUACCUUCAUUGGAGAGAUUUUGAAAUUGAGCCAUAAACUGGAAAGGAGGGAGUUGCAACUUUUGCCUUGUAGCAACCAGACCUCAAACGGUCAAGUCUCUGUGCAUCAGUGUCAUCCCUAGAUCGGUAGUGCUGACAAGCACAGUACUCGAGGAAUUAUAACGGAGUUUCAAUCACACACUUAUUACAUCAAGUCCUCAUAAUGAGUAUGAUUACACAAAAAUAUCAUGGCUGAAGGCCAUCUAAACUAGAUAACUAUGGAAGCUUUGAAGGUAAAUGAGUCCAUCAACUCCAACGACAUAGCUGAGUGCAAAACAACGACCUAUCGCACCUUAUUCAUCGUCUAAGUAGUCUGCAACAUGAGACAUUGGAGCCGUGUAGGUCAGCACAUUGAAUAUGCUGGCAGAGUUACACUAUAAAGCAAAGAAAUGCAAGAACUAUAUCUACAUGCAAUAUUUGGCUGGUAGAGGUUGUAAGUUUAUCCUUUUGCAUAAAGCUAGUUUUUACCUACAACAGAGGAAAAUUUUUAUUUAACUACUCCCAAGUUGCCCAUUAUUUGAGAAGGUAACCCCAACUCAAAUCCUAAUUAAAAAUAUCAUCAUUAACCCAAUUCAAAUUAAUUUAAAGUAACGUGAUGAGAUCACAUCAAUAGAUUCAAGUACUAGAUACUCAAGACGUCCAUAACCGGGACGCCGAUAACCAUGAUUAGUUCAUACACUGUGCAGAGGUUUGCGCACUUUUCCCCACAAGAAUCAAUCUCCUCCGUUGAAUUUCUCGCACUUCAUGAUGUUUGAGAAACGGAUGACCGAGACACGGUCUUUCAGAAGCAUUAACUCUUUACUCUGGAUAGACAGUACCACCUACAUCCCCUACAUCUGCUAGCCUACCACUGAAAGAGGUCACACAACAUACUCAACUAUGCCAGAGCCCAUAAUGGCUUGCGGCUGCACACGGAAGUUUCUAGCAUGAAUAAUCUUACGAUCCCUUUGAGCCUGGGUGGCGUACCAUAGGAAGAAUCACACGAGUACUCCGGGAUUUGCCAAGAUAGGCAUCACUAGGUUCCCCAGGUGCCUGCAACCAAUCCACCCAGAUGUAUAUUAAAGUUGCCACCUAAAUGUUGUCCAUAAUUAAAUAACUCUCAAACUUCCAUGUGUGAAUCACGAUCCAAUCCCCGCCUACGAGCAUGGCUAAGCAAUAAAUAAGCAUAACAUAUAUUUCCAGGGUGAUAAAAAGGUAUUAGGUUCCUACCUCAAGCACUACAACCAAAACCACAUGUUCCCAAUCCUACUUAUGCAAAUAUUUGAGGGGCGAUACUAAUGCAUAGUAAAAACUGGGUAUAAAGGAGUAUGAUCAAAGUGUAACUAGCCUUGCUGACGAUCUGCAAACUCUAGAGAUUCGUAGUAGCACACUUCGCACUCCGGAAAUUCUAUCGCAAACAAAAAUAACAUACAUAAGCACUCAGGCAUAAAUGCAAGGGUAAAACUCAAAUAAAAAGAUCUAAACUGAAAGUUCAACUGAAGAACUUCGAUUUGCAAAAAGAAUCAAUCGAAUCGGAGCUACGAAACUCAAACUACGAUCAAAAGAAGUUCGAAAACAAAUCUGCUUUAAACCAAAUUUUACAUUGCCAAAAUCAUGUUCAAGUCGAUUAUCUAGAAAGAGGGGUUCGAGGCAAAUAUUUUGGCAUUGGAUUCACUGGAUUUGGAUAAGUGAGCAAAAAGUUGCGAGGGUUCGAAGAUCAGGGGCUAAUCUGCGAUAAAAAAAUAAUCGUGAAUAGGUCCCUGGCCGAAAAAUAAAAUAAAAAGAAAAAGACUAAUGAAUGAACGUCCGCUAACAAAGUCAAACGAACGAAAACGAAAAAAACAAACCAACCGAACCGAUCUAAAAAAAUCGAUGGCCGCGAGAUCCGGCUAGUCCGACGGCGGCUCGGGCAACGUCGAGGCGGCGGAGCGUCGCGGGCGAUGGUGCGGCAGCAGGGCGGCGGCGCGGCGUGACGGUGCAGCAGCGGCAGCAAGCGGUGGCAGCGAGCAACGGCAGUGGCGGUGCGGCUCGGGAGGCGGGGCGGUUUGUGGCUCGGCGGUGGUGGCUGCGGUGGUGGGCGGCUCGGGGUGGAGAGGAGGGCGGCGGCGGUAGGGUAUAUAAAGAGGGGGGCUGCUUGGAGGAGGAGCAAAGGCGACGGCGGGGAGGCGGAGACCGGCUCGGGGUGGGAGUCCGGCGGCGGCAUGGCCUUUGGCCCAGUCGGGCGAUUUUUUUUAAUAAAUUUCGCCGAAGAAAAAUCCUAAUAAAAUAAAAAAAUCUAAAAAUGCAAAAAAAAACAAUUUUCACCGUCUAAAUAAGAUAUUUAGAACAAAGUGAACAUUUUACUAGCCUAAAAAUGCAAUUUAAAAAAAAGCAUAUUUUUCUAAUUCAAAUAAAAUCUCAAAUAAGAUCCAAAUAAAAAAUAUAUUUGAUUUUUAAAAAUUUCCUCCAAUAUUCCUCUCUUUUGAAGAAGUCAUAUUAUCUUCUCUUUUUUUAUUUUUUAUUGGAAAUAUUUGAAGAAAAAAAUAUUAAUACCAAAUUGAUCCUCUCUUCAGAUUUGAGAAAAAACCAAAUAUGAAAAUAAAUGAAAUCCCUAACUCUCUCCUUGGGUCCUUGAGUUGCUUAGGAUUUCUAGGAUCACAAUCCAAAACACAAAUAUAAUAUGAUGUGCAUACGAUGACCUUUGUAUAACAUCCAAAUUGAAAAUUGGGAUGUUACAAACCUACCCCCCUUAAGAUGAAUCUCGCCCUCGAGAUUCGGGUUGGUCAGCAAAAUGUUUGGGUGGUCUCUACCGAGAUCUUCUUCUUGCUCCCAUGUGGCUUCCUCCUUGAUAAUUUGGCUCCACUGAACUUUGCAAAACUUGAUAACCUUGCUGCGAGUAACUCGGGUCGAAAAUUCGAGAAUCUUGACGGGCUUCUCUUCAUAAGUCAAAUAUCUCUUUAACUGAAUUGCUUCCAGGGCCACUGUAUCCCUCAGAGGAAUAUCAGCCAUGUCUGCAUGGCACUUCUUCAACUGGGAAAUGUGAAACACAUCAUGAACUCCUGACAAUCCUUCUAGCAAUUCUAGCUUGUAUGCAACUUCUCACAUGCGUUCCAAAACUCUAUAUGAUCCCACAAAACGUGGUGCUAGCUUUUCCCUGACUCCAAAACGCUUAACCCCUCGAAGCGGGGACACAUGAAGAUACGCUCUGUCUCCGACUUCGUAAACUAUUUCCUUGCGUUCAGUAUCUGCAUAACUCUUCUGCCUGGACUGGGCUACCUUGAGUCUGUCACAAAUCAACUUAAUCUUCUCUUCAGAGUCUUUGAUUAAAUCCGGUCCGAAUAACUGCCGAUCUCCAACUUCAUCCCACGAUAACGGUGUCCUGCACCUCCUUCCGUACAAGGCUUUGAAAGGGGCCAUCUUCAAACUGGCUUGAUAACUGUUGUUGUAAGAGAACUCUGCAUAAGUCAAAUUGUCAUCCCAACUUCAUCCAUAAUCUAGCGCACAAUCUUUCAACAUGUCCUCCAAAAUCUGAUUGACUCUCUUGGUCUAUCCAUCUAUCUGUGGAUGAAAGGCUGUACUGAACUCUAGCCUGGUACCCAAAGUGUCAUGCAACUGAUUCCAAAACUUUGUGGUAAAUUUGGUUCCUCUAUCUGAUACAAUGGUCCUCGGAACUCCGUGCAGACAUACGAUCCUGGUCAUGUAUAUCUUUGCCAACUUAGCACUCGUAUAAGUGGUCUUCACCGGGAUGAAAUGAGCUACUUUCGUCAAACGUCGACUACAUCCCAGAUAGAGUCAUAGCUUGAACGAGUCCUGGGUAAUCCACUAAUAAAAUCCAUGCCAGGCUUAUCCCACUUCCAUUCGGGUAUCGGCAUUGGCUAUAGCAAUCCAGUUGGCUUCAGAUGCUCUGCCUUAACUCUUUGACAUACAUCACAUACUGCUACAUACUUGGCAAUAUCCUUCUUCAUUGCUGUCCACCAGAAACAUUCCUUCAAAUCCAGGUAUAUCUUAGUGUUUCCUGGGUGAAUUGUAUAUGGCGAAUCAUGGGCCUCCUGUAGAAUCAACUUCCUGAUCUCGGGGUCAUUAGCCACAUAUAAGCGAUUCCUCAAACCAUAAAGUGUCGUGCUCAUCCUCACGAAAUCCUUUAGCCUUUCCUUUACUCAUCCUUUCCUUUAUCUCGGCAAUCUCCUUGUCAGUUUUCUGGGCUUCCCUUAUCUUACCCAAAAGAGUGGACUUAAUUUCCAAUGCUGCAACAUAACCUCUCGGAACUAUCUCCAAACAUAGCUCUCGAAGAUCAUCUGCUAACUCCUUAGGUAAUUCCUCGGUUAUGAGCAUGUUAACAUAACUCUUGCGGCUCAACGCAUCUUCUACUACAUUGGCCUUUCCUAGGUGAUAAUGCAAUUUCAUAUCAUAAUCCUUGAUGAGCUCCAACCAUCUCCUUUGCCCGAGGUUCAAUUCCUUCCGCAUGAAGAUGUAUUUCAAACUCUUAAGAUCCAUGUGUACCUCACAAUGGUUUCCGAUGAGAAAGUGUCUCCAUGUCUUCAGUGCAUGCACUACGGCUGCUAACUCCAUAUCAUGCGUAGCCUAAUUCAGCUCAUGAGGUUUAAGCUGUCGUGAGGCAUAUGAAACAACUCUCCCUUCCUGCAUAAGUACAGCUCCAAGUCCUCGUCGUGAAGCAUCGCAAUAUACUUGAUAAUCCUUACGUUGGUCUUGGAGAAUCAGCACUGGGGCUGUAACCAAACAUUUCUUCAACUCCUGAAAAAUAGCUUCACAUUCCUCAGUCCAUUUGAAAUUGGUGUCCUUCUUCAAUAACUCUAUCAUGGGCUUUGCAAUCCUAAAGAAAUUCUCAAUGAACCUUCGAUAAUAACCUGCGAGUCCAAGAAAACUUCUGAUCUCUCCAACUGAUGUGGGUGCCACCCAUUUAGUCAAAGAAGCAACCUUGGUAGGGUCUACUGCUAUUCCUUCUCUGGAUAUAAUGUUCGAGAAAUCCAACUUCCUUUAGCCAGAACUCACAUUUGCUGAACUUGCAUCCAACUGAUGUUCUCUGAGCUUCUCAAGAACCAAACGCAAAUGCUCCUUAUGCUCCUCUUCGUUCUUCAAGGAGACCAAUAUAUCAUCAAUGAACACCACGAUGAACUUAUCCAAAAACUCAAUAAAAACUUUGUUCAUCAUGUUCAUGAAAUAGGUAGGCGUGUUAGUGAGACCAAAUGACAUAACAUUAUACUCAUAUAGCCCGUACCUUAUGGUAAAAGCUGUCUUAGGUAUAUCCUGCUCUCGGAUCUUCAACUGGUGAUAACAUGAUCGAAGAUCGAUCUUAGAGAAAACUUUAGCUCCUUGCAACUGGUCAAACAAAUCAUUGAUCAUCGGCAGUGGGUAUUUGUUCUUGAUCGUCACCUCACGCAACGCACGAUAAUCGACAACCAUCCUUAAAGAUCCAUCCUUCUUCUCCACUAGAAGCAUUGGGGCUCCCCAAGGUGAUGAACUUGGUCGAAUGUAACCUUUAUCCAAUAACUCCUUUAUCUGUUUCUUAAUUUCCUCCAGAUCUUGUGCGGGCAUCCGAUACAGUCUCUUUGAUAUUUGUCCAGUGCAUGGCAAUAGCUCAAUCAAAAACAUAAUGUCUCGAUCAGGUGGCAUGCCUGGUAACUCCUCUGGAAAUACGUCGGGGUAAUCCUUCACCACUUGUACUUCCUCCUGUACAACUCCUAAUAAGGAAUUCACUUGAGUCCUCUUCGGCACAUGCCGGGGUACACACUUGAUCCUGUUUCCUUCUGGGGUGGUGAGAAGUAUCGACUUACUAGCACAAUCAAUGUUUCCACCAUACUUCGAUAACCAAUCCAUGCCUAGUAUUACAUCCAAUCCUUGUGACUCCAAAAUUAUUAGAUCAAAGGGAAACACAUGGCUACCAAUGGUUAAAGGUAACCAAUCACACCAUUGGCUGGCCAUAUACUCUGCUCCUGGUGAGCUUACUAACAUGGGUGACCUAAGGGCUAGGGUUGGCAACUUAAUCUUGUCCACAUAUCCCCUUGAUAUGUAUUAAUGCGAUGCACCAGUGUCGAAAAGAGCAAGUGCAGUAAAUGCAUUAAUAAAAAACUUAUCGACAAUUGCGUCGGGUUGAUCCUCAAUCUCCUCCACGCUGAUGUGGUUCACCUGACCUUUGGUGGAGGGGUUGGGAUUCUUGGCAGAACCUCCAUUGCCAUUUCCAUUCUUCACUUUAGGACAUUCAAUGGCAUAAUGUCCGGUCUUCUGGCACUUGAAACAGGUAAUGUGUCUCAGAUCCCUCUUAGUUGGUGUUGAAGGGUUGGAAAGGUUCUGGCUGCUGCCUCCUCUACUCCCAUUGCCAUUCUUGGGGCCACUGUGGUUGUGCGAACUUGCUCCGUUGUGCAUGUGUCCUCCAUGGUUAUGGUGUCCAUGGUUGUGGGUAUGUCCUCCCGAGUACGGGGAAUAGCGGGGCUUCUACUAAGCUCUUGAAGUGUACCUCCCCUGUGUUGGGGAACGUAGUAAUUUCAAAAAAUUUCCUACGCACAUGCAAGAUCAUGGAGAUGCAUAGCAACGAGAGGGGAGAGUAUUGUCCACGUACCCUCGUAGACCGAAAGCGGAAGCGUUAUGACAACGCGGUUGAUGUGGUCGUACGUCUUCGCGAUCUGACCGAUCCAAGUACCGAACGUACGGCACCUCCGAGUUCAGCACACGUUCAGCUCGAUGACGAUCCCCGGACUCCGAUCCAGCAAAGUGUCGGGGAUGAGUUCCGUCAGCACAACGACGUGGUGACGAUGAUGAUGUUCUACCGGUGCAUGGCUUCGCCUAAACUCCGCGACGAUAUGACCGAGGUGGAAUAUGGUGGAGGGGGGCACCGCACACGGCUAAGGAUCGAUCACGAAGAUCAACUUGUGUGUUAUGGGGUGCCCCCUGCCCCCGUAUAUAAAGGAUCAAGGGGGAGGGGGCGGCCGGCCUAGGAGGAGGCGCGCCAAGGGGAGUCCUACUCCCACCGGGAGUAGGACUCCCUCCUUCCUUGUUGGAGUAGGAGAAGGGGAAAGAGGGGGAGAGGAAGAAGGAAAAAGGGGGCUGCGCCCCUUGUCCAAUUCGGACCACAGGGGGGGCGCAGGCCUCCUUCCUUUUGGCCUCUCUCCUCUAUUCCCGUGUGGCCCAAUAAGGCCCAUAUACUCCCCGGCGAAUUCCCGUAACUCUCCGGUACUCCCAAAAAUACCCGAAUCACUCGAAACCUUUCCGAACUCCGAAUAUAAUCGUCCAAUAUAUCGAUCUUUAUGUAUCGACCAUUUAGAGACUCCUCGUCAUGUCCCCGAUCUCAUCCGGGACUCCGAACUCCUUCGGUACAUCAAAACUCAUAAACUCAUAAUAUAACUGUCAUCGAAACCUUAAGCGUGCGGACCCUACGGGUUCGAGAACUAUGUAGACAUGACCUAGAACUAUUCUCGGUCAAUAACCAAUAGCGGAACCUGGAUGCUCAUAUUGGCUCCUACAUAUUCUACAAAGAUCUUUAUCGGUCAAACCGCAUAACAACAUACGUUGUUCCCUUUGGCAUCGGUAUGUUACUUGCCCGAGAUUCGAUCGUCGGUAUCCAAUACCCAGUUCAAUCUCGUUACUGGCAAGUCUCUUUACUCGUUACGUAAUACAUCAUCCCGCAACUAACUCAUUAGUUACAACGCUUGCAAGGCUUAUAGUGAUGUGCAUUACUGAGUGGGCCCAGAGAUACCUCUCCGAUAAUCGGAGUGACAAAUCCUAAUCUCGAAAUACGCCAACCCAACAUGUACCUUCGGAGACACCUGUAGAGCUCCUUUAUAAUCACCCAGUUACGUUGUGACAUUUGGUAGCACACAAAGUGUUCCUCCGGUAAACGGGAGUUGCAUAAUCUCAUAGUUACAGGAACAUGUAUAAAUCACGAAGAAAGCAAUAGCAAUAUACUAAACGAUCAAGUGCUAGGCUAACGGAAUGGGUCAUGUCAAUCACAUCAUUCUCCUAAUGAUGUGAUCCCGUUAAUCAAAUGACAACUCUUUUGUCCAUGGCUAGGAAACUUAACCAUCUUUGAUUCACGAGCUAGUCAAGUAGAGGCAUACUAGUGACACUAUGUUUGUCUAUGUAUUCACACAUGUAUUAUGUUUCCGGUUAAUACAAUUCUAGCAUGAAUAAUAAACAUUUAUCAUUAAAUAAGGAAAUAAAUAAUAACUUUAUUAUUGCCUCUAGGGCAUAUUUCCUUCAGUCUCCCACUUGCACUAGAGUCAAUAAUCUAGUUCACAUCGCCAUGUGAUUUAACACUAAUAUUCAUAUCUGUAUAUGAUUAACACCCAUAGUUCACAUCAUCAUGUGACUAACACCCAAAGGGUUUACUAGAGUCAAUAAUCUAAUUCACAUCGCUAUGUGAUUAACACCCAAAGAGUACUAAGGUGUGAUCAUGUUUUGCUCGUGAGAGAAGCUUAGUCAAUGGGUCUGUCACAUUCAGAGCCGUAUGUAUUUUACAAAUAUUCUAUGUCUACAAUGCUCUGCACGUAGCUACUCUAGCUAAUUGCUCCCACUUUCAAUAUGUAUCCAGAUUGAGACUUAGAGUCAUCUAGAUCGGUGUAAAAGCUUGCACCGAUGUAACUCUUUACAACGGGCUCUUUUAUCACCUCCAUAAUCGAGAAAUAUUUCCUUAUUCCACUAAGGAUAAUUUUGACGAACGUCCAGUGAUCUACUCCUAGAUCACUAUUCUACUCCCUUGCCAAAUUCAGAGCAAGGUAUACAAUAGGUCUGGUACAUAGCAUAGCAUACUUUAUAGAACAUAUGACUGAGGCAUGGGGAAUGACUUUCAUUCUCUUUUCUAUUUUCUGCCGUGGUCGGGAUUUGAGUCUUACUCAAUUUCACACCUUUUCAAUACAGGUAAGAACUCUUUCUUUGACUGUUCCAUUUUUGAACUAUUUCAAAAUCUUGACAAGGUAUGUAAUUAUUGAAAAACUAAUCAAGCGUCUUGAUCUAUCUCAAUAGAUUUUGAUGCUCAAUAUGUAUGUAGCUUUACUGAGGUCUUUCUUUUAAAGAACUCCUUUCAAAUACUCCUUUAUGCUUUCCAGAAAAAUUCUACAUCAUUUCUGAUCAACAAUAUGUUACUCACAUAUAUUUAUCAGAAAGGCGGUAGUGCUCCCACUCACUUUUUUGUAAAUACAGGCUUCACCGCAAGUCUGUAUAAAACUAUAUGCUUUGAUCAAUUUAUCAAAGCGUAUAUUCCAACUCUGAGAUGCUUGCACCAGUCCAUAGAUGGAUCGCUGGAGCUUGCACAUUUUGUUAGCACCUUUAGGAUUGAUAAAACCUUCAUCAUAUACAACUCUUCUUCCAGAAAUCCAUUCAAGAAUGCAGUUUUGACAUCCAUUUGCCAAGUUUCAUAAUCAUAAAAUGCAGCAAUUGCUAACAUGAUUCGGAAAGACUUAAGCAUCGCUACGGGUGAGAAAGUCUCAUCGUAGUCAACCCCUUGAACUUGUCGAAAACCUUUCACAACAAGUCGAGCUUUAUAGACAGUUACAUUACCAUCAGCGUCAGUCUUCUUCUUAAAGAUCCAUUUAUUCUCAGUGACUUGCCGAUCAUCGGGCAAGUCAACCAAAGUCCAUACUUUGUUCUCAUACAUGGAUCUCAUCUCAGAUUUCAUGGCCUCUAGCCAUUUUGCAGAAUCUGGGCUCAUCAUCGCUUCCUCAUAGUUCGUAGGUUCAUCAUGGUCAAGUAACAUGACUUCCAGAAUAGGAUUACCGUACCACUCUGGUGCGGAUCUUACUCUGGUCGACCUACGAGGUUCAGUAGAAACUUGAUCUGAAGUUUCAUGAUCAAUAUCAUUAGCUUCCGCACUAAUUGGUGUAGUUGUCACAGGAACCGGUUCUUGUGAUGAACUACUUUCCAAUAAGGGAGCAGGUAUAGUUACCUCAUCAAGUUCUACUUUCCUCCCACUCACUUCUUUCGAGAGAAACUCCUUCUCUAGAAAGGAUCCGAAUUUAAGCAACAAAUAUCUUGCCUUCGGAUCUGUGAUAGAAGGUGUACCCAACAAUUUCCUUUGGGUAUUCUAUGAAGACGCAUUUCUCCGAUUUGGGUUUGAGCUUAUCAGGAUGAAACUUUUCACAUAAGCAUCGCAGCCCCAAACUUUAAGAAACGACAACUUGGGUUUCUUGCUAAACCACAGUUCAUAUGGUGUCGUCUCAACGGAUUUAGAUGGUGCCCUAUUAAACGUGAAUGCAGCUGUCUCUAAUGCAUAACCCCAAAACGAUAGUGGUAAACCGAUAAGAGACAUCAUAGAUCGCACCAUAUCUAGUAAAGUACAAUUACGACAUUCGGACACACCAUUACAUUGUGGUGUUCCAGGUGACAUGAGUUGUGAAACUAUUUCACAUUGUUUCAAAUGAACACCAAACUCGUAAUUCAAAUAUUCGUCUCCGUUUUCAGAUCGCAGAAACUUUAUUUUCUUGUUACGAUGAUUUUUUCACUUCACUCUCAAAUUCUUUGAACCUUUCAACUAUUUCAGACAUAUGUUUCAUCAAGUAGAUAUACCUAUAUCUACUCAAAUCAUCUUGUGAAGGUCAAAAAAUAACGAUACUUGCCACGAGCAUCAACACUCAUUGGAUCGCAUACAUCGGUAUGUAUUAUUUCCAAUAAGUCAGUAGAUUGUUCCAUUGUUCCGGAGAAUGGAGUUUUAGUCAUCUUGCCCAAAAGGCACGGUUCGCAAACAUCAAAUGAUUCAUAACCAAGUGAUUCUGAAAAUCCAUCUUUAUGGAGUUUCUUCAUGCGCUUUACACCGAUAUGACCCAAACGGCAGUGCCACAAAUAAGUUGCACUAUCAUUAUUAACUUUGCAUCUUUUGGCAUCAAUAUUAUGAAUAUGUGUAUCACUACAAUCGAGAUCCAACAAACUAUUUUGAUUGGGUGUAUGACCAUUUGAAGGUUUUAUUCAUGUAAACAGAACAACAAUUAUUCUCUGACUUUAAAUGAAUAACCGUAUUGCAAUAAACAUGAUCAAAUCAUAUUCAUGCUCAACGCAAACGCCAAAUAACAUUUAUUUAGGUUGAACACUAAUCCCGAAAGUAUAGGGAGUGUGCGAUUAUGAUCAUAUCAAUCUUGGAACUACUUCCAGCACUCAUCGUCACUUCCCCUUCAACUAGUCUCUGUUUAUUUUGUAUCUCAUGUUUCGAGUUACUAAUCUUAGCAACCGAACAAGUAUCAAAUACUCAAGGUCUACUAUAAACACUAGUAAGGCAUACAUCAAUAACCUGUAUAUCAAAUAUACCCUUGUUCACUUUGCCAUUCUUCUUAUCCACCAAAUAUUCAGGGCAUUUCCGCUUCCAGUGACCAUUUCCUUUGCAGUGUAAACACUCAGUUUCAGGCUUUGGUCCAUCUUUGGUCUUCUUCAUGGGAGUGACAACUUGUUUGCCAUUCUACUUGAAGUUUCCCUUUCUUUCCCUUUGCCCUUUUCUUGAAACUAGUGGUCUUGUCAAUCAUCAACACUUGAUGCUCUUUCUUGAUAUCUACCUUCGUCGAUUUCAACAUCAUGAAGAGCUCGGGAAUCAUUUUCGUCAUCCCUUGCAUACUAUAGUUCAUCAUGAAGUUCUAGUAACUUAGUAAUGGUGACUAGAGAAUUCUGACAAUCACUAUCUUAUCUGGAAGAUUAACUCCCACUUGAUUCAGGCGAUUGAAGUACCCAGACAAUCUGAGCACAUGCUCACUAGUUGAGCGAUUCUCCUCCAUCUUUUAGCUAUAGAACUUGUUGGAGACUUCAUAUCUCUCAACUCUGGUAUUUGCUUUAAAUAUUAACUUCAAUACCUGGAACAUCUUAUAUGGUCCAUGUGAAGGAAAUAUGCCCUAGAGGCAAUAAUAAAGUUAUUAUUUAUUUCCUUAUUUCAUGAUAAAUGUUUAUUAUUCAUGCUAGAAUUGUAUUAACCGGAAACAUGAUACAUGUGUGAAUACAUAAACAAACAUAUAGUCACUAGUAUGCUUCCACUUGACUAGCUCAUUAAUCAAAGACAGUUAUGUUUCCUAACCAUAGACAUGUGUUGUCAUUUGAUUAACGGGAUCACAUCAUUAGGAGAAUGAUGUGAUUGACAUGACCCAUUCCGUUAGCCUAGCAUUUGAUCGUUUAAUAUGUUGCUAUUGCUUUCUUCAUGACUUAUACAUGUUCCUGUAACUAUGAGAUUAUGCAACUCCCGUUUACCGGAGGAACACUUUGGGUGCUACCAAACGUCACAACGUAACUGGGUGAUUAUAAAGGAGUACUACAGGUGUCUCCAAAGGUACAUGUUGGGUUGGCGUAUUUCGAGAUUAGGUUUUAUCACUCCGAUUGUCGGAGAGGUAUCUCUGGGCCCUCUCGGUAAUGCACAUCACUAUAAGCCUUGCAAGCAAUGUAGCUAAUGAGUUAGUUACGGAAUGAUGCAUUACGUAACGAGUAAAGAGACUUGCCGAUAACGAGAUUGAACUAGGUAUUGGAUACCGACGAUCGAAUCUCGGGCAAGUAACAUACCGAUGACCAAGGGAACAACAUAUGUUGUUAUGCGGUUUGACCGAUAAAGAUCUUCGUAGAAUAUGUAGGAGCCAAUAUGGGCAUCCAGGUUCCGCUAAUGGUUAUUGACCAAGAAUAGUUCUAGGUCAAGUCUACAUAGUUCUCGAACCCGUACGCGCUUAACGUUACGAUGACAGUUUUAUUAUGAGUUUAUGAGUUUUGACGUACCGAAGGAGUUCGGAGUCCCGGGUGAGAUCAGGGACAUGAUGAGGAGUCUCGAAAUGGCCGAGACGUAAAGAUCGAUAUAUUGGACGACUAUAUACGGACAUCGGAAAGGUUCCGAGUGAUUCGGGUAUUUUCGGGGGUACCGGGGAGUUACGGGAAUACGAGGAAGAAGCAAUGGGCCUCAUGGGCCAAGUGGUGGAAGAGAGGAGGCAGGGCGUGCGGCCCCCCUAGCCCAAACCAAAUUGGACUAGGGGGCCGGCCCCCCUUUCCUACUCUUCCUCCCUCUCACUCCUUCUCCUUCUCCUUCCCUUCCUUCCCCUCUCCUAGUUGGACUAGGAAAGGAGGGACUCCUACUCCCGGUGGGAGUAGGACUCCUCCCUGGCGCGCCCUCCCUUGGCCGGCCACCUCCUCCCCCUUGCUCCUUUAUAUACGGGGGUAGGGGGGCACCCCAUGAAACACAAGUUGAUCUACGGAUCGUUCCUUAGCUGUGUGCGGUGCCCCCCUCCACCAUAUUCCACCUCGGUCAUAUCGUCGCGGAGUUUAGGCGAAGCCCUGCGCCGGUAGAACAUCAUCAUCGUCACCACGCCGUCAUGCUGACGGAACUCAUCCCCGAAGCUUUCCUGGAUCGGAGCCUGGGGAUCGUCAUCGAGCUGAACGUGUGCUGAACUCGGAGGUGCCGUACGUUCGGUGCUUGGAUCGGUCGGAUCGUGAAGACAUAUGAUUACAUCAACCGCGUUGUCAUGACGCUUCCGCUUACGGUCUACGAGGGUACGUGGACAACACUCUCCCCUCUCGUUUCUAUGUCAUCACCAUGAUCUUGCAUGUGCGUAGGAAAUUUUCUGAAAUUACUACGUUCCCCAACAGUGGCAUCUGAGCUAGGUUUUAUGCGUAGAUGUCAUAUGCAUGAGUAGAACACAAGUGAGUUGUGGGCGAUACAAGUCAUACUGCUUACCAGCAUGUCAUACUUUGGUUCGGCGGUAUUGUGAGAGGAAGCGGCCCGGACCGACAUUACGCGUAUGCUUACGCGAGACUGGUUUCACUGUUACGAGCACUCGUGCUUAAAGGUGGCUGGCGGGUGUCUGUCUCUCUCAGUUUAGCUAAAUCGAUUGUGGCUACGCCCGGUCCUUGCGAAGGUUAAAACAACACCAACUUGACGAACUAUCAUUGUGGUUUUGAUGCGUAGGUAAGAACGGUUCUUGCUAAGCCCGUAGCAGCCACGUAAAACUUGCAACAACAAAGUUGAGGACGUCUAACUUGUUUUUGCAGGGCAUGUUGUGAUGUGAUAUGGUCAAGACGUGAUGCUAUAUUUUAUUGUAUGAGAUGAUCAUGUUUUGUAACCGAAGUUAUCGGCAACUGGCAGGAGCCAUACGGUUGUCGCUUUAUUGUAUGAAAUGGAAACACCCUGUAAUUGCUUUACUUUGUCACUAAGCGGUAGCGAUAGUCGUAGAAGCAAUAGAUGGCGUAACGACAAUGAUGCUACGAUGGAGAUCAAGCUGUCGCGCCAGUGACGAUGGUGAUCACGACGGUGCUUUGAAGAUGGAGAUCACAAGCACAAGAUGAUGAUGGCCAUAUCAUAUCACUUAUAUUGAUUGCAUGUGAUGUUUAUCCUUUAUGCAUCUUAUCUUGCUUUGAUUGACGGUAGCAUUUUAAGAUGAUCUCUCACUAAAAAUUAUCAAGAAGUGUUCUCCCUGAGUAUGCACCGUUGCCAAAGUUCGUCGUGCCCAGACACCACGUGAUUAUCGGGUGUGAUAAGCUCUACGUCCAUCUACAACGGGUGCAAGCCAGUAUUUGCACACGCAGAAUACUCAGGUUAAACUUGACGAGCCUAGCAUAUGCAGAUAUGGCCUCGGAACACGGAGACCGAAAGGUCGAGCAUGAAUCAUAUAGUAGAUAUGAUCAACAUAGUGAUGUUCACCAUUGAAAACUACUCCAUCUCACGUGAUGAUCGCUUAUGGUUUUGUUGAUUUGGAUCACGUGAUCACUUAGAUGACUAGAGAGAUGUCUGUCUAAGUGGGAGUUCUUAAGUAAUAUGAUUAAUUGAACUUAAAUUUAUCAUGAACUUAGUCCUGGUAUUAUUUUGCAAAUUAUGUUAUAGAUCAAUAGCUCGCGUUGUUGCUUUCAUAUGUUUAUUUUGAUAUGAUCCUAGAGAAAACUGUGUUGAAAAAUGUUAGUAGCAAUGAUGCGGAUUGGAUCCGUGAUCUGAGGUUUAUCCUCAUUGCUGCACAGAAGAAUUAUGUCCUUAAUGCACCGCUUGGUGAUAGACCUAUUGCAGGAGCAGAUGCAGAUGUUAUGAACGUCUGGCUAGAUCAAUAUGAUGACUACUUGAUAGUUUAGUGCACCAUGCUUAACGACUUAGAAUCGGGACUUCAAAGAUGCUUUGAACGUCAUGGACCAUAUGAGAUGUUCCAGAAAUUGAAGUUGAUAUUUCAAGCAAAUACCCGAGUUGAGAGAUAUGAAGUCUCCAACAAGUUCUAUAGCUAAAAGAUGGAGGAGAAUCGCUCAACUACUGAGCAUGUGCUCAGAUUGUCUGUGUACUUCAAUCGCUUGAAUCAAGUGGGAGUUAAUCUUCCAGAUAAGAUAGUGAUUGACAGAAUUCUCUAGUCACCAUCACUAAGUUACUAGAACUUCGUGAUGAACUAUAGUAUGCAAGGGAUGACGAAAACGAUUCCUGAGCUCUUCGUGAUGUUGAAAUCGACGAAGGUAGAAAUCAAGAAAGAGCAUCAAGUGUUGAUGAUUGACAAGACCACUAGUUUCAAGAAAAGGGCAAAGGCAAAGAAAGGGAAACUUCAAGUAGAAUGGCAAACAAGUUGUCACUCCCAUGAAGAAGACCAAAGCUGGACCAAAGGCUGAAACUGAGUGUUUACACUGCAAAGGAAAUGGUCACUGGAAGCGGAAAUGCCCUGAAUAUUUGGUGGAUAAGAAGGAUGGCAAAGUGAACAAGGGUAUAUUUGAUAUACAGGUUAUUAAUGUGUGCCUUACUAGUGUUUAUAGUAGCCCCUGAGUAUUUGAUACUUGUUCGGUUGCUAAGAUUAGUAACUCGAAACAGGAGUUACAUAAUAAACAGAGACUAGUUGAGGGGAAGUGACGAUGAGUGUUGGAAGUAGUUCCAAGAUUGAUAUGAUCAUCAUCGCACACUCCCUAUACUUUUGGGAUUAGUGUUAAACCUAAAUAAAUGUUAUUUGGCGUUUGCGUUGAGCAUGAAUAUGAUUUGAUCAUGUUUAUUGCAAUACGGUUAUUCAUUUAAAAUCAGAGAAUAAUUGUUGUUCUGUUUACAUGAAUAAAACCUUCAAUGGUCAUACACCCAAUGAAAAUAGUUUGUUGGAUCUCGAUCGUAGUGAUACACAUAUUCAUAAUAUUGAUGCCAAAAGAUGCAAAGUUAAUAAUGAUAGUGCAAUUUAUUUGUGGCACUGCUGUUUGGGUCAUAUCAGUGUAAAGCGCAUGAAGAAACUCCAUAAAGAUGGAUUUUCGGAAUCACUUGGUUAUGAAUCAUUUGAUGCUUGUGAACCGUGCCUUUUUGGCUAGAUGACUAAAACUCCGUUCUCCAGAAGAAUAGAACAAGCUACUGACUUAUUGGAAAUAAUACAUACCAAUGUAUGCGAUCUAAUGAGUGUUGAUGCUCGUGGCAAGUAUCGUUAUUUUCUGACCUUCACAAGAUGAUUUGAGCAGAUAUGGGUAUAUCUACUUGAUGAAACAUAAGGCUGAAAUAGUUGAAAGGUUCAAAGAAAUUCAGAGUGAACUGGAAAAAUCAUCGUAACAAGAAAAUAAAGUUUCUGCGAUCUGAUCGCGAAGACGAAUAUUUGAGUUAUGAGUUUGGUCUUCAAUUAAAACAAUGUGGAAUAGUUUCACAAACUCACGCCACCUGGAACACCACAAUGUAAUGGUGUGUCCGAACGUCAUAAUCGUACUUUACUAGAUAUGGUGCGAUCUAUGAUAUCUCUUAUCAGUUUACCACUAUCGUUUUGGGGUUAUGCAUUAGAGACAUCUGCAUUCACGUUUAAUAGGGCACCAUCUAAAUCCGUUGAGACGACACCGUAUGAACUAUGGUUUAGCAGUAAACCUAAGCUGUCGUUUCUUAAAUUUUGGGGCUGCGAUGCUUAUGUGAAAAAGUUUCAACCUGAUAAGCUCGAACCCAAAUCGAAGAAGUGCCUCUUCAUAGAAUACCCAAAGGUAACUAUUGGGUACACCUUCUGUCACAGAUCCGAUGGCAAGUUAUUCGUUGCUAAGAUGGAUCCUUUCUAGAGAAGAAGUUUCUCUCGAAAGAAGUGAGUGGGAGGAAAGUAGAAACUUGAUGAGGUAAUUGUACCUUCUCCCUUAUUGGAAAGUACUUCAUCACAGAAAUCAGUUCCAGUGAUUCUUACACCAAUUAGUGAGGAAGUUAAUGAUGAUGAUCAUGAAACUUCAGAUCAAGUUUCUACCAAACCUCGUAGGUCUUUCAGAGUAAGAUCCGCACCAGAGUGGUACGGUAAUCAUGUUCUGGAAGUCAUGUUACUAGACCAUGAUGAACCUACGAACUAUGAGGAAGCGAUGAUGAGCCCAGAUUCCACGAAAUGGCUUGAGGCCAUAAAAUCUGAGAUAUGAUCCAUGUAUGAGAACAAAGUAUGGACUUUGAUUGACUUGCUCGAUGAUCAGCAAGCCAUGUUAAAUAAAUGGAUCUUCAAGAAGAAGACGGACACUGAUAGUAGCGUUACUAUCUACUAAGCUCAACUUGUUGCGAAAGGCUUUCAACAUGUUUAAGGUGUUGAAUACGAUGAGAUUUUCUCACUCGUAUCGAAGCUUAAGUCUGUCUGAAUCAUGUUAGCAAAUGCCACAUUUUAUGAAAUCUGGCAAAUGGAUGUCAAAACUGCAUUCCUUAAUGGAUUUAUUAAAGAAGAGUUGUAUAUGAUGCAACCAGAAGGUUUUGUCAAUCCUAAAGGUGCUAACAAAGUGUGCAAGCUCCGGCGAUCCAUUUAUGGACUGGUGCAAGCCUCUCGGAGUUGGAAUAUAUGCUUUGAUGAGUUGAUGAAAGCAUAUGGUUUUAUACAGACUUUUUGAGAAGCCUGUAUUUACAAGAAAGUGAGUGGGAGCUCUGUAGCAUUUCUAAUAUUAUAUGUGGGUGACAUAUUGUUGAUUGGAAAUGAUAUAGAAAUUCUGGAUAGCAUGAAAGGAUAGUUGAAAAAGAGUUUUUCAAAGCAAGACCUCGGUGAAGCUGCUUACACAUUGAGCAUCAAGAUCCAUAUAGAUAGAUCAAGACGCUUGAUAAGAUUUUUCAAUGAGUACAUACCUUGAUAAAUUUUUGAAUAGUUCAAAAUGGAACAGUCAAAGAAGGAAUUCUUGCCUGUGAUGCAAAGGUGUGAAGUUGCGUAAGACUCAAGACCCGACCAUGGCAGAAAAUAUAAAGAAAAUGAAAAGUCAUUCCCUAUGCCUCAGUCAUAGGUUCUAUAAAGUAUGCUAUGCUGUGAACCAGACCCAUUGUAUACCUUGCUCUGAGUUUGACAAAGGAAUACAAUUUUGAUCUAAGAGUAGAUCACUGGACAGCAGUCAAGAAUAUCCUUAGUGAGGACUAAGGAGAUGUUUCUCGAUUAUGGAGGUGAUAAAAGAGCCCGUCUUAAAAAGUUACAAUGAUGCAAGCUUUUUACACCGAUCCAGAUGACUCUAAGUCUCAAACUGGAUACAUAUUGAAAGUGGGAGAAAUUAGCUAGAGUAGCUCCGUGCAGAGCAUUGUAGACAUAGAAGAUUUGCAAAAUACAUACGGCUCUGAAUAUGACAGACCCGUUGACUAAGCUUCUCUCACGAGCAAAACAUGAUCACACCUUAGUACUCUUUGGGUGUUAAUCACAUGACGAUGUGAACUAGAUUAUUGACUCUAGUAAACCCUUUGGGUGUUGGUCACGUGACGAUGUGAACUAUGGGUGUUAAUCAUAUAUAGAUAUGAAUAUUGAUGUUAAAUCACAUGGCGAUGUGAACUAGAUUAUUGACUCUAGUGCAAGUGGGAGACUGAAGGAAAUAUGCCCUAGAGGCAAUAAUAAAGUUAUUAUUUAUUUCCUUAUUUCAUGAUAAAUGUUUAUUAUUCAUGCUAGAAUUGUAUUAACCAGAAACAUGAUACAUGUGUGAAUACAUAAACAAACAUAUAGUCACUAGUAUGCCUCUACUUGACUAGCUCAUUAAUCAAAGAUGGUUAUGUUUCCUAACCAUAGACAUGUGUUGUCAUUUGAUUAACGGGAUCACAUCAUUAGGAGAAUGAUGUGAUUGACAUGACCCAUUCUGUUAGCCUAGCACUUGAUCGUUUAAUAUGUUGCUAUUGCUUUCUUCAUGACUUAUACAUGUUCCUGUAACUAUGAGAUUAUGCAACUCCCGUUUACCGGAGGAACACUUUGGAUGCUACCAAACGUCACAACAUAACUGGGUGAUUAUAAAGGAGUACUACAGGUGUCUCCAAAGGUACAUGUUAGGUUGGCGUAUUUCGAGAUUAGGUUUUGUCACUCCGAUUGUCGGAGAGGUAUCUCUGGGCCCUCUCGGUAAUGCACAUCACUAUAAGCCUUGCAAGCAAUGUAGCUAAUGAGUUAGGUACGGAAUGAUGCAUUACGUAACGAGUAAAGAGAGUUGCCGAUAACGAGAUUGAACUAUGUAUUGGAUACCGACGAUCGAAUCUCGGGCAAGUAACAUACCAAUGACAAAGGGAACAACGUAUGUUGUUAUGCGGUUUGACCGAUAAAGAUCUUCGUAGAAUAUGUAGGAGCCAAUAUGGGCAUCCAGGUUCCGCUAUUGGUUAUUGACCAAGAAUAGUUCCAGGUCAUGUCUACAUAGUUCUCGAACCCGUAGGGUCCGCACGCUUAACGUUACGAUGACAGUUUUAUUAUGAGUUUAUGAGUUUUGAUGUACCAAAGGAGUUCGGAGUCUCGGGUGAGAUCGGGGACAUGACGAGGAGUCUCGAAAUGGUCGAGACGUAAAGAUCGAUAUAUUGGACGACUAUAUUCGGACAUCGUAAAGGUUCCGAGUGAUUCGGGUAUUUUCGGGGGUACCGGGGAGUUACGGGAAUACGAGGAAGAAGCAAUGGGCCUCAUGGGUCAAGUGGUGGAAGAGAGGAGGCAGGGCGCACGGCCCCCCCUAGCCCAAACCGAAUUGGACUAGGGGGCCGGCCCCACUUUCCUACUCUUCCUCCCUCUCCUUCCUUCUCCUUCUCCUUCCCUUCCUUCCCCUCUCCUAGUUGGACUAGGAAAGGAGGGAGUCCUACUCCCGGUGGGAGUAGGACUCCUCCCUGGCGCGCCCUCCCUUGGCCGGCCGCCUCCUCCCCCUUGCUCCUUUAUAUACGGGGGCAGGGGGGCACCCCAUGAAACACAAGUUGAUCUACGGAUCAUUCCUUAGCCGUGUGCGGUGCCCCCCUCCACCAUAUUCCACCUCGGUCAUAUCGUCGCGGAGUUUAGGCGAAGCCCUGCGCCGGUAGAACAUCAUCAUCAUCACCAUGCCAUCAUGCUGACGGAACUCAUCCCCGAAGCUUUGCUGGAUCGGAGCCCGGGGAUCGUCAUCGAGCUGAACGUGUGCUGAACUCGGAGGUGCCGUACGUUCGGUGCUUGGAUUGGUCAGAUCGUGAAGACGUACGAUUACAUCAACCGCGUUGUCAUAGCGCUUCCGCUUACGGUCUACGAGGGUACGUGGACAACACUCUCCCCUCUUGUUGCUAUGUCAUCACCAUGAUCUUGCGUGUGCGUAGGAUUUUUUUUGAAAUUACUACGUUCCCCAACACCAUGACGUUCAAAACGUCUUUGAAGUCCCGAUUCUAAGUCGUUAAGCAUGGUGCACUAAACUAUCAAGUAGUAAUCAUAUUGAGAUAGCCAGACGUUCAUAACGUCUGCAUCUGCUCCUGCAAUAGGUCUGUCACCUAGCGGUGCAUUAAGGACAUAAUUUUUCUGUGCAGCAAUGAGGAUAAACCUCAGAUCACGGAUCCAAUCUGCAUCAUUGCUACUAACAUUUUUCAACACAAUUUUCUCUAGGAACAUAUGAAAAUAAUCAUAUGAAAGCAACAAUACGAGCUAUUGAUCUACAACAUAAUUUGCAAAAUACUACCAGGACUAAGCUCAUGAUAAAUUUAAGUUCAAUUAAUCAUAUUACUUAAGAACUCCCACUUAGACAGACAUCUCUCUAGUCAUCUAAGUGAUCAUGUGAUCCAAAUCAACUAAACCAUGUCCAAUCAUCACGUGAGAUGGAGUAGUUUCAAUGGUGAACAUCACUAUGUUGAUCAUAUCUACUAUAUGAUUCACGUUCGACCUUUCGGUCUCCGUGUUCCGAGGCCAUAUCUUUUAUAUGCUAGGCUCGUCAAGUUUAACUUGAGUAUUCCGCGUGCGCAACUGUUUUGGACCCGUUGUAUUUGAACGUAGAGCAUAUCACACCCGAUCAUCACGUGGUUUCUCAGCACGAAGAACUUUCACAACGGUGCAUACUCAGGGAGAACACUUCUUGAUAAUUUUUAGUGAGAGAUCAUCUUAAAAUGCUAUCGUCAAUCAAAGCAAGAUAAGAUGCAUAAAGGAUAAACAUCACAUGCAAUCAAUAUAAGUGAUAUGAUAUGGCCAUCAUCAUCUUGUGCUUGUGAUCUCCAUCUCCGAAGCACCGUCGUGAUCACCAUCGUCACUGGCGCGACACCUUGAUCUCCAUCGUAGCAUCGUUGUCGUUACGCCAUCUGUUGCUUCUACGACUAUCGCUAUCGCUUAGUGAUAAAGUAAAGCAAUUACAGGGCGUUUGCAUUUCAUACAAUAAAGCGACAACCAUAUGGCUCCUGCCAGUUGCCGAUAACUUCGGUUACAAAACAUGAUCAUCUCAUACAAUAAAAUAUAGCAUCACGUCUUGACCAUAUCACAUCACAACAUGCCCUGCAAAAACAAGUUAGACGUCCUCUACUUUGUUGUUGCAAAUUUUAUGUGGCUGCUACGGGCUUAGCAAGAACCGUUCUUACCUACGCAUCAAAACCACAACGAUAGUUCGUCAAGUUAGUGCUGUUUUAACCUUCGUAAGGACCGGGCGUAGCCACACUCGGUUGAACUAAAGUGAGAGAGACAGACACCCGCCAGUCACCUUUAAGCACGAGUGCUCAUAACGGUGAAACCAGUCUCGCGUAAGCGUACGCGUAAUGUCGGUCCGGGCCGCUUCAUCUCACGAUACCGCUGAACCAAAGUAUGACAUGCUGGUAAGCAGUAUGACUUGUAUCGCCCACAACUCACUUGUGUUCUACUCGUGCAUAUGACCUCUAUGCAUAAAACCAGGCUCGAAUGCCACUGUUGGGGAACGUAGUAAUUUCAAAAAAUUCCCUACGCACACGCAAGAUCAUGGAGAUGCAUAGCAACGCGAGGGGAGAGUAUUGUCCACGUACCCUCGUAGACCGAAAGCGGAAGCGUUAUGACAACGCGGUUGAUGUAGUCGUACGUCUUCACGAUCCGACCGAUCCAAGUACCGAACGUAUGGCACCUCCGAGUUCAGCACACGUUCAGCUCGAUGACGAUCCCCGGACUCCGAUCCAGCAAAGUGUCGGGAAUGAGUUCCGUCAGCACGACGGCGUGGUGACGAUGAUGAUGUUCUACCGGCGCAGGGCUUUGCCUAAACUCCGCGACGAUAUGACCGAGGUGGAAUAUGGUGGAGGAGGGCACCGCACACGGCUAAGGAUCGAUCACGAAGAUCAACUUGUGUGUUAUGGGGUGCCCCCCUGCCCCCGUAUAUAAAGGAGCAAGGGGGUGGGGGCGGCCGGCCAAGGAGGAGGCGCGCCAAGGGGAGUCCUACUCCCACCGGGAGUAGGACUCCCUCCUUCCUUGUUGGAGUAGGAGAAGGGGAAAGAGGGGGAGAGGAAGAAGGAAAAAGGGGGCUGCGCCCCUUGUCCAAUUCGGACCAGAGGGGGGGCGCAGGCCUCCUUCCUUCUGGCCUCUCUCCUCUAUUCCCGUAUGGCCCAAUAAGGCCCAUAUACUCCCCGGUGAAUUCCCGUAACUCUUCGGUACUGCCAAAAAUAACCGAAUCACUCGGAACCUUUCCGAACUCCGAAUAUAGUCGUCCAAUAUAUCGAUCUUUACGUCUCGACCAUUUCGGGACUCCUCGUCAUGUCCCCGAUCUCAUCCGGGACUCUGAACUCCUUCGGUACAUCAAAACUCAUAAACUCAUAAUAUAACUGUCAUCGAAACCUUAAGCGUGCGGACCCUACGGGUUCGAGAACUAUGUAGACAUGACCUAGAACUAUUCUCGGUCAAUAACCAAUAGCGGAACCUGGAUGCUAAUAUUGGCUCCUACAUAUUCUACGAAGAUCUUUAUCGGUCAAACCGCAUAACAACAUACAUUGUUCCCUUUGCCAUCGGUAUGUUACUUGCCCGAGAUUCGAUCGUCGGUAUCCAAUACCUAGUUCAAUCUCGUUGUCGGCAAGUCUCUUUACUCGUUACGUAAUACAUCAUCCUGCAACUAACACAUUAGUUACAAUGCUUGCAAGGCUUAUAGUGAUGUGCAUUACUGAGUGGGCCUAGAGAUAUCUCUCCGACAGUUGGAGUGACAAAUCCUAAUCUCGAAAUACGCAAACCCAACAUGUAGCUUCGGAGACACCUGUAGAGCUCCUUUAUAAUCACCCAGUUACGUUGUGACGUUUGGUAGCACACAAAGUGUUCCUCCGGUAAACGGUAGUUGCAUAAUCUCAUAGUUACAGGAACAUGUAUAAGUCAUGAAGAAAGCAAUAGCAACAUACUAAACGAUCAAGUGAUAGGCUAACGGAAUGGGUCAUGUCAAUCACAUCAUUCUCCUAAUGAUGUGAUCCCGUUAAUCAAAUGACAACUCUUUUGUCCAUGGCUAGGAAACUUAACCAUCUUUGAUUCACGAGCUAGUCAAGUAGAGGCAUACUAGUGACACUAUGUUUGUCUAUGUAUUCACACAUGUAUUAUGUUUCCGGUUAAUACAAUUCUAGCAUGAAUAAUAAACACUUAUCAUGAAAUAAGGAAAUAAAUAAUAACUUUAUUAUUGCCUCUAGGGAAUAUUUCCUUCACCGUGUCCAUACUUCCACUUGCAAUUAUCAAUCUGUUUCUACAUGCCUUCAACCAUGAGAGCCCUGUCUACCAACUCCUGGUUGUUGUUGAAUGUUGCCACCAUCAACUGCAUGCUCAGCUCAUCAUCCAGUCCUUCCAGAAACUUCUCCUGCUUAGCGGCAUCUGUAGCUACGUCAGCAGGGGCAUAUCGUGCUAACUUGCUAAACUCAUCCACAUAUGGGCCCACUUUACGUCCUCCUUGGCGCAAGUUGCGAAACUCAUGCUGCUUCAUGCUCAUAGCUCCUGCUGAAACAUGGGCAGUGCAGAAAGCCUGCUGAAACCGAUCCCAUGUAACAGUGUCAAUGGGGUAAGUGGUUGUCAAAUUCUCCCACCAAGAUGCUGCAGGUCCAUCAAGCUGAUGUGCGGCAAAGUGCACUCUUUCCGCAUCAGUGCAUCCUGCAGUGGCCAGCUCUCUUCCAAUCUUGCAGAGCCAAUCAUCUGCAACAAUCGGCUCGGUGCUACUAGAGAACACCGGUGGAUUCAACCUUAGAAAGCGGACUAGGUGAUCAACAGGAGGUGGUGGUGGUGGGUUGUUGUUGUAGUUGUUGCCUUGGUUCUAGUUCUGAACUAAUAUCUGCAUCAAGGCAUUCCGCUGCUGGAUCAACUGAGUGAGCUCCGGUGGGAAGGCAAAUCCAUUGUCUAUCUCGGAGGCAUCUGAUGGGUUAGAAGGGGUGAGAAAACAGAAUAGAAUGGGGUCUAAGAGAGAUUCACUACCCAUAAUGCUCAUGAGACAAACACAAUCAAUUUCACUUCAAUCAAUAACACACAAGAUCACAAAAAGCGGUCUAACCUAUGAUUACAAACUCGAUCAUUGCUAACUACUUGGAGGGAAAUACUACUAAUUACAAUGGUGGUCAUCUAGAAAUGUUCAUCAGAUGAAGACUCCAUGAUAUCAGCUCCAGGUUCAUCUUCAUAAUCAUCAUCACUAUCAGGGUCGGAGUCGGUGUCAUUGAUGAUGAUGUAGUCUUCUGGGUGGUUGUCCUCCUUUUGCGCAGGCACUACAAAAAAAGACACAUCCGUGACAUUUUGGGCCGAACGAAAAAAAAUUCUGUCAUACAUAUGACACUUCUAUGACGAUAAUUGUGACAAAACCCGAUAUCAUCAUAGAUGUGGUGGGCUCCUACUUCUAUGACAAAAAAUCAUGACAGAAAAUGGGCUUUUCGUCCUGGCGGGCUGGAGACGCAGCUGCAUGACAUUCUUUGGGCCGUCCAUGACGGAAAAAACCGUGGUAGAAGCGAGGGGGAGGAAAAUUUCGGGGAGUUGCCGGUUACGGUGGGAGGUUGGGGGCCGAGCGAUGCGCAUUUCUCUCGUACGUACGAGCGUGUGUGCGAGGCGUUCGCUCUAACUGAACCUGAGCAAGGCAUUGGGCUAUAACUGAACCCGAGCGAUUGCGCUGCAGGAUACACGUUACUGAACCCGAGCGAUCGAUUGAUGGCUAUUAACUGAACCCGAUGGAGCGAUUCCUUCGCUACUGCUGCUAACUGAAGCCGAUAGAUUGGAUGANNNNNNNNNNNNNNNNNNNNNNNNNNNNNNNNNNNNNNNNNNNNNNNNNNNNNNNNNNNNNNNNNNNNNNNNNNNNNNNNNNNNNNNNNNNNNNNNNNNNNNNNNNNNNNNNNNNNNNNNNNNNNNNNNNNNNNNNNNNNNNNNNNNNNNNNNNNNNNNNNNNNNNNNNNNNNNNNNNNNNNNNNNNNNNNNNNNNNNNNNNNNNNNNNNNNNNNNNNNNNNNNNNNNNNNNNNNNNNNNNNNNNNNNNNNNNNNNNNNNNNNNNNNNNNNNNNNNNGGAACCCAUGGUGUUGAGGGCUGGAUGAACAGUAGACGAUGGAGGGGUGGCCGUGGAGGGGUGGUUGAACAGGACCCCGUGGUGUGGAGGGCUAGAUGAACAGUAGAUGGUGGAGGGCUGGAUGAACAGCAGACGGUGGAGGGGUGGUUGAACAAUAGUCGGUGGAGUAGCGUGCGGUGGAGGCUGGAUGAACAGGAGCCCAUGGAGGCUGGAGGAGGUCGACGGUAGCCCGUGGAGGCUGGAGGAGGUCGACGGUGGAGAUGAACAAUAUCCCGUGGAGUCCUGUUUUGCGGUACGCCACACCCCUCCCCCCGUUUCGACCGUAGCGCUGCAACACAAGUCUGUUUCGUCCGUUUUGCGGUACGCCACACCCCUCCCGACCAACAGGACCCUCGUUUCGACCGUAGGAGGUCCGUUUCAUCCGUUUUGCGGCACGCCACACCCCUCCCGAUCAACAGGACCCCCAUUUCGACCAUGGGAGGUCCGUUUCGUCCGUUUUGCGGUACGCCACACCCCUCCCGAUCAACAGGACCCCCGUUUCGACCAUAGGAGGUUUGUGUCCUCCGUUUUGCGGUACGCCAGACCCCUCCCGAUGAACAGGAUCCUGUUUCGAACGUGGCCGGUCGAACACAAGGCCGUUUCCUCCGUUGUGCAGUACGCCAGGCCUCGUUUCCAUCACCUGUUCCAUCCAAGCCCUCCCGAUGAACACAACCACGCAUUCCGUUUCGACCCAGCCGGUUGGCUCCCCAUGAACACGACGACGAUGUUGUUUCUCCGUUCCGACCCAGCCAUGUGCACGAGCCCUCGCCGUACGUAUGCACGAGUAGGCGUUCGAGACCCCGAUUUCCCGUAUGUACACAUACGUGGCCGUAUUUUCUUUCUUGCACCCUGGGCGAUGUAUGUACGUGUACAUGCUACAUGCGCGCCUCUACUACGACAUGUGCGCGCCUCUACAACGACCAGUAUGUACGUACACGUUCGCGACCAGAAUGACAACGCUACGUACGCUUCGACCAGGUGGGUCCUGACUGUCAGGCACUUCCUUGCCUGCGAAGAUGUAGCUGGUGGGUCCCAGCAGUCAGGGGGGCGAAUCAUUUUGGGUUUUUUUGCCCGGACUUCCUUGCGUGCGAAGAUGUAGCUGGUGGGUCCCAGCAGUCAGGGGCGCGAAUCGUUUUUUUCGGACACACUUCCUUGCGUGCGAAGAUGUAGCUGGUGGGUCCCAGCAGACAGGAGGAAAGGUUUUUUUCAUGAAAUACGGUGGCCCGUCCGGUGGGUCCCCGCUGUCAGGUGGAGGAAUAAUUAUUUUGCGCAUAAUAAGGAGGCACUUCCUUGCUGCGGCCGUGGACCCAGAUGUCAGCCUCUCCACGUACAGUCCACGUCCGAUGGAAGCCGUUCCUUGACCAGGUUGACCACGCCGCACCGAGAGCACCAGGCCGGUGGACGACGGCGAGGCCUAGGAAGGGGACGACACGGAGCCAGGGAAGACGCGACAGUGGAUGCCCAUGCGUAGAGGAGUAUGAGGGUUCAUUCGUUUGGCUGCGGUGUGAGGCUGCCGUCGCCGCAGAAUAACAACGGGUGUGGGUGCGUAGAGGGAUGGCCUGGCCAGCGGUGGGAGUAGUAGGGGACACUGAGGCCUCCGCGGCAUCACAACCGACCACGGGCGGCAGGUGCAGGCAGCACAACCGGCGCUGCUUUGGGCGGUCGGAGCAAGAAGACCAGAGGUUGAAGAAGCACUACGGCCGUUGGAUGGACAUCGUACGGUCACUGGAGCUAGAAUCGUUCAUAUAUUGACUAAAGUUGACAAAGGCCUCCGUCCCAGUCAACUUAGUAGGCCCACAAGUCAGCCUCCCACCAAGGUUGGUCCCAGCUCGCAGGGGGUAUUCAUUUUUUUGUGCGUAAUAAGGAGGCACUUCCUGUGGGUCCGAGCUGACAGCGGGGGGAACAUUUUUUUCACGAAAUACGGUGGCCUGACCUGUGGGUCCCAGCAGUCAGGGGGAAACGUUUUUUUCACGAAAUACUGGUGGCCCGUCCAGUGGGUCCCAGCUGUCAGGUGGAGGAAUAAUUAUUUUCCGCAGAAUAAGGAGGCACUUCCUUGCGGCUUCCGUGGACCCAGCUGUCAGCCUCUCCACGUACAGUACUCUUCCGAUGGAAGUCGGUCAUUGACCACAUUGACCACGCCGCGCCGAGAGCACCAUGGCGGUGGACGACGGCAAGGCCUAGGAAGGGGACGACACAGUACUCUUCCGAUGGAAGUCGGUCGUUGACCACAUUGACCACGCCGCGCCGAGAGCACCACGGCGGUGGACGACGGCGAGGCCUAGGAAGGGGACGACGCGGAGCGGGGGAAGACGGGGCAGUGGAAGCCCGCGCGGAGAGGAGUACGAGGGUUCACCGGUCCGGCUGCGGUGUGAGGCUUCCGUCGCCGCAGAAUAACAAGGGGUGUGGGUGAGUAGAGGGAUGCCCUGGCCAGCGGUGGGAGUAAUAGGGGGCGCUGAGGCCUGCGCGGCAGCAGCCGGCCACGGGAGGCGGGAGCAGGCGGUCCCGCCGGCGCUUCUUUGGCGGCUGGAGCAAGAAGAUCAGAGAUUGAAGAAACACGACGGCCGUUGGAUUGACAUCCAACGGUUACGUCUGCUAGAAUCGUUUGUUGACGUAGUAUAUAAUAACUAAAAUAAUCUUGCAUACGCGUCAACUAAACAGGCCCACAAGUCAGACCACUCCCUCUUUUUUAAUAAUUUAUAUAUAGCUCAUAGCAACUUCUUAUGCAAUUUAUUGCAGUCGUUUUUUUUGGUUGGCCAGGGCCAAUUUCGCAUAUCUCUGUGGGUUCCAAACUAUUUUUAAUACCAAAAUGUCGAGCCAGAUUUAAAGUACUUUGAAGAUAUAUUUGAAUUAGGUUAAUGCCCAGUGAAGUAGGAAUAUGAAACUGUGAAAAAAUCAGAAGUUAUAAAGUAAUUGCCAAUUUGUCAUCUGUUUUUAUAUUUACAACCCAUUUCAUAUUACUUUCAAGAUUUGCAGGCGUCUUGAAAGAGUUGUAGCCCAUCAGGGCGUGGAAAAAUAAGUAGGCCUAGAUUGGGUAUUCUUUAGAAAAAAUAAACUAGGCUCAUUUUCACAAAGAAAAAAUAGCUGUGCUGGUCACAUGGUGAACAUAAAAUAUAAGCCUGGGCUAGACGGGCCACAACCCAGUUCAAACCCUGCUUCGUCUCAACAAUACCAAACAAAAAAAAUACUGCUCGAGUAGCUACGUCCCGUGUGUCAGCCGAUCUUGUGUUGUUCUCUUAUCUAUUGACUAUAUACACUCACAAUGUCAUGGGUCCCAGAUGUCAGGAAAACACUAGGAGGAAGCAUUUUAUUUUUCCAUACGCUGACGUGGUGGGCCCCUACUGUCAUCCUCUCCACGUACUUCUGCCGAUUCCUGUUGUUUGUUAACCAUGUUGACAACGCGAGAGGGCGGCGCCGCGGCGAGCGCACCAAAGCACGUGGAGGACGUCGAUGUUAACGAUUUAGGAGACGGUGGGGCGGCGAUGCGUGCGCUGAGGCGCAGCCAGCCGUGGGAGGCGGAAGCAGGCGGCCCCGUCGGCGCCUGUUUGGUUUUAGCGGCUGGAGGAAGACAUGACUGAAGAAACACGACAGACUGUAAAAGCAGCAGGAGUACUUAACAACCUUAUCUGAAACCAGCAGGGGCACUUAACAACCAAAGCUGAAAGCAGUAUGAGUACUUAUACAGGUUCAACCAUACAAAGCACGCCUAGAACAGUGCUACUUUGCCUACAGUUAACCAAGGUUGAGGCUGCCAAGCCCCAGGACAAGGCCCAGGCGCCACCCCGCGCAUCCACAACCUUCUAAAAGCGGCUUCAUCUUGCAGCGUGGUCAAUAAACAGGAUAUUCACUUUAGAGCCAUGGAAAAGCAUGAACAUAAUCUUCUGUCCUAUUCUCCAAGAUGGACGGGCCUUCAUUAUCUGAGAGCACCCAUGAAUAAGUAUCUUUUCACCUCCAAGGGGAAUUGAGUAGGUCGACAUAAACAUCAUGUUGUGACCAAGCGCAAGUCUGACCUGACCAUGGUCAGGCAUGUGUAGAGGAACAAUAGAACUCGGCAGUUCCUGUUUCAAGAAGAUUACAACUGUAAAACUGUGUAUAAGCAAUAGUUUAUGAACAACAUAUAUAACAGAAAACAGCUCGUACCAUAAGUUUCUCGACACAGUUGGACCUGUUCAACGAGUGUAGCAGUGGCACACAUAUCCCAUGUGGCCUUCCACCAUUGAAACGCCCCACAAGGACCUCAAGACGAUCAAUAAAGUGUAGGAACUUGUGGAUGUCGAUCCAGUCAACUUCAGUGCCAUUAGUAACAGCCGAGUUAUUACAGAGUAACAAACGAGCAGACUGCUUAACUCUGAAAAAACCUACACAUGCCACCAAUUAUAAGACAAUAUUAGUUAGAAGUAGCAUCUUCGUGAGAGAUUCGUUGCUACUUCUAAAGUUAUAUUGUGAUUAGUUAGACAGAAUAGGUGAUUAAGAAGUAAUCGAGGCAACAAGCAAGAACCAGAUACAAAACUAACAUGGAUGAACAAUUGGGACGACGUCGGGGUGGAAGAUCACAGUGAAGAUGUGACCAGGUUCUGCUAUUUCCAUCAACAUUUGUGCGCCAACUUUCAGUCUGUAACACUUGAGAAAGUUUAUCCAAGUUCGGCCAUAAAAAAAGCAGCGAUCUUCUUGGUUCAUAAACCCAACUCGGAAGCAAUAUCCAUGGGUUGUCUUCACUGUGACCAUUAAACUAGUGUAUUCAGUUAUGGCAAGGCCGAGCAUCUUGAGUACAUGUGUUCUGGCAGAGCAAAUAAUACACUGUAGGAAAAAUAAUAUGAGAACACAAUAUGUUCAAAAAAACACACCCUCCCGGAUAGAGAAGAGGAUUCUAGGAACAUACUGUGCGUUUCAAAAUGCUAUGGUAGGAUGAGAAGGAACAAAUGUGGCGUCUGAAUCUGUAGGGUACUCGCACUUUGGGCACUGCAACUAAAACACACUAGAUUCAGUAUGAAUAAAAAUUCAUCAACGGCAACGGCUGCCAUCCUAGGAUCACCUGCGACCAAGGGACUUGGAUUUAUCGGGGAUGGAUGAAGAAUUCGUACCUGGUUCUCCAUGAGAAAACCAUAUGCAAUCGCCGAGCGGGGGUUUUAUCUGAACAAGCAGACGAGGGAGAAGGGGAUUUAGGCCCAGUGAAAUAUUGCUGCUUCGUCCAUCCAGCUUACUGCUAAAGCUGGAAAGGGGGGGUUGUGAUUUGACGGCUUAUUGGGCAUUACUGCGGUGCUACGACCGGGGUGUGUCUACUAUGAAGUUAUGCACUCUAAUUUGUGCAUAUGGCACGUGGACCCCGUUGCCGAUUGCCCCACAUAUCAGCGAAAGGAAGUAGAAAGACAGGAGUAACUAGUUACACAUAAAUAUAUUUUUUGACAGAGAGAUACUCCCUCUGUAAAGAAAUAUACAAAUCUUUUAUAUCACAGGCUCACCUUGCCGAGAAAUAUACUCCCGCUGCAAUGCACGGGCAUUAUGGGGGUUCAGCUUUUUUUAUGGGGGUUCAACUAAGAAUAUAAUACUCAGAUAGGCUCACGGUUCUGGACUUUGGGCCGCAGGCCGACCCUGCAUGUUGGGGGGCCCAUGUGUUCUACCUCAGCGCUUUUCAUAUUGCAAGCGAUCGAUACUGCGCUGGUUUUAGAUGCUGUCUCAAGGCGAAUACACAAAAUUGAAUAAAGCACGGCAGCUGUUGGAAUGAAAUCGAACGACAGUUCCUAACCAGCAAUCAGAGUUGCAAUUCUAUCAAUGAUAUACCAUGUGAUAAAUAAUACUGUCGUACUACUUAUACACACAAGACACUUGUUUCACCAUGCCAGAUUAUUAAAUCAAAAUCUCUUGGAGGAUAGAUCAGUUCGGCAGUUGCGUGCUGCUACUGAAGAAUUUCAAAGUUGAUUUGGACCAGCUCUCCUUGCGGCGAAAGUUCGAUUUUGACAUCAUCCCCUACCGCAAGACAUGAUUUAGAUUUGAACCUUGACCAUCCUUUAGCAUCAAUCAUCAUGCGACCAUCCUUUGUACUUAUGGUAUAUUGAGCAGGUUCAUUCACACCAAGGUUGCACAUGGUAAGAGAAACUUGGCCGCGGUCGCCCGGAUUGUUGAACGACUCCCUCGUUGCUCUAGUAAUUCUCUGUUUGAAAACAAGAAGACAUACCCAAACAGUUAGAUAAACACGGUGAAUCAUGUGAAACAAGAUGGAAAGAAAAAAGAACAAAGCACUUGGGUGGCGAUCUGUGCGAGACAGCGGCGAUCGUGUCUGGUCUGCUAUGAUCAGCUUUCUAACUUGACUAGGAUCCGUGACCGUGAUCCAGUUUUUUUCUUCAUUUCUUUUAAACGCGAGAAGGACUAAUUGUGGCAUUUUUGUUAAACCAAACUGCAGUUCAUCAUAGGGAUUCAGCUUGUACUCAGACAACAGACUGAUCCAAUUUUUUCCAGUAAUAUAAGUGAUGGACAGUGCCUUCGUUACUGACACGACAUAAGAAGUGAAAUCUGCAAAAAUAGCCAUCAUCGAGCAAACCAAACGGUUUAUUCUGUGAUGAAUGUCACAUGGCAAAACCUGCAUCGUAAAAUUGCAGGAAAAGAAAGAAAACAUGACAUUAAAUCAAUAAAAUUUAGACAGUAAAUCAAUAAGAUUUACUUGAUGUGACACGAGUGAAUCCUUUCCAGGAAAUCACUAUGUUGAGGUACUAAACAGAAGAUUGAUCGUCCAACUACGCGUGGCAUGCAGGGGCCCUGCCUACUCCCACAAGCAGGACAGUCCAAAGGUCGUGACAAAUCGUAUGGACCGAACAUCCAUGGGACUGGAAAUCCUGGUGGGUGCGAUAAACCCUGCAAUGCAUACAGAUAUUGGAGUGUAACCAUAAUUGAUAAACCGUCCUCACAAAAAAUAUGAUCUGGAUACUUCAAUAUGUACAGACUGAAUUGAGUGGACAGUCAUUAACAUAGACCGUUCUCAGGACUGACCACACCAAAAGCGGCAGUACUAAUAAACAAUACAUGGUUCACAAACGCAAAUCAAGUACUGAACAAUAGUACUUACUACAGACAAGCAAAGUUGCACUAAUUAAACUCUGCAGACUAUUUCUUGCCACCGACCUACGGGAUGAACCCCGCAUAACUGACUAGGCCAUGGACUUCGUGUGAGAUGUCUACAUGCACCAUCACCAUCUUGUCAACCUUGGAGAACCUAACAGAGUGGUCUUUCCACUCAUAAACAUGAUGAUGAAGACAGGCCGCAUCAGAUUUGUUGGGAAGCUUUACAAGAACCACACCCUUCGUAAUCGAAGGCACAACCAGUAAAUUGUUGUGGUCAAGUACAGCCUCGAGAACACGCCUGACAACAAUGCUGCAGGAAAACACUAGUUCAGGACACAUGGCGACAAGGACACAACAACUGGAUAGUUCCGCAGAAGAACUCAUCAUCAAGUCUUCUAGUUCACAUGGCAUGACUUUGAGAACUUCAUCUCCACCGUGGACCUGGUUCUAAUUCAAACAGAAACCAUAUUUCAUUACUACCUCCGUUUAGAAAUAUAAGAUGAUUUUCGAUAUUAUACUCCAUAUAUGACUACAUAUACGCACAGAAAUGAGUGAACAAAGACACUAGAACAUGUCUUCAAAGGCAUAAGAGCAGAGGGAUUACAUGCAAUAUCCAUAAUAGAAGUUACUGAGGCAAAUAUACCCUCUUAAAAGGUAGCAUUGAUGUUCAUAAAGUACUCCCUCCGUCCUAUCUAAUACUAAAAUAUGACUUGAUACAUCCGUAUCUAGACAGAUCUAAGACAAGAAAUUUGGGACAGAGGGAGUAGUUGAAAGUAAUCUAUAAGAAAUCAGUGUCAACCUCUCGCAUGUUUUGGUCAAAAGAGGAAUUUAGAACCGUCAUUUGGCACACUAAAAUCACAUGCAAGAUUACCCGGAAAGUUGUACUACCAGUACUAGUACUGCGUGUUAGAUGAAAAAACACGAUCAAGAUCGAGCAAAAGAUCGUUAACAAGAGACAUUACCUGGACUUGCUUAAUGAGGGAUCCCGGAGAGGGGGGCUUGGACAGGGCGAUGGCUUUGAGCUUGUCUGCGGUAGUCUCGGUAGGGUGCUUGCACUUCUUCGUACCAUGAGCCUCGACGGUUUUGGCCAGAGCAAUAGACAUCACGUCGGCCGGUGCUCCAGCGUCCAUCCAAGAGAGGAAGCUGAGAGAGAAGAGUGAAAGGAGGAAUGAGAUGAGGGAGAAGUGAAGCGAGUGUGGGUUUUCUUCAAGAGAGGAAGCUGAGAGAAAGAGUGAAAUGAUGGUUGCUUCGUCCGUCCAACUUACUGCUGGAAAGGAGGGGGCUUUGUGAUUUGACGUCUCAUUGGGCAUUACUACGGCGGUUCGAUCGGGGUAGUCUACCGUCACUCUACUACGGAGUAAUUGAGUGCAUGGCUGGUGGACCCAAGUGCUGGCUGUCCCACACGUCGGUGAAAGUGAGUAAUUUAGUGCAUGGCUGAAGGAGGAUCUGCAUGGUAGAGCGUGUCCACUGUUUUUCAUUCUAAAGAAAAAAAUGAUUACAACAAGCGUUUCCAGCUUACGAUGGAGGAGUGUGAAACACGGCAGCCACUUGAACAUACACAGUGCUCCUACUACUAGGCAUGUGCAGUGGUUCAUACGUCAGUACUACACAAUCUUGUUGCUAGUGUUGUACGCAUGUCAACUACUCCUAUAUGUAACAUAGUACCGCCUUUUCGACUGUCCGGUCGAGAAUGAACGGUGAGAUCAAUGUUAACAUAACUAGGUCGACAGCGCAUGGAGAGUAUGGUGCUACAGUACUCCACGAAACAUGAACCAUAUGAAGCACAUCCUAUAGUGUUAGACAGGGUGUAUGAAGGGUGCACGGGAUGGGAGCAAAAGUUCCCUUCUCGACCCACUUUUGGGUGUUUGGCAGAGUGCAUAAGUCCACACUAGUAGGUUGACAAAAAUACACGAAGAGGAAACAACUAUAUUGAGAUGAGAAUGCAACCAAACACACCCACACGCUUUGUGCAACAAUGACGGAUCUCCACCGUCUGAGUUUGAUCCAACGGUCAUGUUGCGCCGAGACAUGGACAUGCCCAUGCAGAGGGCGCCUAAACACCACCGAAGUCCCUCUGCUUCUCAAGGCGCACGACAUUGGUGAUGCAGGGUGCAACCGCCCGCAGAGCCCGCUCCCGGUCGAUGGGAGCCAGCUCGUCAAAGACGACGUCCAAUGGCACGAAUGGAUUCCGGUGACGGAGCCCUGAAAGGAUUCGCCCGGCAACGGCGACGGCAGCGUGCAGCCCCUCCUUGUCCAGCUCAGCCCCCACCAUCGUGCAGAGACGGCUCAGCUCCUCAGAGAUAUAGGUGAAGAAGGAGACCAGGUCAGGAAGCCGCAGCUUGUUGAAGUCGACCGGGUUGUUGAACGGGUUUAGCCCGACGGCCGGCAUCAUCACGCUGGCACAAUGGUAGGCAUCGCGCAGCCGCAACACGUGCGUGGUAACUUGGUUCACCAAGUGGCAGAGGCGAUCCUGGACCUCGUCACGAUCGGCUCGCUCGCGCUCCAGCCGGCUCCCUUGACGGCCUAUCGUAUAUCCCGAUUUCUGUAGCAACGCCGCCGACGCCUCGAGCAUCUUUGUGUUGGAUGCCUGCCGCUUUUGAAGCUCCGUGAACUCCCGCACAUAAUGGAGGAGCAUGGCACUCCUCUUCUCCUUGAGCUCACGAAGCUCCACGUCCUUGGCCCUGAGCUCCGCAUCCUUGGCAUGGAGCUCCUGUGUCAGGAGCCUCACCUCGGACUCCGUGAUCUGCUGCGCUGCCAUGGCACCAGGUAGAAGCAAUGGGGAGAGGAAGCAAAGGGGGCGAAACAGCUGAAAGGCAAUGCAAUCUAUGGGAAUGCGGAGGGAGCCAGCCGAGGAGCGGGGAAUCUUUUGAUUUUCACCACGGUAAAACACCAGUCGACGACUUCUCACAUCAGGGAGCAGUGGUUUUUUACAGGCGGAGUCAUCGUGACUAAUUGCUACCGUGCCUGCUCCCGUCAAUCAAAAAAUUAAAAAUCCUGCCGCGCCUGUUCCUUUCAAUCAAAAAAUUAAAAAUCCUGCCGCACACAAACACUAGAGCAACGCCGCGAUGGAUAUUUAAAUUUACCUGCCGGGAAGUAGAUAAAAAAAGGGGUGAAAAAACAAAUGUGGCGGCGGCCUAGCUAAUCGGUCGAACUAGCCCAACUAGCUAGCCACCGUGCUUCACUGAUGUACUCGGCGGGAAAGGUGGUCUUUCGUGAUUUGACGACUCAUUUACUUGCUUUGGUGCUACGACCAAGGAGGACCCAGAAAACGCGCGGUAGGGCGUCCCACAUCAGAAAGAAUAUAUGCGUGCACCACCCGGGAGGACCCCGAAACCGCGCGGUAGGGUGUGCCACGUCUCGGCACAGAGGAAAAAUGUGCGUGUAAAAAUAUACUGUAUCAGUUGUAAUACCUAUGGUUCGACCUCGGGACCCACCCAGUCGGUCGAAAACACCCCACUAGCCACACAGCUUCAUCAUGCAAACGUGACACAGUUAGCUCCAUCUCGACCAACCGCAACGUCUCUUGUUCUAGGCGAUUCUUCUAUUUUCCAAGCUUUUUUUAGUUGUAAUAACACCACGGCAAGCUAGCACCGCUCUUCGUGUGUGCCCGUGCAAAGGUUAGACGAUGGAGAGAAGAGAGAUUGAGAUCGCAGACCUGGGACCCACCCGUAAGUGAGACAACGGUCAUGCACGUGUUGACGAGGCACUCCCUCUACUCUACUCAACGCAAGUACUGUAUAAAAUCAAGUUAUGGGACAAAGCCAACAACCGUUUGUUUUUUCAGGCUAUCGACUUACGCUUUGUAGUCCAGGUUACCAGUUCGAAUCUCGUCUUUCAGAUUUGUUAGUUUUAGGUCCAAAUUUGAUUAAUGACAACUGGGACCCCCGUGUGUUGUUCCGAUAUUUCAGUGUAGGAUGGUAUUUUUGAACAAACACUUUGCGUGGUUAGACAAGUAAUGGCACGAGUUACACGUAUUUUGCAAGUUUACGAACAAAAAUGAUAGUGGCAUAGAAUAUCACAUCCACCCCGCAGCUUAGAUACUAUGGUGAUACGAGUUUUUACACCGUUGGAAGUGAGAUCCAAUGGCUUGGGAGUAGUCUUUGUAAUCCAAACUCUCCAAAGUUUUUUUUGCAAAUAAAACAUUCAGGCCUCGUGUGUGCCGCUGCAUCUUCGAUCCAACGGCUCCCCGGUGCUAAUAUUAGGUGCUCCCUGUAGCUUAAUUACCCGCUACGGUGAUAUGAGCAUCUAGGUCGUAUGAUCAGUGAUCAGAUGGCACAGGCAUAGUACUUGUACUUUCCGCGCAUUUCCCAAACUCUAGCAGGAGUAUAUUGCAAAAACAUUCAAACCUCCUACAGUGGGCCGUUAGAUCUCAGUGGACUCGUAUCACCAUAAAAUCUACGGUGCGGGAGCACCUCAUACUCUCCCGUGCGAGAAAACAUAAGGUGCUAUCGCAGAUGCUACGGCGAUAUGAGCUUGGAGGUCGUUUGAUCUGAGAUCCAAUGUCAUCUGAGCAGUCUUUGUGGUUGUAAGCAGUGGCCGAACUCUUUUGGGGCUUUUCUGCAAAAAACCAUUCGAACCACCGAGGAGGUGUUGGGUCACAAAUCCAACGCGUCCGAAGAGCUUGUAUCACCAAAGCAUCUAAGGUGUGGUGGCACAUGAUAUUCUUACAUACAUGAGAAUAUGAUGUCGUCCUUCAUCUUGGAUGCUACAGUGAUACGAGCUUCGAGGUCGUUGGAUAUGGGAUCAAAGGGCAUCUAAGUAGUUUUUGUACAAAUUGUGUGCAAUUCUCAAACUCAUCAAGGUUUCCUACAAAAAAAUUAAGACACAUCAUGUGAGCUGCUAUAUCUCAGAUCUACAAGCUCCAAGCAACUUGUAUCGGCAUAUAGCAUGUAAGGUAUGGGAGCACAUGAUAUUCUCCCGAGGAGGAGGGUGGGGGUGCAUAACCAAUCGGUGGUUGGGAGGGUGGGGACAAACAUAAUCUAAACAACCCUAAACAGAGCUCCACAAUUUUAUCUAAGGUCGAGGGGCUGACACCCAACAAUCAUAGCUCCGCCUAAACACAACAUUUGCAUGUACUGUAGUACUAGACUUAAUAUUCAUGUUUCAGUUUCAUGUUCAUUUUAAAUAUUGAACUGAGGACCAUGGAUGACUUACAUUUUACUCCCUUCAUUCCUAAAUAUUAGUCUUUUUAGAGGCUUCGAAUGGACUGGCACAUACGAAUGUAUAUAGACAUAUUUUAGAGUCUAGAUUCACUCAUUUUGCUCCGUAUGUAGUCACUUGUUGAACUCUCUAAAAGACUAAUAUUUAGGAAUAGAGGGAGUAUUUUUGAACUCGUGUCAUACAUGCAUGGGUUGGAAAAAUAGAUGCACUACACUUAUUGGAUUGUUGUUGUGUUCGUGCGUGUGUGUGUGUGUGUGUGUGUGUGUGUGUGUGUGUGUGUGUGGUCAUAUGCUUGAUACAUACAAAGUUUUCUCACCUCCAUAUUGUUCAUCUUUUAAAUUUGAAUUUGCAUUGGAAAACUUACUAGGGAUACCAUGAAAUGUGAAAUCCACGUUGAGAUCACUAUAUCACAAAUUCACUCUAAUUCAACGACUCGUCAUAAAUCAAUUACCAUGUUGAGAUUAGUAUUUGCAAGGAAAAUACGGGUAUUGUAAUACACAUAGAUUCGUUCGGCAAUUUAAAAGGUUCCUUUCGUAUUUUCAAAUGGUAGGACCCAAUGGCGUACCAGCCAGACCUUGGCUCGUGUUGAUCCUAAAAAAACGGGCUCGUAUCCUUCGGUGGCGUGCGUGGUACGCACAUUAGGCAACCCCAACCAGUCGAGCCUCAGCGUUUCAAGUCGAAAUAUCUGGCAGCCAGAAUUCCAGCCCUAGGAAAUUCCCCUCAUGUCCCCGGUCCAUAAAGACUACCAAUGAACAAUGGAGGGAUGCUUUAGUAACUAGACAAUGUUACUUACCGUGCCGAGCACGGUUCAAUUCCCUCGGUCGCUACUCGUCAAUGUCACCCGUCAAUAGCAUUGCCUAGUACUACUACUACUACACCAGGAUGAGCACAAAAUUGAGCCCAUUUGUUCAUGCCUAGUACUUGAGUUAAUAUAUCAGGCAAUGCACUGGUACGGAGGGAUUAUCCUUUUACUCCCUCCUUUCCGGUUUAUAGGGCUUAUCUCAAAAUUUUAGUUUUCCCAUUUUAUAAGUCUCAAUUUGGUUGUUCCCCAUCACAUGUUUAGAUUUCAAGGUGCAAUAAAUCAUUACAUGCAAGUAUUAAGAGAAAAUUUACCAAUGCAUGUACUUUAUGCAUGCAUGCAUUGCAACUAAUGCAUUCGUAAACACAAUUUUUGAGGAAAACAAGUGCAUUAAUUGAGUGGUUUUGCAAACUACAACAAUUGUUCCACCACUCACCAUCUACCUUGGUUGGUGAGAUUUUUGAAUUGAGCCCUAUAAACCGGAAAGGAGGUUUAACUAAGCAAAAUGUUUGACCAAAUCCUUUCUUAAGAAAUACAACAGGACAGAUGUACGGCUUGAAAAUUUAUUGCAUGAUGCAGGUUAUGAUAUUGUUUCGAAUCCUGGGUCUUAAAUUUCAGAAAAUCCAAAAGCGAGCAUAAAUUCUUGAAACUGAGCAUGGUCACGUGAUAUGGCACAAAUAUUACUUCAUAAAUUUUUUCUUCAAUUCGAGACAAGCUGCUUAUGACAAGUUGCACAAAUGAAGAGCCAAGGUAUUUUGGAACAAAGACCUGUCACGUUAAGGCGAACGCUUUCACUAUUGAAACCAUGGGCGUUUACGUGCCGCCACGAGUCCCCGCUUCUCAUCGGCAAGUGCCGUCCCAGCAAGCGUGUGAGUCGACGGGAGGCGUGCGAGCAGACCGCUGCGCUGGCUAUCAGGGAGGCGUGCGAGCAGACCACUGUGCAGACUCACCGGGAGGCGAGCCCUUUGACCAGGCUCCGCCGCCCACCAUCGUCCCAACUGCUCCCACUUUUAAUGUCGCCGGUGCCGUAGUUUAAAAUCAACCCUACACUACCCGGUAUCGCUACAAUCCUCUCUCUUCCUCUCCGAUUCUCCUGUCGUCUACCUCCAACUAGCUUGACCUAAACGUACGCCAUGCCGCAUCACGAUGGUCUACCCUUAGUGUUCCAGUUUCAUGAGGAAGACACCCAGCCGGAGUCUCAAGAACAUAAGGCGCUUUGGGACGAGCUUGAACUGGCCUUGCGGGAAGACGCCGCGUCUGUCCCCGCUCCCAUUCCGGCUCCCGUCACCCCGACUGCGCUAGCGCCCAUCCCCGUGGCAUUGAUGGGCUGGGAGCCACACAUUGUCGCCGAGCUUGAUGCCACGGGGUUCCACGAGGUCCCCGCCGACUUUCACGUGCCCGUGCACCUGCCAGCGCCUGCGCCUGCGCGUGCACUGAUGCGCACGCCCGUGCCGGUGCCCAUGCACCCGCCAGCGCAUGCGCCUACGCGUGCACUGACGUGCACGCUGUGCCGGUGCCCAUGCACACGAACGUCUCCGUCGCGCCGUUGACAGCGCCUGUCCCUGCGCGGGUGCCAGUGCCCCCCUCAGCGGCAUGGAUGGCCGCUGUCGACCGCUUCCUUGCACCAACGCCAGUCGCCACCUCCCGCCAGUUGACUCGCUCCAAAGUCCAGAACAUUUUGGCCUUCCUUGAAGCUAGGCCAACGUCCAGGAGUACGCCAACAACGGCGCAAGACGCCGCCGUCGCCGUCGGUCAGUGGCCCGACAACACACAGAGCACGGCAGAGGAGCCGCUUCCCACCGCGAGAUGCCCCGCUGCCGCCACGUAAUAUAAAUUUGCCAUGAAAAACGUUUGGAUUGCCAUGCUUAAAAUCCGAACGUUUAUCAUUUCCGUUUAUUUUAUAUCAAUCGUCGUAUAAUUUAAAGUCGGAGUCAGACUGAACGAAAUGUAUGGUUUGAUCGAUUGAAUGUUCUGCUAGAGCCGUAUCAAAUUAAAUAUAAAACGUCAUCAAGCCACAUGUAUUCCUUGUCAUCCAAUGACCUAGACUGCUUCAAUGUCGAGCGCUCAACACGUUUAGCGUGCAGUUAAUUUCAUGCCACAAAUAGUGCUAAUCACAUGACAACAUGCAAAUAAUAUUCUAGUAGUUAAUAUCCGCAUGCACUUAAUAUACUUCCAAAUUAACGUGCAUUGCACGUACACACUAACUAGUGCUGCUAGUACGUGAAACUGGUGCCGUGACUUGUGAACGCGUCCAGAUAUGGUCAACGGCAACAUCGCCCGCGAGUUCUUCCUGUUUACCCGUGCGUCUAAACGCAGAAGGGGAGGAGAGAGAGAGCACACAUGGAACCCACCAGUAAGUGAAGGCGAAUAGUACUAAAAAUAAUAUUACAUGUUAUCCAUUAAUUAGGUUGUGAUAAUAUAAAAACAUUAUGUGAACAAAGGGGGUACAACAAACAUUGCUAUUCUACGUAUGUUGCCUAUUGACGUGCGGCUUGAAGGCCCGGUCGCAUGUUCGAUCCUCGUCCUUUAUUUUUUUAAUUUGUAUAUGGGUCCCAAUUUGUUUCAUGACAUGUGGGCCCCUUGGUGUGUAGUUUGUAGCACUUUAAUUUGUGGGUCGAAAUUUGUUCCAUUCCAAGUGGACUAUCGGUGUGUAGUUUUGUAGCUUAUUUAUAAUAAUUAAAGAGAACAACAUAGUUUUUUCAAUAAUACCAUGGUGCGACGUUGAAGGUGAGAAAGGACGUGCGAGAGAGCGAUGACAGAGCCAGAGGGAAAUCAACUGGGGGAGUUGCGUGGGUUCCAACGGCGUUUGGAGUAGUUGUGGGCCGAAUGCUACGAAAAUAUAAUCUAAACCGUCCGAAAUAAAUGCCUACACAAAUUAAUCCAAGGUUGGAGUGCCCCUCGCAAUGUAAAUAGCUCCGGAUUUGUGAGGGAUGGAGAGGUAGUAGCUACAACGCGUGGAAGAUACAGUAUGAGAAAGCGAGGUCAAUCGAGAGACAUAUAGAUAGAGAGACAAAGUGAGUGUGGUCCGACAUUCAUUGAACAAAUAUAUAUGCUCCGGAGAGAUAUUGUCCGAUUGAGCUUUUAGUAAGGGUGAGGGCUGUAGGAUAGAGCUUGAGAGAUGAUCCAGUCACAGACGUGUAGAUAUAUUUUGUGCGUGGGAGGAAGCAAGGUCAACCAAUCACACAGGGUCGCCAUGCGAUCGAAAGAGUGAGACGGGUUGGAGAGAGUGACCUAGAUAGAUGAUGUGCGUGAGAGAGUAUACAAUAUGAAUAGGUCGAAUUGGGCUCAAACAUGGUGAUAUAUCAUUUUUGUCCGAGAAAGAGCGAGGUAAAUCGAGACAUACAGAGAGAGAGAGAGAGAGAGAGAGAGAGAGAGAUUGAGUGAGCGUGGCCCACCAUGAGGUCGAAAGAGUGACGACAGCUUGGAUGGACUGACCUAGAUAGACAAUCUGCGUGAGAGAGUAUAGAGUGUGUCGAUCGAGGCCCAAACAGGGAGAUAUAUCAUUUGUGUGUGAAAGAAAACGAGGUUAAACGAGACUUAGGUAAAGAGAGCAAGAUUGAGCGAGUGUGGCCUGCUGUGCGGAAGAAAGAGUGAGACAGUCUCGAGGGAGUGACCUAGAUAUACAACGUACGUUCGUGCGCAUGAGAGGUUGGGGGGCUAGAUAGGCAAUGCAUGUAUUUAGCGUGAGAGGGUGAGAGGGAGAGGGGGGAGAGAAAGAGCUUGGCAUGGGGUGCAAUGGCGGGUGUGUGAGGUAAAUACAUUUGGUAACAGGAGUGGAAAAAGGGGUUGUGUAGUUGAGAGACUUAGAGAUCGAAACAUGGAGAGAAAGAAGGAACGUGUGUUGGAAAUCGAUAGCUUGCUAAGGUGGUUAGGAGAGGAAGAUUGACCGAUACAGGAAGUAUGUAGCGUUUGUGCGCGGGGGGGGGGGGACUAAAAACAACAUUUGAAUGUACAUAGUAUGAGACUAAAUAUCGAUGUUUCAAUUCGGUGUACAUUGUAAGAUUUGAACCGAGGACCAGGCAUAUGGGCAAUUAUUUAGAAUUCGUGCCAUACUAAGUUUCAAAAAGUUGACAUUGGCUCAAUUUGUUGUGCUAUUUUGUAGGUCAUAUGUUUGAAUCCAUCCAAAAGUUUUCUCACUACCAUGGUGUUCAUCAUAUACAUAUGAAUUUGUAUUAAAAAAGUAGCGUGGAUACAGUGAAAUGUGAAAUCCACGUUAGAAUUGGAGAUCGCUACGUGACACACACUCUAAUUCAAAAAACUAACUACGUGACACACACUCUAAUUCAAAUAACUAAUUAUGUGACACACUCUAAUCCACGUUAGCGUGGGUACCGUUUUGAUUUUUUUUUUCAAAUAACUCCUCAUUAAUUAAUUUAUAGUACUCCCUCUGUUCACUUUUAUAAGACCUUGAAGACAUUUCAAACAAUGUGCAAAACAAUUCAUUUUAAGUUGUUUGAAACGACUUACAAAAGUGAACGGAUGGAGUAUCUCGUUUCGAAUGACUAAUUAUUGCAAGGAAAACACGGGCAUGGUAAUACAUACAGAUUCGUUUGCAAAUGAAAGAAGAUUCGUUUGCAUUCUCAAAUGUAGGCGCACCAGGCAGACCAGGGUCGUGUCGGGGUGGACGCUGCUUUGGUGCCUUAAAGGCAACAGCCCUUGGGUGACUGACAUGUGGGCCAGCCACCUGUUGGGCCCACAUGUCAUGGACACAAAGGCAGGUGCCUUAAGGCACUGAAGCGUAGUCCUGUCGGGGUGGUCACGUGUGUCGGACGGACGCAUAGCACCCAGCCACCCACCCCCUCCCCCCAAAAAAGGACAACGACAAUAUAAGUUCGCACUUCCACGUUUCGGAUUGAAAUAUCUGGCGGACCCAAUUCCAGCCCUACAAAAUCUCUCUUCUUCACCGUCUCCUUCCGCGCCCAGAUUGCUCAAAUCCCUAAUUCGCCGCCAUCCCUCGAAUCGCCCCUCGUCUCGUCUCUUUCCCCACCGUUCCCCACCUCUAUGCCGGACGAAGACGACGGCCGCGCUUCACCACCGCACCGGAGCUACCUCAUCUACGCCCUCGUCCGCCGCACCGGGUGGUCCACCGACAACAUCGGCCGCCGCAACCGACGUGCCUCAUAGACACUGAGUUCCACCACAUCAGGUGCGCUUCACCGACGUCGUCUCCCAGCUCACCGGGGGUACUUCACCGAGCACAUCGUCGCACCUCCGCCCCUCGAGGUCGUUGGGGCUUCACCAACGGUCUCGUCCACCGCAUCGUAGCACUCCGCUGCCACUCAAGAUCUGCAUCCAUGCGCGGCCAGCCAACGCCAGCGCAUCACCCUCAAUGGCUCUGAAGUGACCCGCACUCUAGCUAGGCGAGCAUGCCCAAACGUUGGCCCGAACUAGGUAUCCACACAUCACUCCCUUGUGCACUGUUCCGACGAUGUUUGGAUAUCCUUUCACUGCUCUCUUAGCUUACACGCCUAUGCAACUUUGACUUUAACUAUUAUUUCUUCUGGAGAUAUCAUUUGAAACAAGCAAAUCCAUUUUUUAGAGAAGCAUGACGGGGCUACGGGAUCUGGUACACAUCCUGCACACCCGUAUAACCUUGUAAGUAUCUGUCCUCCGGUACAACAUCAAGGUCGAUUCCUCUUAUUUGAUCAACCAUUCGCCGUGUCAAAAAUGCAGAGGGGGAUGCAAGGAGCACAAGGCUUGCACAUCCAAGAAAGUGGUAACAUGGACUUGUACAUGGAACAUCCCAAGCGCAAGUAGAGCUGCAGUGAGCCUGUACAAUGAGCUAGAGUAAGUCCCUGCAUAUCAGUUAAUUCGUACUGGCAUUUGUGUAUGAUUUGUGUGCAGUGGAUGAUCCACGAAUUCAAGUUACCAGGGGUGAACAUUUAACUUAAAAAAUACGAAGACACUUGCACUUCGGAAAUCAACAUAACUUGAGAAAUGUGAAGCUACAUGCACUUUGAAAACCAGCUAAUGAUCCAAAGUAGUUCAGAUUAUAAACACUAAAUGAUGCAAGCACCAAAAAACACAAAAUGCAACAUGGUGUACAAGGACUACAAACAUGGUCUGUACCUGCUUGAAUUAUUCGUUCUCUGGCUGAAAAUAUCGAAGUGUAAUUGCACGUAUAACCAGUGUGCAAACUGCAUAUCUAUAUAUCUAUCCUGCACAAGUAUGCCAAUAGUUUCAAACAACAGAUUAGAAAAGUAUUUAUGCUAUGUUGUCAUGAUACGGGGACAUUCUGGUAGAUGGCCUCGACGUUUCCUCAAGCUAUGAAAAUGCACUAUAAUUUGCUUGUCAACAAUCCCUACAAAUCUCUGUCUCUAUCAACAUAGUAGAUCAUCAUUAGACACUAAAUCCUUCAAUGAGCUUGCAAAAUGCUUGCAUUAGAUCCCUCAUUAGACACUAUAUGAUCAUCACCAGGAGCAUGUAAAAUGUUUGCAUCAAAUUCUUCAUUAGCAGUCUGUUCAUGAGACACUUCAGGCUCAAGAACAACAUGAGCAUGCAUGUUUGCACCGGAAACUUGAUUAGAUACAUCAGAUUCAGUCAGUUCAGUAUUGAUUGGGGGAGUUAUAAAAUAAGUAGAAAAUGGUUUCAUUUUCUCAUAGAUUCCCUACAUACAAGCAGUUUUACAACACCGUCAGGUUUAACUAUUGGCCAGAAAUUGCAGACUAAGGCAUAGCCUAGUGGUGGGAAGGGGUUGAUGCCUUCCCACCCACCCAGGUUCAAGGCAUGGUACUUGCAAUUUGGGUUUGUUGCACCAAUUAUACUGUAAGGGGUUCCCUUACAGUCUUUCUGUCAAAAAAAACUAUUGGCCAGAAAUUGAAGAGUUGAAUUAGAUAUAAUCAGGGAUGUGAUGUACCUGCUCGUUGCGCAUGCUACUCUUGCAAGCUGUGAUUGUCCAUUUGCGCAAGCUCGAUGCCAUGCCCGUGCUACCACCGUUGCCUCCCACGCAGGCUACACCCAGGGUUGGAUCUUCAUCUUCUUGUCCUUCCGUUCGCUUGAAGCCCAGCGACCGCCCUCCAACGAGGGCGCGAGGAAGUGCUGUGCCGGUCUGUCCAGCGGCAGCUAGGUUAGGAGCGAACCAGACUGGAGGCUGGAGUGAAUGAAUUGGGAUUUUUCCUGCCGUCGAUCGAUAUGGGAGGCGCUCGUUUGGGCCGCGAGCCUGCUAUAGGGCCUGCCUUGCACUUAUGUUAUUGUCCCAUCCAAAUUGAAACAUUUUUCUUCAUUUUUUACAUUGCCUGCUCGUGCGUUGGGACGAACAAAACUAGCGUGGGCCAACCUGGACGACUCAAAUUAGGUGCACACUUUCCAGCCACCUGAGGCGGCCGCCCAUACCAGCCCCUAUGGUGGCAUUGCCCCUUUUUGCGUGUAUGAUUGGAUAGUGAAAAAUAUUCCAGUGUUGCUUUUGAUUUACCCACAGAAUAGUUGAAUUGCUUGUUUCUAUGAAUUGAGUUCGCCAAUAAUGUGAAGGAUGCCAGUCUUUUCAUCCUAUUGUAGAUUGCUUAGAUCUAGAUAUGCCAAAAGUAAUCGCAUGAAAUAUACAGUAAAAGCCAGUGUGAUGUGUUUGGCUACAACUAGUCUGACUACACGUCCUCAUAUAACAUAUCAAGAACGCACCAUCUUACCAGAUUAACCAUUCGACUUACCCAUGCAGUGUGGGAAGAAAGAAGUAUUGGGACUGCGUAUCCAAGCAAUUGAUGCCACUCCUUUGCACAACCUUGUAAGCGAAAAAGAAGUUGCAGUGUGCCUAUACAAAGAACUAGGGUGAGUUUAGUUACCUGCUUCUCGGAAUUUUAGUUAGCCACUUAUUGCAAAAUUGUUCAAUUACGUUGCUUGGCCUAAUUUAGUUUGCUACUAAUUACAUAAUGGCACAGCCUGUUAAUCAUAUUGUAGACUACGCCUAUCUAUGUGUUUGAUACCUACUGUUAAGAAUUACCUGUUUGCCUUAACUUAAAUAUCUACUUGUUUGUUUAACUGCUUUGCUGCUGCAACAGCGGGUUACAAUGAUGUUAGUAACUACUCCCUCCGUCCCAUAAUAUAGGACAUUUUUUGACACUAGCAUAGUGUUAAAAAACGUCUUACAUUAUGGGACGGAGGGAGUACUUUUCAGCAUCCAAUUGAAACUCUUUAAUUCCUUGUUUGUUUAACUGGUUUGCUGUUAUAACUCCUAGUUGAGAUGUUUUGCUAACUUCAUUUUUUCUGAAUACAAUCGGAACUUUAAUGGCAAAACAGGUUAGCCCAAGAUCAAAGAGCGAGGUCCCCAUAGCAGUGGCACCAGCCCAAUCGUGCAUUAUGAAUUGCCAACUGCUGAUGCUCUAGAGGCUAAACUAGUGGUAGAAAGAGAUUCUGCUCUGCACUUAGAGAUGAAGUUGACAUGUUGAGGAAGCAAACAGCACAAUCACAAGCAGAACUCAAGACAACCAUUAAAUAUCUGGUGGAUUUCAAAACGAAGCAAGCUGAGACUGACCAGAUUGUUAAGGUCCUGAAGGAAAAAAGGAAAUUAAAUUCCUACUUGGUAAAUCAUAGGUGAAAUGUUCUUUCCAUAGUUGAAUAACCUUUGUGUUGUCUGUUCAUGUAAUCAAUCAAACCAUUUGUUUUAGAGAUCAUGUAAUAAUUGUUUUUUUUUGUUUUUUGGUUUGUAAUUUUAUUUGGGCACAAGUCUAUAUUAAUUGAUAAGACUCAGAGACAUUUCAUUUGGAUUGAUGUGCCAGACCUACAAAUAUGCCAAUCAGGCUAAAUGUGCAUUCAGCAAUAGUAGUAGUAUAGAUGGACCAUAAGUGGCACACAUCGGAAAGGUCCAAGAUGCUGGCUAAAAAAAAGAUGCUGUUGUAGCCAAAAAAAAGUACAGCGGCCUGGCUUAUGUAUGUUAGUUGAUAUUAUUGAUCCAUAUACUCUAUAAGUGUUUAUAUGUAUGUUAGUUCCGUACAUUCUUGCUUGAUUGACUCGGUAUUUGAAUCUUGAUACAUCGCUUGUGUACAUAUCUAAAUGGGAGUACACAUUAUGCUGCGUGUGACAUUUGAGUUGGACAUGAAGUGCUCCAAAUAUUCGAAUUCACCUUAAACUGGAUACUAGUUUCUGAAUUUGAGUAUCGGCAUUUGUAAACCAUAUUCAUAUAUGACAGUGGAAUACAUCUUUGUUGUCCUUUUGAAGAUAUAUAAAAACACAUAGAACGAUUUAUAAAGAUUCAUAUAGGAAUACAAAAUGGAUUCGAAUUUAGUUGCCAGGGUAAACGUGGAUGCUUAUUGUCCCAAAAUUCGAAAGAAGCAGCAAAAUGUCCACUCCCACGUCGGCUGCCAGAAGCCAAGUGUUUGGGAGAUGGAAAUUACUGUCUACCCAUUACACAGACAAUCCAUCGGCCCCAUUUCCACUGCUCUAAAUAGGGGUAGGUUAGGAACUUCAAUUAGACGUGACACGACCGCCUCUGAGCCCAUUCCGACAUGGUGGGCGUCAAACAUGGGCGGCAAAACACAUUUGAUUCAAGCUCAUCCGAAAGACCUCUGUUUCUCCCUCCAUUCCCCAUUCAUACACGGUGGGCGGCAAAACAAACUCGACUCGGCCGAAAUCGAUGUAGGCAAAUAUUUUCAAUAGGGGCAUGUUUGUAACUUCACUCAGACGUGACACAACCGCCCUACCUGUCAGCCUCAUACACCAUGGGCGCCAACCAUGGGCGCCAACCACCCUCUCCUCGCCAGAAAUUGCUCUGGGAAAAUAUUGGCGAGAUGCGAGAUUACCGUCCUAUCCCCAACCGACGAGACGUCCAAAUUUUAAACGGGGGCUAAGUUCGUAACUUUCCCAUAUUUUAGACAGGCGCGUCCGAAAAACAUGGUUCCCCGUACCUCUCCCUCCAUUUUCCCAUUCAUACACCGUCCACGCUAGAACACCCCAUCCCCACACCAGCCUCCGUCCGCCACCCCAUCCAUCGCCGCCGUCCUCCACCACAUCCAUCGCCACCGUCCUCCACCAUGCCGGAGCGCCUACCAAGACCGCGUCGUCCACUGCUAGAGAUGGACAUUUCUCAUCCACGGUGACGGACCAAUAGCCUUGCAUCGCGUCCUCUCGCUUCAUCGGCGCCGUCGUCCUCUUUGCCGGGGAAGCUCACACGACCUUCUCUUCCACCGCAACGGGACUUAUCCCUCGAUGCACCCGUCUACCGUCGCAGAUCUGCUUCAACGCCACCGACAGCCAUCGCACCCCUGAUGCCUACACGGCGCCGCAAGAGAGGUGGUACUUCAUAUCUCCUCAACUUUUUGAUCUCAACUAGAAAAUAGAUCUUAACUUGGUUACUCUACUUUCUUUUCAGCUCUUAGAAUUUAGUUCUUAGUUUGAAGCACACAAUGGAUGCAAAAUAUCAUUUCUCUAGUUUGCAGCUUCAAACCUGCCAUGGCACAGCCAUAAUACGGUUUAGUUGAUCAUGCUUAGGGUUUAAUUGAUCAUGUUGGUUCCGUGGUGGUUUCUUUAAUAGAAAUCGGAGGGAAAACCCUCUUUUGCUAAAAAAAUAUGCUUAGAGUUUACCCCUUUUAUUAUCACUAUACGAUCAUAAUACAUGCUUCGUGUCAUAAUAACACUGCUACAAGCAUCAAGCUAAACAAGCUUAGAUGUUCAAAUACGAAUCUGAUAUUAUUAAAACAGAGUUGUUUAAUUGGUCAGCUAAAUGUUCCUAAAUUAGUUUCGAAAAUUCAUGUUCGUCGCUCGGGUGUGUAUCUCUAAAGGGUGCCCACGGUGGGCCGGACCACCCUGGGAUUUAGGGUCAUCCCAGGCCCCGAUUCCCCUAUGUUCUGCUGCGCGCUUCCAAUCUCUACUCGCCCCCAGCCGCCUGCCUCGCCGGCGACUUGCCGUCCCCGGAUGGCAUGACCCUAGGAGGAGAUGCCGGACUAACAGGAGGCCAGGAGCCGCUCGCCCAACAGCAUCACCGCUGCCCGGGCGCGCCGCCGUGCCUACCUUCCCAGUCCGUUUAGGACUCAAGCGUGCAGCACCCACCAAGCCAACCCGAUUUAUCCUGAGAUACGUCCUCAACACUCAGCAGCCACUCCUCAUCACCCAUUUUCUAAUUGAUUCAUUACUCAUUAGGCAGGACUGUCAUUAGGGUUUGUUGUAUGCUCAGUUCUACCUACACUUAAUGGUUCAGAUGUAUUUCGGUAAUCUUUAGUACCUCUAAAGUUCACAGGGUUUUCAAAAUUCCGGCCCUCGGAACAAAAACUAGUCAUUUUGGAUUGUUGGUCGUAGUGACAUUGACCCAGAUUACUACUGCAAGCCAGGUUUGUUGACAAUUUUACUUGUCUUUCUUACUCAUUCGAUAUAAUAUCCAAUUAUUCACGUCGCUUAGUUGCAAACAAUAAGUGCUAGACAAACUUCUUCAUUCAGAUUUUGGACGGUCUCUUACUGCAUUUACAAUUCUGCAUACUUUUCCUAAUAAGCUCACAAGUAAAUGAUUGAUUCACUACAUCUAUGCUUGCCUUGUCAUAUUUGUUGUCAAUAUUCAAAUACUGGAACCGUAGACCUGAGUGAAUAGUAUUUCUUUAUGUGAUCUCUUCACAUCAUGUGUGGGUAACGAACACUGCAUUGUAUAGAAAGAAAGUUUCAUUUCCAGCUUUUACAUAGGUUUCAAUCUUUCACAUGGAAUACAAUCUGCCUACUUGCUUUGUGUCGCACUACCAACACUCCACCCUUGAAGCUAAACAUUACGCCACUCAUAAUUGCUUAGUUUAUUUGCUCCAAUACGAAUUUCAUAUGAUUCUAAUGUUCCUACUUCAGUUUUGAAAUGUGUGCCUGCCUGUUAUAGAGACAUAAGGGGUUUGUAUUUCUGUGUGUGGUCUGGUCAGCACGGUUGGGGAGGUGAACUUUGCAUAUGUAGGGGUUUAUAGGGAGACACUCUCCGAGUUGAAUCCGCAAUGCAUUCCAUAGAUAAUCUGACUACUUUUAUGUUUUCAUGAAUCUCAGAUUCUGAACAGCAUCAUAAUGAUUAUGAGCUUGCGCGCAUGAAAAGAAUAAAGCAGAACAAUGCCAUGGCUGUCAAACUUGGCAUUAAGGGACUGAAAUCAAGUCUGGAUGCAAUGCAAUGCAAACGCUCUCCACCUACAGAUUCAUGCUCAGAAUAUGAUCCUAACAGUGAUUCUGAGCUAUUGGGAGACCUAAGUCAAUGUAGCUCCCUAGUGGAGGAGUCAGAGGAAGAUGUCCUAUCUUAUUCACCCAUCAAGUUACUUGCUCUAACUUUCCAAGGUUACAUUGCUCGCAUAUAUCUUGCAACUGAUGCUUGGCAUUGCUUCUACUUUGUUGAACUGCCAUUAGCUUAGUUUACACAUCAUGUAUGUGAAUACGCCCUGCCUAUCCAUUUUCAGUACAUAUUCCAUCUGUCAUCAUACCAUAUUUAUCCAUUCAAAUGUUGUUCUUGUGUAUCAGACGUUCAAAAGGAAGAGGGCGAUUGCUGAUCGUGGAGGAGCAUAAGCAAAGUGUUUGGAAAAGGUAGUGGCACCUGAUAAAUCAAAUAGCCCGUUAGGUGUAGUUGCAAUAUCACCUAACCCACAAAAUACCCCAACUCUAGCAGACUCUAGCCCUACUACACUAGUCAUUUCUGAUGCCCCAACUCAGCAGACCCCAACUGCAGGAAACAGUAUGAUUAUGCCAGUUGACAUAUCACCAGCUGUAUGAUGCGAAACCCCCAUUCCAGCAAAGAGUACACCAAAUCCAAUUGCCAAAUCCCUUUUUGAACCAGAGAGAGCCCCAAUUGCAGCGAAUAGGACCCCUGUUCCAUUUCUUCCCAGUUUAGAAGACAAAGCUUAUGUUGUUGUCAGGAACUUUGUGCGCAUCUUUCCUUCAUGGAAAGAUUAUACCGCAGACACAGAACAAUUUCCAGUCUUCCUCCGCAACUUACACGUAAGUAAUGUACUAAUGUUAUUCAUGGUCAUUACUACAUAUGUUUCUGCUGACAAAAGACACGAGAUUUCAUUCUUUUAAAUAGGCGAGGAGCAAACAGGAUUGUGAUGACGAGCAAGAGUUGGUUGCGCUUUUCAAGCACUCAUUGAUGAAGUAUCGUUCCUACCUAAGGCAAGUGCACUUCAAUGGCAAGCCUUUGAACGAAAUUUCUGUGAAGUCUCCGGUGCUACAUUUAUCCGACGGUGACUAGAAUAAUCUUGUUACACAUUGGUCUCGGCUGCAGCGUAAGGUACUGUCUAUGAUAUCACAUCACAAUUUGAACUACAUUUCUGCAUUUGCCUUAAUGUCUCACUUGUACGAAAACUGUUAGCAGAAGAACAUUCAUUCUCAAGGGACCACAGAAUCUCGCAACUAUACUGCACACUGCAUUGCUCUCGUGAGUACCUCUUGCCCUGUAUGACCAUACUUACUUUCAUAGAUGUUUGAUUAUGUAGCAUCACUGCACAUAUUAGCCUCGUAAUCGCCCAUUUGGUGGACAUUAUAAGAUCCGUAUGGGCUCUUACACAAAUUUAGAAUCAACCCAAUGCUUUUGAAGAGGUUUAGCUCUGCAGUCCUCUUGUAAGGACUGAACAUGGUCUAUCACUAUACUUACAUUAAUAGCUACUCCCUCCGUCCCAUAAUAUAAAAACGUUUUGUACAGUACACCAGUGUUCAAAACACUCUUGUAUUAUGGGAAGAGGGAUUGGUUCGUUUUGUAGCAUUAUGCAUCUUAUCUCCCUCGCCCACCAUUUACUAAAAAAAGAUCAGAUCUAUAUUUAAUCUUACCAACAAGUAGAAUACACAGAUAAUGCCAGUGCAGAAGUGUAGCCCAUUGCUCUUGUCAGUACAUUUUGUCCUGUAACGCUUGUACUUCCAGGGAUUGGUAGUUGAUUAUGUAGUAUCAAUCUGCAUCUUAUCUUCAUUAUCCUCUAUCCCUUCCAGUAUUAUCAUAUCUAUAAUUACUCUCUACAAAAUGUAGAGUACAGGCAAUGCUUAUGAAGAAGAUUAUGUGCUGAAAUUCUUGAGUUAUCCUUCCCUUGACAUGGAGAAGGGCAUUAUAAAGCCGGUGUUAACUGUUAAUGUAAGUCAGUCCUUCUAAAGCCUUUAUCCUCAACUGCUGUUUAAUUUUCUCAUACUCCCUAUCGUUUACUGUUGUUUAGUUUGCUAUUUCUACCAAAAUGCAUGUUCGUAAGAACCGUAAGUUCUAAGUUUCACUUGUAAAACGAAAUUUCUUAUUCAUACCAUGCACAUUACUUAAUACUCUCUAUAUGUAUGCUUGGUUUUGUGGAUCUAUAAUCCAGUGUGUGGUGAAGCAGCCCACGUUUGCAUCUUGUCAUCUACUGUUUUAUCUUACUGAUGUGGCUGAUGAUAUCAACAACAUGCCAUGCACAUUAUCCAAAAUAGAUACAAUGAUUUUCUUUGCCCUUCAUCUAUGCUUGUUAUGUUGACAUGGUAAUCCAAUAGUGUGGUGAAGCUCCCCGCAUUAUGAACAAUGCCAAAUUAUGCUAUUGAUAUUUUGAACUUACUGUUUAUUUUCUAAUUUGAAAUUGGAUAGAAUUGACAGAAUAGUUAUCAUCUUUGUUUAUACACGUGCAAAACAUGUCAUCUCUCUGCUGGUUUCAGGGUGAUAUGCCUGAUGGCAUGCACAAGUCUGCUGAAGGCUGUGAGACGAACCCAACAUAUAUUGCAACAAAGAAGGUAAAACAUCUUGAAGAUAGCGAGACAACCCCAAAGUCUUGUAUUGAUACAGUGUUCAAGUUACUUGAGACUAACAGUCAGACAACUCACAGAAUUCGUUGUCUGAAUUAGUUCGACUUCUUCAGUCCCAAGUUCUAGCAGAAAGGCAUUCUGCAACUCAACUUCAACUUGAAGUCCUAUCUCUAAGAAAGAUUGCGGAGAACACCAAUGAGAACCUCAUCGCUAAACAGCUACACCUGGAAGCUAUGAGCGACAUGCUAGGCCAGUCUCACAGCCUUGCUCAGCAGCUUGCGCAGCAGUGCCCCCGCAAGGCUAACCUUUCUUGAACUGUCUUGGAAGUGGUCUCGGUUCAGUAUUAUUUUUUUAUGCUACAAUCGUGCCCAGUUUUUGUAAUCUGCUUCUUUGCUAUGCUUUAUGAUCACUGGUGGCGAACUUCGAUGCCCAGUGGAUGUAAUAUACUUUAAAUCAUUUAUUGUAUAGUGUAGGUUUAUUCUUAGUUACUAUGCCGUAAUUUCUUUAUUAUAUAGAGUAGGUUUGUUCUUAAUUCCUACUAGUUACUGCCAUCAUUCGCUAUCUGAAAAAUAAUCAGAUGUAGUCGACUGGGCCAAAACAUUCGAUAACGGGCCAGGUUUUUAGCGGGCCACAAUUGGGCCGGCCUGCGUCUUUCUUGGGCCCAAAUGAUUGGGGCCUUCACACAUUGCGCCAGGACCAAACUUACACCGGCCUAUAUUUUAGUUGGGCCUUUUGUCGACCCAGCGCUUAGUUUGGCCCAGGUAGCGUUGGGCCAUUAAUAGGCUGAAUAUUGUACUGGCCAGUUACGGCCGAGAUGAAACCACGGGCCUUUAGCAGGCCAAAAUGCAAGUUGGGCCUCAAUUUUCACUAGUCGUCGACGGGGCUUCAGCAGGCCGAAAUGUAGAUCGGGCCAAUAUGGGCCCAGUUAGCUCACGGGCCAUUACUAGGCCGAAACAUAUCUCGGGCCUUAGUUGGCCCACUGAUAUCAUGGGCCUUUAAGAGGCCAAAAGCUUAGUGCAGGCAUCAACGUGCCGAAUUACGCGACAGGCCUUUAACAAGCCCAAAGUCAUGUUGGGCUUAACUGUUGCCACCUUUAGCACGGGCCGUUAUUGGGCCCGAUGUCUCAUCGGACCAAAUAUGUCCCAUGGGCAGCACGGGCCAUUCCCAGGCCGAAAGUCACAUCGGGCUGAAAUGGGCCCAUGUCUACAUCAGGCCUCUAACAGGCUGAAAGUCACUGGGCUGUAGUUGGGCCUGAAUAUUUGGCGAACAAUUAACGGGCCAGAUCUGGCUUCGGUCCGCAAAUGGGCCCAAAUAUUGGGCAAACAAUUAACGGGCCAGAUCUGGCUUCAGGCCGUAAAUGGGCUGAAAUAUUGUAACGCGCCAGAUCUGGUUUCGGGCUGUAAAUGGGCCUUUAUUAAGCAGGCCAUUAUUGGGCUGGCCCACUAGUACCUGAUUAAGUUCUACAGGCCUUUGACUGGGUCGGCCUUUUUAACCUAUAUGGGCCUCUGUUGGGCCCAACCACGUGUCAACGUACCAUAGGCAUGUCUCCUCCAAUGGACGGGCGACAUCUGGCCCACUAACGAGCUGACAGGUGUUCCCUUCGACCAAUCAGAAUUUUACACGUGGAAAUUUCCUAUUGGUCGGGGCUGUUGACGGGUUAUCGGAUCGAAAAUCCAACCCGAUAGUUAACGGCGUUCCGUUACAGUGGAUGCCACGUGUCGGUCACCCUUGACGAAAGCACUUCUGUGAUGCGCGAUUUAUCGUCAUGGAAGUGGACACUUCCGUGAUGAUAAUUUCAGUAAUGUCAUGGAACACUUCUACGACAGCACAGGUAUGACUAUCUUGAUUGUGUCAUAAAUUUGUCAUGGAUGUACAUGCAUGACAAAAAACGCGACCUACUGUGACAAACACGUAUCAUCACGAAAGUGUAUUUUUUUUGUAGUGAGGGUCUCCCAUGAAUAUUCCUAGCUUCUUCUUUAGGUCUUCAUUCUUCUCAAGUAGUGCGGCAAUCUCUUCCUCGUAUCGAUCAUGUGUAGACUUGAGUUCCUCCUCCAGCUCAUUGUUUCUCUUCACCAGUUUCUUGAUCUUCUUCAUGUGGAUAAUUUGUUGAUUCUCCUGUUGACGAAUAUGACCUCCCAUCUCUUGAAUGUAAGCUACAAUUGAUCCAUCCCUCCUAGUACGAAUCAUCUCCCAUUUGUCAUCUCGGCGGCCACAUAUCUGGUAAGUGGUAUUCUCCAGCUCCUUGUGAUACACCUCACAUAUGCGUCCAAAGGUCAUAUGUGCGGCCAUGCUCUUUCCUAUACUCCAUCUUGGUGCAUCCAGGUAGAAAUCAGUAGGCUCCGUUGUUGGCAAAUGUCAUCCCAGGUACCGAGACUUUGAUCUUCCAGCGCUCCUCUUCCGGUACAAACAUAGAGAACGUCCCCGUGAAGCUUGGUAGUCCGAUGUUCAAAUACUUACUGACUUCCUUCAAGUGGCGUCCGAAAGGGGUGUCGUCAUCCGUCUGAGUGAACUUUUUCCUGGGAUCUGCCAUCUAUAGAGUAGAAAGAGAGGAGAAUUAGAAAUGAGUAGAGAAGAGAAAUCUUGUGGCUCAUUCUAGUGGUCGCGUCCUACAGUCAGCGUGUGCUCUGAUACAAUCUUGUAGCGACCAGACCUCAAACGGUCAAGUCUCUGUGCAUCAGUGUCAUCCCUGGAUCUGUAAUUCUGACAUGCACAAUACUCGAGGAAUUAUAACAGAGUUUCAAUCACACACUUAUGAAAUUGAGUCCUCAUAAUGAGUAUGAUUACACAAAAAUAUCAUGGCUAAAGGCCAUCUAAACUAGAUAACUUCGGAAGCUUCGAAGGUAAAUGAGUCCAUCAACUCCAACGGCAUAGCUGAGUGCAAAACAACGACCUAUCGCACCUUAUUCGUCGUCUGAGUAGUCUACAACAUGAGACGUUGGAGCCGUGUAGGUCAGCACAUUGAAUAUGGUGGUAGAGUUACACUGUAAAGCAAAGAAAUGCAAGAACUAUAUCUACAUGCAAUAUUUGGCUGGUGGAGGCUGUAAGUUUAUCCUUUUGCAUAAAGCUAGUUUUUCCCUACAACAAAGGAAUAAAUUUAUUUAACUACUCCCAAGUUGCCCAUUAUUUGAGAAGGUAACCCCAACUCAAAUCCCAAUUCAAAAUAUCAUCAUUAACCCAAUUCAAAUAUAUUUAAUGUAGUGAUGAGAUCACAUCAGUAGAUUCAAGUACAAGAUAAUCAAGAUGUCCAUAACCGGGGACACGACUAACCAUGAUUAGUUUAUACACUCUGGAGAGGUUUGCGCACUUUUCCCCAGAAGACUCAAUCUCCUCCUUUGAUUUUCUCGCACUUCAUGAUGUUUGAGAAACAGAUGAGCAAGACAGUCUUUUAGAAGCAUUAACUCUUUACUCUGGGUAGAUAGUACCACCUACAUCCCCUACAUCUGCUAGCCUACCACUGAAAGAGGUCACACAACAUACUCAACUAUGCCAGAGCCCAUAAUGGCUUGUGGCUGCACACGGAAGUUUCUAGCAUGAAUAAUCUUACGAUCCCUUUGAGCCUGGGUGGCGUACCAUAGGAAGAAUCACACGAGUACUCCAGGAUUUUCCAAAAUAGGCAUCACUGGGUUCCCGAGGUGCCUGCAACCAAUCCACCCGGAUGUAUAUUAAAGUUGCCACCUUAAUGUUCUCCAUAAUUAAAUAACUCUCAAACUUCCAUGUGUGAAUCACGAUCCAAUCCCUGUCUACAAGCAUGGCUAAGCAAUAAAUAAGCAUAACGUAUAUUCCAGGGGUGAUCAAAAGGUAUUAGGUUCCUACCUCAAGCACUACAACCAAAACCACAUGUUCCCAAUCCUACUCAUGCAAAUAUUUGAGGAGCAAUACUAAUGCAUAGUAAAAACUGGGUAUAAAGGAGUAUGAUCAAAGUGUAACUAGCCUUGCUGACGAUCUGCAAACUCUUGAGAUUCGUAGUAGCAUGCUUCGCACUACAGAAAUUCUAUCACAAACAAACAAUAACAUACAUAAGCACUCAGGCAUAGAUGCAAGGGUAAAACUCAAAUAAAAAUCUCCAAACUAAAAUUUCGACUGAAGAGCUUCAAUUUCCGAAAAGAAUCAAUCGAAUCGGAGCUACGAAACUCAAACUACGAUCAAAAGAAUUUAGAAAGAAAAUCUGCUUGAAACCAAAUUUUAAAGGGACAAUUACAUUUGAGCCCCUAGUUGUGUCACACCCGUGUGUUUUGCCCCUAAAUUCAAAAACCCCUCAUUUCUAUCCAAGCUUGUUUACUCCUCUUAUGCUUUUGCCCUUUGACCGUUUGACCGCAACUUUGAAAACUUCAUAAAGAAUUCAUACUAACUCAGAAAAAUGCAAAUAAGAUAUCAAAAUGAUCGGAAAAACAUCACCUAUAUGUGCAUGUCAUUUUCAAUCAUGACAAAAGUGCUGAAAAGUCACUAUCUCACUUUGAGCUCAUAUGAUGUCUUUUGUCAUGAAUGCACUUUUUGUCAUGAAUGCAAAUGACAUGCACAUACUGGUGAUGUUUUUCUGAGCAUUUUGAUAUAUUAUAUGCAUUUUUCUGAGUUAGUAUGAAUUCGUUAUGAAGUUUUCAAAGUUAUGGUCAAACGGUCAAAGGGCAAAAGCAUAAGAAGAGCAAAUGAGCUCGGGCAGAAACGAGGGUUUUUUGAAUUUAGGGGCAAAACACACGGGUGUGACCCAACUAGGGGCUCAAAUGUAAUUGUCCCAAUUUUAAAUUGUCCAAAUCAUGUUCAAGUUGAUUAUUUGGAAAGAGGGGUUCGAGACGAAGAUUUUGGCGUUGGUUUCACUGGUUUUGGAUAAGCGAGAAAAAAGUUGCGUGGGUUCGAAGAUCAGGGGCUAAUUUGCGAUAAAAAAAUAAUCGCGAAUGGGUCCCUGGCCAAAAAAUAAAAUAAAACUAAAAAGACUAACGUAUGAACGUUCGCUAACAAAGUCAAAAGAAAGAAAACGUUCGCGAACGAAGACGUUUGAGUGAACGUCCGCUAAAUAGCAAAACCGAGAAAAACCAAAUGAACCGAACCAAUCUAAAAAAAUAACCGGGGACGGUUUUGUCGGUUUUACCGGUCCAACAAAGAAAACCGACGGCGGCGAGAUCUGGCGAGUCCGCCGGCGGCGCGGGCAACGGCGAGGCGGCGGGGCGUCACGAGGGUGCUCCAGCAGCGAGGCGGCGGCGGCAAGCGGCGGCGGCGGCAGCGAGCAACGGCAGUGGUGGCGCGGCUCGGGAGGUAGGGCGCGGUGCGGCUCGGCUGCGGUGGCUGGAGUGGUGGGCGGCUCGGGGUGGAGAGGAGGGUGGCGGCAGCAGGGUAUAUAAAGAGGGAGGGCUGCUUGGAGGAGGGGCAAAGGCGAUGGCGGGGAGGCGUAGUCCGGCUCGGGGUGGGAGUCCGGCAGCGGCGUAGCUCCCGCGCGGGGAAGGCGGCGGCGGCCCGGCUCGGCUGGGCCUUUGGCCCAGUCGGGUGAAAUUUUUUUAAAUAAAUUCCGCCGAAGAAAAAUCCUAAUAAAAUAAAAAAAUUCUAAAAAUGACAAAAACAAUUUUCACCAUCUAAAUAAAAUAUAUAGAACAAAGUGAACACUUUACUGGCCUAAAAAUGCAAAUUUUAAAAAAAUAAGUAUUUUUCUAAUUCAAAUAAAAUCUCAAAUAAGAUCCAAAUAAAAUAUGUAUUUGAUUUUAAAAAUUUCCCUCCAAUAUUCCUCUCUUUUGAAGAAGUCAUAUUAUCUUCUCUCUUUUAUUUUUUUAUAUUAGAAAUAUUUGAAGAGAAAAAUAUUAAAACCAAAUUGAUCCUCUCUUCAGAUUUGAGAAAAAUUCAAAUAUGAAAAUAAAUGGAAUCCCCAACUCUCUCCUUGGGUCCUUGAGCUGCUUAGGAUUUCUACGAUGACAAUCCAAACUACAAAUAAAAUAUGAUGUGCAUAUGAUGACCUAUGUAUAACAUCCAAAUUGAAAAUUGGGAUGCUACAUGUCUCGAUUACUAUUUGUGGCCUUGUAUAGAUGCAAAAUGUAUUUUUUUAUAGUGGCCUUGUAUAAGUAAAUGGAGGGAGUACUAAAGGACAUAUAUAUUCCAAACAAUAUGAUAAUAUCUCUAACCAAGGUAGGGACGAGGAGUAAACGGAGGGAGUAGUAAAAUUUUCUCCUCGUCCUGCGAGCCACCGCGCGCGUGGGCGAGGAAGAGGGUGUAAGGCGUACAAUAUUACUAGUAAGCAAGCUUCACCUCAUACUGCGGGCCACCGCGCCCAUGGGCGGGGGAGACGGCGUACUAAGGAAGCUUCUCCUCGUUCUGCGAGUUGACGGGACACAUCAAAAGUACUCUAGUGUAUAGAUCCUUGCCUCUAAGGUAGGCCCCACAAGGGUUGCCUCUUUUUUUAACAUAAUGUGUCAAGUCGCAAUUUGUUUAUUCACCCGUGGUAGACCCUCCCUCAAGUAGACAACUAGUAAACGUGUCAAAUUACCACGUGGGCUGCCUUUUCGUACAGAAAUGAGCUCCACCGUUUACUCGCGCGGGUGUGGUUGGGAAAGAGACGGGAGUAUGUGCGCCGUGCGUGCACCUCUGCUCUUCGUGCACAUCCCCCACCUACGUGGGUGUGUAUGACAGAGAUACAAACCUAGACAUAAUGCGCCAUCCAUCCCCAUGCCUCCGCCUAGUCCAACCACCAGUCACCACCAUGCCCCACUCCUCCUCACCUUAUCUCUCAUCUUUCUCCCUCCAUUUUUAUAUACAAGGCCACUAUCAAAAUUACAAUUUGCAGAUAUAGAAGGCCACUAACACUAAUCAAUGCAAUAUUAAUGGUGUUUGCCUCAUAGUACUAGCAAAGGAGGACAUUAAUUAUCCCUUGCCUGCAUGCGGGAGCGUGAGCAUUGGCUUGAUGUGCAUGAAAGAGAAGAAUACACAUUAAUUUACACGGCAAACAAGGAAACAAGGUGGCUUGCAACAUUGACUUAGAAGACAUUAAUUUUUGGCUUGGUACCUGUAAUAUGGGUUUGUGGCCUUGUAUACAAAAAUAGAGUCCAAUAAAAUUCUCGAGAUACCAUUUUUUCGAUAAAAUUCUCGAGAUAUCAUUUUUUUUACAAAUGGGAUUACUCCUGCAUGGGUCAAUCUCAACAGGUGUUUUGUAAAAAAAAAUGCAUCUUGAUGUUCCGUGCAAUGCACUGGCAUCUUGCCAGUCCAUGAAAACAACACAUGGCAAAAUUCCACGGCGAACGAGGGAUUUGAAUCUGCUGGGAGGGGCUGCUUGGUUCUUGCCCGGGGUAGCCAAAAUAUUGGCGACCUUUUGUCCACCGGUGCCCUUGCCACCGAUGAACGAGGAAUGGCUCUGGUGCUCAUGCAUCCUCCAGCACGCAUGUUGGAGAUGAGCUUGCACGAGCUGUGCUUUUUUGUCCCACCACGCCGCCCGAGCCGCCUGCAGACCGACCGGCGACCCGCAAAUUACGCCAUCCAACCGUGGCCGCACACAUUAUGACAACAAAUCAACCAACCGGAUGAAAUUCAUGCAAACACAGCGAUAUUUCAUAUAAACAAUGACAGAAAUCAUAUAAAAUACCGGAUUUUCAUACAAACAUGACGGAUUUCAUUAUAUUCAAAUGAACUACGCGGUGCUAGUUCUGGACAGCACAUGUAUAUAAUACCUGGCCUAAAUGGUCGCCCGCCGAUCCAUUUGUGUUCCUCAUGUCCGGCAGCACGAUCACCGGACUACCGGGAGCCCCGGAGGUAUAUGCUUCAGCGCAAAGGAUGGCUCGCUUCCCCCUGCCCAACUGAUAUCAUUGGUUGAUGCCGAAGAUGAUGGUAGAAGGGGGCUUCCCCGCUUCCGUGGAGCCCAUGCGGGGUCGAUGAAGGUCCUCGCAACAAAAGGAUCCAGCAAGACACCUGUUGUGUACGCCGGCGUCGCCUCCGCGGUGGCCUUCAUGGGACCCAAGCAAUGGCGGCCUCCCGUGUUCUACUUCUCCUCGAUGAUGGCGGCGGACGCGGAGGCACUGGCGACCGACUCACCGCUCUCCGCACACCCGGCUUCUGUCGCUGCUUGCAUGGCGCGGCCGCCGGCAUGGGAGUCUCGGCCAUAGAUACGGGAGAUGCAGUACGAGGCGGCGACGUGGAUGGCAGAAACGAUGCCAGUGCGCUGCUCCGCGUCGAGCUGGCCUGGAGCGGCAAGUUGCUAAACUGCGCACCGGCUUAGGGCGGCAACUAGAUCCAUCAGGGCGAGGGGAGGGAGGUGGAUCAGCGAGCUUCAUAGCUUCUAUCCGGCGGGCUCGGCGGGCCACCUAGCCGGCUUGGAUGCGGGAUAACUACUCCUCGUAAGCCAUUGUAAGAGUGCACAAAAUGGUGAAGGAGAUAGGGGAGCGGCGAAGGUGUGCGAUUCUUGGCCGACGUUUGGCCUCGUUUAAAUAGGAGAUUAAAUAGACGGCGGACGGUAGGAGCUGGGCCGGCAUUGUGUUUAAUGUCGGCCCGGUCAUGAAUGGACGUGUGUCCAGAGUGGGUUUCUCGGCUUCCACACGGGAGAGUUUCAUGGAGGUUUGAAUGCAGCAAGGAGGUGCGUUCAGUCGGGCGUGCACCGAGUGGCACCCUCGACUCUGACGUAUGACACCGCACCGUUAUUCCACUGACAUGUGAGCUCUUUGGGUACAUGACCUGCAUGUCAGUGACCCAACGCAGGCAGCGCACAGCAGAGGAACUUUUGGUGGGCCAGGGCGGUCAGAAGCGGGCAUUUCAUAAACCAAUGAUUGUUCAUUGAGUGUGACAUCAUCUAUUUCAUGUAGAUAAGCCUACUCUGUUGAUAGCCCGUUCGAUACGUUGUGAUCCAUAAAGACCACUUCAAACAUCAAUGUUCUACUUAUCACAGAUAAGAUUGAUUAAUGCCUGCAACAAUCCAUGUCCUUAACAAAGGGUGCAUGCACGUAUAGGUUGAGCGUGUGUCUUGCGUCAUGUCUUGUGUGCAUGCAGGCGUGCAAGUGUUGCGUGCGUGCAAGGGUACAUUUCAGUGUUGCAUGCAUGUGUGCAUACAUGCGUGUGCUCGUGAGUGCAUGUGUACAUGUCAGUGUUGCACGCCUGCAUGCGUGCAUGUGUUCGUUAUGUGUACGUGUCAGUAUUGCAUGCCUCCAUGCGUGCACGUGUUGCGUGCGUGCAUGUGCACGUGCGGGGUGAGGCUACACGUCAGUCGACUGACUUUUUCAUCUCUGGUCAUUAGAUUUUCCAGCCGUUGGAUACAAAAUCAAGGGCCUACAGUUUAUCUUCAAACUCCACCCCCUGAGCCGCCAUCACCACCGACCGAACCGUCGGCCCCCGCUGCCCGCGGCCGGCCCAUGCCNNNNNNNNNNNNNNNNNNNNNNNNNNNNNNNNNNNNNNNNNNNNNNNNNNNNNNNNNNNNNNNNNNNNNNNNNNNNNNNNNNNNNNNNNNNNNNNNNNNNNNNNNNNNNNNNNNNNNNNNNNNNNNNNNNNNNNNNNNNNNNNNNNNNNNNNNNNNNNNNNNNNNNNNNNNNNNNNNNNNNNNNNNNNNNNNNNNNNNNNNNNNNNNNNNNNNNNNNNNNNNNNNNNNNNNNNNNNNNNNNNNNNNNNNNNNNNNNNNNNNNNNNNNNNNNNNNNNNNNNNNNNGCUUUUCUCCAGCGAUCCCCACGCCACCACCCAAUCACCGCGCCGCCACCACCAGCGACUGCCAACCAGAGGUCUCACGACUUCGAAUACCAACUGACCACUAAUUUAUUACCAUUUAUGUCCUUCAUAUACGCGCUGACGGGUGGGCCCUAUGGUAAUGUGCGUUGCUGAAUGUGGACCGUUUGACUGGUCAAUUGAUCAUGUCAUCAACAAAUUACGGAGCUGUAUGGUGAGACAGUGACCGUAUGAUCACACCCUAAAAUGUAUUUUAUUAACACAGUAUAGACUCAGGCUACCAUUUCUUUCUUUGAUAUACGGGCUGACAAGUGGGCCCCACGGUUACGCGCCCUGAUGGUGCAACACUAGUUGUGCCACGUGGAACGUUUGACUGGUCAAUUGAUUGUGUCAUCAACAAAAUACGGAGUUGUACGGGUGAGCCAAUGACCGUAUAAUCAUGACAUGUAUUUUUUAACACGGUACAGACGCAAGGGGUCAUAUAUACGCGCAAGCACUCACCGCUAUAAGCACACACACGCAGACCCUACCCCUAUGAGCACCUUCGAGAGAGUGAGUCAGCAUAUGAUCUUGAGAUUUUACGAAGUCACCAUAGGUCCCUCGUAGUCGAGUGGAACGUCUCCUCUUUAGGUUCGAAAGUAUGUCUAGAGGGGGGUGAUUAGACUACUUGACCAAAUAAAAACUUAUCCUUUUCCCAAUUUUAGUCUUUGGUAGAUUUUAGCUAACUUAGCACAAGUCAAGCAAUCUUAACACAAUUCAAGAAAGCAUGCAAAGAGUAUCUGAGCAGCGGAAAGUAAAGCAUGCAACUUGCAAGAAUGUAAAGGGAAGGGUUUGGAGAAUUCAAACGCAGUUGGAGACAUGGAUGUUUUUGUCGUGGUUCCGAUAGGUGGUGCUAUCGUACAUCCACGUUGAUGGAGACUUCAACCCACGAAGGGUAACGGUUGCGCAAGUCCACGGAGGGCUCCACCCACGAAGGGUCCACGAAGAAGCAACCUUGUCUAGCCCACCAUGGUCGUCGCCCACGAAGGACUUGCCUCACUAGCGGUAGAUCUUCAUGAAGUAGGCGAUCUCCUUGCCCUUACAAACUCCUUGGUUCAACUCCACAAUCUUGUCGGAGGCUCCCAAGUGACACCUAGCCAAUCUAGGAGAAACCACUCUCCAAAAAGUAACAAAUGGUGUGUUGAUGAUGAACUCCUUGCUCUUGUGCUUCAAAUGAUAGUCUCACCGACACUUAACUCUCUCUCACAGGAUUUGGAUUUGGUGGAAAGAAGAUUUGAGUGGAAAGCAACAUGGGGAAGGCUAGAGAUCAAGAUUCAUAUGGUAGGAAUGGAAUAUCUUGGCCUCAACACAAGUGUAGGUGGUUCUCUCUUAGAAAAUGCAAGUUGGAAGUGUAGGUUCGUUCUGAUGGCUCUCUCCACGAAUGAAGAGGAGGUGGAGGGGUAUAUAUAGCCUCCACACAAAAUCUAACCGUUACACACAACUUGCCAAUCUCGGUGGGACCGAAUUGAGAAAGUCGGUCAGACCGAUUCAGCAAAUCUAGUGACCGUUAGGAUUUUCGGUGGGACCGACAUGCAACUCGGUAGGACCGACAUGCUUAGGGUUAGAGCAUAAUGUAAUCUCGGUGAGACCGAUUACACAAACUCGGUAGGACCGAUUUUGGUAAUAAGCUAACCAGAGAGUUGGUCAGGUAAACUCGGUGGGACCGGUUCGCUCAUUUCAGUGAGACCGAAAUGUUAGAAAAGGAAACAGAGAGUUUACAUUGCAAUCUCGGUGGGACCGAUCGCUCAUCUUGGUGGUACCGAAAUGUUACGAAGGGAAAUAGAGAGAUUACAAUCCCAUGUCGGUGAGACCGAGAUCCCUAUCGAUGAGACCAAUUUGCCUAGGUUUUGUGGCAGUGGCUAAGACAUCUGAACUCGGUGGCGCCGGAUAGAAAGAAUCAGUAGGGCCGAGUUUGACUUUUGGUUUAGGUCAUAUGUGGAUGUGAGAAUGUAGUUGAGGGAUUUGGAGCAUAUCACUAAGCAUUUUGAGCAAGUAAUCCAUUAAGCAACACCUCAUCCCUCCUUGAUAGCAUUGGCUUUUCCUAUAGACUCAAUGUGAUCUUAUAUCUCUAAACUAUAAAAUGUAGAGUCUUGAGCUUUAAGCUUGAGCCAAUCCUUUUGUCCUUAGCAUUUUGAGGGGUCCACUUUUCUCAUCCAUGCCAUGCCAAUCAUUGAGCUUUCCUGAAAUAUUCAUCUUGCAAUAGCAUUAGCUCAAUGAGCUAUAUGUUGUUAGGACUUACCAAAACCACCUAGGGAUAGUUGCACUUUCAAUCUCCCCCUUUUUGGUAAUUGAUGAAAACAUAUAGAUCAAAGCUUCGACAAAUGAUAAUAAAAGUGAAAAACAUUGUCGCUUUGAGAGGUAUGUGAAUUGUAAGAGCUCCCCCUAAAUAUGUGCAUGGUUUAAGAUUUGCUUUGGACUGCAAAUGCACAAUGAGUUAGGAUCACGAGUUACUCUUCCAUGUCACAUACAUCUUGGUGGAGCACUCAAAAUGAUAAUAAUUAAAUACAUGCACUCAUCACCAAGCAAAGUGAAUGAUCAUAUAGAGAUAAGAGGAUAAUGUGAUCCAACAAGCAUUAAGAUAGCAUAUGAUCAAACAUAUGAUCAUCCAAGUAUCUCACAAAAGCAUAAAGUAUCUCAAACAAGCAAAUAAAGUUCAACCACCAAAACAAGAGAGAACAAAAGCAACACUCUCUCUCGAAGCCUAUGAUCUACACAUUUUUCUCUCCCUUUGGCAACAAGUUACCCAAAAAGUUCAUAGAAAAUGCAUAGCACUAAAUCGACUCUCAGGCUUGGUCUUUAGGUGGUGGUGUAGAUAGAACUCCAAGGACGAAGGCAUCAGUUGAUGUAGAUGGAGCUGGUGGAGUAGAUGCUGGAGCUGGUGGCACUGAAGCUAUAGCUGGUGCAGAUGAAGUUGCUCUGGUGUCUGGAACAGGCACUGCAGCUGAUCUCUGACUCCUGGGCACUCUAGCAAAAGCAUCAGUGGUAGUCUUGCCCUUCCUUUCCUGCAAGUCAUCCUGGAGUUGCUCAACAACUGACUGUAUCUAAGUGACCUUCACAUCUAAGUCAUAGAACUUCUGCUCCAUGAUCCUCUCCAGGCUCUCCUUGUUUUGAGUCAGGGUGGCCAAUCCCUUCUCAAUCCUCAGAGUGGAGUCAAUCAAGUAGCCAAGCUGAUCCUGCUUGCUCUUCAAGAAGUACUGAGAUGCCUCAACAAUGGUUGGCAUCUUUGCAACCUUUUCAGUCCUUGCCUUCUCCUUCUUUGCUUGUGCUUGCACAGAAGAUGGUUCAUUUUCAUCCAUAACCACUGUGUUGUCCUCAAAAUCCUGAUAGAUGGGCAUGUUUCCUUGUCCAAGAGGUAUGUGCCAGUGCCCAUCUUGGAGUUGAUUACCUCCUGGAUCUGUGGGGCAUACCCACAACUUCUCUUUUGGUCAGCAGCUGUUCUCUUGAUAGUUUCCACUAUGAGGCUCAUGACCUUGAACGUUUGAGGCACAUCAAAUAUGUGUUGUAGGUUGAUGGCAUGGCCUCUGAUCGUCUUGUGAUCACCUGACUUAGGCAAAAGAGUGUGCCUGUGGAUCCAGUUGAUUGUUGGCAAUUCUGACAGAAGGUAAUGUACUGAUCCAAACUUGUGUGUCUCAACAGCAGCAUCUGGGAUCUCUCUGUACAUAUGUGCCAUGGAGUUGUGAUCCUUCUUCUUCUUGGCAUAUACAUCCAAGUCAUCCUCAUUCUCCUUAGGUGCAUUGAUCAAUUUUGCCCAUUCUUCAACUGAUGUUUUGUACCUAGUACCUUCAGACAUCCAGACAAUCCUUCCAUUUGGGUAGAAGUGAGCUGUGGAGUAGAACUGCAUAAUAAGCUCAUCAUUCCACUUUGUGAGCUUCUGCCCAACAAAGUCAUCCACUCGACAAGCAUUGAAACUGUCAUACACUCCUGGAUAAUGCUCUUCAUUCUUCCUGAUGUACUCCCAGUCCACCCAUCUCAUAUCAACGACUAUAGGCUUCUUGUCAAGAAGCACUGUCUCAUAGAAGUCCUGAUGUUCCUUUGUAUGGAACCUGUAGUCCACAGCAGUUCUCCUCCUGACUGCAUAGGGAUCAGUCAAUCUCCACUGUCUGAGACCUUCAUCCUUCCUCAGCUUCAUAUCCUCAGCUACAGGAUGAACAUCAUUGUGAUCUGGAAUUUUGGGCUUCAACUUUCUCAAGACAUGUUCCUCAUCAUCUUGUUCUUCAACGACAGCUUCAGGCACUGGGGCCUUGUUCUUCUCUCCAGCUGGAAUGUUUCUUGUAUUCCUCUUGGGUGCAGAUUUGGGCUUUGGAGCAGCUGUCUUAGGAGCUUCUUUGGGCUUUGAUGAAGCAGCCCCUGACCAAAUGGCAUCACCCAUAAGCUUUUGAGCUUUGGGUGGUGGUGCAGCAACCUCUUCCUCUUCUUCCUCUUCCAUCAUGGAAGGCCUUCCAACAACCCUGGCCAUGUUCUUCUUGACCCUUUCCCUCCUCUUCUUCCCUUCUGCAGUAGCCUCUCUGGGUUCAGAUUCCAAAGGUACUUGAGUGGAGGCUCUGGCCUUAGACCUGGCAAUUCUUUUGGCAGGUGCUUUGGUCUUCAUACCAGGCUUAGUGGCAGCAGCUGUGCCAUACUCCUUCUUGAGCACUUUAUUCUUGGAAGUGGCCUCAUCCUCAAUAGCCACAUAGUCUUCAUCCUCAGAAUCUGAGGUUCUCUUCUUUCUGGCCCUGGUGGCUGCCUUGGGUAAGUUGCUGGGUGUGCUCCUGCUUCCAUCAUCAUAGCUGCUAGAGGGACUAGUGCCCUCACUCAUCUGAACCUGCUCCUCAGACUUUUUCUGACUGUCACUUUGAUCAGACAUGUUGCAAACACUGAUAGCAGACCCUGUGAAUAGAUAUAGAUGUGGUAGAGUAGAUGAGCAUCACAAAAUACAGAGGUUUUUGCAAAAGAAUGACUCAAAAACUUAGUUCUAGUUUUCCACAGAAAGCAUUUGGAUCUACCGAUUUGUAACCUCGAUGAUACCGAAGCAGCUUUUGGAACCUAAACUAGUGAACUCGGUUAGACCAAGUCACAGUUUGGUGGCACCGAGACUGCUAGGGUUUCACAAAGUCCUGAACUCGGUCACACCGAUUUGCAAUUCUCGGUCAGACCGAGAAUCACAUGUGCAAUGGCCAUAGCUGAAUCGGUGGAACCGAGUUCUACAACUUGGUUGGUCCGAGAUGGUUUCGGCGGAAACCUAACCCUAAAUUUUCAAUUCACAACUAAACUACGGAGUGUUUUCGCUCGAUAAGAUGAUCUCAAUCGUGGCAAGAUACAUGGAAAAACAAUGUGCUAGGAAUUCGGAGUGGGAUUAGCAGAAGGAUCAAGUCCAUACCCUAGUUCGACAAUGGAAUUGCUACGGCGGCAACGGCGGAGAUGAUUCUCGUUGACAGCAGCGGAGACCAGUGGCGGGAGGCAGCUGGCAACGAGGAGGACGAUCCGGAGACCCAGGGAGGCAGAGCAGGCUAAGCGCUGGCGAAAGAAUUCAGAGAAAUUUCCAAAUUUUGGCCCGUGGAUAUAUAUAUAUAUAUAUAUAUAUAUAUAUAUAUAUAUAUAUAUAUAUAUAUAGCUUGACCCGGUCGUUGUGACCGAGUGGAACAACUCGGUGGCACCGAGAUGCAUAACUGCAAGCAGUUACAACAACUCGGUGUGACCGAAAAGUUCAAAUCGGUUGCACCGAGAUUGAAAACCUAGAUCGACUUAGUGAUCUCAGUAUGACCAAAAUGGAGGAAUCGGUCAGACCCAAACGGACAAAGAAGUUUUGGAAGUUUAAGUCUAUGACGAAUCGGGGACUCCGAGUGCUCCUCACACGGAGUGGUUCGAAUCUGACUUGAUCAAACUUUGUGAUGUGGCAUGAAUAGAGUUCGAGACAAGAAAAGCAUAGAUAGCUAGAGAGGGUUCUUAGGCAUUCUUGUCCAUCCACUUGGCAAAAUAAAAGAAGCCAAACAACCAAAACAACAAGUGGAUGUCCUCGAAUGAGUAAAAUAUGCAACCAACAUGCUCACACAAUAAAAUGGCGAAUGAAAUAUGUGGCAAAGCAUGCACAACAAAUUCUAGCAUCUAUCAAGAAAUUGGUGAUGACUAGGUCAUCUAUAUACGAGUAUAUUGACUUAGGAGUUGAGGGAGUCCUGGACUAGGGGGUGUCCGGACAGACGGACUAUCAUUGUCCGCCGGACUCCAAGACUACAAAGAUACAAGAUUGAAGACUCCGUCCCGUGUCCGGAUGGGACUUUCCUUGGCGUGGAAGGCAAGCUUGGCGAUACGGAUAUGUAGAUCUCCUACCCUUGUAACCGACUCUGUGUAACCCUAGCCCUCUCCGGUGUCUAUAUAAACCGGAGGGCUUUAGUCCGUAGGAUACAACAUACAUUACAACAAUCAUACCAUAGGCUAGCUUCUAGGGUUUAGCCUCCUUGAUCUCGUGGUAGAUCCACUCUUGUACUACCCAUAUCAUCAAUAUUAAUCAAGUAGGACAUAGGGUUUUACCUCCAUCAAGAGGGCCCGAACCUGGGUAAAACAUCGUGUCCCUUGUCUCCUGUUACCAUCCGCCUAGACGCACAGUUCGGGACCCCCUACCCGAGAUCCGCCGGUUUUGACACCGACAUUGGUGCUUUCAUUGAGAGUUCCUCUGUGUCGUCACCGAUAGGAAGGAUGCCUCCACCCGUCUUCAAGGACGGUAUUUUCGCCCAAGGGGCCUUGGCCGCCAGCCAAACUAUCCGGCUAGGUGGUUUUCUUAUGACCGCCUAUCCGGCCACUACUUCGACAAUGACUUCUCAAGUCGUCAAAAGCAAUCUUCACGUCAGCUCGGAAUUUGCCGAGCGGCUGGAUCCGAUAGAGCUCUCGUCUGUCAACGAGCUCUUGGAUCGCUUCGCCGCCCUGGGAGUCGCUACGGACUACAAUCAGAUUGGGCUUAAAACCGAUCUGAGAGAGAUUAACUCUCCCCAGGUCACCCACCACGUCGCCGUGGUAGAGGAACAAUGCAGCGACUCUUCUCCUGUAUUGAAAACUAGUCACGUCCGGGCUCCCGAACCCUCCAUGCCGGAUUUCCGCGGAGGAACGGACUUCGAUCGAGCACCGAACUUAAAGUCGGGCAUCGGACCGGACUCGUUGGACAACGUCCAGCAAUCCAAGCUUCCAAAUUUGGAAACUUCACGGCCUUUAAGCCCCGAGAUGGGUAGGGAUCCGCAUUUUAUUCCACCCACCCGCCCAGACAUAUGCGAUCUAUCUCUAAUACGGCAAGAGCCCGCUGAAACAGUACAUCACUACUGGGCCAGAUUCCUCCUGGUUAUGGACAGGAUAAAGGACUACCGAGAGGAAAACGCAAUCUCAAUCUUUUGCAAUAAUUGCACGGACAAGGGAAUUAUAUGCUUCUCCGAUCUGGCGUCCAUAGUACGAAAGUACUGUGCGAUGGAGAGUUUCCGGAAAACCGAAAGCCAGUUCUAGGACAACUCGGCCCCGAAUACAACCCUGGUUCGCAACAAAAGGGUGCAUCAUACUCAGGCCCCAGAUGCAAAAACCAAAAAGCAAAAACCCCAUAGAGGGCACGGAACCGUACUUGAGGGAUGGCUCAGCGGACCCUGUAAGCUUCACAGUACAGAGGGCGCCGUCCCAACACAUAGCCUUCGAGCAUGUUGGAUAUUAUGGCAGGUGGCCAAAAGUGGCGAGGAGCUUCUAGCCCCGGAAAACCACUCCAACAAUACCAGUACGGUAUCAACAGUCUUCGAGACUUUCGCAUCAAAUAAUAUGCGAAAACGAACAAUCCGCGGCCUCGCCGAAGUCUACCAAGUAGCAACAGCUAAUCCAUGGAGCGACACAGCCAUCACCUUCAACGCCAGCGACGAACCUAAGUUUCGAACAGCCCGAGCACCAGCCGCACUGGUGCUUAGUCCUAUAGUGGACGGCUUUCGACUUACAAAGGUCUUCAUGGAUGGCGGCAGCGGACUAAACCUCAUCUACGAGGAAACUCUUCAAAAAAUGGAAAUAGACUGGAGCCGUAUUGAGCGAAGCAGCACAACCUUCAUAGGAAUAAUCCCUAGCCGGGAAGCGCGCUGCACCGGAAAAAUCACACUCGAUGUGGUGUUCGGCUCGUCGGACAAUUACAGAUCCGAAGAAAUCACGUUCCAAGUGGCCCCGUUCCACCACUAGGGAAAAGGCUAUACACAGAAUCUUAGCAGCAGCGAGGGCUAAAAACCCUCGCUACUGCUACUUACUAGCAGCGCAGGUUUUUAAACCUCGCUACUACUAAGUUCAUAGCAGCAGCGCGGGUUUGUAACCCUCGCUACUACUAAGCGGUCUGUACCGUGCCCCCCGGGAUAUGCCAUAGUAGUAGCGAGGGUUUUUAACCCUCGCUGCUGCUAAGUUCAUAGCAGUAGCGCGGGUUUUUAACCCUCGCUACUACUAACCCGCGCUACUGCUAUCAACUUAGUAGUAGCGAGGNNNNNNNNNNNNNNNNNNNNNNNNNNNNNNNNNNNNNNNNNNNNNNNNNNNNNNNNNNNNNNNNNNNNNNNNNNNNNNNNNNNNNNNNNNNNNNNNNNNNNNNNNNNNNNNNNNNNNNNNNNNNNNNNNNNNNNNNNNNNNNNNNNNNNNNNNNNNNNNNNNNNNNNNNNNNNNNNNNNNNNNNNNNNNNNNNNNNNNNNNNNNNNNNNNNNNNNNNNNNNNNNNNNNNNNNNNNNNNNNNNNNNNNNNNNNNNNNNNNNNNNNNNNNNNNNNNNNNNNNNNNNNNNNNNNNNNNNNNNNNNNAGUAGCGCGGGGUCUGGCCUAUUUGGCAAAGUCUACCCCCCCCCUGGGACCGCCUUUUCAGUUUUAAAAAAAAUAAAAGAAAAUGAUAAAGAUGUCAAAAAAAUAAAAGAAAAUAAGUUUCCCAUGUGAUAUGUGGUCUAGUUGUUGGGAAAAUUUACAAAUAUGAAUUUCGACUUUAUUUGCAAAAUCUCUCUGGAAAUUUGUAAAAUGGCCAUAACUUUUGCAUACGAACUCGGAUGAAAAAGUUUUUUAUAUGAAAAAGCAUCUACUCGAAAAGUUACAUCCGAAUUUAACCGGGGGAACCCCGUUAAACGUUUUCAAAAUCCUCAAAAGCCUAACAGAAAAAAAGUUAUGGGGCUUUUAAGAUCUGGAGGCAAAAAAAUUCAAAAAAAAAUAUUAUUUUUUAAUUUUUGUUAAAUCUAGUCAAACUAUGGUCAAACUAAUUAUUCAAGAAUAUUAGUGUUAAUAAAUAAUUAUUUUAGUUUUUUUGAAUUUUGGUCAAAUCUGGUCAAACUAUGGUCAAACUGUGGUCAAAUCUGGUCAAACUGCGGUCAAAUCUGGUCAAACUGUGGUCAAACUAAUUAUUCAAGAAAUAUUAGUGUUACCAAUUUUUUAGAACAAUAGUUUCAAACUCAAACAGUGAAAUGUGUGACUUCAUGCUCAAGCUAAAUUCCUGAGGUUAAUAGGAUUGACAUCUCACUAUUGUCAGGAAAACAACAAGUGCAGACUUGAAAACGAGGGAGAAUAGAACCCGGAACUUAAGCGUCCUCAGGCUGGAGUAGUGAGAGGAUGGGUGACCGUCCGGGAAGUUAGAUGAUUUGGAAUGAUGAGGGGUGAUUAGAGAUUAAAUUGAGCAGCGAUUAGGGGUGAUUAGAGAUUUGAGUUAAAAUAAUUCAAAAAUUUGAAAAUUUCGAAAAAAAUUCACAAAAAAAAUUCGAAAAAAUUCAAAAAAAAUAGUUCCGAGAUUACAGAUUAGUAGUAGCGCGGGUUUAAACCCGCGCUACUGCUAUACGUUAGCUGUAGCGCGGGUGGCACCCGCGCUACUGCUAUAAGUUAGCUGUAGCGCCUUAUUAGUAGCGCGGGUACCCGCGCUGCUGAUAGGCCUAAAACCCGCGCUGCUGCUAGGCUUUUCCCUAGUAGUGUUCAACAGCGGAUAUCACGCUAUAUUAGGACGAGAGGCAUUUACAAUUUUUCAAGCCGUACCCCAUUACGGGUACAUGAAGCUCAAAAUGGCUGGGCCCGGCGGAUUAUUCACUCUCGCUAGUGAUCCGGACAUAGCACUCCGCGCCGAAAACAAGACAGCCGCACUAGCCCUGGAGGCACUAUCCGAAGCCCUAGCGGCAGAAGAACUCACCGCGCUGCGCUCUACGGUGAAUAGGGACGAUGUGAUACUCGAUAAAAGAUCCAAGUCCACCUCCUUCAAACCAGCAGAUGAAAUAGUAAAAUUCCAGGUCCAUCCUACGGACCCAACAAAGACGGCCUCCAUUGGGGCACAAUUGAACCCCGAGGUAGACGCCGCACUGCAAGAAUUCCUUCGGGAAAAUUGGGACAUUUUCGCCUGCCAUCCUUCGGAUAUGCCCGGAAUCCCACGCAGAUUGGCAGAACACAGCCUAAACAUCCUAAAAGGAUUCAAGCCGGUCAAACAGGCUCUUCUGCGAUUUUCCGAACCCAAAAGACAGGCAAUGGGAGAAGAGCUAGCCAAACUAUUGGAAGCCGGAUUCAUCAGAGAUAUCAAACAUCCGGAUUGGCUAGCAAAUCUGGUAAUGGUACCAAAGAAGGACAAAUCCUGGCGCCUAUGCGUCGAUUUUAAAGACCUCAAUAAGGCUUGCCCAAAGGAUCCCUUCCCCCUCCUCCGCAUUGACCAAAUUAUCGAUGCUACCGGAGGGCACGAUUCGUUGUGCUUCCUCGACGCAUACUCUGGCUACCAUCAAAUCAAGAUGGCAGAAGUAGACCAAGCCGCAAUGGCAUUCAUCACUCCAUAUGGACCAUUCUGCUUCAACACGAUGCCCUUCGGACAUAAAAACGCUGGUGCAACAUAUCAGCGAAUGAUGCAAACAUGUCUGGCCACCCAGAUCGGCAAAAUAGUUGAGGCAUACGUAGACGACGUAGUCGUCAAACCCAAACACGUCGAAACUCUAGUAGACGAUUUGAGGCUCACAUUCGACAACCUAAGAGCAUAUGACAUUAAACUGAAUCCGGAAAAAUGCAUUUUCGGCAUACCAGCCGGAAAGCUGCUGGGCUUCAUUGUAUCCGGUAGAGGAAUUGAAGCAAACCCGGCCAAGAUCCGAGCUCUGUCACAGUUGGAUAUUCCAAAAGACCUCAAACAGAUACAAAAGUUGACCGGAUGCGUGGCAGCUCUAAGCCGUUUUAUCUCCCGCUUGGGAGAAAAGGCACUGCCCCUUUAUCGCCUCCUUAGGCGCACCGAACACUUCGAGUGGACGGAUGCUGCCACUGUCGGACUCGAAGAAAUAGCGGCCAUAUUGGCAACAAAUCCGGUUCUAGCUGCGCCAAACCUAGGCGAACCUAUGUUGUUAUACAUCGCAGCAACACAUCAAGUUGUAAGCGCGGUACUCGUCGUUGAACGAGAGACAGAAGGGCAUAAAUUCCCUCUUCAAAAACCAGUGUACUACGUAUCCACCGUGUUAACCCCCUGCAAGUCCCGUUACCCGCACUAUCAAAAGAUAGCGUACGCAGUGUUCAUGGCAUCCCGGAAGCUCCGACACUACUUUCAAGAGUGUUCGAUAACAGUGGCCUCCGAAGUACCACUCAAUGACAUUAUAAACAACCGCGACGCAACGGGCAGGAUUGCAAAAUGGGCCAUUGAGCUCCUACCAUUCGAUAUAACCUACAAACCUCGGCGAGCUAUAAAGUCACAAGUUUUGGCUGACUUUGUCGCUGAAUGGACCGAAGCCGAACUCCCUAAAGAGUACAUCGCAUACUCCAAUUGGACUAUGCACUUCGACGGCUCCAAAAUGUUGGCCGGACUGGGGGCUGGCGUCGUCUUGACGUCCCCAACCGGGGACACAGUCCAAUACGUACUUCAAAUAAUGUACACGGACUCCAACAACGCAGCCGAAUACGAGGCCCUUCUACACGGUCUCCGGAUGGCAAUCUCCAUGGGCAUUCAACGCCUAGAGGUGCGCGGGGAUUCAAACCUUGCAAUAUCCCAAAUAAACGGAGACUUUGACGCCAAGGAUCCGAAAAUGGCAGUGUAUCGCAACGCUGUCCUAAAAAUGUCAGCUCGGUUUGAAGGACUUGAAUUCCAUCACGUAGCCCGAGAUAAUAACCAAGCAGCCGACGUACUGGCACGCAUCGGUGCAAAACGUGACGCUGUCCCUCCAAAUAUCUUCCUGGAACGGCUUUUCAAGCCAUCCGUACUAUGGGAAGGGGAGUCCGGAAACGACAAACCGGAAACAACCGCGCCAACCGGCGAUUCAGCCGAUGACAUAACACCUUCAGCCCACGACAUAAUGGCAGUAAUCGCCCCAUGGACAGAGCCAUUCCUAGCCUACUUGCUUAGGUAGGAACUUCGCGAAGACCAAAACAAGGCCCGCUGCAUAGUCCGGCGGUCGAAAGCCUACAAGGUCCAUGAGGGAGAACUUUAUAAGAAAAGUACAACCGGAGUCCUUCAAAGGUGUAUCUCCGAAGAGGAAGGGCGAAACCUCCUGGCUGAAAUUCAUGCCGGACUAGGCGGACACCACGCAGUAGCCCGGGCCCUUGUAGGAAAGGCAUUCCGUACAGGAUUUUAUUGGCCGACGGCCCGGGCAGAUGCCCAGGACUUAGUCCAGAGAUGCGUCGGUUGUCAGCUCUUUGCUAAUCAGAGCCAUAUGCCACCCACCGCCCUCAAAACUAUACUUAUUACCUGGCCGUUCAUAGUCUGGGGGCUUGAUAUGGUUGGACCCCUUAAAGGGGGAACCCACAAGAAAAGGCACCUAUUGGUCAUGGUGGAUAAGUUCACCAAAUGGAUAGAGGCCAAACCGGUCAAAACGGCAGAGUCCGGACCAGUGAUAGACUUUAUAUCCAGGGUCGUACACCGUUACAGUGUCCCAGACAACAUCAUCACCGACAACGGCACGAACUUCACGGCCGACGAGGUUAAGUCAUGGUGCAAAAACAUGGGCAUUAAGCUCGACUACGCUUCAGUCUAUCACCCUCAAACCAACGGUCAAGUAGAACGAGCAAAUGGUCUAAUAAUGAGCGGCAUUAAACCCAGACUAGUGCGGUCACUUACGAAAUCCGACACGCACUGGGUAGAGGAGCUCGGCUCCGUACUCUGGGGGCUGCGGACAACGUCCAACCGUACUACCGGAUUCACACCAUUUUUUAUGGUAUACGGUGCAGAGGCAGUUUUGCCCUGCGACAUCAUUCAUGACUCACCUUGAGUGCGCAUGUACGAAGAACAAGAAGCCGAGCUGGAUCGGCAGGACAGCUUGGACGCACUGGAGGAGGAACGCGACGUUGCCAAGGCUCAUUCCGCCUUUUAUCAGCAGCAGGCUCGAAGAUAUCAAAGCAGAGAAGUACGGGCCAAGACUUACAACGUUGGCGAACUAGUUCUACGCCUGCUGGACAAGAAAAAGGACAAGCUCAAGCCCAAAUGGGAGGGCCCCUUCAUUAUCGACCAAGUCCUGACCGGCGGGGCGUACCGUCUGCGAAAUGCAUCGGACAACCGACUCGAGCCGAACCCAUGGAACGCAACCCGCCUCCGAAGAUUCUACGCCUAGCGCCGGACUAAGAGUUCGUCCCCUCCCCCCGUCCAAAUUUUUUACACUCGAGCUGCACUUUUGUUUCUCUUUCUUCUCUUAACCUUUUUUCAUAAAAAGCCCUGAAGGGCCCACUUGCGCAUUGUUCGCACACACUUGAUGUGCCAUAAGCACUCACUAUACCUGGGGGCUUCUUUUCAAGAAGCUCAAUUGUAAGGGCUUCACGCCUAGCACAUGUGUCAAGCUUCCACAUGUACCUUUUACUCACCAUUAUAUGCAUCGAUAUUACUUAAGUUUUUGGCCAAGCUGGGUUGCCUGGCUCCUGUGCUUACCCCUACAUUCCUGAUUGUUCGGCUAGGAGGUAAAGGGAGCACCUCUACGAUUGUUACUGCCGGGUCAGCCGGAUGUGUACCUCAGACUGGGUGAAGCCGAAAGCUAGCGUUCUUAAGGGAAUAUUCGGUCGGUGACUUGAAAGAUGAUUUUUUACCUACUUAAUUAUCUGCCCCUAGAUGUUUUUCUGCUUUUUUCGCAGUCCGGACAUGCACUUUAGGGCAUGCCUCCCAGGGAAAGGAACCCUUAACGGAACUAUUCUCCCUGGAAGAUGUUUCUUACUAACCAUGUAAUAUAACAUAACUAGUUGGGCACUUGUCUGAUAAAGCACUAAUGACCCCUACGCCUGGUCUCCAUGCAUACCCCGGUUGUUUCUUAACAAAAAAGGUAUUAGGACACACUCCGGACUCUAGGGUCCCGAGGUCGAAGUGAAAAGGUCGGCAAAGACAAACGAUCUACAAUCCGGCUAGAAGGCAUUUCACAUGUCAUUUUAAAAAUACAUUGUCAAAUUUACUGAUUGUAUUCCUCCUCAAUCCCAUCUAACAGGCUGUCCAACUUACAGUCCCGUUGGGAAAAUUUAGCAGCCAACUCUACUUGGCUGUAUACUAAACUCACAGGGAUCUCCUUCCCAUCGGGCCCCACCGGUCCAACCUCGGCCAUGUGGUUGGGAUCCGCCUUCUUGUACCGCGUCUUCACCAUGGCCCAAGCCUCCCUGGCACCUUGGCGGCAGGCCGAAAUCUUCCAUGAACGGAGGCGCUGCCGCACUCCCUGGAGCUUCUCCGCAAGCUCCCCAAGGCCCUCGGGUAGGGAGAAGGCUGGCCAUAAUGCCGGGACGACGCCGCUCAUCGCCUGCCGAAAUCGUUCGAGCAGUUGCAACAGCUCGGGAAGUUGAUCACCCGUUGAUACGGGCAUCUCCUCCGCAGGGCGACCUGUGAGUAUACCUAUAAGACAUAUUCUGUCAAUUGACUUCCUCGCCGAACUCUUCUUUUCAAAGGAGUUCUCUCAAGCACUUACUAUAGAUGCCGCGACGAAGCCGCUGAUUCUCCUUAACGGAGCCGGACAGCUCGACCCGAACGCCUUUCAGCUCCUCUCCAAGCUGGGCAUGGGCAUCUUGGAGCUUGUUCCUUUCCUGCUGUACUCUAUUCAGCACCCUCUCGCCGGCCUUCAGCUGGCGCAGCAGUUCCUGCCUGUCCGGAUCCUGUCCGGCAGCACCUGUAGUAUCAUUGUUAGACUUGCACGCACGCCGCACAACGCUUAUAUUUAACAAACAAAUAUGUUACCAGGAGGGGCCUCGGUGUUUCCUCCCGCGGCAGCAAGUGCGGCCUCAAGUUGGGCCUUGCAUUCUUGCAGCUCCUGAGACAGCUGGGUAUUCUUCUCGGUAAGAGCCUGCAUUUCAAAUGAUCCUCAAAUCAGUUAACGUAACUACUUUAAGUCUCGGGGGCUACUGGCAUAUAUAAACAUUAAAUUCCCUUACCCGUAUGUCUUUUACAUACUGCUCCAUGGCUCUGGUAAAACCAUCUUGAGCAGCACGGAGGUGCGCGUCCCCCGCGUUAAAGGCGUUCAACGCCUCAGGGGAGAAGCACGCUUCACGAAAUACUGUCCGGCGGCGCCUGUGGUUCAUGGCGCUCUCCACCUCAGACUUGGUGGCGGAGAGUCUGUCGGCAUCCUCCGUUGGAGGAGUAUCCGUCCCGCGCCUUGCGCUUGCCUCCCCCUCCAGGCCGGGCGCUGGAGCCUGGCUGGUAUAGGUCGGAUCGGCAACCUCUACGCCCGCAGUCCGGCGGGCGCUUUUUCUCCUACAAAGAUCAUGAGCACUCAGACGCUUCCUAGGAACGUUGCUCUAAAUAUCUAAAUACGAGCUAUACCUUUGCGGCGACAUUUCAGUCCCUGUCGCGCUCCUUUUCCGCCUGCUGGUCCGGACUGGCCUUUGUUGGACAGCCGCCGCAGGCUCGGCUUCCCACCUUGAAGGCGCUUCCUGUAAAACACCAUCGUUUGUGAAGGUUAGAAAUGGGCAAGGAAGAGAUAAUGGUGUCCGGACCUCGGUCACAAUCACCUGGAAAGCCGGAUAUAGUCCGGGGUAGUCCGCCGUAAUGGCGACUAAAGCGUUAUCCAUGCUGAGCUGGUGGAACACCCCGUCGAUCAGCUCCACCUUGAUAUCCGGAUCUUCUUUGGAGGCCGGAUCCUAGGAUCUCUCUGGAUCCUCGGGUUGCGGAGCUGGACUUACCAUGUCCUCCACAAUCCGGCGCAGUUCCUGCGCCGAAGAGAUAAUGUAAGAAGCUUAAACUUUGAAAGCAUGGGUUGAACCUUUGAAAAUGUUCGCUUACCCAGCCCCAAGGGUUAUUCAUGGAAAACAUGUUCAGGGGGUUCGUUCGAAGGAAGUCCUCCUUCUCCCCCUUGUACAGGCCGGACAGGAUCUGCACCAGAUCCUCGGUCGAAUCCGGCCCUUUGCGACCAUGGCGGGUGGCAUCAUCUUCCCCGUUGAAAUCCCACAUGGGGUGGCCCCUGUAUUGCAGUGGUUGUACCCCCCGCAUGAUGCAUGUUGCCAUGACUCCAAUCAUGGUCAACCCGGAAUGGGCCAGUAAUUUUAUUUGUCCCAUCAGGUAAUGGACGCUCUUGUCUUCCUCCAAUUGGGGGCUCCGCGGGCGCCAGCUAAGGCGUAUCUUCAGAGGAGCAGCACUAAACUCCGGGAGGCCGACCCGGACUGGGUCCGGCAGGGAGCGUCCUCUAUGUAAAACCAUUCCGAAGGCCAGUCUUCGGACGUCUUCUUAGGGGUUCCGGAUGGAUAUUCGGUCCCGGCAAUGCGCCAUACUUCGGUGCCGCCCACUUGAUAUAUAGAUCCCUCGUGAGAACGGGGUACGAGGCAGAACAACCUCUUCCACAGUGCAAAAUGGGGCUCGAUGCCAAGGAAUAGCUCGCAAAGAGCUACGUAACCCGCGAUAUGCAGGACAGAGGCGCGUGUAAGGUGAUGGAGCUGGAGUCCAUAGAACUCCAGGAGCCCGCGGAGGAACGGAUGUAUCGGAAAUCCGAGUCCCCUUAUCAGAUAGGGGACGAAGCAUACCCGCUCCCCUUUGUUGGGACUCGGGGUAGCCUCCGCUUGCUUCCCACCUUGGUAGGUGGCCAGCCCGGCUCGAACCGGGACCAUGAAGGCCGGAGGGAGAUAACCCCCCGCUUGGAGCUUCACUAGCUCGUUGUGUGGAACAGAGCAUCUCCUCCAAUCUCCUGGCAGUGGGCUAGGAGCGCGAGAAGAGGAGCCGUGCCGACGGUCCAUGAUGGAAUGGAUUUUUGGGUCAAAGGCGCUCCGAUGAGUAUUCGCGGAAGGAAGAUGGUGUGAUUUGGAUCUGGAUUUUUGCCUCUUUUGUAGGCGGAUGACUUGCACGACUAGGGGGUGAAACAUAAAAGACACCCUGGCUUUUCGCAUUCGUGCGACGCGUGGAAGAAGGCCAUUAUUGGGUGUAGAAGCCAAGAAGCACAGCAUUUAUGAGGAAGCUGGACACUGUUCGGAAGGUACAUGGAACUUAAAGGGAGAACCCGCCUUGCAACGCCGAAGACUAUAUACGCACUGGACUUAUCGUCAUUGAAGCCUGGUUCGGGGGCUCGUGAGGGAGUCCUGGACUAGGGGGUGUCCGGACAGCCGGACUAUCAUCAUCCGCCGGACUCCAAGACUACGAAGAUACAAGAUUGAAGACUCCAUCCCGUGUCCGGAUGGGACUUUCCUUGGUGUAACCGACUCUGUGUAACCCUAGCCCUCUCCGGUGUCUAUAUAAACCGGAGGGCUUUAGUCCAUAGGACACAACAUACAUUACAACAAUCAUACCAUAGGCUAGCUUCUAGGGUUUAGCCUCCUUGAUCUCGUGGUAGAUCCACUCUUGUACUACCCAUAUCAUCAAUAUUAAUCAAGCAGGACAGAGGGUUUUACCUCCAUCAAGAGGGCCCGAACCUGGGUAAAACAUUGUGUCCCUUGUCUCCUGUUACCAUCCGCCUAGACGCAUAGUUCGGGACCCCCUACCCGAGAUCCGCCGAUUUUGACACCGACAGGAGUCAAAUGAGAACAUUUGAUCAUAGGUCAUACUCAUCGUUUAAGCUCAAGUGGGGUUACCACUUUUACAUAAAGCAUUGUUGUGUUCACACCAUUAGAGUUGCUUUGACUCAAUUCUUAGAGUAAAGCUCCCCCUAGAUGUGAGGUCCCCCUAAGUGGGAGGAACUAACCUUGGGUUUUGUCGAUGAUGACUUCAUGUAGGUGUUGAAUAUGUGGAUGCUCAAUGUUGAUGUAGAUUGUUUGGACCAAUCCUUUGGAGCGAGUUGCACUUUCAAUACCUAUAUGGGUUAUUCCCACAAGGAACAAAAAAGGAUAUCCAUAGACAUAGAGUGAUGCACACACAAGAUGAUGUCCAUGAAAUCAUUAGGUUACAUUGUCCCUUGUCUUACCAACAAGAGGGUUUCUGACUCCUUGAACUAGUGCAAGAUGUGGAAGUUGAUUGCACUUGUUCUUGCCAAAAUGAUAUGAGUGAAAUAUGUUGGCGGAGUCACCCUCAAGAACUCUCUAGUUCUUCUUCUUCGGGAUCCACAUCAUCUUGAUGGGAAUCCUUGGAGUUGUAGUCGUACUUGAUGAAGUAGAACUUGAUGUAGUCUUGGGAACCCACUUGACUAAGGCCUUAGGAGCUUCUUCAAAUGCAUCACUCUCCGCUUGAAGCUUAUCCUUGCCUUUUUUCUUGUGGUCUUGUGGUGGAAGAUCACCUUGAGCUUGUGUCCCUUUGAAGGAAGUAGGAUCAUACUUCUCUUGUUGAGGAACAAACUUCAUCUUGGGGUAUUGAUCUUCUUCCCACUCAACUCCAUUGGCAUUGAACUUUCGUUCAAAACCAACACCUUGGUUCUUCGGGUGCCUUCCUUGAUUGCGUACAAUUUCCUAGAAUUGCUUACUCCUAGCAAGGCUCUUGUAAACACCUUUCUCUAUAAUUCCCUUCAAUAAGCUAUUUUCUUGCUCAAGUGUAACUUGGCUAAGAGAAUCAUUAGUGGAAUCAAGAGAGCUACUAGAAGCAACAACAUUGGAUUUAGCAUGAUUAUUGUUACUACUAGAGGAAGAAUCCUUCUUGUUCUUGUUACUAGACUUGACUUGAGGCAUGUAAGUAGAUAAGAGUAAACGCUUGGCAAUGUAAGAAGAACUUUUCUUACGAAGAUCAUCAUUGGUUGCCUUUAAGAACUCAUGCUCUUGCUCAAGGUUGAGCUUUUCAAAGCGUAACUUCUCAUGAGUCCUUAAAAGUUCUCGAUGAUCUUCUAAGAUAGUUUCAUGAGCUAACUUAAGAGUGUUUAGUUCUUUAGUUAGAAGCUCAAUCUUAUCCUUAUCAUUGUCGUUCGUUUUAUCUUGAUUAGCAUGAUUAAUUGACGUUUCAUAAUAGUAUUCAUCACUAGAGUUGUCAACAAGUAAAUCAUCACCACCUAACAACUCAUCUUCAUCACUAUUGAAAUCAACAUACUCGGGAUGUGAUACCUUUGGGCCUUUAGCCAUGAAGCAUCUUCCAAGUCCUUCAUUUGGUGAAUCAAAUAUGUCGUAGGAGUUGGUUGACAGAAGUGCUAGACCGGCAACACCUUCAUCUUGAGUAUAUUCGGAGUUGGAGUGAUAGCUUCUCUCGGAGUGAUUUUCGGAGUCGGAGCCGGAUACCCAUUCACCAACAUGAUCUUGAUGUCUUCGUUUUGUGUAGCUCAUUGAUGACUUGUCCUUCCUUUCCGAAUCCUUGCUUCUCCAGGAUGUUCUUCGUUCAUAAUGAUCAUCUCUACUCCUUCUCUCUCUUGGUGGUGAUUCUUCUCUUCUACUUCUCCUCUUAGGUGAUUCUUCUCUUCUUUUGUAGGGAGUCGUACACUCAUUGGAAUAGUGUCUGGGUCUUCCACAAUUGUAGCAAUUACGCUCACGACUAGAAGAUCUUUUGUCAUUGUAGGACCUUGACUUGGAGCUUCUCUAUUUGCUUCUACUCUUGUAAAACUUGUUGAAGUUCUUCACCAUUAGGCUCAAUUCUUCAUUGAAGGUUUGUUUCUCACUUGAUGAUGCGGGAGCUUCACAUGAGGCUUUGUAAGCACCACUUGACUUGUUGUGAAGUUCCUCCUUAUCCUUGAGUGACAUCUCAUGAGCAACAAUUCUUCCAAUGACUUCCGUUGGCUUGAGAUCUUUGUAAUUGAGCAUCAGUUGGAUUAAUGUGCACACACUAUCAUAUUUUCUGUCCAAAGCUCUUAGGAUCUUCUUGAUGAUGAAUUUGUUGGUCAUCUCUUCACUUCCUAAGCCGGCAAUCUCAUUUGUGAUAAGAGCAAGCCUAGAGUACAUUUCAGCGACACCUUCAUCAUCCUUCAUUUUGAACUUGUCAAGCUGACUUUGAAGCACAUCCAACUUGGAUUCCUUGACGGAGUCGGUACCUUCGUGCAUAUCAAUCAAGGUAUCCCAAAUUUCCUUUGCAUUCUCCAGAAGGCUGAUUUUUUUGAAUUCUUCGGGGCACAAUCCGUUCAAGAGGAUAUCACAAGCUUGAGUGUUGUAUUGCAGCAUCUUCAACUCUUCCACGCUAGCUUCACGGUUUGGUUCUCUCCCAUCAAAUAAUUCACCUUGCAAGCCAAUACACACAAUAGCCCAAACGGCGGGGUUAUGUCCAGGAAUAUGCAUUUUCAUCUUAUGCUUCCAACUAGCAAAAUUAGUACCAUCAAAGUAAGGACCCCUACGGUGAUAGUUUCCCUCGCUAGACGCCAUACUCUCCUAGGUUGUGAAACCAAGGCUAUGACUACCAAAAGCUAUGGAAGUCAAAGAAAAUGGAGACCAAAGCUCUGAUACCACUUGUAGGAUCGAAAGUAUGUCUAGAGGGGGGGGGUGAUUAGACUACUUGAACAAAUAAAAACUUAUCCUUUUCCCAAUUUUAGUCUUUGGCAGACUGUAGCUAAAUUAGCACAAGUCAUGCAAUCUUAACACAAUUCAAGCAAGCAUGCAAAGAGUAUCUGAGCAGAGGAAAGUAAAGCAUGCAACUUGCAAGAAUGUAAAUGGAAGGGUUUGGAGAAUUCAAAAGCAAUUGGAGACACUGAUGUUUUUGUCGUGGUUCCGAUAGGUGGUGCUAUCGUACAUCCACGUUGAUGGACACCUCAACCCACAAAGGGUAUGCACGAGUCCACGGAGGGCUCCACCCACGAAGGGUCCACGAAGAAGCAACCUUGUCUAUCCCACCAUGGCCGUCGCCCACGAAGGACUUGCCUCACUAGCGGUAGAUCUUCACGAAGUAGGCGAUCUCCUUGCCCUUACAAACUCCUUGGUUCAACUCCACAAUCUUGUCGGAGGCUCCCAAGUGACACCUAGCCAAUCUAGGAGACACCACUCUCCAAGAAGUAACAAAUGGUGUGUUGAUGAUGAACUCCUUGCUCUUGUGCUUCAAAUGAUAGUCUCACCAACACUCAACUCUCUCUCACAGGAUUUGGAUUUGGUGGAAAGAAGAUUUGAGUGGAAAGAAACUUGGGGAAGGCUAGAGAUCAAGAUUCAUAUGGUAGGAAUGGAAUAUCUUGGCCUCAACACAAGUGUAGGUGGUUCUCUCUCAGAAAAUGCAAGUUGGAAGUGUAGGUUCGUUCUGAUGGCUCUCUCCACGAAUGAAGAGGAGGUGGAGGGGUAUAUAUAGCCUCCACACAAAAUCUAACCAUUACACACAACUUGCCAAUCUCGGUGGGACUGAAUUGAGAAACUUGGUCGGACCGAUUCAGCAAAUCUAGUGACCGUUAGGAUUUUCGGUGGGACCGACAUGCAACUCGGUAGGACCUACAUGGUUAGGGUUAGGGCAUAACGUAAUCUCGGUGAGACCGAUUACAAAAACUCGGUAGGACCGAUUUUGGUAAUAAGCUAACCAGAGAGUUGGUCAGGUAAACUCGGUGGGACCGGUUCGCUCAUUUCGGUGAGAUCGAAAUGUUAUGAAAAGGAAACAGAGAGUUUACAUUGCAAUCUUGGUGGGACCAAUCGCUCAUCUCGGUGGUACCGAAACAUUACGAAGGGAAACAGAGAUAUUACAAUCCCAUCUCGGUGAGACCGAUUUGCCUAGGGUUUGUGGCAGUGGCUAAGACAUCUGAACUUGGUGGUGCCGGAUAGAAAGAAUCGGUGGGGCCGAGUUUGACUUUUGGUUUAGGUCAUAUGUGGAUGUGAGAAAGUAGUUGAGGGAUUUGGAGCAUAUCACUAAGCAUUUUGAGCAAGUAAGCCAUUAAGCAACACCUCAUCCCUCCUUGAUAGUAUUGGCUUUUCCUAUAGACUCAAUGUGAUCUUGGAUCACUAAAAUAUAAAAUAUAGAGUCUUGAGCUUUGAGCUUGAGCCAAUCCUUUUGUCCUUAGCAUUUUGAGGGGUCCACUUUUCUCAUCCAUGCCAUGCCAAUCAUUGAGCUUUCCUGAAAUAUUCAUCUUGCAAUAGCAUUAGGUCAAUGAGCUAUAUGUUGUUAGGAAUUACCAAAACCACCUAGGGAUAGUUGCACUUUCAUCCUCCCACUGAACGCACAUCGCCGGAUAAUACUGAAAUUAACCCAGGAUAAAUGCGAGCACUGGGACUUUAACCCUGGUGGGCUCGAGAAACCACUGUCCUCCUAACCAUCCAACCACAUGUUGGUUAGCACGACAAAAUGUAUGUGGUGACCGUGAUAAGCUUAUUCUGAAGUCCAGUGACCAUAUCGUGCUUUCACUUCAAAUACAAUGACCAUCAGUGUCGUCAACAAAAUACAGAGCAUGCAUUAAAUGCAAAGUCCAUCAGUGUCAUGAAGAAAAUAUGGAGACGUAUCAUGAGCUAGAUACCGUAUGAUCACCACGAGAAUGUAUACGAUGACCAUAAUGAGCAUAUUCUGAAGUCCAGCGACCGUAUAGUGCUUUAGCUUGAAAUACAGUGACCGUCACGCGUGAAUGUGUCGUGGGCAUGCAUACUUUUAGAGGGUCGAGAGAUAGUUUGUGUGCGUACGUGAAAGUGGUGUAGAAAGAGGGGGUGUGCGGUGGAGACAAGGAGAGAUAUGCCCUUCGUUUCUCUUUGCCGUGACUAAUAUUCUAGGAGAAUAUAUAAACAUUCACAAUGUAGAACAAAUAUUUUUGGAUGCACCAUGCAAUUAACUUUCAUGUAUAACAUUGUACUAUUGGAUAUGCUUAUUUUCUUAGUGGCCGGUUGCGUGUGUGGUGUGGUGGGCACAUCAUUUCUAGUUGUGGUGGGUCAACAUGUAGACUCAUGGGUCAGUUCCAUCAUGCGCCACAUAGGUUGGCCGAGACGCGUUAUACGAAGACCCAUGUGGAGGACUCGGCGUACAACACAAAGCUACCAGAGUCGUGGAGGACUCUAUCCCCACUGGUGAUAAGAUGACUAUAUAUGAUCUAUAACUCUAGGCCCCGAGUAUGUUAUAGAAGCUUGGGGGCUAGUUCGUCGAUCGUAAACACACACGCACAAUGUCUGGUAUUCACGUGUACUUUGUACACACCCCUAUCACUAAUAUACAGUACCAAGAGUAGGCUUUUUCCUCAACCGCAAGGUUCGAACUAGGGUAAAAAUUUGCCUCGUAUUACCAUCCAGCCUAACAGUCAGGGAUAUCCUACCCAAUGAUAUGAUGGAAUCAUAUCUGCCAACUACUAAGAGAGAGGUGUGUCUGGGGGGGGGGUCGGGGCAAUGUGUGUGAGAGAGGCCUAAAGAUAAUUUGCAUGUGGGAGAAACGUAGGCACAUAUAUGUGCGUAUAGAGGUCUAGUAGAGACUGUGUGUGUCUGUAUAUGCAUGUGAGAGAAAUAGUGUUUUCCAACUGAGAUUAGUUAAAAGAGUGGUACAUAGUAGUCUGAAAGAGAUAUAUAUAUAUAUAUAUAUAUAGAGCAUGUGUGUGAGACACCCCGACACCCCGAGAGAGAUUGUGAGCAUGUGUGAAACAGAAAUGUUGAUGCAUAUAAAGUGUGUGCACUUAUGUGUUAGAUAGAGAGAUAUAUAGCGUGUUUGUGAGAGCGGGCUGAGGCAUAGUGCAUGUACGUGUAAAAGGCAGUUCUAUGCAUUAAAUUAAAAUAAAAAUGGCAUUAUUAUUUUUGGACGAGAUCAUGAAUUUUGCAAAUUGCGUAUGGAUGAAAAUCGGUCUAUCAGACACCCAUACUUUAUUGAAUUCUAGCAUGUGUGUGUUUAUUUCAUAUUAUCGAUCCAUAGAGUGAGAGCGGUUUGAAAUAUAGGCAAUGGAUUGCUUUUGCAAUUCAUAUAUAAACAUCAAUUAGUGCACUCCAUGUUGUUAGUGUGAAGCACUUUAUACCUUUUUCACUUGCAUGGAUACAUUCCAAAUUUCUAGCUACGAAAUAGAAUACAUGUUAAAUUCAACAUAAAGGGGGUUUCGAAGAUUCGAAUUCAUAGGAAGUGCAUUCAUCUAUUUGAACCCGAGAUAAUGGCAUUUGUAAAUCAGAUCUAAAAGGGGGCGUCAAUCUUUGUUGUGCGUUUGGACAUGCUAUAUAUUCAUACGCAUGUCUAACUUUUUUUUGCAACCAAGGAGAUUAUAUCUGGAACCAUGCAUGAACUAAGGUAAGUUGCAUAUUUUUUAAUAUAUACUCGUGUACAAUGUAUAUUCAAAUGUACCCCUCCAUUCCAAAAUAAUCGUAGCUUUAGGAUUUUCAAGAGUAACGAUUUGUGAAGCUUGACAAAUCCUGAAAGUUCAAUUCAAGAGAACCGAAAACGUUAAUGCCUCUGCUCCCAAAUAUUGAACAAAGCACCAAAUAAGCCUCUGGUCACCCGACACCGCGCGCGACUAAUGUUUGGUGGUAGGGAAUUACUAUCCUGACUCUGGCCCGUGUAGCCUAUCGGCCCGAUGUCCAUAGGUCUAAACCAGGGUAGGUUUGUAACUUCACCAAAGCGUGUCCCAAACCAAAACAUUGUUCCCCCUUAGUUCCCCCUCCCUCCGUUUCCCCAUUCAUACUCCGUCGGCGCCAACACAUCCUCUCCACCAGUCGCGAAACCCCAGCCUCCUCCGUCCUCCACCCCAUAGUGCCCAAUCCACCGCCGCCCUCCUCCAUCACGCUGGAGCCGGUACCUCGACGUCGUAGUCCAUCGCAACCGCAACCGCAACUCCCUCAAGGACUUAGAAGUUGAAGUCGAGGCAGAGCUGCCUCCACGACGCCGACGCCGACGUGUGCCAUACCAGAACCACUCCGACCACGCCAUCCUGUGCCUCACAGCUGCCGCUCCACUGUCGCAACCGUCCACCGCACCAGAGCUAUUCCUGCUACGCCGUCGUUCACCACCUCGGAUCUGGUUCCCCGCUGUGGACAGAAGGCCACCGCACCACACUCAACAACUUGGCCAUGGGUUUGUCCAAGGCUCCACCGUCCUCCACAACUUCUCCUUUCCAGUGGACCACAAGAAGAUCGUUGGAAAAACAGAAGGAGGACACAACACUGUCAGCAGAAAGAGGUACUCCUCUUCCCUUAUUCAUGCAAAUCUUACGUCUCUGCUCACACCAUAUUCAUCCCACGAAAUAAACUAGUUGAGCGCUUCUCACUGCAUCUUCUCGUGAUACUAAAUGCACAAGGUUUUCUCCCUUUACUAUUUCACCUUUGCUAGAGGUCAGUAGCCUGCCUGGAUUCACUUCAGGGUCAGUUGAACCGCAAUUAAAAGAAGUAGCACCCGCUUAGGCGUGCGGAGCACCUAUUCCGCCUGUUCGCCGGGGAAGCGGUGCAUCCAUGUCUAUCAUAGGGGUGUGGGGGCACAGGAGCUGCUUGUGCCCGAUCUGGUGGUCGGCGGGGCUUGAAUUGAUGGCCAUGUGGCGGUGCCAAGCACGGCAGUGCGGUGAGGUCGAGGGUAGGGCAGAGGUAGGAGACUGGGCUGGUGGUCGCUGGCGUUUCGAGGAAGAUCGUCAACACUGACUGGCUGGAGGUAGAUAAAGGUGAUCUGCCCAUUCUUUGUACAUCGGACGGUGCAGAAAAAAUGGGAUGACCUAUUUGUUUUCAGUCGACUGUUAUUUUCAUAGAAUCCUGUAGUAAUUUAGUGUGACAUGCAUGUUGUAGAGCUAUCAUAUGUCUCCCAUCAUUUAUUUCUCACCGACCUGCUAUCUGCUACCUUUACACUGUACUAAUUGUGCACACACUUCACCCAUACUCACACUGUUGUUUUUUAUGCAUGGGUAUUUCAGACUCUGAUGCAGUGUUGAUGAAUGCAGAAAAGAAAAGAUAGAAGUCGCUCCAGUGUAAUUCGAAGAUAAACACUAAGCAUUUUAUCACUCUAAAGGGUGCAGUGUCAGUAGUUGGAGACAGUAAACAUAGCUCUGCAGUUGAUGAUCUCAAUUGCCACACACAACCAUCCCAGGUGCUUGCUUUAACAUCGCGCUGUCAAAUGUGGUUGCAUGUUGCAUAUGGUGUCUAGCUUGUAUUGCUUCCAAUUUGGUUAAAUUGCAUCUGCUUACUUUACACAUUAUACCUUUGAUAAUUACAUGCCUUCCUGUUUUUGAUACAUACCACAUAUGUCUAUUAACCAUGUUCAUGCAUCAAACUAAUGAUCGUUUGUAUCCCUCAGCAAUCACUUAUGAUGAGACAGUCACCCCAGUGGUUUACUGUGAGACGCCCUACUCGAUUAAAGAGUGCAGUGUCAUCCUCCCCACAUGAUUCUCAAGAAACAGAAAGGCUAAAUGAAGAUAGUCAACUUAGCUCUCUAGUUGAUGACCGCAAUUACCCCACACCACCAUCGCAGAUGCUUGCUCUUACUUGGUAGUGUGAUAUGUGGUUGCAUGUUGCAUACGGUGUCUACCUUGUAAUGCUUCUAAUUAUGGUAAAUUGCAUCUGCUUAGUUAACACAUUAUACCUGUGAAUAUGACAUGCCUUCCUAUUUUUGGUACAUACUACAUCUUUCUAUUAACCAUGUUCUUACAUCAAACUACUUUUCUUGUGUUUCCCUCAUUAAUCACUUCUGACGAUACACCUUCAAGUUGACAGUGUAAUAUUGGUUGCAUCUUGCAUAUCAUUUCAAACAUGUAUUGCCUCUAAUUUGUUGAAGUGCCACUUAUAAUGAGACACAUCAGAGUGAUUUUGGUUGGAUCUUUCAUAUGGUGUCUAGAUUGCAUUGCUUCCAAUUUUUUGAAAUGCCUUCUGCUUAGCGUGUUUCAUACAUAUUCCAUCCUCCUACAAUGUGGUUGCCAUACAUAAAAGUUGUGUUCGUCAGUAUCAUGCAUCAACGAAUUUGGAAGUGCGAAUUUGAUUCCUUUUUCUUGUGUGUUUACUUGACAAGGCAAAAUCUAAAAAGACGAAGGCACGAAAUGAUGGUGGUCCUUUGGAGCAACCGAAACAGAUGAUCUCUGUAGAUUCUCCUGCUACUCGUACUGCAGUGCAAGUUCCAAAUCUCAUCUCCCCUACUCCACAACCCAAGGUGCUUGCUCUAACAUGGCAGUGUGAUAUCUGGUUGCAUGUUGCAUAUGGUGCCUAGCUUGUAUUGCUCCUAAUUUGUUAAACUGCAUCUCCUUAGCUUACACAUUAUACAUGUGAAUAUGACACGCCUUCCUGUUUUUGGUACAUACUACAUCUGCCUAUCACACCAUGUUCUUACCUCAAACUACUUUUCUUGUGUAUCCUGCGUCUAUCGCUUAUGAUGAGAUAGUCACGCCCGUGGGUUAGUAUGAGACGCGCUACUCUUAUAAAGAAUGCAGUUUCAUCCUCUCCACAUGAUUCUCAAGAAACAGCAAGCCUAAAUGAAGAUAUUGAACGUAACUCUGCACUUGAAGACUGCACUUCCCCUACACCACCAUCACAUGUGCUUUCUCUAACUUCGCAAUGUGAUAUGUGGUUGCAUGUUGCAUACGGUGUCUAGCUUGUAAUGCUUCUAAUUAGGGUAAAUUGCAUCUGUUUAGUUUACACAUUAUACCUGUGAAUAUGACAUGCCUUACUAUUUUUGGUACACACUACAUCUAUGUGUUAACCUUGUUCUUACAUGAUACUACCUCUCUUCUGUAUCCUGCAUCAAUCACUUACGAUGAGUGACCUUUAUUCCUUGCAUAUUAUUUCUAGUCUUUUUCCAUGUAUUGCUUCUAAUUUGGUCAAAUACAUUUGUUAGGGCACCCUUUUAAUUUGGCAGAGUGAUAUUGGUUUCAUCUUUCAUAUGGUUUCUAGCUUGCAUUGAUUCUAACAAGUUCAAACACCUUGUGCUUAGUUUACACUUCAUACAUCAUACAUGUCAAUAUGUCAUGCCGUCCUAUUUUUCAUACAUAUUCCAUCCUCCUAUCAUGCGGCUGCCUUACAUGAAACUAGUGUUCGUCAGUAUCAUGCAUCAAUGAGUUCUGAAGAGCAAAUUUUGUUCCUUUUUCUUGUGGGUUUGACUUGACAAGGCAAAAUCAAGAAAGAUGAAGGAAAAGAGUAAGGAAGGCGAUGAUGGUGGUCCUCUGUAGCAACAUAAAUGGAGCAUCUGUACCGAUUCUCCUUCUACUGCUAGUGUAUUACAAGGUCUAAGUCUCCGCUCCCCUAGUCCACCAUCCAAUGUGCUUGCUCUAACUUGGCAGUGUGAUAUCUGGUUGCAUGUUGCAUAUGGUGUCUAGCUUGUAUUGCUCCUAAUUAGUGUAAACUGCAUCUGCUUAGCUUACACAUGAUACAUGUGAAUAUGACACACUUUCCUAUUUUUGGUACAUACUAUAUCUGUCUAUCACACCAUGUUCUUACAUGAAACUACUCUUCUUGUGUAUCUUGCAUCAGUCACUUAUGAUGGGACACCUUUAAGUUGGCAGGGUGAUAUUGGUUUGUGUCUUGAAUAUGAUUUCUAGCAUGUAUUUCUUCUAAUUUGAUGAACGACACCUAUGACGAGACAGUUUUAACUUGGCUGAGUGAUAUUGAUUGCACCUUCCAUAUGGUGUCUAGCUUGCAGUGCUUCUAAUUUGUUGAAGUGCCUUCUGCUUAGUUACCACAUCAUAGGUGUGAAUAGUUCAAGCCGUCCAGUUUUUCGUACAUAUUCCAUCCUCGUAUCAUGACUUUGCCUUUCAUUAGAGUAGUGUUCGUCAGUGUCACGCAUGAAUGAGUUCUGAAGAGCGAAUUAUAUUCAUUUUUAUUGUCGGUUUGACCUCAAAAUGCAAAAUCAAUAAAGUCGAAGGAAAUUGGCAAGGCAUUGGAUGAUGGUGGUCCUUUUGAGCAACUGAAACGGAGGUUCUCUACAGAUUCUACUCCGCCAUCCUCCCAACAAGAUUCAUGAGACAAAGCAAGGCUACACAGUCAACGUAGCUGUGUAGAUGAUGAGCGCAUCUUCCCUACUCCACCAUUACAGGUGCUUGCUCUAACUUGGCACUAUUAUAUGUGGUUGCAUGUUGUGUUUGAUGUCUAGCUUGUAUUGCUUCUAACUUUGUUGAAUUGCAUAUGCUUACUUUACACAUAAUGCUUGUGAAUAUGACAUGUGUUCCUAUUUCUAGAACAUACUAUAUCUGAUCACACCAUGUUCUUACAUCAUACUAUUGUUCUUGCAUAUCCCGCAUCAGUCACUUAUGAUAAGGCACCUUUAAGUUGCCACUGUGAUAUUGGUUGUGUCUUGCAUAUGAUUUCUAGCAUGCACUACUUGUAAUUUGUUGAAACGCCAUACAGUUUGAACUUGGCGGAGUGAUAUUGGUUGCAUCUUUCAUAUGGUGUCUAGCUUGUGGUGCUUCAAAUUUUUUGAAAUGCCUUCUGCUUAGUUACCACAUCAUAGGUGUGAAUAUGUCACGCCAUCCUGUUUUUCAUACAUAUUCCAUCCUCGCAUCAUGUGUUUGCCUUUCAUCCGAGUAGUGUUCGUCGGUAUCAUGCAUGAAUGAGUUCUGAAGAGCGAAUUUUAUUCCUUUUUCUUAUCGGUUUGACUUCACAAUGCAAAAUCAUUACAGCUGAAGGAAAUUAGUAUGACAUUGGAUGAUGGUGGUCCUUCGGAGCAACUCAAACAGGGGGUCUCUACAGAUUCUACUCCGCCAUCCUCCCAACAAGAUUCACAAGACAACACAAGGCUGGGAAGUCAACGUAGUUGUGUAGAUGACGAGCACAUCUCCCCUACUCCACCAUUACAGGUGCUUGCUCUAACUUCGCACUAUUAUAUGUGGUUGCAUGUUGUGUAUGAUGUCUAGCUUGCAUUGCUUCUAACUUUGUUUAAUUGCAUCUUCUUACUUUACACAUAAUGCCUGUGAAUAUGACACAUGUUCCUAUUUCUAGAACAUACGUGUACAUGGUGAGCACAUCUCCCCUACUCCACCAUCACAGGUGCUUGCUCUAACUUGGAACUGUUAUAUGUGGUUGCGUUUUCCGUAUGAUGUCUAGUUUGUAUUGCUUCUGAUUAUUUUGAAUUGCAUCUGCGUAGCUUACAACUUAUACCUGCAACGAUCACUUACCCAUAAGACACAUUUAACUUGGGACUGUGAUGUAGGUUGCAUCUUGCAUUGUCUUCUAGCUUGUACUACUUCUAAUUUCUUGAAAUGGCACUUCGACGAGACACUUUUUACCUGAUAGAGUGAUAUUGGUUGCAUGUUCAUAUGGUGCCUAGCUUUCAUUUCUUCUAAUUUUGUUGAAAUGCCUUCCGCUUACUGUUUUUUCAUACAUACUCCAUCCUCAUAUCAUACAUGUGAAUAUACAACGCUGUCUUUUUUUGUAUAUAUUCCAUCCUCCUAUCCUGCGCUUGCCUUACAUCAAAGUAGUGUUCGUCUGUAUCAUGCAUCAACCAGUUAUGCAGAUCUAAUUUUAUUCAUCUUCUUGUGGUUUUGACUUCAUAAGGCAAUAUCAGAAAAUAGGAAGGAAAAGAGUAAGUUAGGGGAUGUUGGUGGUCCUCCGCACAGACGCAAACAGAGACUCUCUAGAUUUGCCACUGCUACUUCUAAUGAAGUUGAAGUCCCAAGUCUACAUGAUGAUUUCAUCUCCCGUACUCCACCAUCGCAGGUGCUUGCUCUAAGUUGACAGUGUGAUAAUUGGUUUCAUGUUGCAUAUGUUGUCUAGCCUGUAUUUCUUCUAUUCUGAUUAAAUUGCACCUGCUGAGUUUAUACGUUAUACAUGUGCAUAUGACAUGGCUUUCUGUGUCUAGAAUACACUGCAUCUAUCUAUCAUACCAUGCUCUUACAUCAAAGUACUGCUGUUGUGUCUCCCGCAUCAGUCACUCAUGAUUGGAUGCUUUUAAUGUGGCAGUUUGAUAGUGGUUGAAUCUUGCAUUGAUUACUAUAUUGUAUUGCUUCUAAUUUUUCGUAUUGCCACUUAUAACAAGACACUUUUAACUUGGCAGAGUAAUAUUGGUUGCAUCUUUCAUAUGGUGUCUACCUUGCAUUACUUCAAUUUUCUUGAAAAUCCUUCUUCUUAGAUUACACAUCGUAGCUGUGAAUAUGUCAUGCCAUCCUAUUUUUCUUACAUAUUCCAUCCUCAUACGGUUGUCUUACAUCAAAGUAUUGCUUGUCUGUAUAAUGCAUCAAUGAGUUCUGAAGAGCAAUUUUAUUCUCUUGUGUUGUGGGUAUGGCUUGACAUGGCAAAGUCAAAAAAGAGCAAGGAAAAUAAUAUAGUAGGGAGUGGUGUUACUCAUCGGGUGAGACAGAAAAGGAUCUGCCGUCAAGAUUCUGCUGGUACUUAUAGUGCGAUAGAAGGUCCAAGUCCACCGGCUAAAUCUACAAACACACUAUCACCUGCUCCACCAGCUGCAACAUCCGCUUCAACUGUACCAGGAUCUCAAUGAGUUACUUGUUCGUUUGCUCUGAAACUGGCCAGUUCCCAAGCUGCCUUCAUACCUAACACUACUUCUGAAGCACUGCUGACACAACAGGACUUGGCAAGAUCAGAUGAACCUCAUGAGCAUCAACACCAAGGCGGUACCUGACCGAGUCAAGUUGCAGUUGCAUGCUCCUUUAUAUGUACUCUCAUAGUUUGAUGUACACUAACACUUUCCAUAUUCGUUGUUGAACUAGCACCAUGGCGCAAGCGGAAAUAGACAUCAAGGAUAAUGAUUGACAGAUUAACAAAAUAUAAAGGACGAAGAAUGGAGAUCCAUUUUGAGGCAGGUUGGAAAAGUCCACAUGAUGCUACAGAGUCAGCCAAGUUAGUAUCAGAGGCAGCCAUUGCCAUUAGGUGUCAUGCACGUAUCCUCCCAGCAUGGAUCCAAUACAGGAAUGAGAAAGACAAUACCCAGUUUAACACCUUCCUUGACCAUUUAUCCAUAAGUAAUGUUAUUCAUCACAAUUAGUAAUAUUGUCUUGCUCUGUCCCAUACUUUCUAGCUUCCUCCUAAUAAGACUCACAUUCUUUUUUCAAUAGAUGAGGUUCAAGUUGGAUCCGAAAGAUGAUGCAACUAAACAAGCAUGCACUCAUGUUUUUCAGUCUGCUCUGCAACAGUAUCGGUACCACCUUAGAAAAUCUCACUUUUAAGGCAAGGGUAACAAUGAAAUCGCCCAAACAUCUCCAGUGGAAUAUAUUACAGAUGAAGACUGGACAGCCCUCGUUAAACACAGGUCUGAUCCAAAGUAUCAGGUAGGCUAUAUGUAUUUGAUCAGACCACAUAUUGAACUUGUAUUUAUGUAUGUGCCUUACAAGUGUAUCUUCUUCUAGGCUAAUUGUUUGAAGAACAAGACCAACCGUUCUAAAGUGAAAUUCCAACAGACAACAGGAUCUCGUAGCUAUUGCACACUACGAGGCUCUUGUAAAUAGCUGCUACUUCCUUCUUUUUUCUUUGCCAUAUUAUCAUAUCUAUAUUGAAUUGCUCCAAAUAUAGAGGAAAGCUCGUGCAGACAAAAAAAGAACCUAAACCGAAUGCAGUUCAAAUCUUCAAGGAUUGCCAUACCAGCAAGAUGAAGGGCAUGCGCACACCAGUUCAAGCCGCUGUUGUAAGUCCUUACUCCUCCUGCCUUUGAACUGACUGGUACUGUGAUGUGUUCAUUUAACUACUUGGUUUGCAACCAAUGUGAGUUAAUCUACUCACUUUUAUACACAGUUGUCUUAAUGUAUCAUUUCACCUUACAUAGUUUAAAAGAGAUGAAGGAUAUUCUUUUGGUCUUGAUCUGUAAUCUAGUUGUUAUGUUCACGUGCGCACACAAUGAUAAAAUAGCCUGUUUGUUUUAUAUCUGUUUGCCCAUGAUAUGAAUGAUGUCAUACUAUGUUCAUCCUACUUUAAACCAUGUCUCUUUAUCCUUAGAUGUCAACGAACGUGAGGAAAUAGACAAUACAGUAGGCAUGCUACAUGGACAUAUGUGCCGAAAGUGAUUUUAUUAUGUAGUUGGCACUGCAAUGCAUGCUAAUGUAUUACAGUAGUUCACCAAAAUAAGUUAUGUAUAAAUGUGUAACCUACUUUGUUUGUUUUUGUCUCAUUAGUAACUUAUCUGGUACACUUAUCUAUAAGUUCAAAAUUUCAGCAAGCUAUGGAACAAAUGAUUGAACAGCCACAACCACCUGAAGGUGACGUGGCUACCACAGGCACAAUGUCACCUCUUGUUGCAGUGCGUCAGUAUCUCUCCACUAAUAGUGCAAAAAGCACCUUCCUGUGUAAUUCUGGGUUGGUAGUCAAGGUAACCUUGUCCAAAUCGCCCACUGAACAAAAUCUUCCAGCUAGACAGAGUGAUAUAUCUGUGCUCCAGACACAAGUCCAAUCCCUAAUGGACGUCAUUUCGGAAACAAGAAUAAUGGUUGACAAAUGUCGUCAAGAUAUGAAUGGUUUUGAAACUAGACUAUCAGAAAUUCGCUUUGUUGUUCAAGAGCAAUGGCGGAAAAAGGUGAAGAUCGUGCUGCUCCAUCAGAUUCUACAGCCUGAAACAUUAGUACUUAGGUCAAAUGAUCUAUGCUUCUAUACAUCUGAUGGUGCUUUUAUCUGCAAGGACUGUAAACUUUAUGCAACAGGCCUUUUGUUGUAUGGUUGGAAUUUAUUUUGUUGUGAUACAACAUUUAUGAUGCUGCCAAAGGCUGCAGUAAUUACGACGCUAUUUUUGUAUAGUAUAGGUUUAUCUUAGUAAUGUAUUCGGCCGAAAGCUUCGUAGGAGCCCUACAUGCCAACAUUCGUCAGGCCCAUUCCAAUAGGGCUAAAAAUGAUUAUGGGCCGAAAUUUGCAUGUAGCCCACUAAAAAUUUCUGGACCUAAAUCUGCAUAAGCUUUCAUAUUUUUCUGGUAGGCCUGUGCCCAUAGUGGGCCUUUAAUAGGCCUAAACAUAAUUUGGGCCCUUAGUAACAAUAGGCCGUUUACAGGUGUAAAUAUCUCGAUCCCAUAAAAAACAUGGGCCUUUAAUAGCCCGAAAGUGAGAUUGGGCCCUAAUUGUGCCAAAUAACCCACUGGUCUUAGCAGGCCGAAAUAGUGGCCCAUUUACGAUGCGAAUCUUUCACAGGCCAAAAUUCGGACGGGCCGUAAAUGCCUGACCUAAUACACGGGCCUUUAACAGGCCGGAAGUUCUGUCGGGAUUGAUUAGCGUCAUUUUUAUAUGGGCCAUUAAUGGGCCUGAUGUGACGUUGGGCCACAUAUGGCCCAUGGAUUUCGUUCGACGUUAACAGGCCGAAAGUGUCCCAAAUCUAUAAUGGGCCUCUAACAGGCCGAAUGUCAGACAUGGACGAAUAAGACCCAAAUCCUUCACGGUCGUUUAUGGGCCGAAAGUUUCAAUGGCCUGUAAAUGGGCUCAAAUGAAGCAGGACCUUUAACACGCCAGAAAUACACUAGGCCGUAAUUCGUCCCAAAUACUUAGCGGACAGUUAACGGGCCAGAAGUGACCAUGGGCUACGAUGAUGACAAGUUUAGGACAGGCCGUUGACGGGCCGAUUUGACACUAACUAUACGGGCCUUAACUGAGAAUGUUCAGCCUUUAGCUGGGCCAGCCCAUUAUGGUCUACAAAAUCUUGUGGGUCUUUAGCUGGGUCGGCCAUUGUGGUCCGCUAAAUCUUGUGGGCCUUUAGAUGGGCCGGCCCAUUAUGGUCUACAAAAUCUUGUGGGCCUUUAGGUGGGCCGGCCCAUUAUGGUUUGCUAAAUCUUGUGAGCCUUUAGUUGGGCCGACCCAUUUAAACUUUAUGGGCCACUUUUGGCCCCGUCCACGUGUCAACAUAUCAUAGGCCCAUCUCGACCGUUGGAUGAGUGACACCUGUGCCAACGUGGAGCUGAUGCGUGGUUCCGUCGGCCAAUGAGAAUAUUACACAUGGAAUAUCGGCAUUGGUCGUGGCUGUUAGCGGGUUAUCGGAUCCAAAACCAGACAUGAUAGCUUAACGGCGCUUAACAAUGUCCCGUUACGGUGGAUGCCACAUGUCGGCCACCCUUGACGAAAGCACUUCCAUGACGCGCGAUUUAUCAUCAUGGAAGUGGACACUUCCGUGAUGAUAAUUCUGGUAAUGUCAUGGAAUACUUCUACGAUAGCACAUCUAUGACUAUCUUGAUUCUGUCAUAAAAUCGUCAUGGAUGUACAUUCAUGACAAAAAACGUGACCUACUAUGACAAACACGUAUCAUCAUGGAAGUGUAUUUUUUUUGUAGUGAUAAGGUGUCUGUAUUUCAAUGUGUGGUCUGGUCAACAUGGUUGGGGGGUGAACUUUGCAUAUGCAGGGGUUUAUAGGGAGACACUCUUCAAGUUGAAUCCAAAAUGCAUUCCUUAGAUAAUCUGACUACUUUUUAUGUUUUCAUGAAUCUCAGAUUCUGAACAGCAUCAUAAUGAUUAUGAGCUUGCGCACAUGAAAAUAAUAAAGCAGAACAAUGCCAUGGUUGUCAAACUUGGCAUUAAGGGACUGAAAUCAAGUCUGGAUGCAAUGCAAUGCAAACUCUCUCCACCUACAGAUUCAUGCUCAGAAUAUGAUCCUAACAGUGAUUCUGAGCUAGAGGGAGACCUAAGUCAAUGUAGCUCCCUAGUGGAGGAGUCAGAGGCAGAUGCCCUAUCUUAUUCAGCCAUCAAGGUGCUUGCUCUAACUUUCCAAGGUUAUAUUGGUCGCACAUAUCUUGCAACUGAUGCUUUGUAUUGCUUCUACUUUGUUGCACUGCAUUAGCUUAGUUUACACAUCGUUUAUGUGAAUACACCCUGCCUAUACAUUUUCAGUACAUAUUCCAUCUAUCAUCAUACCAUAUUUAUCCAUUCAAAUGUUUUUCUGGUGUAUAAGAUGUUCAAAAGGAAGAGGGCGAUUGCUGAUCACGGAGGAGCACAAGCAAGUAUUUGGAAAACGUAGUGGCACCUGAUAAAUGAAAUAGCCCAUUAGGUGUAGUUGCAAUAUCACCUGACCCACAAAACACCCCAACUCUAGCAGACUCUAGCCCUACUACACUGGUCAUUUCUGAUGCCCCAACUCAGCAGACCCCAAUUGGAGCAAACAGUAUGAUGAUGCCACUUGACAUAGCACCAGCUCUAUGACGCAAAACCCCCGCUCCAACAAAGAGUACACCAAAUCCAGUUGCCAAAUCCCUUUUCGAACCAGAGAGAGCCCCAAUAGCAGCAAAUAGGACCCCUGUUCCAUUUCUUCCCAGUUUAGAAGACGAAGCUUAUAUUGUUAUCAGGAACUUUGUGCGCAUCUUUCCUUCAUGGUAAGAUUAUACCGCAGACACAGAACAAUUUCAAGUCUUCCUCCGCAACUUACGCGUAAGUAAUGUACUAAUGUUAUUCAUGGUAAUUACUGCAUAUGUUUCUGCUGACAGAAGACACAAGAUUUCAUUCUAUUAAAUAUGUGAGGACCAAACUGGAUUGUGAAGACGAGCAAGGGUUGGUUGCGCUUUUCAAGCACUCGUUGAUGAAGUAUCGUUCGUACCUAAGGCAAGCGCACUUCGAUGGCAAGACUCUAAACAAAAUUUUUGUAAAGUCUCCGGUGCUACAUUUGUCCGACGGUAACUGGAAUAAUCUUGUUACACAUUGGUCUCGUCUAUGGCGUAAGGUACUGUCAAUGAUAUCACAUCACAAUUUGAACUACAUUUCUGCAUUUGCCUUAACGUCUCACUUGUACGAAAACUUUUAGGAGAAGAACCUUCAUUCUCAAGGGACCACAAAAUCUCGCAACUAUACUUCACACUACAUUGCUCUUGUGAGUACCUCUUGCCCUGUAUGAUCGUACUUACUUUCAUAGUUGUUUGAUUAUGUAGCAUCACUGCACAUGUUAGCCUUGUUAUCGUCCAUUUGGUGGACAUUAUAAGAUCCGUAUGGGCUCUUACAUAAAUUUAGAAUCAACCCAAUGCUUUUGAAGAGCUUUAGCUCUGCAGUCCUCUUGUAAGGACUGAACGUUGUCUAUCACUAUACUUACAUUAAUAGCUACUCCCUCCGUCCCACAAUAUAAGAACGUUUAGUAUAGUACACCAGUGUUCAGAACACUCUUGUAUUAUGGGAAGAGGGACUGGUUCAUUGUGUAGCAUUCUGCAUCUUAUCUCCCUCGCCCACCAUUUACUAAAAAGGAUCAGAUCUAUAUUUAAUCUUACCAAAAAGUAGAAUACACAGACAGUGCCAAUGCAGAAGUGUAGCCCAUUGCUCUUGUCAGUACAUUUUGUCCUGUAACGCUUGUACUUCCAUGGAUUGGUAGUUGAUUAUGUAGCAUCAAUCUUCAUCUUUUAUUCAUUAUCCUCUAUCUCUUCUAGUAUUAUCAUAUCUAUAAUUACUCUCUACAAAAUGUAGAGUACAGGCAAUGCUUACAAAAAAGAUUCGGUGCUAAAAUUCUUGAGUUAUCCUUCCCUUGACUUGGAGAAGGGCAUUAUAAAGCCGGUGUUAACUGUUAAUGUAAGUCAGUCCUUCUAAAGCCUUUAUCCUCAACUACUAUUUAAUUUGCUCAUACUCCCUAUCAUUUACUUCUGUUUAGUUUGCUGUUUCUAUCAAAAUGCAUGUUCUCAAGAACCAUAAGUUCUAAGUUUUACAUGUAAAACCAAAUUUCUUAUUCAUACCAUGCACAUUACUCAAUACUCCCUAUAUAUAUGCUUGUUUUUGUGGAUCUAUAAUCCAGUGUGUGGUGAAGCAACCCACAUUUGCACCUUGUCAUCUCCUAUUUUAUCUUACUGAUGUGGCUGAUGAUAUAAACAACAUGCCAUGCACAUUAACCAAAAUAGAUACAAUGAUUGUCUUUGCCCUUCAUCUUUGCUUGUUAUGUUGACAUGGUAAUCCAGUAGUGUGGUGAAGCGCCCCGCAUUAUGAACAAUGCCAAAUUAUGCUAUUGAUAUUUUGAACUUACUCUUUAUUUUCUAAUUUGAAAUUGGAUGGAAUUGACAGCACAGUUAUCAUCUUUGUUUAUACACGUGCAAAACAUGUCAUCUCUCUGCUGAUUUCAGGGUGAUAUGCCUGAUGGCAUGCACAAGUCUGCUGAAGGCUGUGAGACAAACCCAACAUAUAUUGCAGCAAAGAAGGCAUAACAUCUUGAAGAUAGCGAGACAACCCCAAAGUCUUGUCUUGAUGCAGUGUUCAAGUUACUUGAGACUAGUAGUAAGACAAGCUCACAAAAUUCACGGUCUGAAUCAGUUCGACUUCUUCAGUCCCAAGUUCUAGCAGAAAGGCAUUCUGCAACUCAACUUCGACUUGAAGUCCUAUCUCUAAGAAAGAUUGCGGAGAACACCAAUGAGAACCUCAUUGCUAAACAGCUACACCUGGAAGCUAUGACCGACAUGCUAGGCCGGUCUCACAGCCUUGCUCAGUAGCUUGCGUAGCAGUUCCCGUGCAAGGCUAACCUUUCUUGAACUAUCUUGGAAGUGGUCUUGGUUCAGUAUUAUUUUGUUAUGUUGCAAUGGUGCCAAGUUUUGGUAAUCUUCUUCUUCGUUGCGCUUUAUGAUCACUCGUGGCAAACUUCGAUGCCUACUAUGCCGUAAUUUCUUUAUUGUAUAGAGUAGGUUUGUUCUUAAUUCCUACUAGUUACUGCCAUCAUUCGCUAUCUGAAAAAAAAUUUGAUGUAGUCGACCGGGCCGAAACAUUCGCCUCUAACGGGCCUGGUUUUUAGCAGACCACAAUUGGGCCGGCCUGCAUAUUUCUUGGGCCCGAAUGAUUGGGGCCUUCACACUUUGCGCCAGGCCCACAACAUACUCCAACCUAUAUUCGACCCAAAUUUUAGUUGGGCCUUUUGUGGACCCAACGCUUAGUUUGGCCCAGGUAUCGUUGGGCCAUUAAGAGGCUAAAUAUUCUACUGGCCUGUUACGGCCCAGAUGAAACCAUGGGACUUUAGCAGGCCAAAUGCAUGUUGGGCCUCAAUUUUCACUAGUCGUCGAUGGGCCUUCAGCAGGCUGAAAUGUAGACCAGGCCUUUUUGGGCCCAGUUAUAUGACGGGCCAUUACCAGGCCGAAACAUAUCUCCUGCCUUAGUUGGCCCACUGAUAUCAUGGGCCUUUAAGAGGCCGAAAGCUUAGUACACGCAUCAACAGGCUGAAUUAUACGACAGGCCUUUAACGGGCCCAAAGUCACAUUAGGCUGAACUGUUGCCACCUUUAUCACAGGCCGUUAGUGGGCCGGAUGUCGCGUCGGACCAUAUAUGGCCCAUGGGCAGCACGGGCCAUUCCCAGGCUGAAAGACACACUGGACUAAAAUGGGCCCAUGUCUACAUCGGGCCUCUAACAGGCCGAAAGUCACCGGGCUGUAAUUGGGCCCAAAUAUUCGGGGAACAAUUAAAGGGCCAGAUCUGGCUUUAGGCCGUAAAUGGGCCUUUAUUAAACAGGCCGUUAUUGGGCUGGCCCACUAGUACCUGAGUAAGUACUACGGGCCUUUGACUGGGUCGGCCUAUUUAACCAAUAUGGGCCUCUGUUGGGCCCUUCCACGUGUCGACGUAUCAUAGGCAUGUCUCCUCCAAGGGACGGGCGACAUCUGGCCCACUGACGAGCUGACACGUGUUUCUUCCGGCCAAUCAGAAUAUUACAUGUGCAAAUUUCCCAUUGGUCCGGGCUAUUAAUGGGUUAUAAGAUCCAACACCGGACCCGAUAGCUUAACGGCGUUCCGUUACGGUGAAUGCCACGUGUCAGUCACCCUUGACGAACGCACUCAUGUGACGCGCGAUUUAUCGUCAUGGAAGUGGACAAUUCCGUGAUGAUAAUUUUGGUAAUGUCAUGGAACACUUCUACGACAGCACAUGUAUGACUAUAUUAAUACUAUGAUAAAAUCGUCAUGGAUGUACAUGCAUGACAGAAAACGCGACCUACUGUGACAAACACGUAUCAUCAUGAAAGUGUAUUUUUUUGUAGUGCAUGUUGCAAGUAAUCAUGUGAACUUGAUAUGUGUUCAAUAUUUUGAUGGUAUGUAUGUCGGCAUUCUCUUAGUGGUGUCAUGUGAACAUUGACUACAUGACACUUCACCAUAUUUGGGCCUAAGGGAAUGCAUUGUGGAGUAGUUAUUAGAUGGUGGGUUGCGAGAGUGACAGAAGCCUAAACCCCAGUUUAUGCGCUAUUCCAUAAGGACCGAUUGGAUCCAAAAGUUUAAUGCUAUGGUUAGAAUUUAUUCUUAAUACUUUUCUCAUAGUUGUGGAUGCUUGCGAGAGGGUUAAUCAUAAGUAGGAGGUUUGUUCAAGUAAGAACAACACCUAAGCACCAGUCCACCCACAUAUCAAAUUAUUAAAGUACCAAACACGAAUUAAGCCAACAUGAUGAAAGUGACUAGAUGAAAUUCCCGUGUACCCUCAAGAACACUUUGCUUAUCAUAAGAAACCGAUUUGGCCUGUCCUUUGCCUCAAAAGGAUUGCGCUACCUUGCUGCACUUUGUUACUACUAUUGUUACUUGCUCGUAACAAAUUAUCUUGCUACUAAACUACUCCCCUACUUACAAUUUUAGCACUUGAACACAUUACCUUGCUGAAAACUACUUGUCAUUUCCUUCUGCUCCUCGUCGGGUUCGACACUCUUACUUAUCAAAAAAGGCUACAAUUGACCACAUACACUUGUGGGUCAUCAGCGGCCACCCGCUAGGGAAUCAGCCCCCAGCCCCCAGCUCGCCUAUGAAAAGGAGGAGAGGGGAGAGAGGUGGAGGCAUUCACCUUUAUUCCUUUCUUCUUCCAUCCUCUGCCUUCUCCGGGAUAUGCUGAAAAGAAGAAGUCAGGGUCAAGCCUUGCGACCUAGCUUAGAUCUUUGCAUGGGCCUCAGGGGAGCGUUCGGGAGGCGCGGUGGUAGCACUGGAGGUGGCGACUCUGGUGCGCUUGUUGCCCGGCUGCCCAUAGCUUCAACUCUAGUGAGAGGCGGCACGAACGACACCACGCCGAGGCCCAUAAUGGGUGAGGGGCGCGGUAGUCGGUUGUGGCCUAUUUCUCCUCUCCUCUUGGCGUGGAGGAGGGGUCACAGGACGGGUUCGCCAUAAGCGGAGGUGAACCUAACCCCCCAGGGCACCGUCCGCCUGUCGCGCAGGAGGGCUCUUUGCAUCCAUACAUGUUUUUCAAACGUGCAGUGGUGUCUGACGUCGGGACCAUUGGGGACGACCAUGCUCUAUGUGGAAUUUCCCAGAGAGCAUGGUGUUUGUUGCGGCUGUCGUGAUGGGGUCUUCGGACGGUGGUGGUACGGGAGGUUGCUACGUCUUGAGAUUGCGUUGGUUUUCCUUUAAGAGGAAAGGGUGAUGCAGCAAUAGUAGCGUAAGUAUUUCCCUUAGUUUUUGAGAACCAAGGUAUCAAUCCAGUAGGAGGCUCCUCAAAAGUCCCACGCACCUACACAAACAAACAAAGAACUCGCAACCAACGCAAUAAAGGGGCUGUCAAUCCCUUCACGGCCACUUGCGAAAGUGAGAUCUAAUAUAGGUAGUAUGAUAAGAUAAAUAUAUUUUUGGUAUUUUAUGAUAUAGAUUGGAAAAGUGAAGAUGCAAAUAGAAGUAGAUUGAAAGUUUAUAUGAUAAAAGAUAGACCCGGGGGCCAUAGGUUUCACUAGUGGCUUCUCUUAAGAUAGCAUAAGUAUUAUGGUGGGUGAACAAAUUACUGUCGAGCAAUUGAUAGAGAAGCAAAUAAUUAUGAUAUUAUAUAGGCAUGAUGAUGUAUAUAGCCAUCACGUCCGUGACAAGUAGACCGACUCUUGCCUGCAUCUACUACUAUUACUCCACACAUUGACCGCUAUCCAGCAUGCAUCUAGAGUAUUAAGUUCAUAAAGAAGAGAGUAACGCAUUAAGAAAGAUGACAUGAUGUAGAAGGAUAAACUCAUGCCAUAUGAUAUAAACCCCAUCUUUUUAUCCUCGAUGGCAACAAUACAAUACGUGCCUUCCUGCCCCUGAUGCCACUGGGAAAGGACACCCCAAGAUUGAACCCAAAGCUAAGCACUUCUCCCAUUGCAAGAAAGAUCAAUCUAGUAGGCCAAACCAAACUAAUAAUUCGAAGAGACUUGCACAGAUAACUUAAUCACACAUAAAAGAAUUCAGAGGAGAUUCAAAUAUUUCUCAUAGAUAAACCUGAUCAUAAACCCACAAUUCAUCGGUUUUCGACAAACACACCGCAAAAAGAGUUACAUCGAAUAGAUCUCCAAGAAGAUCGAGGAGAACAUGGUAUUGAGAUCCUAAAAGAGAGAAGAAGCCAUCUAGCUAAUAACUAUGGACCCGAUGGUCUGUGGUAAACUAAUCACAACUCAUCGGAGAGGCUAUGGUGUUGAUGUAGAAGCCCUCCGUGGUCGAUUCCCCCUCCAAUGGAGCGCCUGCAAAGGCUCAAAGAUGGGAUAUCGCGGAUACAGAAGGUUACAAUGGUGGAAAUAGUUUUUUGUGGUCGCCCUUGAUGUUCUCGGGGUACGUGGGUAUAUAUAGGAGGAAGAAGUAGGUCGGUGGACGCCCGAGGGGCCCACGAGAUAGGGGGCGCGCCCAGUAGGGGGGGCGCCCUCCACCCUCGUGGCCGCCUCGACUACUUCUUGACUUGCACUCCAAGUCCUCUAGAUCACGUUCGUUCUAAAAAUCACGCUCCCGAAGGUUUCAUUCCGUUUGGACUCCGUUUGCUAUUCCUUUUCUUCGAAACACUGAAAUAGGCAAAAAAACAGCAAUACGGUUGGGCCUCCGGUUAGUAGGUUAGUCCCAAAAAUGAUAUAAAUGUGUAAAGUAAAGCCCAUAAACAUCCAAAAAGGGUAAUAUAAUAGCAUGGAACAAUCAAAAAUUAUAGAUACAUUCGAGACAUAUCAAGCAUCCCCAGGCUUAAUUCCUGCUCGUCCUCGAGUAGGUAAAUGAUAAAAAUAGAAUUUUUGAUGUGGAAUGCUACCUAGCAUAAUUCUCAAUGUAAUUUUGUUUAUUGUGGCAUGAAUGUUCAGAUCCAAAUGAUUCAAAAUAAAAGUUCAUAUUGACAUAAGAAAUAGUAAUACUUCAAGCAUACUAAUCAAAGCAAUCAUGUCUUCUCAAAAUAACAUGGCUAAAGAAAGUUCAUCCCUACAAAAUCAUAUAGUUAGGAUAUGCUUCAUUUUCGUCACACAAAAAUGCUCCCAUCUUAUACACCCCCGAUGACAAGCCAAGCAAUUGUUUCAUACUUAAAUAAUCUCAAACUUUUUCAACUUUCACGCAAUACAUGAGCGUGAGCCAUGGAUAUAGCACUAUGGGUGGAAUAGAAUAUGAUGAUGGGGAUUGUGUGGAGAAGACAAAAAAUAGGAAGUCUCACAUUGUCGAGGAUAAUUAACGGGCUAUGGAGAUGCCCAUCAAUGGAUGUCAACAUGAGGAGUAGGAAUUGCCAUGCAACGGAUGCACUAGAGCUAUAAAUGUAUGAAAGCUCAACAAAAGAAACUAAGUGGGUGUGCAUCGAACUUGCUUGCUCACGAAGACCUAGGGCAUUUCGAGGAAGCCCAUCGUAGGAAUAUACAAGCCAAUUUCUAUAAUGAAAAAUUCCCACUAGUAUAUGACAAUGACAACAGAUGAGACUCUCUAUAUGAAGAACAUGGUGCUACUUUGAAGCAAAAGUGUGGAAAAAGAGAUAGUAACAUUGCCCCCUUUUUAUUUUUAUUUACCUUUCUUUUUUUUGGCCUUUUUUUUCUUUUUUGGCCUUUUUUUAUUUGGGGACAAUGCUCUAAUAAUGAUGAUCAUCACACUUUUAUUUAUUUACAGCUCAUGAAUUACAACCCAAAACUAGAACAAUAUAUGACUCUAUAUGAAUGCCUCCGGCGGUGUACCGGGAUGGGCAGUGAAUCAAGAUUGACAUGUAUGAAAAAUUAUGCAUGGUGGCUUUGCCACAAAUACGAUGUCAACUACAUGAUCAUGCAAGGCAAUAUGACAAUAAUGAUGCGUGUCAUGAUGAUGAACGGAACGGUGGAAAAGUUGCAUGGCAAUUUAUUUCGGAAUGGCUAUGGAAAUGCCAUAAUAGGUAGGUAUGGUGGCUGUUUUGAGGAAGAUAUAAGGAGGUUUAUGUGUGAUAGAGCGUAUCUGUAAGUGCAUCUAGUGCCACCCCUAGUUGGUUUUGGAGUAUUGACGACAAAGUUGGUUGAGGGACUAAUGCGUUUGUGAGAAUUGCAGCAUAAUGCAGGAAGUGUCCCUCAUCAAUUCGGUUUACCUACCGGAGAUGACCCCUAAAAAUGUAUGAAGACAUUGAAGACAAUGGUGGUAUGAGAAGAUAUUCAUAUUGAAGACUAUGACAUGAGAAGACUAUGGAGCGCGAAGACUGUGUGGUUUUGUUGUUUCCUUUUCUUCUUUGUUGAGUCAUAGGAACCACCGUACUGUUAAGUAGGGUCCAAGUGAACUAAGUCAGAGUGACUGAAGUGAUGCGCAACUCAAAUCCUAUGUCUUCGAGCGAAGACCAUGAGAGCAAACCUUAUCCAGAGCUGGAUGAGUCAGCUUUGCUUGUAGCCCAAGUAAAGUUGCCGCGUGUGUUUGAAAUCUGACCGUUGGAACACGUGUUAGUUCCUCAGUGACCCAGGGUCAUUUUGGACAAAUCAGGUCGGGUUUCCAGUGGCUAUAAAUAGCCCACCCCUACACCUUAAAUUGGUGGCUGCUCAGAGUUUGUGCGCGGCUUUUGUCGUUUGAGAGCAACCCACCUCGAAGCAUUUGAGAGAGAGAAAUCCUUGCGAGGACAAAGCCCAAACACCCAGAGCCAAAGAGUGUUAGGCAUCACUGAAGUAUUUCUGUCUGUGUGACCUGAAGACUUAUUACACUUGAGGACUGUGAAUCCUCCAGCCGGUUAGGCGUCGUGUUCUGAGCAUCCAAGAGUCAUUGUGGAUUGCCGGUGAACGAAGUCUGUGAAGGUUUGGAAGUCUCCCUUGAAGACUUACCAGAGUGAUUGGGCGAGGACUGGGUGUCCUUAGCUCAAGGGGAAUAAGGUGAAGACACGGUCUUCUGAGUUAAAUCUCAGCCUCCCUAACCAGACGUAUAGUUGUCACAGCAACUGGAACUGGUCUAACAAAUCUUGUGUCUUCAACAAGCAACUGGUUCUAUCCCUUCCCAACCUUACUUAAGUUUGUCUUCGUGAAGUCAUUGCCUAUCUGUGUAUCUGUUUGACUUCAUUGCUUGACUACUACUGUUGAUUGGCUUCAUACUAUCUUCCAUCCUGAUCCUACUACCUAGCUGCUAUUAGUCCUGUACUUUCACAUCAUUGCAUACCUGACUAUGGCUUGCUUAGGGUAGUUUAUCUUACGCUGCAUAUCAAUUAGGUCAUUUCUGUUGUUUGUCUACGAAACUUGUAAGUUUAGAAGACUUUCAUAAAAAUCGCCUAUUCACCCCCCCUCUAGUCGAUACUAGCACUUCCAAUUGGUAUCAAAGCAAGGUACUCCCUUGUUCUUUGUGAUUCGGUUUAACCACCUGGAGUUUCAGCUAUGUCGACUGCAGGAUUGAGGAACAUAUCGUGUCCCACCUUUGACGGUCAUGAGUAUCCCCGAUGGAAGGCCAUGAUGAAGAAGCGACUCAUGUCCAUGGAUAGCAAACUGUGGACCGUCACUGAGAUUGGACUCACUGAUCUAUGCAAGAUGGCAGAGGCUGAUGACAUUCGCAAGUAUACUCUACUGAACCUUACAGCAAAGGAUGUCAUCUGCUCUCAUUUGUCCCGAAAUCAGUUCAGGAAUGUUAUGCACCUCAAUCACGCGAAGCUAAUCUGGGACCAGCUCUCUGAGGUAUAUGAAGGUCAUUGUACUCGUCAUGAUCCAUGGUUUGAAGAUUACAAGGAGUCUCUCAAGGAGAUGACCUUUGCACCUGAAUCAUCAUCAUCCUCAUCGUGCCACAUGGCAAGGGGUGAUAAGGUAACUGAAUGCUAUCUCUCUGAAUCUACUGAUGAUGAAUCAGGUGAUGAAUUUGGCCCCAGUUAUGACAAGCUUGCUUCCCUUGCCACUAAACAACAAAGAAUCUUGGAAAAGGUUCAAGACAUGCUUAGUAAGAGCGAUGAUAUGUUGGGUGAAGAAAUGGAUCAGUCAAAAGCUUUGGCUGAUAGUCUUCAGAGACUUCAUGCUAAGUUUGAUGCCCUUCAAGGUCAACAUAAUGCUCUCUUGUCUGAUCAUGAGAAGCUCUCUUCUGAAUGUCUUCAAAGAAAGCUAGACCUUGAAAAGAUAAGAGUGGAUUAUGAACAUCUUCAGAAGGAGCGAGAUUCAUUACUUGCUCAACAGAUCAGUUCCGCUCAGGAUGGAUUUGAACCACCAUGUCUAAAAUGCAUUGAGCGUGAUAACGCUACAUCUGUUGCUGAAUGUUCCACUGCUGCUACUGUUUCAUUGUCUUCACCUACUGAUGUGGUUACUAACCCCUCUGCGGAGGAUACCACUGCUGUUGCUGAUGAAAAUGCUAUGUUGAAGACAUUGCUUGAAACAGGGAUGUACAAAAGUUUGAAGGGACAUCAGACUCUCUGUGAUGUCCUUAAAAAGCAGAUUCUGGACCGAAACCCUAGGAAAGAGGGUGUUGGGUUCGAAAGGAAAAUGAAUGUUGAUGGCUCGUACUGGAAGCCUGAGCAGUACCCCAAAACCACAUGGGUUGCUGCAAAGGAACCUUCAGUAGACCCAUCCACCUUAUCUGGCUUUACCUGUGCUAAUCCUAUUAUCAUUGAUGAAUCCUUUGAUGCAAACUAUAAGUUGUUCAAAAAUCAGAAUGGUGAAGUGUUUGCCAGGUACAUUGGUACUAACUGCAGGAAUGGACCACCUAUGAAGAAGAUCUGGGUACCUAAGCAGUACAUUGAGAAUCUUCCAGUGAAUGUCGUCAUGACACCACCAAGGAAGAAGAUAAACCCCAGACCUAUAGCUUCAUGUGGCCCAAAGGCUUCAUACAGAUACAGGACUCACAUGAGUCACCCUAACGCCAAUGUUUUGCAGGGAAAUCAUGCUCAGACUUAUGAAUAUGAGCGUGUAUCUUCGAACUUCUAUGUUCAUAGGACUAAGAACUUUUCAACUUAUUCAUAUGAGUAUCAUUCAUCUCCUGCAAGGCUAUUUGCUAGGGCUUCAAAGCCAAAAUUCUCAGAUGCUGCACUUAGACUCAUUGCUUCUAAGCCACCACUGAAGAUGUGGGUGGAAAAGAAGAACUAACUCUCUUUUGCAGAAAAUGGUCUCCAGCCAGCAAUCAAUGGCGUCCGAUACUAUUGCUGGGGACCUAAAACUCAUUUAGGACGCACGAUAAAAUGUCAUUCUAUAUACUUCACAUCUGAAUCUGUUAUCAAUCAUACUAUGUCCUAACUUUGAUAUAAGCUGUGACUGUCCCUAUAUGUGUCAAAUGCUUAUGCUUCACAACACUCUUGUGAAGCCUAUCCUCCUAACUGCAGUGUAGGGUACAUCACCAAAAGCUUCAGAAUGGAUUAUGGACAGUGGAUGCACAAAUCAUAUGACUGGUGAUCGAAGUCUUCUCAUGGACUCAACCUUACGUCCAUCCGACAAGAGUCACAUUACAUUUGCUGACACUGGUAAAAGCAAGGUAUUGGGUCUAGGUAGAGUUGCAAUCUCAAAGGAUCAACACAUGGAUAAAGUGAUGCUUGUUGAAUCCCUUGGUUUCAACUUAAUGUCUGUCUCAAUGCUUUGUGACUUGAACAUGAUUGUGAUAUUUGGCAAAUAUCGUUGCCUUGUACUAAUGGAAUCUGACAAAUCUCUAGUCUUUGAAGGGUAUCGAAAAGAUGAUCCAUACAUGGUAGAUUUCUCAGCAGGUCCACAGCUUGCCGUAUGUCUUCUCACAAAAGCUUCAGAAUGCUGGCUCUGGCAUCGAAGGCUAGGACAUGCUGGCAUGAUGAACUUACACUCACAGGUCAAGAAGAAGCAUGUCAUUGGCAUUGAGGAUGUCAAGUUCAAAAAGGAUCAUCUGUGUGGUGCCUGUGAAGCUGGAAAGAUGACAAGGGCAAAGCACCCCUCGAAGACAAUCAUGACAACAUCUCAACCCUUCGAGCUGUUACACAUGGACUUAUUUGGACCUACUCACUACUCCACCCUCACAACAACUGCCUAUCUCUAUGGCUUCGUCAUUGUUGAUGACUACUCAAGAUACACAUGGGUUCAUAUAAUUCUUUACAAGACUGAAGUGCAAGAUGUCUUCAGGCGCUUCGCAAAUCGAGCAAUGAACAAUUAUGGUGUGAAGAUCAAGCACAUCAGAAGUGACAAUGGCACUGAAUUCAAGAACACUGGACUUGAUAUGUAUCUGGACACAAUGGGAAUCACUCAUGAGUUCUUUGCUCCAUACACACCUCAGCAAAAUGGCAUCGUUGAGCGCAAAAACAGAACCCUUAUUGAGAUGGCUCGAACAAUGCUAGAUGAGUACAAGACACCAAGAAAAUUCUGGCCUGAAGCUAUUGAUACAGCAUGUCACAUCAUCAACCGUGUGUACAUCCAUAAGGUUCUGAACAAAACAUCUUAUGAGCUCCUUACUGGCAAGAAACCAAACGUCAGUUACUUCAGAGUAUUUGGAGCUAGAUGCUGGAUCAAGGAUCCCCAUCACAAGUCAAAAUUUGCACCUAAGGCUCACGAAGGCUUCAUGCUUGGCUAUGGAAAGGAUUCACACUCCUACAGAGUAUUCAACCUUUAUCUCUACAAAAUCGUUGAAACUGUGGAUGUGAGAUUUGAUGAAAGCAAUGGUUCACAGAGAGAGAUUCUGCCAAGUACACUUGAUGAAGCUCCUUCAAACGAGUCUAUCAAGCUGAUGGGAACUGGUGAAAUCAUGCCCUUUGAAGCACAGCCUGAAGAGGAACUUAUCAUCUCUGCACCAAAUCAACCUGAAGACAAUGCUCAGACUGAAGACAAUCCUCCCAAUGAUGACAAUGAUCAGCCAGAGCAAAAUCUUCGUCCUGUUCAUCCUCGUGUUGCAAAUGAAGUUCAAAUAGAGAAGAUAAUUGACAGCAUCAAUGCACCUGGUCCGCUCACUCGAUCAAGAGCAACAUAGCUAGCAAACUUCUGUGGGCACUUUUCAUUUGUGUCAAUAUCAGAACCCAAGAAAGUUGCUGAAGAUUUUAUGGAACCUGAAUGGAUUCAAGCCAUGCAAGAAGAACUUCAACAGUUCAAGCUGAAUAAUGUUUGGGAACUCGUCAAGCAACCUGACCCUCGCAAGCAUAACAUUAUUGGAACAAAGUGGAUAUAUCAAAACAAGCAAGAUGAGCAUGGUCAAGUCGUCAGAAACAAAGCACGUCUUGUGGCUCAAGGAUAUACUCAAGUUAAAGGAAUUGACUUCGAUGAAACAUUUGCUCCUGUUGCUAGGCUUGAAGCUAUUCGCAUACUACUAGCCUACGCUAAUCAUCACAACAUCUUGCUAUCUCAAAUGGAUGAAAAGAGUGCAUUUCUCAAUGGCAAGAUUGAAGAAGAAGUAUAUGUCGCACAACCACCUGGCUUUGAAGAUCCAAAACAUCCUGAUAUGUUGUACAAGAUGAACAAAGCACUGUAUGGCCUCAAACAAGCUCCUCGUGCCUGGUAUGAUACAAUCAAAGACUUCUUGAAGAGCAAAGGCUUCAAACCUGGAUCCCUCGAUCCCACACUCUUCACGAAGACAUAUGAUGGUGAACUGUUUGUGUGCCAAAUAUAUGUGGAUGACAUAAUCUUCGGCUGCACCAACCAGAAGUAUAGUGAUGAGUUUGGGUACAUGAUGCAAGAGCAAUAUCAAAUGUCCAUGAUGGGUGAGCUGAAGUUCUUCCUUGGUCAUCAAAUUUGUCAGCAAAGAAAUGGCAUCUUCAUAUCUCAAGAAAAAUACCUCAAAGAUUGUCUGAAGAAGUUUGGAAUGGAAGACUGCAAAGGCUACACGACGCCAAUGCCAGCCAAACACCAUCUUGGUCCCGACGACAAUGGUAAAGAGUUCGAUCAAAAGGUAUACCGCUCCAUGAUUGGUUCUUUGCUUUAUUUAUGUCCAUCUAGGCCAGAUAUUAUGCUUAGUGUUUGCAUGUGUGCUCGAUCCCAAGCGGCACCAAAGGAAUCGCAUCACUUAGCUGUGAAGCGAAUUCUUUGAUAUUUGGCUUACACCCCAACACUCGGAUUGUGGUAUCCCAAGGGCUCAAAAUUUGAUUUGGUUGGAUUCUCGGAUGCUGAUUAUGCUGGUGACAAGGUGGAUCGCAAGUCUACAUCAGGCACAUGUCAUUUUCUUUGUCGAUCACUUGUCUGUUGGUCUUCAAAGAAGCAGAACUGUGUAUCACUCUCAACUGCUGAAUUUGAAUACAUUGCUGCUGGAUCCUGUUGUGCUCAGCUUCUGUGGAUGAAGCAAACUCUCAAGGAUUAUGGCAUCAACCUGAAACAAGUACCUCUCUUCUGCGACAACAAAAGUGCCAUCAAAAUAGCCAACAAUCCAGUCCAACACUCGAAGACAAAGCACAUUAAAAUUCGUCAUCACUUUCUCAGAGAUCAUGUUAUGAAGAAAGAUAUCGAUAUCAUUCACGUCAACACUGAAGAGAAACUGGCAGAUAUCUUCACGAAGCCCUUGGAUGAGAAAAGGUUUUGCAAGUUAUGGUGUGAGCUAAAUAUCUUGGAAUCCUCUAAUGUCCUGUGAUCAGGCACACAUCCUAACACUUAUGCAUGUUGAUGACUUCGAUGUGCAACACACAAAGUAGUGUAUAUCUUCAAUCAAUGAAGAUUUACACUCUGAGUGUGAAUACAUUAACAUGGAAUAUGACUUCGGAGCGCCACGAUAAUUGUGCGCUGUGUCUGGGUCUAAUACUUCCUAUACGAUGGGUAACGCCACCACCAACUUUCUCUGUUUGAAGUGUUUCACUCAUGGCGUUAUAUUGCAAUGACUUCGCAUUUGGUUUGUCAUCAGUUUCAAUUUAUCCUCAUGAUUUUCUACACUAUGAUGAUUUGAUUGCUUUCUGAUAUAUAUAUAUAUAUAUAUAUAUAUAUAUAUAUAUAUAUAUAUAUACUAGUGUUCUGUCCUCUACAGCAUUCACUUAUAGCUAUGUCUUCAAGAUUGGAUCUUUUGAACUAAGUGAAUGUGAUUGGACCCUAACCUCUCUAUGCUUCCUAUCUCAAACUCUAUCUGCCCAAAUCAUAUGCAUUCUAUUGAAACUGUCGAAUGUCUUCUCUGCGUCCUAGUCAGCAGAAGGCAAAGAGACAAACAUUAAAUCUGUUUUAAAUGACUUAUCUUUAUUGUUGAAAUCCGGAGAAGCCGGAACAACUCUCCGACAUGCCUGGCGGGCGUGGGAACGUGGGACAACUCUGAGUAUGUUGCAUGCCUGCCAUGUACCCCUCAGAUGUGAACCGCCAGGGGCACCAGCGUAAUUGCGCUGUGUCUCUCACCUACUUAUAAAUACUUGUCCCAUGCGGUAAAGAAAUCCUUCUUCCACCUCUCCACCUCCGUCAAAACCAUAGCGCCACCGCUAGCUCGCGACGACGCCGGCGACGAAGCGCUUAGCUGCCGCGACUUCUCCGACGCCAUCCUCACGCCGGCCGCGGACAUCUUCCUCUCCGUCGUCACCGUAGGUGUCCUCCGUCGCCAAGUUAGGGCACGGUGGGCUGAACUGCUCGGUCUCCUAUUCAUCCCAUCUAGCAGUUCUUCGUGCGGUAAUUAUAACUUUAUUUUUACCACCUUUUUGAUCUUCAAGAUUCAUCCUGUUUACCGAAAGUGGUUUCUGCCUAUUCAAAUGUUAGAUCUAUUCUGUCUGCAUCUCAUACUGCCUAGUCAAUUCACUUGGAUUUCCUGUCUAGUUUGAUUCCUCACUUGUACUUAUUCACGGAUUGGUACAAAUCUGGAACCAACUCACCUAUAUAAGUGAAUGUCUUCGCGUAAUGAGGUCAAUGUCUUCAAACUAAUUUAUCUUCAAAAUCUUCUGAGAAUGCAUAUGACCUCUUCCCCUUCCCUCGCAUCUCUAAUGCUGUCACAGGUACAUGUCCGUGAGAGAAUCCCUUGGUUCUCAUAGUCUGCAUUGGUUUGCAGAAUACUUACAGCAUCAUAUCAAUUCUCCUGAAGCCAGUUCCUGCUUGACCAGCAAGUGUAAGUCUCUGAAGCCUUUGAACGUAUUGAAGCCAUUCAGUUUGAAGUUCAUGGCUGCAGAAAAAUCAACAAGGAAGGGUGGCAGACAACGCAGAGAAGGAACAUCCAAAGAUCUGCCUGAUGACUUAGCAGAACUCUACAAGACAGAUCCCGAAGAGAAUUAUCAUGAGAGAAAGAUGCGAAUCCAAUGGAUUCGACGCUAUUGGGCUGAGGAAUGGUUCCAGUACAAGUUUGUGGCGAAGGAAUAUGCAGAGAGGAAUGCCAUCAAGAGACCUUGGGGUGAUAUCCUCUAUCGAGGCCUUCAACCCAAGAACAGAGCUGAAGCUAUUGCUCAAGGCUUCUAUCCUUGCAUGGUCCAUGGACCCCACCUCACUACUCUGGUGUCGUGACGACUCUCUCUUCAAGCGCAACUACCAGUUUGCUGUGGCUUCGGCCAAGAAGAACAAGAGGUCCUUGGGCUUGGACUUCAGCCCAGGUCCCUCUGCUCCCUGUGCUGACGGCUCCCGUGAUGCUGAUCCCAAUGUUAUCGGCCCCUUCUCCAACCUUGACGGCCUCAUCACCUACAUCGUGGUCCAAGGCGCCAGAGUAGAUCAUUUUGAAAAUGAUGCUGACUCCGAUGAAGCCCCUGCUCCUCCUCCAAAGUCGCAGAAGCAAAAGAAGCCAAAGGCUUCAAGAUCAGCUGCACCUACGAAGACUUCUCGUGCGAAGCCACUAGCCACUGCACCUCCUGAAGCCAGUGUGCAGUCUGAAGAUCAAUCCCGUGUCUCCAAGAGAACGGAGAAGAAAAAGCAUCUUGUUAGACCAUCUGAUCAAAGAGCCUUGACUCCUGCCGCCAUUCUGCGUGAAGAACCCAUUGAUCUGUCAAGUGAUGAAGAUCUUGCUGAUGAUGCCCUUGAGCAGCUGAUAAAGAGCAAGGAAGAAGCAGAAAUCUUCAACAACGUGCCUCUCUUUGAUGUGGCAAUCAUCCACAACUUCAUUGAUGAGUGGUUUGACACCCCCAAUCUCAGCUUUGAAGAUUUACAGCUUCCCAUUGGCCUCAGUGUAGCCUUCAAUGGCGCCAUUGCUUCUGAGCUAGCUCUCACUCAGCGCAUCGUUGAGCUCAAGAACAAGAAGCAUGUGGCCAAGCUAAGUGUUCAAGACGUCAGAAACUUCAAAGUCAUGCUACAUGAGCUUAAAGAAGCUUUUCUGAAGAAGCGUGAAGAAGCUCAGGGUUCUCGAGAGCGCAUGAAGAGUUUGGCUGAUAAGUGUGUGCUCGCCUACAAUGAGGCUGAGAAGCGCAAGUCACUUGGCCGUCCUGGCAUUGACCCCAGGAUGGCUGCAAAGAAGAAGAAGAAGAAGCUUCCUGCUGAACAGCCUGAACCUUCAAGCCAAGAAGCCCCUCGCAUUAUCGUCCCAAGAAGCAUGACUGGCUCAAAGCCAAAGGUCACCACAACCGCUUCAAAACAGAAAAAGAUGAGGGCCGCUGAGGCUGAAGCCAGAAAGAGAAAGAACACUGAAGCCUCUGAUGCCGCUCCCUCCAAGAAGAAGCGCAAGACCAAGAAGACUAGGGCUGCUUCCACAGAGCCCUUAGUUGUUGAACCCAUUUUAGUGGUUCGCCCAGCGUCAGAACAUCAAGAACGAAGGAUGAUAUUCCAUGAGCCUGCUCCCACAGAGGCUCAUGAAGCUGAAGAUAUUCCAGCAGUUGAACCCACCGCUGCUGAAGACAUUGGUCAUGAUGACAAUGUAGCUGAUGAUGAAGUUCUUCCUCAGAUCGAACAUGACGUGGUAUCAUCGCCUGUUCAUACGAACAACGAACUCAUCAGCAUUGAUCGUCCUCUGACGCCAAUUGCUCACGAUGCAUCGUGGGCUGAUCACCCACAACUACAAGACUCUCCCAGUACUCCCCAACAACAGCAACAAGCUACACUCCCCGUGCAAGAAGAGGAUGAAGACUUUGAGGCCCAGCCAACUCCAUCUCCUAAGGCGUUGCCAGCAUUUCGCAGGCUUCGUAAAGGACAAAGGCCUCAAGUUCCUCUAUCGAGCGUUAAAGAAGGAGAAGUGCAACAUUCACCUGUUGCACGUCAAGUAUUUUCUGAACCUGCUCCAACUGUAAAUUUCUCCGAGUCUGAAGCACAUGCUGCUGAAGACAUUCCGACUGCAUCAGCCGAGGAAAAUCAAGAAGUACGUGUACCUACUCCCCCAGUAAUUGAAGAAGAAGCAGUUCCUGAUGUGAACGUGCCUGUGCCCGACCCUCCUGUUCGUCAAGAGGAGGUUGACAAUGUUGAGGCUGCCAUCGCCAACGCCAAUGAAGCCAAUGACGUAGUCAUGGCUGACGCUAAUGUGGAGCCUGCACCAACUAGUGUGCCUGAAGCAAAUGUGGCCACUGAACCUGAAACCACUGAGGCUGCUGCACCUGAAGCUAAUGAGACAUCCGCUCCCGAAGCACCUGUUGUGCAGCCUGACGCCUCAGCUGUUGCCCCUGCUCCUAUUCUGCCACCAAGGCCUCACACCAUUGAGCAAGCAUACAGUCAUGGUCAGCUUUACCACUGUCCGAUGGCCCAUUCUGGUGCCUCCGCCUACUGCCUCAGGACCUCAAUUUGACUAUCAUGUUGAGCAUAGGCCUCAGGUCUAGAAGCCAAAGCCUAGGUUGCCAAGGUUUCCAGGUACUGCCAACUCACCAGGGUCCUUCAAUGCAAAUGGCUUCAAAACCCACAAUACCUUCUUUGACAGCGCCAAGAACCCCUACUCCAAGCCAAGGAUAUCAUCAUAUCGGUUCUAGAGCUAUCAGCAGAGAAGCUAUUACUCCUGCGUUCUAUAUGAUCAAGGGCGCAUUUUCCCUCAUAUGCGCCUUGAUACUGAAGCCAUUGCUGGACUGCCAUGCUUAGAAGAAGCACUUGAUUGCUUUCGUGAUGCUGGUCUGCUCCACUUUGUGACAGACAAAGAACAUUUGAAUGAAGAGCUAUUGCUUCAAUUCUAUGCUAUUCUACACAUUCGCGGCUACAACAGAGACAUCAAGACAUGGGUUCUCGAGUGGAUGACUGGAAAUGUUCAUCAUGAAGCCAAAGCUAUGGAUAUCAUCGAGCUUACAGGGCUAGCCACUCCUGGAUAACUAUAUGAACCUGACUGUCAGCUACACCGCAAUGCUUUAGAGAGUAUCUUCCAUAAGCCAGAACCCAAUAUGAGCCAGAUGUUGAGCAUGAUGAAGCCCUUGCCAUCUGACGCUGAAUAUCCAACAGAUUUCUUUGUUGGAAACCUUGAGUAUCUGCCUCACACCAUAUAUCAUAUCAUCAGGCGAACUCUAUGGCCUGUCAAAGGACAUUCAUCAGCGGUCAAGCUUGAAGGAGCUAUGAAGACUUUGGUCUUCUAUAUUCUCAAUGGCAUCAGCUUCAACACUCAAGAAUUCUUCAUCAGGCAACUUGCUGCUUCUGGCUCUGACCUAUUUGGUCUGAAGUUUUAUGCUCCAUGGGUCAUGCGCCUCAUCAAGAGACACUCAUUUGUCAAUUAUCAGCCCUCUACUCGCAAUCAUAUGAUAUUUCUGCCAGAGGUUGAUAUGUCAGUUGAAGCUAUAUACUCUGACCCUGCCAAGCGGCCUCUUUGUCUUCAGAAUAUCGAGCACCAAAGCUUCACUCAACCUAUUGAAGGUGUUCAAGUAGCGACAUGAAUCUAUCCUUUGGCUGGAAACACUCAUCUGCCUCAUCGAGCACCCACUGAAGCCACUGAAAGCACCAUUGCACAACGGCCUCGGAAGCGUUCUCGUGUUCUCAAUGACCGAGAACUUCUUGUGGCCCUUCAUCAGAAACAGGAUAAGCAUCAUUUCUGGCUCAAGAGACAGAUGCAAAGCCUCUUGGUGGAUGUCAAUCACAUUCGCAACCUUGCCACCAAGAAUGCCUUUGUUGCUCAUGAAACUUGCUGGCGAUCAUGGAAAAGUUUGACUCUGCUCAGUGCUGAAGCUGAUCUUCAAGACGAUGGCUUCAAUGAAAGAUUCCAGUUUGACUCCACCCCUCCAUGGACUGCUGUCCUACGUCGCAUUCCAUCUCUUGAAGACUCUGAAUAUUCUUCCUCAACGGCAACGGUAAAUGCCAGAGUGCUCGAUGAUGAAGAUGAUGCUACUUCAGCACCUCCUACCACUGCGUGCCUCGACACUGCGCCAAGUUCAUCUGCACCGCCAACCAACGACGACAACCUUGCUACUUCACCUACUCAUGAUGACGAGUAGAUGCUCUAUGUCUUCAAACCUUUUUGGUCCUUACUGACAAAAGGGGGAGAAGUGUAUGAGUUGAUAGUCUUCAAGCGGGUUUAUAUGGGCGGUUGCAUUAUAUUUUAUAUUUUGCUUCGUGCUUACAACUCUUGCCUUUUGAAACAUUUAGUUCUCUGAGUUGUAACACCUAAACUUGAUGGUCGUCUGCUACUUAUUUGCUUCACUGUGAUGCGAUGAUAAAUUCCGCAUGUGCGAUGAUAACUUCCGCACUUAGAUCAUUCUGUAGACGUCCAUUCUUCAUUAUGCAUGUCAUUCUACUUGCUAUAUCAGUUCAUGCAUGAUGAAUUAUCUUCAUAAGUUGAAAUGGAUCUCCACAAGUACAACCUGCCAUGUGCAUUUGCAUUCCAAAAGAAAAUUACUUAUAUGCACAUCUUCAGGGUGAGCCCUUGCAACUUAUGAAGACAAUUCCCUAUCCUUACAAUUUCACAUAUUUAUCCCCGUUGAAAACUUCAACCAGUUUGUCAUCAAUCACCAAAAAGGGGGAGAUUGUACGUGCAUCUAGUGCCACCCCUAGUUGGUUUUGGAGUAUUGACGACAAAGUUGGUUGACGGACUAAUGUGUUUGUGAGAAUUGCAGGAUAACGCAGGUAGUGUCCCUCAUCGAUUCGAUUUACCUACCGAAGAUGACCCCUAAAAAUGUAUGAAGACAUUAAAGACAAUGGUGGUAUGAGAAGAUAUUCAUAUUGAAGACUAUGACAUGAGAAGACAUUGCGUGAAGACUAUGGAGCGCGAAGACUGUGUGGUUUCGUUGUUUCCUUUUCUUCUUUGUUGAGUCAUACGAACCAUCGUACUGUUAAGUGGGGUCCAAGUGAACUAAGUUAGAGUGACUGAAGUGAUGCUCAACUCAAAUCCUAUGUCUUCGAGCGAAGACAAUGAGAGCAAACCUUAUCCAGAGCUGGAUGAGUCAGCUUUGCUUGUAGCCCAAGUAAGUUGCCGCGUGUGUUUGAAAUCUGACCAUUGGAACAUGUGUCAGUUCCUCAGUGACCCAGGGUCAUUUUGGACAAAUCAGGCCGGGUUGCCGGUGGCUAUAAAUAGCCCACCCCCUACACCAUAAAUUGGUGGCUUCUCAGAGUUUGUGCACGGCUUUUUUCGUUUGAGAGCAACCCACCUCGAAGCAUUUGAGAGAGAGAAAUCCUUGCGAGGACAAAGCCCAAACACCCAGAGCCAAAGAGUGUUAGGCAUCACUAAAGUCUUUCUGUUUGUCUGACCUGAAGACUUAUUACACUUGAGGACUGUGAAUCCUCCAACCGGUUAGGCGUCGCGUUCUGAGCAUCCAAGAGUCAUUGUGGAUUGCCGGUGAACGAAGUCUGUGAAGGUUUGGAAGUCUCCCUUGAAGACUUACCAAAGUGAUUGGGCGAGGACUGGGUGUCCUUAGCUCAAGGGGAAUAAGGUGAAGACACGGUCUUCUGAGUUAAAUCUCAGCCUCCCUAACCAGACGUACAGUUGUCACAGCAACUGGAACUGGUCUAACAAAUCAUGUGUCUUCAACAAGCAACUGGUUCUAUCCCUUCCCAACCUUACUUAAGUUUGUCUUCGUGAAGUCAUUGCCUAUCUGUGUAUCUGUUUGACUUCAUUGCUUGCUAAUACUGUUGAUUGGCUUCAUACUAUCUUCCAUCCUGAUCCUACUACCUAGCUGCUAUUAGUCCUGUACUUUCACAUCAUUGCAUACCUGACUAUGGCUUGCUUAGGGUAGUUUAUCUUCCGCUGCAUAUCAAUUAGGUCAUUUCUGUUGUUUGUCUACGAAACUUCUAAGUUUAGAAGACUUUCAUAAAAAUCGCCUAUUCACCCCCCUCUAGUCGAUACUAGCACUUUCAGUAUCAUAUCACGGGGUUUGGAUGCACCGGCAAAGUUUGCACCAACUCUCAAGGUGAGAAAGGGCAAGGCACGGUACCGAAGAGGCUAUCAAUGAUGGAAAGGUAAAAGUGCGUAUAAUCCAUGGACUCAACAUUAGUCAAAUAACUCAUAUACUUAUUGCAAAAAUCUACAUGUCAUCAAAAACCAAGCACUACGUACAUGCUCCUAGAGGGAUAGAUUGGUAGGAAAAGACCUUCGCUCGUCCCCGACCACCACUCAUAAGGAUGCACAAUCUAAGAACACGUCAUGUUUCAAAUUUGUUACACAACUUUAACCAUACCUGCAUGCUACCGGGCUUGCUAACUUCAACACAAGCAUUCUUUAAAUUCAUAAUCACCCAACUAGCAUGACUUUAAUAUCACCUACCUCCAUAUCUCAAAAUAAUUAUCAAGUAUCAAAUUGAUCAUAGCAUCCAAUUCACUUCCUAUGAAACUUUUUAUUAUACCCUACUUGGAUGCCCACCAUUAUAGGACCAAUUUUAUAACCAUAGCAAAUACCAUGCUGUUUUAAGAGACUCUCAAAAUAAUAUAAGUGAAGCAUGAGAGACUAACAAUUUCUACAAAAUUAAGCCACCGCCGUGCUCUAAAAGAUAUAAGUGAAGCACUAGAGCAAAAACUAUCUAGCUCAAAAGAUAUAAGUGAAGCACAUAGAGUAUUCUAAUAAAUUCCAAUCAAGUGGGCUUCUCCCAAAAGCUGUGUACAGCAAGGAUGAUUGUGGAAAACUAAAAAGCAAAUACCAAUAUCAUACAAGACGCUCCAAGCAAAACACAUAUCAUGUCGCGAAUAAAAAUGUAGCUCCAAGUAAAGUUACCAAUAAAUGAAGACGAAAGAGGGGAUGCCUUCUGGGGGCAUCCCCAAGCUUAGGCUUUUGGCUAUUCUUGAAUAUAUUGGGGUGCCAUGGUCAUCCCCAAGCUUAGGCUCUUGCCACUCCUUAUUCCAUAGUCCAUCAAAUCUUUACCCAAAACUUGAAAACUUCACAACACAAAACUCAACAGGAAAUCUCAUAAGCUCCAUUAGUGAAAGAAAGCAAAAACACCACAUAAGUUACUUUAAUGAACUCAUUUUUUAUUUUUAUUGGUGUUAAACCUACUGUAUUUCAAGUUCUUUAUGGUUCAUACCACUUAAUACUAGCCAUAGAUGCAUCAAAAUAAGCAAACAACACACGAACAGAAUCUGUCAAAAACAGAACAGUCUGUAGCAAUCUGUAACCAUCGCAUACUUCUAAACUCUAAAAAUCCUACCAAAAUUGGAAGUCCUUGGAAAUUUGUCUAUUGAUCCACAGCAAAAAGAAUCAACGCAAAAGCACGUUUCUGUGAAUUAACAAAAUUAUUUUCGUGCGUGCAAAGUUUCUGUUUUUCAGCAGAAUCAAAUUAACUAUCACCAUAGGUUAUCCUAUAGGUUCUACUUGGCACAAACACUAAUUAAAACAUAAAAACACAUCUAAACAGAAGGUAGAUGCAAAAUUUAUUACUAAACAGAAAAAAAAACAAAAAACACAAAUAAAAUUGGGUUGCCUCCCAACCAGCGCUAUCGUUUAACGCCCCUAGCUAGGCAUAAAAGCGAGGAUAGAUCUAAGUUGUGCCAUCUUUGGCACUCAAUUCAUAAGUAGCUUGCAUGAUAGAUUCAUAAGGUAAUUUAACUUUAUUUCUUGGAAAGUGCUCCAUGCCUUUCCUUAAUGGAAAUUGGAAUCUAAUAUUCCCCUCCUUCAUAUCAAUAAUCGCACCAAACGUUCUAAGGAAAGGUCUAGCAGGAAUAAUAGGGCAAGAAAGAUUGCAAUCUAUAUCAAGAACGAUAAAAUCUACGAGCAUCAAAUUUCUAUUUGCAACAAUGAGAACAUCAUUGAUCCUUCCCAUUGGCUUUUUAAUGGUGGAAUCCGCAAGGUGCAAAUUUAAAGACCAAUCAUCAAGAUCAUGGAAACCUAGAAUAUCACAUAAAGUUUUCGGAAUCGUGGAAACACUACCACCCAUAUCACAUAAAGCAUAACACUCAUGCUCUUUAAUUUUAAUCUUUAUAGUAGGUUCCCAUUCAUCAUUAAGUUUUCUAGCUAUAGAAACUUCCAAAUUAAGUUUUUCAUCAAAAGAUUGCAUCAAGUCAUCAACAAUAUGUUUGGUAAAAGCUUUAUUUUGACUAUAAGCAUCAGGAGAAUUCACAACGGAUUGCAACAAGGAAAUACAACUUUCUAAAGAACAAUUAUCAUAAUUAAAUUCCUUGAAAUCCAAGAUAGGGGGUUCAAUGCUAUUUAAAGUCUUGACCUCUCCAAUCCCACUUUUACCAAAUUUAGCAUGAAGAUCUAAAAACUCCGAAUCAUUGGGACGCCUUUUAACUAAAGUUGCCUCAUCUCCAGUCCCAUAUUAAGAUUCAUAUUGCAAAACAAAGAUCUAAUAGGGGACACAUCAAUAACUUUAAGAUCUUCAUCAUUACUUUCUUGGAAACUAGAAGAACACGCCUUUACAAAGAAAUCUUUCUUAGCACGCAAUCUAGCGGUUCUUUCUUUGCACUCAUCAAUGGAAAUUCUCAUAGCUUUGUGAGACUCAUUGAUAUCAUGCUUAGGAGGAGUAGAUUUAAGAUUCAAAGAAUCAACAUCAAGUGAGAGUCUAUCAACGUUCCUAGCCAAGUCAUAAACUUUGAGCAAUCUUUUCUUCAAGCAAGGCAUUAAAAUUCUUUUGAGAGAUCAUAAAUUCUUUAACACUAUUCUCAAAAUCAGAGGGCAUCUUAUUAAAAUUACCAUAAGAAUUAUUGUAUGAAUUUCCAUAAUUAUUAGAGGAAUUACUAGGGAAUGGUCUAGGAUUAAAGUUUCCUCUAUUAGCAUUGUUUCCAAAACUAUUCCUACCAACAAAAUUCACAUCCAUAGAUUCAUUAUUAUUCUCAAUCAAAGUAGACAAAGGCAUAUCAUUGGGAUCAAUAGGAGCACUCUUAGUAGCAAACAAUUUCAUAAGUUCAUCCAUCUUUCCACUCAAAACAUGAAUUUCUUCUAUAGCAUGCACUUUUUUACUAGUAGAUCUUUCGGUGUGCCACUGAGAAUAAUUAGCCAUAAUGUUAUCAAGGAGUUUUGUAGCUUCUCCUAAGGUGAUUUGCAUAAACGUGCCUCCCGCGGCCGAAUCUAAAAGAUUUCUAGAAGCAAAAUUAAAUCCGGCAUAAAAAAUUUGUAUGAUCAUCCAUAAAUUCAAACCAUGAGUAGGGCAAUUGCGAAUCAUCAAUUUCAUUCUUUCCCAAGAUUGGGCAACAUGCUCAUGAUCAAGUUGUUUAAAAUUCAUAAUAUCGUUCCUAAGAGUGAUGAUUUAGCGGGAGGAAUAUAUUUAGAGAUAAAAGCAUCUUUGCACUUGUUCCAAGAAUCAAUACUAUUUUUAGGCAAAGACGAAAAACAAAUUUUAGCACGAUCUCUUAGUGAAAAUGGAAAAAACUUCAAUUUAACAAUAUCAUUAUCCGUAUCAUUCUUCUUUUGCAUCUCACACAAAUAAACAAAGUUGUUUAGAUGGGUAGUGGCAUCUUGGCUAGGAAGGCCGGCGAAUUGAUCUUUCAUAACAAGAUUCAGCAAAGUAGUAUUGAUUUCACAAGACUCAACAUCAUUAAGAGGAGCAAUCGGAGUACUAAGGAAAUCGUUAUUAUUGGUAUUGGAGAAAUCACACAAUUUGGUAUUAUCUUGCACCAUCGCUACAAGUAAUCCAACACACAAGCAAACAAAAAAAGGCAAACGAAAGAGAGAGAAGAUUGGGAAAGAGAGGGCGAAUAAAAUGGCAAGGGUGAGUGGGGGAGAGGAAAACAAGAGGCAAAUGGCAAAUAAUGUAAAUGCGAGGGAGAUGGGUUUGUGAUGGGUACUUGGUAUGUCUUGACUUGAGCGAAGACCUCCCCAGCAACGGCGCCAGAAAUCCUUCUUGCUACGUCUUGAGCUUGCGUUGGUUUUCCUUGAAGAGGAAAGGGUGAUGCAGCAAUAGUAGUGUAAGUAUUUCCCUCAGUUUUUGAGAACCAAGGUAUCAAUCCAGUAGGAGGCUCCUCAAAAGUCCCACGCACCUACACAAACGAACAAAGAACUCGCAACCAACGCAAUAAAGGGGUUGUCAAUCCCUUCAUGGCCACUUGCGAAAGUGAGAUCUGAUAGAGAUAGUAUGAUAAGAUAAAUCUAGGUGUCAGGACCCCGACUCGAUGUCACAUCGACCUAGCCGGUAACACCUCAUAUCACUUUGCGGCCUCACGCAUGGUAUCCCCACGGGUGUCGCCUUACCUUUGCCCGGGACCGUUUGCGCCUUUUGGCUCACGUAUAUGAUAGUGUCGCUAGCAUCCAUAUGAUAAGGAGCCCGGGCUGACAUGGCUAGUCGUAAACCCAAAGUGGCACAGACCUACAGGGACAGGCAUCCAUGACCCAGCUUCGAACGUGUCGGUCAUCAGCAAGUGGGUCCGGGCUGUAGCACUGGGCUAGCAGGACUCCGGUAAACCGGGCUGUAGCGGGCUAACAGGACUCCGGUACUCAAUGCGUGACAUUUCCCCGAAGGGACAGACACAGGAACGAAGAAGGACACAUGCCGGCCAGCCUAAGUGUUCCAGAGCAGUAGCAAGCUACCAUGGCUCAGCGGUAACACUAGGAGACAUUUCCCGGUAAGAGAGGCUACUAAAGAUAAACAACUAGAUAGUCAGAUCCCACACAUACCAAGCAUUUCAAUCAUACACACAAUAUGCUCGAUAUGUGCAAAUACAACGAAGCAUCACAACAUGACUCUACGACACAAGUACUUUAUUCAAUAGGCUCCGAGGAGCGAGAUAUUACAAACAUGGGUCUCAUGACCCAACACUCAGAGCAUACAAUCAAAGCACAAGCGGAAGCUAUCAUGUCUGAGUACAGACAUCUAUAAAUGAAAAAGGCUGAAAAGCCUGACUAUCUACCAGAUCCUGCCGAGGGCACAAGAUCGUAGCUGAGGUAACAAGCUAAACGUCGAAGUCCACGCGAAACUACUAGUGAGACCGAAGUCUCUCUGCAAAAACAUAAAAUAGGCAAACGUGAGUACAAAUGUACCCAGCAAGACUUACAUCAGAACUAACUACAUAUGCUUCAUUAUCAACAAAGGGGAUGGUGGGGUUUAACUGCAGCAAGCCAGCUUUGACUCGGUGGCUAACCUGAACUACGACUGCAAGUAACUCUUUUGAGGUGGCGCACACGAGUCCACAUAUUCACCAUAUCAAUACGCCACUAUGGAUCCGCUCCCGUCUCCCUACGAGAACGCCAUCCAUAGCACUCACGCUUAUCUUGCGUAUUUUAGAGUAUCCACUUUCAAUUGUCUAUGAACUGAUAUAAGCAACCCAGAAGUCCUUUUCCGCGGACACGGCUAUUCGAAUAGAUCAUAUUAACCCUGCAGGGGUGUACUUCUUCACACACGCUCUCACCACUUACCGCCGUUUACACGACAUGUACUCGGCAACCUUCAAGCGGAAGCCCAACGUGGGUGUCGGCCACGGCCUGCCUAAACACUCAAGUCUCUAGUCCAGGUUUAUCGCCUAUUCGGGUUCCAUCCAUGAGGAGAUCCGGCCGGAGUUUCGCUCACAGCCCCAAACGAUGUGAACAGGGUUCCGUGACACCAAACGGGCGCCCGGUAUACCCGGCCACGUGCCUACCGCAUCACAGCCCACCCCUACGGUCAGCGCUGCCCACGGCCUCCAGCAUACUACAAACACCAGAAACUACUUGCAACUCCUGGACAGAGGACAAGGGUGAUUAAGAAGCCGAGAGGGUCCAUUGGUUUCGGGCCCAAUGCGUGGUAGUAGCUGAAUCAUGGAUCACAAACACAGAACUCAGUUCCUGAGGACGGCUUCAAUGAGACAACCCACCAUGUACUCCUACAUGGCCUCUCACCAGUACCCUUACCAAAUCGUGUUCACACACUUAGCUCACACACAGUAGGACAUGUUCACACGCCUCUGAUUCAUCCCCGAUGAAUCAGACCUGACUCAACUCUAAGCAGUAGCAGGCAUGACAAACAAGCAUGAAUGAGUAGGCACAACAGGGCUCAAACAACUCCUACUCAUGCUAGUGGGUUUCAUCUAAUUACUGUGGAAUGACAGGUCAUGCAGAGGAUAAAGGGGUUCAGCUACCGCAGCAUGUAACAGUUGAAUCGGUGUUGUCCUAAUGCAGUAAAAGAGAGCAGGAGCGAGAGACUAGGAUUGUAUCGGAAUGAACAAGGGGGUUUUGCUUGCCUGGCACUUCUGAAGAUAACAUUGAGUCUUCAUCAGUGUCAACGAUCACAUCAUCGGUAUCACGUUUAUCGAGAGGGGACAAUACCGGCAACACAGAAAGAAACACAAUCAAUGCAAUGCACAAUAUGAUGCAUGAUCAUGACAUGGCAAAAUGAAUGUGUUUUUGGGCUAAUGCAACUAGCAACAGAUUAAAUGAAGUUGGUUUGAAUAUAAAAUUCAAAUUCAAACUCCAUAUGUGAUUAUUCAAAUGCCAUUCACUUCAUUUGCACUAAACAGUAGUGAUAAGUUGUUCUAACAUGCAUGAAAAUGGUACAGAUGGAUUCCUUGAAUUUUUCUGGUAAUUUUUCAUAUAUAAUUUAUUUAAUUUGGAGUUACGGUUAAUUUUCUAUGAUUUAUUGAAGUUUUAGCUAUUUUCUGGAAUUUCAGAAUUAAAUUAAAUCCAGAAAUGAUUUAAUUGCGUCAGCCUGAUGUCAUGAUGACGUCAGCAGGUCAACGUGGCACAGUCCGGUCAACCCCUGACCGGUGGGUCCCAUCCGUCAGUGACUAACCUAACUAAUCUAAUUUAGUUAGCGGCCUGGGGCCCAUUGUCAGUGUCUAUUAAACUAACUAAUAUUUAGUUAACACUAAUCCUAGCCUAAUUAACAGGCCGGCCCCACAUGUCAUGGACACAGGGGGGGUCCCGCCGUGGUCAAAGUGGGUCAAUCCCACCGGCGGCUUGACGCCGGCAAGGCCAGCCGCGGUGGCGAGCCUCGGGUUUGCGUCUCCGGCGACCAAACGGCCGGCCGAGUGCACGCGCGGGGAGCUGGGGCUCGCCCGCAUCCAGGGAGGCUUGCGGCAGCAGCAGGGACGGCCGGAGCUCUCCGGAAACGAGCUCGAGGCGGCGCCGGCGUUCGGUUGUUUCUGGCUACGGGGCUGCUGCGGCCGUGGUAUCGCGUUCGUGGCACCUACAGCAGCUACGCGAGGCAGCGAGCAUGUUGGACACGACGCCCGGACCAAAUGGUCGCCGGAGUCGUGUCGGCGGUGAGUGCAGGCGGCGACGCAGUCGGGCGAAAGGGGCGAGGCGGCUACGGCGUGCCAGAGAGGGAACGGAGAGGGGGAAAAGGUUCGGUGGCUCACGGCGGUUGCAGCGGACGCCGAAGCAGGCUCGGGGAAGGCCGGACGGCGACGAGUCGAUGAUGGGGAUCCGCGGCGGCCGGCGAUGAAGAAGAGGCCGGUGACGGUGUUUUGAGGCAUCCGGCGUCGAGUGAGUCGACGGGGAGGACGAGGAGGUCGAGGGAGGACCGGCGGAGCUUCCUGGGGCGUCGGUGAGGCUAGGGGUGGCCGGUGGCCAUGGGUACGGCGACGAUGGCGGCGAGCUCCGCUCGGUGGUGCGCGAGAGGGAAACAGAGGAGGGAAUGGGGUCCAGGGGGAGAGAGGGGAGGUGCAGGGGGCGAGGGCGGCUCCGUGGCGUCGCGAGGGAGUCGGGGAGGCUGCCACGGCGAAGCAGGAGGUGGCCGGCGCUCUUCGGGCGCGCGCCACGCCUCGCCUCUGCCUACUGGCAGAGGAAGAAGAGGACAAGGAGGGAGGUGGGCUGGGCCGGCUGGGGGGGGGGCUGGGCCAGGUAGGCUGCGGUAAGUGGCCCAGGUAAGCUCUGUUUUUUUUAUUUUUUUCUCUUGUUCUGUUUGUUUUAUUUAAUAUCUUUUGCCACUGUUUUCAAAUUCAAAAUAAUUUCAUACAGUGCCAAAACAUUCUGAAAUAUUUUAUGUUACCUCUCUGGACUAUUCCAAAAGUACAUAAAACAUUUCAAAGCAUUUGAAAAUAUAUUCAUUAUAUAUUAUGAGUAUAUCCCCAAAUUCAAAUAGAUUAUUGAUUUAAAUUCAGAGACCAAAUAAUUCCUUAAAAAUAUUCCAGAAUUUUGGUUUGAUAUAUAACUCUUGCCAAAAUUCACAAAACUAUUUUUAGGGCAUUUUGGAAUCACAGAAUGCAAUUUAAAGGGUGCUUGCCCUUCUUUUAAUUAGGGUUUUGAGGCUUCUGAAUUCCUCAGUUCAAAUUUCAUUUGAAUUUAAACAUGAUGCAGCAACCAAGCUAGUCCAAGGCCAGGGUAAAGCUAGGGAUGUGACACUAGGCAUGAUCAUGUAUAUAGGCAUCACAUCCGUGAUAAGUAGACCGACUCCUGCCUGCAUCUACUACUAUUACUCCACACAUCGACCGCUAUCCAGCAUGCAUCUAGAGUAUUAAGUUCAUAAAGAACAGAGUAAUGCAUUAAGUAAGAUGACAUGAUGUAGAGGGAUAACCUCAUGCAAUAUGAUAUAAACUCCAUCUUUUUAUCCUCGAUGGCAACAAUACAAUACGUGCCUUGCUGCCCCUGCUGUCACCGGCAAGGACACCGCAAGAUUGAACCCAAAGCAAAGCACUUCUCCCAUUGCAAGAAAGAUCAAUCUAGUAGGCCAAACCAAACCGAUAAUUCGAAGAGACUUGCAAAGAUAAGUUAAUCACACAUAAAAGAAUUCAGAGGAGAUUCAAAUAUUUCUCAUAGAUAAACUUGAUCAUAAACCCACAAUUCAUCGGAUCUCGACAAACACACCGCAAAAAGAGUUACAUCAAAUAGAUCUCCAAGAAGAUCGACGAGAACAUGGUAUUGAGAUCCAAAAAGAGAGAAGAAGCCAUCUAGCUAAUAACUAUGGACCCGAAGGUCUAUGGUAAACUACUCAGAACUCAUCGGAGAGGCUAUGGUGUUGAUGUAGAAGCCCUCCGUGGUCGAUUCCCCCUCCGGCGGAGUGCCGGCAAAGGCUCCAAGAUGGGAUCUCGCGGAUACAGAAGGUUACGGUGGUGGAAAUAGUUUUUCGUGGUCGCCCUUGAUGUUCUUGGGGUACGUGGGUAUAUAUAGGAGGAAGAAGUAGGUCGGUGGACGCUCGAGGGGCCCACAAGAUAGGGGCGCGCCCAAUAGGGGGGCGCCCUCCACCCUCAUGGCCGCCUCGACUGCUUCUUUACUUGCACUCCAAGUCCUUUGGAUCACGUUCAUUCCAAAAAUCACGUUCCCGAAGGUUUCAUUCCAUUUGGACUCCGUUUGAUAUUCCUUUUCUUCGAAACACUAAAAUAGGCAAAAAAACAGCAAUACAGGCUGGGCCUCCGGUUAGUAGGUUAGUCCAAAAAUUAUAUAAAUGUGUAAAGUAAAGCCCAUAAACAUCCAAAACGGGUAAUAUAAUAGCAUGGAACAAUAAAAAAUUAUAGAUACGUUGGACAUGUAUCAGAGGUAGCGGAACCCACGACAUGCCAAGAAUGGGGGCGACCGUUCUGACAAUUCGUGUUUGCUAGUGACUCCGCCGCCCCCGUCUGGGCUCCCUUAAGUGUCGCCAUCUGUACCUGCCCUCCCGUUUCUUCCUCCUUGUUAGGAAGCGGAGCCAUCCUAAUCCUAGGGAGGCAUCGAAUCCUAGCUGGGCCCGCCCACUGCCUCCUUGACCCCUCCCUUUAAUACCCUGAAGGAGAUGGACAAGGGCAUAGGCAUCACGGGGCACUUAUCUUUUCUUCAGUCUUAAAUCUGUAGGCACUUGCCAAAUUUUAGUUCAAAUAAUGUAAUCUCUUGAAUCCAUGUUUGUGUCCUGUAAAGUUUGUACUUGUUUGAAGCAUAUCAAUGAAAAAGAUAAAACUUGGUGGGGACUCGUGCAUGUAUAUGGCCAUGCAGAGGUGGAGUGCCUCUAUAUUUUAAAAUAAAUGAGUGUCCCCGGCAGGCUAUCCUGCCGAUACCCUCUAUUUGGCAGUUGGGGAGCUCAGCUUGUCGGGCACAAAUUCUAAAGAGGGACCAACCCCUCGCCAAUCUUUCCUCAUCAAAGGCCACUGCGACCAUCCUGACCGACCCAACGUUUGAGUCAAAGGAUGGGAACACCUAAGUUUCAAAAAGCGGCGAGGGUUUCUCAUGCAAAAGUUUUUACUUACAGAACACGUAUGGAUAAGAGAUAGAACUUAUCUCUCUGGCUUGCCGGAGAUCGCAGUGCUUGCUUGUCUUCUCAUCUCCUCUUGGGGACUGAAUCCACGACAGGAGCCUGUAGAUUAUGCAGAUGAAAUGUUGCCAAAUGCAAUCUUAUCUACAUGAGGAUGCAAUGCUCAUGAUAUGAUUAUGUAUGCAUGCAAUUUGUCGGGGGGGCCCCAGCGCUUCAUUUAUUUCUCUAUUGCUCAGGAUCUGCGCCUGGCUUUGUACAAGGGGUUACAUGCAACUGAGGCAAGGCCUGUACGAAUGGGUGGCUGCCUGGCAGGGUCCAACAGCUGUGCCUUACGGGUAGAAUUUGCGAAGAUGGUCAAUAUUCCAAGAGUUUUGCAUUUGAAUGGCAUCUCCAGUCUCCAGACAGACUGCACCAGGUGUGGUGACUCGUACUACCCAGUAAGGGCCUUCCCACUUCGGCAUCAAAUUAUUUGUACCCUUGGCGGACUGACCGCACCUAAGGACAAGGUCGCCUUCCUCAAAACACCGGGCAUAAACCCUGGAUCUGUGACAGAGAUGCAGGGCUUGCUGGUAGCGUGCAGCACACGUAGCAGCCUGGAGACGGUUCACCUCGAGAAGCGCAACAUCGUCAUGCCAGUGUUGUUCCUGCGCUACUUCAUCAUAGGCAAGCACUCUAGGCCACCCGUAAAUGAGUUCCUUGGGGAUAACUGCGUCUGCCCCAUGGACUAGGGAGAAGGGACUCUGCCUGGUAGCUUGAUUUGGUGUCGUUCUGAGGGACCAAAGAACUACCGGCAGCUCAUCGAUCCAUCGCUUGUCGCGCUUCUGCAAGUUAUCAAAAGUUUCUCAUCUUGAGUCUGCCUAGCAUUUCAGCGUUCGCCCUCUCAGCUUGUCCAUUACUUCUGGGAUGUGCAACUGAGGCAAAUGAGAUCUUGCUACCGAGGACAUGAACAUAUUGCAUGAAGGCGCGGCUCGUGAACUAGCAGGUGCCAUUGUCGGCGAUGAUCCGGGUAGGGACCCUGAAACGGCACACCAAUCCUUUCAAGAACUUGAUAGCUGACUGAGCAGUCACCUUUCUCAUGGCAUCUACUUCCGGCUACUUUGUGAACUUGUCAAUGGAAACGAACAGGAAUUCAAAGCCCCCGACAUCUCGGGGGAAAGGGCAGAGGAUAUCAAGCCCCCAGACUGACAACGGCCAUGACAAAGGGAUUGUGUGAAGAGCUUGUGCGAGCAGAUGGAUGUUCUUGGAAUGGAACUGGCAGGCUUCACACUUGGUGACUAGCUCGACCACAUCUUGGUGGGCAGUGGGCCAAUAGAAUCCUUGCCGGAAUGCUUUCCCACCUAAUGCCCUUGUUCCAAUGUGGGAGCCGCACAUUCCUUAGUGUAUUUCCGCCCACAGCUCCUUUCCUUCUUCCCAACAGAUGCACUUCAAUUUCACACCAUUGGGCCUUCUUCUGUAUGGAGUGUCAUCGACAAACUGGCCCUCCGUGCUACUCUUUCAGCUUCAUCUUGCUCAUCUGGAAGUUCUCCGGUUUGGAGGAAGUGGACUAUGUGCCUCACCCAAGUUGGAGCCUAGGGAUCGAAAACAAGGACUAACGGCACUUCCAGCUCUUGUGGGGGUGCGUUCCUCAACCGCGGGGACCCAUGGCCCGGCAGAAGGGUGCAACCCAACAAGUGAUGGGUAAUUGAUUCCGGCAGGGUCCCUGCCAGGAGCCCUAGGAGGCUCUACCGGGAGAGGCUUACCGAAGUCCAAUUUCCUCCUCUGUAGGGACAUUGUUACUGGGGAUACGGAGGGCUGAGUAAGAUGGAGAACAAAAGUUCCUGGUUCCACAGGAAGCUAUUGUGCAACACACUUUGACAGAUGAUCAACUAUGCUGUUUUCCGCACGGGGUACGUGCUCUGUUUGCAAUUUGUCAAAGCGCUCCUCCAACCUUCUCACUUCCUCAAUGUAUGCCUCCAUCAAUGGACUGUGGUAAUCGUUGUUGACUUGUCUCACCACAAGUUGUGACUCUCCUCAAAUGAUCAGUUUCUUGAUUCCCAAUUCAGUGGCAAUCCUAAGCCCGACAAGGAGCCCUUCAUACUCUGCUUUAUUGUUGGUUGCUUCCUCCGGGAGAAAAUGCAUUUGGACGACGUACUUUAGGUGCUCCCUAGUGGGAGCGACGAGAAGCACGCCAGCCCCUACACCUUGCAGGGAGAAAGCACCAUCAAAAUACAUGAUCCAUUCUUGGGGCGCUUCCUUGUUGGGAAUUACUGUUUCCAUCACUUCUACGUCAGGGGUUGGCGUCCAUUCUGCAAUAAACAUUGCCAACGCCCUGCUCUAAAUUGUUGAUGUGCUCUCAAACUUCAGGCCAAAGCUGGACAACUCCAAAGCUCACUCCGCUAUUCUGCCGGUAGCCUCAGGGUACCGGAGUAUCCUUUGCAACGGAAAGCGGGUGACAACCAUAAUCUCAUGGGCUUGGAAGUAGUGGCGCAGUUUCCUUGAGGCCACGAUGAGGCAAAAAUCAACUUUUGCACACCAGUGUACCUUGAUCUAGCCCCCUGUAAUAGGGAGCUGACGAAGUACACUGGGCGCUGCACCACUUUCUUCCCUGCCGCGUCCUUGGGGUUGCCCUUGCUGUUGUGCUCCUCUCUGUCCUGAUCCUUAUCCGGUCCUGCCGGGCUUUGCUUACUCUCUGUUUCCUCUACUUCUCGCUGUGCCACUAGGGCUGCACAAGCCACUUGAUUGGUUGCUGCCAAGUACAGCAGCAAUGGCUCUUGUGGUUUAGGGGCACCGAAGUGGGCAUAGAGGACAAGUAGGUCUUCAAAUCCUGCAGUGUUGCAUCUCCCUUCGGGGUCCACUUCAUGGGGCCUUCUUUAAAAUGUUGAAGAAUGGUAAGGCGCGCUUGGAGAUGAAUCUGCUAAGCGCAGCAACGCACCCUUACUACUAGGUAAAAGGCUAGUAGUAGCACGGGUUUUAUGCCUACUAGUAGUGCAGGGACCAGUGCCACUAGUAAGGCACUACUGCUAUUCCUUAGUAGUAGUGCAUGUAGCACACACUACUGCAAAGACAUAUAGUCGUAGCGUGUAUUGUUUCCAGCGCUGCUGCUAAUCCAACUAGUAGUAGAGUGCUUCCUGUCCAGUGCUACUAGUAUUCUGUUUUUCGUUUUUUAGUUUAUUUAUACGCUGUUAUACAAAUUUUGAUACAAUGCCAAUUAAUAGGUUGUUAUAUCAUUAUGUCCAUGACGAAUUAAUAUAUCAUUGUGAGGAAGAAACAUGGAUUAGAUUCAAUUGGAUGAAUCAAAAGUUGAAUUAGGACGACGAUCCUACUAAUUCAACAUUUGGUCACUUUUGAUCCAUCCACAUGAAUCUAAUCCGUGUUCCUUCCACCAAUGAUAUAAUAACUAAUCAUGAUCAUAAUAACAAAUCAUCACGAUAAUCAUGAUCAACAUCAUCAUAUACUAAUAUGAAAACUCUUGCAUCAUAUCAUCACCAACAACACUAGCUAAUAAUCAUCAUAGUGAUUACCAUGAACACUAUUUAAUCAUCAUAGUCAUAGUGUAGCUAUCUAAUCACCACCAACACUAGCUAAUAAUAAUCAUCAUAGCCAUUACCACCAACACUAGCUAUUUAAUCAUCAUAGUCAUAGUGUAGCACAUCAUCAUCUUUAAACUCAUUCUAGCUAGCUAAUCACUCCUGCUACUCUCUCUCAGGUAAAAUAGCAUAAAACAUGUGUAGCACUCCUGCUUCAUCAUAUUGGAGAAUGCAGAUGAACCUGUCUCCUAAUUGUGGGUCGCGCUUCUGAUUGCUGCUCCCUAGUACUUCUCUGCUGUGAUCUUCACAAUUUUGCUCCGGUCUUCGACUAUUAAGACUUGCUCGCUUUUAGAAAUCAUGAAUGCACUCAUGUGCAAUGCAAGAUAUCUUGGUUGUAAGCUAACCAUUGUCAUGCUACCUUUAGGCUCGAUCCAACGAGGCACAACAUUCAUCGGGAGUCCCUGUUGAAGAACAACAUAGUAACAUACUUAGCAAUGAAGUUUAGCUUAAAAAUAAUGUAUGCAAAAGAUGCACUGAGGACAAAUAGUAAAAAUCUUACCAUCUUUCCUAAAUAGAUGUGACCAUAGUUCAAUACGCACACUAGUGGUCGCACAUAUUGAGUACUAAUAUUUCGAAGUCUAGGAAAAUAACCUGUCUUGACAGUAUCAAGAUCCUCAAGCCAUGAAACAUAAUGACCUAUCUUCUCGCAGUUUAGUUCAGCCCCGGGACAGUAGUUGGUGCUGUCUACCAAGCGUCGGACAAGUUUGCUUGAAUGGAAAUAAGUUGUCAAUAGAAAUUAGUUGUCAACUAUUUUUAAAUAAACAAUAUAAAUUACUUAAUAAAUAUGGUUGAGAAACUCACAUGAUGGUAGAAUUGGAGUCGUGUGCACAUUGACCCAGAUGUCGAUAUUACCUUCAAUUUCAUCUUUUGGAUGAAUAUCAAAGGUGAUAAGCAUAUUAGGCUCAAAUGCAUAAGCCUUGCAUAGUGCUCUCCAAUUUUUGCAUCCAAAAUAGGAGUAGGUGUCUGCAUUGUAUAAUUUUACGACAAAAGUAUAACCAUGCCCGGUCCUCAAGUUAACUCUCUUUACACUAGUAGAAAAACACCUAUUAGUCCCGGUUCGUAAGGGCCUUUAGUCCCGGUUCAUGAACCGGGACUAAUGGGUCGUUACUAAUACCUCCACCCAUUAGUCCCGGUUCAAACACGAACCAUGACCAAUGUGCCUCCACGUGGCCCUGUGCGCCGAGCCCAGUCAGGGGGGCUUUGGUCCCGGUUGGUGGCUCCAACCGGAACCAAAAGGCAUCCAUGCGUCAGCAUUCCAUUGGCUGGGUUUUUUUUGAAAGGAGGGGGGUUGGGGGUUUUGGGGGGUUAAUUUAGGUGUUUCGUAUAUUGUGUUAUCUACCUAAUUAAUAGAGAGAAGUGUCCUCUCUUAUGUCCGUACUUGGUCGAUGCUAUGUAGUAUAUAUACAUAAGUGAUCGAGAGAACCAUUCGGUACAGAAGUUCAUCAUGCAUACCGAGAGAACUGAUCGAUCGACCUCUCCUUCUCCGAGAGAUUGGUCGAACAACAAGUUUUUUACUGGCUACAUACAUGUACAAUAUGUAUAAGAUCUCUUAAUUACAAACCCCUAGCAUUUGAAAUCAAUUUCCACAUGGUAUUCUCCGGCUUUACUGAUGACGUGUUCAAGAAAGAAUCCCGCCAAUUCCUCUUGAAUUGCUUUCAUGCGAUCUGGUUCUAGGAGUUCAUCCUGCAUCUGCCACGUCUAAUUUGAAGAAGGGGGUUAAUUAAUACAUAUAUAUGAAUGAAACUCAACAGAAAUGAUGGUGUAAUAAAAUGAAAUUGUUAAUAUUAUUGCUUAGGCACUUCAUAUUGUCUUCUAGAGUAGCCCCACUUGUUUCUCAAAGUCGCGUUGUGGAUGAACUCGCACACGUAGUAUCCACAGAAAUCAUUCCCUUCCUCCUACCACAAGCACUUUACGAGAAAUAGAGGUCAAUCAAACUGAUAAUGAAGCAUUAUAAAUGGCAUUGAUGAAAAGUAUAGCUAUAGAAUCAACGGGAGAUGCACGCAACUAGCUAGCCAGUAGUACUUACUUUCGGGUAUGUAUAUCGCAGCUCCUUCGGCAGUCCCGGAGCUUGUGUGGUGAACUUAUUCCAAACCCUGCAAGACAAAGAAAAUAAUUAUUAUUACUUAAGAUAUCAGGAAAUGAACAAAAAUUUGCCGAAAUGGUGCGAUAAUGAGCAUUUCAGUGAUGUCCGCAUAGGUUUCGGGAUCUUUCCGUCUCGAGUCUAAGACGGUUACUAGUCCACGCUCAAGCUUAAUCUCCAGAAGAAUAUAGUGGUACCUGCGCACGCAUGCAUAACUCAUCAAUUACAUUACUAUAACCUCGCUCGAGUAAUAAGGGAAACCGAAUAUGCACACGACAGUAACACUCACGGGGCGUUGUAAGGAAAGAGUAUGGUAUCUUUGUUUUGAUUUUUGAUCAACGAUUGUAGCAAGUUGUCCUCGGCCUCUUCGACAUGCUUUUAAACUAGAAAUACAUCUAUGAUAUUUGUGUUAAUGAACCCAAUAUCAUAAAUUUCUUGUUUUUUGCACUCGACGAUCUUCAAUCUGCAUAAAAUAUUGAGGAUAAUUAAUUAUAAAUACAUGCAAUGAAAGAGCCAAGCUAUAUAUAGAGACUUAAUGACAGAAAUAGUACUUACAGGCAGUAGCAAAAGACCAUUAAUUUAUCGAGGGCCUUUUGAUUGAAGAACUCGAAGAACUCCUCAAAUGGAACACACAACAGAUCAUUUGAAACGAGGUCGUGCUCCUCUUUAAUGUUCAGAUACAAACUGUUCUUCCCCUCAGACUCUCUGCAGGUUUUCAUGUACUAACUAUGGAAUCUUCGCAUCAUUGUUGUCAGAGAUUUUUCAUCUUUGACGAGAGGCUUCUCGUACUCGUAUCUGAAUUCGUCCACCUCCAUGAAAUCAGGAAGUGCAUCGUCAGGCACGUAAUCUUCAAGAUUGCCAUAACCGGCCACCGUCCCCGGAGGAUUAGACACAUUGAGCGGGGGGCAAGAUUGCUGUGCUUGUUCGCCGAGCUGGGCAAUUUUUUCCCCUUUGCUCGUUCUUUUAACCUUUUAUUACUGACAGUAGCUCCCGACCGCUUGGCUUGAAGAUAUGUCUGUUCAGUAAUGCGCUCAUAGUUGGUUCUCGGUGGAGACUUUGGUGGUUUCCUCGGGGCAUCAAGAGUGCGCUUUGCUUUCACCGGAUCUACCUUCUCCUCCGGAGGUGGAUGUCUCUUUGCUUUCACCCCUUCAAAGAACUCCUUCACGUGGGCCUGCACGAUCGUAUUGUUUUCUUCCUUGGUCCUCUCGUACGGUAACUUCUCUAGAGGCUUUAGAGGUGGACCGUAUUUGUAUUGCCUCUCUCCUCUUCUUGUGCUGCUAGACGCCGGAGCAGAUGGAGCGGCUGCGGUGUCUGUCUUCUUUCGUGCUUGCUUACGAGGCGGAGGAGAAGGACUACGAUGCGCCGGAGCAGCCGGGGCGGCGGCGGGUCUCUUCCGCCCUUGCUGGCGAGGCGGAGAAGGAGGAGGCGGAGUGCCGCCACGCGCCGGAGAAGGAGGCGGAGUGCCGCCACGCGUGCCCUCAUCAUCACUCGCCGGAGGAGGAGGCGGUGGAGGAGGCGGAGUGCCGCCACGCGUGCCCUGAUCGUCACUCGCCGGAGAAGGAGGCGGUGGAGGAGGCGGAGUGCCCUGACUCGCCGGAGGAGGAGGAGGAGGCGGAGGCCUCCAGUUCAGAAGGUUGAUGAGCUCGUUCUGCCAUAGGCAUGGAGUCUUCAGAGCAGAACCCAGCCUAGUCUCCCCUUCACCGGUAGUGUGCUCAAGCACGAGGUCCUCAAAUCCCUCCGUUAUUUCAUCCACCAUCACUGUUGGGGAUAUUACCACUGGGCAUGAACCGGCCUACCUGGGCCGGGUUAACUUCAUUAGUAGUAUAAAGGUGAUCAAGCAGAUGAAGGCCCAAGGCCUGUAGUCGGUUUAGAAACUGUAGCCGUAAACCGGCUUGAUAUGUAAACUUGUAUUGUAAGUUAGGAAUAGAGAGAUACCAACCGGGAUAUGAGUAUGAACCGGUUGGGACUCUAUGGACCGACGGGCGUCACCCGUGUAUAUAAGGGAACGACCCGGCGGUGGUUCAAAGACAGACAACAACAACUCGAGGCCUAGGUGAAGCUUGUUUGCUCCCUAGUCAUCGAGACCACAUCAAUUCCAUCACAACUAGACGUAGGCUUUUACCUUCAUCGAAGGGGCCGAACUAGUAUAAACCCUUGUGUCUUUGUGUCCGCUUUAACCCCUUCAAGUUAACCCCUAGCGAUGGCUCCACGACUAAGUCCUUUCGCAAGGACAUCUGCCGUGACAAAUCCACGAUAGUUGGCGCCCACCGUGGGGCUAUCGCACGACGGUUUGAUGAUCUUAGAGGGCAAGCUCAAAGGACUCGAAGGCUAUGCUGUGGGCCGGAUGACCAAGAGUCGUCGUGGCAAGAUCUACAUCGAUGAUGUAGGAUGGGGUCCCGAAGCCGAUUCGAUCGAGUAUGGGUAUCGGGUCCCCUUUGGUGGCAUACACGUUUUUAUCAGCAAGAUUGGUGGGCCUGGGCCUGAGCCGGACAUCUGCACCGACCUCGUCGAGACGGCUCAGCGUGCGAGAUCUACCCAGGUUAAACUGGCCGUGAAGUGCACCUUCGUGGGAGUCAUCCACGGAGGAGAGCAUGAGGACGAGUCAGAAUACGGUAGCGAGACCGUCGUCUAUUCCGGCGACGAGUCUUCAACCGGAGAGACCGAAUCAUUGUACCAGUUGCAAGACGACCAGAUUCGGGGCUGUUCCGAUGGCGACAGUAUUCAGGACCCCCCAGAUUAGAUCAACCGGGUUGGAAUAUUCAUGGCCGGCACGCAGGCGGCGAAUCACUCUUCGAUCGCAGCGGCAAUGCUCUCCGGAUCAGCACCGGCAGCGGCAGCAGGGGCAGGAGGCCUUGUGCGCCCACCGGUUCAAGUUCUGUAUGACUUGUUUGACGCACUAGCUGCACUUAUGGCGGAGUCCAAUCCGGCGAAUCAGGAGGCCCAUGAUGCAGAGAUUGCAAAGGUGAGAGAGCAGAUCAUACAGGCCAAAGCCGACCUGGCAGAAGAGAAGGACAGGAUGGCCGCAGAGCGGGCCGCUUUGGACGCCCAGGCCUAUAAACUCAUGCUCGACCAGAACGCAUCACAGGAGGUCUUGAAGCAGAAGCACAGAUCACGCCUGCCGUUAGGGUUCGACCCUCGAAAUCUCUUUUACACUCCAGGAGCUGGAACCAGUAAUCCGCCGGGGCACCUGGAGGAAAACCGGGUCGAGGCACCAGGGCCAGGAGCGACGGUCCAACCCCGCCUGAUGGAACCUCCUCGACAAAACAUUGUGAUUCCUCCGCCGGUUCAGACACCUCCGGGUCAUUAUUCUAAUCCUAUGGACAAUCUUGUUGCAGCUGCUGCGUGAUUAGAAGCUAUCCCGGUCGAAGGAGACUCUCCGCAAGCAAUAGAGACGCGCCGGGUUAAGGAACUUCUCCGGACCGCUUUGAUUCAAUAGGAGGCAUAUUAAUACAGCCGCGAUCGGAUUCACUCCACACCUCGUCCAAGCCGGAGCUAUAGCAGGUGCCCGGAUGAACCGGCCAUAUCGAACAAUGUGCGAGGCCAUGAAGCGGCCCGUGGCAAUAACCCGACAGGUGGUGUUCGCGAUGCUCAGGAUGUAGUGGACCGGGCCCGGGCACGAAGGGAGGCCGAGUUAGCAGCACAGAACAAGGCGGGUCAGCUUACACCGGUUCGUCCUACCACCUCUGCCGGGCCAGGGGUCGCAUCUACUUUGGGAGUACCCUGUUUAGUCCCUGCUUUACGCAAUGUACGCCUGCCCAAAGAUUUCAAGGGUCCGCGCAAGGUGCCGAAUUACACCGCUGACUUAUCUCCAGAAGCGUGGGUAGAGAGAUAUGAGAUGGCCAUGGAGAUGCUGGAUGCGGAUGAGACCGCGUGUGCAAAGUACUUCACCAUGAUGCUUGAAGGCACGGCCCGUACUUGGUUGAAGAGCCUGCCGCCUAAUUCUAUCAGUUCAUGGGCCCAGUUGCGGGCCCGGUUUAUCCAGAAUUUCAAAGAUACGUGUAAGCAGCCCAAGUCCAUAGUAGACCUGGCGGCUUGUGUUCAGGAGGACGGAGAGUCAACAACCCAUUGGGUACGCCGCGUUUUGGAAGUCUUGCACUCGUCUGACAGGAUCAAUGCUGACUCUGCGAUCUUAACCCUGGAGGGCAACUGCCGGUUUAUGCCCUUAAAGUUGAAAUUGGGGCGUAUGAAGCGGUUCUGUAAUGACAUGGGAACUAUCAUGGCCGCUUUGGUAAAGUAUGAUGAUUCUGAUAGUACCAAGGAUCCCGAGACUGACGAUGAUGAAGCAGGGAAGGGAAAGAAGAAUAGCAACUCCAAGGGGCAUCAGUACAAACCGGCGGGCCAUGGAAACGGAGGCAAGCGUAAGGCGGAUGGCAGCAUGGACUUUGUGGCUAACACUAAUGCGCAGGACAAGGGUCAACGGCGCAGAGGUAAAGCGGCGAAUCGUAAUGGAGCUCCAAAUCCUAACCCGGAUCGCUUAAACUAUUUGUUGAAUCAGCCUUGUCCAAAGCACGGGACGACGGAGGCGCCGGCUAACCACCUUUGGAAGGAUUGUUACAUUAUGCAGGAGUUUAAGAACUCUAAUGCCUUCUGGGGUAUGACCGUGGGUCAGGUGGUGGCUCAGGAUCCGGUUUCCACGGGCCGGGUCACGAUGGAGCUUCCGGUUCAGGUUUCAAUCAGGGCGGUCACAACAACCAGAAUAAUCAGAGCGGUCAAGGGGGUUACAACCAACAGCAGCAGCAGCAGCAGUCGGGUUAUCAGAGCCAGCUAAAACAGUUGAACAAUGGGCAGUAUCACGUUUUCACAACUAGCUUGGAUAAGCGCGACCGGAAACUCCACAAGCGAGCAGUGAACUCUGUUGAACCGGCCGUACCACGUUACUUACGCUGGUCGGAGCAGCCUAUCGUGUGGAGCAGGGAGGACCACCCACCCCGGGUUGACAAUCCGGGCCAGUUUGCAUUAGUGGUAGACCCUCAGGUGGGAGGUUAUAAGUUCACCAAAGUGCUCAUGGAUGGAGGGAGCAGUAUUAACAUCCUGUACUAUGAGACAUUCCGCCGCAUGGGGCUAACAGACAAAGAUCUCAGACCGUCUAAUACGGUGUUCCAUGGUGUGGUGCCUGGCAAAUCAGCAUAUCCUGUUGGUAAGAUAGCCCUGGAGGUGGCUUUUGGGGACGAGCAUGAUUCCCAAUCCGAGACACUAACCUUUGAGGUGGUGAAAAUCCGGAGCCCGUAUCACGCCUUGUUUGGGCGGCCGGCUUAUGCCAAAUUCAUGGCACGGCCUUGUUAUAUCUAUUUGCAGCUCAAGAUACCGAGCCACAAGGGGACAAUAAUGGUUCAUGGGAGCCGCAAGAUUGCUUUGGAAUGUUAGGAAGGUGAUGCGGCCUAUGCAGAGUCGGUUUGUGCCACGGAGGAGUUGAAAUAUUAUAGGGACAAUGUUGAUCCGGCGGACAUGACCCCUUUGAAGAAGCCCACUACAGAGCAUGAUUCAGAUCUGAAGUUCAAAUCGGCGGCUGAGACCAAGCUUGUUGACUCCGUGCCCGGCGAUUCGUCCAAGCAGUUCACUGUCAGUGCCAACUUGGACCCUAAAUAGGGAAGUGCGCUCAUCGAGUUCAUCCGUGAGAAUCGGGACAUUUUUGCAUGGAAGCCUUCUGACAUGCCAGGUGUACCGAGGGAACUUGCUGAGCACACUCUUAAUGUUGAUCCAAAGUAUAAACCGGUAAAGCAGUUUCUCCGCCGGUUUAACGAAGAAAGGCGCAAAGCCAUUGGAGAGGAAGUGGCCAGGGUCUUAGCGGCUGGCUUUAUCAUUGAAGUGUUCCAUCUAGAGUGGCUUGCUAAUCCGGUGCUGGUUCUUAAGAAAAACGGCACUUGGCGUAUGUGUAUGGAUUACACGGAUCUUAACAAUGCUUGUCCAGCGGAUCCUUUUGCCCUCCCCCGCAUUGACCAGAUUAUUGAUACCACGGCGGGUUGUGAGCGUUUGAGUUUUUUGGAUGCAUACUCUGGGUAUCAUCAGAUCAAAAUGGCGGUUAAGGACCAGGAGAAGACGGCGUUUAUUACUCCCUUUGGAGCCUUCUGCUAUGUAUCUAUGCCUUUUGGGCUCAAGAGCGCCCAAGCCACUUAUCAACGGUAUGUACAAAAAUGCCUGCAUAAACAGAUCAGCUGUAAUGUGCACGCCUAUGUGGACGCUAUUGUAGUCAAGUCAAGGCAGAAGCGGACGCUGGUUGAUGAUUUGAAGGAAACCUUUGACAACUUGCGGGCUUACAAGAUGAUGCUUAACCCGGCCAAAUGUGUCUUUGGUGUUCCAGCAGGCAAGUUACUGGGUUUUCUUGUGUCCAACAGAGGAAUCGAGGCUAAUCCGGAGAAGAUUACGGCUAUCACCUCCCUGGCUAAACCGAAGUGUAUUGACGAUGUUCAGCGUUUCGCAGGCCGGAUUGCCACGCUGAGCCGGUUUAUCAGCCGCCUCGGAGAGAAGGCCAUCCCUUUAUACCAGAUGCUGAGAAAGAUAGACCAAUUCAUCUGGAGUCUGGCUGCUGAUGAAGCGUUGGAGGACUUGAAGCAGCAAUUAGCCAAUCCGCCCGUUCUUGUAGCUCCGGUCGACAAGGAGCCGUUAUUACUAUAUGUAGCGGUUAAUGCUCACGCAGUUAGCGUGGCUAUUCUGGUAGAACGCAAGGAGGCGGGCAAGGAAUAUCCGGUUCAGCGGCCGGUUUACUAUAUCAGCGAGGUGCUUAUUGAAUCCAAGCAAAGGUAUCCGCAUUGGCAGAAGCUGGUAUAUGGAGUUUUUAUGGCAAGCCGGAAGUUGAAGCAGUAUUUCCAAGGGCACCCCAUCACAGCGGUCAGUUCAGCUCCCUUGGGCGAUAUCAUACAGAACCGGGAGGCGACUGGCCGGAUUGCCAAGUGGGCUAUAGAACUUGGGCCGCACGGAUUGAAGUACAUACCUCGGAUGGCGGUGAAGUGUCAAGGACUUGUGGAUUUCAUCAAUGAUUGGACUGAGUUGCAAGCACCAGAGGAGAGGCCAGAUCACACAUAUUGGACUAUCCAUUUUGACGGAUCCAGGCAAUUGGAGGGCUCGGGGGCUGGAGUCGUAUUAACUUCCCCACGAGGUGAUAAGUUUUGUUAUGUUCUCCGCUUAAUGUUCCCUUGUACUAAUAAUGCAGCUGAGUAUGAAGCCUUUCUUCAUGGUCUCUGGAUGGCUAAGGAGAUGAACCUAAGUCGGGUUAAGUGCUUCGGUGACUCGGACCUCGUGGCUCAACAAGUGUCUGGCACUUGGGAUUCUAAAGACCCACUUAUGGCUGCAUAUCGUCGUGAGGUGGAUAAUAUUGCGGGUCACUUCAAGGGUUAUCAGGUGGAUCAUGUGGACCGUCGAAAGAAUGAAGCGGCGGACGCUUUAAGCCGGUUAGGCUCUCAGCGUAAACCGGUCCCGCCUAAUGUCUUUCUUGAUGUGUUGCACAACCCGUCAGUCAAGCUCCCGGGUGAAGCGGAUUUGGCUAUUCCUGAUCCGGAGGCUCAAUUGGUGGCAGCCCUGCAUGUCAUACCGGAUUGGACAGGUCCUUAUCUUGCAUACAUGAACCAGGGAGAGUUGCCAGAGGAUGAGAUUCUAGCCAGGCAGAUAGUCCGGCGAUCCAAGUCUAUGACUAUUGUCAAUGGCAAAUUGCAUCAUUGCAGUGUAUCAGGGGCAUUUCAACGCUGCGUUUCUCCUGAGGAAGGCUGCGAAAUCUUACGUGAAAUCCAUGAAGGGGAUUGUGGUCACCAUGCCGGUUCAAAGUCUCUGGUGGCAAAGGCGUUUCGUCACGGGUUCUACUAGUUGACAGCUCAUGCUGAUGCGGAGGACUUGGUUAAAUGUUGUGAUGGUUGUCAGAAAUUUUCAAGGCGUGCUCAUGUACCGGCUCAAGAAUUGAGGAUGAUUCCAAUUACUUGGCCGUUUGCAACAUGGGGGCUGGAUAUGGUCGGACCUUUUAAAAUAUCCAAGGAUAAGAAAACCCACCUUUUGGUGGCAGUUGACAAGUUUACCAAGUGGGUUGAAGCGGAGCCUGUCAGCAAGUGUGAUGCAGCUACAGCGGUGCAGUUCAUUAAAAAGGUGAUUUUCCGGUUUGGCUUUCCACACAGUAUCAUUACUGACAAUGGUACCAAUUUAUCCAAGGGUGCUAUGAAGGAAUUCUGUGAACGUGAGCACAUUCGACUUGACGUAUCCUCAGUGGCUCACCCCCAGUCCAAUGGGCAGGCAGAACGGGCUAAUCAAGAGAUCUUGCGAGGCAUCAAACCCCGGCUUAUGGUUCCAUUGCAGAGAACACCAGGAUGUUGGGUUGAAGAGCUACCAUCUGUGCUAUGGAGUAUCAAUACUACGCCCAACCGAUCUACAGGAUACACGCCGUUUUUCAUGGUCUACGGAGCGGAGGUGGUUCUCCCUAGUGAUAUCCGGCACGAUUCGCCUCGUGUGGCGGCUUAUGUUGAAGCGGAUAAUGAGACAGCACGGCAAGAUGCUUUGGACCUAUUAGACAAGGAGCGCGACAUAGCGGCUGCCCGCUCGGCGAUUUAUCAACAAGAUCUUCGUCGCUACCACAGUCGCCGGGUCAGAACCAGAGUUUUUCAAGAAGGAGAUCUGGUGCUUCGGCUCAUCCAAGACCAGACGGAUACGCACAAGUUAUCCCCACCUUGGGAGGGACCUUUCGUGGUCAGCAAGAAUCUGCAGAACGGGUCGUACUAUCUGAUUGAUAUUCGAGAGCAUAAAGACUCACGCACAUCAGAGGAGGAGACCAACAGGCCGUGGAACAUAGCUCAUCUUCGGCCUUACUACACUUGAGCCAUUGGCUCUAUCUAUGUGCAUAUUAUGAUAGUGUAUAUAUUAUCUUUGAUAUAAUAAAACCGGAGCCUCAGCUAAAGCGGGGUCUCUGUCCUUCCAUAUCAUGUGUGGUUACAUGGAGUGGUUCUGUUUUAAAGCGGCCUCCGGUUUACCCCUUGAAAUUUGCUUUCCAAAAAAGCUUUGUGAUAUCACUUGGGGCCUUGGUCGUGUCCAAACCAAUGCGACACCUUUUGAUAGGCGAAAUCCACCAGAUCACUUGGGGACAUGGUCAAGUCUGAACCAGUCACGCCUCUUGAUCGGCCUAAGGCCACAAAAUCACUUGGGGGCUUGGUCGAACCCGAACCAUUGCCACGCCUUUUGAUCGGCAUAUAUGCCACGGUUUCAUUUGGGGACCUGGCUGACUUGAACCAUUGUCACUCCUAUUGGGGGCUUGGUCCUGUCCGACCAUGGUAACACCAUCUGAUCAGCUCAGUAAAGCAUGUUUUUUGCAAACGGUUUUUAUAAUUGCCUUUGCUUCCAUAUUUCUUUUAUGACUAUUCCUUAAUUUUUGUUGUGUUUCCUUUAAACCAACAACACUUUUUUACCGGUUCAGCUGACGGAUUCGGUUCAUUUUAUCCGGAGAAAUAUGUCCGGUUUACCUUUCCUGUUAACAUCAUGGAGUAACAGGGGGGCUCAUAAUAACCCAGCAUGGUUUACAUGGGAGUUGUUUUCUCCCCUUUGAUGGUAAUGGUUUAUAAAACCUCCGUUUCAAGCCUGGCUAAGCCAACUUCAUGCCCAGCGAUGGCAGGUAUUUUGUAUCACCUAUUUGGUUAUAUGUCUUAAAUACAUUGAUGAUAUAUAUAUAUAUAUAUAUCAAGGUCAUAAACCGGCUGGCGGUAUAAUCGCCACCGCAGUUCAAGAUUUUCUGAUUGCAGGAAAUAUAAAUUGAGGAUUUCAAGCAAAAGCAUCAGUACUUAUGCACGAAGGCAUAUUUAAAGCGGAAGUAUUGGCUAUUCUAUUACAAGGCAACGCGGUGCCCAAAUAAGAUCAUUGUUUUCUGGCGGAUCAUAAUAAAGUAGCUAUUCAAACCGGCUUCCGGUUCAAGCCUGCUCAUCGUCCCGCGCCGCUUCAGCUUCCUCAUCUCUAUCCAUUGGCUAGAAAUCAACAGUGGUCCAGUCGAUUCCCAUUAAAGCUUGAAAGACAGCCUCUUCAUGGAUCAGAGAAGACGGUUCAAUAUCAGGAGCGUAAGUAUGCUUACGGUUUGGAGGAAUCAGAUUCUCCGCUUCAAGAGUUGGUGCAGCCACACGUUUAUUCUGAUCAUUAUACUGAGCUUGAUAAUGUGACAAGUCUGCCUCUUCAGCCAAUUGACAAGCCAGAGGGUGCACUGCAUGGUUUAUCUCCCUCAGGUCAUCCUCAUUGAACUCUGAGCCAUCUUCCUUCAAACUGGGGUAGCCUUGAGCUGCUUCAACAGGAUCGAAAUCCGGCACCCAUGCUUUUUCCCGGAUCAAGGCAUUAAUUGCUCCGGUUCGGGCAGCAGAUUUCUUCAGUUCUUCAAUCCGGGUAGGAAGCAUUGACAACCUCUUCAGAGUAUCUUGGAUUAAAGUGGGUGCCAGAUUGUUAUGAGAUGCAGUGGUGAUGAUCCGCUGCGCUCCGGUAUACAGCUGUUCAAUUAAGGUGUAGGCAGCCUUCAGCUUCUUCCGAACAUCUGACCCUAAGUGACCAAUGCGUGUACCUACAACAAUACAGGAACGAUCACAAACCGGAUCUAUUAUAAGAAAGCCAAAGUUGUCAAAGAAACCCAAAGGAACUUACCAAAGACAGCAGCGGUCAUGGCAUGCACUUGCCGCUUUACGGUGGUCAGUUCAUCUACCACCGGUUUAAGGGCAGCUUUAGCAUUUUCAGCUCUUUUUAUUAAAGCGGCCUUCUCAGUGGCCCAAUCAGCCCGCUCCUUCUUGAAGCCCUCCUUCAGCUGUUCCGUGAUGCUCAAGGCGCUGGUCAAUUCCUCCCUUGCUUUGUUGGUUUCGGCUUGUUGGGUUUUCAAAGUUUCUUGCAGAUCAGUAAUCCGGUCCUCUUUGAUCCUCACUUCAGCCUGCAUAAAGAUAGUACUUGGCUUUAGACAAACGGUACAAGAAUUUGAAGUACCAACCACAUCACAAGUUAUACGCUUGAUACUUGGGGGCUAAUGCAUCUUCAAACUUCAUCUAUUACUAAAUCACAAAGUCCCAAGCUCAAUACAGGUAUUUAACUUGGCACUUGGGGGUUAAUGGCUAUUUGCUCAAUUAUGUUCUGAUGUUACAAUCUUUAUUGGAGUCCCGGUGUAACUAUACUAAGUUGAACCGGCCCUUGGGGGCUACAUUGAUGGAUUUCAAAGUAUUGAUGACUAUAUUCAAGUCCCAGUUUGAAGAAGGUUACAAACCGGCCCUUGGGGGCUAGGAGGAUUAGUACAGUGGCAGUAAUUAAAGAAAGAAGAAGCACAAGGAAGUUACCUCAAAUUUAUCUCUCAUCAUCUUUACCAGGCCAGCUUCACAGUCACGACUAGUAUAUAGCCGGUUCAAGUAACCAGAAUGAAGAUCUUGGGCACUCAGAGCAGCAUAUGUUUCUAGAUCAACAUCUCAUUUGCCUUUGUUCAUGGCAGAAGAAUCUUCUUUCACAGUAUGUUUAGCUAAAGCGACAGGAUUCCCUGGUUCAAAGCGGCCUACGCUGGUAAUUACAAUGUCAUCAUCCUUGGACUCGCCGGUUUGUGUUGGUGCUACCGGUUUAUCAGCAUGUCUUGAAGGACUGCGGGAUUUUUCAAUCCGGACGGGGCUGGUAGGUUGGUCAACAUGGACUGAAGUAUUGAUAGGCCUCUUCUCAGUAACAGCGUCAUCAUGCAAAGGAGGGUCACUGGGAACAUCUUCAUAAACAAAUGCUUCAAGAUCUGGUACUUUGUCCUGUUCAGGGGCAACAUCUUCCUCGACCACUUUAUCCAGACGGGCUUUCUUGCUCGGUUUGGGUUUAUCCCUGAAAAAGGAACAGUAUAAGUUAUAACAUAGUAUACCAGAAGCAUAUGUUCAGUCUAGCUUACCCAAGAACCAUUUUCAGCGGUGGCAGCUGAGUGGCUGACGAUUCACCAGAGGAUGAAUGAUAAGUAACCUGAUAAUCGGAGUCGGACGGAUUAAGAGGUUGACGGAUGAAACCCGCUUUAGGAUAUAAAUUAAUAAAAAGGUCGGAGACCUCGGAGCGGCGUUUUCGAACCAGACUGUUUGGUAAACCGGCGGAGGUAACUACCUAGCCGCUGUGCCGGGUUGUGCGGCGAGCUUCAUGCUGCUGAGUCUUCAUAAGAAAUUUGGGAUCCAAGUAAGCAAGAGGAUGAGAAAAUUUAACUUUCUGGUUUGCCUGGCGAAGUUUUGGCAAAGGCAAAGGAUCUGAAUCGGAAGAAAGAAUAGUUACCUCAGCGACAUCAGCAUUACUGGCUUCAGCAUCGUCCUGACAAGUAUCAUCAUCAAUAAGGCGUGUAAAAACUAAGCCUAGUGAAUCGAGUUCUACCUCAAGGUCCGAGUUACCCACAUCAUCAUCAACAGCCGGAUCAGAUGAGGCGGUGGUUUUCCUUUUGUGAGCCGGCUUCUUGAUAACCUUGGUCUUUGGCCGGGUUGACCGUUCUGUUUUCUCCGGUUUGUCUUGCGGAAGCUUCUUGCUCCAAAAUGGAUUAUCCCCCUGGUUAAGCAACAAUUGAUGUUAGACAGAAAUAGUAGUAACAGGUUCAGUAAAAAAUACAAGCAAAAUCUUACAGCUGGCGGUUUGUUGGUAGUGCAGAAGGGGAGCAGGCCGGUUUGAGCGUAGAGGUGUUCCGGUUCAUUCAACAUUUUCUUCACAGCAUCUGUGACUUCGUCAUCGGAGAGCUGGAUUUUAGUGUGUCGGAGUGGGUCAUCGACGCUACCAGUAUACUUGCACAUUAAACCGGAGCGCCGGCUGAGAGGCAGUAUGCUCCAUGAUAUCCAACAGCGUGCAAGAUCUAUUCCUGUUAAACUGUUGGCCAUGAAGGCUCGGAGCUUGGACAGUUGUGGAGCAUAUUUACUUCUCUCCUUGGCACUUAAUCUUUGUGGAAAGGGGUGAGUGUUGCUGAGCCGCUCCGGACGAAAGCUAGGCAAAGGAUUUUCAUUGUCAGGGGAGGUGUCUUUGUAGUAGAACCAUGUUGCAUUCCACUCCUUGGGGUGAUGUGUAGUAUACCAGAAGCAUAUGUUCAGUCUAGCUUACCCAAUUCUGGCAUGGGGAUAAGGCUCCUCUUGAAGGUAUACCUCAGAGAGCACUUGGAAGUGACAUAGGUUGGUAACAGAAUUGGGGCCAAUAUCUUGCGGGCAGAGCUGAAAAUUGGCUAACACAUCCCGGUAAAAUUUAGAACCGGGCGGCUUGAAGCCCCGGGCUAAAUGAUCUGCAAAGAUCACAACCUCUCCCUCUUGAGGGGUGGGAGGACAUUCAUCACCAGGAACUCUCCAGUGGAUAGUAUCUUUGCUGUCUAAAGCGCCGAUCAAGACUAAAUCAUCCAGUUGAGUUUCUGUGACGCGAGAAGGAACCCAGUUGCACUCAUAUACUUGUUUGGCCAUGGUGAGAGCUACAAUAAAUAGGUGAUUCCGGUUCAAGAAUAUGUCGGAUAAAAGAAGGUGCUGGUCUGAACAAUGUUAAACCGAAGGCGGUACAUUUAAACCGGAUUUCUAUGAGGUGGCAUCAUAUGGAUAAAGAAUUCUGGCGGUUCAACAAGGGGACUAAUGGUGUAUACCGGUUUACUAACUUUUCUUAUAUUAAGUUAAACCGCCUGAUCUAAACAUUGAAGGCAAUUGCGGAUGGCUAAGUAUGCAGAAACAGGUUUCACAAAGUCUUAUUGCAGCAAUGGAUCUGAAGCAAGUUCAGGAAAACAGAAAAUAUUCAAAAGGGUAAAGCAGAACGGAAGUAAAUCAAUGGGCGGGUAUGUGGAUGAGAUCUAUAAACUUGAGUGUGAAACUAUAGGCGGAUGCUAAAAAGCUACUGCUAGUCAGAGCAGAGUUUCACAGAUCUAUCCAGGAGUCUGGGUACGAGCAUGAACAAGUUAUGAACACGGCAAGAACACGAACCCUAGAACAGAUCUAUGUUAAGAAGAACAGAAGGCUUACCAGAAUCGAGGAAGACGCGGAAGGCUACCGCGGUGCUCUGGUGCGUUCAGGUUGAUGCAGCGGCCCAAGACGGUGCAGAGGUCAACGGCGGCGGCGGAGCUCUGAGGCGGGCGAUGCGAGGAAGACGAAGAGAAAGAGACGAAGGGGAGAAAAGGAAAUGACCCUUCGGUCCUAUUUAUAAGGCAGGGGACGUGUGUCAGGCGCGCGAAUCCAGGAGCCAAAAAUUUCGGAAGUGGAGCUGCUGCUUUGGGCAUUGCAGAUCUAUUAAUAAAAGAAGGCGUUAUAAAUGUUAAACUUCGUGAUGACGUCAUGCCGGUUUACAGCAACCAGAGAUGAUGACGACAUGGCGGUUCACCAAUUACCAUAAGAUGUUGAAGACAAAGAUUUUUGUGAAGGAUUGACAUGAACCAGUUCAAAUCAAUCUGGGGCCUAAUGUUGGGGAUAUUACCACUGGGCGUGAACCGGCCUACCUGGGCCGGGUUAACUUCAUUAGUAGUAUAAAGGUGAUCAAGUAGAUGAAGGCCCAAGGCCUGUAGUCUGUUUAGAAACUGUAGCCAUAAACCGGCUUGAUAUGUAAACUUGUAUUCUAAGUUAGGAAUAGAGAGAUACCAACCGGGAUACGAGUAUGAACCGGUUGGGACUCUAUGGACUGACGGGCGUCACCCGUGUAUAUAAGGGGACGACCCGGCGGUGGUUCAAAGACAGACAACAACAACUCGAGGCCUAGGCGAAGCUUGUUUGCUCCCUAGUCAUCGAGACCACAUCAAUUCCAUCACAACUAGACAUAGGCUUUUACCUUCAUCGAAGGGGCCGAACUGGUAUAAACCCUUGUGUCUUUGUGUCCGCUUUAACCCCUUCAAGUUAACCCGUAGCGAUGGCUCCACGACUAAGUCCUUUCGCAAGGACAUCUGCCGUGACAAAUCCACGACAACCACCUUAGCAAAUCCUUCUGGAAUCGGCUGGCAGUGAUAAGUUGUGCCGGGUCCACUAGGAUAAACUUGGCCAACAGCCGCCUUGACCUUCAAAUUCAUCCAUCGCGCCAUAAUGUGGCAAUUUUGAGACUCUGUGACACGAUCCACGGGAUAGCUGGCAGGAGCCGUCAAGACAUGCUCCGGCUCGCCGUCAACAUCACCAGGGUCAUCUCGUUUGAUCUUAUACCGUAAUGUACCGCAUACCGGGCAUGCGUUCAGAUCCUUGUACGCACCGCGGUAGAGGAUGUAGUCAUUAGGGCAUGCAUGUAUCUUCUGCACCUCCAAUCCUAGAGGGCAUACGACCUUCUUUGCUGCGUAUGUACUAUCGGGCAAUUCGUUAUCCUUUGGAAGCUUCUUCUUCAAUAUUUUCAGUAGCUUCUCAAAUCCUUUGUCAGGCACAGCAUUCUCUGCCUUCCACUGUACCAAUUCCAGUACGGUACCGAGCUUUGUGUUGCCAUCUUCGCAAUUGGGGUACAACCCUUUUUUGUGGUCCUCUAACAUGCGAUCGAACUUCAGCUUCUCCUUUUGACUUUCGCAUUGCGUCCUUGCAUCGACAAUGACCCGGCGGAGAUCAUCAUCAUCGGGCACAUCGUCUGGUUCCUCUUGAUCUUCAGCAGCUUCGCCCGUUGCAGCAUCAUCGUGCACAUCGUCUGGUUCCUCUUCAUGUUCAGUAGCAUCACCGUAUUCAGGGGGCACAUAGUUGUCAUCGUACUCUUCUUCUUCGCCGUCUUCCAUCAUAACCCCUAUUUCUCCGUGCCUCGUCCAAACAUUAUAGUGUGGCAUGAAACCCUUGUAAAGCAGGUGGGUGUGGAGGAUUUUCCGGUCAGAGUAAGACUUCGUAUUCCCACAUAUAGGGCAUGGACAACACAUAAAACCAUUCUGCUUGUUUGCCUUAGCCACUUCAAGAAAAUCAUGCACGCCCUUAAUGUACUCGGAGGUGUGCCUUGAACCGUACAUCCAUUGCCGGUUCAUCUGUGUGCAUUAUAUAUAAUUAAGUGUGUCAAAAAUCAUUACAGAACACUAAAACCAAAUUAAUAGAAGUUCAUCAUCACACUAAAACCAAAAGUACAUACAUAGUUCUCAUCUAACAACAUAAAGCUCUGCAGAGCAUCUAAAUUAAUUAAACCAUACACUGAAACUAUGUAAAACAUUUCAAUGUGAAAACAAAUGCAAGCAUAAUCGCAACCAAUGUCACAACUGAUCCAACGGCAUAAUGAUACCAAGCCUCGGUAUGAAUGGCAUAUUUUCUAAUCUUUCUAAUCUUCAAGCGCAUUGCAUCCAUCUUGAUCUUGUGAUCAUCGACGACAUCCGCAACAUGCAACUCCAAUAUCAUCUUCUCCUCCUCAAUUUUUCUAAUUUUUUCCUUUAACAAAUGGUUUUCUUCUUCAACUAAAUUUAACCUCUCGACAAUAGGGUCGGUUGGAAUUUCCGGUUCAACAACCUCCUAGAUAAAUAAAAUCUAUGUCACGUUGGUCGGCAUAAUUGUCAUAAACAAUAAAUGAACCAAUAGUUAUGAAAAGAUAAUAUAUACCACAUCCGAAUGAUAGACAGGACGAGGGCCGACGGGGGCGGAUACCAAAACCAUUGCACUAUAUAAGAUGCAAUAAUAAAAGUAAGAAAAUUAUACAAGUAUCUAUAUAAACAUACAAGUAAGAGGCUCACCACGGUGGUGCCGGCGACGAGAUCGGCGCGGGCGAUCGAUGGCGGUGAAGACGGGGACGCGACGUGACAGACCGCUAAACCUAGACAAAUAUUGAGGAAAAUGGAGCUUGGAGGUGGAUCUUGGAGAGGAGAAAGCUUAAGUAGUGUGGCUCGAGCAUUCCAUCGAACACCUCAUGUGCAUAGGAGGUGAGCUAGAGCACCACAAAGCUCCCUCCUCGCAUGCCAUGAAAAACAGAGCAGUGAGAGUGCUCUGCUCGCGGGGUAUAUAUAGGCAACUAAUUAGUCCUGGUUCGUGGCUUGAACCGAGACUAAAGGUCAGCCUUUGGUCCCGGUUCAGGCGACCAACCGGGACCAAUGGUGGUGGGCCAGGAGCAAGGCACAUUGGUCCCGGUUCGUCCCACCAACCGGGGCCAAAAAGUCCAGACGAACCGAGACCAAUGUCACACGUGGCCCGGCCGGGCCCCGGGGCUCACGAACCGGGUCCAAUGCCCCCAUUGGUCCCGGUUCUGGAUUGAACCUGCACUAAUGGGCUGACCCGGCCUGGACCAUUGCCCCCUUUUCUACUAGUGUUACCUCCAUACUUUCCAUAGUACAGAAACCAAUCUUAUCCAAGACAUACAUUCUUGCAUGGCAGGGGAUACGCUAGAAGAAUUGUAAAAAAUUAAAACUAUAAGUUGAAGCAAAAGAAGCAGAAGUAGCAGAAGUCAUGCUUAAUUACAAAAAAAGACUUGUGAUUGUGACUUACUGUAUCCACUUCGAAGGUCUCAUCCAGCAUGAUGCUGAAGCGCCUACCACCAACUAGGUGAGGCCUGUCGCACAUGCCGCGCUCGUCUUCAUAGUAUUCACACAUAACGAAUUCCUUUUCAUUGUCAGACAUUUCCUAUGUUCAUAUUUGAAACAUUGAAAAUCAGUCGAAGGCAACUACCAGGAAACUCAACACACAGAUCACUAUUACUCAAUAUGCAACGGGUUGACCUUAGGUCUAUCGAGUCUUCCUUCCUAAACUCUUAUCUCACGUAUAUGGUGGGCACUCCCUCUCUAAUAUUGUGACCAUCGGUGAUGGUCGCUAGUCCUCCUUUCCCUAGGGCAUUACAAAUAUCUAUCACAAGGAAAAUAAGGAGAAGCGACCCCCACGACAAAAAUCGUCAUUCUUCUUCUCUCAUAUAUGGUGGAUACUGCCUCAGCGAUUUUUCGACUUUCAAUUAUGGUCGCUACUCCUUCUUUCCCUAGUGCAUAACAAAGGUCUAGCACAAAGAGAAGAAGGAGAAGUGACCCCCACCACAACAGUCGACAUUCUUCUUCUCCCAUAUAUGGUGGAGACUCUCCCUCACUGAUUUUUUGACUGUCAUGUAUGGAGCCCCGACAGACUUGAAGUCAACUCGAAAUGUCAUUUACUUCUCUUUCCAGCAAUUCCGGGGCAAUCGAUAUUUCCUACAUAUUCUAGCACAAGUCAUGCUUAAAUUCAGGGCCGGGCGGACAAAAUCCGGGGCCCUGUGCCAAACUAAAAAAUGGGGCCCUAUCUCACUAAAAAAUAACCUAACGAGCAAUUAUAAUGUAUAUAUUAAUAUAAAUCAAGCAGAUUUUUUCAUAAUAUAUAUAAUAUAAUGUCUUGCAUAACAAUUGGACGUAUAAAAAAUCAUACCUAUUCAACUCCCGGUUGCUAUUUAUUUGAAAAACUUCAUUCUUUUAGUAUUCUUUGAUAUGAAAUCUUCAAUGAUAUCCUCGUAAUCAAUCUUCUCCAACACUUCACUCUCAAGUGCUAUUGUGGCCAAAUCAUUGAGUCUUUGUUGUGUCAUAGUAGUACGCAUAUAGGACUUCAAUAGCUUCAACUUAGAAAAACUUCUUUCUGCCGAUGCAACUGUCACAGGAAUGGUGAACAGAACUCUAUAUGCAAUACUUGCAUUGGGAAAACAGUCAUGCCGCUUCAAAAAAUUCAGAAUUUCAACAGGUCCCAUAUUUUCCUUUGGCAUGAAAUUUUGAAGGAACUUCAACUCAACAAACAGAUCAUUGGCAUCAAUAUCAGAUUGUUUAUCCUUCAUAAGGGCAGACUCAAGAUUAAUACAAGAGGAUUUCAAACUAUCCUUAUCCAAUGAACGCAAUGUUUCAGAGGUAAAUAAGAAACCAAAAAUUUUCUGGUAACCUUGAUAUUGCUCAAAUCUCCUUGUGAGUGAGGAAAUUGCUUGAUCGACAAUUGGUGUAAAAUAGUUGAUUCUAAAUGAUUCCUCUGCAGACCGUGUGGCAAUAUUUGUGUCGUCUGGGUUCUCAUCAUACUAUUUCUUUCUUUUAAUCUCUCUCCUUUUACGAAAUGUUGCACCAAUAUCCAUCUCAAGUGCAAUUUCUUUGGCUAUCUCCAAUGCUUCUAAGAAACCAGUUUUGCUAUACCCCUCGAAGAAAGAAAUUAGCCCUUUCACUUUCUCAAUAGCAACAUCAAUAAGCAUAUCCUUUGUUUGCAAGUUUUUGCUUACUAAAUUAACAGCAAGCAAUACCUCAUACCAAAUGACUAUUGCCACGAUAAAUUCAUACUCUCCAAGUUCAUUAUUUGGCAAACCUAGAGCCUCACUGCUUGCCUUUGGAUCACUAUCAGUUUCAGAUACCUGAAAUUAAAAGAAAGUCCAUAAAUGUUAUGGUUGGAUUUAGUCAAAGCCUAAAGGAAUUACAUCACUAUUAAUAUGAACAUAUUGGUUACCUGAAGUAGAGCCUCCCGAAUGUCUGAACAUUGAAAUCUGAUAGCUUUAACACUUUCAACACGACUCUCCCAACGCGUAGCGGACACAGACUUGAGAGUCAAUCCUGAUACGUUUUCUUUCAAAAUAUGCCAUUUCUUAGUAGAAUUGGAAAAAAUUGUAUAGAUGCGUUGGAUGAUUUCAAAAAAGUCCUUUGCUCUACCACAAGUCUUGGCCAUAUCACAAAGUGUUAAAUUAAGGCUAUGACAACCACAAGCUGAAUAAAAAGCUCUAGGAUUUAUAUCCAAAAGUUUCCUUUGUACCCCUUGAUGCAUUCCUUUCAUAUUUGAUCCAUUAUCAUAACCUUGUCCUCGCACAUCAUUUAUAUCAAGAUCAAGAAGUUUUAGCUCCUUCUCUAGCACAUCGAAAAGUCCUUGGCCGGUUGUAUCAUCUACAUCUAGAAAUUCUAGAAAGGACUCUUCUACGCAAACUUGACUUGAAGAUGAAUCCACAUAUCUUAUAAUUAAAGACAUUUGCUCUUGGUGAAUUGCAUCAGGGGUACAAUCAAGUAUGACAGAGAAAUACUUUGAGCUCUUUAUUUUCUUGAUAAUUUCAUACCUAAUAGAAGAAGCAAGCAAGUGUAGCAAUUCAUUCUGAAUCUUAUGAUCAAGAUAAUGAGCAUGAGUUUCUUCAUUUGUAAUACGACGAACAUGCUCCUGAAUAACAGGGUCAAAUUCAGCCAACAUCUCUACCAAACCCAAGAAAUUACCAUUGCUAUCUUCAUACAGCUUGCCAUUAGUACCACGGAAUGCUAGAUUAUGCUUUGCAAGAAAUUUUACAAUGCAAACAAUUCUGAAUAAUACCUUUCUCCAAUGGUCCAUCUCUUUCUCAAGUUGUCGUUGAGCAGCUUUAUCAAUAGUUUGAUGUUUUUCCAAUCUACUACGCAACUCAUACAAAUUAGUCAUGCUCGAAACAUGAUCCACACUUGUCUCAUGAUCUUUUAGUCUAUUGGUCAUAUGUGACCAAUCAUUACAACCCUCAUUUGCCAACUGACCUUUCCGGUGACCUUUUGUAAAUAAUUUACAACCAAAACAAAAGACUCUAUCAAGUUGUUCAGAAUAGACAACCAGUCUCUAUCACAAUACUCUCCAUUUGAUAGGAUUCUAGUAUAGAAUACUGAAGUAAACCUUUUACGAUAUCUAUCUUUGGGACCUUUAGCUGACUUGUCUAUUUUUGGACCCUUCUAUGCUAAGAUAUCAAUCUGUUUAGAAUUAAGAGAAUCCCAGUUUCUUGGAUCAAAUAUAUCAGACCGAAAAAGAAUCAUCAACAUCCUCAUGAGGUGAACUAUUCAAUUUGACAUCAAUAUUAUCUUCCUCUACAUCCAUAUUAUCUGUCUCUGUGUGACUAUCUCCAGAAUCAUUGUAAGGAAUAAUUGCAAGUGCAAGGGUAGAAGGAUCCGUAGAUUGAUUACCAGAUGACACUUGCGGUGCCUUUUUUUUAACAAUAACAAAACUGUCCAUACCACCUUUAAAACAUUUAUUAAUUAAAUUUUCUUCCUCUGCUUUUUUCUUGCGCUUAUAGGCACCUGACUGAUGUUUCCCCAUGAUGACUCAAAUCUGUAUUAUUGAAACACAAGAUAAAGAAGAUGAAUAAAAUAAAAUUGAAUUUAUACAUAGCAUAUAUCAAUUGGACAUCAUGCGUCAAUGCUUGGGAAUUAGACGAACCGUCUAACUCACCUAAUUUUCGGUCCUGUGAUCUUUAACCGGGGAGGUAAGAACCAAUCUCUAAUGAAGUAAUCCCUGUCAAUAAAUAAUUAGAAAAUUAAGAAUUAGGAUUUAGGAGUAGGAACCGAAGUUAACCAAAAAGAAUGACUUGCUAAGCACCUGAAGGCUAGCAUCGGUGACCAAUCAAUCCGAUGAGAUGACGUCGACGAGUCAGAAAUUUAAGAAAGGAGUCAAGGAAGUCAACAGUGGCACCGCAACAGUGGCCUGUCGCUUAAGUCGGCCUGAAUCCGAAAUUGGAUCGGUCUAAGGAACAAGGACCAGGGACCGAGCGAGAGCUACCGAGGGAGGAGGCGGGACGAGGCGUUGACGUGACGACGUCAAGGGCUCCAGGCGUCUAGCCGUCGACGGCUCCAGCGAUCCGAUCUACUGCAGGCUGUAGCGAUCUAAUGUUUUUUUAUGGUAGCGAUCUACUAACGUAGCUAGUUAGCGAUUCCCUCGUUGCUUUUUUUUCUAAGUGCUGCCUCGUCGCCUGAUCUCGUAGCGAUGUGGAGGAGUCCCAGCGCUCCGUCCGCUCCGAUGGCCUCUCUCUCACUCGAUGGGCCUAGUCGCUCGCCGCUCGGCCCAGUUACGUUUACUGUUACUAUACCUAUAUAAAAAAUAUGGGGCCCCUUAGAAUUUUUGGCCUUGUGCGGGCUGCACCUUUGGCACCACUGUGGGCCCGGCCCUGCUUAAAUUCACGGAAUAAUCCGUCAUGACCUUUGCUAAAAUAGGACAUAUCAAGAGCCUGAAAUUUGCCGGAAUGGAAAUGAAUCAACACUCCGGCAAAACAUAGGCCACCCAAAUUUUCCCACAUUCGCUCAUUGCAUUUCAAUGGUUCAAUAUUGACAAAAACAUUUCAAUAUAUUUCUACUUUAUUCAACACCGAGGAGUAGAGAAGGAGGAGGUGGACUUUUAGCUCACCGACUUGGGUGUAGAGGAAAUAGAGGUAGCUCAGAUGACGAUCACUCCAAGGAGACAUGACCCUACAAAGCCUGCAUAUUCCACUGAGUGAAAAUUUUAGAUCAUCAAAUCUCAUAUAGCAUUCUUUGAUGACAAAGUGAUAAUGACAUAAAAAUAACUGUAUGCCAUGAUGGAGCUAUGUGCUACCCGGGGGCCGUUGCCCCCCUCCACCCUUAUUUGGUUUCAACACACACAUAGAUGGGGAAAUUGUCUUUUCCCCCUAAACUUUCUUACUAAAAUUUUUUAUUACUAAAUUUGAUACCUAAAAAUUUCUCAUGUAGCAUUCUAAUAGAUUUCUAUAAUUGAAAAUUUUCUAUACGUAAAAAAUUAUAUUACUAAAAUUUUCUAGUAUUAAAACUUUUUUAUAUUCAAAAAAACUUAUUCACUAGUCUAUUAAGCACCUGCUAUAAAUAAACUAUUUCUAUUAACCACUUGUCAGUGUCAAAACCGGCGGAUCUCGGGUAGGGGGUCCCGAACUAUGCGUCUAGGCGGAUGGUAACAGGAGACAAGGGACACGAUGUUUUUACCCAGGUUCGGGCCCUCUCGAUGGAGGUAAAACCCUACUCCUGCUUGAUUGAUAUUGAUGAUAUGGGUAGUACAAGAGUGGAUCUACCACGAGAUCAAGGAGGCUAAACCCUAGAAGCUAGCCUAUGGUAUGAUUGUUGUAAUGGUUGUGUGUCCUACGGACUAAAACCCUUUGGUUUAUAUAGACACCGGAGAGGGCUAGGGUUACACAGAGUCGGUUACAAUGGUAGGAGAUCUACAUAUCCGUAUCGCCAAGCUUGCCUUCCACGCCAAGGAAAGUCCCAUCCGGACACGGGAUGAAGUCUUCAAUCUUGUAUCUUCAUAGUCUUGGAGUCCGGCUGACGAUGAUAGUCCGGCUGUCCGGACACCCCCUAGUCCAGGACUCCCUCAGUAGCCCCUGAACCAGGCUUCAAUGACGAUGAGUCCGGCGCGCAUAUUGUUCGGCAUUGCAAGGCGGGUUCCUCCUCUGAAUAAUUCAUAGAAGAUUGUGAACACCAGGAUAGUGUCCGGCUCUGCAAAAUAAAUUCCAAAUUCCACCGUAGAGAGAAUAAUAUGUACACAAGUUCAAUCUGCUGACGUAUUUUGUGGCAUGACGUCAUACCACCACCAAGCCAUUACUUGAAUCGUUUUAUACUAUACCACCUCAGCGCGUUUAGCGAAGCGGUUUCCUUGGCACGUCUUGUCGAAGCAGAGAUCAUGUUCCCGUUAUUCUGGGAUUCCCAUCAAUACGGACGUGGGUAACCCAACCGUGCCAUUGAUGGUGGCGCUUGGGAGAUAAGCGAGUUUUACCAGGCCGGUGGGGACGCAUAGUCUUCGUCCACCUAUAUAUAAGGGGAUAAGGAUCCACCUCUUUACCUAAGCCUUCUUCCUCCUUUGCUUAUCCAUCUCCGCGCACUCGAGCUCCAGCGCCCAAGUCCGCACAUCUCGCUUCGACCUUCUCCAACCAUGUCUGGAGCGGGAGGCAAGUGGUUGGCCUCCUCCGUUACGGAGGAGCACAUCGCAAAGCUGCGCGGCACCGGAUACCUUUCCAACGACAUCACGCACCGGCUGCCCGACGAGGGGCAGCUCAUCCCCACCCCCAGGCCCCAUGAGAGGGUCGUAUUCCUUCCCCACUUCCUCCGCGGACUGGGCUUCCCACUUCAUCCCUUCGUCCGAGGCCUCAUGUACUACUACGGCCUGGAUUUCCACGAUCUGGCGCCGAACUUAAUCCUCAACAUCUCGGCGUUUAUCGUCGUGUGCGAGGCCUUCCUCUGCAUCCGGCCUCACUUCGGCUUGUGGCUCAAGACCUUCAAUGUCAAGCCGAAGGUGGUGAAGGGCGCUCAAGCGGAGUGCGGAGGCGCCAUGGUGGGAAAAAUGCCCAACGUUACCUGGCUCGAAGGGGCCUUCAUGGAGUCCAUCAAGGGAUGGCAAUCAGGGUGGUUCUACAUCACGGAGCCGCGUGACCCUAAAUGGGCAGCGGCCCCCGAGUUCAGAUUUGGUAUCCCCAUGCAGCUCACCUCCUGGAAAGAGAAGGGCUUGCUAUGGGGCAGUUCGAAGGAGCUGACAGGACUCCAGUCAUGUCUCCAGACCUUGGUGAACAAGAAGCUUAGGCUUGUCAAUGUGAUCCAGGUCAUGCUCGUCCGCCGGAUUCUCCCCUACCAAUAGCGGGCCUUCAAUUUGUGGGAGUUCGAUCCGGCACAGCACCGGACCCUCAGCGGGCUCUUCGACACAACGUACGAAGCUGCCUGGAGGGUGAUAUUCAAGGGCGGAGAAGCCCCCGUGUCCGCGACUGAAGAUUGUGGAUUCAGCACCAAGCGCCCGGCCGGCGAGGUAAGCUUUGUUAUCCUUUGUGGGACAGUUAUUUUCUUUCAUAGUUUAACUCUAUGUGGGAUCUAAAACUCCCAAUGCCUUUGAAAGGACUGGUAGAGGACGUCUGGACAGGUAGACUGUCCGGCUCCCCUUCCCGAAGACCCAGCAGACGCCCGUUUAACGGGGCUGCUAGUCCCGGCACUCUAUGUGGUGCCAGAGAAGAAGGCCAAGAAGAAGGCCACGGGAACUCGAAGAAGUUCCCGGCGCCAGGCGAUAUCGGAUUCAUCGUCCGAUGGCUCCAAGGCGGACUCCUCCCCCGAAGACGAGGAGGAGAAAGAGGACUCUCUCUCGAAGGAGGGAGAGAGAAAGAGGAAGGCUUCCCCAACGGGGGAGGCCGAAGGGUCCAAGAGGGGAAGGUCUCUUCCCUUGAACAGCUCCGCCAACGCCAACGUUGGCGACGAAGAGUGGCCCUCAAGGGCCACGCCUCCGGAAAGAUCGUAAGUAUCCGGAUUCCUGAAUGGUUUAUAAUAUCUCCUUUGUGUCACAUAGUGUCCUUCUAAUGCCGCACACUACCUGUAGUCCGGCCGAUGAUGAUCUUCUCGCUUCAUCGAGCGGGUCCUUGGCUCCGUCGGACAUGGAUUCCAUUUCGACCGCCUCCACCCCUCGUGCUAACGACGCCGAGGUGGGAUCCCAGGAGGGGACCCAUCGGGAGGAGGCUCCGGAGGUGCCGCAAGGCAGCCUCCCGGACUUUGCGCCGGACUCCAUGCCGGAACCCGCAGUGGUUCCGGAGUCCGGCAGGCGGCCCCUUCUUAAGAAGGGCAAGACCGUGACGCCGGCAGCCUCCGUCCAACUAGAGGCGCCGGACAACUUGUUGGAGGCGCUUAAUGGCGCUUCCAUCGAGGAAGAACACCGCACUAUCAUGAGUGCGGUGAUUCAGAAGGUUCAGCUUGCCAAGAGCGGGCUGACCGAAGCCUGCAGUAGCCUUCUAACAGGCUUUGAGGUAAGAAGUUUAAAAUAUGUAAUGUAAUACCGCGUAGACAGUAGCCCCUGAUGCUCAGUUCGGUGUUCAGAAAGAAAAACCGGAUUGAGUAUCUAAAAAAGAUAUACGCAGGAGUGCUAAAAAUUAUGUCAAUAUGGGUUUGCAGGCUAUGCUGCUGACCUCUGCCGCAUUGACUGCGGAGGUCGGUGCUUUGAAGCAGGACCUCGAGCAGUCCGAGCAAGAGCUCGGCCUUGCCAAGAGGCAGCUCGAGGACAAAGAAGGUGAGUAACACCACUUUUAUGUUUGUACCUUACAGAAAAGGAUUUUGGUUGCAAUAGAAAUAACAAGGAUAACGUGGGUAUUGCAGGGGCCACGAACGAGGUGGCGACCCUGAAGGAGGCCGUGUCCGUGGCCGAACGCAAUGCGGCCGCGGAACGAGCGGAGCGCGAGAAGCAGGAGGCGCGGGUGGCGGAGGUGCGGCAAGAGCUCCAGGCUCUCAUGGAAAAGCAUGAGAGUUUGGAGCGCGACUCGAAGACUCGAGAGUCCGAGCUUGCCUCGGCUCUUGAAAGUGCCAAAGCCGCUAAGGCCGAGGCCCAUAAGGCCCUCCAGGAGAUUGAGGAGGUGAAGAAAAUAGCGGCGGGUAAGGCAUUUUUCAUGCAAAGCAAGCAUGUGAAUGUAAAUUACCUGUUACUUACCCGAAUUCGGAGCUCUCCAGGGGCGUUUGCAGAUCUGUCUCGCAGCGUGUCUAGUGCUGCCGCAUUCUAUCGGGCCGAGGAGGGGAGCUCAACGGAGAAGGUCUUCUGGUCUCAGUACGCUGAGGCUGGACACCUGGUGCCCCCUAGCGACCAGCUGAAGCAGCUGGUCGAGCUCCACAAGGUAGCUGAGCAGGCCAUGAAGGGCCUCAUAGUCCGGCUGUGGCCUGGAGAGGCCAUGCCUGGGAGCUACUUCGGCCUCGUGCAGCGGCUGGUGGAUGCGUGUCCCUGGGUGGAAGUCAUCAAGUGCUCUGCCUGCAUUGAAGGUGCCCGUCGGGCCCUUGCCCGCGCAAAGGUGCACUGGGCAGGCUGGAUGCUGAGAGGCUUAUCACGGACGCGCCGCCGGCGGGCAAGGAGUAUCAUACGCCCGAAAUGUACUAUAGGGUGUCCUGAAGGGUGCCCGCAAGAUUGCGGAUGAGUGCCCCAAAGAUGUAAUUAUUGAGUAAACUCGCAAUGUGUUAUCCUGUGCGCUGAAAACUUUGUUCAUAUGCGCUAUGCAACGCUUAUUGAUUUAAAAUAUUACCUUCUUUGCGGCCGUUUAUAAAAUCUGAGAGAUGGCAAGUCGUUGGCUGCAGCCCCCAUGCCAUGAGUGCUGGGGUGUUCGGGAUAAACUUGAGCAAUCUUGUUCCCAUUUUUGGGUCCAUCUAGGGAGGCGCUCAACACAACGAACAAGGCAACCGGACUUAUAAUGCUUGAACACUCUCACUUAGCCAUAGAAUUCUAUAAUUUUAAAUUUCGGCGAAGCCCCUAGUAUUCGGAAGACCGAGUUCGGGGCGCUAUCCACGCCUGGGCCGGACAAAGCCGGUUCCUCUCUCUAAGCGACAUAAGUCUUUAAGGACUCGAAAGGACCUCUCGAACAGCGACCAGUCUCUCGCCUUAUCAUGACAGUCAGUUUUAGCUUUCUCCACUGAGGCGCUCGCCCAGCUCAACCGGGGCGCAAUCGCAGUGGUUCUCCUAGUGCUACCUUAGCCGAUGGAACGGACCGUAAGGUACCAAAACAUGGGAGCCGGGCAAACCCAACUAUUGACCCAAGACAUGAUUCGGAGCCGAUGCAUAUAAUGCUAUAAGUUCGGGGUGCCGCACUUGUGAAAGUGUUCGGACUUAUCACACCAUAAUGCGGGGAACAUAAGCCCCUGGUGUAUUCGGCCGUACCAAAAUGUACGGGUGCAAGAUGUCAUUAAUGAACAUAUAUAAAAAAAGGUAAUGCAAUUAUAGGCAAAAGGUGCUGCAUUGUUUAUUCAAGGAAUUCUGCUAUGAGUGCAGAACGAUACAAAUAGUGCGGUAAGCAAGGGUUUGGACUAACUAAACAUAUCCCCCUCCAGAGGUAGGCUGCGAACUGGUGUAUUUAACAAAUUUAAUGCUCAUAAUGGAGAUCACCUGUGUGUUCGUCAUAGCCUUUGUCCCUCCCUGGCUGUUGCGUCGUGAGUUCGGCAGAUCUACUACCAGAUAGGUUCUCUGGUGAACGGAGUCCUGUGGAUAAAAAGGAAAAAAUAAAAAACAAAAGGAGCGACACACUUGGGAGCCCUUGGUGUGGUUAAGCCGCACUCUGGGCCUGUCAUGGUCGUGCACCUCCCCUUAUGCCCAUGGUAUCUCUAGAGCGUAAUGAUGCACGCGAAGAGUUGGUCUUGCGAUCAUGCAAGGGCUGGGGUUGGGGCCGCAUUGCUACGCGUGCUUGGGACGUGACAGGUGGUCUUGAUUGAUGUUACUCCGGGCGCGUUUGGCCAUGUCCGGUCGUAUAACAGCCGGACUCGAAAAUUGCCUUAGGAGGCUGCUCUGUACUUCUGCCGCGAGAGCCGCUGUGUGUUCCUCUGUUCGAAGGGAGCGUUCAGUAUUUCUGUUGACCGUGAUGACUCCACGAGGACCUGGCAUCUUGAGCUUAAGGUAUGCAUAAUGCGGCACCGCGUUGAACUUUGCAAACGCGGUUCGUCCGAGCAGUGCGUGAUAGCCACUGCGGAACAGGACUAUGUCGAAGAUUAACUCCUCGCUUCGGAAAUUAUCCGGGGAUCCGAAGACCACUUCCAGUGUGAUUGAGCCUGUACAAUUGGCCUCAACACCUGGUAUGACGCCUUUAAAGGUCGUAUUUGUAGGUUUAAUCCUUGAGGGGUCUAUGCCCAUCUUGCGCAUUGUAUCCUGAUAAAGCAGGUUCAGGCUGCUGCCGCCGUCCAUCAGGACUCUAGUGAGGUGAAAUCCAUCGACGAUUGGGUCUAAGACCAAUGCGGCGAACCCACCAUGACGGAUACUGGUAGGGUGGUCCCUUCGAUCGAAAGUGAUCGGGCAAGAGGACCAUGGAUUGAACUUCGGGGCGACUGGCUCCAUCGCGUAUACAUCCCUAAGUGCACGCUUCCGCUCCCUCUUGGGUAUAUGGGUUGCGUAUAUCAUGUUUACCAUCCGUACUUGUGGGGGGAAACCCUUCUGUCCUCUACUGUUCGGCGGCCGGGUCUCUUCCUCGUCAUCGCUGUGUAGCCCCUUGUUAUUGUUUUCGGCAAUUAAUUUGCCUGCCUGCUUGAAUACCCAACAAUCUCUGUUGGUGUGAUUAGCUGGCUUUUCGGGGGUGCCAUGUAUCUGGCAAGAGCGGUCGAGUAUUCGGUCCAAAUUGGACGGACCCGUGGUAGUUCUUUUGAAUGGCUUCUUCCGCUGACCGGGUUUAGAGCCUCUGAAUCCGGCGUUGACUGCCGUAUCCUCAUUGUUAUGGCAAUUAACGCGGCGUUUGUUUUUGUUUCGAUGCGAACUGCCAUUGUGGUCCUUAGUAUCCGGACUGCCAGCAUUUUUGCUGAGGUUGUUGCUGCGAGCUAGCCAGCUGUCCUCUCCCGCACAAAAGCGGGUCAUGAGUGAUGUGAGGGCUGCCAUGGAUUUCGGCUUUUCCUGUCCUAGGUGCUGGGCCAGCCACUCGUCGCGGAUGUUAUGUUUGAAGGCUGCGAGGGCCUCUACAUCCGGACAGUCGACGAUUUGAUUUUUCUUUGUUAAGAACCGUGUCCAGAACUGUAUGGCCGAUUCGUCUGGCUGCUGAAUUAUGUGGAUUAGGUCAUUGGUGUCUGGUGGUCGCACAUAUGUGCCCUGGAAGUUGUCGAGGAAUGCGGCUUCCAGGUCCUCCCAACACCGAAUUGACUCUGCAGGCAUGCUAUUAAGCCAAUGCCGAGCUGGUCCUUUAAGCUUGAGUGGGAGAUACUUGAUGGCGUGGAGAUCGUCGCCGCGGGCCAUAUGGAUAUGAAGGAGAUAAUCUUCGAUCCAAACCGUGGGGUCUGUUGUGCCAUCGUAGGAUUCAAUGUUCACGGGUUUAAACCCUUCAGGGAUUUGAUGAUCCAUUACUUCGUCAGUGAAGCAUAGUGGGUGUGCGGCGCCUCUAUAUUGAGCAAUAUCACGACGUAGCUCAAGAGAGCGUUGUCUGCUGUUUUCGGCCCGGCCGGAGUUGCUGUAUCCGGCGCGACGGUAGUCGUUGUGGGUUGUGGGGCGCCCACGUGAUCCGUAGAUAGAUCUGGAUUGUCUUGCCUUGUCCUCUAAUAUAUCCCGCAAGUCCGGCGCAUUCCCUCGUGGCUUCGUACUUUUCGAGCGAUGCCGGGGUACGGUUCUGAUGGAGGGCCUAGAUGCCUCUCUGUCAUGGCCACGGGGUGGUCGAUCUGCCGUAUUAUGCGCUGGUGAUGAAUGUUUGUAUGCUUCCUCCUCUAGUCGGGGGAGCAACUUGCGUUUUGGGUAGCUUUUGGAGGGGCGUUCGAGUUCAUACUCUUCGGCCGCGAGGACCUCGGUCCAUCUGUCGGCCAGCAGGUCUUGAUCAGCUUGAAGUUGUUGCUGCUUUUUCUUUAGGCUAUUUGCCGUGGCGAUAAGCCUGCGUUUAAAACGCUCUUGUUCGAUGGGAUCCUCUGGCACGACGAAUUCAUCAUCGUUGAGGCUUGCCUCGUCUUCGGAGGGAGGCAUGUAGUUUUCAUCCUCCUCGUCUGCCGCUCUCUCUCGAGGGCUGGCUUCCCCGUCCUCCUGUGCUGAAUCUUGCUGGAGGGGGUUGUCUUCGGCACUCUCUGGGGUGUUAUUAUCUCCGGUGCCAGAAUCUCCAUUCUUACUGUGGCGGGAUUUAGAGCGGCGCCACUGACGUCGGCGCUUGGGCUGUUUAUUAGAAGAAUCUGCCUCCGCUGCUUCUUCACUGUCACCAUCCUUUGGGGUGUCCACCAUGUAUAUGUCGUAUGACGAGGUUGUCUUCCAGUGCCCUGUAGGCACUGGUUCUUGAUCGUCUCUGGCAUCGUCGUCCAUACCGUCGAUGUCUUCAGAGUCGUAGUCUAGCAUGUCGGUUAGAUCGUCGACAGUGGCUACAAAGUCGGUGGUGGGUGGGCUUUGAAUUUCUUUGUCGUCCGCAUCCCAACCAUCCUGACCGCAGUCCAGCCAGGGUUCUCCUGAUAACGAGAGAUGCUUUAGCGAAUUUAGGAUGUCGCCAAAGGGUGAGUGCUGAAAGAUGUCCGCGGCGGUGAACUCCAUGAUCAGCGCCCAAUCGGAUUCGAUUGGCAGGGGCACAGGAGGUUUGGAGUCUGGCAAGGAGUCCGGCGUCUCGGAGUCACGAGCUUUAUAAGGGACAAGAUCAGUAUUCGGCUCCAUCACCGUAGAAGUUGCUGCUCCCGAGGCGGUGGACUGCUCCGAACUAUGGGUCAGAGCGAACUCGUGUGAGGCCUCCAGGGCACUGUCCGGCGGCAGAGCUAAAUCAUGCCCAUCGUGACAGCGCGGCACGCUCGGCUGUGGCUCGAACCCGUCGAAGAUCAAGUCUCCACGGACGUCGGUUGUGAAGUUUAGGCUUCCAAACCUGACCUGAUGGCCAGGGGCAUAGCUUUCGAUCUGCUCCAGAUGGCCAAGCAAAUUGGCCCGCAGUGCGAAGCCGCCGAAUACAAAGGUCUGUCCGGGGAGAAAAGUCUCACCCUGGACGGCGUUGUUGUUGAUUGAACAAGCCAUCAAGCCUAUCGGUGACGACACAGAGGAACUCUCAAUGAAAGCACCAAUGUCGGUGUCAAAACCGGCAGAUCUCGGGUAGGGGGUCCCGAACUGUGCAUCUAGGUGGAUGGUAACAGGAGACAAGGGACACGAUGUUUUUACCCAGGUUCGGGCCCUCUCGAUGGAGGUAAAACCCUACUCCUGCUUGAUUGAUAUUGAUGAUAUGGGUAGUACAAGAGUGGAUCUACCACGAGAUCAAGGAGGCUAAACCCUAGAAGCUAGCCUAUGGUAUGAUUGUUGUAAUGGUUGUGUGUCCUACGGACUAAAACCCUCCGCUUUAUAUAGACACCGGAGAGGGCUAGGGUUACACAGAGUCGGUUACAAUGGUAGGAGAUCUACAUAUCCGUAUCGCCAAGCUUGCCUUCCACGCCAACGAAAGUCCCAUCCGGACACGGGACAAAGUCUUCAAUCUUGUAUCUUCAUAGUCUUGGAGUCCGGCUGACGAUGAUAGUCCGGCUGUCCGGACACCCCCUAGUCCAGGACUUUCUCAACCACUUACUAUAAAUAAACUAGUUCUAUUAAGCACUUACUAUAAAUAAACUAUUUCUAUUAAACACUUACUAAAAUAGUAAAAAAAACUACAUUAUACAAGAAUAAUACAAAAUAGUUUGGGGUUUAAUUAGNNNNNNNNNNNNNNNNNNNNNNNNNNNNNNNNNNNNNNNNNNNNNNNNNNNNNNNNNNNNNNNNNNNNNNNNNNNNNNNNNNNNNNNNNNNNNNNNNNNNNNNNNNNNNNNNNNNNNNNNNNNNNNNNNNNNNNNNNNNNNNNNNNNNNNNNNNNNNNNNNNNNNNNNNNNNNNNNNNNNNNNNNNNNNNNNNNNNNNNNNNNNNNNNNNNNNNNNNNNNNNNNNNNNNNNNNNNNNNNNNNNNNNNNNNNNNNNNNNNNNNNNNNNNNNNNNNNNNNNNNNNNNNNNNNNNNNNNNNNNNNNNNNNNNNNNNNNNNNNNNNNNNNNNNNNNNGGUGAAGGGCUUGGCCGGAGGAGGAGGGGGCGGUUGGAGGAGAAGGGAGGAGGUCACGGUGGGAGGAGGAGGGAGAGGAGGCAUGAGGGAGGACAACGGCAGCAAUGCGGCGGCGGCGGAGGCAGAGUGAGAAGGAGGAGGGAGGACAACGGCAGCAAUGCGGCGGCGGCGGAGGCAGAGUGAGAAGCGGGGAGUGAGGGGAGGAAGAGGAUGGUCAGGCGCGAGGGAGAAAAAAUUGCGGAUAAGGCACCCAUAGCUGUAGCGCGGGUCCAGGAAGAGCACUACUGCUAAGAUCAAUAGAAGUAGCGCCGGACGUAGACAAGCGCUACUACUAUACCUAGCCUGCCGGCAACGGUGUGGCAGUUAUAGUAGUAGCGCUUGUUGUUUAGGUCGCGCUACUGCUACUUAUAUAGUAGUAGCGACCUUAUGUACACCGCCCUAGUGGUAGAUAGCAGUAGCGCAUUUUUUUGACCAACCACUGGUGCAGAGACCUGCUAUACAAACGGUUUUUAACCCCUUCCCGUGACGACGUUUGGAAUCGUCGCUAAGUGAGUGUGGGCGAUAGGGGGUCCUUCCCACACGACCCAGAAAAUGUCAGGGAUAGGCCCUCCAGGCACAUAGGCUGGGACAAAAUGAGCUCGUGUGCGAUCUGACGGGGCAUCGAAACCCAAUUGUUUCCGUUCAUAUGUACAUCCCACACGAUGAAUCCCAGAAAAACAUUUCCGUUUGUAUGUAUAUCACACACAAUUUUUGUCUGGAAACGUUUGUGCAAGGUGACCUAACGUAAACAGUUAUCUGCCAGAAGUCGUGUGUGAUUAUUAGUUGAUCGAACACACCUACUUUCUAGAAACCAUGCGGGUUGUUUGAGUUCAUCACCCAUGGUGUUUUCUGAGUAACCGUCUACAAUAGAAAACCCCAUUAAGCAGGGAAUUAGCCUAUUAUUGAUAAUCCAUGUACUAUUCAAAUUGAUAUUUCUUAUAAAACACGCCAGAUAUUCCAUAUCCGUAUAACAGCAACCAAGAUUUGAUAAUCGAAUUACAUCAGAUGGCUUUGGGACUCAGUUACGCCAUUACACAACAGCACCAAGUUUCACAUGCAACAUCAAACACCUUUGGAAAGUAGCAUCAUACACGGUAAAUAGACAGAUGAAUCUCAUCUGGGAAAGUGUAGAAGCGGAAGGCAAAUAUUGAGCCUUUAGUGAUGUUGAAGAUGUCCUUGCAACUUUAGGCCAUUGGCUAUGGAUAAUUGCCUGCCCAACCUUCGUCCUCUUCCGCAAGACUUCAAUAUUGUACCGUGGGUGUUGAAUGAACACCUGCCUCACCUCUUGACCAUGCAGGUGGUUUGAGAGGUAAUCAUCGGUGAACUGCUUUGAAAAGUACUAAAAACAAAGAUAUGCAUAAAUUUCUAUUAUAAAUUUUGAAAUGGCGCAAGGGGUAAAAAACAAGGUAAAAGAGUUAGUACCAUCCUAUAGUUGACUAAUGUCUUCUUCAUUGUGCAAACAAAGAUCUUGCUGUUAUUCGUCACAAGUUUCUUCAUCCUAACAAUCUUUCUGAGUUUCUUUACUUGACUAAUAUUCAUGGACAUCUCAUUUCCCCAUAUGAAAAAUGGGUCGAACAGUGGGUCUAAGCCUCUAACAGCAGGACCUACAUGUGCAAGACCAAAUUGUAAGAAACCUAAACAUUAGAAUGAUUCCUCCAAUUGCACAAUAAUGUGCUAUUAGCGAAAGGACCAUGCUUGAACAAACCUCAAUGGUAAACCGCAGUAUCUCCCAUUGUUUCCCUGCAACACACACAAGGAAGAUCUUGAUCAGGUUAACUGAGAGUUGCCAUACUAUUAGUAGAAUAUGUAUUGAGUAUAGCCAAAUUCGAUUUAUUUCACAUGCAUAACAAUACAAAAUUGUACCCAUAGCAAAUGAAAAUGAAAUUGCAAAACUAAACCAAAUAGUUAAAUGGACAGUAGACCAAGUGAACCAAAAUAGUUAACUGAGCACGACAUUGCAGAAUAGAAAAAUAUACUAGAAGAUAAGAUAGUUAACGAAACAAAGAAUGCUUGAGAACAGUACUACAAAAUGUAGCAAUUUUUGGACCAAACUGUUAACUGAACAUUACAUUUCAGAGGACCAAAGUGUUAACUGAACAUUACAUUUCAGAGGACCAAACUGUUAACUGAACAUCUGAUUGCAUAUUAACAUUACAGGGGACAAAUCACUAGAAGACACUUGCGGUGGCCUCGAAAAAACAACACGAACUGUAUUUUAAGGUAGACAACAGCGUGGCGGUGCCGAUGGUGGACUCGAAGAUGAGGUGCUCCUCCAAGAUCUGGCGGUCGGCAUGCAUGGCAGCCAUAGCGACCUCGUGCGCACGUGCGGACGCGAUUUGCUUCUCCACUGCUAGAUUCUACUGAGCUCCAGGUUAUACUGCGUGCAAAAUGGCUGUGGGUGACACUUAAUUGGAGGAGGGGGACAGUGAUUUCAGCGGAAGGUGUCGCGCCAUCGGUCGGAGCAUGUGGGACGGGAAAGGAGGAGGAUGGUGUGGGUGGGGUGUGGAUUACCAGACCAUCUCGACGAGGCCACAUAGCAAGAAGAAGGGUCAGCGGUGAGGAGGCCGCGUAGCAAGAAGAAGGGUCACCAGCGAGGAAGCGGCGCUGCAAGAAGAAGGGUCGGCGGCGAGGAGGCAGCGCUGCAAGAAGAAGGGUAGCCGGCGAGGAGGCGGCGCUGCAAGAAGAAGGGUCGCCGGCGAGGAGGCGGUGCUGCAAGAAGAUGGGUAGCCGGCAAGGAGGUGGCACUGCAAGAAGAAGGGUCACCGGCGAGGAGGCUGAGCUGCCAGUAAGCACCAGUGAAGGUUUGAACUUGGAAGGCAAGGACAAACAUGGAAAUGUGUCUUUUGGUGGGAGGAAGGGAGCGGGGAGAUAGAUAUUUCCAUGGUGGCAGAAAAAUUACGCUCGAUGCUGCGAGAAACUAGCGCACAAGUGUGGUUCAAGCGGGGGCGGUGGACUGUAGACGACAAAGCUUCCUGCCUAAGCCAGACAAGACGGUGCGCCAAGAUAUUUUAUAUCGCAUCCCACACGAUUCAUUCUAGUAAACUAUUUGUAGUAUACAUGAUUUUUUGCAUUAUGUUUAGAAGGACAAAAUGGUGUUACGGAGGGAAAGGAUGGUGUUUGAAUUGCUGGAACAUUUAUUUACAGUGAACAUGCAACUACAUGAUUGUCGUGUUUAAAUUUGGAAUUAUUCUGGGUUCAUUUGGCAUUUUUAUGCAUUAAUUGAGUUUCUCGACAUUUAAUGUGCAUAAUUCAAAUUUGAACUAGAAGCACAUGCUCCAGUGCACCAAAGUUAUUUGAAAAAUCACAUGUGCAUAUUUGGGUGAAUUUCUAGGUCCCAUGCAAGAAAUGGGAAUGAAAUUCAAACAUCUGGGCGUCGUAGCUCGGCUGGGAACAUUGAGAAACUUGGUUUUUAAAUUCCUGAAAAUUCAAAACUCGCUUGAAAAUCAUGAAACUUGGCAUGGUGUCAUUUCAUGGCACCAACAUGUUGUUGUAAAAAAAUUGUCCGCAUUUGGACAAGUUUUUGGUAUAAGCUUCUUGCAAACCGGAGCUUCUCUCAAGAAGGCUCAUGGUUCCGAGAGGGAACGUGUCACCUCCAUGUGCGAAGCGACAUACGUACACUGCCUUCUCCCGCCUUAAUUUUUUUACACAAACAGAUUAGACCAAAUAGAAGUAUUGUGCUAAAUUUUGGAAUUAUUCCGGGUUCAUUUAGCCUUUUUUAUACAUUAAUUGAAUUUCUAGGAAUUUAAUGUGCACAAUUCAAAUUUGAACUACAAACACAUGCUCCAGUGCACCAAAGUUGGUUGAAAAAUCACAUGUGUGUCCUUGGGUGAAUUUCUAGGUCCCAUGCAAGAAAUGGUAAUGAACUUCAAACAUCUAGGCGUCGUGGCUCGGCCGGAAAGAUUGAGAAACUUGGUUUUUUAAUUCUUGUAAAUCCAAAAUAUGCCUGAAAAUCAUGAAACUUGUCAUGGUGUCUUGACAUGGCGCCAACAUGUUGUGGUAAAUUUUUUGGCCGAAUUGGGACAAGCUUUGGUAUAAGCUUCUUACAAACUGGAGCUUCUCUCAAGAAGGCUUGUGAUUUUGAGAGGGAACAUGUCAGCUCCGUGUGCGAAACUUGGUUUUAAAAUUCCCGUAAAUCCAAAACUCGCCUGAAAAUCAUGAAACUUGGCAUGGUGUCAUGACAUGGCACCAACAUGCUGUGGUAAUAUUUCUGUCUAAUUUGUUAAAGCGCACACAUUAACAAUCAACGAAGUCAUUUUGGAACAAGUGUUGUCAUGCUACAAAUCGGAAACACAAGUAUUACUGAAAACCGUGGGCGUUCUACUUACCAAUUAUGUGCCGCCACGUGUCCUCUUUUUUAUUGGCUAUGAGGUGUCGUGCGGGGUAGCUAUUUGUGUACGGGAGGAGUACGAUCAGACCCCUGCGCGUGCUCUUCGGGAGGAGAGCCCUUUGACCUCUAUCCAUCACGCACUUCCCUGCCAACAUCUCCAUUAAUGGUGCCCGAGCCCCUGUUUCAAGGCAUGGCUAUGUCUCACUGGAUUGAGAUUUAAGAGAGAAAAAUGAAAAUCUGAAAAGAAAGUUUUGCACGGAUCUUGAUGUAAGAUCCGACAGACCUAUAUAGCAUCAACUGCGACUUAUAGCAAGCAUGAUGAAUAUAAAGACGAUGACAGUGGAUAAUACUUGUCUUACAUAUUUAGGAACAUAAUUAAAAAAAGCCACAUGCGGCAACGCCCGAAAUACACAAGGGCAAAAUAAGAAGGAAGACAAUAAUCUGGCUUGCUGAUCUCUACUUUCUUGAUGCGUUGCUGUAGGCCGCGGGGUCUAGUCUCUACGGCGAGCAUUGAUGAGCUCGUUCCUAUCCUCAAUAUGCCGCUUGAGAGCAUCCAUGGAUUCCUCCACCAGCCUUUUGCGCUUCAUGCGCAGCACACCAUUCUCGUCCAUAAGUUUCUCGACGAUGACGCUGGUCCUCUUCAACAAAGCAGUGAUAUCCUCCUGCUGCUCCACACUUCCGACGAUCUUCGCCCUCAGAAGGUUGCGCUCGGCCUGGAGCUUCGAUUGCUCUCCCUUCACUACUAGGGAAAAGCCUAUACACAGAAUCUUAGCAGCAGCGCGGUUCAAAAUGGGGCGCUGCUGCUAACUAGUUGUAGCGCGUGUUACGUAAACUGGCUGCUGAUAAGGAUUUAGCAGUAGCGCGCUCGGCCAGAAACGCGCUGCUACAAAUAUCGACCGGCGGUGUUCACCUAACUCUAAGUAGCAGUAGCGCGGUCGCAAGAACAGCGCUACUGCUAAGUAUGUAGUAGUAGCGCGCUUUUUUCGAGAUCGCUGCUGGUAAGUUUCAGAUUGCCACAAUUUUUUGUCCCAGUUAGCAGUAGCGUCGUACCGCAAAGCGCGCUGCUACUAAAUACUUAGCAGCAGCGCGUUUUCUCUCCCGCGCUAGUGCUAACCCGCACCAACCCAACACUUUCCCCACCUGUCCCUCCCCUCCCCCUCCUCUUUUCCCUUCCCCCUACCUCCCCCUCCUCUCUUCCCUUCCCCCUACCUCCACCACAUGCUCCCACUCUCACUCUUCUUCUUCUUCUCAAUACUUCUCCCCCANNNNNNNNNNNNNNNNNNNNNNNNNNNNNNNNNNNNNNNNNNNNNNNNNNNNNNNNNNNNNNNNNNNNNNNNNNNNNNNNNNNNNNNNNNNNNNNNNNNNNNNNNNNNNNNNNNNNNNNNNNNNNNNNNNNNNNNNNNNNNNNNNNNNNNNNNNNNNNNNNNNNNNNNNNNNNNNNNNNNNNNNNNNNNNNNNNNNNNNNNNNNNNNNNNNNNNNNNNNNNNNNNNNNNNNNNNNNNNNNNNNNNNNNNNNUUCUCUCUCUUCAUUACUCCUACAUAACUACACCACCUCCAUUAAUGCAUCUCCUUUCUCUUUUUCCUUCCCCCUCCACUAGUUGAAGUUGUCUCCUCCCAAAUUAGGUAGCUAGGUAGAUGUAGGAUUUAGUUAAGUGACCUAUUUGCCCCCUAACUAGAUCUAUCUUUGUCAAGAAGAGCUUUGUGCACUUUUGAUCUCCCUACAACAUCAUCUCCACCGUGUGCUCGAUCUCGAUCGAGAUAGAGGUGAUGAAAAUUUUAUGCUUUUGCAAAAUGGAAAUGUGUUUAUGUGUGUGUGAUAUGUUUGUGGAAAUUGUGUGUGUGGCAUGAGUUGACGCUGCCAAAUUGUGCUUUUGAGUUGCCUAUGUUUUGCCGAAAUGUCGAUUUAUUUCCGUUUCGGCGAAUUCCGGGCAAACUCUAGAUCCAUAUAUGUCCUAUUUUUAGGGAAGGUCAUGCCAAAUUUUUUUAUGACUUUGAUGCAUGCAUGCAUUUUUAUAAUCAAUUUUUUUAUUAUUACCGUGCAGAGUUGACGAUGGUCAGUGGAACGAUGGUGGACAGGUGGUUGCGGUCAGCGGUGCAGGACAUGAAAGAAAAUAACCGGACAGAGGUUUUAUGUCUGUGUCGAAAAUGCAAAGGAAUAGUUUGGCUCGACCCCCAUGACGAUGGUCGUGUCGAAGCGCACCUGCUCAUGACUGGUUUCAUGGAUGGCUAUACUCGGUGGAUAAUUGAAGAUGAGGAUGACGAUGUUGAGGAUGCCGACGGGGCAGGCAAUGAUGACACGGGCCAAGACGAAGAGAUGAUCGAUAAUGGUGGCGGGGAAGAGGCCGGACAUGGCGGCAGAGAAGGGGCCGGACAUGGCGGAGGAGAAGGGGCCGGACAUGGCGGCGGAGAGAAUGACAUGGACUCCACGCAGCAGAGUUCAUCGGUACUAAGUUCAAUUGUGCGGGACCCUCAUGUUCAAGCAUUGCUUCGCAAGGAGACGAGUACUGAGAGAGCUGCUUCUAGAGAGGAAGCUAAGCUGGAGCAACUGGUGGUAGACUCGAACACUCCAUUGUAUGAUGGUUGCAAUCCUGAGGUGACCCGGUUGAGUUUCACGCUCCAACUCCUGAAGACGAAGGCUAAAAACAAAUGGACCGACACUAGCCUCGAUGAGCAUCUCAAGUACCUAAAGGAUGUUCUUCCCGCGGGUAAUCUAUGUCCUACUAGUGUUGAUGAGGCCAAGAAGAUCGUGUACCCUCUUGAUCUGCCACAUGUUAUAUACCAUGCAUGCAUCAACGAUUGCAUAAUUUAUCGGAAGGAGCACGCGGAAAAAACAAGCUGUCCGGUGUGCAAUGCUUCUCGAUACAAGAAGGUCGGGAAGAAAUGUCCCCAGAAAGUUGUAUGGUACUUACCGAUCACUCCCCGUCUCCAGAGGUAUUUUGUAGAUCCCAAGGAAGCAAAGCUAAUGCGCUGGCACGCGGAGAGGAAGAAGCCCGAAGAUGGAGAUGAUCCGAAGCUGAGACACAUGAAGGAUGGAAGCCAGUGGAGAGCGUUGAACAGCUUCUAUAGGUAUUUUGAAUGUGAUGCAAGGAACAUCGUGCUCGGCGCGUGUACCGAUGGCAUGAAUCCGUUUGGCAACCAGAACACCAACCAUAGUACAUGGCCCGUGUUUGUAUGGAUGUACAACCUCCCCCCUGGUUGUGCAUGAAAUCGAAGUACAUUCACAUGAGCAUGCUUAUUCAAGGGCCGAAACAACCAGGAAAUAAUAUUAAUUUGUAUCUGGGGCUACUUCAAGAGGAGUUAGACACAUUAUGGAAAACACCGGCCAAGACAUGGGACGCCAGCAAAGGUGAGUAUUUCAACAUGAGAGCCGCGCUGAUCACGACAGUGCAGGACUAUCUCGGUUACGGAUAUGUGGCAGGCCAGGUGUGCCAUGGAUAUUGCGGAUGCACGCGGUGCAUGGAUGAUACAACGUCUCAGCAGCUAACGUCAAGGAAAGAUGGCGGGUCUGGGAAAAUCGUGUACAUGGGGCAUCGAAGAUGGCUUGAACAGGACGACCCGUGGAGAAACCGUGGAGAUCUAUUCAAUGGUCACGCUGAGCAUCGAGGACCUCCACGUAAGCGGAGCGGUGCCGAAAUCGAUGAGCUGUUGAAAAACUGGAAGGAGUGCCCCACGCCGGGAAAGACGAUGAGAAAGGCGCCGGAGCCGCUGCUGAAGGUAUGGAAGACGAGGUCUGUGUUCUGGGACUUGGAGUACUGGCACAAACUCGAUACACCUCAUUGCCUUGAUCAAAUGCAUAUCUGUAAGAAUGUCCUUGAGAGCUUGCUCGCAACACUGAUGAACAUGCCGAAUAAGACCAAGGAUGGGCCGAAGGCAAGAAAAGACUUGCAAGAUUUGAAAAUCAGGGAAGUUCUGCACAUGCCGCCCCGUAAAAUGUCAGACGAGAGAGAGACGGAGAUAGAGGCACGGGAGAAGAAGGGCAAGAAAAUAAAGAAAGAGGAUUAUUGCCCCCCCCCCCUCUUGAUUCACCUUAAGUCAGGCUGAGAUCAAUCAAUUCUUUAAGUGCCUUACCGGAGUGAAAGUUAGUUCCGGUUACUGUGGCAAGAUAAGCAGAUAUCUAGACACGGACAAGAAAAGGUUCAGCGGGAUGAAGUCUCAUGACUGUCAUGUGAUGAUGACGCAGAUACUACCUGUUGCCCUUAGAGGGAUAAUGGACAAGCACGUCCGUGACACGCUUAUUGGUCUCUGCAACUUUUUCGACGUCAUCUCUCAAAAGUCGAUCAGUGUGAAGCAGCUCCAAAGGCUACAGGAAGAGAUCAUUGUGAUACUGAAUGAGCUUGAGAUGUACUUCCCGCCCGCGUUCUUCGACGUGAUGGUGCAUCUGUGUGUCCAUAUUGGGGAUGACAUAUUAGACCUGGGGCCGUCAUUCCUGCACAACAUGAUGCCGUUUGAGAGGAUGAAUGGGAUCAUCAAAGGAUUCAUUCGUAACAUGUCCCGUCUGGAUGGAAGCAUCAUCCAGGGCUAUUUGGCACAAGAGUGCAUCUCUUUCUGUGAGAAUUUUCUAUAUGGCGCAGACCAGCCGCCUGGUGUUAGUGUUGGUUUGCCCGUUAACAAGCACGAUGGGAGGCUCGAAGGAGAUGGUCACUGCCACGGUCGCAGGAAACUGCACGUGGCAUACUCAGAUCGACGCAGCGACUUUGACAGAGCAAACUUGGUAGUGCUACAACACCUAGACGAGGUAGAUCCUUUCGUGGCACUGCACAAAGAAAUUAUCGCAAAGAAGUAUCGUGACCGGGGGGUAUGCAAGACGGACGCCGAAGUUACUAGAGAGCACAACUCCACUUUCCUGCAUUGGUUCAAAGAGCAUAUUAUUGCUAAUCCCCUGGAGGAGGGCUCCAAGGACGGAUUGCUCAUAUACGCCUUAGCACAUGGCCCCUCGCCCAACCUCGUAACCUAUCAAGCAUAUGAUAUCAACGGAUACAUGUUCUACACGGAGGCAAAAGAUAUGGACAGUGAUGAUCAGAACUCAGGGGUGACGGUGGAAUGCAUGACCGGCAGCGACAACGGCACAACUGAACGAUUUUAUGGAAGGGUUGAGGAGAUCUGGGAGCUUGACUACUCUGGACUGCACAACACGAUGAUGUUCUGUGUCAGAUGGGCUAAGAAUGUCGAAAGAGAAAGCCGGAUGUUCACUACCAUGACUAUACCCGACGCCAAGAGCGCUACCGUGAACGCUAUCGCAAAAAAAUGAGCCAUGGGUACACGCUAAGCACGUGACACAAUGCUUCUUCAUAACUGACCCGCGCAAUCCCAGUCGUGUUGUCGCGAGGAGAGGCAAAAGGAACAUCAUUGGAAUGGAUGGAGUCGCCAACAAGGAAGACUAUGAUCAGUACGGCAACCCAAUGAAGGAAGAUGACGAUGAUGAUGAAGUAUACGUCAAAAGAAGAAUCAAUACUACAUUACCUAAGAAAAAUCGUACUCCAAGGAAAAGGCAAAGUCACAAUGAGGGGCUCGAUUAUUCUUCAACGAACAAGAAGGGAAAGAAGCUGACUCAAAAACGAAAACGUCAGCACUGAGGAAACGUAUGUUAUGGGUCCAAUGAUGUGUAAUAUAUAUAUGUUCCUAUUUUGUAUACACACUUAGCCAUUAUUAUGCAUGGCUUCAAUGAUGUGUAAUAUAUAUGUUCCUAUUUUGCAUACAUAUUUAACCGUCAAAUGAUGCAAUAUAUAUCGCCCUCCCUUCGUUCACUACCCUCGGGAAAUAAAAGUGGGAUAAAUUUAAAGGAAAAGAAAAAGGAAAACUGGCAGUAGCAACGGUAGUAGCAGCGCGUUUCUCCUAAACCGCUGCAGCUAGAGAUCUUACUAGUAGCGCAUUUCUCCUAAACCGCUGCCGCUACAGAUCUUAGUAGUAGCGUGUUUCUCCUAAACCGCUGCAGCUACUGAAUUUAGUAGCAGCGCGUUCUGACAUAAUGCGCUACUACUACGUCCACUUAACCCAAAAUUCUCACUCGCCCUGCUUCAUCCCACCAUUUCCCCCCAAAUACCCACUCUCUCUCCCCCGUCGCUCCGCCGCGCCCGAACCGGCGCCGGCGCUAGCCCCGGCGCUCUCCCCCGUCCCGGCCCUCGACCCGACCCCAGCGUCGGCACUAGCCCCCGACCAUGCCGCUCGCCCCCGACCCAGCCGCUCGCCCCCGACUCCGGCGCCGGCGCUUGCCCCCGACCCGUCGGCCCUCGCCUCCCUCCUCUCCCCUGCCGGCUGUCGUCGGGCCUGCCUCCUCGCCCCUGCACUCUCUGUAAACCCCCCCCUCUCUGCUAGGGUUGUUCAUGUUAAUUAAUUAGGUUAUCUAUUUAGUUAUGAAUGUAGCUAGGUUUCAAAAUUGGCUGAAUUUAUAUGCAAAUUUGAACUGGACAUGUGAUAUGUGCAUAUGUCAUGUUUUGGACAUGUCAUGUUUGGAAAAUGAUCCGUGUGGCCUAUGUUACGCCAGAAUGUUGAUUCAUUUCUGUUUCGGUGAAUUUCAGGCGCUCUAUAUGUCCAUUUUUUAGCAAAGGUCAUGCCGAAAUUUCCCGUGAAUAAAGGCAUGAUUUGUGCUACAUAGUUGGCAUAUCGAGUGCUGGCACAUAGAUUUCUUUUUAUGUCAUUUCUCAUCUAUUCAUACUUUUAGAAAUAAAUGAGGCCACUGUCACGCCCAAUAUGUGACCCUAUCCAAAAGGAACUCCAAGGUCCCACCAAGGAUAGACCCGCAUAUUGAAACGCUUUUGCAAGGUGGAUAUCAUUACAUCAACAUUACGUAAUGGAUGGGGAUACAUCCAAGAGGCAUACAAUGCCACAUGAAUACAACAAUACAUCAAACAUAAGACCAACAUCCGGCUACGGAUGAAACACAAACAAAAGCUCAAACGACAUCCACCCUGCUAGCCCAGGCUGCCGACCUGGAACCUAUCCCCUGAUCGAAGAAGCAGAAGAAGAACUCCAAACAAGCAAACAUCGCUCUCGCGUCAUGAUCAUCGCAUAACCUGUACCUGCAACUGUUGUUGUAGUAAUCUGUGAGCCACGAGGACUCAGCAAUCCCAUUACCAUGGGUAUCAAGACUAGCAAAGCUUAAUGGGAAAGGAAGGGGUAAAGUGGUGAGGUUGCAGCAGCGACUAAGCAUGAUAUGGUGGCUAACAUACGCAAAUGAGAGCGAGAAGAGAAGCAAAGGAACGUUCGUCAACUAGCAAUGAUCAAGAGGUGAUCCUGAACACCUACUUACGUCAAACAUAACCCAGAAACCGUGUUCACUUCCCGGACUCCACCGAGAAGAGACCAUCACGGCUACACACUUGGUUGAUGCAUUUUAAUUCGGAUCUGGUGUCAAGUUAUCUACAACCGAACAUUAACAAAUUCCCAUCUGCCACAUAACCGCGGGCACGGCUCUCGAAAGUUUAUACCCUGCAGGGGUGUCCCAACUUAGCCCAUGACAAGCUCUCGCGAUCAAUGAAGGAAUAGACCUUCUCCCAGGAAGACCCGAUCAGUCUCGGAAUCCAGGUUUACAAGACAUUUCGACAAUGGUAAAACAAGACCAGCAAAGCCUCCCGGCGUGCCGACAUCCUGAUAGUAGCCGCGCGUAUCUCGUCUUAGGCCACGACCGGAUGAGCACUACGUGCAACUAGAACCAGACCUCAAGUUUCCCCGAGGUGGCGCUGCAUGUGGCUCUAGUUUGGACCAACACUUAGACAAGCAUUGUCCCGGGGGGCUAAAAUAAAGAUGACCCUUGGGUUAAUUACUCCCAAGGGAAAAGGUAGGUGGUGGUGAGGCAAAUGGUAAAACCAAUGUUGGGCCUUGCUGGAGGAGUUUUAUUCAAAGCGAACUGUCAGGGGGGUCCCAUAAAUCACCCGAACGCGUUAGGAACGCAAAAUCCGGGAACAUAACACUGGCAUGACGGAAACUAGGGCGGCAAGAGUGGAACAAAACACCAGGCAUAAGGCCGAGCCUUCCAUCCUUUACCAAAUAUAUAGAUGCAUUAAUAAUAUAAGAGAUAUUGUGAUAUCCCAACAUAACCCUGUCCACCAUGGAGCAAUCUUCAACUUCACCUGCAACUAACAAUGUUAUAAGAGGGGCUGAGCAAAAGCGGUAAUAUAGCCAAGCAACGGUUUGCUAGGAAUGGUGUCAAAGGUUAGAGGUUCAUGGCAAUUUGGGAGGCUUGACGAGCAAAUGAUAGGUAACGCAGCAAAGCGAUAGAACGAAGCAACUAGCAUAGCAAUGAUAGUAGUGUGAUCCAGGGUAGCGGUCACCUUGCCUGAAAUCCCGCAAGGAAGAAGAACGAGUCCAUGAAUAAGAUGAAGCCACGAAGACGAACCAAGCGUAGACGAACGAAUCCUCACGAUCGCAACGGAACGGGAACUAUCGAGAAGAAGCACACAACAUAGUAAACACACCACACAUGACAAGACAUGAUGCACAACAAGCAUGAUGCAUGAGAAAGCUAGAUGAGGAUACUCAUGGAAAGAGAUGAUGCAAACAAGAACAACACAUCAAAGCAAGUUUAAAUGAGGCCGGGAACAACAUAUAACAAAUCCGGUAAGUCCUCAUAUGCAAAUUUCGAAAUUGGUCCAGAUCUGAAUAAACAUUAUAUUCAAGUUUUUAAACAGCAAGUUAAGAUCACCAAGAUGACCUACACGAAAUUCUAGUCAAGUUACAUAUAAAGUUCAUUAGAUUCGGAGCUUCGGCCUAGAAGAUACGAGCAAAACAAGUUAAACAUGACAUUGAUGCAAAAUGCAUACAAACAUCAAGCAAACACCUCAAAACAAGGAUGCAACAUGCUAAUAUGAAGCUACAUGCAAAAUCAAGCAAGUUUCAUAUAGAGCACACUCAAAACGGAGCAACGGUUCAACACAUACACUCUAUAGAAGUCAUAACAACAAUCUGUCCAAAACAGCAACUAGGCAUCUUGCAAGCAUCAAAACAAUAUGCUACAACACCCCAACAUAAGAACAAAAGGCAUGCGCAUGAAGUACAGGUAAAGCAUAACAAAACAUGAACACUGAGCUAUCUCCAGAAAAGACUAGAACAUGCUCAAAAUGACAUGCUAAGAUUUCAAAUAAUAACAGUUUCAGACUUUAGCAGAAAUAACAUCAGGUUGCAAUGUUUAGAGCUAUCAAACAGCAUGAUAAAGGAACUUAUCAUGGAAAACAAAGGCAUGGCAUGAUACUACUAAAUGCAUAGAACAAGAGUCCCUUACUAACCAUGAGCCAAAAAGGAACAGAAAAUAUGAUGGCACACAUGUAAACAUGGCAAGUUAUAUGACACAUUCAAACAUGGCAGGAACAACAAUAAGUAGGCAUGUUGGUGAGCUUCAACCACUCACCACAGAGCAAUACAUGGCAUAGCAAGGCAACCAACAGUAAGAAGACAUGUUUUUCAAGCUAUACAUGGCAAUAGCAAGGUCAUAGGGUUCAUGGAUCACUAGGAAAACACAUGGAAACAACUGAACAUAAUGUAAACAGGCUGACAGCAACAUUAUGAAGCAACUUUAGAGCAAGAUAACAACAUGUUCCAGCAGCUAUAAUUGCAACCAAGGGCAUGAAUGGAUAGAGCAAGACAUGUAUAUCAAAACAUGUUUAUAGAGCAUCUCCAGAUUAUGCAUAGAAUGAUUACUAGAAGCAUGUUAACAUAGCAACAAACUAUAACAGAAUCUGUCUAGCAAAACAGCAACAUCAUGUACACUACUUAACAAGCUCGAUUCACUCACCACAAGUCAUUGCAUGAAAAUAUAAGCAUAGCAUCAUCAAGAAGGCAUGUUUGUGUAGCCAACCAAGGCAAGAACAAGUCCAUGGCGUGCAAGGAUGAACUAUAGCAACCUUGGCUAAAUUGAAUAACAAGUAAACAAUCUGCCAGAAAACAUUUUGAAGCAAAAGUAGAGCACUCAAAUGACAUGCUAGGCUACUCCAUAAUUGCAAACAAGGGCAUGAAUGGAUAGAAAAUGACCAUAUGUUCAAAACACCCUUACUGAAGUAUCUCAAAAUAUGCAUGGAUCUCUCUGUAGCAUCAAGUUUACUUGGCAUCAAAAUAACAGCAGAACAGGGACUAAAAUCAGCAAUAUCACGAAGCCUAGUUUUCAUGCUUGUGCUAGUCACCACAUUGAUCAAAAAAAUACAUGGCAUACACCCCUGGAAAGAUGGCAUGGCAUAGAUCAAAACACAUGUAGACAUCAACCUCAUAGGAUGCACACAUCAAUCAUGGCAAAAAUGACAAAUGAGCAAGUUAUAACAGUUUCAGCAGAUUAACAUCAACAUGCACUCUUCCAACAUCAUUUCGGGCCUCAAGAUGAGCUCAAAUAAAAAUGAUGCAAUGGAAUGAAAUGAAGCACUCGUUGAGAAGAACAAUUUUGACAUAUUACACGCACGAAACGGAGAUACGGAUGCAGAGAUACAAUGCGAUGAACCUGCUAUGAUUAUGUCAAAAAUUCUCAGGGACUUAGUAGAAUUUUAGACCUCGCGGGAAAACUGGACAGAGGGAUCCGGGGCGCCGUUUGGAUGGCCGGGCGGGUGGAUCACAUCCCACCCGCCGGAUCCGGCGAUGAGGCGGCCGGAGACGGUGGCCGGAGGGCGGGGCGGCGCCGGAGGAGGCCGGGGACGGCGGCGCGGAGCCGGGGCGNNNNNNNNNNNNNNNNNNNNNNNNNNNNNNNNNNNNNNNNNNNNNNNNNNNNNNNNNNNNNNNNNNNNNNNNNNNNNNNNNNNNNNNNNNNNNNNNNNNNNNNNNNNNNNNNNNNNNNNNNNNNNNNNNNNNNNNNNNNNNNNNNNNNNNNNNNNNNNNNNNNNNNNNNNNNNNNNNNNNNNNNNNNNNNNNNNNNNNNNNNNNNNNNNNNNNNNNNNNNNNNNNNNNNNNNNNNNNNNNNNNNNNNNNNNNNNNNNNGGCGGCGUGCCACUGGCCCGGGGCGGCGGCGGAGAGGUGUCCGGCCGGGUGCGGACAUGUCCGGGCGCGGCGGGGGCGAUUGGAUCUAGGGUUUGCACCGCAAAAAUUCGGGGAGUGUCACAUAUUUAUAGGUAGAGGGAGCUAGGAGAGUCCAAAUGAGGUGUGGUUUUCGGGCACGCGAUCGUUAUCGAACGACCGAGAGCAUGGAUGGGAGUUAGAUGGGUUUUGGGCCACUUUGGAAGGGGUGUUGGGCUGCAACAAAAGAGGCCUUUACGGUUACCCGGUUAACCGUUGGAGUAUCAAACGACCUCGAAAUGGCACGAAACUUGACAGGCGGUCUACCGGUGCUAUACCUAGGCCGCUUGGAAAACCUCGGGCCAUUCCGAGAACGUUUAACACCCGCACAAGAGAAGAGGUCAAAAGGGACCGCCGGAUGACAUAGGAGCGCCGGAUUGCAAAACGGACAACGGGGAAAAAGUUCGGAUGCAUGAGACGAACACGUAUGCAAAAUGAGAUGCACAUGAUGACAUGAUAAAAUGCAACACGCAAGCAAAUGACAUGGCAACAAUGACGAAUAACUGGCAGACACUUGGCACAGCGGAUCCGGGGCGUUACAACACUCCUCCACUAACAAGAGAUCUCGUCCCGAGAUCUUAGGACCGAGACGGAAGGGAAAAAGGGAUGAGGUGAAACAAGAACUCAAGAGAAGAAGCAAAGAAUAGAGAGCAUACGAGAAGAAGAGAGGAACGAUGAGAAUGACGAGAAACACCACCAAAAUUACUGAGAUACUCCGGGAGAAUGAAGAAGGUUGAGUCAACAAUGAAAAGAAUUUGAAAGCAAUCUUGGAGAAGGCAUGUGACUGAUGAAAUUCAUUCUUACGUCACACUUGAAAAGAAUUAUGAAUGCUCCGGGGGAAUUAGAAGACUCAGGUAAGAUCCUAGGAAAAGACCUGUGGGUUAGGGCCCACUGAAGAGAUAACACCGUUGGGAAGGGAUGUUGAACAGAUAGAUGAUGCACCGGAGCAAUUGAAAUAUUUGAAUGAGGUGGAAACCUCGAAUUAAUUGGAACACAGAUGAAUCUCCUGAGAUAUCUUGAGCACUCCGGAAAGAUAAACUGGCGAGAGGCGAACGAGCGAGGAAAACACUUCGAGGAAAAGAAUAUGAUCAACCCGAAAAACUUGAAUUGAGUCCACCGGAGAAGAAAAGAGAUGAAGAAUGUCCACAGAGACGAGAAUUCACCGGUUGAGAUAAUUGAGGGAAGACUGAAGAGGCUCCGAGCGAAUGAAAUAGAUGGUCGAGAGAGAGUCAGACUCCGGGAAGAAGAGGGUGGGAGGGCGGGAAAAACACAGGCAACUGGAAGGGAGAACCAACGAAUAUCUUGAAGAGAAAACACCGGUUGGAAUAAUUGAGGAAAGAAAGCAAAGACUUCGCACGAGUAGGAAGGAUACUCGAUUACGGACUCCGGAUUCGAGAAGAAGAAAGGAGGGCGGGUGGGAAAAAACAAGGACAACUUCGGACAGGGAAACAACAACGAUGUCGGAGGAAGAACUGAGGAUUGAACUCCCGAAAGACAAAGAGGUUCGAGUCGACUUGACGAGAGAUGCACCGGACAAAAGAGGAUGGACAACGAACGAAAACUAACCGCGUGAUCCUAAAGAAAAAUUUGAAGGGAAGAGGGGUAGUUCAAAACACCUACGUCAAGAUUCCUCACCAGAGAGACGAAGGGGCUGAGGAGUAAAAAGAAUUCCUACUCUCCGAUAUAACUAGACUCCAAAAACAGUUUUCUUCUAGACUCAACAACGACCAAACUACACGAUCAAUCAAGGGGGGGCUCCUAGGGUCGGUCGAGGCUCUGAUACCAACUUGUCACGCCCAAUAUGCGACCCUAUCCAAAAGGAACUUGAAGGUCCCACCAAGGAUAGACCCGCAUAUUGAAACGCUUUUGCAAGGUGGAUAUCAUUACAUCAACAUUACAUAAUGGAUGGGGAUACAUCCAAGAGGUAUACAAUGCCACAUGAAUACAACAAUACAUCAAACAUAAGACCAACAUCCGGCUACGGAUGAAACACAAACAGAAGCUCAAAUGACAUCCACCCUGCUAGCCCAGGCUGCCGACCUGGAACCCAUCCCCUGAUCGAAGAAGCAGAAGAAGAACUCCAAACAAGCAAACAUCGCUCUCGCGUCAUGAUCAUCGCAUAACCUGUACCUGCAACUGUUGUUGUAGUAAUCUGUGAGCCACGAGGACUCAGCAAUCCCAUUACCAUGGGUAUCAAGACUAGCAAAGCUUAAUGGGAAAGGAAGGGGUUAAGUGGUGAGGUUGCAGCAGCGACUAAGCAUGAUAUGGUGGCUAACAUACGCAAAUGAGAGCGAGAAGAGAAGCAAAGGAACGGUCGUCAACUAGCAAUGAUCAAGAGGUGAUCCUGAACACCUACUUACGUCAAACAUAACCCAGAAACCGUGUUCACUUCCCCGACUCCGCCGAGAAGAGACCAUCACGGCUACACACUCGGUUGAUGCAUUUUAAUUCGGAUCUGGUGUCAAGUUAUCUACAACCGGACAUUAACAAAUUCCCAUCUGCCACAUAACCGCGGGCACGGCUCUCGAAAGUUUAUACCCUGCAGGGGUGUCCCAACUUAGCCCAUGACAAGCUCUCGCGAUCAACGAAGGAAUAGACCUUCUCCCAGGAAGACCCGAUCAGUCUCGGAAUCCCGGUUUACAAGACAUUUCAACAAUGGUAAAACAAGACCAGCAAAGCCUCCCGGCGUGCCGACAUCCUGAUAGUAGCCGCGCGUAUCUCGUCUCAGGCCACGACCGGAUGAGCACUACGUACAACUAGAACCAGACCUCAAGUUUCACCGAGGUGGCGCUGCAAGUGGCUCUAGUUUGGACCAACAAUUAGACAAGCAUUGGCCCAGGGGGCUAAAAUAAAGAUGACCCUUGGGUUAAUUACUCCCAAGGGAAAAGGUAGGUGGUGGUGAGGCAAAUGGUAAAACCAAUGUUGGGCCUUGCUGGAGGAGUUUUAUUCAAAGGGAACUGUCAGCGGGGUCCCAUAAAUCACCCGAACGCGUUAGGAAUGCAAAACACGGGAACAUAACACCGGCAUGACGGAAACUAGGGCGGCAGGAGUGGAACAAAACACCAGGCAUAAGGCCGAGCCUUCCACCCUUUACCAAAUAUAUAGAUGCAUUAAUAAUAUAAGAGAUAUUGUGAUAUCCCAACAUAACCCUGUCCACCAUGGAGCAAUCUUCAACUUCACCUGCAACUAACAACGCUAUAAGAGGGGCUGAGCAAAAGUGGUAACAUAGCCAAGCAACGGUUUGCUAGGAAUGGUGUCAAAGGUUAGAGGUUCAUGGCAAUUUGGGAGGCUUGACGAGCAAAUGAUAGGUAACGCAGCAAAGCGAUAGAACAAAGCAACUAGCAUAGCAAUGAUAGUAGUGAGAUCCAGGGUAGCGGUCAUCUUGCCUGAAAUCCCACAAGGAAGAAGAACGAGUCCAUGAAGAAGAUGAAGCCACGAAGACGAACCAAGCGUAGACGAACGAAUCCUCACGAUCGCAACGGAACGGGAACUAUCGAGAAGAAGCACACAACAUAGUAAACACACCACACAUGACAAGGCAUGAUGCACAACAAGCAUGAUGCAUGAGAAAGCUAGAUGAGGCUACUCAUGGCAAGAGAUGAUGCAAACAAGAACAACACAUCAAAGCAAGUUUAAAUGAGGCCGGGAACAACAUAUAACAAAUCCGGUAAGUCCUCAUAUGCAAAUUUCGAAAUUGGUCCAGAUCUGAAUAAACAUUAUGUUCAAGUUUUUAAACAGCAAGUUAAGAUCACCAAGAUGAUCUAUACGAAAUUCUAGUCAAGUUACAUAUAAAGUUCAUUAGAUUCGGCGCUUCGGCCUAGAAGAUAAGAGCAAAACAAGUUAAACAUGGCAUUGAUGCAAAAUGCAUACAAACAUCAAGCAAACACCUCAAAACAAGGAUGCAACAUGGUAAUAUGAAGCUACAUGCAAAAUCAAGCAAGUUUCAUAUAGAGCACACUCAAAACGGAGCAACGGUUCAACACAUACACUCUAUACAAGUCAUAACAACAAUCUGUCCAAAACAGCAACUAGGCAUCUUGCGAGCAUCAAAACAAUAUGCUACAGCACCCCGACAUAAGAACAAAAGGCAUGCGCAUGAAGUACAGGUAAAGCAUAACAAAACAUGAACACUGAGCUAUCUCCAGAAAAGACUAGAACAUGCUCAAAAUGACAUGGUAAGAUUGCAAAUAAUAACAGUUUCAGACUUUAGCAGAAAUAACAUCAGGUUGCAAUGUUUAGAGCUAUCAAACAGCAUGUUAAAGGAACUUAUCAUGGCAAACAAAGGCAUGGCAUGAUACUACUAAAUGCAUAGAACAAGAGUCCCUUACUGUCCAUGAGCCAAAAAGGCACAGAAAAUAUGAUGGCACACAUGUAAACAUGGCAAGUUAUAUGACAGAUUCAAACAUGGCAGGAACAACAAUAAGUAGGCAUGUUGGUGAGCUUGAACCACUUACCACAGAGCAAUACAUGGCAUAGCAAGGCAACCAACAGUAAGAAGACAUGUUUGUGAAGCUAUACAUGGCAAUAUCAAGGUCAUAGGGUUCAUGGAUCGCUAGGAAAACACAUGGAAACAACUGAACUUAAUGUAAACAGGCUGACAGCAACAUUAUGAAGUAACUUUAGAGCAAGAUAACAACAUGUUCCAGGAGGCUAUAAUUGCAACCAAGGGCAUGAAUGUAUAGAGCGAGACAUUUAGAUCAAAGCAUGUUUAUAGAGCAUCUCCAGAUUAUGCAUAGAAUGAUUACUAGAAGCAUGUUAACAUAGCAACAAACUAUAACAGAAUCUGUCUAGCAAAACAUCAACAUCAUGUACACUACUUAACAAGCUCGAUUCACUCACCACAAGUCAUUGCAUGACAAUAUAAGCAUAGCAUCAUCAAGAAGGCAUGUUUUUGUAGCCAACCAAGGCAAGAACAAGUCCAUAGCGUGCAAGGAUGAACUAUAGCAACCUUGGCUAAAUUGAAUAACAAGUAAACAAUCUGCCAGGAAACAUUUUGAAGCAAAAGUAGAGCACUCAAAUGACAUGCUAGGCUACUCCAUAAUUGCAAACAAGGGCAUGAAUGGAUAGACAAUAACCAUAUGUUCAAAACACCCUUACUGAAGUAUCUCAAAAUAUGCAUGGAUCCCUCUGUAGCAUCAAGCUUACAUGGCAUCAAAAUAAUAGCAGAACAGGGACUAAAAUCAGCAAUAUCACGAAGCCUAGUUUGCAUGCUUGUGCUAGUCACCACAUUGAUCAAAAAAAUACAUGGCAUACACCCCUGGAAAGAUGGCAUGGCAUAGAUCAAAACACAUGUAGACAUCAACCACAUAGGAUGCACACAUCAAUCAUGGCAAAAAUGACAAAUGAGCAAGUUAUAAAAGUUUCAGCAGAUUAACAUCAACAUGCACUCUUCCAACAGCAUUUCGGGCAUCAAGAUGAGCUCAAAUGAAAAUGAUGCAAUGGAAUGAAAUGAAGUACUCGUUGAGGAGAACAAUCUGACGUAUUACACGCACGAACCGGAGCUACGGAUGCAGAGAUACAAUGCGCUGAACAUGCUAUGAUUAUGUCAAAAAUUCUCAGGGACUUAGUAGAAUUUUAGACCUCGCGGGAAAACUGGACAGAGGGAUCCGGGGCGCCGUUUGGAUGGCCGGGCGGGUGGAUCUCAUCCCACCCGCCGGAUCCGGCGAUGAGGCGGCCGAAGACGGUGGCCGGAGGGCGGGGCGGCGCCGGAGGAGGCCGGGGACGGCGUCGCGGAGCCGGGGCGGCGCCGGUCCGGGCGNNNNNNNNNNNNNNNNNNNNNNNNNNNNNNNNNNNNNNNNNNNNNNNNNNNNNNNNNNNNNNNNNNNNNNNNNNNNNNNNNNNNNNNNNNNNNNNNNNNNNNNNNNNNNNNNNNNNNNNNNNNNNNNNNNNNNNNNNNNNNNNNNNNNNNNNNNNNNNNNNNNNNNNNNNNNNNNNNNNNNNNNNNNNNNNNNNNNNNNNNNNNNNNNNNNNNNNNNNNNNNNNNNNNNNNNNNNNNNNNNNNNNNNNNNNNNNNNNNNNNNNNNNNNNNNNNNNNNNNNNNNNNNNNNNNNNNNNNNNNNNNNNNNNNNNNNNNNNNNNNNNNNNNNNNNNNNNNNNNNNNNNNNNNNNNNNNNNNNNNNNNNNNNNNNNNNNNNNNNNNNNNNNNNNNNNNNNNNNNNNNNNNNNNNNNNNNNNNNNNNNNNNNNNNNNNNNNNNNNNNNNNNNNNNNNNNNNNNNNNNNNNNNNNNNNNNNNNNNNNNNNNNNNNNGGGGCCACGUGGCGGCGUGCCACUGGCCCGGGGCGGCGGCGGAGAGGUGUCCGGCCGGGUGCGGACAUGUCCGGGCGCGGCGGGGGCGAUUGGAUCUAGGGUUUGCACCGCAAAAAUUCGGGGAGGGUCACAUAUUUAUAGGUAGAGGGAGCUAGGAGAGUCCAAAUGAGGUGUGGUUUUCGGCCACGCGAUCGUGAUCGAACGACCGAGAGCAUGGAGGGGAGUUAGAUGGGUUUUGGGACACUUUGGAAGGGGUGUUGGGCUGCAACAAAAGAGGCCUUUACGGUUACCCGGUUAACCGUUGGAGUAUCAAACGACCUCCAAAUGGCACGAAACUUGACAGGCGGUCUACCGGUGCUAUACCAAGGCCGCUUGGCAAACCUCGGGCCAUUCCGAGAAUGUUUAACACCCGCACAAGAGAAGAGGUCAAAAGGGACCGCCGGAUGACAUAGGAGCGCCGGAUUGCAAAACGGACAACGGGGAAAAAGCUCGGAUGCAUGAGACGAACACGUAUGCAAAAUGAGAUGCACAUGAUGACAUGAUAAAAUGCAACACGCAAGCAAAUGACAUGGCAACAAUGACGAAUAACUGGCAGACACUUGGCGCAUCAGAUCCGGGGCGUUACAGCCACUUAAUCAUAGGAAACAUGUCGAACAACGAAGAAACUGGGCCUUCUGACCAAGAUGCAGACGAGAUGGAUUAUGAGGGUGAACAAGAGUACCUCGACUAUUUGACUGCUAAGCAAGGUUUGCAGGUCGGCCUCGAUGAUGGUACUAACGCCGACAUCGACACCACGGUGCCGGCACCGAUGGCGGCACCGAGACCGGUGGGGAAGGUACCGGCGGGGAAGGUACCGGCCCCGAUGCCGAUACCGAAAAGAGGAAGCAUAAGAAGCAGAGGAUACGAAACCCUAACAAACUAGGGAUUUGACGACUUGUGAUCACAAAGAUGGCACCUGGCAAGUUUGAGCCGUUAGAGCCGGAAGAACCUCGCAAGUGCUAUGGGAACCAAGUAGGAUGCAUCCUACGGGAAUGCGCGAGCAUCAACGACGAUGACUUAAGGAGUAAAGAACAUUUGACGCAGUUGCUCCUAAUGAAGUUGCACAAGAGAUUCAAGUUCCCCGACCGUGAUGAUAACAUAGAACAACCGUGGGAUGAUCCGAAGAUGAAAAAGAUUAACAAUCACGCCAUGGGCAUGUUCAGCAAUGAUUUGGCCUCCUAGAAAGGGAGGGUGAAACAAGCUAUUGAGGCUGAUGAACCCCUGUCCAAGAUUCUAGAGGAAAAUCCGACACUUACGGAAGAGGAGUUCGAAAAAUUCAAGGACACUUGCGCUACCAAGGCAGCCAAGGCUAAGGCUGCAAAAUUCAAAAGCCUUCAGCAAAGGAACAUGGGGAAGCAUUGCCUCGGAAGCAGUGGCUACCUCGGUAAAAGGCCCAUAUGGGAUAAGGAGGACGCGGAACGUGAAGCCGCGGGUCUCCCAGACCCCUUCGCGAAGUUCACCAACCCCUUGGAGCAUGACUUCAUCAGGGCCCGCUACAAGUGGGACAAGGAGAAAAAGGUUUUUUACAUGGACAAGAUCACGAGGAAAUUGAUUAGACUACUGGAGAAGCAACACCGGCUUGCAGCCGAAAGCCCUACUUCUCCGAUGAGGCCCAAGUGGGACACCCCUCUCAACCGGGCCUUGAACGAACUUAAGGGACUCCCGUUGGACCAGCGGCCCCAAUAUGGUCGUGUGCACGGCGCUGGAGACGGCGCCACGUGGAAGGUGUUUUACAACAACGGCCCGGAGGCCAAGAAGCAGAAAAAGAAGUUUAGUCAGGCGGACAUCGAUGCAAAGGUGAAGCUUGCGGUCGAGAAAAAAGCAGCUGAGGACGCGAAAAAAGCAGCCAAGGACAAAUAUGAGUUGCUACAGCAGGCAGUCAGUGCAGCUGUAACUGCCUGCAGAAAUGAUUUCGCUACUAACUUGGUUCCAGUUAUCAUCAACUGGGCAAAGGAAAAUCCGUACAAGACGGUACAUGAUUUCCCGAUGCCCAGUUUCGUUGCGAGCAACUCCAUGAACAACAACACCAUCGCACCAUCACUUGCUCAAGCAACCGGGCCUCCUCUCGCAGCCGCUCCCGCUCAUAGCAGCCCGUCCUCAGUCUCAGGCACGCUAGGUGGGCGUUCGUCUUUGGCUGAGCUCGACGCCGUCACGGUAAUUACAUGUCGCACCAACAUAUAUAUAUAUAGAUAAUAUUCCAUUUUUGUUGCCUUUCGGUUGUUUUACGCCACAGACAUAUGUGUUUGCAGGCGAAAGAAACCCCGUGCACCAUACUCUACUUGAUCAAAGGCCAGAAGGUGGACGUGGGAAUGGGGAUGAUAAUGGACCCCUCACGCACGUUCCACAACCAGCCGAUCCCCGCUGGGCACUUCAGGGUUAGCUUGACCAGUGUGAAAUCGGGGCACGAGGAUUUGCCUCCUCCAGUACAGCAUGUGAGAGCGGACGACGAGACCCCUCUGCGGAUUGGACGCUGCAAGGGUUGGGUGCUGCGAUGGCCGAAGAAUCUUAUUCGUCUGGAGCCGGCCGAGAGCACACCAAUAACUACCACACAUCAACAAGCAUGUGCGGAGACCACCACCCCGCCUACGCAAUUACCAGCUCCUGUAGUGCCGGGUGAGAGCGGCAGACGACAUGAUGAAGGGGGUGCAAUAGUACUGGCUGAUGUAAUUUCUCCUGUAGAACAGGGAAUGGAUGAUGAGACGGAGGUCGACCCUAUGGAUUACCUCAAUACAAACGCGUAUGACUGUGACAUAGAUAUGAUGAGUCAACCAUAUGACGAAUCGGGCUAUCAACUUGCUAAUGAGGAUAUGGAUGAUAUGCCCGGGCAGGGUCGUACCAUGGAUUGCAAAAAGUCUCUCUUCAUGAAAUCCUCACAGGACACGCCUAAAGAUGCCGCCUCAACACAGGCUCAACUAGCCUGGCGCGAGGGUCGUACAGUACUUAGCCCGGGAACACUUGGGCAGGGUUUAAGGAAGGGUCUGGAAGGUGUGCCCAAGAAAAAGGAGAGGAAGAGAUCGGGGAAGGUAACUGCCUCCAAACAAGCCAGAGCACACAGUAGACAGACGAUGCAUUCUGAAGAGCAUGUACGCGUGAAAGGUGCAGUCAUGUUCCAUCUCACGGGCGAGCCGAUGCUACCGCCGAAACCGCUGGAGGCACUAUCAGGGGAUCUCAGGAGACUGCACGACCAUGUGCUGUCGACUGAGAAAAGCCUACUAGCCUCAAAGGAUCCAGGAUAUCCGACAUACGCGGCUCGUGUGCCUGAGGGGAAGUGCUACGUCGACACAUGGCCCGCGGAGGUGUUCUUCCUGCGGUUUGACCAUAUCUUUGAGAUAUUUCUAAUAAGGCGGCUUGAUUUUACUAUCGUCCGCCUUUUUGCGCUACAUAUGAGCUCCGUCAUGAAGAGUGAAGAAGUCUCGCAAAUCUGUGUGGCGGAUCCGUACUACAUGCACGAGUCUUUCUUGAGUCUCGGCGACUUUGAGCGUGAAACUGCUAGGGAGUACCUCCAAAACUUCAUGGUACAGAAUAAGGACCGGGAAAUUGUCCUCGUGCCUUAUCAUCCAAAGUAAGUCAGUUCUGGACAACCCUUUCGUACAUUUCAAUCAUUCCUUCUCUCUCAUAUGGGGAAUAAUUUGAGGUGUCUUUUCCCCGCAGCAACGGGCGCGCCGUCCUUAUCGUUCUUUACCCGCAAGUGUCCCACGCCGUGUAUUUUGACCCUUCCAGAGACUAUGAGAAAAAGGAUUACACCCACAUAAUGAAUAUUCUAGAUGAUGCUCUCCAAGGCUUCAGCUUUAUAGGUGGCCACGUGCAUAUCAAGAAACAAAGGAACAAGAAGAUGGGUUUCGCGCAUAAAACUAACUUCUCCUGCAUCCAUGUCCUAAAACCAAGCAAGAAGGAUGGAUUCUACAUCGUCCAUCUCAUGAUUCAGUUCAACACGGAUCACCAAAAACUUCGCAUUAACAGCAGAAAUGAUGAUCAUAUCCACAAGUGGCUAGAAUCUCAUGGAGAAGAGAAUUACAAACUUAGAGAUGACUUCUUUCGCAUCCAAAGUGACAUUGCGACGAUCAUCAUGAAAGAAGUCGUCGAUGAGAAGGGGAUGUUCCACCACGGCCCUAUAUCGCGAGCUGACGUCCGAACUCGCAUGGGCAUGCAACGUCUAGACCUCACGUCGUUCAAGAAGCUAGGGUUCGUCCUCGAUGAUAUGGAAGGAUGGAACUUCUAGUGAUUUAUGAUGCUGAUGAUGAUGAUAUGUGUCGGUUGAACUUGUAUACUUUUUGUAGCGAUGAAACUUUGUGAUGUCCAUGGUCCCUGCCGAACUUGCGUACGCUACUUUGUUAGUUUGCAUACGAUGACCUGCGUACCUCUAGUUAAUUAAUUUGCAUACUGUAUAUGUUGCAUCUAGUUGCUAACCUUUCUUUUUUUUUUGUUGCUCUAGUAUAUUUUGUUGCAUAUAUAUGAUUGUACAUCCUCUUCAUGAACAUGCAUCUCUAACAGGUACCUAGUUUCGUGAUUGCGAGAUGGAAAUGCUAUGUCGUGUACAAAGGGAAGGUUCCGAGGGUGUACAACGAGUGGCAUGAGUGUCAGGCGCAAGUGAAUGGGUUCACGGGCGCCAGCCAUAAAGGCUUCAAAAGCAGACAAGAAGGAGAAGCUAGUUACUUGAGGUUCACGCUAGUGCGAGAGAGGACUCGUAACCGCCACCUCAUGUACUGCAUAGUUCCGCUCUCACUCAUAGUGAUAGCACUUCUUGCGUAUACCUUUGUUUAGAUGGAUGACGUUGUUGUAGUUGCAAGUAUUCGAGACUUGCAUCUAUUGCUAUUUUCGAGAUGAUGACAAGAUAUAACUUUGUGUUGGAUGAUGAUUAUGAUGAGACUAUUUGUAUGUACAUGCUAUGAUUACAUUUGUGGUCUCGCAGGCAUUUGUAUGUGUAUCAUGAUGACAUUUCUAUGUGCUAAAGAUUCUUCUACAAAGCCGGUUCAAAUACAAAACAAAUAUGCCAAAAAAACUACUUAAAUUAGCAGUACCGAGUGUAUAAAAGUUAGCAGCAGCGCCUCAAUAGCAGUAGCGCGUCCAUCUAAACAGCGCUAGCGCUACUAGCGGUACCGAGCUUCCUCUAACCGCGCUGCUGCUACACUUGUGUAGCAGUAGCGCGUGUGCACACGCGCUACUACUAUGAGUUAGCUGUAGCGCCUUAUUAGUAGCGCGGGUACCCGCGCUACUGAUACAUCUAAAACCCGCGCUGCUGCUAGCCUUUUCCCUAGUAGUGCUUAGUUGCCGGAUGACACUAGUAGCAUGUUCAAACGAGGCUUUCAUGUCGUCUUGCAACCUUGCCCAACCGGAGAUCUGAUCCAUCUGGCUAUGGACGAACGCAUGCAUGCGCCUAUAGGAGUCCUCGCUUGCCCGCGAGACAUUUUCCCAGGCUGCCACAGUGGGGGAGGACAUCUCUGCUGCAUUCACGAUGCGUGGGACAUCUCUGCUGCUUCCGUGGAACGGCCGGACCAAUCUGCUGCAUCGACGGUGCGGCGGGACAUGUCGGCUGCUUUUGCAGUGAGACGGGACAUCUCUCGCGCUUACGCUUCCAUGCUCGCCUCUCCCUGGUGGCAAUCUCUCGAACCAGAACUCACGCUGGCCAUGGCAGACGCAAGGGAACGAUGAUGAGUGACUUGUUUGUUUUUGUGGAUGAGGAGUUGAGGAGGCACUAUAGGAAUCAGGAACUUUACCAUCAGCCAUGGCUGACGGCAACGCAAGGCAGACGGAAAAGGCCUUCGUCGUCAGUGUAACAACGCCCACGAUGCGGCUAUAUCUCACACAUGUCGAAGCACGACUUAGAGGCAUAACCGCAUGGUGGUUUUGUCGCAAGAAGGGUCAUCUUCACACAAACCCAUGUAAUGAACAAGAAUGGGAUAAAGAGAGUUGGCUUACAAUCGCCACUUCACACAAUACAUAAAUAAGAUUCAUACAUCAUUCAAAAUACACUCAUAGACCGACUACGGUCAAAUCCAAAUGAAAAGAAGAUAACCCCAAAUGCUAGAUCCCCGAUCGUCCCAACUAGGAUCCUCUACUGAUCAUCUGGAAACGAAACAUAGUAACGACCAAGGUCCUCAUCAAACUCCCACUUAAGCUCGGCUGCGCCACUUGUUCUGGUAUCCUCGGUACCUGCAUCUGUUUUGGUAGAAUCUGUGAGCCACGGGGACUCAGCAAUCGCACACCCGCGAGAUCAAGACUAUUUAAGCUUGUAGGUAGGAAAGGGGUAAUAUGGUGGAGCUGCAGCAAGCACUAAGCAUAUAUGGUGGCUAACAUACGCAAGUGAGAGCGAGAAGAGAAGCAACGCAUCGGUUGAGAAGCUAGAAGUGAUCAAGAAGUGAUCCUGAAACUACUUACGUCCAUACAUAACCCAAACCGUGUUCACUUCCCGGACUCCGCCGAGAAGAGACCAUCACGGCUACACACACGGUUGAUGCAUUUUAAUGAAGUCAACUGUCAAGUUCUCUACAACCGGACAUUAACAAAUUCCCAUCUGCCUCAUAACCGCGGGAACGGCUUUCGAAAGAUAAUACCCUGCAGGGGUGUCCCAACUUAGCCCAUCAUAAGCUCUCACGGUCAACGAAGGAUAUACCUUCUCCCGGGAAGACCCGAUCAGUCUCGGAAUCCCGUUUUGCAAGACAUUUCGACAAUGGUAAAACAAAACCAGCAAGACCACCCGACUGUGCCAACAAAUCCCGAUAGGAGCUGCACAUAUCUCGUUCUCAGGGCACACUGGAUGAGACAGGCUACGAGUAACACCAGACUUCGAGUUUCCCCGAGGUGGCCCCGCAGGCGGCUCNNNNNNNNNNNNNNNNNNNNNNNNNNNNNNNNNNNNNNNNNNNNNNNNNNNNNNNNNNNNNNNNNNNNNNNNNNNNNNNNNNNNNNNNNNNNNNNNNNNNNNNNNNNNNNNNNNNNNNNNNNNNNNNNNNNNNNNNNNNNNNNNNNNNNNNNNNNNNNNNNNUCGGGCUUGCGAAAACCCAAGGGAAAAGUGAUAGGUGGUAGGUAGUCAAAUGAUAAAACCAAGGUUGGGCCUUGCUGGAGGAGUUUUAUUCAAGGCAAACAGUCAAGGGGUUCCCAUAAAUCACCCAACCGCGUAAGGAACGCAAAAUCAAGGAACAUAACACCGGUAUAACGGAAACUAGGGUGGCAAGAGUGGAACAAAACACCAGGCAUAAGGCCGAGCCUUCCACCCAUUACCAAGUAUAUAGGUGCAUUAAUUAGACAAGAGAUAUUGUGAUAUCCCAAAAUAUCCAUGUUCCAACAAGGAACAAACUUCAUCUUCACCUGCAUCUAGCAACGCUAUAAGAGGGGCUGAGCAAAAGCGGUGACAUAGCCAAACAACGGUUUACUAGGAAAGGGAUGGCUAGAGGCUUGACAUGGCAAUAUGGGAGGCAUGAUAAACAAGUGGUAGGUAGAGCUAACAUAACGAUAGAGCGAGCAACUAGCAAAGCAAAGAUAGAAGUGAUAUCGAGGGUAUGGUCAUCUUGCCUGCAAAGUUCUCAGAGUUGUCGAAAGAUUGAUCCUCGUUAGCGUAAUCAACAGGUUCCUCAUUCACGUAGUCGUCUCCUGGCUCUACCCAAAGCAAGAACACAAGCAAUGGAACCACAAUAAAUCACGGUGCAAUGCACAAGCAACAUGAUGCAAUCCAUGGCAAGAUGUGAUAUGCGAUGCAUAUGCGGGCUCCAGAAGGAAAAUUGAUGAACAAGCAUCAACUUGGCAAACCAAGCUUGCCAUUGGAAAUAUGAGGUGAUUUCGGUUGAAAUCGAUAUAAAGAUCACCGGAAUCGGAUGCAUGGUUUGCAAAUGGCAAGCAAAACAAGAAUGACACAAAUCUGCGAUUAACAGCACGAUGCUACUUAGCAUGCAACAAGAAACCAUGCUACAUCACCCCAACAUAAAAACAAAGCAUAUGGCAGUGAUCUACAGAAGAUGCUUGACAAAAGAGGAACACUGAGCUACGGCUAAAUCACACAAUAACAGCUUCAAACAAGCAUGGCAAAAGUGCAAAAGAUAUCAGCUUGGACAUGGCAUAAACAUCAUCAGGUAGCAAUGUUCAGAGCAAGAAAUCAACAUGCUACAGGAACUUAUAAUAUCAAAACAAGACAUGGCAUGAUUCUACUCAAAGCAUAGAACAAAAGUCCCUUACUGACCAUGAGCCAAAAAGGAUCAGAAGAUAUGAUUGCACCCAUGUAAACAUAGCAAGUUCCGUUAACAGAUUUAGGAAACAGAGCAUGGCAUUAACAGCAUUAUGAAGGCAUCUUUGCGAGCUCGAUUCACUCACCACAUGUCAUUGCAUGACAAGAUAGGCAUAGCACCAGCAAGAAUACAUGUUUAUGAAACUAAACAUGGCAAGAACAAGAUCAUAGCAUGCAAGGAUCAACUACACCAACCUUGGCAAUAUUGAAUGUCAUGUAAACAAUCUGCCAGGAAACAUUUUAUCGCAAAAGUAGAGCAAGAAAAUGACAUGCUAUACUACUCCAUAAUUGCAAACAUGGGCAUGAAUGGAUAGAGCAUAACCAUAAGUUCAAAACAUCCUUACUGAAGUAUCUCAAAAUAUGCAUGGAUCUCUCUGUGGCAUCAAGUUUACAUGGCAUCAAAAUAACAGCAGAACAGGGACUGAAAUCAGCAACAUCAUGAAGCCUAGUUUGCAUGCUUGUUCUAGUCACCACAUUGAUCACAAAAAUACAUGUCAUACACCCCUGUAAAGAUGGCAUGGCAUAGUACAAAACACAUGUAGAUCUCAUGCCCAUAAGAUGCACACAAUAAAUGUAGCAAAAAUGACAAAUGCACACAUUCUGUUAAGAAUCAGAAACUAACAUCAUAUAGCACUCUUGCAUCAAAGAUGCAGGCAUCUAGAUGACCUCAAAUGAACAUGGCCCACUAGAACAAAAUGAAGAGCUCAUCCUGAUGAACAUUUUGAUAUAUCAUGUGCAUGAAACAGAGCUACGAUGACGGAGUUAUGGUGCGAUGAACAGGGCUAAAAAUAAUGCAGACUUGGCAAAAAAACGAGGUCAACCUCUAGGGUUCCAGAUCUGGAUCCGGGCGCGGACUUCAAAGCAGGCCGGAGCCUCGCCGGAGUUGGUGCCGGAGGGGAGGAAGACGACCGGAGGAGGAGACGGCCGACCGGAUCUCGCCGGAUCCGGCGCUGGCGGAGGCGGUGGCGGGGCCGGCGGCGCGGGGCGGCAACCGGGGUGGUGUAACACCCCAAAAAUUUAACCAGGUUUUAGUUAUUAAAAAUUUGCCAAGAGUUUAAUUUUUUUUUCCUACAAGAAUAUCUCUGUUGAUUUCAAAACUUUUCUUUUAAUAUUAAGGAGUUUUUCCCAAGUGGAUCCUUCCAAAACAUAUUGAACUUCUAUGCCAUCUCAUUAAAACAAAUUCCUAAUUAGUAGGAUUAUUUAUUAAAUUAUUUCACCCUGAACCUUAUUCAUUAAAAUGAGUUGUUUUAAAAUUUGGAGCUCUUUUUGAACUACAACCAUUUGAUAAAUUUAACUAAAAAUCCAACCAAAAUUUUGAGAUGUCAUGUGAUGUCUCUAAAUCACUUUAUGCAAUAAUAUAGUUCAUUCAUUGCAUAUUUUGAGUGCUACACAUGUUUUUCUUCUCUAGUCCAGUAGGCAUUUUUGCACUGCAACCCUUUUAAAUAUUUGUUUAUAGCCUCCACCAAAAUUAUGGGAUGUCAGUAGGAGCAUAUAAUUCCAUUAUAUGCAAAAAUCCAGGGUUGUUCUUUGAAAAUUUUGAGUGAAACAACCUCAUCUUCAUUCUGGUCCAACAUGAUGGUUUGUACAGCAACCAUAUUUUUGCUUGCUCUUUAGCCCUUGAUUCUUUCUCCUACUUGUAGUCCUCCAUGUUAAACUCCUAAGUCCAGGAGCAUGCAACCAUUGGCAUAUUUUUGGUUCAUGAAUUAAUGCCCUUAACAUCCUGUACAGAUUUGAAGUUCAUCAAAACCUGCACUAGCAAGUUUCUCUUUUUGCCAAAAUAACCUUACCACCUUCUCUUGCUUCUAAAGAGACACUGAUCUGGAGAAUUUGGCCCCUCCAAGAAAAGCCUAGGUGCCUGUGGCAUUUUGUCAAACACCUGGAGUGCAUGAUCAGAUUUGACACGAAUUGUUGAUUGGCAUUGUGAACUUGGUCUCCUGACCAAACCACCUUGUCCUCUGAGCUUCACUCUAUCAACCACCUAGCUCAGUUGCUUGCCACCCUCACCUGUGACCUGUAGCACGCCACGGCAUUAUGUCGAACACCUUCCGUGCGUGCACUGGACGCGCCCAGAGCACGCGUAUUGCACGAGCGGCACCCGAAUCGCCGCGUCACGCCCCGCACUCACCCCAGCCCGUGACCGACCGCAGCCGGCACGCCAGGUCCCCUUGCGCGCUACGUGCUCCCCCUCACUGCAAUGCGCCAAACAGAGCCUCUCCGCGUCCCCGGCAAGCCAAAGGCAAGCUGCCACGGCCGCCCGACAGCCCUGCUCAGGCUGGCGCCGCCAAAGCCACCCCGGCUUGCCACCUGCCCCUGGAACAGUGCGAGCUCAUCCGCAGCCUCAUCACCUAGUGCACGUCGCCGCCACGUCGCCCUAGCUACAGAGAGGCGGUCCGCUGGAGAAACUUAUCCACGGCCGCCGCGGAACCGCCUUGCCUCGCCUAUAUAAGGAGCCCGAGCUCGUAUCCAUACGCAGGCGACCUCAAGCCAUCUCCCUAGGGGCCCCUUUGGCAGCCAAACGACCCGGGGAGGCCUUCUUCCCCAUCUCCGGCAACCGCAGCCGCCGCCAUUGCCCCAGCCCUUCCGGCGCCACCAGAGCUUCCCCCUCUCCAAUCUCUCCACCAAGAACUCCCCCUCCCUCUUGCGAGUGCAACCCCUCGAUCAAUUUCGGUCGGAGACCACCGCAGCCCAAAAAUCACUUUGUCACCGAAGCCCCCUCCGCCACGGAGCUCGCCGCCGGCGACUCCCUCCACCCCCGGUGACCCGGCGACCACCGGAAGGACCGCCUAGGAGUGGCGGAUCCAUCCCUGCACUCAGAUGCCCGCGAAGAAACACCGUUCGCCGGCGACGAUCGCCGGACGCUCCGCCUCGGCUCGGGCAGAGAAGAGGAGGGAGUGGGGACUGGUCAAACCUGACCAGUGGGCCCCCUGGACCCACUGUCAGUGACCCAGCCCCGCCUCCACGCGUUUAAGUGGAAGCGUAAAGACCCCGAGUACGUCUCCCAUUUUCGAAGACGCAUUCUGCCGAAACGUUUUCUUUUCUGUUUUAUUAUUAAAAACAGAUUUUGACCAAAUCUUUGACUGGCUUUAUCUUUUUAAAUAUAACUCCAAAUGAAUUAAUUCUUUCUCCUACGUCUCUCAAAUAUUGUCUAGUUUAUUUUAAGAUUUAUUUGAAAAAAUUUCAAAACAUUUUUUCGUGCCGUUUUUAUUUUGUGUGUUAAUUCAAAUAUAUUCUUCUAAUAGGAUUUUUGAAGAUUUCAAGAUGUUUUGGAUUGCACCCUGUUUUCCCAUGACCUGAAGGCAAGCAUUCUGAACCCCGGCAUAAUAUUUUUGUGUGUUCGAUGACACGUUUAUAACACCACCUCACUUUGGAGAAACUUGUUAUUUCAUGUGAUAUGAUCAUAUGCAUGGGUGCAUGUUAUUGAUUUCCAUGCUGUUGGAAAUGAAGACACUUGUGAUGAUAACCAUCCUCAUGUGCCUUGCAUGCAUACCGGUAGGAACCCGGGAAAACCUCUGCCUUGGGUAGGCAUGAGUUUGUCACCGGUCUCCGUCGGGACGGUUAUGUCUGGUAUGGCAUGGCAAGGUGAUAUCAGCGGUGACUCUGUUGGUUGAAAUAUAUUCGUUAAGCUAAUCAUGCAGGGAAUACUUAAACCUCCUGAGUCGACCGUAGAUCGAGUCUUGUGCCAGUAACCCCCAUACUUGUUUCGUACUACCACUCGUCUCUACAGCAAGUAGAGUACGGUUCAGUAAGUUGUCAACCUCUUUCUAGCACACACCGUAUAGAGAGGCCAUGGUGGAAGAUACCGGUUGUAGCUGGUAGGCAGGCCACCUGGUCCGGGGGCAUGGGUGUUUCCGGUUGGGACCGAGAGGGGAGGUGAGGGAGUCCUGGACUAGGGGGUGUCCGGAUAGCCGGACUAUCAAUAUCCGCCGGACUCCCAGACUACGAAGAUAGAAGAUUGAAGACUCCGGCUCGUGUCCGGAAGGUACUUUCCUUGGCGUGGAAGGCAAGCUUGGCAAUACGGAUAUGUAGAUCUCCUACCAUUGUAACCGAAUCUGUGUAACCCUAGCCUCUCCGGUGUCUAUAUAAACCGGAGGGCCUUAGUCCGUAGGACACAACAUUACAUCUCAACAAUCAUACCAUAGGCUAGCUUCUAGGGUUUAGCCUCCUUGAUCUCGUGGUAGAUCUACUCUUAUACUACCCAUAUCAUCAAUAUUAAUCAAGCAGGACGUAGGGUUUUACCUCCAUCGAGAGGGCCUGAACCUGGGUAAAAACAUUGUGUCCCUCGUCUCCUGUUACCAUCCGCCUAGACGCACAGUUCAGGACCCCCUACCCGAGAUCCGCCGGUUUUGACACCGACAUUGGUGCUUUCAUUGAGAGUUCCUCUGUGUCGUCACCGAUAGGCUCGAUGGCAUCUUCAAUCAUCAACGCUGUCCAGGGUGAGACUUUUCUCCCCGGACAGAUCUUCGUAUUCGGCGGCUUUGUACUGCGGGCCAAUUCUCUUGGCCAUCUGGAGUAGAUCGAAAGCUACGCCCCUGGCCGUCAGGUCAGAUUCGGAAGCUUAAACUUCACGGCCGAUGACCACGGAGACUUGAUCUCCGACGGACUCGAGCCACAGCCAAGUGCGCCGCACUGCGACGAUGGGCAUGAUCUAGCUCUGCCGCCGGACAGUGCUCUAGUGGCCGCACUCAAAUCCGCUCCGGCUACUAGCCCGGAGCCGAUUGCCCAUAUCAAGGGUCGGUGGAUAGACGCCGCCCCGGGGGCUUCAACAUCCACGGCGAUGGAGCCGAAUACCAAUCUUGUCCCCUGUGAAACUCGUGAUCCCGAGGCGUCGGACUCCUCGCCGGACUCCGAGCCUCCCGCGCCCCUGUCAAUUAAACCAGAUUGGGCGCCGGUUAUGGAAUUCACCGCCGCAGACAUCUUUCAGCACUCGCCUUUUGGCGAUAUCCUGAAUUCCCUGAGGCAUCUCUCGCUAUCAGGAGAAUCCUGGCUGGACUAUGGCCAGGACGGUUGGAGUUCGGACGACGAAGAAAUUCAGAGCCCACCCACCACCCACUUUGUAGCCACUGUCGAGGAUCUAACCGACAUGCUAGACUACUCCGAGGACAUCGACGCUAUGAAUGAUGAUGCCGGAGACGAACAGGACCCAGCACCCAUCGGGCACUGGAAGGCCACCUCGUCAUAUGACGUCUACAUGGUGGAUACCCCAAAAGAAGGGGAUGGCGAAAAAGCAGCGGAGGAAGAUUCUCUAAAGAAACAGCCUAAACGCCGACGUCAGCGGCGCCGCUCUAAAUCCCGCCACAAUAAGAAUGAAGAUUCCGGCACAGGAAAUAACAAUACCCUAGAGAGUGCCGAAGACAAACCCCUCCAGCAAAACUCAGCGCAGGAGGAUGCAGAAGCUAGCCCUCACGAAGGGGCGGCAGAAGAAAAGGUCGAGGAUCACAACUAUAUACCUCCCUCCGAAGACGAAACAAGCCCCAAUGACGACGAACUCGAGGAGCCCAUCGAACAAGAGCUUUUCAAACGCAGGCUCAUCGCUACAGCAAGAAGCCUGAAGAAGGAAAAACAGAAGCUCAACACAGCGGAAGACGCGCUUCGAAUAAGAUGGAGCAAAGUACUCAAGACCGCAGAUAAACACGGCAACGGCCACCAAUCGAAGAGCUACCCGAAGCGCAAGCUGCUCCCAGAAUUGGACGAGGAGGCCAUAAAGCCCCCACCGUCCAAUGGCCCAGCCAGGUCCAUCUACGGACCCAAAAAGACAGCCCCAAUAAGCAAAGGAACACGUCAAGUGUCCGACGAUAGCGGCACGUACAAGUACAG